rnacentral:lncRNA from 1 species
CAUUCCCAUUAUUCUGCGAUAAAUCUGCAGCGAAUAUCUUUAAUUUGUCACAACCAUGCACUAAAAGAAUUUCUAGUGCGGGCCAUUCCGAAGUAUGCAUUCCAGGGUACAAACAUCUAAGUUUUGGUAGAUCUUGGAGCUUCAGAGUGGUGAGCUGUGGAAAGACAAAAUAAGGGAUCAUUUGAUCUGCUCUGUUUUCAGAAAUGAUCUCCUGUAAAUUCUCACAGAAGUAUAUAUCCAGGUGUUGGAGCUGCUUAAGGCUUUCGAUCAUAGACGCUGAAAAUAUGUAUUUUAAUUUAUGACAACGCUGCACAAUCAAUCGUGUUAAAUUUUGAAAGCGAGGAAACAUGACCGGAAGAUGAUUGUAGUGCCAAAUCUUGUCGACAUUAAUUUCAGAUAUCUCCAAAGCCUCCAAGUUAGGCAACGCAACCUAAAAAAAGAAGAAUUUCUCGUUAGAUCCAAUAUCCAUAUGGGAAGUACUUGUUGAAAUUUUCUUCUUUGAUUACAAAUUAAUGCAAGUCAGAAUCAAUUUCAUACUACUUGUUAAGAGCUCAAUUAGUGAGCGCGUGAGAUUCUUUUUAUCCUUUUUUCCAUUUUCUUUCAAUUCUUUAAAUGAUUUAAUUAUUUUCCACGUAUAACAUCAAAACAGAACGCAUGAUAGAAUAAAAUGUGUUAUACAUUAAAGAAAAUGUUAGCCUACGCACCUUCUCGUUGAAAAGCAGAGUUGAAAUAUCCAAAGUGAUUUCGCUGGAGCUAUACAUAGUCGUCGAUUCCUCUUGCGACACUUGUCUGUUCGGUGAUGCUGAAGGAGUCUUCACCUCAUUGCGGCAAAAACUUGUAACCUCUGGAAGAUUCCCCAGACUCAAAGAUCUUAAUUGAGCAAACUCUAUCUUCUCAAUUGCAUUAUCAACUUCUUCCCCAAUUGCAAAAAUCUCUUUCAUCUUGCUGCAAUUAAUAACUGCAAUUCUCUCAAGUCUUGGAAGGCAUUUUGUAGUGGAGAGCCAAAAGAUAUUGCUCAACUUAUUACAACUAUAAGCUUCUAUGGUUUUGAGUUUGUUGAAAGACUCUACUUUGAGCCGAUCAAUACAUAUCCUCUCCAUGUUGAUCAAAUUGCGAAUGGUAAGUGACUCCAAAAGAGGAAAGGCAUCACAAGCGACCAUCUCCCUUGAAUCGACGAUACAAAAGAUGUCAGGAUUAUUUUGAACCAAGAGAAGCUUCAAUUGUGAAAAGCCAUCCGUGUCCAAAUUGAAAAGAACAUUCUCGAUGCCUUGCAGCUUGUCCAACCAUAAGUAUUCAACGUUAUUGAUGCCCUGCAAUUUCAUGGAGAAAAUGUCCAUAAAAUCAAGCUUGAGCUUCAAUGCUCUUAAACUCUUGCGAUCACGGUUGAUUGAAAAGUGCGGCCGACUUUGGAACCAUUUAUGUCUAGCAUACUUGUUGGGAGGCAUGAAUGACCCAUUUCCAAUAGAUAUUUUGAACCUUUCGAGCUUUCUGGCCAAAAAGCGUUCUGGUAAAAUACUAUCAUUUUUAACGUCAAUUUCUAGAGUGGUUAGCCUAGGUAAAUGCAUCAAUUCGUCGAGGCUAGCAUUACUUCUUUUGCUGUUGGCUCUUUCAACCUCCCAUUCAAUGAAGCAAUUACCCAUAUACAGCUCUUCUAAUCGACUUAAGCUUGAUAUGAGAUUGGGCGCAAUAACUUUUAGAUCGAAACAAUUGGUUAAAUCUAACAAUCUCAACUUAUUCAAUUGACCUAGUUCUUCUGGCAACUUCAUAAUAUCAGACAUCAAAAAGCUAAGGACUUCUAGAUUCUUCAACUUCCCAAUGAUUGCUAUGUCGCCCAACGCACUUUGAUCCAGACAUAGUGUGUGAAGAUAUGCUAGAAGAUCAAUUGAAGAUGGAAAAGAAGAAAACUGCAUUCGAGUAAAAUCUAGAACUCUAAGCUUUUUCAUCCCUACCAAAAAGUUCUCAGGAAUAUUGAUUUCAAGAGAAAAAUCUUUGAGAGAGAUAUAUAAAAAUUCAAGGUUUGGGCAUUCUAAUCGUCAGGAAAUCACGAUUACUAUUAUUUAUAAAGAAGAUAGCAUGCAGUUUCGAAGUGGCAUCUCAUCUGGCCAGUCCCACACAUCUCAUUUCUCACCGAAAACACAUGUUGGUGGCGGCAUGCAAUUGAUAUUGCGACAUCGCGAACAACAUCAUGCAUUGAAAAUUCUUCAUUGCUGUCACCCUCAAGCAACAAACAAGAGUCUCUAAGUUCAUGGACCGAUGCAUAUAAUUUGUCUCGUGCAUCUUCCAUCUUAUUGACUCCUUGAAAUAUACCCAAACCCAUGGAGUACUUAAACAAGUCCAAAGUAAGGAUACUGUUACCCAUUAGACUGCAGAGCUGAAAAAUGUUCUUGAGUUGCUCACCUUUUAAAUGGUUGAAACUCAGCUCAAUACUUGAAUAAGUCUCUGCAGACACUCCUUCGAAGUUUACCAUUGAAGGCGUUAGGAGUUCUCGCAAGGAAUUCUUCCAUUCAUGCAGACUCUUGCUUCUCAGUGCCUUUGCCACUGUAAUCAAGGCAAUGGGCAAACCUCCACAUGCCCUGGCGACGUCUAUUGCUGUAGAUUUCAACUCACGAUUUUCAACAUCAUCACCGGCCAUCAUCUUAAACAAUCUCCAGGCUUCUUCUUCAUUUAAAUUGUUAAUCAAGAAGUUGUCUUUAGAUCCCAUUUUUAAGAGGACACUACGAUCUCUUGCUGUCAGCAGUAGUUUGCAUCCUUUAUGAUCUUCUCCAAAAGGAAUUCCCACUGUCUCCAAAUCAAGGUGUUUCCAGAUGUUAUCUAAAACCACAAGGAUCUUCUUCUGAUUUCUCAAUCGCUCAAAUAGUCUACUUGCUCUUCUAGAUUCAACUUCCUCGUGCAACUCCAGGCCCAACUUCUCGGCAAUUUCCUGUUGAAUCUUUUUUAUGUCUGGAGUUUGCGAAACCUCUGAAAAGACCACCAUAUCAAAGAGCUUGUCUUCCAUAGCUUGCCUGGCGACCUUCUUCACCAGUGUCGUCUUUCCAAUGCCGCCCAUGCCGUACACCCCAACGACACUAACAUUAACAUCGAUCAAUGCUUUUUUUAUAGCCUCCAAAGAAGAAAGUCUUGACUCGAAGGCCUCGUAGCCUUUGUGAGACUUGAGCCAUAUCUCCUCCGGAAUGGUACGGUAGGAAAUUCUAUCAUCAAAUCUUGCAGCUUCUUCUCGGAUUUUGACGAGUGCCUUCACCUCUGCCUCUGCUUUCUUGCUAAGCUGAUAGCGAGUAAUCCAAUUAGGAAACAGCCCCAUGAGACAUCGUUCAUUUGCUUUCUCUUCGUCUUGAAUGAAUUUGGCUGCCUGCUCAAUGCUCUUGUUCGCAUUAACCAGCCAUUUCUCAACCUUCUCUUCAAUCUUUUCACUUUUUCUUUCAGCCUCAGAAACUCUGCGCUGAAUGCUUUCUCUUUCAUCCUUGAGCCUAUCGAGUUCUGCCUUGAGAUUCUCAAAGUUGGCAUCGGAGUUAUACCAGUAACUAAAUUCGCGUUGUGCGUGAGGAGACAAGCAGUUUACAACUGGAACAAUGCUUUUCAAAAUGUCCAUUUGUUUUUUUUUUUUGGGGGGGUGGGGGGUGAGUGAACGAAAUAGAAAUAGAACAGGGUCAACGACCGCGCAAUUAAUAAUCAAGUAGAAGCAAAACAAGGCAAAAUGGAGAAAAGAAAUUAUAUUUGUACAAAACAAGGGGAAAAUCAGUGUAACAGAAGAGAAUCAAAGUGUUUUUGAGAUCAGAAAAUUGAAUCAAGAAAAGGGUUGCUUGAUCCAAUGAAAAUGCAAAGAGGGAACAAACAUAAAUAAGAAAACGGCUAGCAGGAGCAGUGACCACGAUAAACAGAAGCAAAGUGUGUAUGAGAUCAAAAGAAGAAAAUCAGGAGAGGUUUUCUUGACUGAGAAUUGAAGGCAAAGAGUAGGAGCUGACGAAUACGGGGAUCAAGAGGGAAAAACUGCUUAAUAACAUUACGAUUGUCAUAAAACAUGUGAUCCUCAUCCAAUAUCCAUUAUUUGUGAUCCUUAAUCAAUAAAAUAUCUAACAAUAUCGAACAGUCGAUAUCCAACACAUGCACGAAGAUUCCAAGAAGUUGCGUGGCUGCCGACUUUUAAAUGCUAAGCCUGAUUGUGUCGAUGAUACACAAAAGAGAGCAGUCGGGGUAAUUGCCAAAACUUAGAACUAAACAGUAGCUUAGUCAGAAAAUCAAACGCCAGUACCGGUAAAAUGACCGAUAAAAAUAUAAAGAAAUAAAACUUUUAAAGUUUUACUUCAUUGCUUUUUUAAUGUUAUUACUAUUUCUCCUAGCACUUCUAAAGAAACCAAAGCUUUAAAAGAAAUCGGCCAAAGAAAUAAAGUUUUACUUCAUUGCAUUUUUAAUCUUAUUACUAUUUCUCCUUGCUCUUCUAAAGAAACCAAAGCUUUAAAAGAAUCAGCCAAAUCACCAAGAUUGAAGAGUAAAUCUAUUGUUUUAGAUUUUUAUUUUUAUUUUUUUAGAUAAUAGAUAUUAUUUUGAUGAAUUUUUUAAUAUUGGAAUAAUGUUAGGAAUUCCAAUAGAUGAAUUCUAACUUGACACCCAAUUGUUAUGUGUCAUUUUUUUAUUGGAUAAUGAAUUUCAUAACUAGUAAAAUUAAUAUUUUGAUCAUCUAAUAAAUAACUACUAUAUCAGUUGGGACUCAAUCAUUGGGAUGCUUAACAUUGCUCUUAGUAUUGUAUUGGACAUCUUAGUUAAAUCAGAUUAAAAAUCAAAUUAGAUUUUAGGCUUUAUUCAACAUCUCCUUUUCUUUAUUUUUUUUUCUUUUUUAGGUCUAUUUGAAGUGAACGAAUUAAAAAUACGACAAGGUCAACGAUUGGGCAAUUGAUAGUCAAGUAGAAGCAAAUGAAGGCUAAAUGGGAAAGAGAAAUUAUAUUUGUACAAAACACGGAGAAAAUCAGUGUAACAGAAGAGAAUCAAAGUGCUUUUGAGAUCAGAAAUUGAAACAAGAAAAGGGUCGCUUGAUCCAAUGAAAAUGCAAAGAGCUGAUGGCAAAAGGGAACAAAGUUAAAUAAGAAAACAGCUACCACUAGCAGCGACCACAAUAAACGAGAAAUUGGAGAUGGAUCUACAAUAUUUCUGCCUUUCUUUAUGCUUUAACAAAUAUUGCUCUAUCGAAAAAAAUAUUGUGGGUUUUUAUUAUUGGAGUCACAAAAGACCAACACAAUAUAGCAAGUGACUAGGAAUAAGAAUAUAUAACUCUCUCUCUAUUUCUCACUCUAGCUUUUAAUUGUCACUCAAAACCCAGACAGCGUAAGGAAAUAAGAGAUGACAGCGUCUGGUUGUCAUACGUGCCUUUUGGUUUCUGGAUGACAUGGCGUACACUUCUUUUGCAAACCAACACGACAUGUCGUACUCUUUGUUUUGAGAUCAUAUUUCAAACUCUUGAUGUUACGAAUGAAAGAUAAACUACAAUCAUCAAAAUAUUUAGUGUUUGUUUGGUAAUGUAAAGUCAUAGUUGUUGUGAAUUGAAAUUAUUUCUGUAAAAUAAAAGGAUUUGGGUCAUUGUUCGUUAUUUUUUGGCAAUAUUGCCUGGCUGUGACUAUUUAUUAAAUAUUAAAAAAAUAAAUUUAUAUUUAUUAAGUAUCAAAAAUAAAUAAACAACAAAAAUAAACGGAAAAAUUAUACAUUACGUAAAAUAAUAAGGACAAUAUCAAUAUUUCACACUCUAUAAUUGAGUGAUGUGUUAUCCAAUUGCAACACAUUUGUCCCAAACGGAGUCUUAAAUAUCAAAGUUAUUGCGAUGAUGACUUAUAAUCACCAAACUUGACAUACGGGUAAUCAUGCAUUAUAAGGUGUUGAUUUCUUACUAUCGGAACCUUAUAUUUCAUUUACAAAUAAAUAAAUGAUGUGACUUAACUGGUGGCGGGUCCUUUGUGCCAUUUGCGCAUUCCACUGAAUAGUUGAUUGUAGCAGAAACAUUCCUGGAGUUGCCAUUUGCCAAUGCUACUGACAUUUUCAAACUCGGAAAACCCUCCAAUCAAUCUUUUAGUGGUAGGCUUGGUAGCUUGGCUUGAUUAUGACAUAUGAUUAUUUGAUAAUAAAGUUAGAGGAUGUAUUAAUAUAAAAAUUAUUUAUCGGUGUUGAAAUUAUCUCAUUAAUAAUAGUAUGAAAAGUUAAUUCUUAAGAAAUACAUAAUAGUAGUUAAUUGGUGUAAUAUUAUUGAGAUUCUGGAAAUAAUUUUAUAUCAUAACUUUGUAGGUGUAUAAAUAUUACUCAUUAAAUUAAUAUAAUUAUUUUAAAAAAAUCAGUUGGAAAAAAUAAAUUAUAUUAUUUUUACUUCAAAUAAUCUUUAAAUUAACUCAAAAUAUAAUCAAGCUCAGAAUUAAAAAUUUAAACUAAUGCUACUAUAUCAGAGGAUUUUCUUUUUUUCUCCACUGAAUAGUUGAUUGUCGCAGAAACAUUCCUGGAGUUGCCAUUUGCCAAUGCUACUGACAUUUUCAAACUCGGAAAACCCACCCUCCAAUCAAUCUUUUAGUGGUAGGCUUGGUAGCUUGGCUUGAUUAUGACAUAUGAUUAUUUGAUAAUAAAGUUAGAGGAUGUAUUAAUAUAAAAAUUAUUUAUCGGUGUUGAAAUUAUCUCAUUAAUAAUAGUAUGAAAAGUUAAUUAUUAAGAAAUACAUAAUAGUAGUUAAUUGGUGUAAUAUUAUUGAGAUUCUGGAAAUAAUUUUAUAUCAUAACUUUGUAGGUGUAUAAUUACUCAUUAAAUUAAUAUAAUUAUUUAAAAAAAUUCAGUUGGAAAAAAUAAAUUAUAUUAUUUUUACUUCAAAUAAUCUUUAAAUUAACUCAAAAUAUAAUCAAGCUCAGAAUUAAAAAUUUAAACUAAUGCUACUAUAUCAGAGGAUUUUCUUUUUUUCUCCGAAGUUUCACUAGGAAAUUAUUGAUGUAUAGCUUUGUUGAGAAUUGAGAUCAUUUCAGUUCAGAAGACAAAUAAUUGAAAGACUAAACUAAAUAGACCGGCGAACAAAUUUGUACAUGAAAGUUAAAAAAUUAAGGUCAUGAGUUGGUAUUGCGGUUCUGUCUUGAGCAACUUUGCUGUCAUUGUUUAUUAUUUUUUGGUAAUAUUGCCUGGCGGUGACUGUUUAGUAAAUAUUAAGAAAUAAAUUUAUAUUUAUUAAGUAUAAAAAAUAAAUAAACAAACAAAAACACAAGGAAAAAUUUAUACUUUACGUAAAAUAAUAAGGACAAUAUCAAUACUUCACACUAUAAUUGAGUGAUGUGUGGCAUCUUAAUUGCCCAACUGCCACACAUUGGUUCCAAACGGAGACUUAAAUAUCAGAAAAAUUCCAAGUUAUUGCGAUGAUGACUUACAAUUGCCAAACUUGACAUAUGGGUAAUCAUGCAUUUCUUAUGAUCAUAACCUUAUUUUUCAUUCACAAAUAAAUAAAUGAUGUGACUUAACGGUUGACGGGGUCCUUUGUGCCAUUUUGGCAUUUCACUGAAUGGUUGAUUGUCGCAGGAAGAUUCCUGAAAGUUGCCAUUUUCCAAUGCUACUAACAUUUUCAAACUUGGAAAACCCUUUAAUCAAUCUCUUAGUAGUAGGCUGUGGUAGCUUGGUUUGAUUAUGAUUUAUAAUCAUUUGAUAAUAAAGCUAGAGGAUGUAUUAAGAUAAAAUUUAUUUAUUGGUGUUGAAGUUAAUUAUCUCAUUAAUAAUAGUAUAAAAGGUUAAUUAUUAAGAAACACAUAGCUGUAGUUAAUUGGUGUCAUAUUAUUGGAAUUCUGGGAUAUAAUUUUAUAUAAUAACUUUGUGAGUAUAUAAUUACUCAUUAAAUUAACAAACUUAUUUUAAAAUAUUUAGUUGGAAAAAAUAAAUUACAUUCUUUUUAUUUCAAAUAAUCUAUAAAUUAACUCAAAACAUAAUCAAGUUGAGAAUUAAAAUAAUGCUACUGUAUGAGAGGAUUUUUAUUUUUUCCCGAAGUUUCACUCGGAAAUUAUUGUUAUAUAGCUUUAUAUGCGAUCAUCCUCAGUUCAAACGACAAAUAAAUGAAAGACUAAGCUAAAUAGACCAGCCAACAACUUUGUAAAAUAGAGUUCGAAAAUUAAAUUAAGGUCAUGGUAGUGUUAUGUCUUGAAAAGUACAACGUAGUACUAAAAUAAAAACUAUUAGUCUUUGGUAAGAUAAUGACAUUUAAAUAAUAAUUUUCACAAAAAUACAAAGAAUAUUUAUAAAGUACUUCUAUAGUGAGGAGGCCCUCACUUUGUGAAAGUGAAAAUGUCGAUAAUAUACAAAAGCCAUAUAUUUUAACACAUUAAAAAUUGUAUUUUUUAUCUAUUGGUGUAUUAAAAUAUGUGUUACUUAGUUUGUUAGUGAUAUCAUCACUUUGUUAAAAUGAGGAUAUCGUCGCUAGAGAAUCAUUAUAUAUACAUAUCUAUAAAGUGCUUCUCUCCAAGACCUAGACUUUAUUAGAAUUUAAGAAAGCAAAUAUAUUUUAAAUGGUAUAAUAGUGUAAUAACAUCACACUAUUAUAUCAUAUAGAGUAAAAGUUUUUCGAACUUUAAUAAAGUUCAAGAUUAUAGAAUGAAUGAUUUAUAUAUAUAUAUUAUACAUUUUUUAUCAUAAAGUGGAGGACAAAAUUAACAUAUUUUUCAAAUUAUAAUAAGUAUUUAUCAAUAAUUUAACAUCAUAAUUUCUCCUAACUAGUAUAGUAAAUACAACCUAGGAGGUACAUUCAAAGCAUUUCAUAGGUUAGUUGUUCGCUCCAAAUUCAAUCACAGACAAGGAGCCUUUUUUGAGAAUAUUAAGCAUCAUCUUCAAAUGAAUUUUCAUGGCAAAGGUUUCAGGUCCAAAUUGUUGUUCCAGAUUAGUCCAAAGCUCAUGUGAGGUUUGAGAGUUUACCACAAGACUAAGGAUCUCGAUACUGAUGGAUGACAUUAACCAGCUCAACAACAAUUGAUCCUUUCUCUUCCAUGAAGUGAAUGCUAGAUUGAUCUGUGCUUUAGCUGUUGAAUCUUCAAUUUCAGUAAAAAGAAACUGAUUAGGACAUAGUUUUGAUCCAUCAAGUAGAUCUUCUAGUCCAUUGGCACGGACUUAAGACAAGAUUUGUAAUUUUCAGAUCAUUUAAUUCGACCGAUCCAGUUUGAUUGGUGAAGUGAAAGUAAACGAGGAAACAAAGAAGUUUGUAUUCUGAUUUGAGCUUGACGAAGCCAUUAGAAUUGAUAACUCAGGCUCUGAUACCAAGUUAAAGAUUCUAAUAUGUUUGGUAAGUAAGAAAAUGAGAGAAAAUGAAAGAAAGAACAGAGAUCAUCUAAGAGCUGGAUUUGAUGAAUAAACUUGAAUCAUACAUUCUUUAGCUGAUUACAAAUGUAUUUAUGCAAAAUUCCUGAACAUUUCAGAUUGUAUAUGCUUGACCUAAGCACCUGAGAGUUGAGCAGUGUGGACUGACAAACUGAUCACAAAAUAAGUAACUUAUGCCAGCUCAGCUAACACGUCAGUAACUCUAACUAUCUUGCUUAACAAACUGAAACAAUAACUAACCAUUUUAACUAUCUUAACAAUGCCAAUAAUUUCUUCAUUUGCGUAUUUCUUGAAUCAUAAUCAAAUGGGUAAAUUUUUCAACUAUUCUUUUAGAUAUUUUCACUUUGGGCUAUAAGGCCGGGGAAGUACGGGGGUCUGAGUUACUCAACUGAAAAUGUCGGCCAAGUUCUUGCCAUCUCAGGUGCAAAACUGAUACUUGUGUUCCCCAUUUAUACUUAUUACGAAACUGAUACUCGUUCCUCUUAACUUGUUUUCUCAUGCAUCAACUGUUGAGAAAAUGUGCUCUUUAAAAGCAUAUGUGUUUAUUUAAUUGUAAUGAAAAAAUGUGCUCUUUAAAACCAUAUGUGUUUAUUUAAUUGUAAUAAAUAUUUUUUCUGAUUAAUAAAAUAUAUGAGGUAUUUUAUUCAAGUAUAUUAAUUGCAUUGAUAUUUUGAGUAAAGUCCAUUUAAUCAUAUUAUAUGUAUUUAUGUGAUCACUAUGUGGAUUCACAAAAGACAUAAAUACAAGUUAUCUUAUGAUUAAAUAAAUUAUGUUCGCAGUUGAUAAAUAAAGUUGGACACUUUAUUUAGGUAUAGACUGUAAUAAAUUCAUUGAAUGAUUUGUCUUAAUCAUGUAUGAAUUUAUUGAUGUAGUGCGAUUACAUUGAAUAGGAUCACAUAUGAGAUUUAAUUAACUUUGUAAUAACUGUCAGACUUAUUAAAUCUCAUAGGCAUUGAUUUUACUGUAAUCUUAAUCUUGAGUUAGUUAUGAUUCCAUUAUUGUAAUUGUUAUUUCAUUUGAGUUACCAAUGGGCAUGACACAUACUUGUAUUCAAGAUUACCAGGUAUCUUGGUGAGAGCAAUUAUGAGUAUUGGAGUUAUAGAUUAACAAUAUAGAAUUUGUACAAUACAUCUCUUGAUGGGUUUUCGGUACUUGAUCAUAGAAUUCUCUGGCCAGAUUGUGUCGACAUAUUUAAUAUGUUGAAAAUGAUCAUUAGAGAAAAACCAGUAAGUAUCAAGGAACAAGAUGUAAUUAAAUUGAUUGGACAGUUGAGAUAUCGAUUUAAUUAAUGAUGUGGUACAAAUGAUUGAGCAGUCAAGAAAUCAUUGUGGUUUGGGACGAAUUAUUAUUCGAACAUACAAUUAGUGUGCGACCAGCAUUGGCCAGCGACAUGCGCUGCAUGCGCAGCGAGCUGCGCAGUCGAGUUUGGUUUGCUUUCGGUGAGGCGGCAGUGGUUAGCUCGGCAUCGGAGAUUGGUGGCAACUUUGAACAGCGGUUGAAGUUUGCGUUGAUGGCGGCUGGAGAAGAAGGGGAGAGAAAUAUAUGGAUUUAAGGCUUUAAUGGUUUUUAUCGUUGAGGUCUCUACGGUUUUACAAUUUUUCUUUCGGUCAGAUAAGGUUUAAUUUUUGCAUUUAAGUCCAACAACAGUUUUGGGCUUAAUGAAUCAUAAUUUUAGGCCCAAUUGAAAUUGGGUUUAAUGGAUUAAAAUGCAUAGAUAAAAUUGAAUAAAUUAAAUUUAUUUUUGGUCCAAACGUUUUAUUUAAAAAAGUUUAUUUAUUUAUUUAUUUCCUUUCAAAAUUAAAAUUGGACCAAUAAUAAAUUUAAAAGCCCAACUUCCUCUAGUCCAUUAACAAAGACAAGCCUAUGGAAGAUGGACAUUGACAAGAAGCCCAAUGAAGAUUAGGCUUAGGGUUAAUGUAUUUUUUUUAAUUUUAGGAAAGCCAUGAAUUCAGAUUAUUUAAUUAUUUUUCUAUAUGUUAUAUUUUGGAUGAUAACAUGCCAUGAUAACACGUCAUAUAGAAUAGGUAGUGCCACUCUAUGCAUAAUGAUACAUGAUGUUCAUUAAUUAUGAAUCUCAUUAUAUUGUUUGAAAAUUGAAUAUGCUUAAUAAUAUUGAAUAUCAUCUAGAUAAUAUUAUAGGAAGCAUGCAAUUAAAAAUAUUAUUUAUGUAUGUUUUAAAAAAAAACCAAUUUUUAAAUAUUGAGUGGGAGAGGGAAAAUUCAAGAUAAUUUUUCCCACGGGCUCCAUUGUUAGUUCAAUAAUAAAAUUAUAUAUAUACCUCGACUUCAUGAUACGGUGAUGCUCCCUUCGAAGGGUAUAUAUAUUAGAUAUUUUAUUUGAUGAACUUCUUCAAAGAUAAAAUUGAAAUAUUUUUCAAUCGAUUGUUCACCCCAACAGUGACUAUUGAUAUGAAAAAUACUUAGAUUGAAACAAUGGUUAUACACUCAACUAAAAUUUGUUAUUAACCUUCCCAACGAAGCUCUGUUAACAAAUUUAGGCCCAAAAGGAUAACAAUAAUUAUUUAUCAUGUCUCUACAUGAAAGUAAAUAAUCCAAUGGAUAAUUGGGUCUAGUAAGUGUAGACAUGACUUCCCCAACGGAUAGCUUGUCAAAGCGGUCCUAGAUUAUCGUUACAAUAAAUAAAAAUGCAGUUAUGGUUUUUUGCAUUUUUGUUAUUUAUUGUGAAUAUUAUAUCAAAUUAUUUAUGCAUGGAUGUUUUAUUUUUCAAAAAAAUGUCUUCCCUGAGCUCACUUACUAUUAUUCUGAGUCAAAACAAACUCACUGGAGAGAACUAUAUAGAUUGGAAAAAAAAAUAUAUUCAUUGUCCUGACUGCUGAAAAUUAUAAAUAUGUCUUAACCCAGCCAUGCCCUCUAGUUCCAGUGGAUGAUGCUCAUAGAAAUUAGAGGAGGCUUUAUGAGAAAUGGCAAAAGGCCAAUGAAAUGGCAAAAUGCUACAUUUUAGCCUCGAUUUCUAAUAUUUUGCAGACCAAACAUCAGAACUUGGAGACUUCCACUGAAAUAAUGGAUAGUCUCCAAGAGAUGUUCGGGCGGAAUACUCGCUCCGCGAGACAAGCAGCGCUGAAAGGCAUUAUGAACUGCAAAAUGGGGAAGGGCACAAGAGUUCGUGAUCAUGUCCUCAAAAUAAUGGACUAUUUGAAUGAGGCUGAGAUUCAGGGAGCACAAAUCGAUGAUAACUCAAAGAUUGACAUGGUGCUAGAAUCUCUGCCAAAAAAAUUUAAGGAGUUUAAGGUUAAUUAUAACAUGAACAAAAGAAACAUGACCUUAACUGAAUUGAUGAACGAACUCCAUUCUGCUGAAGAGAUCUAUUGCACUGAGAAAUCUCUAGGAAGCAUAAAGAUUGCUAACAAGGUUCUUCUUCUAGGCCCAAGCCGAAAGGCAAGGGUAAGAAGAAAGCUGGGAAAAAGAAACCGUCUACCAAGCAAGAUGGCAAGCCGAAAGGCAAAUGCUUCAAGUGUGGACAGAAAGGUCACUGGAACAAGGAUUGCCCUAAGAUUGUGAAAUCAGGAAUGAGAAAUCUUUUUGUAAUUGAGGUCUGUUUAGUUCAGAAUCCUAUUGACACUUGGGUGUUGGAUUCAUGAGCAACUAAUCAUAUUUUUAAUUCACUUUAUUGGUUUUAGGAAACUAGGAAAAUAAGUGAAGGAAGCGUCAAGCUGCAGUUAGGGACAAGACAGUUCGUGACAGUAGUGAAGACUGUAUCUAUUUUAUUAUCUUUUAAUAAUGAGAAUUUAGUUUUGAAUAUUUGUCUUUAUGUUCCAGACAUUAAGUGGAAUUUAAUUUCAAUAGCUUGUUUGUCAAAACAAGGGUACACUGUAAAUUUUGGAUCCUUUGUUUUUAUUUUUUAUAAUAAGAGACUUAUUUGUUCUGGAACAUGGGAAGAUAAUUUAUAUCAUUUAAGUCCUAUGAUCCAUUCUAUGCAUGACACAGUGAUCAAUAAUGAUGAGCAUACACAUUUAUCUAAGAAAAGAAAUAUUUCUUCCAACUAAUGUUACCUCUGGCAUUUGCGCUUGGGUCAUAUAAAGCAAAAUAGGAUACAGAGAAUGAUCAAAGAUGGGCUCUUGGGUCUAUUGGAAAAUGAAUCAUUGCCACUUUGUGAAUCCUGUUUAGAAGGGAAAAUGACCAAAAGACCGUUCUCGGCCAAAGGAGUGCAUGCAAUAGUACCACUUGAAUUGGUACAUACAGAUGUAUGUGGACUAAUCAAUAUACAAGCUUGAGGAGGUUAUGAGUAUUUCAUCACUUUCAUUGAUGAUUACUCAAGAUACGGUUAUGUUUAUCUGAUGCGUCACAAGUCUAAAACUCUUGAGAAAUUCAAAGAGUAUAGGGCUGAGACAGAAAAGCAAUUAGGUAAGAACAUAAAGCAACUUCGAUCUGAUCGAGGUGGUGAAUUUCUUUCUGGAGAUUUCAAAGAGUAUCUGGUAAAAAAUGGGAUUAUAUCUUAGUUAACUGCCCCAAGAACACCACAACAAAAUGGGGUAGCAGAAAAGAGAAAUAAAACUCUUUUAGAUAUGGUGAGAUCUUUACUUAGUUAUUUGUCAUUACCAAUCUCUUUUUGGGGACUAGCACUGGAAACUGCAGUUUACCUCUUGAACUUAGUUCCAUCUAAGUCAGUGCCUAAAACUGCAAUAGAAUUAUGGUAAGGUCACAAACCAAGUUUACGACAUGUCCAUAUUUGGGGAUCACCAACACAUGUGCUGAAACCAAAAGCAGAAAAAAUGGAUUCACGUUUUGAGGUUUGUAUGUUUGUGGGGUAUCUCAAAGGAACAAUAAGAGGUUUAUUUUAUAGUCCUUAAUAUAGAAAAGUGAUUGUGAGCACACAUUUCACUUCCCUCGAGGAAGACUAUAUGAAUAACUUCAAACCUAAGAGUAAGGUAAUACUUGAAGUACUGUCAGGUGAUCAGGUCUUUCAACACCUGUUAUAGAACAAGAAGAAGAACAACAACUAGCUGAUCAACACAGGAUUAUCCCUAAACAACCAUCACUUUUAGAACCUCGUCGUAGUGGGAGGGUAAGUAGGUUACCUGCGAGAUACAUGUUAUUGGGAGAAACUUAUACGACUAUCUCAGAUGAACAUGUACAAGAUCCCACUGGCUACAACGAAGCUCUAAUAAACAGAGAUGUUGAAUUCUGGAAAAAGGCCAUAAAUCAAGAAAUGGAAUCUAUGUAUUCCAAUAAAGUCUGGGAACUUGUAGAGGCACCAAAUGAGGUAAAACCUAUAGGGUGCAAGUGGAUCUAUAAGAGAAAAAGGGGAGUAGACGGAAGGGUGGAAACAUUCAAAGUAAGAUUAGUAGCCAAAGGUUUUACUCAGAAAGAGGGAAUCGAUUAUGAGGAAACAUUUUCUCCGAUUGCUAUGCUUAAAUCCAUUAGGAUUCUACUCCCUAUUGCUGCAGUACUAGAUUAUGAAAUUUGGCAAAUGGAUGUUAAGAUUGCCUUUCUUAACGGGCAUCUUGAAGAAGACAUCUACAUGCAGCAACUAGAUGGAUUCAUACAAAAAGGCCAAGAACACAUGGUAUACAAGUUGCAGAGAUCUAUUUAUGGAUUGAAGCAAGCAUCCCGGUCAUGGAACGCCAGAUUUGAUCAAGCGAUUAAAUCGUUUGGAUUCAUUCAGAACAUUGAUGAACCAUGUGUGUACAAGAAAAUUCAGGAAAAAUCUGUAGCCUUCCUAAUUCUUUAUGUAGAGGAUAUUCUCCUAAUUGGAAACGAUAUAGGAGUAUUGACUACAAUAAAAAGUUGGUUAGCAAAAUAAUUUGAUAUGAAAGACCUGGUAGAGGCAAGUUAUAUUCUUGGUAUCAAGUUACUAUGAGACAGGAAGAUUAAAACUUUAGCCUUGUCUCAAGCGGUCUUUAUCGAUAAAAUAUUGGCUAGAUUUAGCAUGGAAAAUUCCAAGACUGGUUUAUUACCAUUCAGACAUGAAAUUACAUUCUCUAAGGAUCAAUCAGCUAAAACAUAUGAAGAGAUAGAGAAAAUGAGACGAGUUCCGUGUGCAGAAGUUGUGGGAAGUCUCAUGUAUGCCGUGCUUUGCACUAGACCAGACAUCUGUUUUGCGGUAGGGAUGGUUAGCAAAUAUCAAUGUAAUCCUAGACCUGAACACUUGACUGCGGUCAAGCAUAUAAUAAAGUAUCUGAAAAGAACUAAAAAUUAUAUGCUUGUGUAUUCUGGUGAUGAACUCAUUCCAGUGAGUUAUACAGAUUCUGACUUUCUGUUAGAUAAGGAUUUCAGAAAAUCAACUUCUGGCUAUGUGUUUACAUUAGGAAGUGGAGCUAUUAGUUGGAGGAGUGUGAAACAAUCUUGUAUCGCAGACUCCACAACUGAAGCUGAAUAUGUGGCUGCAUCUGAAGCUGUAUGGCUCCACAAGUUCCUAUAAGAUCUUGAGGUGGUACCUGCUGUAACUGCACCCCUUAAACUAUUUUAUGAUAAUAGUGGUGUGGUAGCUCAAUCUAAGGAACCACAAGAAACAAAAACAUAUUGAGAGGAAGUAUCAUCUCAUAAGGGAUAUAGUGCAGAGAGGUGAUGUGGAGGUUACUCAGAUUGCGUCACAGCAAAACUUGGCAGAUCCUUUUACUAAGGCCAUACCUGGGAAACCUUUUAACUUGCACUUAGAAUCCAUGAGCAUGCGUGAGAUGCCAAAUAUGCUUUGAGAGUUAGUGGGAGAUUGUUGGGAAAAUGUGCUCUUUAAAAGCAUAUGUGUUAAUUUAAUUGUAAUAAAUAAUUUUUCUAAUUAAUAAAAUAUAUGAGGUAUUUUAUUCAAGUAUUUUAAUUGCAUUGAUAUUUUGAGUAAAGUCCAUUCAAUCCUAUUAUAUGUAUUUAUGUGAUCACUAUGUGGAUUCACAAAAGACAUAAAUACAAGUUAUCUUAUGAUUAAAUAAAUUAUGUUCGCAGUUGAUAAAUAAAGUUGGGCACUUUAUUUAGGUAUAGACUGUAAUAAAUUCAUUGAAUGAUUUGUCUUAAUCAUGUAUGAAUUUAUUGAUGUAGUGCGACUACAUUGAAUAGGUUUGGGACUACAUUGAUGUAGUCAAGAUUACCAGGUAUCUUGGUGAGAGCAAUUAUGAGUAUUGGAGUUAUAGAUUAACAAUAUAGAAUUUGUACAACACAUCUCUUGAUGGGUUUUCGGUACUUGAUCAUAGAAUUCUCUGGCCAGAUUAUGUCGACAUAUUUAAUAUGUUGAAAAUGAUCAUUAGAGAAAACCAGUAAGUAUCAAGGAAUAAGAUGUAAUUAAAUUGAUUGGACAGUUGAGAUAUCGAUUUAAUUAAUGAUGUGGUACAAAUGAUUGAGCAGUCAAGAAAUCAUUGUGGUUUGGGACGAAUUAUUAUUCGAACAUACAAUUAUGGAGGUUAGUUCCAAUCUUAUAGUGGGGUAGAGUUGGAAUUAAAUGAUUAGGCUUAUUUAACUACAAGCUUAAUUGUUGUAGCCACUAUUGUAUGUUCCAAAAUGAUCCCCGGGUUAGCUCAUUUAAUUGACUGCACCACUACUGGAUUAAUAAGCAAGAUAACUAGCUAUUUGGGUCAAAAGGCUAAAUAUAUCAUUUAGUGGGAGGCUCCAUUUAAUAUGCUUGUGUGUAAGGGACCUUAUGUUAUUUUACAAGGUGGACCCCCUAUAGAAAAAGCAAGUACCGUGGCUUUUGGUUUUUAUUAUUUGGAGCUAAGGAUUUUCACUAAAUGGAAAUAUAAAAAGGCUUAUUUUCUCUAAAGAAAAGAGAUAGAGCCACAUUAUACAGACCAAGAGAAAAAUAAUUUCUCUCUAAUUUUGAGAAAAAAUUUCUCCUGCUAGUUGCUUUUAGUGGUGAUAAAGGUGCCCACACGUUAAGUGCAGAUCAAACUUGAGUUAUAGCCUGGAAGGUUAUUUGAUGGCGGAUCGUGAUCUAAAAGGAGUGGUGGUGACGGAUCGUGAUCUGGGAGCCUAAAUCACUUCAGCGGAAAAAGCAAAAAUUGUUCAUCUUCUCGGAUUGUCAAGGUAUGAUUUUCUAGAUUAUGAAUUCCUAUAUAUUUUAUGAGAUUGGUCCUAAAAGUUUUUUAAAAAAAAUUUAAAAAACUGAUUUUUCCCCAACAUCAACCCCACAAAACUGCUUAUUGAUUGUCCUCAUUUUGAACUUACUAUAGGAUUCACCCUCCUUGUUUUACAACUUACUUUAUACCCUUACGUUGAGAGGAAGAUCAGGCCAAUAAUCAUAACACGCAUUGCAGGGGUAAAAUUUCGAACACACCAUGUGGCAUUUAGACCAUUUGAUAGUUUGUUUCAUACAUAUUUGUUUAUAAAAUACUUUUCUUCAUGGAUUUGGUGACGUAAUUUUCUAUGUAUGUACAGGUUUUAUCGAUACGUCUUUUGACAAGUUACACUUACAUAGCAAUGUUAUCUGUGUUCAGCCUUGCCUUAUUGAUACCUUAUUGAUAAACUGUGCUUCUGUGAUGAAGAAUGUUUUCUCUGUCAGUGGAUAUCCUAAUCAUUGAUCCAUAUACUUAGGUUAUAUUACCCAUUAGGAAGUAUGUAUAAAAAUUAUUUUAUAUCUUCUUUAUUAGAAAUGUUGUAAUUCUUUAUUACUUUUCCUGAAUUAUAACAUCAGAUGUCUAUAAUAACUGGAUUAUUCCUUCUGCAAAACAGAGCAGUGGUAAAUAUUUUUUUUCUUUUGUUUGUUUAGCACAUUUCCAUGAUUUCAGCUUUUUCAAAUUUUGUAUGUGUCAAAGUUUAAAUUUAAUUUGUUGGUUUAUCGUACAAUAACAGGAACAGCAUCAAAGAGGAGCUGCCAAUGGACUUGCUAUGACUGUAGUGUCGCUUACCAAAACUGCCGGUCCAGCUGUAGGAGGUGCUCUGUGAGUGUCCUAUUGAUUUUGUAAAAUUAUAUGUAAAUAAUGUUAUAAUUGUUUUUUCAUUAAUUGGGGUUCUGGCAGAUUUUCUUGGUCACAAAAGCGUCAAGAUGCUGGUUUCCUCCCAGGUAUGAUGAUUUACUGAUGAAAUUUCUGACGAGUUUGUGAAUUACUUUGUCCUAAUUAGCUUAGUUAGCUGCUUAAACUAAAGUGCAGGUAACCAGAUGAUUUUUUUCAUUCUGAAUUUGGUCGAGGCACUAGGAGUAAUAUUGACAUUCAAACCAUUUCUAACUCAACGUGUCCCGUGAGUAGAGAAAAGAUGCAUCUGUUGAAAUAUUCAAAUAUAUGUCAAGCAAAUUAAAGCUUUCAAAAUCUAUCAACAAUUUGAUUAUUUGAUGUGGUUUUCCACUUGCCGUAUUUUGUUUUGCUGUUCUAAAGGCUUAAAUAUGAAAAUGGUGGUUGGCGCUCACACCAAUCGAUUGCUGUUAACAUUGUUCAGUACUUUUCUCUGUCGACAUUUAUACUUGUUCAUUGUCAGAACUACGACAAUUUAUCUUUACAAUGAUGCAAGCUAGAAAGAAUUUUUCAUGUUAAGUAAAAUAUUGAAGCCACAAAGAGUCUGAAUUAAGUACUAAGUUUUCUGCCAUGCUUUCAACGGCAGCACAUUUGUAGCUCUUAUUCCAGGGGCUCCACAGUAGAGAGACCUGAUUUCGACCUUCUUCAGAACUUGGGGAUUCCGUAAUAACAGAGGACAACAGUUAUAUAAGAAUAUUAUUUUGUACAAUUUUCGUAUAACCUGACCAAUGCAAGUAUAAUUUUAUGAUCUUAACUCAUAUCAAAAGACCUUCAAUGAUGUAAAAUUUGCACAUAAAGAUGAGAACCAAACAUUAGAACUUAUGAUGAAACGGAAACAAAAACAUUGAGAUUGAAAAGAUAGAGAAACACAAGCUUUUUAAAAGGAAUAAAUGUUCAUUUAGUCUCUAUAUUUUGACUUAAGAGCGCAUUUAGUUCUUAUAUUUUAAAAAGUGCCUCAACCUCGAGUAGGGCUGGCAAAAAUCCCCACGGCGACGGGUACCCUUGGGGAUUUUCCCUAUUCGGGGAGGGUAUGGGGAUAAUUUCAUACCCAAUUUCUUAUUCAGGGAAGGAACGGGGAAAUUUUUUUACCCAAUUUCUUAUUUGGGGAGGGGACGGGGAUGAGGUGGAAUCCCCAUCCCCUACCCAUUUCCCCAUUUUAAUUUUUUAUUUUAUUUUUAUUUUUUAAAAUUACUAGUAAAUAAAUUAUAAAAUUUGAAUUAUAAAAUUAUAAAUAUUGGUAAAAAUAACAAAUAUCAAAAUAUUUAUAUUAUUAAACUUUUAGGCCUAAUUAACAAAUUAAAGUCCUAAAUUUUUAUUUAGGACAUUAAAAAGACCGGAUAUAUUCUAUUAGCCCAAAAAUUUUGUUUUAAUUUUAAUAUUCAUUAAAUAUUUUAAACUUAAAUCUAUUUAUUUAUUUAUUUUUAGAUGUUAUAAUUGCCCACAGCAAAUCACAAUUUUAAUAUCUAAUCUAAUCUAAUAUUUGCUCUUGAUUUGCUCGGACUUAACUAUUGUGCUGUAAAGGGAAUAGUCCACAUUUAUAAAGUGCCCACGCCACCAUUGAAAAAGUUAAUUUUGAAUCUAAAUUCGAUUUUAUCUGUAACAAUUUUGUAUUAGACUAUUAAUUUAUUCAUGAUAGUUUGUAUCCCUUGCAUGCUGCGUUACUUACUAAUUUAAUGUAUGUGACUUUUGUAAUAGAUAUUAAUGUAAGAUAUAUUUCGAACUUUACUUUUAUUUGAAUUUUUUUUAUUUUAAUAUGAUUAACUCAAAAUCGAAAAUAAAAAAAUGUAUUAGUUAUUCGGGGAUCGGGGAUCCUCUGUUAUUAUUCGGGGAGGGGAUGAGGAUUCUCUCAAGUAAUUCUGACGGGGACGGAGAGGGGAUGAGGACAUACGCAAAAUAUCGGGGAUGGGUACGGGGAGAUUGGUCCCCUCCCCUCCCCUCCCCUCCCCAUUGCCAUCCCUAACCUCAAGACACCCCUACUGUGUUGGAAUAAUAUUUUUGGGAAUAUCAAUGAAAAGAAAAAAAUGGUAAUUCAUCUAGCCAGCCUUAAACAAAAUAAAUAUUAAUAAAAACUUUUAUGUUAUUAUUUUAGUUUUAGGACUAAUUUCGUAAAUUAAAUUUUUUAUGCAUUUAUUAGUAAGAUUGCUUUAAGAAUAUUAAACAUUACUUUAAGAUGGCUGUUAUUAAUUUAUUUAUAAAGAAUUAUUAGCAAGAUUGUUGUAAAAGUACAAAAAAUACUGGUUAUUUCAUAUUGAUAUUUAUUGAUUAAUUUUCCAAUUAACUUUUUUAUAAAUAAAUAAAUUAAUUUAAGAAUAUUAUUGCCAAGAUAUUAUUGUAAAAGUAAAUAAAAUUUAAGGAAAAAUGUAACGUAUUUAAUAUCAAGGUAUAUUGAGGUAUUUUUUAAAAUAUAAAAACUAAACGAGCAUUGAAGUUAAAAUAUAGGUACCAGACGAGCAUUUUCUCUUUUAGAAAGUUUUAUAUUUUAUUAAUGAAAGUCUGAAUAACAAAAUUAAGGUUUUGGACUUCUUUUAAACUAAACUUAAAUAUCACAAAUUUACCAAAAUAAGUAAACCUAACAUAUUACUACAUAAUAACAUUCUCCUAACUGAAAUAAGAUAAAUGUUACUCAAAUUCUAUAUCUAGAAAAAAAAAGAUAAAAAUCCUGAAAACAAUAGGAAAAUAGAUCUUAAACUUGUAAAAUAAUAUGAAAUAAAUAUAAUUUUCAAUCGAACCACGAGACUAAUGCGGUGCUACAGUAUUAGAUUAGAUUCCCCUCGUCGCGAACUUCGAAAUGUAUAUUAUACACCCUAAAUAGAUACUUAUAGCUCAAGUUGUUACCCUAGAGAGAUACUCCACUCAUCCUACGCAACCAUCCGCUGCAUCAAAUUCGUUCCAAAAUUAAGAAUAAACCAGCUGAUGCAUUCCAAAUAAUUUAGAUGAAACGAUAAAAUAAACCUAGAGAUCAAAUAACAUGAAAUGAAAAAGAUAAUUACCUUGGACUGAAGCUCAUACAAAUUCAUUAUUUGACACCUGCAGCAAUUGUUGAAAUAAUAGUUAAUGAAAUAUAAAAUAAGACAAGUACAUAUUAAUGAAACACCACUGUGAAUCGAUAGCUAAGGACGGAGUAAAAUUUAAUUGUAAAUUAGGACAGUAGAGCAAGCAUCCAUAAACAUAACAUGAACGUAAUACAUCAAUUGAAAUAUCAUAGGAUAAAUUAGGACGUCAGAGAAAGAAAUAAGUAAAUAAAUCAGCAAAGGAAACAUGCAUAAACAAAUAAAAAAACAAAGACAAAAUAAGGAAGAGUUUGUGAUAAUUUUCUUCUAUGGUCAUUGAAGUCCAAAAACUAAUAAGGAUCGAGCAAUUGAACGGUUGCAAACUCAAUGGAACCUUAAAAAUGAACAGUGAAGGAAAAUGAAGAAAUCUGCAGGAAAUAAGGCGAUUGAGAGUGAAGAAUUAAUUACCACUGAGUAAAUGCGAAUGAAGAAUGGAGACAGAUCCUUCUUCGCCCCAUUGAAAAGUGAGAUUCAUAGAUUGUAUUGAAAUUGAGAGUUGAGAUCAAGAAGCGAUUCUUCUUCUCCGUAAUUUCCUUUUUCUUUUAAUGUUGUUAUUAUUAUUAUAUCUUUUUUGAUAUCUUUUUUGUUUUAAACGGUAUUGGCAUAUUCUAUUUAUUUAUGUUAAUUUUACAAUACCUCCCUUCAGAUUGCACAAAUUACAUAAAAAAAAAAAAAAGUGCUUUAUGUAUAAAACUUUCAAACAAAUUGGGCCAAAAUCUAACUUUACCAAGUUUAGAGUAAUUUUGGGCUCGACAUUCCAUUUCCGACAAACGAAUUUUCUUUAUCACCAAGGUAUGAUACUUUUCAUAUUUAUCCAACGGCUCGUCAAUGACAAUACCUUUGUAAAAAGUACUUAUUUUGAAUAGUAUAUUGUGGAAAUGUCUGGUCGGUAAUACAACUAUUUCUUAUAGUGUAAAAAUGAUACACUAAGCGUUCACAUUUUGAUGAGUAAAUUAAGGAUUUCAAGAUGAAGUACAUAAUUAGAUUAAUGCUAAGAAACUGAAGUUUGAUCGAUUGAAAAUGAAAAUAAUAAUGAAGGUAAUUAAGAAAAUGAACAAUAUAUGCAGAAGCGGUCCUUAUUAGGACUUCUAGAUUUUCUCUUGGGCUUUCCUUAUUAUUGUUAAAAAAUGAAACGAAGAACUUUGAGUUUAAAAAUCUGGCCCUGAUGCCUGGUAGCCCUCCAACAUAUGAAGCACCAGAUGUUUUGAUGAGAAAAUGACAAGACCAUUUAUCAAAUUUCUUGUGGAUAUAAAUACAUACACAUAGACGAGACCAACCUCCUCAAAUGAGAAUCAGAGUGAUUAAAAGACCUUGCAAUGAGACAAUGAUACACCAUCAAAUGUCAAAAUACAAUAGAAAUUCACGACAUAUAUAUAAUAAAAGACCUCUCAUUGAGUCAUAUAUAUUGAGAAAAAAAAAUGUUAUAAUACAUACACAGAGCUUAGUUAGAAUAAAAUGUCUUUGAACUUGCGAUGAUCAAACAAAGGAAACAGACAGGUUGUAACUCACACUAUCACAAGAAGAUCACGAAGAUGGAAAUGGGAACCCAUCAGAAUGGAAACUUUGAAUAGAGGAAAAAAGAAAAACGACCUUAUUCACAGAAGAAGAGUGACUUAAAUCUUCAUCAGUAUCCAGACAUUUUGCAAUCAUAGAGUAGAGAAAUUUUAACAGGAACAGCAGAGAAAAUAUUAUGAAUAUGCUAUAGACCAAUAUACUUGUUCAUAGCUGACGUUUGAUGGUUUAAGGAUUUGUUCUAGGAAUAAUGGGCUGAUUACUUUCUUUUUAUUUUUUUAUUUUUUAAUCCAAUGAAUGAUAUUCAGCUGUUAAUUAUGUGUUCAUAGGGAAGAACAUUUUCUAAGUACUUUCCUUGCCUUCUAACUUUCCGAAAAGCAAACCCAAUGAACAAACAGAGGACAAACUAAAAUAAAAGAACAGCAAUGAUGACAAUAAAUAAUUGGCAAAGAAAAAAAAGGAAAAAGUAUGCACGUUUUCAAGGAAUUAUAAAAUAUGAAGGCUUUUAAUGAAACUUAAUCAUAAAAAGUAUGCAAGGAAUUAUAAAAUUUUAGAAAACAAGGGGAGCUCUCAAAAAAAAAUGAAAAACUCAAAUUAAACUAGACUAAAAGACAUUCAAUUUUGCAAAAUCUGUCCAUAAAAGUCUGAAAGGAUCAUUAAAAUUGCAUUGCAAAUUUAACAGUAAACCGAGGGACCCAUUCUAAAUAAUUCAGAUGAAAUUGCGAAACAAGACAUGGGAUUAAAUAAAUGAAAUAAAAAUUAAUUACCAGUUGAGACUUUCUUCUAAAAAUUCGCAACUCCAAGUCAUAAGAAGCCUAUGAAAUUAGUCGUACUGCGUAGAGUAUGACGAUGACACCGCCAACAGUUGAAAGUAAAAUUCUUAUUCAUCAAUUUAAACUUACUUUAUAACAAAUAUCUUAUCUAUAUUGUAUUUAAGAAAUCAAAUUUUGUAAAAAUUUAUCAUGGGAGAUAGAGAGUAAUAUGUAUAUACGUACCUUCUCAGCAUGUAAUUGUUGUAUGGUUGUGUUUAGAUCAUUAUUAGCCCAGCGCCGUUGAUCCGCUGUCUCUCCAUAGCAGACGUUUACUCUUAGAGGCGUGAUUGAUUCUCCUGUAGUGAAAAUCUUCAUCUUGGGACAACCAAUCACCCACAAAUUUUGCAAAGAUGGCAAUUUGACGGUGUAAUUGGCAGAGCAGAAACAAUCUCUUCUUUUUCAACUCCAUCUUUGUCAUUUAUUACCACCUCUGUCAUUGCUCUGCAUCCAUAUAUUUCUAUUGCUACGAGUCGCACCAGAGUUUUUGCUGUGGAGGAUGUUACCAUGUGUAACAAUUUCUUGCAACCGAAAGCCACCACAGCUGUUAGGUUCUGAAAAGAUACCGAUGAUGAUGGCAAUAGAAUUAACAGACUUUGACAAUGAUAUGCUUUUAGAAUUUCAAGAUACUGAAAAAUGGGGCCAAGUUUGGAGUCUUGUUUGCACAGCUGCUUCAGAUGAUAGUGCCAGCGCAGCUCUAAUGUUUUUAUCAUUGCCAACUUUCCCGCAUGUUUCUCUAAGCUUCCUUCCUCCGAAAAUACCUCUUCGUGGAAUGAAAAUUGAAACAGUGAGAGCAUUUCAAGAUUGUGAAAUCUCUCAAGUACAUUCCAGAUUGGAAAACAAGCUGAGUUAUCUUCGGCAAUCUCUAGUUGUUUAAGACUGCCAAAAAGGUGUUGUGGGAAAUCGGCCUGCAAAAUCAUCUUCACGUCUUUUCCAUUCAAUGAUAGGUCCUUCAAGUUGGGUAAGAUCUGAUCAUCAUAAAUCAUAAUAACUAAUGAGGUCAAUUGAUGUUCUCUCAAAUGAUUUUGAGUAAUCCAAUCACAAGCAGUGACUUUAUAGUAUCUGUUUUAUAUUAAUUUUACCCCCCAAAAAAAAUUGAAUUAGUGAUAAAAUUCAUUAUAUGAUUUUUUUAUAUGUUAAUUUUAGAGGUAAAAAAGAAAUUAGGGAAAAAGAGUUGAUUUAUAUUUGCAUGAAAAUAUUUUAUUUCACAACAAUAAAUUAUUAAUUUAUUUUGUAAGUCGUUGUAUAAAGAAAAACUAAGGAUUCUUUACCUAAAAAAGUCCAUAUAAUUAUUAAUCUCCCACAUUGAUCCCUUAGUCAUGACUAGCAAAGAUUUUUAUGUAAUAAAAAUUUUCAAUUUAUUAAGUAUCAAUUUAUAAAUGUUUUGUUACAUUUUUCAAAGUCAAAAAUCGUCAAUGAGCUAUUGAAAAAAAUAUCUAGAAUAUGACUUCAUACCUUUUCCAACGGCAAUAAGGGCUGUUGUGCAGGAAUAUCAAGUUGAUUAUUCUCUUUAUUCUGCGAUAAAUCUGCAGCGAAUAUCUUUAAUUUGUCACAACGACACACUGCAAAAUUUUCUAGUGCUGGCCAUUCCGAAGUAUGCAUUCCUGGGUAUAAACAUCUAAGUUUUGGUAGACCUUGGAGAAUCAGAACGGUGAGCUGUGGAAAGACAAAAUAAGGGAUCACUUCAUCUGCUCUGUUUUCAGAAACGAUCUCCUGUAAAUCCUCACAGAAGCGUAUAUCUAAGUGCUGGAGCUGCUUGAGGUUUCCGAUCAUAGACGCUGAAAAUAUGAUUUAAUUAUUUUCCACGUAUGACAUCAAAAGAGAACGCAUGAUAGAAUAAAAUCUGUUAUAUAUAUAUAUAUAUAUAUGAAGAAAAUGUUAGCCUACUGUUGCGGACAGCCCAAUUCGCUAGCCCAAUUGCCCACAAUUUCGGGCUAGAGAGCCAACACAAGGCCAAGAGUGCUAGCUUGGCCCAAUUCCGGAAGGUUCUAGGCAACUCUAGCACAUGUGAACAUGUAAAUAUUCUAGAAUACUUUAUACAAUUCCAGCACAUGUAGAAUUCUCCAUAGAAUUCCAGCACAUGUAAAUAGCUAGGAAAUGGUAGAAUUCUCUAGAAUCUCUAGAGCUUGGCAAGCCUCCCCUAUAAAUAUGGGAUGACAUUAGGCAUUUGUAUCCAACAAGCAUUGUAAGCAACUCAAGCAUUGUAUUAUCUCUUUGUGCAAUACAAGUUUUCUUCUAUUGGCUCAAUUGCUCUCUCUCUCUUCUCUAGUUCGAGAAGCUCUAGGCUUACUUAGCAACAUUCGGCAAAGUUGUCUAAGUGCCGCACGGGUUAGCUGCGCAAAACACUCAUCCCGUGACAAGUGGUAUCAGAGUUAAGGUUUGCACGCACGCAAAUUAGCUCACGAGCAAUGGCCAACCCUUCGAAUCCAGCACAAGAGGGUGUUGUUGGUGUGGAUGUUCCACCGGAACCAAGCCGCGGCCGAGAGGGAGAACGCGCCCAAGGCAAGACUCGCGGCAAGUCCAAGGUCCCAUCCGUGGAUGCGUUGGAGCCUUGUGUGACUACUCUCGAAAUCGCAUUGUCCGCCGCUCAAGAUAGCCUCGAAGGAUUGGAGGAAAGAGUGGAUGGUCUCGAGGGGGAAUACGUCGAGUUCACGGUGGCCACAAAAGCUCUCAUCCAAGAGCAAGCGAACACUCUCAGAGGUGAGUUUCGUUCUUUCCAUGAUGAGUUGCUAAAACUUCGUAGUUUUGUUCAGGACGAACUACGCAAUGUCCGUGCGGAAGUGGAUGAAGUCCGCUCGGAUUGGGCAUGGCACAAGCGCACACUCUCCUCAAGUCCAGCUUCCGCAAACUCGAGUGAUGCGCGCUGCAUUGACGUGCCAAAGCCCGACACUUACGAUGGCACACGCAACGCCACAAUCGUGGACAAUUUUCUCUUUGGGCUUGAUCAAUACUUCGAUGCCAUGGGUGUCCGAGACGAGGCAUCGAAAGUGGGCACUGCACCCACCUAUCUUAGAGGCACUGCACAACUAUGGUGGCGUCACAAGCAUGGCGAGAUGGGCAAGGGCAUUUGCACCAUCGACACUUGGGCCGACUUCAAGCAAGAACUCCGAAAGCAGUUCGCCCCAAGCAAUGCGGAGAAGGAAGCGCGAGCGCGCUUACGUCGCCUCAAGCAAUCGAGUAGCAUUCAGGACUACAUCAACGAGUUCACUACCCUUAUGUUGGAGAUAAGCGACAUGUCCGACAAGGAUUCACUCUUCUACUUCCAAGAUGGCCUCAAGGAUUGGGCCAAGACCGAGCUUGAUAGGCGUGGUGUUCAAACACUUGACGACGCCAUUGCCGUUGCGGAGUCACUCACCGAGUACUCUACCCAAUCCAAGGACAAAAAGGCCAACCAAGGCAAAGGUGGGGGAGAGAGUCGCAAGGACAAGGGCAACAACCGCAAAGAUUGGGGGCAGAAAAAGCCGCCUAGCAACAAGAGCGGGCAAGGAAAAUCGGAGGGCAAGAAGGAAGUGCCAAAGCCGCGAAGCCCAUGCUUCAUAUGCAAUGGUCCUCAUUGGGUACGCGACUGUCCGGAGAAAAGGUCACUCAACGCUCUUGCUGCCCAACUCAAGAGCAACCCCACAAUGUCCGCGGAGGAACCCCAACUCAGCAUGGGUUCUCUCCAACGCCUCGGCGCACUCAAUCGCCAACAGCCCGCACUCGUCAAGAAAGGGCUCAUGUAUGUAAGCGCAAAGGUAAACGGUCAAUCCGUUCACGCGCUGCUAGACACGGGAGCGACGCACAACUUCGUGUCCAUAGACGAGGCCAAGCGCUUAGGCCUCAAGGCCACCAAGGAAGGAGGCACAAUGAAAGCGGUAAACUCACCCGCCAAGCCAAUUGCGGGGAUCGCACAAGGCGUGCACAUCACACUCGGUACGUGGAGCGGAAAGCUUGACUUCUCUAUUGUGCCCAUGGAGACUUCAAGAUGGUCCUCGGCAUGGAAUUCUUCGACCAAGUCCAUGCCUUCCCGCUGCCCGCUACAAACUCCCUAAGUAUCCUCGAUGGGAGCAAAGCAUGCAUGGUACCCACAGAGCGAGGCAAGUCCGAGGAGAAGACACUCUCCGCCAUGCAAUUCAAAAGGGCUUUCAAGAAGGACCCAAGCUUCUUGGUCUCCAUUCGGGAACUAAACGAGGAAGGAAAUAGCGGAACUUCGCCAAGCCAAGUCCCUCCGCGAGUUCAAGCCGUCCUCAAUGAGUACAAGGAUGUGAUGCCUCCAGAACUUCCGAAGAAGCUCCCACCUUGACGAGAGGUAGACCAUGCGAUCGAGCUGGAAUAAGGCGCGAAGCCACCAGCCUUGGAGCCCUAUCGCAUGGCGACCCCCGAAUUAGAGGAGUUGCGGAGACAACUCAAAGACUUGCUGGACGCAGGCUACAUUCGCCCCUCAAAGGCCCCAUUCGGUGCACCGGUCCUCUUCCAAAAGAAAAAGGAUGGAUCGCUACGGAUGUGCAUCGACUAUAGAGCACUCAACAAGAUCACCAUCAAGAACAAGUAUCUGAUUCCCUUGAUCGCGGACUUGUUCGACCAGCUUGGCAAAGCACGGUACUUCACCAAACUUGACUUGCGCUCCGGGUACUACCAAGUGCGCAUUGCCAAGGGAGACGAACCGAAGACAACAUGCACAACAAGGUAUGGGUCUUUCGAAUUCCUUGUAAUGCCUUUUGGCCUUACUAAUGCACCCACCACAUUUUGCACGCUCAUGAACAAGGUACUCCAACCAUUCCUCGAGCGCUUCGUGGUCGUGUACUUGGAUGACAUAGUGGUGUAUAGCACCACGCUCGAGGAUCAUGCCCAACACUUGCGACAAGUCCUCCAAGUACUUCGAGACAAUGAGCUCUUCCUCAAACUAGAGAAGUGCUCGUUUGCCCAACAAGAGGUGGAGUUCCUUGGCCACAAGAUUGCGGGCGGGAAGAUCAUGAUGGAGAAUGCUAAAGUAAAGGCCAUCCUCGAUUGGGAGCCUCCCUCGAAAGUGCCCGAGCUUCGCUCAUUCCUUGGGCUGGUGAACUACUACCGCCGCUUCAUUAAGGGCUAUUAAGCUAAGGCGGCACCCUUGACGGAUAUGCUCAAGAAAAACAGAACGUGGCAUUGGUCCGAAGAGUGCCAACGCGCAUUCGAGGAGUUGAAAAAGGCAAUUUCGGAGGAACCAGUCCUCGCCCUUCCGGACCACACAAAGCCCUUCGAAGUGCAAACGGAUGCCUCGGAUUUCACCAUAGGAGGAGUCCUCAUGCAAGAAGGCCACCCUAUAGCGUUCGAGAGUCGAAACCUAAAUGAUACCGAACGCCGUUACACGAUGCAAGAAAAGGAGAUGACCGCAAUCAUACAUUGCUUACGGGUGUGGCGACAUUACUUGCUUGGCUCGCACUUCACAAUCAUGACGGACAACGUGGCGACAAGCUACUUUCAAACUCAGAAGAAGUUGAGUCCGAAGCAAGCGCGGUGGCAAGAUUUCCUUGCGAAAUUUGAUUAUCGGCUCGAGUACAAACCGGGUAAAGCCAAUGUCGUUGCGGACGCUCUAAGCCGCAAGGCAGAAUUAGCAACACUUAGCAUGAGCCAACUGAAGUCCGACCUUGUCUCACGCAUCAAGGAAGGCCUCCAACAAGAUCAGCUAGCAAAGGAUUUGCUGGAGAAGGUGCUCGAGGGAAAGACAAGGCGAUUUUGGCAAGAAGAAGGCAUCCUCCUCACCAAGGGAGAUCGGCUGUUCGUGCCAAGGUGGGGAAACUUGCGGAAGGAAGUAAUCAAGGAAUGCCACGACUCCAAGUGGGCUGGUCACCCAGGAAUCGAGCGCACCAUCGCACUAGUCCAAGCCUCGUAUUUUUGGCCGCACAUGAGGGACGACAUCGAGGCAUAUGGAUCAUCAACUUCCAGCGGGAUUAUUGGAGCCGCUACCACUAGCAACAAGGCCAUGGGAAAGUGUCUCCAUGGACUUCAUCACAUCGCUGCCUAAGUCCAAAGGUUGCGGAAGCAUCAUGGUCGUUGUCGACCGAUACAGCAAGUACGCCACAUUCAUUGCCGCACCAGUUGAUUGCAAAGCGGACGAGACAACCCGCUUAUUUGUCAAGCACAUUAUGAAGCUUUGGGGAGUUCCGAAGAGCAUUGUGACUGACCGAGACCCUCGGUUCACUGGACGCUUUUGGACGAAGCUCUUCAAGAUGUUGGGGACCGAUCUUAAGUUCUCAAUAAGCUUCCACCCACAAACGGAUGGGCAGACCGAGCGCAUUAAUGGCCUCCUCGAGAUGUACUUGAGGCAUUAUGUGAGCGCUCACCAGCGGGAUUGGGCGAAGCUACUCGACGUCGCCCAAUUUUCUUAUAACUUGCAGCGAAGUGAGGCUACAGGCAAGAGUCCAUUCGAGAUCAUCAUGGGAUUCCAGCCCAUGACCCCCAAUGCCAUAGCCUCGACUUACGGAGGGAAAAGCCCUGCGGCACACAAGCUCGCCCGCGAAUGGCAUGAGGAAGCGGACAUCACGCGAGCCUAUCUCGACAAAGCCGCGAGGAAAAUGAAGAAAUGGGUGGAUACAAGGAGACGGCAUGUUGAGUACAAGGAAGGUGAUCAAGUCAUGAUUAAGCUCCUACCCCAACAAUUCAAGACUUUGCGGAAAGUUCACAAGGGGUUAGUGAGGUGCUACGAGGGACCCUUCCGAGUUGUUCGACGUGUGGGAAACGUCUCGUAUCAACUCCAACUUCCGCCAAGACUCAAGAUCCAUCCGGUCUUCCAUGUGAGCCUUCUCAAGCCAUAUCACGAAGACAUGGGAGAACCAAGUAGCGGAGAAUCGAGGCGCGUGCCAACUGCCGUUGUCACUGCGUUCGACAAAGAUGUGGACUACAUCAUUGCGGACCGCACGGUUUCGAGGAGGGGCGUGCCAGCACAUAGCGAGUACUUGGUGAAGUGGAAAAACCUCCCCGAGAGCGAAGCCACUUGGGAACGUGAAGAUGAUUUGUGGCAAUUCGCUGAGCACAUCCAGAAUUUCAAGCACGAGAGCGCGACGAGGACGCCGCGAGCUUAGGUGGGGGAGGAUGUUGCGGACAGCCCAAUUCGCUAGCCCAAUUGCCCACAAUUUCGGGCUAGAGAGCCAACACAAGGCCAAGAGUGCUAGCUUGGCCCAAUUCCGGAAGGUUCUAGGCAACUCUAGCACAUGUGAACAUGUAAAUAUUCUAGAAUACUUUAUACAAUUCCAGCACAUGUAGAAUUCUCCAUAGAAUUCCAACACAUGUAAAUAGCUAGGAAAUGGUAGAAUUCUCUAGAAUCUCUAGAGCUUGGCAAGCCUCCCCUAUAAAUAUGGGAUGGCAUUAGGCAUUUGUAUCCAACAAGUAUUGUAAGCAACUCAAGCAUUGUAUUCUCUCUUUGUGCAAUACAAGUUUUCUUCUAUUGGCUCAAUUGCUCUCUCUCUCUUCUCUAGUUCGAGAAGCUCUAGGCUUACUUAGCAACAUUCGGCAAAGUUGUCUAAGUGCCGCACGGGUUAGCUGCGCAAAACACUUAUCCCGUGACACUACACACCUUCUCGUUGAAAAGCAGAGUUGAAGUAUCCUCUUGCGAUGAUGGUCUGUUUGGUGAUGCUAAAGGAGUCUUUACUUCACGGCAGAGAUUUAUGAUAUUUUACAAUCAUGUAUUUAGAUUUACUUUAAUUUUAUGUUUAAAGCUUCUACAAUGAAUAGCGUAGCUUGGGCUUUAGUUUCAUUUUCUAAUUAACUUGUUUUAGUUUAUCUUAUAUGCUCGCCAAGUGCUUGUUAUAUUGUCUGAUAAGUUAUAUAACAUUGCUGAUUCUAUAUUAGUAAUGUCAUGUUCCAUUUUCGGAAAUUAUAACACAAAAGUUUUUACAAUGGCUUGCAUCUACAAACUGAAUUGACUUGUAGAGUAAGAGCUUGGAUUAGUGUUAUGUUCUUGAAUAAAUGAAAGUUCAUAUUGUGUAAGAGCAUGUAGAUAUAAAGCAUCACUACCAUUUCUACAAACUGCUUUCAUUCUGUUCAGAUGCUCCUCUUGAACUUUGAAAGGUGCCUCAUUCAAGUCCUAGCUAUAACUACUAGCUCUGAUUGCUUAAGUUCCUGUGCUAGCUGAAACAGAUUUAUUUAAUUAAUUAAUUGUGUAUGUACUAAUUAUAUUGAAAGUAUAUGAAGAAAUUGUUUAACAUGAAUGACUUCUAAAUGACUUAAAAGCCUAAAGGAUAUGUGAAAUAAUGCUCAUUUCACUUGAACGAGCCUAUUAAUACUUGUAUGUCUAUGAUUGUCAAUCUUGCUUAAGUGUUUCAGUUAAGUGGUUUACCUAACAGGGAAAAAAAUUUAAUGGAAAACUUUAGAGUUCUAACAGAAAUAUAGUUGACUGCAGAUAUAGUUAUUUUACGGUACAUAAAUCAUGUUGUCCUAUUCUCAAUGUCCUACGACCUAUUUUAUUUUAUAUGGUCAUUCAUUUUUGCGAUGGUUUUUUGUGCUUAUGAGUAUGGAAAUAGUGGGAUUUAGAGUGGCAAACAAAAAUAUACAUAUAAUCAAGUUUCUUAAUCAUAUAUAUUGGUUUUGGGUAUGAAUGUUUUCCUAUUCUAGUUCUAAGCAAAGUUUCUUCAUUUUGGUCUUCAGAUUUCCAGUAGGUUAAGUUAAGCAACUAUCAUAACUAGCUAGCUAGUUAUUGCCUGCCUUGUCGCCAUUACCGACGCCAUUACAUUGCAUGGCAUAAGGAAUAGUAACUAGGUGAUUAUUGGUGAUUCGUUGAGUUUAUUAUUGGCCAAACAAACAUAUUGGCCUUUACCCACAACUUAGUUUGAUUAGUUAUUAGAUAAUAAAGAGCCUUAAUCUAUGCAUUGCUUUAUUAUUUUUAUUUGGUUUUUCUUUCAACAAUAUUGUUGAUUUCUUAUAAACAGUACUAGUAGUGAAAAAAUGAUGACAACAACAAAAAUAGAAAAUUACAAGACUGCUGAUAAAAUUUCAUUUGCAUGCAUGUCUGACAAAAUUUCCGUGAUUUAAUGUGCUUUCAUGAACGCAAGUCCUAACGUUUCUGUGAUCACAAAAUGAAACUGAAGAUAAAACAGAACAACUACCAAACCUUUCAAGCUUGACGAAGCCAUGAGAAUUGAUAGCUCAGGCUCUGAUACCAAGUAAAAGUUUCUAAUCUGUUUGGUAAGUAAGAAAAUGAGAGAAAAUGAAAGAAAGAACAUAGAUCAUCUAAGAGCUGGAUUUGAUAAGUAAAUAUGAAUCAUCCAUUCAUUAGCUGAUUGCAAAUGUAUUUAUACAAGUGAUGGUUGUCGAAGCCAACAAAAAUAAAUUCCUACUAUAAAUAAAUUGUGUAUAGUGAUUGAGCAGGGUCGUGUCCACAGAGAUCGGUAAUUAUUUAAAUCCUUUUGAAACGUAAAACGUAAAAUGGGGGAAUUGUUGACAAUAAUAAAAAUCAAAUUAAAAUAACAAGAAUACAAAUUAAAGUUGUAAUUCAAAUUGGAGAAAGCUCUGGUUGAAGGAAUUAACUCAGCUUGAUUCGACUACUGAUCAUUGAUUCAAAUAUAGAUUAUUAUUACUUAUGAAUAGACCGGUUAUAGCUACUGAGACCCUCUAAUAGCCAAUCUCUCCUUAACUAGUCGAUAACCAAGGUAUGACCGUUGGUUAUUUCCCUAAUCAAUAGACAACCCUAGAUACGAUCAUAGGAUUUAAUCAAUUGACAACCUGAAAGACCAGAGAGACCCAAAUCCUAAUCAACACAUACGAUGAUUCAUUUAAAUUAGAUUGUUUAUUCUCAUAACACAACUCACUGCUAUGUUAUUCGUCACAAACAUUAAAAGCUUCAUACGAUGAAUCCUUUAAUUAACAAUAGAUUAAGUUGAUAAUUAAAUAGUGGCCAAUUACCUAAUUAACAAACAUAAUCAUGAAAAUAAUUCAGAGAAUAAACAAAUACCCAAAAAGUAAUAAAACAAUUAAAGUAUAAAAUAGAUCUCACAGUAGUGAUGAAUCAAAACUUCAUUAUCCUUCAACCAGAAAAAUAAGUUUAGUUCUUCAUAGAGAGAAGAGAAAAGUUUAGAUCUAGGGUUUCUCUCUUUUUCUCCAAUCCCCAUUUUUCACAAUAGAUUCCUCCCUUAAAUACUCUCUCUCUCUUCUCUUUUAGAAUUCUAUUUAAAAUAAAAUACUAAUAUCUGAAAUAUUAAAUUCGUAAUUACAAAAAUAACCAAAAAUACAAAACACGUUAAACUAAAAACUGCAGGUCCGCAGUUGACAGCACGUGCCCACGCCUUAUCAACAAAGUUCUUCUGACGCUCAUAAUUUCUCCAAGAGAACAAUCAUCCUUAAACAUCAUCUUGUAACUCAAUUUUAUCACCAAUCAAUAGAAUUGCACCUACAAAAGUAAAACACAAGUAAAUCACUAUUAUUAAGUGCAAAACAUCGAUAUUAAGGGAAGUAAACAAUGCAAAACUAGUGCAUAAAUUGCACUCUAACAACAAGGUUCCUGAACAUUUCAGAUUCUAUAUGCUCGAGCUAAGCACCUGAGAGUUGAGCAGUGUGCACUAACAAACUGCUAACAAAAUAACUAACUCAUGCCAGCUCAGCUAACACGUCAGUAACUCUAACUAUCUUGCUUAACAAACUGAAACAAUAACUAACCAUUUUAACUAUCUUAACAAUCCCAAUAAUUUCUCCAUUUGUGUACUUUUUUGAAUCAUAAUCAAAUGGAUAAAUGUUGCAACUAUUUUUUUAGAUAUUUUCACUUUAGGAUGUCAGCCCGAGGAAGUACGGGGGUCUGAGUUAUUCAACUGAAAAUGUCGGCCAAGUUCUUGCCAUCUCAAGUGCAAAACUGAAAAUGUUACUCGUUCUUCUUAACUUGUUUUCUCAUGCAUCAACCCCACAAAACUGCUCAUUGAAGGGGUAAAAUUUUGAACACACCAUGUGGCAUUUAGACCAUUUGAUAGUUUGUUUCAAACAUAUUUGUUUAUAAAAUACUUUUCUUCAUGGAUUUGGUUACGUAAUUGUCUAUGUAUGUACAGGUUUUAUCGAUACCUCUUUUGACAAGUUACAUAGCAAUGUUAUCUGGGUUCAGCCGUGCCUUAUUGAUAAACUGUGCUUCUGUAAUGAAGAAUGUUUUAUCUGUAAGUGGAUAUCCUAAUCGUUGAUCCAUAUCCAUAAGCAAGUAUGUAUAAAAUUAUUUUAUGUCUUUUUUAUUAGAAAUGUUGUAAUUCUUUUUUACUCUUCCUGAAUUAUAACAGCAGGUGUCUAUAAUAACUGGAUUGUUCCUUCUGCAAAACAGAGCAGUGGUAAAUAUUUUUUUCUUUUGUUUGUCUAGUACAUUUCCAUGAUUUCAGCUUUUUCAAAUUUUGUAUGUGUCAAAGUUUAAAUUUAAUUUGUUGGUUUAUGGCAACAACAGGAACAGAAUCAAAGAGGAGCUGCCAAUGGACUGCUAUGACUGUAGAGUCGCUUACCAAAACUGCUGGUUCAGCUGUAGGAGGUGCUAUGUAGGCGUCCUAUUGAUUUUGUAAAAUUAUAUGUAAAUGAUGUCAUAAUUUUUAUUGUCUCCCCCACCCCCUCUCCCCAAAAAAAAAAAUAUUAAAAAAUUAAAAAAUUAAAAACUAAGGCGUGAUUAAAUUGAUCAUUUGUUUGGUAACAACUUGAUUAAUCGGGUUCUGGCAGAUUUUCUUGGUCACAAAAAGCGUCAAGAUGCUGGUUUCCUCCCAGGUAUGAUGAUUUACUAAUGAAAUUUAUCACUAGUAUGUGAAUUACUUGGUGCUAAUUAACUUAAUCAGCUGCUUAAAUUAAAGUGCAGGUAACCUUAUUUUUUUUUCUUUUUACAAUAAUACUCUUGGAAUAAUAUUUCUGGGAAUAUUAAUGAAAAAAUGGUAAUUCAUCCAGCCAGCCUUAAACAAAAUAAAUAUUAAUAAAAACUUUUAUGUUAUUAUUUUAGUUUUAGGACUAAUUUCGUAAAUUAAAUUUUUUUAUGCAUUUAUUAGUAAGAUUGCUUUAAGAAUAUUAAACAUUACUUUAAGUUGGCUGAUAUUAAUUUAUUUAUAAAUAAUAUUAGCAAGAUUGUUGUAAAAGUACAAAAAAUACUAGUUAUUUCAUAUUGAUAUUUAUUGAUUAAUUUGGCAAUUAACUUUUUUAUAAAUAAAUUAAUUAAUUUAAGAAUAUUAUUGCCAAGAAAUUAUUGUAAAAGUAAAUAAAAUUUAAGGAAAAAAUGCAACGUAUUUAAUAUCAAGGUAUAUUGAGGUAUUUUUCAAAAUAUAAAGACUAAACAAGCACUGAAGUUAAAAUACAGAUACCAAAUGAGCAUUUUCUCUCUUAGAAAAUUUUAUAUUUUAUUAAUGAAAGUCUGAAUAACAAAAUUAGGGUUUUGGACUCCUUUUAAACUAAGCCUAAAUAUCACGAAUUUACCAAUAUAGUAAACCUAAAAUAUUACUGCAUAAUAACAUUCUCCUAACUGAAAUAAGAUAAAUGCUACUUAAAUUCUAUAUCUAAAUGAAAAAAAGAUAAAAAUCUUGAAAACAAUAGGAAAAUAGAACUUAAACUUGUAAACUAAUAUGAAAUAAAUAGAAUUCUCAAUCGAACCACGAGGCUACUGUGGUGCUACAGUAUUAGAUUAGAUUUCCCUCAUUGCUAACUUCAAACUGGUAUAUUAUACACCCUAUAUAGGUACUUAUAGCUCAAGUUAUUACCUUAGAGAGAUACCCUACGCAUCCUACACAACCAUCCACUGCAUCAAAGUCGUUCCAAAACAGUAGUUCACAGUUGGUACUGCACAUGAUGCUUGUUUCUCCUUUUGCAUCAACUUUUGUUGUUAACAUUAAUUUCAAUAGCAGCUCGUUAUGUAUGCAACAUUUCAAAAUUAAUCCAAAAAAACAAAAAUUAGUUCAGCUGACUAAAUUUGAAAGCAUGGAUUUGCUGUCGAUUAAAAAUCGUUUUCUAGGGAAAAUUUUUGGAUUGCAAUUCUCAUACAAUACAUAGAAUUAUCAUAAUCUAUAAAUUGUAUUUUUUCUUUUCUACGGUAGUAAGUCAAGAAUCCUUAGUGACAAUUUAAAUUGAAAAAAUAAAAUCAUAAAUAAGAAUUAUUUGAUAAGAAUUAAAAUAAUUGAUAAAUAUUUGAGAGGAACAAUUUUGGAAGACUCGAUCUAAUAGGAGGAGAAUUUGAAUUUUACAACCUUCCGUGAGGAAUCCAAAAUGCACAAUUUGAUGAAAAUUAAAUUUCAAUAGAAAUUGAAUUCCCAUAUAUUAGUGAAAACCAAACAACAGAAAAGUGAAAGGAAUUUGAAUUCAUUUCCUUCCUGUCUCAUCCCUCCAACUAAACACCAUCGAUACCCAAAGGUAUGGGAUUGGGAUUCCAUACUGAUCAGAAUGGGAUUUGUCCAUAUUAUUAGGACCAAUUUUAAAAGCAGUCGGAGUUUAAAAUUGAAAUUAAUCCCAAUUUUUUAUCAAUUUAUGCAUGAAUUUUUGUACGUUUACUUUGGUUUAUUAUUGUUACUUUUAGACAUUUUUAUUGGUUUGAUUUAGGGUCAUUUUGGUAAUCUUGUAAUUUUUAAAAUAGUUACAGUUAGUUAUGCUGUAGAAAUUGAUCAAUCAUGAAGAGAAUCAGCUGAACAUUUAGUAAAAUUUAUUUUUAAAAGUACUUUGUUUUAAAAGCAGUUGUAUGUGUUUCGUAAAUCUUAUUUUUAAACAGGUGCAAGAAUAUAAAUAACUAAAUUGGACAUAAUACUAAAUAAAAUUUAUUUACACAUUUACAAACAUGUAUAUAAAAUAUUUUUAUUAUGUACAUAUAAUUAUUGAUAACUAAAAUAAAUAUUUUAUAUUAUUAAAUUUUAUUCUUUAUUUUGUUAUCUCAAUAUAAUUGGUAAUAAUAAUAAUCUUUUAAAGUUAAUGAUUUUAUUUCUUAAUUAAUAAAGAUAAUUCUGGAUUUUUAUUAUAUAAUGAGGAUAUAUAUAUAUAUAUAUAGAAUUGGAUUAAGUAUAAAAGUGAUUUUCAAAAUCAAAUUUUGAAAAACUAUUCCUUCCAUACUUUUCAAAAUCCACUGUAUGAUGAGAUGAUUUUUCCAAAAAUAAUUACUAAAAAAUUAUAAAACACUAAAAAUUAGGUUUUAGUUUUUAAAAUCACUUUUGAGCUUCCCAAAAACAAUCCUAACGGGCCUUUAUUUGGGUGGUGUUGGAACUUGUAACUUUUGGAUCUUUUAGUUUUUAUUGGUUUGAUACAAGUGUUACACUAAAAAUUGAAUGCAUCUUAAACCCCAAACUUCUUCUUCUUCUUUUUUGAUUGCACAAAAUUAAAAACAAUAGUGAACGCAUUCUUUAAUAAACAAUAAGUAAUUACUAAAAUUGUGUUAAAGAAUUUAGUUGAAACAUAAAUUGAUUUCAAUGUUGUAUAUGCUAAAUUUCUUAAAAAUUUUCUUUCACAGUCUGCGGAAUAGUUUUAUUAGUAUUUUGAAUAAAUAAAAAUAAUUGAUUUAAUUUUUUAAAGAAAUUUAUUAGGUUCAUGUAAAUACGUUUUUGUUAUUUAAAAAGUGUACAAAGUAAAACUUAAUUUUUUAAAUUUAUUAGAUGAAUGGAUAAAAUAAUUGAGUGUUCAUAGUAAAUUUUAAAGUAUAGAUAGUCAGACCCUAAUAUUUUUAAUAAAUGGAAAUUUUUAAAAUAUGUUAAUGAGAAUUAAAAUGAUAAUUAAGGGAGGCAUUCGAGACAUUCAAGAUUGUUAGGAUAGGACAUGAUUGUGAGCGGUUUGAGAUUGGCCCUAAUUUUGAUCACAAAUAUAUAAGCAGGAUGAGUUUAUCCAUACUUACAUUCCAUUUGAUAAUUAAGAUGAGAGUGGAAUUGUCAAAUCCCAAAUUAUCCCGGACCAUUGCCACCAAAGGUACUCUCACUAAUAAUAUCUAAAGAAAAAUCUACAUCUAUUUCAUACUUUUUUUUUUAAACGGAAAGAGCCCUUAUGGGGCUUGAAAUGGUAUCCUAAAUAAUAUUCAGAAUAUCAGGCCAUGACUGGGUUUGUAACAAACAAAUAUUACAUAGUUGGGAUACGUAGUUGCUAGUGUCCCAAUUUAUGUAGUAUCUAUCAUUUAGUGCACAUAUAAAGUGUUUGGGAAAUGAAAUAGGGUGACCAAGAUAAGGUGUUUGCUCAUAUAUUAUCGUGCUCUCCUCAAAGUAAAAAGUGAAAAAAUAGUUGAUAGACUACUAGGAGUUUAUUUGGUCACCUCGACCAGGAUAUUAUUUGAUGAUCUCGAGCACAUCAUCUUGACUAAGAGAUUAUUUGGUCGCCUUGAGUAUAUCACCUCGACCAGGAGAUUAUUUGGUGACCUCGAGUAGAUCAUCUUGACCAGGAGGUUACUAGGAAGCACGACUCAGUCAAAACAAAUCUCACUUAUUUUCUUCGAAAUAUUGGGGACCAUAUUCUUAGUGGGCUGAAAAUUAGUGGUUUUCUUGAGAGUUUAGGUGAGAGGAUAAAAACCGCUAUAAUUUGCUCUAAAAAUCCUGGGAAAGGGGGGGAAAUAGGGAGAUUCUUUUUAUCUCUCUCUCUUUGGGUGACUGAACCCAUGGGAUCUUUUUCUCUCUACCACUGGGAAACUUCUCUUUCUCUCAUGAUUUAUUUUUCUUUAAGAUUGGUUAUUUUUUAUUCUUUUCCCAUAAAUUUACUUAAAAGCUUUUUGUUUAAAGUAUUCAUAAUUAAGCCGCGUGAAUUGUGGUACGGAUUUUUCCAAGUAGACCCAAAUCGCUGACUUGAGCAUCAGAGAAUUUUCUUUAAGAUUGAUUAUUGUUUCCAUAAAUUUGAACCAAGAAGGAUGACGCGAUAAAAUUUGUUUUUAUUGUAUGGUUGAUUUCAUAUCUCAUGCACUCAUUUCUUAAGAUAAUUAGAUUUCAUCUUUUGCAAAUGUGGAAAUAUCAAUUAUGAUCGAUCAAAACAAUCUCAAAACCUUUCAAUGAGACAUAUUUAUAAUACAAUAUUGUGAAAAUUACACCAAAAAUUUAAUUUAUGAUAUAUUAUUGUCCCACCAGCACACAAAAAUGAAUUCGUACAAAUCUAAAAUACUUAGCAAUUUUCAAAUAGAAUUUUAAAUUUAUUUCCAGUUAGAAAACUAUUCGCUGGACUCCGUAUUACUAGCCACCAUGGUAAGCCUAACCGGUUGCCGGCGAAUGGCGUAAAACACCAGCCAUCUUCUUCUUCAUCAUAUUCACCUUUCAUCUUUUGAGUUAAGCCUGUGAUUAUGAGUUUCUUCUCUUACUUAGCUUGUAAUUAUAGAUUUUGAUUCUUUUUAAUUCAUAUUGUAGCCGUUAUUGUCAAUUUUUGUCCCGCCAGCAAUAUUUUUUUAUUCCUACAAGUUGAAAAUGGAUUCAUUUGAAUUACUAUUGAAUUUAGCUUUAAUUUCAAUAUCCAUUCUAAUGUUUUGCUAUUAGAUUUACUUUAAUUUUAUGUUUAAAGCUUCUACAAUGAAUAGCGGAGCUUGGGUUUUAGUGUCAUUUUCUGUAACUUGUUUUAGUUUAUCUUGUACGCUCACCAAGUGCUUGUUAUAUUGUCUGAUAAGUUAUAUACAUUGCUGAUUCUAUAUUAAUAAUGUUAUGUUCUAUUUUCAGAAAUUAUAAUACAAAGUUUUUACAAUGGCGUGCAUCUACAAACUGAAUUGACUUGUAGAAUAAGAGCUUGGAGUAAAUGAAAGUUCAUAUUGUGUAAGAGCAUGUAGAUGUAAAGCGUCAUUACCAUUUCUAUAAAGGACUUUCAUUCUGUUCAGAUGCUCUUCUUGAACAUUGAAAGGUGCCUCGUUCAAGUCCUAGCUAUAACUACUAGCUUUGAUUAAUUAAGUUCCUAUACUAGCUGAAACAGAUUUAUUUAAUUAAUUAAUUGUGUAUGUACUGAUUAUAUUGAAAGUAUAUGAAUUUUUUUUUUUUUUAACAUGAAUGACUUAAAAACCUAAAGAAUAUGUGAAAUAAUGCUCAUUUCACCUGAAUGAGCCUAUUAAUACUUUUAUGUCUAUGAUUGUCAAUAUUGGCUUAAGCAUUUCAGUUAAGUGGUUUACCUAAUAGAGAAAAAAAUUUAAUAGAAAACUUCAGAGUUCUAACAGAAAUAUAGUUCACUAUGCAGAUAUAGUUAUUUUACGGUAUACAAAUCAAGUUGUCCUAAUCUCAAUGUCCUAUGACCGAUUUUAUUUUAUAUAGUCAUUAAUUUUUGCCAUGGUUUUUUGUGUUUAUGAGUUUGAAAUAGUGGGAUUUGGUGUACCUUAUCAUCUUUUGAAAAUUCUCUUUAAGUGUGGCCAACAGAAAUAUACAUAUAAUCAAGUUUCUUAAUCCUGUAUAUUAGUUUUGGGUAUGAAUGUUCCUAUUCUAGUUCUAGGCAAAGCUUCUUUGUUUUGGUCUUCAGAUUUCCAGUAGGUUAAGUUAAUCAACUAUCAUAACUGGCUAGCUAGUUAUUGUCUGCCUUGGCGCCAUUACCCAGGCCAUUAUAUUGCAUAGCAUAAGGAAUAGUGAUUAGGUGAUUAUUAGUGAUUUGUUGAGCUUAUUAUUGACCAAACAAAUGUAUUUGCCUUUGCCCACAACUUAGUUUGAUUAGUUAUUAGACCAUAAAGAGCCUUGAUCUAUUCAUUGGCUUUAUUAUUUUUAUUUGGUUUUUCUUUCAACAAUAUUGUUGAUUUCUUAUAAAAAUAUUCAUUGGUUUUUAAACACCUAAUCAUUGGCUAUAUGAAGCUAAUUAAAACUGAGGCUUUGGAUCAAUUUCUUCUAACAAGAUACAAAUGAGCAAAACCUUUCUCCUCUAAGUAAAUUUUUUUAAUAUCCCUUGAUUUGUAAGGAUCUGGAGGCCUGAAUCCUCUUGAUUUUUUUUAACACUGUCAUUGUUCUUUUUAUUCUGAGAAGGAAAUAAAAGGUUUUAUCUUUCAUACCCGAAUAGUAAGCUGGCCUUGUCUUAACAUGGCCUCCCGAGGACUUGCAAGAUUCAUAGUGCCCCCCACCCCAAAAAAAAAAUCAAAAACACAAAUAGGAAGAUUUUGCAAGAUUCACCACCAGGUUUUUUUUUAAUUUAUUAAUUGUGUGUACGUGCUAGUUAUAUGUUGAAAGAAUAGGAAGAAGUAUUUCAACAUGAAUGACUUAAAACUUAUUGCUCAGUAAAUAUAAUCUGCAUCAGUGCGAAAAUGUAUUUAUCGUUUGUAUUUUUUAUGGUUUUGCUAAAGAAAUGAUAUGUGAAAUAAUGCUACAUUGCAUCAGGAAUAAAUUGAAGAGAUUUAUGAUAUUUAUGUGUUAUUCAAAUUUCAGAUUCAAUUUUAAACUUUUGAUACAUGCAUUGAAAGCUUAGACUUGUUUAAGAAAUUAUUAAUAGACACAUGUUUUAUUAGUUUCAUCUUUGGAUGAUAGUGAGGAUCAUAUGUCUAUUAAUAAUUCUUGAAUUGUCCAGGCUUGGACAGUUUGGGAAUGCAUAGUUCACUCUGGUAGCUAGUAGCUGAAGUUUUUUCCCACGUAAAAAUGGGUUUUUCGGUAGCUGCUCCUCGUGUUCUCUGGGUACGUACUAGGUGAAUGGGUGUCAUGUGUUGUUUUGGCAUAACGCAUAAACACUUAUAUAGCUAUGUCGUGUGCUUGGAGAAUUAUAGGGAGAUGGUGCCGAAAUUUUUAUAAACGUGGAAGAAAACUUUAGGUACUUGAGAUUGAAGAAACUUAUGCAUUCUUGAGUGGGAUAUGUAGGAUUACUUACCUUCUGUAAAUAUGAAGGGAAUGUUGGAUAUAUUGGGGAUAGUGUAGGAGCUGAGUUGGAUGAAUGUAAUUGGUGAUGAUUUUGCUGAGCUGACCUUGGUUUUGAGCUUGUAAUUUUGUUUGUAAAUGGAGUGCUAUCACCAAUGUUGGUUUAUAAAAAUGUUUCAGGACUUGCUGACCUAAUUUUUUGUUUCUAGGUUACAGGCUUUAUAUAUCUGUAAUUGAUAGCCAAGUGAAGUUCUCAGCGCUUGGCGAGGAUAUUUCUUUACAGAAGGUAUUGGAAACUGUUUUUUACAUUAAUUAUCGUUGUUUAUAUACUUUGAUUGUCACAUCUUUUUCUCUGAUUCUUGUGGCUUUGCUUGCUUUCAUAUAUGUAAAUUCUAAUGAAAUUAACCAUAAAAUUGUAAAAUGAUCUUUUUAUUAUAUUGCAAAACUGUGCACACACGAAAAUAUGUUGUUUAGUAGUAGAAAUGAAGAACUAAUUUUUGUAGCGCAUUAAAAGGAGAUAGUCAUGGACAAGUGUUGGGUUGGUUUGCCAAAUAGAUAUCCAAGUCAUAUACUGAUGGCGUUGAAAAAUUUAUAGAUUUUGUAUUUGAGAAUGUUGUUGGUGGUACAAGAAUUUAUUGUCCUUCUUGAUAAGUGUUGUAAUCUAUAUUUCGUUAUAAGGGAAGUGGCUGAUGAUGAUAUGGUUGGAAUGAUACACUGCAUCACGUAAUCAAAUGUUCAAGUUACACGCAGCAUUGUUAUGAACUAUCAGUGGCAACUUGUCUGGGUGGAGUAUUAAAGGUAAAUGAGCAUGUCUUAUUUGCCAACAAAGCACUAGAUCUAAUUGGUUGAUACAGAAUUACAUAGUAGAAAAUUUUGUCACGUGGGUCACCGUCGAUUUUGCCCAACAAAUCAUAGGUUUCGAAAAUAUAGUGUCUUUUGAUAAAACUAGAGAGUAGGGACCAGCACCUUCUCGGUUGUCUGGAACUGAAGUGAAAAAGCAGUUUAAUAUAGUUACUGAGUAUAAGAUUGAAGACUUGAAAAGAGGAGAACGAAUAAAAUGAGAGAAAUGAUAAAAUUACUUGGAAGAAGAACAGCAUUUCUUAAGAUUACUUGGAAGAGAAAUGAUGUGGAAGAUGGCUAUAAAAUAUAAAAGGAAAGGCUUAAAAAGAAAAGCCAUGCCUGUCAAAAACAAAAAACAAUGGCAGCGUCAAAUUUAUAACAAAAAUCAAAACGGUGCGUUUGAGAGUGUAUAAAAUACAUUUAGAGUGGGAGUUGUGUUGUUGCUUGAAGGCAGAAUGUUUGUGAGAUAUUUGUCGACGAAGCCGAAACCAAAGAUGAAGCCCAUCAAAAGUAUUUAUAGUGUAAAAAGUAUAUUGUGGAAAUGUCUGGUCGGUAAUACAACUAUUUCUUAUAGUGUAAAUGAUACACUAAUUUGAAUUUAUAUGCUUUUAUGAUUAUUUUAUUAUCAAGUGGUGAUCAUAUGUGAUGAUAAACUUAGGUAGUACCUUUAUAUUUAUUGCCUUAGUUUUCUAAGCGUUCACAUUUUGAUGAGUAAAUUAAGGAUUUCUAGAUGAAGUACAUAAUUAGAUUAAUGCUAAGGAACUGAAGUUUGAUCAACUGAAAACGAAAAUCAUAAUGAAGGUAAUUAAGAAAAUGAACAAUGCAGAAGCGGUCCUUAUUAGGACUUCUAGAUUUUCUCUUGGGCUUCCUUAUUAUUGUUAAAAAAUGACACGAAUAACUGAGUUUAAAAAUCUGGCCCUGAUGCCUGGUAGCCCUCCAACAUAUGAAGCACUAGAUGUUUUAAUGAGAAAAUGACAAGACCAUUUAUCAAAUUUCUUGUGGAUAUAAAUACAUACACAUAGACGAGACCAACCUCCUCAACUGAGAAUCAGAGUGAUUACAAGACCUUGCAAUGGGACGAUAACACACCAUCAAAUCUCAAAAUACAAUAGAAAUUCAUGACAUAUGUAUAAUAAAAGACCUCUCAUUGAGUCAUAUAUAUUGAGAAUAAAAAUGUUAUAAUACAUACAAAGAGCUUAGCUAGAAUAAAAUGUCUUGGAACUUGCGAUGAUCAAACAAGGGAAACAGACAGGUUGUAACUCACACUAUCACAGAUGUAGCGACACGAUGCAGUGAAUCACAAGAAGAUCACGAAGAUGGAAACGGGAACCCCUCAGAAUGUAAACUUUGAAUAGAGAAAAAAAGAAAAACGACCUUAUUUCAAAUUGUGCACAGAAGAAGAGUGACUUAAAUCUUCAUCAGUAUCCAGGCAUUCUGCAAUCAUAAAGUAGAGAAAUUUUAACAGGAACAACAGAGAAAAUAUUAUGAAUAUGCUAUAGACCAAUAUACUUGUUCAUAUCUAACGUUUGAUGGUCUAAGGAUUUGUUCUAGGAAUAAUGGGAUGAUUACUUUUUUUUUUUUUUUAAUUUUUGUUAAUCCAAUGAAUGAUAUUCAGCUGUUAAUUAUGUGUUCAUAGGGAAGAACAUUUUCUAAGUACUUUCCUUGCCUUCUAACUUUCCGAAAAGCAAACCCAAUGAACAAACAGAGCACAAACUAAAAUAAAAGAACAGCAAUGAUGAGAAUAAAUAACUGGCAAAGAAAUAAUGGAAAAAGUAUGCACGUUUUCAAGGAAUUAUAAAAUACGAAGGCUUUUAAUGAAAUUUUAUCAUAAAAAGUAUGCAAGGAGUUAUAAAAUUUUAGAAGACGAGGGGAGCUCGCAAAAAAAAAAGAAGAAAAAGACUCAAAUUAAACUAGACUAAAAAGACAUUCAAUUAUGCAAAAUCUGUCCAUAAAAGUCUGAAAGGAUCAUUAAAAUUGCAUUGCAAAUUUAACAGUAAACCGAGGGACCCAUUCUAAAUAAUUCAGAUGAAAUUGCGAAACAAGCCAUGGGAUUAAAUAAAUGAAAUAAAAAUUAAUUACCAGUUGAGACUUUCUUCUAAAAAUUCGCAACUCCAAGUCAUAAGAAGACUAUGAAAUUAGUCGUACUGCGUAGAGUAUGACGACGACACCGCCAACAGCUGAAAAUAACAUUCUUAUUCAUCAAUUUAAACUUUUACUUUAUAACAAAUAUCUUAUCGAUAUUUUAUUUAAAAAAAGCAAAUUUUGUAAAAUUUUUCCAUGGGAGAUAGAGAGUAACAUGUAUAUCCGUACCUUCUCAGCAUGUAAUUGUUGUAUGGUCCUGUUAAGAUCAUUAUUAGCCCAACGCCGUUGAUUCGAUGUCGCUCCACACCAGACAUUUACUCUUGGAGGCGUGCUUGAAUCUCCUGUAGUGAAAGUCUUCAUCUUGGGACAACCAAUCACUUCCAGAUAUUCCAAAGAUGGGAAUUCAAAGGUGUAGUUGGCAGAGCAGAAACUUGUGAGACUUUCUAAAUCACGCAGGCCCAACGCCUUCAAUUUGCGGAAAACAAUCUCUUCUUUUUCAACUCCAUCUUUGUCAUUUAUUACCACCUCUGUCAUUGCUCUGCAUCUACAUAUUUCUAUUGCUACGAGUUGCACUAGAGUUUUUGCUGUGGAGGAUGUUACCAAGUGCAUCAAUCCCUUGCAACCGAAAGCUAAAAGUUUUGUUAGGUUCCGAAAAGAUACCGAUGAUGAUGGCAACAGAAUUAACAGACUUUGACAAUUAUAUACUCUUAGAAUUUCAAGAUACUGAAAAAUGGGGCCAUGUUUGGAAUCUUGUUUGCACAGCUGCUUCAGAUGAUAGGGCCGGUACAGCUUUAAUUCUUUUAUCAUUGCCAACUUCCCCACAUGUUUCUCUAAGCAUCCUUCCAUCGAAAAUACGUCUUCGUCGAAUGAAAAAAAAGACAGUGUGAGUAUUUCGAGAUUGUGAAAUCUCUCCAGUACGUUCCAGAUUGGAAAACAAGCUGAGUCAUCUGCAGCAAUAUCUAGUUUUCUAAGACUGCCAAAAAGGUGUUGUGGGAAAUCGGCCUGCAAAAUUAUCUUCAUGUCUUUUCCGCUUAGUGAUAGUUCCGUCAAGUUGGGUAAGAUCUGAUCAUCAUCAAUCAUAAUAACUAAUGAGGUCAAUUGAUGUUCUCUCAAAUGAUUUUGAGUAAUCCAAUCACAUGCAGUGACUUUAUAGUAUUUGUUUUAUAUUAUACUUUACCCAAAAAAAAAUUGAAUUAUUGAUAAAAUUUAUUAAAUGAUUUUUUAUAUGUUAAUUUUAGAGGUAAAAAAGAAAUUAGAGAAAAAAACGAAAUUAUAUUGCACGAUAAUAAAUUACUAAUUUAUUUUGUAAGUUCUUCUAUAGGAAAGACUAAGGAUUCUUUUACAAAUGUUAUACCUAAAAAAGUUCAUAUAAUUAUUAAUCUAUCACAUUAAUCCCUUAGUCUAGACUAGCAAAGAUUAUUGUAUAAUAAAAGUUUUUAAUUUAUUGAGUAUUAAUUUAUCAAUGCUUUGUUAUAUUUUUCAAAGUUAAAAAAAAAAAUGCUAUUGAUAAAAAAUCUAGAAAAUGGCUUCAUACCUUUUCCAACGGCAAUAGGGGCUGUUGUGCAGGAAUACCAAGUUGAUCAUUCUCAUUAUUCGGCGAUAAAUCUGCAGCGAAUAUCUUUAAUUUGUCACAACGAUACACUAAAAGAAUUUCUAGUGCGGGCCAUUCCGAAGUAUGCAUUCCAGGGUACAAACAUCUAAGUUUUGGUAGACGUUGGAGUCUCAGAGUGGUGAGCUGUGGAAAGACAAAAUAGGGGAUCACUUGAUCUGCUCUGUUUUCAGAAAUGAUCUCCCGUAAAUCCUCACAGUGGCGUAUAUCCAGGUGUUGGAGCUGCUUAAGGCUUCCGAUCAUAGACGCUGAAAAUAUGUAUUUUAAUUUGUGACAACGCCACACAAUCAAUCGUGUUAAACUCUGAAAGCGAGGAAACAUGACCGGAAGAUGAUUGUAGUGCCAAAUCUUGUCGACAUUAAUAUCAGUUAUCUCCAAAGCCUCCAAGUUAGGCAACGCAACCUAAAAAAAUAAGAAUUUCUCAUUAGAUCCAAUAUCCAUAUGGGAAGCACUUGUUGAAAUUUUCUUCUUUGAUUACAAAUUAAUGCAAGUCAGAAUCAAUUUCCAACUGACUGCUGAGUUUGAUGCAUUCUAAUUCAUACAACUUUUUAAGAGCUCAAUUAGUGAGCGUGUGAGAUUCUUUUUAUCCUUUUUUCCAUUUUCCUUCAAUUCUUUAAAUGAUUUAAUUAUUUUCCACGUACGACAUCAAAAGAGAACGUUAUAUAUGAAUAAAAUCUGUUAUAUAUGAAGAAAAUGUUAGCCUACGCACCUUCUCGUUGAAAAGCAGAGUUGAAGUAUCCAAAGUGAUUUCGCUGGAGCAAUACGUAGUCGUCGAUUCCUCUUGCGACGCUGGUCUGUUCGGUGAUGCUGAAGGAGUCUUUACUUCACGGCAGAAAUUUGUAACCUCUGGAAGAUUCCCCAGACUCAAAGAUCUUAAUUGAGCAAACUCUAUCUUCUCAAUUGCAUUAUGAUCAACUUCUUCCCCAAUUGAAAAAAUUUCUUUCAUCUUGCUGCAAUUAAUAACUGCAAUUCUCUCAAGUCUUGGAAGGCAUUUUGUAGUGGAGAGCCAAAAGAUAUUGCUUAACUUAUCACAAUUAUAUGCUUCUACGGUUUUGAGUUUGUUGAAAGACUCUACUUUGAGCCGAUCAAUACAUAUCCUCUCCAUGUUGAUCAAAUUGUGAAGGAUAAGUGACUCCAAAAGAGGAAAGGCACCACAAGCGACCAUCGCCCUUGAAUCGACGAUACAAAAGAAGUCAGGAUUAUUUUGAACGCAGAGGACCUUCAAUUGUGAAAAGCCCUCCGUGUCCAAAUUGAAAAGAACAUUCUCGAUGCCUUGCAGCUUGUCCAACCAUAAGCAUUCAACGUUAUUGAUGCCCUGCAAUUUCAAGGAGCAAAUGUCCAUAAAAUCAAGCUUGAGCUUCAAUGCUCUGGAAAUCUUACGAUCUCUGUCGAUCAAAAAGUGCUGCCGACUUUUAAACCAAUUUUGUCCAGCAAUCAUGGGAUGCAUGAAUGACCCAUUUCCAAUAGAUAUUUUGAACCUUUCGAGCUCUCUGGCCAAAAAGCUUUUUGGUAACAUACUCUCAUUUUUAACAUCAAUUUCUAGAGUGGUUAGCCGACGUAAAUGCAUCAAUUCGUCAAGGCUAGCAUUACUUCUUUUGCUGUUGGCUAUUUCAACCUCCCAUUCAAUGGAGCAAUUAUACAUAUACAAUUCUUCUAAUCGGAUUAAGCUUGAUAUGACAUUUGGAGCAAUAACUUUUAGAUGGAAACAGUCUGUUAAAUCUAACAGCCUUAGCUUAGUCAGUUGACCCAGUGCUUUAGGCAUAUCAGAUUGCAAAAAGCUGAGGAUUUCUAGAUUUUCCAACUUUCCAAUAAUAGCUAUGUCUAUGCCUCCCAAAAUGCUUUGAUUAAGACAGAGUGUCUGAAGAUUUACUAGAAGACCAAUUGAAGAUGGCAAUGACAAUAACCGCAUUCUAGUCAAAUCCAAAACCCGAAGCUUUUUCGUCCUUUUGAAGAAGUUCUCAGGAAUAUUAGGCACAGCAAAAGAGUUCUUGGGAGACAUGACUAGAAGUUCAAGUUGUAGAGAUUCGGACCCUUCAGGAAUGUCAUUAAUAGUACUAUCUUUUAAAGAAAUUGCAAGAUAUUUUUUUAAUUCAUCUGCAUUUGGCCAUUUCCAAUCAUCCUCAUUUCUCACCACAAAUCCAAUUUUGUCACGACAUGCAAUUGAAAUGGCAACAUCGCGAACAACGUCGUGCAUUGAAAAGUAUUUACUGCCACCAUCCUCAAGCAACAAACAAGAGUCUCUUAGUUGAUGGACCCAUGCAUGUAAUUUGUUAUGUGCAUCUUCUAGCUUAUGGACACUUUUAAAUGCACCCAAGCCCAUGCUAUAUUUGAACAAGUCCAUAAUAUAAGUUGGUGUAAUUAGACUACACAGUAAAAAAGUUUUCUUGAGUUGCUCACCUCUUAAGUACUUGUAACUCAGCUCAAUUGUUGAGUAUGCCUCUGCUGGUACUCCUUCGUCGAAGCUCGCCUCUGAAGGCGUUCGGAGUUCUUGCAAGGCAUUCUUCCACACAGGCAGCUCUUUUUUUCUCAGUGCCUUUGCUACUGUGGUUAGGGCAAUAGGCAAACCUCCGCAUGCCUUGGCUACACUUGUUGCUGUAGAUUCUAACUCACGAUUUUCAACAUAAUCACCAGCCAUUAUCUUGAACAAUCUCCACGCUUCUUAUUCAUUUAAAAUGCCAAUCGAGAAGUUUUUUUCAGAUUCCAUCCUUAACAGCACAUCAAGAUCUCUUGUUGUGAAUAAUAAUUUGCAUCCUCUGUGCUCAACUCCAAAAGGAAUUCCAAUAGUCCCCAAAUCAAGAGGUUUCCAGAUGUUAUCCAGAAUCACAAGGAUCUUCUUCUCAUUCUUCACUCUUUCAUAUAGUCUACUAGCUCUUCUAGACUCAGGUUCCUCGGACAACUGUAGGCCUAACGUUUCCGCAAUUUCCUCUUGGAUCUUUUUUAUGUCUGGACUUUGGGUAACCUCCGAAAAAGCCACCAUAUCGUAAAGCUUGUCUUCAAUGGCUCGCCUUGCAAACUCCUUCACCAGUGUCGUCUUUCCAAUGCCGGCCAUGCCGUAGACCCAAAUGAUGCUGACAUCAACAUCGAUCAAUGCAUUUUGUAUGGCCUUCAAAGCAGAAAGUCUUGAUUCGAAGGCCUCGUAGCCUUUGUGAGACUUGAGCCAUAUAUCCUCCGGAACGGUACGGUAGGAAAUUCUAUCAUCAAAUCUCCCAGCUUCUUCUCGGAGUUUAAAAAGGGCCUCCUUCUCUGUUUCUGCUUUCUUUCCAUGCUGAUAGCGAGUAAUCCAAUUAGGAAACAGCCCCAUGAGACAUCGUUCAUUUGCUUUCUCUUCGUCUAGAAUGAAUUUGGCUGCCUGCUCAAUGCUCUUGUUCGCAUUAACCAGCCAUUUCUCAACCUUCUCUUCAAUCUUUUCACUUUUUCUUUCAGCCUCAGAAACUCUGCGCUGAAUGCUUUCUCUUUCAUCCUUGAGCCCAUCGAGUUCUGCCUUGAGAUUCUCAAAGUUGGCAGCGGAGUUAUACCAAUAACUAAAUUCGCGUUGUGCGUGAGGAGACAAGCAGUUUACAACUCCUGGAACAAUGCUUUUCAAAAUGUCCAUUUUUUUUUUGGGUUGGGGGGGGGGGGGGGAGGGAACGAAAUAGAAAUAGAACAGAGUCAACGGCCGCGCAAUUGAUAAUCAAGUAGAAGCAAAACAAGGCAAAAUUGAAAAAAGGGAAAAUCAGUGUAACAGAAGAGAAUCAAAGUGUUUUUGAGAUCAGAAAAUUGAAUCAAGAAAAGGGUUGCUUGAUCCAAUGAAAAUGCAAAGAGCUGAUGGAAAAAGGGAACAAAGAUAAAUAAGAAAACGGCUAGCACGAGCAGUGACCACGAUAAACAGAAGCAAAGUGUGUAUGAGAUCAAAAGACGAAAAUCAGGAGAGGUUUUCUUGAUUGAGAAUUGAAGGCAAAGAGUAGGAGCUGACGAAUACGGGGAUCAAGAGGGAAAAACUGCUUGCUCAUAAAACUACUUUCAAGCGAAUCUGAUAAAAUUAUUUCAAUACUCGUGGGCGACUCCCUUUUAAACCGCAGAAGGAAAAAAAAAAAAAAAAGUUCUGAUUUUCAAUAUAUUAAUUUUUAUCCUAAUUUAUGUUGAGACUCGUAAUCUCGUCUCAAUGAUUAAUUAGUAGAUAAUCUUUCUAACAAAUAUGUGUUGAAUAGAUAUAUUUCUUGACUAUUAGUAGGUUAAAUAUAUUUUAGCAUAGGAAUGAAAGUACAAGUUGUGUCAUAUUAGAAUAAAAAUUUGACCUAAAAAUAUUGUUCUACGACCUUUUAAUUAUUUGUCAGCAAAUAAUUAAGUCAUAUAAAAAAAUUAAUAAUCUGAAUUAGUCUUUAAGUAUUAUAAAUAUUUUUAGAUUUUAAUUAUAAUAUCAUUAUUUAAAAAUAAUUGCUUGACUUACAUUAGUAACAUUACGAUUGUCAUAAAACAUGUGAUCCUCAUCCAAUAUCCAUUAUUUGUGAUCCUUAAUCAAUAAAAUAUCUAACAAUAUCUUCACCUAAAGUUUGAGACAUGUGAUCCUUAUUCCACUGCGUCAAAACAAGGAGAAAAUCAGUGUAACUGAAGAGAAUCAAAGUGCUUUUGAGAUCAGAAAUUGAAGCAAGAAAAGGGUCGCUUGAUCCAAUGAAAAUGCUAAGAGCUGAUGGCAAAAGGGAACAAAGUUAAAUAAGAAAACAGCUAGUGCUAGCAGCGACCACAAUACACAGAAAAUUUGAGAUGGAUUUACAAUAUUUCUGCCUUUCUUUAUGCUUUAACAAAUAUUGCUCUAUCAAAAAAAAUAUUUAGAAUUUUAUUAUUGGAGUCACAAAAGACCUACACAAUAUAGCAAGUGACUAGGAAUAAAUAAGAAUAUAUAACUCUCUCUCUAAUUCUCACUCUAGCUUUUAAUUGUCACUCAAAACCCAGAAUUCAUCCUUAAAGUGUAAGCAAAUCAGAGAUGACAGCGUCUGGUUGUCAUACGUGCCUUUUAGUUUUCGGAUGACAUGGCGUACACUUCUUCUGUAAACCGAACAUGACAUGUCGUACUCUUUGUUUUGAGAUCAUAUUUCAAACUCUUCAUGCUAUGAAUGAAAGAUAAACUACAAUCAUCAAAAUAUUUAGUGUUUAUUUUGUAAUGUAACGUCAUAGUUGUUGUGAAUUGAAAUUAUUUCUGUAAAAUAAAAGGAUUUGGGUCAUCGUUCGUUAUUUUCUAGCAAUAUUGUCUGGUCGUGACUAUUUGUUAAAUAUUAAAAAAAUAAAUUUAUAUUUAUUAAGUAUAAAAAAUAAAUAAACAAACAAAAAUAAAAGGAAAAGUUUAUACAUUACAUAAAAUAAUAAGAACAAUAUCAAUAUUUCACACUCUAUAAUUGAGUGAUGUGUUGUCCAACUGCCACACAUUGGUCCCAAACGGAGACUUAAAUAUUAAAGUCCAAAGUUAUUGUGAUGAUGACUUAUAAUCGCCAAACUUGACAUACGGGUAAUCAUGCAUUAUAAGGUGCUGAUUUCUUCCAAUCGAAACCUUAUUUUUCAUUUACAAAUAAAUAAAUGACGUGACUUAACGAGUGGUGGGGUCCUUUGUGCCAUUUGUGUAUUUCACUGAAUAGUUGAUUCAACUAUUCUGAUCGGAAGAUUCUUGGAAGUUGCCAUUUGCCAAUGCUACUAACAUUUUCAAACUUGGAAAACCCUUCAGUCAAUCUUUUAGUGGUAGGCUCUGGUAGCUUGGUUUGAUUAUGACAUAUGAUUAUUUGAUAAUAAAGUUAGAGGAUGUAUUAAUAUAAAAUUUGUUUAUUGGUGUUGAAGUUAAUUAUCUCAUUAAUAAUAGUAUAAAAUGUUAAUUACUAAGAAACACAUAGCAGUAUUCUGGGAUAUAAUUUUAUAUCAUAACUUUGUAAGUGUAUAAUUACUCAUUAAAUUAACAAAAUUAUUUUAAAAUAUUUAGUUAGAAAAAAUAUAUUAUAUUCUUUUUAUUUCAAAUAAUCUAUAAGUUAACUCAAAACAUAAUCAAGCUGAGAAUUAAAAUAAUGCUACUGUAUGAGAGGAUUUUUAUUUUUUCCCGAAGUUUCACAAGGAAAUUAUUGAUAGAUAGCUUUAUUCGGAUCAUCUCAGUUCAAACGACAAAUAAUUGAAAGACUAAGCUAAAUAGACCAGCCAACAACUUUGUACAAGAGAGUUCAAAAAUUAAAGUCAUGGUAUUAAAGUGUUCUAUCUUGAAAAGUACAGCGUAGUAAUAAAAUAAAAACUAAUAGUCUUUGGUAAGAUAUGACAUUUAAAUAAUAAUUUUCACAAAAAUACAAAGAAUAUUUAUAAAGUACUUCUAUAAUGAGGAGACCCUCACUUUGUUAAAGUGAAAAUAUCAAUAAUAUACAAAAGACAUAUAUUUUAACACAUUAAAAAUUGUAUUUUUUUUUAUCUAUUGGUGUAUUGAAAUGUGUGUUAUUUAGUUUGUUAAUAAUAUCAUCACUUUGUUAAAAUAAUGAUAUCAGAACCAUUAUAUAUACAUAUAUAUAAAGUGCUUCUCUCCAAAAUCUAGACUUUAUUAAAAUUUAAGAAAGCAAAUAUAUUUUGUAUGGUAUAAUAGUGUAAUAACAUCACCCGAGUAUAUCAUAUAGAGUAAUAGUUUUUGGACUUUAAUAAAGGUCAAGAUUAUAGAAUGAAUGAUUUAUAUAUAUUUUAAAUUUUUUAUCAUAAAGUGGAGGACAAAGUAACAUAUUUUUCAAAUUAUAAUAAUUAUUUAUCAAAUAAUUUAACAUCGUAAUUUCUCCUAACUAGUAUAGUAAAUACGACCUAGGAGGUACAUUCAAAGCAUUUCAUAAGUUAAUUGUUAAUAAUAAAUGAUACAUGCAGCUCCAACUAUUAUUGUACGGUGAGUAAUUUCAAUAGAUUUUUUAUGGCUUAAUAAUAAUGAACAUUGAAUGUCAAAAUAUUAAUGGCCAAACAGACCAGCUGCCAACGACUUAUUCCAAUGUGAAUAGUUCACAGUGGGUACUGCACAUGAUACUUGUUUCUCCUUUUGCAUCUACUUUUGUUGUUAACAUUAAUUUCAAUAGCAGCUCGUUAUGUACGCAACAUUUCAAAGUUAAUCCAAAAAAAAAAAAACAAAAAUUAGUUCAGCUGACUAAAUUUGAAAGCAUGGAUUUGCCGUCGAUUAAAAAUCGUUUUGUAGGGAAAAGUUUUGGAUUGCAAUUUUCAUACAAUACAUAGAAUUAUCAUAAUCUAUAAAUUAUUUUUUUGCUUUUCUGUGGUAGUAAGUCCGACUCCUUAGUGACAAUUUAAAUUGAAAAAAUAAAAUCAUAAAUUAGAAUUAUUUGAUAAGAAUUAAAAUAAUUGAUAAAAAUUUGAGAGGAACAAUUUUGGAAGAUUCGAUUUCUAAUAGAAAGGGUGAAUUUUACAGCCUUUGGUGAGGACUCCAAAAUGCACAAUUUGAUGAAAAUUAAAUUUCAAUAGAAAUUGAAUUCCCAUUUAUUAGUGAAAACCAAACAACAGAAAAGUGAAAGGAAUUUGAAUUCAUUUCCUUCCUCUCCUCCCUCCAACUAAACACCAUCGAAAUCCAAAGGUAUGGAUUGGGAUUCCAUAUUGAUUAGAAUGGGAUUUGUCCAUAUUAUUAGGACCAAUUUUAAAAGCAGUCGGAGUUUCGAAGUUUAAGAUUGAAAUUAAUCACAAUUGUUGAUUUGGGACUAGAUAAGAAUUUAUCUUAGAACUCCAAUUCUCCAAAAAAAGUACGCUAGCUUCGCCACUGCACUAGGGACAUAUUAAUCAGGUGGCUUAUAUUACAACCAGAGGAUUUAAAUUUGAUUUAAGAUAUGUGGGGUCUGCUUUUGGAUUUAGAAAAUUUGCUCAUUAAGAGUUGAACCCAAGUGACCUACCGUUAGAUUAGAUUAAUAGUGAUUUCUUGUAGUAAAUAUUUGUGAAUUUGAAAUAUGUGAAUUCUAUCCUGGUGAUACAAAACAAGCUUCUUGUACACGAGAACUAUUUAUUUUUAUGAUUUGGAAACCAAUCUAUAAAGAUGAAUUAAGUUGGCAUAAUGGUACAAAGCAACUUUAAUUUUUCAAUAAAUUCAAAAGUUGGCAAGUUGGUUAUGAUUAUUAUCUUUUCUUUUUUACUAUUUAAACUACAAUUAAUUGAAUCCAAAGACUAAAGGGUUGGAUCGAGAAGAAACUAAUUUUAAGUAGACAUUCCGGCGAAAAUCACUCCCAUGAUCGAGACACUCAUGCAAUCAAUGCAAAAAUGGACACAAAAAUUGUCUACUUAAGUUUGGUGGAAUGAUUUUAAAAAUAGUUUUAUUUGUUUCACACUCGAAUUUGUAUUUUGAAAAAGAGUGGGAGUUAAAAAUUGAUUUACACUUUAUCAAUUACUCUAUUUUAAAAAGAAAUAAAUAUUAAAAAAAUAAAAACAUUAAUUUCUUGUUUGUUUGUACUUACCAUUGUAGGAUAAAUAAAGUGGUUGACAAAAAUUAUAUAUCUUAAAAAUAAAUUCUAGAUUUAUAACUAAUGUAUAAUGAUUUCAAUUCACAUGUUUCAAUCCCAAAUAAAUUCUCCUUUGGUUAUUUGAAUCUUAGCGCGGUAAGAUUUCAUUCUCUUAUAUGCAUUUGUGUAAACUUCUCCCUUUACCUUUAUCAUUUUAUCAACUUUAUUGAUUGCCAAUCAACUUUAGGGUUUAGGCAUGAAUCACACAAGGGAAUGAUAUUGUGGCAAUUUUUUCCCCCUUCUUUUUUCUUUUUGAAAAAAAAAAUUAUUUAUAGCUUUGCUUUGAUGGUAGAAGACUAGAAGACCAAUUAAUUUCUUUUUGUUGCGUGGUGAUAAUAAUGAUGGAAAUUGCUAUGUGCGCGUUGGUGAUUGCAUUGCUAGUCACAUAUUGCUUCCCAUCAUGGAGACAAAGGGGACCCCUCUAUCAAAGCUAGCUGUUGAAAUAUCAUACCCAAAAUCACAUGAAUUCAAAGGUUGAAUGGGAAAACGAUCUUGCUUCUUUGUAUGUUUUAUUUUAUUUAAAGACUUAUUGUUUCCCAUAAGAGAUAAGCUUGGAUCUAUCUUUCCUUUUAAUCAUUUUAGCCUCCAACUCCCAUCUUUUUCAAAAGUUUCGUUUAGCCCAUUUUGAAUGGCAAGGUAAGCUUCAAUUAACGCAACAAGUUCCAGUGAUUCCCGUCAAUAUUCGAUUGCAUGUAUGUAGCUUUGAGUGCUCAAAUUUAUUUUAUUUAUUAGUUGUUAUCACUUAUCAUUUUCUUUUUAAUAAUGAGAUUUGGGCAUUUUCUUUUUAAUAAUGAGAUUCGGGUCCCUGGAUGGUGAUUAGCCAACAGUCUAGUUAUGAGAAAUUAAUGUCUUAAUUACAAUGACAAAAAAGGCAAGUGGGGAUCUCAUUUGCCAUUAGGUAACACAACAUCUUCAGCAUUGGAGCUUUUCUUCCUUUCUCUCCUUCUUUCUUUCUUUCUCAAAAUAAUUGAAAAUCUAAUGCAAUACAAUUAAAUUGAUCAACGAUCUAAUUUAAUCAAUACAUUAUAUUAAGAUAUUUAAAAUAAAAUCGGUUCAAAUGGAAUGAGAAGUUCUACUAAAAAAAUAACAACAUUUAUUCCUUAUUAUUAUUAUUCGAAUUCAAAUAACCUUGGAUUCCAAACGCAUUCAAGACUAGCCAGGCUGCAUAUCCAAGAAGAAAACAAAAUCAAAACUUUAGCCACAAACAUAUACGUGUGUGUGUAUGUGUGUGUGUGUAUAUGUGUGUGUGUGUGUGUGUCUGUGUAUAUAUAGAGAGAGAGAGAGAGUUCUUUCACUAGGUUCAUUUGCGUGAAACUUUUUGAUCAUUUAGGUUUAAGACUAUAUCAUAUAUCCUAUUGCACGAACAUUGAUUAAGAUGAAUGAGUCAAACCCACUAAGCUUGCAACAAAAUCUUUUCAUAGUUACUAGAGAAUAUUUAUAUUUUUUUCAAAUAUUAAUAAAAUUAUUGAAUUGCUUUAUUUAUAGUACGUAUACAAUUAAUAGUGUAUGGAUUUUUUUUUAUCUAUUGGUGUAUUGAAAUAUGUGUUAUUUAGUUUGUUAGUGAUAUAAUCACUUUGUUAAAAUGAGAAUGUCGUUACUAGAGAAUCAUUAUAUAUACAGGGUCCAGCUACAAUACCCAUGGGGUUUGGUACCCCAUUUUUUGUCUUUUUCAAAUCUACCGUUGGAUUUAACGUAAGAAUUGCAGAAUGGCUGAGAUGUAAUUUUUGGGUUAUUAACAACAAAGACCCUUAUUGUUCAUGGAAAAUAAAAAAAAUCAAAAGUUUUGAAAUUAUGACGUAUAAGUCCAUAAUAUUCUCUUUUUUUCUUUUUAACUAUUGAACUCGGUUUCUAAUUAAAUGAAUUUUUCUUACAUUUAUUAAUAUCUAUUUAAAUUAAUAUAUUUUUAAUUAAUAAAUUAACUACUUUAUUAUAUAGUUAAACUAUGUAUAUUAUUUACUAACCAUAAUUAACGAUAAGUAUAAAUAUGAUCUUUUUUUUUUUUUAACAUAAUGGCAACCAAUUUCCUCUCACCUAUGUGAACAAGGUUCAAAACCCAUAAUUUUUUUUUUAACACAAGAGAUUUUAUUAUCUCAAGUAGAUGAAAUAUACAAAAUACAAAAAUAAAUUUAAUUUCAUAUUCUAUAUAGUUAAUUUUUUUUGUAACAUAAUAUUUAUUAAACAUACUAUCAAUUAUUUAAUUAACUAGCAAAAAUAUGUUAAUUUACUAAUAAUAAUCAAAUGUUAGUUUAUGAACUUGUAAAAUCUUUUUUUUUAACAAUGAGUUUUUGUCCUUAAAAUAAAAAAUAACAAUUUAAUUGCACACUUAAAUAAAUUAGUAUUUGUUAAAAAUAGUAAUUUAAUUGCACACUUAAAUAAAUUGGUAUUUGUUACUCCACCCCAAUUAUUUAAAUAGUCAUUAACUUAUCUGAGAGAAGGGUAAAAAAAUUCUAAACAAUUACUCUAUUUGAAAAUAAUUUAAAUAUUUCUUUAGAAAAAUAAACUAAAAAUAAGUAUUUUCUAUUCUUUCUUCUUUCUUGCUAACAUCAAUCAUGGAUAACAAUAGAGAUGGCAAUUCAACACAUAUCUAUCAAUUAAAAUAGAAGUCAAUUAAUAUAAUUAAUUGAAUAAUUAAUUUGUGUCAUGAAUGAGUUAUCGUAUUAGGAGUUAUAAAACCAAACCCAAUAGAAUUAUUAAUCGAGUUAACAGCUAGAAAGAGCAAACAAAUCCAUUCAAGUUGGAUGUCUAAGUAUUUGAACCAAAUAGAUUAGAUAAUAUCCAUCUAAAAUACUCCAAAUUUGAUUUAUUCAAUAUCCAUCUAUGAACUUGAAUAUUAGUGAUAUUUAAGUGUAUGUGACUGAAAUUGAGUAUUAUAUUUAAUAUUUAAGUUUUGUAAGUCAAAUGAAAAAUCAAAAUAAUAUUGCUAAAAAUUAUUGCACCAUCAAUGACAACAAUGACGAUAUCAUCACUAAGAAAUAGAAAUGAGUGAACAGAGAAACAAAAACUAUCAACGUAAUCAAAACUCUCUGAUCAAUGUAAUGGUGGCAAUGUUGCCAGAUAAAUAGAUAUGCCGGCAAUAGAUGAGCAUUCCAAUGCAAACAACUAGAACAAGACCCUAUGAUUAGAUGACGUUUUAACGUAGAGUGGAAGCGAUACUAAAUUUCGUUCUAGUAUACGUCUUGAAAACUCAAGAAAGAGACUCUCACCAAAGAGAAGAUAUUUCAAUUGAGAAAAAACUAAAUAUUAUUAAUGAGAAGCUUGUGUCUGUUAUCAUAAAUUAAGAAUAACAAGCCUAUAUAUAUAAUAGUAGCUAACUUAAUCCUUAUCUUUCUCAAAUAAGAGAAAUAAUCUAAAAUCCUAAUUAAAUUAUAAUUACAAAUAUGACUCAAGUAAGCUUAAUAAAAUAAGAUAAAUCCUAAUAAAAUAUUAAAUUCUAAAUUGACCCAAAUAUUAUAAUUCCUAGUAAAUUCUAAUUUAUUUAUUUAUUUAUUUAUUUAUAAGUUUGUUUGGUUUUUGGGUUUUUUUUUUAAAGAACAGAAAAUUAUAGGUAAUAGUGUAAGUAUAGAAAAGUAAAGAGGCAAAAUUAAAAAUAGGCAAAAGUUGGUGUUGCCGUCGACGGUGGUCGAAAAAUUGGCCUAGGAUAGGUGGAUUUGGAAGAUUUGAUGGUGCUGAGUGUGAUGUUGGUGGUGGUUUGUCUCAAAUAGUUGUGAGUUGACCGAAAAGUUGAGCUAAAGUAGUGGGUGGAGGUUGGUUUCGGUUUCCGGCGAUCCGGCCGGGGGUUGGCAGCGUGAGUGGGUUGAAAAGAAAGAGCUAAUGAUGGUGGACGAAUGAGUGGUGGUGGAGGCUGUGAAUCGCGGCUGAUUGUAGCGAAUGGAGAGGCGGAUUUUCGUGGUGGUUCAGCGGCUGUUUUGGCUAGUUUCCCGUGGCUACGGUGACGAGAUGGUGGUGUUAUGGGUUGGGUUAUGAUUGGCGGCGUGUAGGCUUUCGGAUGGGAGAGAGGAUCGACCGAAAAGAAGAGAAACUGGUGGCGGCAGUAGCCGUGUGUGGCAGAUGUAAUGGCGGCUUCGGGUUUUGCUAGUUUUUUUUUUAACUUGAUGGAACUAAUGUACGGAGUUGGUGGUCAGGAAUGCUCUGCCUGCUACCAAAAAAAGCUCUAAUAUCAUUUGUCUUGAAAAUUAAAAAAAAAAUCCCACUAAGGAUUAAUAUCUUAAUUGUGAAAAUAUUGAAUAUUAUUAAUGAGAAGCUUGUGUCUGUUAUCAUAAAUUAAAAAUAACAAACUUACAUAUAUAAUAGUAGCUAAUUUAAUCUUAAUCUUUCUCAAAUAAGAGAAAUAAUUUAAAAUCCUAAUUAGAUUAGAAUUACAAAUAUAACUCAAGUAAGCUUAAUAAAAUAAGAUAAAUCUUAAUAAAAUAUUAAAUUUUAAAUUGACCCAAAUAUUAUAAUUUCUAGUAAAUUUUAAUUUAUUUUAUUUAAUAUGCUUCCUACAUCACGUUUUAAGGUUCAUUGCCUUUAACAACCAAUUUGAGGGUCUCUAAACUAAAAAAAAAAAAAAAAAAGGUGGUAGUAUAAUGUAACUCCUUGUGUUUUGAUGGUAUAGUUAUUGUUGCACCUAUUUUAGAAGGAGCAUGUAACUUUACAUAUCACCAUUUGCUAGCAUUGAGACUAUCUUUAUGUAAAUCAUUCAAUUUCAAGUCUAAUGGAAUCCUUCAUGUUCCAUUUCGGUUAAUAAUGUCAUUGCACAUGAAGAAACAAUAGUCACUAGUGAUUGUCUAUAUUUUUUAAUGCAAAAUAUCUUUUUGUAAUUAAUUAAAAAAUAAGAAUAAUUUUUUAUUAUUAUUAUGUUUCUAUAUGGAAAAUAAUUUUAAUUACCUUUUAAUUAAAAUGGGUGAGAAAAAUGAUGUCAUUGAUGGUGCAAAAUGGAUGAGAAAAAUGAUGUUAUGUAGGUGUAGGACUAAUGCGUAAAACUUUAAAAUUUUUUAACAUUUUUAUUUUUACAACAAAUAGCAGGACACUAUUAUAAUUAACCUUAAUAAAGACAAAAGAGAGGGGUACCAAACGUAUGUUGCAACAUAGCUUUGCCCAUAUAUACAUAUAUAAAGUGCUUCUAUCCAAGACCUAGACUUUAUUAAAAUUUAAGAAAGCAAAUAUAUUUUAUAUGGUAUAAUAGUGUAAUAACAUCACACUAUUAUAUCAUAUAGACUAAUAGUUUUUUGAACUUUAAUAAAGUUCAAGAUUAUAGAAUGAAUGAUUUAUAUAAAUUAUAAUUUUUUAUCAUAAAUGGAGGAGAAAAUUAACAUAUUUUCAAAUUAUAAUAAAUAUUUAUCAAAUAAUUUAACAUUGCAAUUUCUCCUAACUAGUAUAGUAAAUAAUACGACCUAGGAGGUACAUUCAAAGAUUUUCAUAAGUUAGUUGUUAAUAAUAAAUGAUAUAUGCAGCUCCAAUUAAUCAUCAUUGUACGGUGAGUAAUUUCCAGUUAUAAAUAGAUAUUACUCCCUUCCCAGCAAUUUUUGAUGGCUUAAUUUUGUGGGAUCAAAAUCAACAUUGAAUGUCAAAAUGUUAAUGGCCAAACAGACCAGCUGCCAACAACUUAUUCCAAUGUGAGUAGUUCACAGUGGGUACUGCACAUGAUGCUUGUUUCUCCUUUUGCAUCUAUUUUUGUUGUUAACAUUAAUUUCAAUAGCAGCUCGUUAAUGCCAAUUGUUGAUUUGGGACUAGAUAAGAAUUUAUCUUGGAACUCCAAUUCUCUGAAUUAUUUUAGUUGACAAUAUGUUUAACAUUAUUUUUUUUAACAUUAUUAAUUGCAUAUUAUUUAAUUAUCAAUAUAUAAUAUUCUUUAAUUUUUUAAUUUUAUAGGAUUAGACACAAAAUUGAUUAUACCUUUUGAAAUUUAAGGGUUAUGUCAAUUGAAUAGAAAACUUGGAGUUAAACUUUUGGAUGUUUUUGUUGAUUAUCAAUUUAUGCAUGAAUUUUUGUACGUUUACUUUGGUUUAUUAUUAUUACUUUUAAAUAUUUUUAUUGGUUUGAUUUAGGGUCAGUUUAAUAAUCCUGUAGCUUUUAAAAUAAUUAGAGUUAGCUAUGCUGUAGAAAUUGAUCAAUCGUUAAGAGAAUCAGCUGAACAUUUAGUAAAAUUUAUUUUUAAAAGUACUUUUAGUUUUAAAAGCGUCGUAUGUGUUUCGUAAAUCUUAUUGUUAAACUAGUGCAAAAAUGUAAAUGACUAAAUUGGACAUAAUGCUAAAUAAAAUUUAUUUACACAUUUAUAAACACGUAUAUAAAAUAUUUUUAUUACGUACAUAUAAUUAUUGAUAACUAAAAUAAAUAUUUUAUAUUAUUAAAUUUUAUUCUUUAAUUUGUUAUCUCAAUAUAAUUGGUAAUAGUAAUAACCUCUUUAAAGUUAAUCAUUUUAUUUCUUAAUUAAUAAAGAUAAUUUUGAAUUUUGAUUAUAUAAUGAGGAUAUGUAUAUAAAUAUAUAGAAUUUGAUUAAAUAUAAAAGUGAUUCUCAAAAUCAGAUUUUGAAAAAUUAUUCAUUCCAUACUUUUUCAAAAUCUACUAUACAAUGAGAUGAUUUUGCCAAAAGUAAUUACUAAAAAAAUUUAUAAAACACUAAAAAUUAAUUUUUAAUUUUUAAAAUCACUUUUGAACUUCCCAAAAAUAAUCCUAACGGACCNNNNNNNNNNNNNNNNNNNNNNNNNNNNNNNNNNNNNNNNNNNNNNNNNNNNNNNNNNNNNNNNNNNNNNNNNNNNNNNNNNNNNNNNNNNNNNNNNNNNGUGGUGUUAGAACUUGUGACUUUUGGAUCUUUUAGUUUUUAUUGGUUGAUACAAUUGUUACCUAAAAAUUAAAUGUAUCUUAAACCCAAACUUCUUCUUCUUUUUUUUGACUAACAAAAUUAAAAAACAAUAGUGAACACAUUCUUUAAUAAACAAUAAGUAAUAACUAAAAUCGUGUUAAAUUUCUUAAAAAUUUUCUUUCACGGUCUGCUAAAUAUUUUUAUUAGUAUUUUGAAUAAAUAAAAAUAAUUGAUUUAAUUUUUUUAAAGAAACUUAUUAGGUUCAUGUAAAGAUGUUUUUGUUAUUUUAAAAAGUGUAGAAAGUACUCCUAAAAAAAAAGUGUAGAAAGUAAAACUUAAUUUUUUAAAUUUAUUAGCUUACUGCAUAAAUAAUUGAGUGUUCAUAAUGAUUUUUAAAGUAUAGAUAGUCGGACCCUAAUAUUUUUAAUAUGGAAAUUUUGCUAAUAUGUUAAUGAGAAUUAAAAAGAUAAUUAAGGGAGGCAAUUGAGACAUUCAGGAUAGUUAGGAUGGGACAUGAUUGUGAGUGGUUUGAUAUUAGUCCUAAUUUUGAUCACAAAUAUAUAAACAUGACGAGUUUAUCUCUACUUACAUUCCAUUUGAUAAUUAAGAUGAGAGUGGAAUCGUCAAAUCCCAAAUCAUCCCGGACCAUUGCCAUCAAAGGUACUCUCACUAAUAAUAUCUAAAGAAAAAUGUACAUGUAUUUCAUUUUUUUUUUAAACGGAAAGAGCCCUCAUGGGGCUUGAAAUGUUAUCCUAAAUAGUAUUCAAAAUAUCAAGCCAUGAUUGGGUUUGUGACAAACAAAUAUUACAUAGUUAGGAUACGUAGUUACUAGUGUCCCCAUUUAUGUAGUAUCUAUCAUUUAAUGCACAUAUAAAGUAUUAAUCAGCUUAAUUAAUUUAUAAAAUCUAAAUCUAAUUAAUAAGUGACACAUAAAAGCCAAGUGCAAUAUAUGCAAGUCAUGUUUGUCGAUCAUUACAAAACUAGCUCUUGAAAACAAGCAAGAAAGCUUAAUUAAGAACUUAAAACAAAAAGAAAUUUAGAUUGAGAACAGUCAAGCCUUAUUUUUUUCAAGGAUGGAGCUUAUAAAUCUUCAAGUACCAACAUAUGCUUGGCCCAAUUGUUGUUAUUAAAAAUUCAAUAUAUAUAUAUAUAAGUAUGACAUAGCAAAAAUUUGAUGGUACAUAUGUCGGAAUAUACUAGUUCAUGGAUGCAUUUGAUUAUUGUUUCCAUAAAUUUGAACCAGGAAGGAUAACACGAUAAAAUUUGAUUUUAUGGUAUGGUUGAUUUCAUAUCUCAUGCACUCAUUUCUUAAGAUAAUCAAAUUUUCUCUGGCAUCUUUUGCAACUGUGGAAAUAUCAAUUAUGAUCAAUCAAAACGAUUUCAAAACCUCUCAACGAGACAUAUUUAUAAUACAAUGUUGUGAAAAUUACACCAAAUUUUAAUUUAUUAUAUAUUAUUAUCCAACGAGCACACAAAAAUGAAUUCGUACAAAUAGAGUUUACCAUGUACUACAAGAAACUAGGGUAUAAGUGACCCCUAAUGUGAAUGCAAAAGAAGCCAUUAUGUAUAUCACUAACUUCUAGGCUCUAGCUUUGUACCCCGACUUGCUUUUGUUACCCUUUAUGUGACGGCCACACCGCUAUCACAUAUGUUAGUUACUACCCGCGUGACGGUAAAGAGCCGUUCGGUAUAUUACUAUUUUAUAAUUUUAAAUUUAAAACUAUUUGCUGGACUCCGUGUUACUAGCCACCAUCGUAAGCCUAACUGGUUGCCGGCGAACUGCGUAAAACACUGGCCAUCUUCUUCUUCAUCGUCUUCUCCCUUCAUCUUUUGAGGUAAGCUUGUGAUUAUGAGUUUCUUCUCUUACUUAGCUUGUAAUUAUAGACUUUGAUUUUUUUUUUAAUUCGCAUUGUAGCCAUUAUUGUCAAUUUUUGUCCCGCGAGCAAUAUAUUUUUAUUGCUUCAAGUUGAAGCCCCUGUUUUCUUGUUCCAUUGGUGAGUUUGCUCACUCAAAUUAAUUUUGUUCUGCGGAAUUUGCAACGUUCAAAUGGAUUCGUUUGAAUUACUAUUGAAUUUAGCUUUAAUUUCAACAUCCAUUCUAAUGUUUUGCUAUUAGAUUUACUUUAAUUUUAUGUUUAAAGCUUCUACAGUGAAUAGCGGAGCUUGGGUUUUAGUUUCAUUUUCUAGAUAACUUGUUUUAGUUUAUCUUGUAUACUCACCAAGUGCUUGUUAUAUUGUCUGAUAAGUUAUAUACAUUGCUGAUUCUAUAUUAAUAAUGUUAUGUUCUAUUUUCAGAAAUUAUAAUACAAAAGCUUUUACAAUGGCGUGCAUCUACAAACUGGAUUGACUCGUAGAAUAAGAGCUUGGAGUAGUGUUAUGUUCUUGAAUAAAUGAAAGUUCAUAUUGUGUAAGAGCAUGUAGAUGUAAAGCAUCAUUAUCAUUUCUACAAAGUGCUUUCAUUCUCUUCAGAUGCUCUUCUUGAACUUUGAAAGGUGCCUCGUUCAAGUCCUAGCUAUAACUGCUAGCUUUGAUUAAUUAAGUUCCUAUACUAGCUGAAACAGAUUUAUUUAAUUAAUUAAUUGUGUAUAUACUAAUUAUAUUGAAAGUAUAUGAAACUUUUUUUUUUUCACAUGAAUGACUUCUAAAUGACUUAAAAACCUAAAGGAUGUGUGAAAUAAUGCUCAUUUCACUUGAAUGAGCCUAUUAAUACUUUUAUGUCUAUGAUGUCAAAAUUGGCUUAAGCAUUUCAGUUAAGUGGUUUACCUAGCAGAGAAAAAAAUUUUAAUAGAGAAACUUCAGAGUUCUAACAGAAAUAUAGUUCGCUAUGCAGAUAUAGUUAUNNNNNNNNNNNNNNNNNNNNNNNNNNNNNNNNNNNNNNNNNNNNNNNNNNNNNNNNNNNNNNNNNNNNNNNNNNNNNNNNNNNNNNNNNNNNNNNNNNNNNNNNNNNNNNNNNNNNNNNNNNNNNNNNNNNNNNNNNNNNNNNNNNNNNNNNNNNNNNNNNNNNNNNNNNNNNNNNNNNNNNNNNNNNNNNNNNNNNNNNNNNNNNNNNNNNNNNNNNNNNNNNNNNNNNNNNNNNNNNNNNNNNNNNNNNNNNNNNNNNNNNNNNNNNNNNNNNNNNNNNNNNNNNNNNNNNNNNNNNNNNNNNNNNNNNNNNNNNNNNNNNNNNNNNNNNNNNNNNNNNNNNNNNNNNNNNNNNNNNNNNNNNNNNNNNNNNNNNNNNNNNNNNNNNNNNNNNNNNNNNNNNNNNNNNNNNNNNNNNNNNNNNNNNNNNNNNNNNNNNNNNNNNNNNNNNNNNNNNNNNNNNNNNNNNNNNNNNNNNNNNNNNNNNNNNNNNNNNNNNNNNNNNNNNNNNNNNNNNNNNNNNNNNNNNNNNNNNNNNNNNNNNNNNNNNNNNNNNNNNNNNNNNNNNNNNNNNNNNNNNNNNNNNNNNNNNNNNNNNNNNNNNNNNNNNNNNNNNNNNNNNNNNNNNNNNNNNNNNNNNNNNNNNNNNNNNNNNNNNNNNNNNNNNNNNNNNNNNNNNNNNNNNNNNNNNNNNNNNNNNNNNNNNNNNNNNNNNNNNNNNNNNNNNNNNNNNNNNNNNNNNNNNNNNNNNNNNNNNNNNNNNNNNNNNNNNNNNNNNNNNNNNNNNNNNNNNNNNNNNNNNNNNNNNNNNNNNNNNNNNNNNNNNNNNNNNNNNNNNNNNNNNNNNNNNNNNNNNNNNNNNNNNNNNNNNNNNNNNNNNNNNNNNNNNNNNNNNNNNNNNNNNNNNNNNNNNNNNNNNNNNNNNNNNNNNNNNNNNNNNNNNNNNNNNNNNNNNNNNNNNNNNNNNNNNNNNNNNNNNNNNNNNNNNNNNNNNNNNNNNNNNNNNNNNNNNNNNNNNNNNNNNNNNNNNNNNNNNNNNNNNNNNNNNNNNNNNNNNNNNNNNNNNNNNNNNNNNNNNNNNNNNNNNNNNNNNNNNNNNNNNNNNNNNNNNNNNNNNNNNNNNNNNNNNNNNNNNNNNNNNNNNNNNNNGUUAUUCAAAUUUCAGAUUCAAUUUUAAACUUUUGAUAUGUGCAUUGAAAGCUUAGACUUGUUUAAGAAAUUAUUAAUAGACACAUGUUUUAUUAGUGUCAUCUUUGGAUGAUAGUGAGGAUCAUGUGUCUAUUAAUAAUUCUUGAAUUGUCCAGGCUUGGACAGUUUUGGAAUGCAUAGUUCUCUCUGGUAGCUAGUGGCUGAAGUUUUUGUCCCACGUAAAAAUGGGUUUUUCGGUAGCUGCUCCUCGUGUUCUCUGAGUACGUACUAGGUGAAUGGGUGUCAUGUGUUUGUUUUGGCAAAACACAUAAACACUUAUAUAGGUAUGUCUAGUGCUUGGAGAGCUAUCAUUUCAUAAGAGAGUGUAUUGCAAGAAAAGAAGUGCAAAUCAAGUAUGUAAAAUCACAAGAUCAAGCAGCUGAUAGCUUCACUAAGCCACUCAAGCAAGAAGACUUUGUAAGAUUCAGAAGUUUGCUUGGUGUCACAGGAUCAAGUUUAAGGGGAGAUGUUGGAUCAUAAACUUGAUCCAAGAUGAAUAAAUCAAGCCCAACUCAUGGAAGGUUCCAUGAGUAUGUAUGGUUGGUGAGGUUUGAAUUAUUUGUGUUAGGUGUGUUAGGUGUGGUUGGUGAAGUAGGUGAGUGGUAGGUUUUAAUGGAUGGUGAGAAUUUGUUUAUUAGUUGAAUAAAUGAAUGGUUGUGAUUAGUUUUUUUCAUGUAUAAAUACCCCCUCUCCCCUUUGGUUUAAACAUCAAGUGAAGUAGCAAAAUCUCUAAGGUGUAGAGAGUGAAAAAUAAGAGUUGUAAUUGGUGAGGAGUGUUGUUGAAGAAAUAAAAUAGUGUGUUUUAUGUGAGUUUUAUUUAUUAAUUCUCCAACAUGUAAUUGGUGAUGAUUUUGCUGAGCUGACCUUGGUUUUGAGCUUGUAAUUUUGUUUGUAAAUGGAGUGCUUUCUCCAAUGUUGGUUUAUAAAAAUGUUUCAGGACUUGCCGACCUAAUUUUUGUUUCUGCUAGGUUACAGGCUUUAUAUAGCUGUAAUUGAUAGCCAAGUGAAGUUCUCAGCACUUGGCGAGGAUAUUUCUUUACAGAAGUAUUGGAAACUAUUUUUUACAUUAAUUAUUGUUGUCUAUAUACUUUGAUUUUCACAUCUUUUUCUCUGAUUCUUGUGGCUUUGCUUGCUUUCAUAUAUGUAAAUUCUAAUGAAAUUAACCAUAAAAUUGUAAAAUGAUCUUUUUAUCAUAUUGCAAAACUGUGCACACACGAAAAUAUUCUUGUUUAGUAGUACAAAUGAAAAACUAAAAUGAUUUAUUUAACUAAUAUUUGAGCGCAUUAAAAGGAGAUAGUCAUGGACAAGUGUUGGGUUGGUUUGCCAAAUAGAUAUCCAAGUCAUAUACUGAUGGGGUUGAAAAAUUUAUAAAUUUUGCAUUUUAGAAUGUUGUUGCUGGUACAAGAAUUUAUUGUCCUUUUAAGAAGUGUUAUAAUCUAUAUUUCGUUAUGAGGGAAGUGGCUGAUGAUGAUAUGGUUGGAAUGAUACACUGCAUCACAUAAUCAAAUGUUCAAGUUACACUCAACAUUGUUAUGGACUAUCAGUGACAUGAGUGAACUAGACUGAGAAUACCUUCAGUUAUUGAGCUAAGAAGCCAGCUGAGUAAUGUUUGAUCUUGAGAUCUCCAAAUUGUGUAUUCAGGAUUCUCGAUCUGUUGAGAAGAUCCAGCAGCUCCAGCAGUUGUUGCAGCAAAGCUUGAUGAUGCUAUAAAUCGAUUUGGUGCAAUCUUUUCUCCAUUAAUGUAUCCUUCAAGUCGAUUUCCUCUAAUGGAGGCCAGGACUUGAUUUUUCCAAAGCAUGUAGUUAGAUCUAUCUAAUUUGAUUGGUGUGAUGAAAGAAAAAGUUGUUUGAUUUGCAGCUACUGUAUUUUGAUUGUUUGUGAUUGCCAUGAUUGGCUCUGAUACCAUGAAGAAAUUGUAAAAAUGAAUAAAUGCUGUUGUUUGGCAGCUGAGAAAAUACAGAGGAAAAUUUUAUUUCAUUAAUGAAACUGAUAUUUUGUACAUAACAACAAUCACGAACAUGUAGCUAUUUAUACAUGCUUAUGUUCACUAACUAGUUGCUCACUAACUAAUUAUUAAUCACAAGCUCACUCAGCUAAUUAAUAACCAAACACAGAGUGUGCAUUGUGAAGUUAGUUAGGCUGGUAACUGCUGCUGACGUGGAUCUUCUGACGUGGCACUAAUGACAGCUGGUAACUUGACAUGCUGAUUCUUCUUCUUCACUUCUGCAUAAUGACAUAUCUUCACACCAGUCAAGAAGUUAUUUUCAGAUCCCAUACUUAACAAGACAUUACAAUCCCUUGCUGUUAAUAAUAAUUUGCAUCCUCUAUGAUCAUCGCCAAAAGGAAUUCCAACAGUCUCUAAAUCAAGAUAUUUCCAGAUGUUAUCCAGAAUCACAAGGAUCAUCUUCUCUUUCUUCAAUCGUUCAUAAAGUCUACUAGCUCUUCUAGAUUCAGCCUCCUCGGAAAACUCCAGACCUAGUUUCUCUGCAAUUUCCCCAUGAAUCUUUUUUAUGUCUGGAGUUUGGGAUACCUCUGAAAAAACCACCUGAUCAAAGAGUUUCUCUUCACUGGCUUGCCUUGCAAACUCCUUCACCAGUGUUGUCUUUCCAAUGCCGCCCAUGCCGUAUACCCCAACGAUGUUGACAUUGACAUCAGUCAAUGCAUCUUGUAUAGACUUCAGAGUAGAAAGUCUUGAUUUAAAGGCCUCGUAACCUUUGUUAGACUUUAGCCAUACCUCCUCCGCAAUGGUACGGUAGAAAAUUCUAUCAUCAAAUCUCCUAGCUUCUGAUGAGAUAUAAUUAGUAAUCUAGUAAAUUGAGCAAGAAGUUUGAAGGGUUAUUUGGUUUGUUUUUCAACGUGAAGUAAAGGGUAAAAUUGAUGUUUGCAAUGUGGCUUUGGAAAUGUAAAGCAUGAUUAAUGUAAUCUCCAGAGUUGUCUAUAAUGCAUAUAAAUAUAGAACUCUGGUUGUAUGAAAAGGAAGAGAGAAACGAAAAAAUGAAUUAAGCAAUAAAGUUUCAGAAAUUUCCAGCAAAAUACUCUGUUCUUAAAUAAAAAAAUUUCUGCACUUCCGCUUGCACCCAACAAAUUUGGUAUCAGAGCUUUUCAAAACACCCUCAAAAUGACAUCAAAUACCCUACCCACAUUAUUUUCAUAUGCUCCCAGUCAAGUUCCAAUAUUUGAAGGGGUACAUUAUGAAUAUUGGAGUAAUCAAAUAGAAACCUUUUUCCUCUCUCAAAAUUUAUGGGAUGUUGUUGAAGAUGGAUAUGCUGAACCACCAGAAUUUGCAAGUUCUUCAGAUUGGACUCCAGCACAUCAACAGCAGUACAAAGAAAACAUACAGAGAAAUGCCACGACACUUCGAUAUAUCUAGUAAGGUGUUAGUAAGUCAAUUUUCCCAGAAUAUUUGGUGUCAAAAAGGCCAAAAAUGCUUGGGAAAUCCUAAAACAAGAAUUUCAAGGUUCCGAAAAGGCAGUCACCAUCAAGUUACAAACUUUGUGGAAAGAGUUCAAUAAUUUAUCAAUGAAAGACAGUGAAGGAGUUCAAGAUUUUUGCAGUAGAGUUACUGAGAUUGUGAACCAGAUUAAAGGUUGCGGGGACUCCAUUGAAGACAAGAAGGUGAAUGAAAAGGUGCUGAGAUGUCUUCCUCCAAAUUUUGAUCAUGUAGCAGCAGCCAUUAAAGAAUCAAGGGAUUUGUCCAGGAUGACUUUUUCAGAUUUGUCAGGAUCAUUACGGUCUCAUGAGCAAAGAAUCAAUCGACCUUCAAGUCAGCCUACAGAGCAAGCUUUUCAGUCAAAGAUUAAUAAUUUAGAUCAGAAUAAAAGCAGCAAGAAAGACCAGAAGAACGGAGGCUCGUCUCAAAGAAACGGACAGCGUGGCAAAGGGAAAAGAGAAUAGAACGACAACCGCAACAAGUGGAAAAAUGACAGAGGGAAUUCACAGCAAAAUUCAGAUUCUCGGUGCAUCAUUUGUAAUUGGUCUAAUCAUGAAUUAAAAGAUUGUCGUUAUAAAUGCACAAGGUGUCGCAUUCCUAACCAUUCUCAAAGGGAUUGUUGGUAUCAAAAUAAAAAAGGCAAAAAUGAGGCAAAUUUUACAAAAGAAGGUGAUGGAGAUUACUUGUUUUAUUCAAGUAAAGGUACUGAACGUGAAUCAUAUAAUUUUUGGUACUUGGAUAGCGGCUGCAGCAACCACAUGACUAGAGAACGUGACAUUUUCAUCAGCCUUGACUAAAGUUUUAAUUCGCAAGUGAAGCUUGGAGAUGGAAAGAUGCAGAAAGCUGUGGGAAAAGGCACUAUUGCUGUCCAUACAAAGGGAGGUAACAAAAAGCUCAUUUCUGACGUUCUUUAUGUUCCAAAUUUAACUCAAAACCUCUUGAGUGUGGGACAGCUAAUUCAAAAGGGUUUUUCAAUUUAUUUUGAUGAUGAAAAAUGCAAAAUUAUUGAUAAAACUAAUAAUCACACAGUGGCCGUUGUUGAAAUGUCAAAGAACAAAGUUUUUCCUCUUGUUAUGCCACUUGAUGAGAAUGUUGCUCUCAAAACUGAAAAUUCAGAUUUGUCAACUUUAUGGCAUCUCAGAUAUGGCCAUUUAAACUAUAAAGGGCUGAAUUUGCUCAAGCAAAAGAACAUGGUGAUUGGCCUACCUGAUGUUGGAAGAUAUGAAAAAGUUUGCGAGGGCUGUAUUUAUGGAAAAAUGCAUAGACUUCCAUUUCCUAAAAAUUCAUGGAGAGCCAAAGCUCCGUUGGAGUUGGUGCAUGCUGAUAUUUGUGGUCCUACAAGGACUUUCUCUCUCAAUAACAGGAGAUAUUUCAUUCUUUUUGUUGUUGACUAUACAAGGAUGAUGUGGAUUUAUUUUUUGAAUGAAAAAUCAGAAGCUUUCUCAACUUUUCUUCAGUUUAAAGCUCUUGCAGAAAGGCAAAGUGGAUGCAAAAUGAAGACCUUGAGAACUGAUCGUGGUGGUAAAUUUAUCUACACUCCAUUCAUGAAUUAUUGCGGGGAUAAUGGAAUUCAAAGACAACUUACUGUCAGCCGAAGUCCACAACAAAACGGAGUCGCAGAACGGAAGAACCGUACCAUUGUAGAGAUGGCAAGAAGCAUGUUAAAAGGCAAAGGCAUUCCUAACAACUUAUGGGCAGAAGCAUGUCAUACAGCUGUGUACAUCCUCAACAGGUCUNNNNNNNNNNNNNNNNNNNNNNNNNNNNNNNNNNNNNNNNNNNNNNNNNNNNNNNNNNNNNNNNNNNNNNNNNNNNNNNNNNNNNNNNNNNNNNNNNNNNNNNNNNNNNNNNNNNNNNNNNNNNNNNNNNNNNNNNNNNNNNNNNNNNNNNNNNNNNNNNNNNAUAGUGAUGAGUCUAAAGGGUAUCGGUUGUUGAAUCCUACAACAAAUAAGCUUGUUAUCUCAAGAGAUGUUGUAUUUGAUGAGGCAUCAGCUUGGCAGUGGGAAAACGAUCAAUCUCAAGCAUCUAGCUUUUUUGAAGCUCCUGUAUCUCCACCAAAUUCUUCACAGCAAAAUAAUUUGGAACCAAAUUCUCCAAAUUCAGCAGCAGAAAGUUCUUCGGAUGAUGAAAGCCCUCCAAGGAAGAUAAAGUCAAUGAGAGAAAUUUAUGAGUCAUGUGAACUUGCUUUAUUUUCUUGUGAGCCUCAAGACUUUGAGGAGGCCUCAAGAAAUGAAGAUUGGAUCAAAGCAAUGAACGAGGAAAUGGCCACCAUUGUGAAAAAUAAAACUUGGGAGAUGGUUAAUUUGCCAAAUGGAAAAGAAACAAUUGGGCUGAAAUGGAUCUUCAAAAUCAAGUACAAUGAAGAUGGUUCAGUUCAAAAAUAUAAGGCGCGGCUCGUUGCCAAAGGAUACUCUCAGCUGCCUGGAGUUGAUUUUACAGAAACAUUUGCUCCCGUAGCUCGAAUGGAGACUAUUCGAACUGUUCUUGCCUUGGCAGCCCAAAUGGAAUUAAAUGUGUUUCAGCUAGAUGUAAAAUCGGCAUUUCUAAAUGGUGAAAUUGAAGACGAGGUUUAUGUUGAGCAGCCUAAAGGAGACUAAACGCAACNNNNNNNNNNNNNNNNNNNNNNNNNNNNNNNNNNNNNNNNNNNNNNNNNNNNNNNNNNNNNNNNNNNNNNNNNNNNNNNNNNNNNNNNNNNNNNNNNNNNNNNNNNNNNNNNNNNNNNNNNNNNNNNNNNNNNNNNNNNNNNNNNNNNNNNNNNNNNNNNNNNNNNNNNNNNNNNNNNNNNNNNNNNNNNNNNNNNNNNNNNNNNNNNNNNNNNNNNNNNNNNNNNNNNNNNNNNNNNNNNNNNNNNNNNNNNNNNNNNNNNNNNNNNNNNNNNNNNNNNNNNNNNNNNNNNNNNNNNNNNNNNNNNNNNNNNNNNNNNNNNNNNNNNNNNNNNNNNNNNNNNNNNNNNNNNNNNNNNNNNNNNNNNNNNNNNNNNNNNNNNNNNNNNNNNNNNNNNNNNNNNNNNNNNNNNNNNNNNNNNNNNNNNNNNNNNNNNNNNNNNNNNNNNNNNNNNNNNNNNNNNNNNNNNNNNNNNNNNNNNNNNNNNNNNNNNNNNNNNNNNNNNNNNNNNNNNNNNNNNNNNNNNNNNNNNNNNNNNNNNNNNNNNNNNNNNNNNNNNNNNNNNNNNNNNNNNNNNNNNNNNNNNNNNNNNNNNNNNNNNNNNNNNNNNNNNNNNNNNNNNNNNNNNNNNNNNNNNNNNNNNNNNNNNNNNNNNNNNNNNNNNNNNNNNNNNNNNNNNNNNNNNNNNNNNNNNNNNNNNNNNNNNNNNNNNNNNNNNNNNNNNNNNNNNNNNNNNNNNNNNNNNNNNNNNNNNNNNNNNNNNNNNNNNNNNNNNNNNNNNNNNNNNNNNNNNNNNNNNNNNNNNNNNNNNNNNNNNNNNNNNNNNNNNNNNNNNNNNNNNNNNNNNNNNNNNNNNNNNNNNNNNNNNNNNNNNNNNNNNNNNNNNNNNNNNNNNNNNNNNNNNNNNNNNNNNNNNNNNNNNNNNNNNNNNNNNNNNNNNNNNNNNNNNNNNNNNNNNNNNNNNNNNNNNNNNNNNNNNNNNNNNNNNNNNNNNNNNNNNNNNNNNNNNNNNNNNNNNNNNNNNNNNNNNNNNNNNNNNNNNNNNNNNNNNNNNNNNNNNNNNNNNNNNNNNNNNNNNNNNNNNNNNNNNNNNNNNNNNNNNNNNNNNNNNNNNNNNNNNNNNNNNNNNNNNNNNNNNNNNNNNNNNNNNNNNNNNNNNNNNNNNNNNNNNNNNNNNNNNNNNNNNNNNNNNNNNNNNNNNNNNNNNNNNNNNNNNNNNNNNNNNNNNNNNNNNNNNNNNNNNNNNNNNNNNNNNNNNNNNNNNNNNNNNNNNNNNNNNNNNNNNNNNNNNNNNNNNNNNNNNNNNNNNNNNNNNNNNNNNNNNNNNNNNNNNNNNNNNNNNNNNNNNNNNNNNNNNNNNNNNNNNNNNNNNNNNNNNNNNNNNNNNNNNNNNNNNNNNNNNNNNNNNNNNNNNNNNNNNNNNNNNNNNNNNNNNNNNNNNNNNNNNNNNNNNNNNNNNNNNNNNNNNNNNNNNNNNNNNNNNNNNNNNNNNNNNNNNNNNNNNNNNNNNNNNNNNNNNNNNNNNNNNNNNNNNNNNNNNNNNNNNNNNNNNNNNNNNNNNNNNNNNNNNNNNNNNNNNNNNNNNNNNNNNNNNNNNNNNNNNNNNNNNNNNNNNNNNNNNNNNNNNNNNNNNNNNNNNNNNNNNNNNNNNNNNNNNNNNNNNNNNNNNNNNNNNNNNNNNNNNNNNNNNNNNNNNNNNNNNNNNNNNNNNNNNNNNNNNNNNNNNNNNNNNNNNNNNNNNNNNNNNNNNNNNNNNNNNNNNNNNNNNNNNNNNNNNNNNNNNNNNNNNNNNNNNNNNNNNNNNNNNNNNNNNNNNNNNNNNNNNNNNNNNNNNNNNNNNNNNNNNNNNNNNNNNNNNNNNNNNNNNNNNNNNNNNNNNNNNNNNNNNNNNNNNNNNNNNNNNNNNNNNNNNNNNNNNNNNNNNNNNNNNNNNNNNNNNNNNNNNNNNNNNNNNNNNNNNNNNNNNNNNNNNNNNNNNNNNNNNNNNNNNNNNNNNNNNNNNNNNNNNNNNNNNNNNNNNNNNNNNNNNNNNNNNNNNNNNNNNNNNNNNNNNNNNNNNNNNNNNNNNNNNNNNNNNNNNNNNNNNNNNNNNNNNNNNNNNNNNNNNNNNNNNNNNNNNNNNNNNNNNNNNNNNNNNNNNNNNNNNNNNNNNNNNNNNNNNNNNNNNNNNNNNNNNNNNNNNNNNNNNNNNNNNNNNNNNNNNNNNNNNNNNNNNNNNNNNNNNNNNNNNNNNNNNNNNNNNNNNNNNNNNNNNNNNNNNNNNNNNNNNNNNNNNNNNNNNNNNNNNNNNNNNNNNNNNNNNNNNNNNNNNNNNNNNNNNNNNNNNNNNNNNNNNNNNNNNNNNNNNNNNNNNNNNNNNNNNNNNNNNNNNNNNNNNNNNNNNNNNNNNNNNNNNNNNNNNNNNNNNNNNNNNNNNNNNNNNNNNNNNNNNNNNNNNNNNNNNNNNNNNNNNNNNNNNNNNNNNNNNNNNNNNNNNNNNNNNNNNNNNNNNNNNNNNNNNNNNNNNNNNNNNNNNNNNNNNNNNNNNNNNNNNNNNNNNNNNNNNNNNNNNNNNNNNNNNNNNNNNNNNNNNNNNNNNNNNNNNNNNNNNNNNNNNNNNNNNNNNNNNNNNNNNNNNNNNNNNNNNNNNNNNNNNNNNNNNNNNNNNNNNNNNNNNNNNNNNNNNNNNNNNNNNNNNNNNNNNNNNNNNNNNNNNNNNNNNNNNNNNNNNNNNNNNNNNNNNNNNNNNNNNNNNNNNNNNNNNNNNNNNNNNNNNNNNNNNNNNNNNNNNNNNNNNNNNNNNNNNNNNNNNNNNNNNNNNNNNNNNNNNNNNNNNNNNNNNNNNNNNNNNNNNNNNNNNNNNNNNNNNNNNNNNNNNNNNNNNNNNNNNNNNNNNNNNNNNNNNNNNNNNNNNNNNNNNNNNNNNNNNNNNNNNNNNNNNNNNNNNNNNNNNNNNNNNNNNNNNNNNNNNNNNNNNNNNNNNNNNNNNNNNNNNNNNNNNNNNNNNNNNNNNNNNNNNNNNNNNNNNNNNNNNNNNNNNNNNNNNNNNNNNNNNNNNNNNNNNNNNNNNNNNNNNNNNNNNNNNNNNNNNNNNNNNNNNNNNNNNNNNNNNNNNNNNNNNNNNNNNNNNNNNNNNNNNNNNNNNNNNNNNNNNNNNNNNNNNNNNNNNNNNNNNNNNNNNNNNNNNNNNNNNNNNNNNNNNNNNNNNNNNNNNNNNNNNNNNNNNNNNNNNNNNNNNNNNNNNNNNNNNNNNNNNNNNNNNNNNNNNNNNNNNNNNNNNNNNNNNNNNNNNNNNNNNNNNNNNNNNNNNNNNNNNNNNNNNNNNNNNNNNNNNNNNNNNNNNNNNNNNNNNNNNNNNNNNNNNNNNNNNNNNNNNNNNNNNNNNNNNNNNNNNNNNNNNNNNNNNNNNNNNNNNNNNNNNNNNNNNNNNNNNNNNNNNNNNNNNNNNNNNNNNNNNNNNNNNNNNNNNNNNNNNNNNNNNNNNNNNNNNNNNNNNNNNNNNNNNNNNNNNNNNNNNNNNNNNNNNNNNNNNNNNNNNNNNNNNNNNNNNNNNNNNNNNNNNNNNNNNNNNNNNNNNNNNNNNNNNNNNNNNNNNNNNNNNNNNNNNNNNNNNNNNNNNNNNNNNNNNNNNNNNNNNNNNNNNNNNNNNNNNNNNNNNNNNNNNNNNNNNNNNNNNNNNNNNNNNNNNNNNNNNNNNNNNNNNNNNNNNNNNNNNNNNNNNNNNNNNNNNNNNNNNNNNNNNNNNNNNNNNNNNNNNNNNNNNNNNNNNNNNNNNNNNNNNNNNNNNNNNNNNNNNNNNNNNNNNNNNNNNNNNNNNNNNNNNNNNNNNNNNNNNNNNNNNNNNNNNNNNNNNNNNNNNNNNNNNNNNNNNNNNNNNNNNNNNNNNNNNNNNNNNNNNNNNNNNNNNNNNNNNNNNNNNNNNNNNNNNNNNNNNNNNNNNNNNNNNNNNNNNNNNNNNNNNNNNNNNNNNNNNNNNNNNNNNNNNNNNNNNNNNNNNNNNNNNNNNNNNNNNNNNNNNNNNNNNNNNNNNNNNNNNNNNNNNNNNNNNNNNNNNNNNNNNNNNNNNNNNNNNNNNNNNNNNNNNNNNNNNNNNNNNNNNNNNNNNNNNNNNNNNNNNNNNNNNNNNNNNNNNNNNCUCAAGGAUUUGCAGUUCAAUCAAGAUGCUGCAACAACAAUUUAUUGUGACAACAUGUCAGCCAUUGCUCUAACAAAGAACCCCGUAUUUCAUGCUAAAUCUAAGCACAUUGAGCUGCGUUAUCACUACAUCCGUGACUUAGUAAGCAAAGGAGAAGUUAAUAUGGAGUUUAUCAACACUAAUGAGCAGCCAGCAGAUUUUGUCACGUGGGUCACCGUCGAUUUUUACCAACAAAUCAUAGGUUUCGAAAAUAUAGUGUCUUUUGAUAAAACUAGAGAGUAGGGACAAGCACCUUCUCGGUUGUCUGGAACUGAAGUGAAAAAGCAGUUUAAUAUAGUUACUGAGUAUAAGAUUGAAGACUUGAAAAGAGGAGAACGAAUAAAAUGAGAGAAAUGAUAAGAUUACCUGGAAGAAGAACAGCAUUUUUUAUGAACUAACGUAUUGGUUUUUGAUAUCAUGAUCUUGAUAUCAUGCACUGUUUUGAUUUUUGUUAUGAACUCAGAUCAAAAGUUUAAUGUGAUCAAAAUUUCUUAAAAAUAGUGACAACGACUCCUCCUAAUAACAUUGAAGAUGGCUAUAAAAGAUAAAAGGAAAGGAUUAAAAAGAAAAGCUACGCCUGUUUCAAAAAAAAAAAUGGCGGCAUCAAGUUUAUAACAAAAAUCAAAACGGUGCGUUUGAAAGUGUAUAAAAUACAUUUAGAGCGGGAGUUGCGUUGUUUCUUGAAGGCAGAAUGUUUGUGAGAUUUUUGUCGACGAAGCCAAAACCAAAGAUGAAGCCCAUAGAGCUCAAAACUCCACCGGAGCAAAUUCAGACAAUUACGAGGGUUAUAUUUGACAUGGUCAAGGAAGACGGUCCUCUCACCGUCGCCGAUUCUUGGGAACGCGUCAAGGUGUGUGUAUCUGUUAAAUUGAAUUUCAACCGUUUGGUCUGUAAUUAUAAUUAAUCCUAUCGAUCUGACAGUGAUGAUUGAUCAUAAUACUAGUAGUUGUUUUACAUUUUCUACAAGCUGGAGUGAGUGGAUUGACGGGCAAAAGCCACNNNNNNNNNNNNNNNNNNNNNNNNNNNNNNNNNNNNNNNNNNNNNNNNNNNNNNNNNNNNNNNNNNNNNNNNNNNNNNNNNNNNNNNNNNNNNNNNNNNNNNNNNNNNNNNNNNNNNNNNNNNNNNNNNNNNNNNNNNNNNNNNNNNNNNNNNNNNNNNNNNNNNNNNNNNNNNNNNNNNNNNNNNNNNNNNNNNNNNNNNNNNNNNNNNNNNNNNNNNNNNNNNNNNNNNNNNNNNNNNNNNNNNNNNNNNNNNNNNNNNNNNNNNNNNNNNNNNNNNNNNNNNNNNNNNNNNNNNNNNNNNNNNNNNNNNNNNNNNNNNNNNNNNNNNNNNNNNNNNNNNNNNNNNNNNNNNNNNNNNNNNNNNNNNNNNNNNNNNNNNNNNNNNNNNNNNNNNNNNNNNNNNNNNNNNNNNNNNNNNNNNNNNNNNNNNNNNNNNNNNNNNNNNNNNNNNNNNNNNNNNNNNNNNNNNNNNNNNNNNNNNNNNNNNNNNNNNNNNNNNNNNNNNNNNNNNNNNNNNNNNNNNNNNNNNNNNNNNNNNNNNNNNNNNNNNNNNNNNNNNNNNNNNNNNNNNNNNNNNNNNNNNNNNNNNNNNNNNNNNNNNNNNNNNNNNNNNNNNNNNNNNNNNNNNNNNNNNNNNNNNNNNNNNNNNNNNNNNNNNNNNNNNNNNNNNNNNNNNNNNNNNNNNNNNNNNNNNNNNNNNNNNNNNNNNNNNNNNNNNNNNNNNNNNNNNNNNNNNNNNNNNNNNNNNNNNNNNNNNNNNNNNNNNNNNNNNNNNNNNNNNNNNNNNNNNNNNNNNNNNNNNNNNNNNNNNNNNNNNNNNNNNNNNNNNNNNNNNNNNNNNNNNNNNNNNCAAGCCACAUGAAGAUUGUGUAGAGAUGGAUGAGGGAGAGACAAAAGCUCAGGCUCGUCUGCAACCAUGUGGGCCCUCAUUAGCAACUCCUGUACACAGCUUGGCUUACCAAGCCCAACAACUUGAAGCAGGCAAAGUCAGGGAAUGACCAUUCCCCUUCACAACCCUAGCUGCCUUAACCUUGUAUCUCUGAUAUUUAGUUAAAGAGUAAGAAGAUUGCUCCUCUGUCAAUUACCUUUAAGAGAGACUUUCUUUCUCAUUCAUUGAUGCUUGCUUGUGAACGCAAGGGUUUUAGUUACACUUUCAACGCUGUCAAUGUAGUGACACGAUGAAGAUGAAGUAAAGCAGUAGUAGAAUAAUGAAGUUGGAAGCCCCACAGCAUGAAAACUUUUAAACAGUAACACAUCUUUUAUUCCAGAGGCUGCACACGAGUGACCUGAAUCUUCUUCAGAACUUUCAAAUUUUAUUAAGCAAAGCUUUCAAAAUUUCUCAACAAAAUGAUUAUUUGGUGUGGUUGCGGCAUUUUGAGUAACUGCGAUUUGUUCUCAAGUACAAAAUCCUUGCCUUCCUAAGUUAGAAAAGAUAGAUGUGAAGCAAACCAAAUGAAAUAAAUGGGUAAACAGAACAAACAGGGCGAAAAUUAAAAAUGAUGGCAAUUAACAAAUUAAUAGCAACGUUACAUUUGACUCUUUAGCCCUUUGUUCCUUCUCUUAGCAUUCUUCAAAGUUUUUGAAAAUUGGAAGUGAAGCAAACAAAAUAAAAUAAAUUUAGACAACACAUGCCCUGUAUUCAGCAUCAUAUAUAUCUCGAAGACUAGAAUUUCAAACAGUACUAGUAGUAAAAAAAUGACGACAACAACAAAAAUAGAAAAUUACAAGACUGCUGAUAAAAUUUCAUUUGCAUGCAUGUCUGACAAAAUUUCCGUGAUUUAAUGUGCCUUCAUGCACGCAAAUCCUAACGUUUCUGUGAUCACAAAAUGAAACUGGAGAUAAAUCAGAACACCUACCAAACCUUUGGCUGAAAAUUCAGAAGAAUUUAUAUUCAAGAUGUCAAAGUAAACUGGAAAUUUAUGGCACAUAUUACAAGAAGCAGUACACACCAAUGGUAAAUUGAUUCAUCGUCUUUGAACUUAAGAUAGUCAAAUGAAAGAAACACAACGGAGGGUUAAUGCAAUACAGUAAAGUGAAAACCCUCAGCAUGUAAACUUAACUUCAAAGAACGGAGCACAAGUUUCACAGAAAAGUAGCUCUUAUUCCUGAUGCUGCAAACACAGAGGAGUGUUCUCAAUCUUCUUCAUAACUUGGGAAUUCUGCAAUUAUAGAGCACGACAUUGAGCACGAACUAAAAAAAAAAAUUAUUUUCUACAAUUUUCAUAUAACCUGACUAACCAAUAUUAAUUUUGUGGUAAUGUAUUGGGUCAUUAAUUCAUAUGUUUUUACAAUCAUCACUUUAGAAAAAAACUAAUUUCUCAAUGUGAAAUGGCCCAUUGAAAGUAUUCUCAUUUAAAAACUAAAUUUGACGGACCCCUCGAUUAAAGCAGGGAAAAAAAAAAAAGAGAUCUGAGGCUUUCCACAUGAAAAUGUUGUUUGUCACUUUGAAUGAUAUUUUGAAGGGAUUUCAUUCUAAAAAUAAAAUACCUGGGACCUCAUUCUUCAAAAUUGACAACUCGCCAGGUAUUAAAAGCGUAUGAGAUCAGUACUGCGACGAGUAAGAAGACGACCCCUCUAACAGCUGAAAACAAAAUUCGCAUUCAUCAAUUUAAAUUAAAAUUCAUAUUAUGAAACUAAAACUAAUGAUUAAUGAAUUUUCGAGGAAUUUAAUAAGAUUCUCAGAUAUAAACGUGAUAACAAAUUCACUCAUCAAUAACAAAUAUUCUAACAGUUGUCCGUACCUUUUCUUGAUGUAAUUGUUGUAUGAUUGCGUUAAGGUCAUUAUUAGACCAACGCAGGUUGUCCUCUCUCUGUCCGUACCGGAAGUUUACUCUGACAGGCGUGCUUAAUUCUCUUUUGGUGAAAAUCUUCAUCUUGGGACAACCAAUCACAGCAAGAUCUUCCAAAGAUGGGAAUUUGAAGGUGUAAUUGACAGAGGAGAAGCUUGUGAGACUAUCUAAAUCAAAGAGGGACAACGUAGUCAGUUUGCUGAAAACAAUCUCUUCUUUUAAAUUUGCUGUUUCAUCUUCGUCACUUAUUACGACUUCUGUGAUUGCUCUGCAUCCAAAUACACCCAAUGAUACGAGUCGGUCUAGACUUUUUGCUGUGGAGGAUGUUAGUAAGUUCAUCAAUUUCUUGCAAGCAAAAGCUUGCAGGCGUGUGAGAUUCCGAAAAGAUACCGAUGAUGAUGGCAAUGUUGGAACAUUUUCAAAAUAAAUGUGUCUUAUGGUAAAGACAUGUCCUAUUAAUUGUGCCUUAUAGAAAAUGUACCUUUCACUAAAGACAUGUCUAAUUAAAUGAUGUCUUGUUGUAAGGACAUGUCCAUUUAAUUGUGUCUUGUAGAAAAUGUAUCUUUUUACUAAAUGAUGUAACUUUUCAUGACAACAUUUCACUUAGAGAUGCAUCAUUUCAUGGUGACAUUUCAUUUGAAAUUGUGAUGAUUCAAUUUGGACCAUUGAUUAAAAUCAAAUCUAGAUCCAAUGGCCAUGAAUGAAGGGGUAUCAUGAAAGAUGACAACCCAAAUGAGGGGGCACAAGUAUAUCUAUAAAUAGGGAUCAUGUUUAAGCCAUUUAGACAUGAAAUAAAUGAUCCUACACCACUCUUUUCUUAGCAUUCUUUUCUAGUACGAAUUUCAACACAAAACACCCAUUUCUUUUGUGCAUUCACAUUCCAAUAUAUUGUUUUCUGCAGGAACAAUAUAUUGUUUCUUGGCAGGCUUGCAACAUUCAAGAGUAUUCUGGUUUGCUUUCGUCGAUGCACAGCGCAAGCAAACAAACAAGUGCUUCAUUGUAUCCUGGAGGCGUAUUUGCUUAACCUAUGUGCAUCACUCAAUUGGUGGGGGCAAAUAACGUCUUAAGGAAAGCGACAUUUGUAACGUGCCUUGAAGCACACAAAAUUUCUGCAGUUUCUUCCUAUAUACAGAGUUAGUUGUAAACACAUUACUUUACAUAAUAAAGUUCCACCAUUAUUGUUGUAUUUUUCUACAUUUGCCAUUCCCCAAAAAUUUUACCACCAACAAUCUUAAGACGUUAUUUCUACAACAAUGGCACCAAGUUCAUCUCUUCGACAAUUCACAGUAGAUUUUGUCAAAUUGGAGCGGUUCGAUGGUGGCAACUUUAUUCGUUGGCAGAAAAAGUUGCAUUUCUUGUUGACAAGCAUCAAUGUGGUCUAUGUUCUCACAACACCAAAGCCUCAAGAACGUGAGAAUGAGACAUUAGCGGAAACCAGAGUGCAACAUAAGUGGGAGCAAGAUGACUACGUGUGUAAGGGACACAUUUGCAAUGCCAUGUCUGAUACUUUGUUUGAUCAAUAUCACAACAAACCUACAGCAAAAGAGAUAUGGGACUCAUUAGAGGCUAAGUACAUGAUGGAAGAUGCCACAAGUAAGAAAUUAUUGGCUUCUAAAUUUUUUAAUUAUAGAAUGGUUGAUAAUAGAAUUGUGGUUGAACAACAUAAUGAGAUUUUGCAUAUUCUUGAUCAAUUCAACCAACAUAACAUGAAAAUGGAUGAGUCUAUUAUUGUCUCUUCAAUUAUUGAUAAACUUCCUCCCUCUUGGAAAGACUAUAAGAAAAGUCUUAAACAUAACAAAGAGGAAAUUAGUCUGGAUGGCUUAGGCCAAAGUCUUCGCAUUGAAGAGGAACUCAAGCUUAAUAGUUUUGAGGAUCAGACUACUACGUCCUCUAAAAUUAAUGUCGUAGAGGAAGGGAAGGAGUUUAAACAUUCUAAUCACCCUAAGAAUAAUCAAAAGAGAAAGUUUGAUUCCAAAGAGAAUCAAAACAAUAAGAAGAAAAAGAAGGGUACAUGCCACCACUGCGGAAAACCUGGCCACUUCAAAAGAGAUUGUCGACUUCUGAAGAAACAAAAGAAAGUUUCGAACACAAAUUUUGUGGCCAUGAUAUCUGAGAUUAAUGUUCUUGAAGAUGAUAAUGCAUGGUGGAUAGAUUCAGGUGCAACCAAGCAUGUAUGCAAGGAUCGUAGCCUUUUCAAAUCUUAUAAAGCAAUGGAUGAUGGAAGUGUUCUUUACAUGGGAAAUUCCUCCACUGCAAUAGUUAAAGGAAAAGGCAAUGUGCAACUAGAGUUUACUUCUGGAAAAACUUUAACUCUUAUUGAUGUUUAUCAUGUUCCUGAAGUUAGGAAAAACCUUGUAUCUGGUAGCCUUCUUAAUAAGUUUGGCUUCAAACUUGUUUUUGAGUCAAACCAAUUUAUAUUAUCUAAGGGUGGUACCUUUGUUGGGAAAGGAUACAUGUAUGAAGGAAUGUUUAAACUCAAUAUCAAUAAUAUGAAUGUUUCUUCUGCUUAUAUGGUUGAUUCAUUAUCUUUGUGGCAUAAUCGUUUAGGACAUGUGAAUAUUAGAAGAUUGCAUGAUAUGGCUAAUUUAGAGUUAAUUCCUAAGCAUGAAAAUGAUAUGCAUGAAAAAUGUAAAGUAUGUGCACAGACUAAAAUCACAAGAUCUCCUUUUCCAAAAAUUGAAAAAACAUCUUCUUUAUUGCAUUUAAUUCAUAGCGAUGUGUGUGAUAUGCAUAGUAAUCCUUCUAAAUGUGGUAAAAAAUAUUUUGUAACAUUUAUUGAUGAUUUUUCAAAAUAUUGCUAUGUGUAUUUAUUACAUUCUAAAGAUCAAGUGUUAGAAAAAUUUAAAACUUAUAAAAAUGAAGUUGAGAAUUUUUGUGACACUAAAAUUAAAUGCCUUAGAAGUGAUAAAGGAGGUGAAUAUGCUUUUUCUGAAUUUUGUGAAUCUGUUGGCAUUGUACAUGAAACUAGCACUGCAUGUACUCCACAACAAAAUGGCGUAGCUGAAAGGAAAAAUAGGACAUUAAUAGAAAUGGUUAAUGCUAUGCUUUUUAAUGCUGGGCUUGGUAAAGGUUUUUGGGGUGAAGCUAUUUUAACUGCAUGUCAUAUCUUAAAUAGAGUGCCUAAUAAGAAAACAAAGGUGACCCCAUAUGAAUUAUGGAAAAAGAGAAAGCCUAAUCUUUCUUAUCUAAGAGUUUGGGGUUGUCGAGCCAUUGUAAGACUACCAAAACCUAAGAUAAAGAAAUUAGGAGAAAGGGGCAUUGAAUGCAUAUUCUUGGGAUAUGCUGAGCAUAGUAAAGCUUAUAGGUUUCUUGUAACAGAACCUAAUAGCUUUGUUGAGAUCAAUACUAUAGUGGAAUCUAGAGAUGCAAUAUUAUAUGAAAAUAGAUUUUCCACUAUACCAAAAAGUAUUGAUUCUCAAGAGAAUGAUAAACAAAUAGAAAUUGGUCAAAAGCGUGAUGCUAAUAAUGAGCAAAAUCAUUUGAGAAGAAGUAAAAGAAUAAGGACUAUAAAAUCUUUUCCAGAUUUUAUAGUCUAUUUAGUUGAAGGGACAAGAGACUCACAAUCAAAACAGACCAUGAUCGUAUCUACUAUAGAGUCUGAUCCCCUCACCUAUGAAGAUGCAAUGAAGUCUCAAGAUGCUGCUUUUUGGAAAGAGGCCAUUAAUGAUGAAAUGGACUCUAUUGUGGGUAAUAAGACUUGGAAAUUAGUUGAUUUACCACCUGGCUCUAAUCCUAUAGGUUGUAAAUGGAUUUUCAAAAAGAAGAAGAAAGUUGAUGGAACAAUUGAAAGAUUUAAAGCAAGACUAGUAGCAAAAGGCUUUACACAAAAAGAAGGCCUUGAUUAUUUUGAUACUUAUGCACCUGUUGCAAGAAUUGCUACUAUUAGAGUCUUGAUUGCUUUGGCUUCAAUUUAUCAAUUUGAAAUCCAUCAAAUGGAUGUAAAAACAGCUUUCUUAAAUGGAGAAUUAGAUGAGGAAAUUUACAUGAAACAACCAGAAGGGUUUGUUAUGCCAGGACAAGAACAUAAAGUUUGUAAACUAGUCAAGUCUUUAUAUGGUCUUAAACAAGCUCCAAAGCAGUGGCACGAAAAGUUUGACAAAGUGAUUGUCUCAAAUGGAUUUAAUAUUCAUGAAUCUGAUAAAUGUGUCUAUAGCAGAUUCAAUGGAAAUAAAGGUGUGAUUAUUUGUUUAUAUGUAGAUGACAUGUUAAUUUUUGGUAUUGAUAGUGAGAGCAUUGAACUCACUAAAUUAUUAUUGUCAUCUAAUUUUGAUAUGAAAGACAUGAGACUUGCUGAUGUGAUUUUGGGGAUUAAAAUUAUAAAAAAUGAGAAUGGCCUAGUAUUGACCCAAUCACAUUAUAUUGAGAAAAUUUUAAAGAAAUUUAAUUAUUAUGAUUGUAAGUCUGUGUCAACACCUUUUGAUUCAAACAUAAGACUGUAUCCUAACACUGGCAUAUCAGUAUCUCAAUUAGAAUAUGCACGUAUUAUUGGGUGUUUUAUGUAUGCGAUGACUUGUACUAGGCCUGAUAUUGCUUUCGCUAUUGGAAAGCUCAGUAGAUAUACUAGUAAUCCAAGCCAAGCACACUGGCAAGCAGUGUACAAAAUUCUAAAAUAUUUAAAACAUACAAUGGAUUAUGGUAUAUACUACACUGGAUAUCCUUCAGUUUUGGAAGGAUUUUCAGAUGCUAGUUGGAUUACUGAUCGAGAUGAUCAUACAUCCACAAGUGGUUGGAUUUUUAAUCUUGGUGGAGGAGCUAUUUCAUGGGGUUCAAAGAAGUAAACUUGUAUAGCAGACUCCACCAUGGCUGCAGAAUUUGUAGCGUUGGCUUCAUGUUGCAAGGAAGCUGAAUGGUUAAGGAAUUUGCUUAUAGAAAUUCCUAUUUGGCCUAAACCAAUGCCUCCUGUAUCUAUUCACUGUGAUAGUGAGGCAACUUUAUCAAGAGCAUAUAGUCAAAUCUAUAAUGGAAAGUCUAGGCACAUUGGUCUGAGACAUAGUUAUGUAAGACAAUUACUUACAGAUGGAGUAAUCACAAUUGACUUUGUGAAAUCAUGCCAAAAUUUGGCAGACCCCUUAACUAAAGGUCUUGCAAGGGAUAUUGUAUUUAAAACUUCUAAGGGGAUGGGACUGAAGCCAACAUCAUCUUAUCACCAAUGAUGGAAACUCAACCCAACACUUGAAAUAUCAAGAUCUUGGGUUCAAUGAGCAAAAGUACAUCAUAUGUUGUGAUAGGAAGCACUAUAAUAUUUUUAGAUGCGUCCCAAAGGUUAGUGCUUGAUACUUGUAACAUAUGGGAAAGGUUAAGCUACUUAGCUUUUAAUGGACUUAUAAAUGUUUUAGUUACAGGGACAUUCUAGAUAAGUCUACCUAUGUGAGUGUAUGAGGUGGUGCCGCUUCCUAUGUAACUUGGCUGGUUACUAAAGCGCUAAUGAAAACAGGAUAUAGACACAGGGCCAAUCCACGUGUCGGCUAAGGAAUACUUGAGAAUUUGAAAACUUAUGUGUGAGGUAUAUCCGGUUAGUCGAUUAAGGUCGCUGGUUCAAAGCUUGCCUACCAUGCCACCUUGAUUAACUUUGAUGUAUUGUCACUAAGUGAAGGUUCAAGUCCACAAGACACCUUCAUCUAUGCAUAAGUUUUCCAAGCCUGUGUAAGAUAAUUUUUCAAAAUUCAUUUAUUUUGAAAAUGGUGGGGGAUUGUUGGAACAUUUUCAAAAUAAAUGUGUCUUAUGGUAAAGACAUGUCCUAUUAAUUGUGCCUUAUAGAAAAUGUACCUUUCACUAAAGACAUGUCUAAUUAAAUGAUGUUUUGUUGUAAGGACAUGUCCAUUUAAUUGUGUCUUGUAGAAAAGGUAUCUUUUUACUAAAUGAUGUAACUUUUCAUGACAACAUUUCACUUAGAGAUGCAUCAUUUCAUGGUGACAUUUCAUUUGAAAUGGUGAUGAUUCAAUUUGGACCAUUGAUUAAAAUCAAAUCUAGAUCCAAUGGCCAUGAAUGAAGGGGUAUCAUGAAAGAUGACAACCCAAAUGAGGGGGCACAAAUAUAUCUAUAAAUAGGGAUCAUGUUUAAGCCAUUUAGACAUGAAAUAAAUGAUCCUACACCACUCUUUUCUUAGCAUUCUUUUCUAGUACGAAUUUCAACACAAAACACCCAUUUCUUUUGUGCAUUCACAUUCCAAUAUAUUGUUUUCUGCAGGAACAAUAUAUUGUUUCUUGGCAGGCUUGCAACAUUCAAGAGUAUUCUGGUUUGCUUUCGUCGAUGCACAACGCAAGCAAACAAACAAGUGUUUCAUUGUAUCCUGGAGGCGUAUUUGCUUAACCUAUGUGCAUCACUCAAUUAGUGGGGGCAAAUAACGUCUUAAGGAAAUCGACAUUUGUAACGUGCCUUGAAGCACACAAAAUUUCUGCAGUUUCUUCCUAUAUACAGAGUUAGUUGUAAACACAUUACUUUACAUAAUAAAGUUCCACCAUUAUUGUUGUAUUUUUCUACAUUUGCCAUUCCCCACAAAUUUUACCACCAACAGGCAAUAGACUUAACAGAUUUUGACAGUGAUAUGCUCUUAGAAUUUCAAGAUGUUGAAAAAUGAAGUCCGGCUGUUUGGAAUCGUGUUUCCACAGUUGCUGUAGAUGAUUAAGUCUUGUCAGGUGUAACUCUUUUAUCAGUGCUAGCUUCCUCGCAUGUGUCUCCAAAUACCACUUCGUACGAACAAUCCGACAGGUGGAGAAAUUCCAGAUUGUGAAACCUCUCAAGUAAACCAAGUGGAAAGAAAGCUAAGUCAUCAUCCUCAACCUGUAGUCGUUUGAGACUGCCAAAGAUGUGUUGGGGGAAAUGGCCUUGCAAAAUCAUCGUGAUAUCUUUUCCACUUAAUGCCAGUUCCUCCAAGUUGGGUAAGAUCUGAUCAUCAUCGAGCUCAAAUUAUUAACUCAGCACAUUGAUCCAUAAUUCAAGACUGGCAAAAUUCAUUAUGUAAUCAAAGUUUUCAAUGAUUAUAUAUAUAUAUAUAUAGUGCUUUCGUUGGAAUUAAUUAUUAAAAGCUUUAAUCAAACAAUGUUUGGAUUGGGUCGGCCUAUCCAACUUUUAAAUAAGAUUACCAACUUUAAAUUAAAAUUGCUUUAGAUCGCGGUUGGUCAGGUUUUAGUGGAGGUACGUGGCGUUGUAUCUAGAUCGAUGCAGAGCCAAGUCUGUCCUUUGGAACCAGAUCUGACUUAGGACAGAUCAAUAUUCCGCACGCUCUAGUUUCCAGCCGAUAUACCAAUAUUAUUUACCAAAUAUUUAUUAAGUUCUUUAGUCAAGCCUAGCAACAACAUUCAUCUAAAGGCUUGGGUGCAUACACAGUACUAUUUCCUUCUGGUAUCAGAGCCAAGGGGAGGAUAGUGUAAUACAGUUUAGAGUUUUGUGUUUAAAGACUUGUGUUUUAUUUUGAAGUUUUGUUGUGUGGUGAAUUUUUACUGGUAGUAAGUCCCGUCCAAGGAUAAGUUUUUCGUUUAGGGCUGUAAAACCAUACCUGUAGCCAUUCUGACCAAACCAUAAAUAGACCAUAGGUUUGUAACCAUGGAUCCUCUACUCUGUAGAACAUCGUCCUUUUCUAGCUCUUCUUCCGGGAAGACUAGUGAUUCAAAGCAUGUUGUGAGUUCAGAAGAAUUCGUUAUUGAGAACUUUGAUAAAGCAAUUGAUUGUUGGGAACUUCCAAAAGUUUCUAAAGAAAAGAUUUACAAAACAAAAAAGCUUGAUUUUCUAAAAAAUGAUUAUGUAAUAAAGACUGAAGAAAGAGACAUAACUCUCUCAGAACCUUUUGAAACAAUUCAUUUGUUUUCAGAAAAAUCUUUAAAGAAAUUAAGAGAAAAGAAUUAUAAUUAUAUUCACAUUGGUUUAAUCCAAGUUGGAAUAAAACCUUUGACCAAAGAAGGCUUGGAUACUUCUAUCCUUACUGUCCUUAGAGAUGGGCGAUUCAUCUCUUUUGAUGAUUCUUUGCUAAGUAGCAUCGAAUCCAGUCUUUGUAAAUGUCCGAUCUCUUUUGAUUGUUAUCCAAACAUAACAAUUUCUCUUAAAGAUAAAAACAUUUUGAAAAACAUGAUCUUACAAAUCAAAACGCAUAAUUAUAAUAUGAUUAAGGGAUCUGUCCCAGUUGCCUUAAUUUUCAAAAUUUCUUAUAAAGCCAUGAUCUUUGCGUUCAGUACGCAACACAAAUUCCAGUCAGAAAGAGAUGAAACUCUUCUCUUGCAGACUGAUAUGUCUAAAGCCAAUACUGUCAUUCCAAAACCAAUCUAGUGGAAAGAUGUCAAUCUUCCAGAAGAAUGGAUUCUUGAAGGAGCUGCUCCACCAGCAAUUCCAAAACAACUUGAACCUAAUACGGAGUUGCAAAAAGUGACUCAGUAUUCUGAUGGUAGAGUUAAACUGUCUUUCAGGAGAUCUAACUCAACCAGAUUUUCUGAUAAAGAGUCGUGUUCAAGUAUUCCUUCAUUAGAAAGGAAAUUCACAAAAAUCCCUUCUGUCAUAAAUCUUCAUUUUCAAAGUCAACCUAGGUUUUCCACUUCGGCUAUACCUAGUUCUUCCAUUUGUUCUGUUGACUAUACUACAAACAUUCCUCAUCCUAUUUAUACUAGCAGUCAACAUGAACAAAGAUAGGAAGAGAAGUAACCUUCUCCUCCAACUUCCCCUACAUUCUCUGUUGUCACAGAAAAUGUAAUUAAUGUUAUUGAAAAAGAAUUUGAACUGGAUAAAACUCUCCUUCAUAAUGAUUUUUAUUCAGAUAAUAAUAAAGAAAAGAGACUUUGGUUUUUUAAACAUUUUUUAAAUCAAAGAAAAGAAAUCCAACAAUUUUAUUAUGAAUUUGUGAACCUUCACCAAGUUCAUAUAUUAUUUUUUGAUUGGUUCGAAAUACAUUCUUCUGAUAAUAACAUUUCUUACCCCUUCAAAGAGUCAAACCCUAUUACUAUUAGGAAGAAAACCACUGAAUGGAAACUUUCUGAUAGUGAUAAAACCAUAGAAUCUGAGCAUCCACCUCUUCGGAGCAUAACCGUUGAUCACGGCGAACCUCCUAUUCAAAUUAGAGCUUCACCUUAUAAAAUCCCUAAACCAAAUGAUUCUGAUGCAAAUUUAAGUAGUAUUAUUCAACAGAAUAAUUUCUGUAAUACUAACUUAAAUACAAUAGGAAAACAGUUGACUAGAAUAGAAAACCAAUUCCAACAGUCAACCAUAGCUAUUUCUCCUGUAGCAAAGCCAAUUCCUUCAAAAUCGGAUUCUGAUAAAAAGCUUAAGGAACCUAUUUUCAAACCUUUUCAGGUUUCGAAAACUAGCCAAAAGCUUGUCCAAGAAUCAAAAUCAGAUUUUGCUAAAGCCAUUAGGGAACAACUAGAUAGGAUAGAAGCUGUUUCUUCCUCAUCUAACAGAGUCCAAAUAGCCCCUGAUACUCCCUAAUCUAGCAAGAUUGGAGUAUUAGAACAAGACCAGGUUUUUAUUGCCUCUUCCAAUCUAGAAGCCUUUACAGAAGAACCUAUUCCUAAAGCCAAUAAAAUCCAUUGGGAUUUAGCUCUCCCAACUGUCAAGUCUCCACCUGAUUUGGCCAUAGACAAUAGGCCUAGUGCAUUAAACCAAUCACGUUUUAAUGCAUCCUCUGUCUAUGAGUGGAACAUUGAUGGUAUGUCAGAAUAUAACAUCUUAGGAUUGUUGCAACAGAUGACCAUGGCAGCCAAUGCCUAUAAAACCCAAUCGGGAACUUCUGACAAGGCCAUUGCAGAAAUUCUUAUUGCGGGUUUUACUGGUCAACUUAAAGGAUGGUGGGAUCAUCUUCUUACCAAACCGCAACAAUUAGAUAUCCUAAACUCCAUACAAAUAGAUGAGAAUGGUGCCCCCAUUCUUGAUGAGUUCAAUAGUCCUAUUCAGGAUGCUGUUGCUACCCUGAUUUUGACUAUAUCCCUCCAUUUCAUAGGUGACCCUGCUCACCUUAGAGACAAAAACGCCGAGUUACUAUACAAUUUGAGGUGUAGAAAACUUAGUGAAUUCCAAAGCUAUAAAACCUCUUUCUUCACUAGACUUUUCCUUAAGGAUGAUGCUAAUCAUACAACUUGGAAGGAGAAAUUCCUUGCAGGUUUACCAACCUUACUAGGAGAAAAGGUUAGAAAUUCCAUUAAAGCCCUUUAUGACAACCGUAUUCCUUAUGAUGAGCUCACCUAUGGUGAACUUGUCAGUUUCGUCAAUAAGGAAGGCUUAAAGAUCUGUCAAGAUUUGAAAUUACAGAAACGACUUAAAUGGGAGCUUAAAAAGUCUAAGCAAGAAUUGGGCAGUUUCUGUAAACAAUUCAAUUACGACCCCUUUAAGACUUCUACCUCCAAAGAUUGUAAUGGUAAGUGUUCUACAAAACCUUACAAGAAACAUUACAAGUCUAGAUUCCGUAAAAAACCCUUUCAAGACUUUAGAGAACUUCAUUAUAAGAAACCUUCGAGGCCUUAAAAGAAACCGAGUUCUUCUAAAAAGAAAGAGUUUAAAGCCAAACCAAAAACUCCGUACAAAACCCUAUUCAAUUACAGAGAAGCCAUAUGUCACAAAUGUGGUAUGAAAGGUCAUACUGCAAAAUAUUGCAGAAUGAGCAGAAAGCUCCAUGAGCUAGACCUAGAUGAGGAAACCCUCUCCAAAAUUACCUCUCUGCUCAUAGAGUCUUCUGACUCUGAGUCUUCCAUGUCGGGAGAUAGUGACCCUCUUCAAGUUGAUGAGAUAAUUGACUCAGAUGAUUCUGCAUCUAGCAGUAUUGAUUCUGAAUCAGAUCCUUAUUUAAAGAAAAUCAAUGUUUUAACUAAAGACCAAGAAAUUUUUCUUGAACUUGUAAAACAUAUUUCCGAUCCGAAUCUUCAAAAGGAAUACCUAGACAAACUUUUGAAAACUCUGGAUUCUAACAAAGCAGAAACUUCUAAAGUUCCAAUUGUUAAAAAGAAUUCUUACGAUCUCACUGAAAUUUUGGAUAAAAAGAAAACAAAAAAGUUAAUUCCUAAUAUCCAAGAUCUUCAUAAAGAAAUCAAAGAUAUCAAAAUUGAGAUUAAAGAAUUAAAAGAAAAACAAAAGAAAGAUUCUGAAACCAUCCAACUUCUUAUACAAAAACAAUUAGAAGAAAACUCAGAAAAAGAAGUUGAAUCUGAAAGCGAUAACAAUCAAAAUGUUGACAACAUUGAAUCUGUACCUAAUGAUUUUCUGUUUGUCCUAAAACAAAUCACCACUAGAAAAUACUUAAUUAAAAUAACUUUGAUUUUUUCCAAAGACUUUGCUAUUGACGCCAUUGCCCUUUUCGAUACUGGUGCCGAUUUAAAUUGUAUAAGAGAAGACAUUGUCCCCAAAAGAUUUCAUGAAAAAACAAGGGAAAGGCUUUCCACCGCCAACAAUUCAAAACUUAAAGUCAAUUCUAAAGUGGAAGCCUCAAUACAUAACAAUGGAUUCGAAUUUAAAACUUCAUUUCUUCUUACAAAUGACAUUCACCAUACUGUCAUUUUAGGAACCCCGUUCAUAAAUUUAAUUACCCCAUAUACUGUCAAUUAUGAUAGUAUAUCUUUCAAAGCAAAAUCUAAAAAACUUGUUUUCCCUUUUAUUGAGAAACCAAAAACAAGAAAUCUAAAUAUUGUUAAAGCCUGUUCUGUUUACCAAAAUCAAAUCAACGCCAUACUUAAAUCCAAACAAAAUGACUUGUUUUGUUUAAAAAAGAAUUUAAGUCUACAACGAAUUGAAAACCAAUUACAAAAUGAUUUUAUCCAAAGAAAAAUCAAUGAUUUUAGAGACCUCAUUGAAAAAGAAAUAUGUGCUGAUUUACCAUCUGCUUUUUGGAACAGAAAACAACAUUUGGUAGAUUUGCCCUAUGAAAAUUCUUUCGAUGAAAAAAAAAUACCCACUAAAGCCCGUCCAAUCCAAAUGAACAUGGAAUUGGAAAAACAUUGUAAAGAUGAGAUACAAGAUUUAGAAUCUAAAGGAUUAAUUACAAAAUCUAGAUCUCCAUGGUCUUGUGCCGCUUUUUAUGUAAACAAAAAUUCUGAGAUUGAAAGAGGAACACCGAGACUUGUAAUAAUUUACAAACCCUUAAAUAAAGCAUUAAAGUGGAUUAGGUAUCUCAUACCUAACAAAAAAGAUUUACUCCAAAAAUUGUGUUCCGCCUUUAUUUUUUCAAAAUUUGAUAUGAAAUCUGAAUUUUGGCAAAUUCAAAUCCAUCCUAAAGACCGUUACAAAACUGCUUUUACUGUUCCAUUCGGACAGUAUGAAUGGACUGUUAUGCCAUUCGGUUUGAAAAAUGCACCCUCAGAAUUUCAAAGAAUUAUGAAUGAUAUUUAUAAUCCUUAUUCUGAUUUUUGCAUUGUCUAUAUAGAUGAUGUUUUGAUUUUUUCUCAAACCAUCGACCAGCAUUUCAAACAUUUAAAGACUCUCUAUUUUGCCACUAGGAAGGCUGGCUUAGCCAUUUCUAGUUCAAAAAUUUCUCUAUUUCAAACUAAAGUCUGGUUCCUUGGUCAUUAUAUUUCUAGAGGAACUAUUACCCCAAUUGAAAGAUCUCUUGCAUUUGCUGAUAAAUUUCCUGAUAAAAUUCUUGAUAAAACUCAAUUGCAGAGAUUUCUUGGUAGUUUAAAUUAUGUUCUUGACUUCUGCCCUAAUAUCAAUAGGAUGUCUAAACCUCUGCAUGAUCGGUUAAAAAAGAAACCUGUUGCAUGGACAGAUGAACACACUAAAGCUAUUCGAUUAAUAAAAAAUUCUGUAAAGAAUAUUCCUUGUUUAUUUUUAGCCAAUCCUGCAUUACCUAAAAUAGUUGAAACUGAUGCAUCUGAUUUAGGUUUUGGAGGUAUUUUGAAACAAAAGGAAAAUGAUAAAGAACAGAUAGUACAAUAUGUUUCUGCACAUUAGAAUGAUUGCCAGAAAAACUAUUCUACUAUCAAAAAAGAAAUUCUUUCUAUUGUCUUAUGCAUAUCUAAAUUCCAAAGUGAUUUAUUAAAUCAAAAAUUUUUGCUUAGAAUUGAUUGCAAAGCUGCAAAACAUGUUUUAGAAAAAGAUGUUCAAAACAUUGCAUCAAAACAAAUUUUUGCACGAUGGCAAGCCAUUUUAAGUGUUUUUGAUUUCGAUAUUGAAUUUAUUAAAGGUGACACAAAUUCUGUUCCUGAUUUUCUAACCAGAGAAUUUUUACAAAACAGAUAAUGCCGCCAAGAAAGAAUAACAAAGGUAAAGUUGUUCUUAAAGAUACUGAGUCCCAAGCCACCUCUAAAGAACCUCAACCAACUCCCUCUAAAGAAAAACUACUUUCUUCUGCCAUGCCCAUCAAGUCCUGGAUUGAAAUGGUUGAAGAACAUGAAGCCCAAUACAAAACUAUUUCUUCUGAUGACCAAGUAAAGGAAUGGAUGAGUUCCAUUACAAAAUCGCCUGAGCUUAUGCUCGCCCUCCAAAGCUUUUCUCAAAGUCAAAUUUCUCCUAAAGAAGAAAUUGAAAAAGAAAAACCUAAGUCCAAAGAAAUGACAAAACCUUCUUCUCAAAACGUUGUUGUCUCCGGUGAAAGCUCAUCUUCUCAAAUUGUGCUUUCCCAACCAACACUUUCAAAGAAAUCAUCCGAUUGGUUUGAUAAAACCCAUUUUCAAAACAUUUUAUCUAUAGAAGAUGGAUUUUACCAUACUGAUCCUUUUCAAGCAAUUUCAAAGUUUUUCCCCAAAUGCUGGUUUUUUAAACCAUGUUAUUUAACAAAACCCCAGUCUUACUAUCAAAGCAUUUUAGAAAUUACUGAGUCAGUUAAAUUCAAACAUUUCUUUCUCAGUGAUACCCAUUCAGAGCCAGCCUAUUCCACGGCUACUAUUUUAAAAGUCCUGAGCCCAAACCAGUGGGGGGAUCUGCUCCACAAUUUUAAAACCUUCCCUUUAAACUUUCAAACACGUUUACCACAUUGUCGGACUUAUUCCUACUGGGAUUACCAAUAAGCCUGGUAUAACACAUUUUUUAUCCAAAACCCCAAAAAAUCCCACUCUUGGUUAUUUUUCUUCAAUUAAAAAAUAACCGUCCAAAGCCUCCCAAACUGGUUUCAUCAUUGGUGGAAUUCUUUUGGCCCAAUACCUCAAAUCCUAACUCCAAAUGCUACCCAAUGUUUAAACUUCUUUAAAGCCCACUACAUUCCUUCUGAAUCUGAGAAAAGGUUUCCACCCUUUCUCUGUUUCUGUACAAAUUUCUUCCUUCCAUGGGUAUGGAUGUGGAACCUCAGACUUCAUACCCAAGAUGCCCAGCUUAUCUUACAAAGAACAUUCAAAGUAAAAUGGUGGUCAAAAUUUGACGAACAAACCAAACUUACUGAUACCCUCAUCAGAAAUUGGCUUUGUUCCAAAGGCUUCCUCCAACCAACCAUUAAGGGAUCCAAAGCCCAACAAACCUUCCUUACUCAAAAGUCCAAAGCCCAAUCUCUUCUGGCAAGUGCCAAAACCGAAAAAGAAUACUUCAAAGCUAUGGAACAACUCCUCGCCUCCAGGUCAAAGUCAUCAGUGGCAGAUUCCUCUGAAGAUGAAGACAAUGAAGAAGAGGAAGAGCCGUUUAUCUCUCUUGGAGAUGAAAAUGAAGACGACUAUUUCAGAAUUUUCUCUCCUGUAAAGCAUUGUAAAUAAUUAUUGUUUAAUUAAUGUAAAAAAAAAGUAAAUACUCAUUUUUUUUAUUUAUAUCAUUCGGGUGGUCCCUUGGACACAAGUGAGAGCGCACAUGUCUCUUCACCCGUAUUGUAUGUCUACAAAGUCACUAUUUCAACAUACGCUCCAAAAGCUUAUUGUUACAUACGAUCCAAAGCUUACUGUUUGCUUCAACCCCGUUACAGUGAACAGUGCAGAGUUCCAAAGAUUACUGUAUGCUACAGCUCCGCUACAGUCUACAGUUUAAAAUUUCAUUUUGUAUAUAAUCUGAAGGAAGACUCAGACUCCUCAGAUUUUUUGAAUCUCCUCUCUCUCUAAUUUUCAUUUUCUCUCUCUCCUCCCUGGGAAUCAGGAAUCCGAAGGCACUAAGGAAAUUUUUCUGUUUACAGAAUAGUUCCUUACCUUCAGGAUUAAUUUCCCUUUUCUUUUCUACAAAGAAAAAGCAAUUGAUGUAAGCAUUUUAAUUUUCAGUAUUAUUUCAAAGCAUUUGUAAAUUUUAUUUAAGGCUUUCCAUGUAUGUUUAAAUUUCUGUACUUUAAUUUUCGCAAUUUACUUUAAAGCAUUUUUAAAUUUUUAUGCAGACUGAUCUCUAUCAGAUCUGCCAUAAAACUGCUACGUUCCUCUGAGGCAACGAGACCAGAUCUCAAUCCUCAGUUGUAUUCUUUCUCUUCUCCCUCCAUUCCUUUAGAGCACUAUUUCCGGGAACCGGAUCUAGUACUGUGUAUGCACCCAAGCCUUUAGACGAAUGUUGUUGCUAGGCUUGACAAAAGAACUUAAUAAAUAUUUGGUAAAUAAUAUUGGUAUAUCGGCUGGAAACUAGAGCGUGCAGAAUAUUGAUCUGUCCUAAGUCAGAUCUGGUUCCAAAGGCAGACUUGGCUCUGCAUCGAUCUAGAUACAACGCCACGUACCUCCACUAAAACCUGACCAACCGUGAUCUAAAGCAAUUUUAAUUUAAAGUUGGUAAUCUUAUUUAAAAGUUGGAUAGGCCGACCCAAUCCAAACAUUGUUUGAUUAAAGCUUUUAAUAAUUAAUUCCAACGAAAGCACAUCCAUCCUUCGAUCCUAUUUCCUUCUGGUAUCAGAGCCCAAUAAUUAAUUCCUUCAGAUUAAAUCAGAUGCAUCAGUUUCAACUAUUUUAGGUAAUGCGGGAUUGGCUAAAAUAAACAAGGAAUAUUCUUUACAGAAUUUUUUAUUAAUCGAAUAGCUUUAGUGUGUUCAUCUGUCCAUGCAACAGGUUUCUUUUUUAACCGAUCAUGCAGAGGUUUAGACAUCCUAUUGAUAUUAGGGCAGAAGUCAAGAACAUAAUUUAAACUACCAAGAAAUCUCUGCAAUUGAGUUUUAUCAAGAAUUUUAUCAGGAAAUUUAUCAGCAAAUGCAAGAGAUCUUUCAAUUGGGGUAAUAGUUCCUCUAGAAAUAUAAUGACCAAGGAACCGGACUUUAGUUUGAAAUAGAGAAAUUUUUGAACUAGAAAUGGCUAAGCCAGCCUUCCUAGUGGCAAAAUAGAAAGUCUUUAAAUGUUUGAAAUGCUGGUCGAUGGUUUGAGAAAAAAUCAAAACAUCAUCUAUAUAGACAAUGCAAAAAUCAGAAUAAGGAUUAUAAAUAUCAUUCAUAAUUCUUUGAAAUUCUGAGGGUGCAUUUUUCAAACCGAAUGGCAUAACAGUCCAUUCAUACUGUCCGAAUGGAACAGUAAAAGCAGUUUUGUAACGGUCUUUAUGAUGGAUUUGAAUUUGCCAAAAUCCAGAUUUCAUAUCAAAUUUUGAAAAAAUAAAGGCGGAACACAAUUUUUGGAGUAAAUCUUUUUUGUUAGGUAUGAGAUACCUAAUCCACUUUAAUGCUUUAUUUAAGGGUUUGUAAAUUAUUACAAGUCUCGGUGUUCCUCUUUCAAUCUCAGAAUUUUUGUUUACAUAAAAAGCGGCACAAGACUAUGGAGAUCUAGAUUUUGUAAUUAAUCCUUUAGAUUCCAAAUCUUGUAUCUCAUCUUUACAAUGUUUUUCCAAUUCCAUGUUCAUNNNNNNNNNNNNNNNNNNNNNNNNNNNNNNNNNNNNNNNNNNNNNNNNNNNNNNNNNNNNNNNNNNNNNNNNNNNNNNNNNNNNNNNNNNNNNNNNNNNNCGUUGGUCUCUAAUAGGAUGAGGAAUGUUUGUAGUAUAGUCAACAGAAUGAAUGGAAGAACUAGGUAGAGCCGAAGUGGAAAACCUAGGUUGACUUUGAAAAGAAAGAUUUAUGACAGAAGGGAUUUUUGUGAAUUUCCUUUCUAAUGAAGGAAUACUUGAACACGACUCUUUAUCAGAAAAUCUGGUUAAGUUAGAUCUCCUGAAAGACAGUUUAACUCUACCAUCAGAAUACUGAGUCACAUUUUGCAACUCCGUAUUAGGUUCAAGUUGUUUUGGAAUUGCUGGUGGAGCAGCUCCUUCAAGAAUCCAUUCUUCUGGAAGAUUGACAUCUUUCCACUGGAUUGGUUUUGGAAUGAAAGUAUUGGCUUUAGACAUAUCAGUCUGUAAGAGAAGAGUUUCAUCUCUUUUUGACUGGAAUUUGUGUUGCGUACUGAACGCAGAGAUCAUGGUUUUAUAAGAAAUUUUGAAAAUUAAGGCAACUGGGACAGAUCCCUUAAUCAUAUUAUAAUUAUGCGUUUUGAUUUGUAAGAUCAUGCUUUUCAAAAUGUUUUUAUCUUUAAGAGAAAUUGUUAUGUUUGAAUAACAAUCAAAAGAGAUCGGACCUUUACAAAGACUGGAUUCGAUGCUACUUAGCAAAGAAUCAUCAAAAGAGAUGAAUCGCCCAUCUCUAAGGACAGCAAGGAUAGAAGUAUCCAAGCCUUCUUUGGUCAAAGGUUUUAUUCCAACUUGGAUUAAACCAAUGUGAAUAUAAUUAUAAUUCUUUUCUCUUAAUUUCUUUAAAGAUUUUUCUGAAAACAAAUGAAUUGUUUCAAAAGGUUCUGAGAGAGUUAUGUCUCUUUCUUCAGUCUUUAUUACAUAAUCAUUUUUUAGAAAAUCAAGCUUUUUUGUUUUGUAAAUCUUUUCUUUAGAAACUUUUGGAAGUUCCCAACAAUCAAUUGCUUUAUCAAAGUUCUCAAUACCGAAUUCUUCUGAACUCACAACAUGUUUUGAAUCACUAGUCUUCCCGGAAGAAGAGCUAGAAAAGGACGAUGUUCUACAGAGUAGAGGAUCCAUGGUUAAAAACCUAUGGUCUAUUUAUGGUUUGGUCAGAAUGGCUACAGGUAUGGUUUUACAGCCCUAAACGGAAAACUUAUCCUUGGACGGGACUUACUACCAGUAAAAAUUCACCACACAACAAAACUUCAAAAUAAAACACAAGUCUUUAAACACAAAACUCUAAACUGUAUUACAGUAGUUUUCUGGUCAGGGAAUUUAAAGUGCGGGAAAGUCCGGGAAAGCUUUAAAACCACACGGCUUUAAAGGCUUACAAUUUUAAGCCUUUAAAACCAUGCGGUUUUAAAGGUUUCCCGUACUUUCCUGCACUUUAAAAUUCCUGACUGGAACAUUUCUAUAUAUAUAUAUAUAUAUAUAUAUAUAUAUAUAUAUAUAUAUAUGUAUGUAUAUUUCUUCUCUAGUGCGGACGCCCUCAUUUUCUUUUUCAUGCGGACCAGUUUUUAGACCCCAUGGUUUAAAAGACUUAGUUUUUAACUCUCUAAAACCGCAUGACUUUAUAAUUCAUUUAAAAACUAACUAUCUUAAACCGCACGGUUUAAAAGUGUGUCCCCAUUAAAAAAAAUGCGGACCCCCACACCUAAGAAUGAUUAUAUAUACAUACACGCUCUUAAACCGUGGGACUUGAAAGCUUCUCCGCAUGAAAAAAGUAAAAAAUGAGAGCAUUCCCACUAGAAAAAAACUCCAUAUAGGUAUUUAUUAAACCUCCUAAUCUGUGAGUGAGGAACAACAAAGAUAAUUGAUAAAAAAAAUCUAAAAUUUGGUUUCAUACCUUCUUGAACGAGAGCAGGGGCUGUUGUACCGGAAUACCAAAUUGAUCAUUCUCGUUAUUCUGGGACAACGUUAUUUUAUCACAAUUACAGGCUUCCAAUUUUUUUAGUGCUGGCCAUUCUGAAGUAUGCAUUCCAGGGUAUAAACAUCUGAGUUCUGGCUUUUGGAAAGACAAAAUAUGGGGUCACUUGAUCUGCUGUGUCUUUGGAGAUGAUCUCUUGUAAACCCAUACAUAUCCGUAUCUCCAGGUGUUGGAGGUGCUUAAGGCUUUGGAUCAUAGAAGCUGAAAAUAUGUAUUUUAAUUUGUCACAGCCCCACACUAUCAAUCUUGUCAAGCUUUGAAAGCAAGUAAUCAUGGCCGUAAGUUGAUUGUCAUGCCAAAUCUCGUCGACAUUAAUAGCAUUCAGCUCCAAAGCCUCCAAAUUUGGCAACACUACCUAAAGAUAAUUUUCUCUUUAGAUCCAAUAUCAGUAUGAAAAGCACUUGUUUUGACACAAUAUCCAUAUGAGAAGCACUUAAUUAAGAGCUUAAUUAGCGAGUGUAUCAGACUUUUUUUUUUCAAAUGCGAGUGCAUGAUAGAACUAAAAAAAAAAGAAGAAGCAUUGGCCUACGUACCUUCUUGUUGAAAAGCAGAGUUGACGUUUCGGAACUGAUCUCGUUGGAACUGGCUGUCAAUUCCUCUUGCGACUCUUGUCUGUUUGGUGAUGUGGAAGGAGUCUUCACUUCACCGCAAAACCUUGUAACCUUUGGAAGCUUUCCCAGACUCAAAGAUCUUAAUUGACCAAACUCUAUCUUCUCAUCAACAUCAACAUCAGCUUCUCCUCCAGUUGCAAAAAUCUCUUCCAUGCUGCUGCAAUUGAUAACUGCAAUCCUCUCCAGUCUUGGAAGGCAUUUUGUACUACUAGAGAGCCAGAAGAUAUUACUCAACUCAUCACAAUUUUCUACUUUUAUGGUUUUGAGUUCAUUGAAGGACUCUAUUUUGAGUCGAUCAAUACAUAUCCUCUCCGUAUUGAUCAAAUUGUGAAGAGUAAGGGACUCCAAAAGAGGAAAGGCGACACAAGGUUCUCUCUUCAUUGAAUCGACGAUACACAGGAUGUCUGGAUUAUUUUGAACAUGGAGAUGCUUCAAUUGUGAAAAUCCCUCGGUGUCCAAUUCUAAAACAACAUUCUUGAUUCCUUGCAACUUAUCCAAACAUAAGUAUUCAACGUUAUUGAUGCCCUGCAACUUCUUGGAGGAAAUGGCCAUAGAAUCAAGCUUGAGCUUCAAUGUUCUUAAACUCUCAAGAUUACUGAUCAUAAAGUGCGGCCGACUUUGAAACCAGUCUUUUCCAAAUAACCAUGGUAGAGUCGAAAGAUCCAUCUCCUAUUGAUAUAUCAAACCUUUCCAGCUUUUUGGUAAAAAAGCCAUCUGGUAAAAUGCUAUCAUCUUUAACAUCUAUUUUUAAGGCGGUCAGUCGCUGCAAAUGCAUCAAUUCAUCGAGGCUGGCAUUACUUCUUUCACUAUUGGCUUUUCUCACUUCCCAUUCAAUAGAGCAGUUACUCAUAUACAGUUCUUCCAAUCGAGUGAAGCUUGAUAAGAUAUUGGGCACAAUAAAUUUUAGUUGCAAGCAAUCUGUUAAAUCUAGCAUCCUUAACUUAGUCAGUUGACCUAGUUCGUCAGGCAACCGUACAAUAUCAGACUUUAAAAAGCUAAGGAUUUCUAGAUUCUUCAACUUUCCAACUAUGGCUAUGUCUCCCAACAUGCUUUGAUCAAGACACAGUGUUUGAAGAUUUGCUAGAAGACCGAUUGAAGAUGGCAAUGAAAAUAAUCGUACCCUUGUCAAAUCUACGACUCGAAGCUUUUUCAUCCCUUUGAAAAAGUUGUUAGGAAUAUUGACCUCGACAAAAGAGUCUUCGGGAUCAAUAUGUAAAAAUUCAAGUUGCGGACAUUCGAAUUCCUCGGAAACUUCAUGAAUGCUACUAUUUAGUAAAGGGAUUGCAUAGCAUUUUUUAAGUGCAUCCUCAUCUGGCCACUCCCACACAGCGUCAUUUCUCACCAAUGAAGCAUGUUGGUCUCGACAUGCAAUUGAUAUGGCAACAUCGCAGACAACAUCAUGCAUAGAGAAUUGUUCAGUACUAUCACCCUCAAGCAACAAACAACAGUCUCUAAGUUCAUGGACCAGUGCAUAUAAUUUGUUUCGUGCAUCUUCCAUCUUAUUGACUCCAUGAAAUAUUCCUAAACCCAUAGAGUAUUUAAGCAAGUCUAAAAGACAAAAACUGUUGCCUAUUAGACUGCAGAGCAGAAAAAUUUUCUUGAGUUGCUCACCUUUUAAAUACUUGAAACUCAGUUCAAUACUUGAAUAAGUCUCUGCAGGCACACCUUCGAAGUUUACCACUGAAGGCGUUUGGAGUUCUCGCAAGGCAUUCUUCCACUCAUGCAGACUCUUGUUUCUCAGUGCCCUCGCUACUGUAGUCAGGGCAAUGGGCAAACCUCCACAUGCCUGGGCUACAUUAAUUGCUGUAGACUUGAACUUACAAUUUUCAACAUCAUCACCAUUCAUUAUCUUAAACAAUCUCCAAGCUUCUUCUUCAUUUAGAUUGCCAAUCAAGAAGUUAUCUUUGGAGCCCAUACUUAAUAGCACAUUAUUGUCUCUUGCUGUCAGCAGUAGUCUACAUCCUUUAUGAUCAUUUCCGAUGGGAAUUCCAACCGUCUCCAAAUCAACAUGUUUCCAGAUAUUAUCUAGAAUCACAAGAAUCUUAUUCUCAUUCUUCAGUCGUUCAUACAGCCUGCUAGCUCUUCUAUAUUCAGCUUCAUCGGACAACUCCAGACCUAACUUCUCUGCAAUUUCCCCUUGAAUCUUUUUUAUGUCUGGAGUUUGUGAAACCUCUGAAAAAACCACCCGAUCAAACAACUUGUCUUCCCUGGCUUGCGUAGCAAACUCCUUCACCAGUGUCGUCUUUCCAAUGCCGCCCAUGCCGUACACCCCAAUAAUGCUGACAUUCACAUCAGUCAACGCAUUUUGUAUAGACUUCAAAGUAGAAACUCUUGAUUCGAAGGCCUUGUAACCUUUGUUAGACUUAAGCCAUAUCUCCUCCGGAAUGGUACGAUGGGAAACGAUAUCAAACUUCUUAACUCCUUCUCCAAGUUCAACAAGGGCCUUCACCUCUGUCUCUGCUUUCUUGCUAAGCUGAUAGCGGGUCUUCAAAUUAGGACACAAGCCCUUGAGACAGCGCUUGUUUGUUGACUCCUCAUCUUCAAUGAAUUUGGCUGCCUGGUCAAUGAUGCCGUUUGCACUGACCAGCCACUUCUCAACCUUCUCUUCAAUCUCUUCCCCUUUUUCUUUCGCCUUUGAAACUCUGCGCUGAAUGCUCGUACGUUCAACCUCAACUUCUCCAUUUCCGCCUUGAGAUUCUCAAGGUUGGCAUUGUAGUUCCGCUUGCGCAAAUAAACAAGUUGGCGUUCUGUCGGAGGAGCCAGGCAUUUUACAAGUUCCAAAACGAGAGUAACAAUGAUUUCCAGCAUCUUGAAUCCUGACAGCAAUGUAGAAGUGAAGAAGGCCAAAGGACAGUAAAAACAGAGAGACAACGAUACGACAAGCAGUUAUAGAGCUACAAAUAAAUAACAAACAAACAGAAGCAAAGUGUUCUUCGAAUGAGAAGAAGGAAGCAAGAAAAGGGUUUCUAUUUAGAUUAAGAAUAAAUGUAAAGAGCUAAAAAAGCUGAUGGGUACAGAAUAAGAAAUGAUUAAGAGAAUGGGGGAGCUAACAAGACUGUGGAGUGAGCAGGCGUAAAUAAACUUUUCUUAACCUUUUGUCAUACGUGUAUAUAAAAUAAUAUAAUUAAUUUUAUAUUUUUAUUCAAUAACUAUUAAUUAUAUUUUUUUCAAAAUUAAUAAAAAGAAUAAUUAAGUACUGAAUCCAAAUCCUAUCCUAAAUGGUUAGAUAAAAAUAAGGGAAUGAAAAGAGUAAUGGUAGAUUAAUGAGAAGGUGAUUGAUUAAUUUAUGAGGCCAAUUAACGAAACGACAGAUCUGGUUUCCAUGUUUGUAGUUUAAGUGUAUGAGUACGAGGUGAACCGAAGCUUUGUCGAGUCAGGCAAAUAGAAAGAGAAAUUACUAAAACAAGAACCAGCAACUUUUACUCACACAUGAGCUAAUAAUGUAUUGAGAUUGUGCAGAGUAAUAUAAAAGAUUAAAACUAGUAUAAUCAAUUUGUCAUCAAGUUUUAGCCUUCUUCUUCAACCAAUUACAGCACGAUCUUGAGCUCUGUGUUUCUUUUUUUAAAUCAUUCAAAAGAUCUCUGUCAUUAAUUUUUCAAUGAUAAAAAUUAUAUUUUUGUCUCAUAAAAUAUAAAAUAUAAAAAAAUCAAACAUAUAUUAUAAGUCCGUUUGAGAUUAUUUUUAAAUAAAGUAUACAAAUCUCUAAAUUAACUUCGUCCCCUUGAAAUUCAGCAUAAAUAUAAAUAGAAUUAUAGAAAUCUUACUACCUUUUAUGAGAAAUCCAACUUAUAUAUUUGAGACUUCUCUCUCUAAACACACGCUUCCUCUCUCUGUACACUUUCCACCUUUAAAUUCUCCUUCAUUAAGUCUACCUAAAUGAAUUUAGCAUUCUCUCAGUUUCUUCAGCAUUUUUCUCCGUGAAAAUAGGUGAAAAAGAGAAAGUGAUUUGAUUAUUUUAAUGUACGACAGAUCUGAUUUCCAUCUCUGUAAUUUAAGUGUAUCAAAACGAGGUCAACAACUCUUGGUCGAGUCAGUCAAAUAUAAAAGACAAAUUACUAAACCAAGCAGAGCCACAAAAAAAAAAAAAAAUCCAAUUAAAUAAUCAUCAAGUCUUUUUCAAUUAAAAUAGGGGGUGCAGAACAACUGUCAAGAGAUAAUCAUUGUUUAUUAUAUUUUCGAUUAAAAUAGUUGCGCGUGAACGAUUGUCCGAAUUCGUAUAAAUUGUUGUAAGGUCUAUUAUAAUUAACAAGUGGAAUGGCCAAUGGAUGAAGAACCACUGUAAUUUCGUUUAUGAAUUUAAAAUGCUAAAGAAACUGGACACCAACGCUAAACGUGAGUCUGCCCAAUCUAGAUAAAUAGGAUAAAAAAUUAUCCGUCGGCUAUCUGAUCUUUUAGCCAUUAUAAAAAAUAUUAAAAAAAUAUACAAACAAUUUUUUUUUUUUUUCAACAAUCCAUCUGAUAUUUAUGAAGUGCAUUAGUGCUCCACUACUAUCAUAACCCUUUAAAAAUAUCGCUUAAACACAAGAACGUAUUGCCUAAAAUUAUUUUUCAAGCAAAUGUAACGACAUAUUUGGUUUUGAUCUUCGUGACUUUUUAAGUGUACAAGAACAAGAUGUAUGACCCUUUGUCGAGUUGAAGAAUUAAAAUAAAUCAGUUACAAAUCCAGAACAAACUUACGGGUGACAUUUUAGUAUUAAGCAAACUAUAAUUGAUCAUCCAAUGAUAGGCUUAUUUUCAAUUAAAUUAGAGUAAAUAUAGACAUUCCAAAUUUUUUCUCUCAAAUUUAAUCCUAGAUAAUGUGUUAUUAAUUGAGUGCUUGGUAAUUCUUUCAAGAUCUAAGUGAAUUAAUUAUAUUAUCUCUCCAACCAAUUGAUGAAUAUUAUAUUAUUAAAUAAUCAUCAAGUAAUACGACACUUCUCAUGUUCCGUUAACAUUUCAGUUAUAUUAUUAAUUAUCAUUUUAAUUUGGAUAGUAUUUUUGUUUAGGAGAAUAUAUCAAUUAUGAAAUUUUUAAUUUUGAAAAUUAAAGAAAUAAUUGAACUGAUUUUUUCUUAUUAAUUGAUAGCUUAGAUGCAUUUUGUUACAUGUUAAAAAAUUAUGAAUACAUAUCCUUUUUGGUAAUUUAAUUACACAAAAGCACUUUUAGUUUUGCACAACCAAACCGUUUAAUGGUUCAAAAGUACUUUUUUAAUUGACAACCAAACACCCAAUGACUUUUUUGUCCAAAAACUCUAUUGGUAUAAGCUCUACUUCUAUAAGCUCUACUGCUAUAAGCUCUAUUUAAUAAGUUGUACCAAACGGAGCCUUAAAAUCUAAGUGAAUUAAUUAUAUUAUCUCUCCAACCAAUUGAUGAAUAUUAUAUUAUUUGAGUUUUUUUUUUGUCUCAAAUCCCAGCAAAGAAAACAGAACAAACGGAGCAAAAAUAUUUUUACAAACCUAAAAUAACAAAAAAAGAACUUUUUCUUGUUUUUCUUAUUUUCCACUGUUAAACUUCAAAAUGAACAACUUUAUUCUACCAUCUCUCAAAUAAUAAUAAUAAUAACAACAAUGUCAUCAUCAUCAAUAAUAAUAAUAAUAAUAUAUUAACUUUGUAGGAUGGAGCUCUCGCAAAUCUUCAAGACACAAAAUGUGCUUGACCCCAUUGUUGUUAAUAUAAUUUCAAAAUCAUAUGUAUUAUAUAAUAUUAGAGAAUAUGACAUAGCAAAAUUGAUGGUACAUAUGCUGCAAUAUACUUGUUCAUGUGGCGACACAUUGAAGUAAAGCACAAGCAGAACAACGAAAAAUGUAACGGGAGAGCUCUCAUUAUGUAGAUUUUCAAUAGAAGUAAUGCAAAUUUCACAAGGGCAAUGGCCUUAUUUCGAAUGCUGCACCUGAGGAAUGACUUGAAUCUUCUUUAGAACUCAGGCAUUCUAUAAUCAUAGAGUAUAGCAUUUCAACAAAAAUAUUAUAUAAACAAAAAUAUUAUAUAGGUGGUUCCUUUAUAUAUUUUCUGGGUACACCUACAAAAAUAUUAUUUUAGGUACAUUUCUUGCAAUAAAACCUGCCCAAUCUAGCGUUUUCGUAAGUUGGGUUUCUCAUUUACAUUUUUUUCCAUUGGUUAAUUAUCACAAACCUCCACUGAGAUUUAGCAUGUUUUUAGUUUGAUAGAUUGUAUUCGCAUAUUCUCAAAUACCUUUUAGUUUACCACUUCGUAUAAAUUAAGUUGGUGAGGAUAAAAUCGUAAAAGUACACAUUAAUGAUAAAAAAAUUCAAGUAAACUUGAAAUUUUCAAGGAUUAAUUUUUCGGGACCUCCCUUGAGGUUCGGUGUAUUAAAAGUCUCAUAGAAUGUAUUCAUGUAAUUAUAAGAACCUCCCCUGGCGUUAGUACACAGUUAACUUGACUGUUAGUGGACUGAUAAAAAGUCAAAAAUGCCCUUGGCUACAAAAAUGAGUGCAACAAUUUGGAGCUAAAUAGUAAACACCACACUGGAGCACUAAAAAGUCUACAAUAAUCAUGGAAAACAAAUCAUUGACAUUUACAUAAUAUAAAAAAAAAAAGUAAAAUAUAAAUUAAGAAAAUCAACAAAAUUGUCAACGUAUUGAAUAUUUACAGCAGCAGUGGCUAUAAAUACAACCAUCGUCAAAUUAAAAUAUCACCAUUAGUAAACUACUUCAAUAAGACAAUAAACCAUGAUUCAAUCUUCAAUGCAUUCAAAAUACACAACCCGCACAAUAGAAUCACAUACGCACACCUGCUAAUGAAAUAUAAGAACAAACGGGAAAUUGAACUGACAUGGCUAAGAUACUCCUUCCCGAUAUCUAUUAGAAAGAUAAUGAGCGAUUUAUGAAUCAUGAUGCUUGCUUUACUUUCUGGCAGUGUUAACUUCAAAUUCAAUGAUAGUAAAUGAACAAUGGUUCAUUCAUUAUGAAAGUAAUUGUAAAGCUAGGAAUUUAUAAUAUUCAGAUGUUGGAAUUAGAAAAAUAUUUCUUAAUCGUUUCAAUUGAAGCCAAGGAAGAAAAAGAAAUGAGUCUUCUUUUUUCAGGCCACAAGCCAUAUGAAGAAGGCAGACCAGAGCAUAAGAACGAAUGCUAUUGCCACAGUAAAAGCCUGGAUCAAUGGGUAAUGGCACCUGCCAUGUCAAUUUCAUGACAAACAAAAAUCAAUUAUCAUCCCCAGACCACAACACCACCAAACCAACCUUUUGCAUCUAAAAUAACAAGUUAAUAAAUCAAAGAUUUCAAUUCAUUUAAGUUUGAAAUCAACUAAAAUAGAAAAAAAAAAACCCAAUUUCUUUUUUGUUCAAUAUAACUCAUUCAGCAUCUUCUUCAACACAUUUUUAUCAUUCUUCAUCAUCACAACAAUAAAAAGAACAAAAAACUUUGAGUUCAACAUGCAAUUCUUUUUUUUUGGGAAACUAACCUUUUUUAGGUUCCAAUUCUAGUAGUCUUAAACAGUAGCCGCCGAUGAAAUUCGCUUGGCAACACCCUUUUGCCACCAUUGCAGCUUGUCAUGUUCAUACUCAACUUAAAAUUACUUGAAGGCAGCAGGGAUUUUAUAGUUACAAAAGUUUCUUCAGAGCUUUUCAAGCUUGAAAAUGGAGUUUUCAUUCAUCUUAGAUAAAUUGAAGAUAAUUUGCAUUGUGGGUAAUAAAUUGAUUAUCAGUGUCUAAAUCUGGGUCAUCGACGCAACAUUGGAUUUUGUUUUGAUUUUCUUUGAUUUUUUUUAUGAAACCACUAAUUUACCCUCAUAUACUAACAAUAUACGAAAUGGUAUACUAACGUCAGUUACGUCAGGGAGCUCCCUAUAAUUACAUGAAUACUUUUCAUGAGACUGUCAAUACACAAAACCUCAGGGGAGGUACCUAAACAUUACCCAAUGGUAUCAUUUCUUGUAUGGAUAAUGGAUGAUUAGAUUUUGUUUUUUUGUUAUCCGACGAAGGAUAUUCAGUUGUUCUUUAUGUGUUCAUAGGCAAGAGCAUGAGCAUAUGCAUGAUUUGAUAUAUGCUUCUUGCAUUUUCUAAUUAAGUGUUCUCUUUCCUUGCCUUCUUAGUUUUGAAAGAAAGAUGUGAAGCAAGACAAACCCAGUGAAAUACACAGAGCAACAGAACCAUCAGAGGAAAAACUAAAUAACAGAACUACAAUUAAACCAAACAAAAUCAAAUAAACCGACGCAACAGAUGCCCUGAAUCAGGCAUUCCUUUUUCUCGAAAGAAAAUAUGUUUGCAUGGGUGGGAACCCAGUAUUUACUCAAGAGUUGAGGAGUUGGAAAGAUUUGGUAUUCAUAUCUUCUCAAUUCAUAUGCUUUAAUGCAGAAUCGACAGCUUUAUAUUAUUUUAUACACUUGCACUUGCUUGAGUAUUUGUGCCGACAUUUUCAUAUGUGAUGCUACUUCUUAGCCAGUAGAUAUGUUGAAGUACUACAAAACAGAGUAUUUGAUGAAGUUUUGCUACUUUCGUAUCCCCUUUUUUGUUGAAUUCUUUAUAAACAAAAAUUAGAAAGCUACAAAUAAUACAGUAGCUUGAAUUUAUAUGCUUUUAUGAUUAUUUGAUAGUUUAGUGCUGAUCAUAUGUGAUGAUAAACUUAGCUAGUAGUUUUAUAUUUAUUUUCAUAGUUUCCUUAGCGUUCACAUUUUGAUGAGUAAAUUAAGGAUUUCCAGAUGAAGUACAUAAUUAGAUGAAUGCUAAGGAACUGAAGUUUGAUUAAUUGAAAACAAAAAUAAUAAUGAACGUAAUUACGAAAAUGAACAAUGCAGAAGUAGUCCCUAUAGUAUUUCUAUAUUUUCUCUUGGUGUUUCUUAGUAUUCCUCAAUAUUUUUAAAAAAUGACAUGACGAUCUUUGAGUUGACAAAUCUUGGCCUGCUGCUUAGUACCCUUCCAACAUAUAAAGUACUAGAUGUUUUACUGAGAAAAUGACAAGAUCAUUUUUCAAAUUUCUUGCGCAUAUAUACGUAUGUACACGAGAAAUGAGAAUCAGUGAUUAUAAGACCUUGCAAUGAGACAAUAAUACAUCAUCAAAUCUAAAAAUACACAAGAAAUUCGGGACAUAUAAAUAACAAAAGACCUCUCAUUGAGUCAUCCAUAUUGAGAAUAAAAUGUCAAAAUGCAUACAAAGAGCUUAUACAGAAAAUGAAUGUACACAUAUUUAGAAUAAACUGUCUUUGAACUUUCGAUGGUCAAACAAAAGAAACAGACAGGAUAUAACACACACUAUCAUAGAUGUAGCGACACGGUGAAGUAAAUCACAUGAAGAUGGAAACGGAAACCCUUCACAACAUAAAAUUUGAAUAGAGGGGGAAAAAAAGGCUUCAUUUCGAAUGUUGCACGAAAGAAGAGUGACUUGAAUCUCCAUCAGUAUCCAAACAUUCUGCAAACAUAGUGCUGAGAAUUUUAACAAGAAUAACAGACAAAAUAUUGUGCUUCUAUACUUGUCAAAAAACUAGACAAAAAUAGUUCCCUUUUUGGUUUGUGAAAACUUGAUAUUUUUGAAAAUUCUAUCCAAUGCUUUCAAACAAUAUUUCCAUAAUAUAGUUGUUCAUAGCUAACCUUUGAUGGUGUAAGGAUUUGUUGUAGGCAUAAUGGGCUAAUUAUAUAUAUAUAUAUAUAUUUUUUUUUUUUUUUUUUUUACCCGCUGAAUGAUAUUCAGCUUCUUAAUUAUGUGUUCAUAGGCAGGAGCAUUUUCUUAAGUACUUUCGUUGCCUUCCAAGUUUCCAAUGAACAAACAGAGCACAAACAAAUUUAACGGAACAGUAACGAUGACAAUAAAUAAUUGGCAAGGAAAGAAAGAAAAAAGUUUGCAUGAUUUCAGGGAAUUAUAAAAUCUGAACACUUUCAACAUGCAAGUGUUGCCCCUCUUAAUGAAAUUUCAUCAUAAAAUGCUUGCAAGGAAUUAUAAAAUUUUAGAGAACAAGGGAACUCUCAAAACAAAAUACUCAAAUUAAAUUACAAUAGGCCAAAAGACGCUCAAUGACGCAAAUCUGCCCAUAAAAGCUUGAACGAAUCAUGAAAAGUGCAUUCCAUAUUGAUAGUAAACCAAGUGACCCAUUCUAAACAAUUGAGAUGAAAUUGUGAAACAACCCACGAGAUCAAAUAAAUAAAAUAAGAAUUAAUUACCAGCUGGGACUUUCUUCUUCAAAUUCGUAACUCCAAGUCAUAAGAAGCCUAUGAAAUUAGUCGUAAUCCACAGAGUAUGACGACGACCCCGCCAACAGCUGAAAAUAAAAUUCUUAUUCAUCAAUUUAAACUAACUUUAUAACAAAUAUCUUAUCGAUAUUUUAUUUAAAAAGAAAAAGCAAAUUUUGUAAAAUUUUUCCAUGGGAGAUAGAGAAUAACAUGUAUAUCCGUACCUUCUCAGCAUGUAAUUGUUGUAUGGUCGUCUUAAGAUCAUUACUAGCCCAACGCCGUUGAUUCGAUGUCUCUCCAUACCAAACGUUUACUCUUGGAGGCGUGCUUGAUUCUCCUGUAGUGAAAAUCUUCAAUUUGGGACAACCAAUCACAGAUAGAUCUUGCAAAGAUGGGAAUUUGAAGGUGUAAUUGGCAGAGCAAAAACUUGUGAGGCUAUCUAAAUCAAACAGUUCCAACCUCUUCAAUUUGCGGAAAACAAUCUCUUCUUUUUCAACCCCGUCUUUGUCAUUUAUUACCACCUCUGUCAUUGCUCUGCAUCCGUAUACACAAAGUGAUACGAGUUGCACUAGAGUUUUUGCUGUGGAGGAUGUUACCAAGUGUAUCAAUUCCUUGCAACCGAUAGCUACAAGUUUUGUUAGGUUCCGAAAAGAUACCGAUGAUGAUGGCAAUAGAAUUAACAGACUUUGACAAUGAUGUACUUUUAGAAUUUCAAGAUACUGAAAAAUGGGGCCAAGUUUGGAAUCUUGUUUGCACACCUGCUUCAGAUGAUAGUGCCGGUACAGCUUUAAUUCUUUUAUCAUUGCCAACUUCCCCACAUGUUUCUCUAAGCAUCCUUCCUUCGAAAAUACCUCUUCGUCGAAUGAAAAAAAAAACAGUGAGAGUAUUUCGAGAUUGUGAAAUCUCUCAAGUACGUUCCAGAUUGGAAAACCAGCUGAGUCAUCUUCAGCAAUCACUAGUCGUUUAAGACUGCCAAAAACGUGUUGUGGGAAAUCGGCCUGCAAAAUCAUCUUCGCGUCUUUUCCGCUUAGUGAUAGUUCCGUCAAGUUGGGUAGGAUCUGAUCAUCAUCAAUCAUAAUAACUGAUAAGGUCAAUUGGUGUUUUCUCAAAUGAUUUUAAGUAAUCCAAUCACAUGCAGUGACUUUAUAGUAUUUGUUUUAUAUUAUAUUUUACAAAAAAAAAAUUGAAUUAUUGAUAAAAUUUAUUAAAUGAUUUUUUAUAUAUUAAUUUUAGAGGUAAAAAAGAAAUUAGGGAAAAAAAGAAAUUAUUUUAUUGGUAAUUAAGUGUUUGGUAAAUUUUGUUUCAAGAAGUACUGUAAAUUUUGAAAACAAUUAUGGUCGUUUGGUAAAUUUUACUGUUAAACUGCUGAGAGAAAAUAAAUGACUAAAAUAUCCAUAAUAUAAGAUAAAAUUUACUUAUAUAUCUCCUAAAAGCAAUCCCAAACGGGCCCUAAGGAUUCUUUUAUAAAUGUUAUACCUAAAAAAGUUCAUAUAAUUAUUAAUCUACCACAUUGAUCCCUUAGUCUAGACUAGCAAAGAUUAUUGUAUAAUAAAAGUUUUCAAUUUAUUGAGUAUUAAUUUAUCAUUGCUUUGUCAUAUUUUUCAAAGUUAAAAAUAUGCUAUUGAUAAAAAAAUCUAGAAAAUGGCUUCAUACCUUUUCCAACGGCAAUGGGGGCUGUUGUGCAGGAAUACCAAGUUGAUCAUUCUCAUUAUUCUGCGAUAAAUCUGCAGCGAAUAUCUUUAAUUUGUCACAACGAUACACUAAAAGCAUUUCUAGCGCGAGCCAUUCCAAAGUAUGCAUUCCAGGGCACAAACAUCUAAGUUUUGGUAGAUCUUGGAGUCUCAGAGUGGUGAGCUGUGGAAAGACAGAAUAAGAAUUUGUCACUUGAUCUGCUCUGUUUUCAGAAAUAAUCUCCUGUAAAUCCUCACAGUCUCGUAUAUCUAGGUGUUGGAGCUGCUUGAGGCUUCCGAUCAUAGACGCUGCAAAUAUGUAUUUUAAUUUGUGACAACGCCACACAAUCAAUCGUGUUAAACUUUGAAAGUGAGGAAACACGGCCACCAGAAUUUGAUUGUAGUGCCAAAUCUUGUCGACAUUAAUUUCAGAUAUCUCCAAAGCCUCCAAGUUAGGCAACGCAACCUAAAAAAAUAAGAAUUUCUCGUUAGAUCCAAUAUCCAUAUGGGAAGCACUUGUUGAAAUUUUCUUCUUUGAUUACAAAUUAAUGCAAGUCUGAAUCAAUUUCCAACUGACAGCUGAGUAUGCAUUCUAAUUCAUACUACUUGUUAAGAGCUCAAUUAGUGAGUGCGUGAGAUUCUUUUUAUCCUUUUUUUCCAUUUUCUUUCACUUCUUUAAAUGAUUUAAUUAUUUUCCACGUAUGACAUCAAAAGAGAACGCAUGAUAGAAUAAAAUGUGUUAUACAUUAAAGAAAAUGUUAGCCUACGCACCUUCUCGUUGAAAAGCAGAGUUGAAAUACCCAAAGUGAUUUCGCUGGAGCAAUACAUAGUCGUCGAUUCCUCUUGCGACGCUCGUCUGUUCGGUGAUGCUGAAGGAGUCUCCACCUCACAGCAAAAACUUGUAACCUCUGGAAGAUUCCCCAGACUCAAAGAUCUUAAUUGAGCAAACUCUAUCUUCUCAAUUGCAUUAUCAACUUCUUCCCCAAUUGCAAAAAUCUCUUUCAUCUUGCUGCAAUUAAUAACAGCAAUUCUCUCAAGUCUUGGAAGGCAUUUUGUAGUAGAGAGCCAAAAGAUAUUACUCAACGUAUCACAACUAUAUGCUUCUAUGGUUUUGAGUUUGUUGAAAGACUCUACUUUGAGCCGAUCAACACAUAUCCUCUCCAUGUUGAUCAAAUUGUGAAGGAUAAGUGACUCCAAAAGAGGAAAGGCAUCACAAGCGACCAUCUCCCUUGAAUCGACGAUACAAAAGAUGUCAGGAUUAUUUUGAACCCAGAGAAGCUUCAAUUGUGAAAAGCCCUCCGUGUCCAAAUUGAAAAGAACAUUCUCGAUGCCUUGCAGCUUGUCCAACCAUAAGCAUUCAACGUUGGUGAUGCCCUGCAAUUUCAUGGAGCAAAUGUCCAUAAAAUCAAGCUUGAGCUUCAAUGUUCUUAAACUCUUGCGUUUACUGUUGAUCCAAAAGUGCGGCUGACUUUGGAACCAAUGUUGUCUAACACACUUGGGAGGCGUGAAUGACUCAUUUCCAAUAGAUAUUUUGAACCUUUCGAGCUUUCUGGCCAAAAAACCUUCUGGUAAAAUACUGUCAUUUUUAACGUCAAUUUCUAGAGUGGUUAGCCGAGGUAAAUGCAUCAAUUCGUCAAGGCUAGCAUUACUUCUUUUGCUGCUGGCUCUUUCAACCUCCCAUUCAAUGAAGCAAUUACCCAUAUACAGCUCUUCUAAUCGAGUUAAGCUUGAUAUGAGAUUGGGCGCAAUAACUUUCAGAUGGAAACAAUUGGUUAAAUCUAACAAUCUCAACUUAUUCAAUUGACCUAGUUCUUCUGGCAACUGCAUAAUAUCAGACAUCAGAAAGCUUAGGACUUCUAGAUUCUUCAACUUCCCAAUGAUUGCUAUGUCCCCCAACGCACUUUGAUCCAGACAUAGUGUGUGAAGAUUUACUAGAAGAUCAAUUGAAGAUGGAAAUGAAGAAAACUGCAUUCGAGUAAAAUCUAGAACUCUAAGCUUUUUCAUCCCUACAAAAAAGUUCUCAGGAAUAUUGAUUUCAAGAGAAGAAUCUUUGGGAGAGAUAAAUAAAAAUUCAAGGUUUGGGCAUUCUAAUCCUUCAGGAAAUUCACGAUUACUAUAAUUUCUUAAAGAGAUAGCAUUGCAUUUUCGAAGUGCAUCCUCUUCUGGCCAGUCCCACACAUCCUCAUUCCUCACCGAAAACACAUGUUGGUGGCGGCAUGCAAUCGAUAUUGCGACAUCGCGAACAACAUCAUGCAUUGAAAAUUCUUCAUUGCUAUCAUCCUCAAGCAACAAACAAGAGUCUCUAAGUUCAUGGACCAAUGCAUAUAAUUUGUCUCGUGCAUCUUCCAUCUUAUUGACUCCUUUAAAUAUACCCAAACCCAUGGAGUACUUAAACAAGUCCAAAGUAACAAUACGGUUAUUCAUUAGACUACAGAGCAGAAAAAUUUUCUUGAGUUGCUCACCUCUUAAAUGGUUGAAACUCAGCUCAAUACAUGAAUAAGUCUCUGCAGACACUCCUUCGAAGUUUACCAUUGAAGGCGUUCGGAGUUCUCGCAAGGAAUUCUUCCAUUCAUGCAGACUCUUGCUUCUCAGUGCCAUUGCCACUGUAGUCAAGGCAAUGGGCAAACCUCCACAUGCCCUGGCGACGUCUAUUGCUGUAGAUUUCAACUCACGAUUUUCAACAUCAUCACCGGCCAUCAUCUUAAACAAUCUCCAGGCUUCUUCUUCAUUUAAGUUGUUUAUCAAAAAGUUGUCUUUAGAUCCCAUUUUUAAGAGGACACUACGAUCUCUUGCUGUCAGCAGUAGUUUGCAUCCUUUAUGAUCUUCUCCAAAAGGAAUUNNNNNNNNNNNNNNNNNNNNNNNNNNNNNNNNNNNNNNNNNNNNNNNNNNNNNNNNNNNNNNNNNNNNNNNNNNNNNNNNNNNNNNNNNNNNNNNNNNNNNNNNNNNNNNNNNNNNNNNNNNNNNNNNNNNNNNNNNNNNNNNNNNNNNNNNNNNNNNNNNNNNNNNNNNNNNNNNNNNNNNNNNNNNNNNNNNNNNNNNNNNNNNNNNNNNGGCUUCCAUAGCUUGCCUGGCGACCUCCUUCAUCAAUGUCGUCUUUCCAAUGCCGCCAUGCCGUACACCCCAAUGAUGCUGACAUUAGCAUCGAUCAAUGCGUUUUUUAUGGCCUCCAAAGUAGAACGUCUUGAUUCGAAGGCCUCGCAGUCUUUGUUAGACUUGAGCCAUAUAUCCUCCGGAAUGGUAGGGUCGGAAAUUCUAUCAUCAAAUCUCCCAGCUUCUUCUCGGAGUUUAAAAAGGGCCUCCUUCUCUGUUUCUGCUUUCUUUCCACGCCGAUAGCGAGCAAACCAAUCAGGAAACAGCCCCAUGAGACAUCGACCGUCAUUUGCUGUCUCUUCGUCUUGAAUGAAUUUGGCUGCCUGCUCAAUGCUCUUGUUCGCAUUAACCAGCCAUUUCUCAACCUUCUCUACAAUCUUUUCACUUUUUCUUUCAGCCUCAGAAACUCUGCGCUGAAUCCUUUCUCUUUCAACCCUCAGCCUAUCGAGUUCUGCCUUGAGAUUCUCAAAGUUGGCAGCGGAGUUAUACCAAUAACUAAAUUCGCGUUGUGCGUGGGGAGACAAGCAGUUUACAACUCCUGGAGCAAUGCUUUUCAAAAUGUCCAUUUUUUUUUUUUUAUGGGGAAGUGAACGAAAUGGAAAUAGAACAGGGUCAACGACCGCGCAAUUGAUAAUCAAGUAGAAGCAAAACAAGCCAAAAUGGAAAAAGAAAUGAUAUUUGUACAAAACAAGGGGAAAAUCAGUGUAACAGAAGAGAAUCAAAGUGUUUUUGAGAUCAGAAAAUUGAACCAAGAAAAGGGUUGCUUGAUCCAAUGAAAAUGCAAAAAGCUGAUGGCAAAAGGGAACAAAGCUAAAUAAGAAAACGGCUAGCACGAGCAGUGACCACGAUCAACAGAAGCAAAGUGUGUAUGAGAUCAAAAGACGAAAAUGAGGAGAGGUUUUCUUGAUUGAGAAUUGAAGGCAAAGAGUAGGAGCUGACGAAUACGGGGAUCAAGAGGGAAAAACUGCUUGCUUGUAAAACUACUUUCAAGCGAAUCUGAUAAAAUUAUUUCAGUACUAGUGGGCGACUCCUUUUUAAACUGCAGAAGGGAAAAAAAAAAGUUCUGAAUUUCAAUAUAUUAAUCUCGUAAUCAAUGAUUAAUUAGUAGAUAAUCUUUCUAACAAAUAUGUGUUGAAUAGAUAUAUUUCUUGAUUAUUAGUAGGUUCGAUAUACUUUAGUAUAGGAAUGAAAGUACAAGUUGUGUCGUAUUAGAAUAAAAAUUGGACCUAAAAAUAUUGUUCUAUGGCCUUUUAAUUAUUUGUCAGCUAAUAAUGAAGUCAUAUAAAAAAAUUAAUAAUCUGAAUUAGUCUUUAGUAUUAUAAAUGUUUUUAGAUUUUUAAUUAUAAUAUCAUUAUUUAAAAAUAAUUGCUUGACUUACAUUCGUAACAUUACGAUUGUCAUAAAACAUGUGAUCCUCAUCCAAAGGCCAGGUGAACAACUCUUUGUCAAGUCAGUCAAAUAUAAACGACAAAUUCUUUUCAAUUAAAUAAUCAUCAAGAAAUAAUCUUCUAUUUCAGUACAAAUGGCGAGUGCAGAACAGCUGUCAAGAGAUAAUCAUUGUUUACGGAGCCAUAUAUAUUUUCUAUUAAAAUAGUUGCGUCACUUGCGUGAACAAUUGCCAGAAUCCGUAAAAAUUGUUGAAAGGUCUAUUAGUUUCGAGUAGAAUAUUUUCGAUUAAAAUAGUUGCGUGAACAAUUAUCAUAGAUAGUGUUUAUAUUUUGGAUUGAAGUGAGAAUUUUGAGAAAUAAAAAUCUAAGAUUGAGAGUGUAGAGUGGAAGUGAGUGUAAGUUAUUUACUUACACUGAAAAAUAAGCAUGGAAUGGAGAUCAUAAUCCAAUUUAUGUGUUUAUUUUAUCUUCAAUUGAGAAUAAAUAGUUUCAAAUUACAAUUUUACCUUUAUUUAAAGAAUUAUAUAUAUUUAAUGAAUAAACAUUUAUUUUAUUAUAUUUGUAAAUUUAUAAUAAUUGUUAAUAUUCUUAAUUAUGUACAUCAUAAUUUUUUAUUAAUUUUAAUUUUAAUUAUAUAAAUUAAAAAUUAUUGAUAAGAGCAAUAUAAAUGAAACAUUUUUACUAUUAACAUAGUACAAAAUUAAUAUUUUCUUAUAAUUAACUAUUUAUUAUUACUAAUUAUUGAUAUUAAAUAAAUAUAAUACUAUUAUUUUUAAAUAAAUAUAAUAAUAUUAUAUUUUCAAAUAAAGAUAGUAUAUAGUAAUAUUAUUAAUUCUCUAUUAAUAUAAUAAUAAUAUUUAAAUAAAUAAAAUAUUUUUUAUUUUAUUUUAUUAAUAUAUAAUUAUAGUAAAUUUAAUAAAAGGGGGUUAAAAAAGGAAGGUAAAUAUAAAAUGAAAUAUUAUUUUAUUUAAUUAUAUUAAAUUUAUUAUUAUAUAAAUAAUAAUAUAAUAUUAUUUAGUAUAAAAUUAAUAUUUUCUUAGAAUAAACUAUUUAUUAUUAUUAAUUAUUAAUAUUAAAUAAAUAUAAUACUAUAUAUUUAAAUAAAUAUAAUAAUAUUAUAUCUUCAAAUAAAGAUAACAUAUAGUAAUAUUAUUAAUUCUCUAUUAAUAUAAUAAUAUUAUUUAUUUUAUUUUAUUAAAUAUUAAAUAUUAAAUUUAAUUAAAUAAGGUAGAAAAUGGAGAGGUGGGAAUGGGUUUCCCAUGGGAGUCCCACUCCCACUCCCACUCCCCACUCCAAAAAUGGGUGGAGUUUAUGGAGUGAGAUUCCCAAUUCCUCCUUAAAAUGGUAAAGUAAAUAUUGAAGUGGGAGGAAUUCACACUGCUCACACCCACUCUAGAAAAUAAACACCGAAAAGGCCAAAGGAUGAAGAACCACUAUAAGUUCUUUUAUGAAUUUAAAAUGCUAAAGAAACUUGAUUUUGAUGAUAACAAACUACAUAGGGUACAAUGGUAAAUUUAUUUCUCACAAUCUCACAAGUUUUUGAAGGGCAAAAAUCAUUCAAGUGAGAUCAAGAUCAAGAUACUCAAUGGACAAUGACAAUCAAGGACGAAUACUAAGGGUACUAGUUUAAGCAAUCUUUAUUGUUAAAUUUAUUGUAAAGCCAGUAUAAUUUAAUGUGUGCAUGAUUUAACAUUUAAAAGCUCAAGAUAUUUUUCAUGACAUUUUCAAAUUAAAUCAUCAUUUUCUAUAAUAUAAAAGUUUUAACGAUUUUAUAAAAUUAGUUGCUUUUUCCAAAUUUAUGGACUAACUUGAAAAGUUUUGAGAACUUGGAAAUCAACCAAUAAUGUUUUAAAUCCUAGAAAUUGACAUAUUUGUAAAUAUUUCAAACAUUUUGGGUUGUAAUAUAAUUUCAAAAAAAUUAGGUCUAAUCUAUAAAUCCUGGAACAAUAGUGGCUAAUCGCUUAACCAAUAGCGGCUAACUACUUCAAGUCCAAAAACAUAGCAGCUAACCGCUUAAAUCAAGUGGAAUCCGCUUGAACCAAAGUUUUCAAAUUUGAUUUGCAACUGUAACUUACCAUAUCAACAUAGUGGCUAACCGCCUCAUUUUAACGGCGAUCCAGCAAGUCCCUAGAAAAGCCAAUAAUUGCUAGUUUGAUUGUUUAAACUAUAAAAUUCAAAUUAAACUCAAAUCUAACAAUUUUUUUCAAUCUCAAUUAAGCUAAAACUUAUUCAUAUAUCUUGAGGUUUCAUUUUGCUUAUCUACAUACAUUAAUCAUUAUAGGGCUAUCAUUUGCUUAUACACUCUUAUAGAGUGUAAUCUUUGUAAUCUUCAAUUAAAUAUCAAAAUUGAGUGAGUAUAAGUGUGGGAAACACUUGGGAAAAGAGGCGUGUGUAUACAUAACUACUUGUAAAGGUUUAUUGACACCUUAGAAGUCAAUUGUAAAAUCUUGGAGUCUUGGAAGGUUUAGAUAGUAGAAUUCUCAAGUUUGGAUUGCUUGGAGGCGUAGUCAUAGGCGGGUUUGCCGAACCACAUAAAAAUUCAUGUGUUUGUUAUCUUCUCCCUUAUCUUUUUAAUUUCACGCAUUGUUAAAUUUACCAUUAUUAAAUUUCUUGAAGCAUUUGUUUAAUUUGUAUUGUGUUUUUGUUAGUAUAAUUUUUAAUACCUAAUUCACCCUCUCUUGGGUUGCUUAGCUAGAAUUUUAUUUGGUAUCAGAGGAAGUUCUCUUAUUAUAACUUAACCAUCUAGAGUAAAAGAUCUAUAGUAAUCCAAAAUGAUCCCAGAUUUGGGAAAGGUUAAUCCCUUACUAGAUCACCAUUCUUUGAUGGGAAUGAUUAUCCAUGUUGGAAAAUUAUGAUAAGAAUUUAUUUGCAAGCAUUAUAUUAUGAAAUAUAGGAAGUUGAUUGUGAUGGUCCAUUCAUGCCUACUACUAAAAAUGAAGAAGGGAAAGAAAUUCUAAAACUUUCACAAGAAUGGAAUGUGUCAGAAAAGAGAAAAAAUUCUCUUAAUUUCAAAGUCAUGAAUGCUUUGUUUUGUGCCUUAAGGUUGUUCCAAUGCUUAUGAAAUUUGGAAAAAAACAUAAACUCGUUUAUAAAGCUACAAAUCAAGUUAAAUAGUCUAAAAUUAGUAGAUAUACUAGGCAAUACGAAUUGCUAUAAAUGGAACAAAAUGAGAGUGUUAAUUCCAUAUACACUAGAUUUACAAACAUUAUAAACACUUUAGAAGCUCUUAGAAAGGCCUUUUCAAAUAGCGAGAAGGUAAAAAAAAUCAGUAGGUCUUUACCAAAAGAAUAGAGACCUAAGAAAAUUGCCAUUGAGGAAGACAAUGAUACUUUAUCUAUUGAUGAUUUAAUUAGUUCAUUUAUUUCUUAUGAAAAGGAUUUGACAACUUGAAAAGGCAAUGAAGACGAGAAGAAGAAGAGUAUUUCCUUAAAAGCAUCAAGAUCUAAAAGUGACAACGAAAGUGAGAUCGAAAAUGAAGACAUGGCUAUGAUAGCUGGAAAAUUCAAAAAAAAUUUCAAGAAAUCCAUCGAGCGAAGGAAUUCAAAAAUCAGAAAGAAAAGGAGGCAAUUAUUUGCUUUAAAUGCAGGAAGCCUAGACACAUAACACUAGCAUGUCCUUUUCUCAAUAAAGUAAAGAAGAAAGCUAUGGUAGCAACACGGGAUGAUAGUGAUAAGGAGACUAUAGAUGAAGAGUAGUCUCAUGAAGUGUCAAAUUUGGCACUUAUAGUUAUAGGAGAUGAUUAUAGGAGAUGAACUUGAUGAGGUAAACCUCUUAGGAUGAGUUGUUUGAAGUAUUCUCUAAAUUGCAUAAAGAUUUAAAGAAGAUUGGAAUGUAAAAUGUUUCUCUUGGAAAGAAAAAAGUAGAACUUUUAUAUGAGAAUGACACUUUGAAUAAAAAGAUUAAGUGCCUAGAAUUAUUUGUGAAGAAAUUGCAUCUUUUAAAGAAAAAACAAAGUGUUUCAUCUAAGAAUAAAGGUUUACCUGUAAAUGAUUUGAAAAAGAAAAAUAAAAGAUAUUGCUUUAGAAUUUGCUUAGUAUUAGUCAAUUGUGUGAUAAAGGUUACAAAGUUAUUUUUAUGUGAUAAAGGCUAUAGAGUUAUUUUUUUAUAAAACAAAAUGUGUUAUUAAAAAUGCACGUGAUGGCAAAGUUUUAUUUGUUAGAUAAAGAUAUGUUAAUGUAUACACCAUUGAUAUAGAUUGUGUAUCAACUCAUAAUAAAUGUUUUUUUCACAUUACAUGAUGAUAGUUGAUAUGGCAUGGAAGACUAGGUCAUGCGAGCAUGGAUUUUAUUUCAAAAUUUUUUUAAAAUGAUUUGGUUAUAGGUCUUCCAAAAAUUGGUUCUAAAAUAGAUAGAAUUUGUGAAGUUUGCCAAUUUAGAAAACAAAUAAAAUGUCCUUUAAAAAUAAAAUUCAUAUUUCUACUUCAAAACCACUUUAACUUUUUCACAUGGAUUUGUUUGAAUUUUCUAAAUAUGCUAGUCUAAGUGGUAAAUAUUAUGCAUUUAUAAUUAUAGAUGAUUAUUCUAUAUACACAUGGUAUUACUCUUAACUAAUAAAGAUGACACCUUUAAUGCUUUCAAAAUUUCUAUAAAAAGGUUCAAAAUGAAAAAUGAUAUGUUAUUUCUUGCAUUAGAAGUGAUCAUGGUGGAGAAUUUAAAAAUUGUAAUUUUGAAAAUUUUUACAAUAACUUUGGCAUUGAGCAUCAAUUCUUGUCACCAAGAACUCCACAAUAAAAUGGAGUAGUUGAGAGAAAGAAUUAGUCUAUCCAAGAAAUGACUAGGACCAUGUUAAAUAAAAAUGCUUUACUAGAAUAUUUUUAGGUUGGAGCCGUCAAUAUUGUUUGUUAUGUUUUAAAUCGUGCAUUGAUUAGACCUUACUUCAAUAAAACUCCUUAUGAGCUUUGGAAAAAUAGAAAAACAUUGACUAUUUCAAAGUUUUUGGUUGCAAAUGUUUUCUAUUGAAUACAAAAGAUAAUCUUGGUAAAUUUGAUCUAAAAUCUGAUGUUGAUAUUUUUUCUUGGGUAUUCAAAUACAAGCAGAACUUAUAGAGUGUAUAAUAAAAGAACCUUGGUCGCUAAAGAAUCUAUACAUGUUGUGUUUGAUUAAAUCUAACUUUUCUUCUACGAAGAAAGUUGUUGUUGAUAAUGAUGCAUAUGAAGAGUUACAAAAAAAAAAGUCUUUAAAAGACAAACAAGAUGAUUUACUAGGAAAAAAUCAAGAUGAGCAACAAGAAGAACCAGUUAAAUAUAUUCAAAAUGAAGGUAAUUCACAAACACUCUCUAAGGAGCUAAGGUAUGUCUCUUCAGACCCUAAAGACUUAAUCUUAGGAGAUCCUUCAUGAGGUGUAACUACUAGAUAAUCACUUAGAAAUACAUGUGAACAUACUGUAUUCGUAUCUCAAGUUGAACCAAAAUCCUUUUCAGAUGUGGAAAAUUAUGAAUCUUGGAUCAUAGCAAUACAAGAAGAGUUAAAUCAAUUUGAAUGAAACAAUGUAUGGAAACUUGUUCAUAAACCAGAACAUCAAUCUGUAAUAGGCAGUAAAUGGGUGUUUAGGAAUAAAAUUGAUGAAUCUGGUGUGGUUGUAAGGAAUAAAGCUAGAUUAGUAGCUCAAUGAUGCAACCAAGAAAAAGAAAUUGAUUUUGAUGAAACCUUUGCACAUGUAGCUAGAUUAGAAUCCAUUACAUGCUUUUAUCAUUUGCAUAUCAUAAUGAUUUUAUUUUAUAUUAAAUGGAUGCUAAAAGUGCCUUUCUAAAUAGUUGUAUUAUAAAGGAAGCUUAAGUGAAACAAUCCCCUCGUUUUAAAAACGAAAAAUAUUUUUGGAUCAUGUUUACAAGUUGUCCAAAGUUUUAUAUAGUUUAAAGUAAGCAUCUAGAGCAUGACAUGGUAUACUUAGUAAAUUUCUUGUAGAAAAUAGUUUUUCAAUGGGUAAAGCGAAUACUACUCUAUUUGUUAAAUACAAGGAUCAAGGUAUACUUGUUCAAAUUUAUAUUGAUGAUAUUAUCUUUAGUUCUACUAAUGAGUUUCUGUGUAAGGAAUUUUCAUCUUGUAUGAGUAGAGAAUUUGAGAUGAGCAUGAUGAGAGAAUUGAAGUACUUUCUUGGACUUAAAAUUUAAAAAAAAAAUCAUUAAUCAAGCCAAGUAUUUUAGAGAUCUACUCAAAAGAUUUUGCAUUCAGGACUAAAGACACUCCAAUGAGUACUACAAUCAAGAUCGAUAAGGAUAAAAAAAGUAAAGAUGUUGUAUCAAAAGAUAUCGAGGUAUGAUCAUAUCUUUACUUUACUUUACUGCUAGUAGACAUUACUUUAGUGUAUGUUUGUGUGCAUGAUUUCAACCAUAUCUCAAAGAAUCUCAUUUGCUUGCGGUUAAAAGAAUUUUUCAUUAUUUAUGAGGAACAAUUGAUCUUGGUCUAAGGGAACUCAUAUAGAUUAGUAGCUCAAUAAAUUUGUCAAAGAAUCCCAUUCAACAUUUUAGGACCAAACAUAUUGAAAUUAGGCAUUAUUUCUCACGUGAUCAUGUUUAAAUGAGAGAUAUUGCUUUAGAAUUUGUUUCUAUGGAAAAAUAACUUGCUCAUAUUUUUACAAAGCCUUUUUGUGAAGAAUAGUUUUCAAAGAUUUGGCUUGAGUUUGGAAUGAUGACAUUUUCACAUCAAUAUUUCAUUACAUGAUAUUGAGACUACAAAUUUGCUUGAUUUUCUAUCUUGAUUGAUUGUAUGAUAAAAACUUGAUUUUAAUGUGUUAUAUGCUUGAAUUUACUUCUUUGAAUGUUUAUCAUCAUAUCUUAUGCAUUAAAAAUGGCUUUUGAAAUACUUCGGGAUCACAAAAUGGUCUCAAAAUUAAUUAAAUUUUGGCCAAAAAGCAAAAUCGUGCAAAAUUCAGGGGAACUAGCUAACCGUUAACCACAAGCGACUAGCCAAUUGUGAGGCAGAAACUAGCUGGCCAGCCGGCUUAAAGCAAACGGUUAAUUGCUUGGUUUCUAAAAAUGAAACGGUUAACCGCUUUCUUCAAGUGGCUAGCUGGCUUCACGUUUUCAAAUGUUGUUCAUCUUCUUUUUCCCACUUUCAGUUGUUACCCUCUCUCUAUCACUGUCAUCUCUCAUUUCUUUUACUCUCUCUCUAAAAUCUUCCAUUUUUACAUCACUUUUGUGUCAAAUUAAACUUUCCAAAUCAUUUCCCAUCAAUUAAUCUUCACUCAUUCGCUUUUAAAACACAAUCUAAUCACUCUUUUCUCAAAAUCUUAAAGCCUAAGUCACCAGUUUCAACAUUCUCAAAUUUGAACCAUUAUUUGACCAUUUUCGACCAAAAUAAACCCAUACAUUCCUUAGAUAUUCUCAAAGAAUAUUUUAACAUUUUAAUCGGUUCAAAAUCAUCUAUUUCUUUAAAAACUUACUAAACUCAAAUUUGUGCAAUUUUGGACACAUUUUGAUAAUUUCUUAAUGGCUAGUGGUGAGAAGUCCAAGGGUUAGCAUAUGCCUAAAAUGUAAAAAAAAGAUUCAUAAAGACAUUAUGAAAUUUAUUUCCACCCACUUUCCAAAUCCACCUCAAUAGAAUGAUUCUAUGAUCGAUUUAUGACAAGGUCAGUCCUCCCAUCCUAUAUAUGUUAAUCUUGAUUAAUUAGAAAAUUUGUCAAGUUGUAGCAAAACUUUUAGAACUUUACUUGCUGAAUUGGGUUGGACAAAUGUCUUAGUUCUUAAGGAACAUAUUUGUCCUAAUUUGGUACGAUUAUUUUAUUCGAACAUGCUUAUUUAUACAAUUACUGCCAAUAUGAUUAUUACUAAUGUUGCUGGGAUUCCUAUUAAGUUUACAGUAGAAGAUUUAAACAUGAAUCUCAGGACUAGGAAUGAUAGGUUGCAUUUGUAUACAUCUAGGACUAAAAUUGAUUAUCCCUGGUAUUCAGGACUAGGAAUGAUAGGUUGCAUUUGUAUACAUCUAGGACUAAAAUUGAUUAUCCCUGGUAUUUAGUUGUAGAUGAUGUUUGAAACAUAGAUGUUCGAAAAAUAUGUAGGUGAUCUGAUCUAUCCAUGGAGCUUUUUAAUUCCUCUCUUAGAUCACAAAUGUUGCCUCUUCAAGUUCGGAUCCUACAUAGUGUUCUUCAGCUUGCGAUCAGUCCUCGCAAGGGACAUGGUGCUAAGGUUACACGCUUAGAUGUUACUUUAUUAGAUAGCAUCCUUGAGGGUAAAAGCUAAAUGUGCGAAUAUUAUCAUUCAGCACAUGCUUAAUACACUGAGUAUAGGAAACCGAUCCUUUUCAGUUGAUAGUGUCAUUACCCAUAUCCUUCAAUAUUUUUGGGUCCCUAUAGCUGAACCAUCUCAUGAUGAACCCAAGGAGUUAGGGGAUGAGGUCAUUGCUAGCUUAGGAUUUGGGUGGGUAGAUGACCAAUAGGUUAAGAAUCAGAACUUGUUGAGCAAACCCACAAAGCUGGCUCUUUUUUAUCAUUGCAUCUUUAACGAUGUGCUUCCCAUUACUGGGUUCUUGAUCUUAGCUCUUCCCUGAGGUCACAAGCUCUACAUUGGCCUUCUGAUGCUCCACCACCAUCAUCUUCAGCCAUUCCCAAUAACCCAAUCCAGCAGUUGUUGAAUAAAGUGUGUUCCAUAUCCGAGUAGUAGAGCAAACUUAAGAUACCGUUCGCAGCAUUCCAGGAUCAUUUUCUUUCUGAGCAGCAGCGUCUCUUUCUUCAACAAUAACAAAUUCUAGACCAUCAGCAGCUUAUUUUCAUUGCUCUCAAAUUUUUGCCACCAUCCUUGUUAUCAUGUUUGCCGCCUCAUCAGUGAUUUUCUUUUAUCUCUUUUGCUUCCUUGUUUUAUGCACCGACAUUAUUUAUCAUAUGCAUUUUCGUUUUUAGCAUUAUGGAUACUUGAUGGAUGUUAUUUUACUUAUGCAUUAUAGAUACUUGAGUUAAUAUGGAUUAUCUUUAUGCAUUCUAGUUAUUGAUCGUGGUAUCUUUAUUAGUUAUCUUUAUGGAUUAUCUUUAUUGAUUAUGGAUUAUGUAUAUGGAUACUUGAUUAAUGGUCAUGUGUGGAUUCUUGAUUGAUGAUCUUUGUGGGGGAUAAUUAUUGAUAAUAUUUGUAUAAUAGAGGAGUGAUUUUUCAUGAUGAAGGGAGAGAAGAUAUUGACAUGUAUUUUGAAGUGUUUUGACAUGUUUUUGGCUCAUGGGGGUUGAUUGAGUGUUUGUAGUAUUUUAGUUACUUUAUGAGUCACUCAAGGAGAGUUUACAAAUGUUGUACAAUUAUAUGGAUCAUGUACUUAGAGGGAGUGAGUUUAUAUAUUUGGUUAUAUUUUUUGAAUUAUGUCAUAUAUUCAGGGGCAAUAGAAAUGUCAAAAUACAUAGAGUGUUUGUCAUCAUAAAAAAAGUAGAGAUUGUUGGGGUAAACGACUAUAUGAUCCUUAAUUUUGAUGAUAACAAACCACAUAAGGUAAAAUGGUAAAUUUAUUUCUCACAAUCUGACAAGUUCUUAAAGGACAAAAAUCACUCAAGUGAGAUCAAGUUCAAGUCACUCAAUGGACAACAACAAUCAAUGAUGAAUGCUAAAGGUACUAGCUUAAGCAAUCUUCAUAGUUAUAUUUCUUGUAAAGCUAAUAUGAUUUAAUGUAUGCAUGAUUUAGUAUUUAAGAGUUCAAGAUAUUUUUCAUACAAUUUUCAAAUUAAAUCAUCAUUUUCUAUAAUAUAAAAGUUUUAAACGUAAAUAAAAAUGAUUUUAUAAAAUUAGUUGUUUUCAAAUUUAUGGACUAAAUUGAAAAGUUUUGAGAACUUUGAAAUCAACUAGUAAUGUAUUAAAUUCUUGAAGUGGACCUAUUUAUAAAUAUUUCAAAAUUUUUAGGCCAUAGUAUAAUUUUAGGAACUUUUAGUUUAAAUCUAUAAAUUUUGAAACAGUAGCGACUAACUGCUUAACGAAUAGUGGCUAACUGCUUCAGGUCCAAAAACAUAGCUGCUAACCAUUUAAAUCAGGCGACAAUUCGCUUAGGCAAAAAAGUUUUUAAAUUUUAUUUGUAACGGUAACUUACCACAUCAAUAUAGCGACUAACUUCUUUAUUUUAACAGCAAUCCGGUAGGUCCUCAGAAAGUCAAUUACGACUAGUUUGAUUGUUUAAACUAGAAGAACCCAAAUCAAACUCAAAUCUAACAACUUUUUCAAUCUCAAUUAAGUUAAACUUGUUCAUACAACUAAUCCUGAGCUUUCAUUUUACUUAUCUACAUGCAUUAAAUCAUUAUUGAGUUAUCAUUUGCUUAUACACUCUUAUAGAGAUUAAUCUUUGUAAUCUUCAAUUAAAUAUCAAAAUUUUGUGAGUAUAAGUGUGGGAAACACUUGGGGAAAGAGGUAUGUGUAAACAUCACUACUUAUAAAGGUUUAUUGACACAUUACAAGUCAAUUGUAAAAUCUUAGAGCCUGAGAAGGCUUGGAUAGUGGAAUCCUCAAACUUAGUUUGCUCGGCAGCAUAAACAUAGGCGGGUUUUGCCGAAACAUGUAAAAAUUCGUUUGUCUGUUAUCUUUUCCUUUAUUUUUUUAAUUGCAUUCAUUGUUAAAUUUACUGUUAUAAAUUUCUUAAAGCAUUUGUUCAAUUUGUUUUGUAUUUUUGUAAGUAUAAUUUUAAUACCCAAUUCACCACCCUCUUAGGUUGUGUAGAUAGAAUUUCACAUUUGUUGUACAACAACAACAACAGCAAUAACAAUAAUAAUUGUUAUAAUGGUUGUAACAAUUACUAUUGAAAAAAAUUUAUUGUUAAUAAUAGUAGAAAAUAAGAAAAAAAAAGGAAAUUAUCCACUAACCAUGUAGUCUUUGGGACUUUUUCAAAAAUACACAAAAAAAAACUUUCUUUGUAGAAAUCCACCUAGAGUUUAUUAAUUAUUCAUUGUCAUCUUAGCUCAUUAGAUUCUUGUUGAUGUCAUAAGAUUAAAAUUAUCAUUUUACUUGAACACCUAAGAUUAAAAUUAUCCUUUAGAGUUUCUUUCGCUGGGGCUGGUGACCUUAGUGGUUAGAUUUGCUAGAUAUGGUCGUGAGAAACUCGACAAUGACCGAGGAUUGGCUGGAUUCACGGUGGUUUGGUCAAAAAUCUGACUUGAAUUGGCAUUUGUGGUGCUUCAUUCAUGUUGGAGAUUUUGAUUGCGAUUUGGAUAUCGACAAUGAGAAAGUGGCAUUUGCGGUGGCGCUAGGUGAAGCCCGGGUUUUGGGUUAGCGUUGUGGCGAUUUAUGGCGGUGAUCAUUGUUGGGUUUUGUCAAGUUAUGACCAGUGGAAUGUAGCAAGUUUAGUGGUGGUGUUGGUUGACAGUGAAGAUGGUUGGUUUCACGGUGGCAGCUGGUGGAUGCUCCCAGUUUUAGGUCUAGAUGAUUUAUAGUAGGUACAAGCGGCGAUUGAUGGCAGGAGUGGCUAAGGCUUGGUCAGUAGUGGCUAAUGAGUUUGGUAGAGGGAUUAGCCAAUGGUGAACUAUUAGUGAAGAGUGGCAGUGGCGGUGGGCGGCUGCUAAGGUUUUGUAAUUUUGUAAUAUUUUUUUGUUGGAUAAACAGUUAUGAAUUUGGUGGGGAUGGAUAUGGGUAGCCAGGAAAACUGUGCAAUUGGCAUUGAACCACUCUAAUACAAACUAACAAAUUGGAAUAGCGGAAGUGGAAUUGAUAGAGUAGGAAAUAUUAGCUAUCAUUCUAAUACUGGCUAAGGUAAUGUGGAUAGUUUACGUCCUAAUCGAAACGUGAGUAGAUCUCAUUCUAACAAUGGCUCAAUGAGAUUUUAAUAACGCAUAAAGCAAGAUUAGACGACGUUCUAAUCCAAAUAACUUUGUAAGAGAGAUUUUGAUAAAUAAUUUUAGAGAGAAUUAUUAAAAAGGGCUUUAUUAGUUGAUCAAUAGUUGAAGUUACAAUAAUAAGAUUUUGAUUUAUAAUAUAAUAAACCUACUUCACUAAGUUAACUUAAAAAGAAAAACUAAAUCACAAUUUUAAUAGAAAUAAAAAACUAAGACAUAUACCAUAGUUGACUAUAAUUAAAAUAGAAAACAAUAAAAUAAUAAAAAUUAUAGAAUCCUAAAAUAAUGUCUACAUCGUAUCCUCACUAAAAUAAAAAUAUAAAAGUAAAGCAAAUUGUGGUAUAACAGACUUUAAUUCUAUCACUCUUCAAUUUUUUUGUUUAUUAAUUAAUAUUGGUGUCUAUGGUUAAAUUUGUUAUUUUUUAUAACAAUUUUAUUUGUUAAUUGAAAUAUUUAGUCUAUGUAAACAAAAAAAAAAUGGUUGGAAAGAAUGAGAGACGAAGGGGGAGAGAGAGAGAGAGAACAAAGUCAAACAAAUAAUUUAUUGAAUUAUAUUUUAAAAUUAAAUUUUAAUUUGAUUAAAUAAAUGAUGUAGUGAGAAAAUGAGUAGGUUCAAAUAGCUUUACUUAUAUUUAUUUCAUUAAUGGCUCAAAAUUUAAUGAAAAUAAAUGGUUUUAAAAAAAUUGCAUUUAAGUUGCAUAAUUCAAUGAGUAGUGCCACACAUCCUAAAUCUUUUAUCUUAAAAAAUUAUCUCAAAUGAUAUGGUAUUCAUCAAUAGAUUGAAGAGAUAAUACAAUUAAUUCACUCAAAUCUUGAAAGAAUUACCUACUAUUCAAGUAAUGACACACCAUUUGGGAUAAAAAAAAUUUGGAAUAUCUAUCAUUACUCUAAUUAAAAAUAAACCUAUCACUGGAUGAUUAAUUAUAGUAGGUUGCUUAAUACUAAAAUGUCACUCAUAAAUUUUGUUUUGGAUUUGUAAUUGAUUUAUCUUAAUUCUUCAACUUGACAUAAGGUCGUUCUCCUCGUUUCUGUACACUUAAAAGUCACCAAGAUCAAAACUAGAUCUGUCGUUGCAUUUGCUUGAAAAAUAAUUUACAAGCACUAGGUUCUCCUGAUUAAGCAACAUUUUUAAAGGGUUAUGAUAGUAGUGGAGCACUUUGUAAAUAUUAGAUGGAUUGUUGAAAACAAUAAAAAAUGUUUGUGUGUUUUUUAUAAAGGCUAAAAGAUGAAGUGGUCUAUGGAUAAUUACUUAUUUUUUCCCUUUUUAUCUUAAUCAUAUUUGAACGACAUCCUUUUAUAGUUCCCAGGCAUUCUGCAACUAUAAUAGACAAUUUUAAUAGGAACUACAGAGAAAAUAUUAAUAUUUUUAUACUUAUUUACUUACCUGAUGGAUAGCUAGAUAAGUGUUACUUUUCACACAACUAGACCAAAUUAGUACCCUUUUUGGUUGGUGAAAACGUGAUUUUUAUGAAUAUGCUAUAGAUGCUUUCAAACGUUUCCACAGUUUACGAAUUUACGCAUUAAACGAAAACCUCCAACUAUCAAACAAAAAGGUGAAAAUUCAAUAGAAUCGACAACUUCUCAGACUCACGUAGGUGGUGGUUCAAGUUUCUAAACUACUAUUAUUAUUAACAGUUUUGAAAAGCAAAUAGUAACUUCAUUUCACAGCAUCUGCUUUUGAGAAAGCUCAGAUGUAAUCAAAAUUCCAAAACCACUCUAAAUAUGUUAGGGAUAUGACCAUAAAUAGAAGUUAAAUAUGAUAGGAUAUAUAGUUGUUCAUAGCUAACAUUUGAUGGUUUAAUUAUUUGUUCUAGGGAUUAUGCGCUGAUUAGUGUUUUUUGUUAUCCACUGAAUGAUAUUCAGUUUUUCUUACAUGUUCAUAGGCAAGAGCAUUUUCUAAGUACUUUCCUUCCCUUAAAAUUUUGAAAGAAAGAUAGAUAUGAUAUGUGAAGCAAGCCCAAUGAAAUAAGCAAAUAAAAUAGAAUAAACGAAGCAAAAAUAUUUCUAGAAACAAGAAAUGACAAAGGAAACACGAAUACAACUUUUUUCUUGUUUUCCUUAUUUUCCACUGUUAAGCUCCAAAAUGAAUAACUUUAUUCUACCAUCUCUCAAAUAAUAAAAACAUCAACAGCACAUCAUCGUCAUCAAUAAUAAUAAUAAUAAUAAUAAUAAUAAUAAUAAUAAUAAUAAUAAUAACAACAAUAAUAAUUUAACUUUGUAGUAUGGAGCUCUCGCAAAUCUUCAAGACACAAAAUGUGCCUGACCCCGUUGUUGUUAUUAUAAUUUCAAAAUGAUUUGUAUUAUAUAAAAUUAGGGAAUAAGACAUAGCAAAAUUGAUGGUACAUAUGUUGCAAUAUACUUGUUCAUGUAGCGACACAUUAAAGUAAAGCAAAAGCGAAACAACGAAAAAUGUAACGGGAGAGCUCUUAUUAUGUAGAUUUUCAAUAGAAGUAAUGCAAAUUUCACAAGGGCAAUGGCCUUAUUUCGAAUGUUGCACCGGAGGAAUGACAUGAACCUUCGAUACGUCACAAAUGUAUCAUGAAAGUGUGAUAGAUUUGUGACAUAUAUUUAUUUAUUUAUUUAUUUUUUGGUCUUAACCACGAGGUAUUCUGGGGAGGGCUCCAACUGUGGAAAACAUCUUUAAGCCCGUACCACAACUCAGACUACAAGUUUCCGCUCGAACCGGGAGGCAUAAGUUCUCCCAACAAAAGCGACUUUCCUACAACUCGAACUAGGGAGCAAACCCAGUCAAGCCACUUAAGGGGACUCCAUUGCCAGUGGAGCCAACACUUUGUUGGUGUGGCAUAUAUUUAUAUGUUCAGAGUUUAUGACAUAUUCAUGACUUAUAACUUAACUAACAUAAAUAAAUGAUAGAUAUAAGUGAUGCUCAAGUUUUGUGGAUUUAUAAUAUCAUAAAAUGAUGACUAUUUAAACGACGUCGUUUUUAUGAAACUUAAAACAUACCAACACUUCAGCCAAAUAUCGACAAGUGUUGAAUAAACCCCUCUCUCGCUGCAACCUAAAAUCAAUGAACUUUGAGCCAUUCUCAACAACAUUGUGUAGAACCCUAGCCCUAACCCUCACUUCCACCACCGAUAAAGCUAAGAAAGUUUUCCGUAUAUCAGAACCAUGGCGAAUUGCCUUCAGCUCUUAGGACCCAUAAUAAAUCUUGUAUUCCCUCGCUUUCACUUUGCUAAUUUUUUGUAUUAUUCCAUCUCUUUCACUUUAAUAACCCAAAAUCUUUCUCUGUUUCAAUCGAAAGAAGACCCUAGCUUAAAUUAAGCUGAAAUUUACAUAUCAAAGCUCUCGCUCAGCUUCCCUCCUUCAAUUGAAACAAAACGAAGCCAUAAGACCCCAAUAUGCCACGCCCUUUUGUCUCAGGCCAACAUUCAUUUAAACCCUACCUUUCGGUUCAAUGCCAUUUAAUGCGAUUGCAGAUGCCGUUUCAACUCAUUAUUUAGUUAACGCCAUUCAGUUCUUUGCGGUAAGCCUUAACCCUAAUAACUAAUCAACUGUGGUAGCACGUUGCUGACUGGGGUGGGAAUACAUUAAUUGAAUAUAUGAAUUGGGUGAUGUCAGUGAUUCAUCCCCCUAUUUGCCGUUAAUGGAGAUUUGUGUAUAAUGUUUGUAAGAUUGUUAAAAAUUUCAUGUUCCAGUCGAAUUUCUUGCUUGUGGAAGAUAAAACAAAAGUUUAAUCUAUAUAUAUAUAUAUAUAUAUAUUAGCUUCUUUAUAGUCAGGCUCUGGCUUUGCUGCUAUGCUUAGUGCAGUUUAUGGUUUCAAGAUUAAAUUAGGUUUAUUUGACGACAUUGAUAUCUUAUCUAGCUCCGCUUGAAAAUGAAAAUGUUGUACUAGUAAUCAUAGACUUUGUUUAUUCAGUUGAUAUUUUAAUUAUACAUAUAAGAAUGAAGGUUUAUUUGGGAAAAAAAGAAAUAAAGAAAUAGGCUCUGUUGAAGCUAAUUAAUACUUCAUUCUUUCUAUACGUGCGACCUGUGGUGGAAACAUGAUAUGAAAAUGUGUUACUGGUGAGGUUGCUGCUUGAGAUGAGAAUGAUGAGAAUGCCUUCUAUUCGGAAAUCCUUGGUAGGUAUUAUAUAAUUAUAUUUGAUGGAAUAUUAAAUAGCUAAAGAAUCUGUGAUAUUGUCUUUGUUCAAUUGUUACUGUAGUAGUGUUUGUUGGUCUUUUUCUGGUUGGCGUUUGGAUGUUAAUGUCAUCAUCAGUUGUACUGGUGUGGGAUCCAGGAUGUUGUCCUCUUAAGAGCCUAUAAGCAAAGUGAAACAGAGAGUAUCUGAGAUUUUUCUGGGCCUUUCGUAGAAAAUCAAGGUGAUGAAUGACAGGAUUCAACAAAUGGGGAUGGGGAUGAUGUUCCUGUUGAAAAGUUAGAGAAUAGAGUGGAAGAUAAUCACGAAGAGAUGAAUAUGUAUGAGGGUGAUGGUGAGACGAGUGAAUCUAAGAAUAUGGUUAAUCAAAACCAGGAAGAGAAUUUAGUGAAGGAGAGUUUUGAUGAGAAUACUGAGUCUGAAGAGGAAUCUAGGGCGGUGUCUAAAAAUUAUGAUGUUAGAAAAAAGGAAGAUAAGGAAUCUAAAAGUGAAGGUGGAGAUUUGAAUUAAGAAGCUGGAGAAACAGAAGGCGGCGAAUUGAAUAAAAUUGAGCAAAUUGAAUCAGAGAAGAGCUUGGAUGAAAAUAAAUGGAUCAGGCUAGUCAGAUUGAAAAGGAGAAGGAUUCUCAAGAUCAAGAUAAUGACACUGAGAGUCGUUGAAAGGAUCAGGCUUCAACUGAGAUUUUUCCUUUUGGUGACUAGUCAGAAAUUCUGAAGGAAACUAAUGCUCAGAAUGGGGCUUGCUCAACUCAACCUAUUGAGUCAUAGAAUCAGAAAAUAUCACAACAAUCUUCUAUAUCUAAGGACCAGUAUGGUCGUCGCUGGAAAGUGUGUAAUGCCACUGCUAGGCCAGAUUGCAUCCCUUGCCUGGAUAAUUUGCAAGCAAUUAGAAUGCUUUCCAGCACAAAAGCAUUAUGAACAUCGAGAGAGGUAUUGCCCUGAAGAAGCUUGUACCUGUAUUGCUCCUUUACCGGAAGGAUACAAACACUCAAUUAAGUGGCCCCAAAGCAGGGAUAGGGUAUGAUCUUAUAUUAUGCAUUAUAAAAUAUAUACUUGACUACUUUUAAUUCACUUGGGCUAAGAUUUGUUCUCAUGCUGUGUGGGAUAGAUUUGGUAUUAUAAUUUUCCCCACACAAAGCUUGCAGAAGUUAAGGGUUAGCAAAAUGGGGUUAAAGUUACUGGUGAAUACCACAUUUUUCCAGGUGGCAGAACUGAAUUUGAGAAUGGUGCUCUUCAUUACAUUGACUUCAUUCUGAAGGUGAGCAUUUUUCAUUUAUCAUUUUAUGUCUGUUGUUAGCUUCAAUUAAUAGGUGGCUUAUUCUUUUCUUUGUAUGAACCAUGGGCGGUCCAUUUCAUCUUAUAAGCUAUUUCUUGGGUUUUAGCAAGACAACUUAUGGAGGGUAUACAGAGGCUCAAGAGCUCGAUUGCCAUUCAUUUUACACUUGGCUGGGCUAUAGUAUACCAACUAGUGAUUAAUAAAGAGAAGGUAUGAAGGUCCUGUUGCUGGUGGUAUUAUCAAUCAGAAUUGUUAUUUUACUUAGUCAUACUUACCAUGUAUACUAUUCGUAGGCUUUUUCAUUUUCAUGCAUUCGCAUCAUCUUCUGGUUAAGCUACAGAUGGUUGAUUUGUGUACUCAUUUGUAUCACUUGUAGCUCUUGAGGAAUAAAAUUUAAAAUUAUGUUGCAUCCCUUGUACUAAAUAGUAAUUUUGUUGGCUUUAUGCAUGGGAAAUGGUUUGUUGUCUUAUUUCUUUGAUGUGUAUGGUGUUACACUGUCUAAAGUUAAGAAGUAUUUCUAUCACUUGUGUAAAAAACAACCUACUUUUUUCAUUCUUCUUAUAUUGAAUAAAAGAGGGACACCAAGAUUGAACGAAAUUUGAUUCAGAAAGCAUAGCAAUUAGGCCAGUUCAAAACAGCUUCCUUCUGAUUCUUUGAUAUUUGACUUAAAUCUUUUGUUUGUUUCAUUUAUCAAAGUCAUUUUGGAAAGUAACGGGGGUGAUUUGAUAUUUUCAUUGCAUUCACAUCCCUUAGGCACCAAAACAAGCAUGCUGGUACUAACCAACAAUUUUUUAUUUUCAGUAUACAAAUUAUUUUUUUCUAAAUUAGGGGUAUUAAGAAAAGGUAUACUAGCACCAGGGGAGGUAUUUGAGAAUACACAAAUACAAUCUAUUAAACUAAGAAUAUGUCAAACUUCAGGGGAGGUUUCUGAUAAAUCUCUUUUACUUUUUCCUCCAUUCACCAUAGGUUCAAUUUAGAACAGUUGACCAAACCGAAGGUUUAGGUUGGUAAACGCACUAGUGUUAAUGUCAACAACCCAAGGGGCUUCAUGGUCCUCUGGGCUGAAAUAGCGUAAUUAUUAAUUCUCCUCCAGUGAAAAUCUUCAUCUUGGGACAAAUAAUUACAAAUUGACAUUAUGGCUAUGCAAAUUUUGAGGUGUAAUAACCGGAAAAAUAAAAAUCUUAAGAGACUUUUUAAAUAAAAAAGAUACAACACCUUUAAUUUGCUAAAAGUAAUGAUAUCAUUACUUGUAUGGAAAAUGGAUGAUUAGAUUUUCUUUUUUGUUAUCCGACGAAGGAUAUUCAGUUGUUCUUUAUUUGUUCAUAGGCAAGAGCAUGAGCAUAUGCAUGAUUUGAUAUAUGCUUCUUGCAUUUUCUAAUUAAGUGCUCUCUUUCCUUGCCUUCUUAGUUUUGAAAGAAAGAUGUGAAGCAAAGCAAACCCAGUGAAAUACACAGAGCAACAGAACCAUCAGAGGAAAAACUAAAUAACAGAACUACAAUUGAACCAAACAAAAUCAAAUAAACGGACGCAACAGAUGCCCUGAACCUAGUAAUUACUCAAGAGUUGAGGAGUUGGAAUGAUUUGGUAUUCAUAUCUUCACAAAUCAUAUGCUUUAAUGCAGAAUCGACAGCUUUAUAUUAUUUUAUUCAAAAAACGAUAAAGCAGGAAAACCACAAUAAUCCACCAACUUUUGAUACUUGUAGGAAUUUUUUUUAGUCAAAUUAAGUUUCAUGAUAACACAAGUGGCUCGUCCACACACUUGCACUUGCUUGAAUAUUUGUGCCGACAUUUUCAUAUGUGAUGGUACUUCUUAGCCAGUAGAUAUGUUGAAGUACUACAAAACAGAGUAUUUGAUGAAGUUUUGCUACUUUCGUAUCCCAUUUUGUUGCAUAACUAAAUUCUUUAUAAACACAAAUUAGAAAGCUACAAAUAAUACAGUAGCUUGAAUUUAUAUGCUUUUAUGAUUAUUUGAUAAUCUAGUGCUGACAAUAUGUGAUGAUAAACUUAGCUAGUAGUUUUAUAUUUAUUUUCGUAGUUUCUUUAGCAUUCACAUUUUGAUGAGUAAAUUAAGGAUUUCCAGAUGAAGUACAUAAUCAGAUUAAUGCUAAGGAACUGAAGUUUGAUUAAUUGAAAACAAAAAUAAUAAUGAAGGUAAUUACGAAAAUGAACAAUGCAGAAGUAGUCCCUAUAGUAUUUCUAAAUUUUCUCUUGGGGUUCCUUAGUAUUCCUUAAUAUUUUUAAAAGAUGACAUGACGAUCUUUGAGUUGACAAAUCUAGGCCUGCUGCUUAGUACCCUUCCAACAUUUCAAGUACUAGAUGUUUUACUGAGAAAAUGACAAGAUCAUUUAUCAAAUUUCUUGCGCAUAUAUACAUAUGCAUACAAGAAAUGGGAAUCAGAGUGAUUAUAAGACCUUGCAAUGAGACAAUAAUACAUCAUCAAAUUUAAAAAUACACAAGAAAUUUGUGACGUAUAUAUAACAAAAGACCUCUCAUUGAGUUAUACAUAUUGAGAAUAAAAUGUCAAAAUGCAGACAAAGAGCUUAUACAGAAAAUGAAUAAACCGUCUUUGAACUUCCGAUGGUCAAACAAAGGAAACAGGCAGGAUAUAACACACACUAUCAUAGAUGUAGCGACACGAUGAAGUAAAUCACAUGAAGAUGGAAAGGGGAACCCCUCACAGCAUAAAAUUUGAAUAGAAGGGGGAAAAAGGCUUCAUUUCAAAUGUUGCACAGAAGAAGAGUGACUUGAAUCUCCAUCAGUAUCCAGACAUUCUGCAAACACAGUGCUGAGAAUUUUAACAAGAAUAACAGACAAAAUAUUGUGCUCUCUAUACUUUCACAAAACUAGACCAAAUUAGUUCCCUUUUUGGUUUGUGAAAACUUGAUAUUUUUUAAAAUUCUAUCCAAUGCUUUCAAACAAUAUUUCCACAAUAUAGUUGUUCAUAGCUAACCUUUGAUGGUUUAAGGAUUUGUUGUAGGCAUAAUGGGCUAAUUAGAUUUUUUUUUUUAUCCGAUGAAUGCUAUUCAGCUGUUCUUAAUUAUGUGUUCAUAGGCAAGACCAUUUUCUUAAGUACUUUCGUUGCCUUCCAAGUUUCCAAAGAACAAACAGAGCACAAACAAAUAUAACGGAACAGCAAUGAUGGCAAUAAAUAAUUGGCAAAGAAAGAAAGAAAAAAGUUUGCAUGAUUUCAAGGAAUUGUAAAAUCUGAAGACUUUCAACAGGAAUUAUAAAAUCUGAAGACUUUCAACAUGCAAGUGUUGCCCCUUUUGAUGAAAUUUCAUCAUAAAAUGCUUGCAAAGAAUUAUAAAAUUUUAGAGAACAAGCGAACUCUCAAACAAAAUACUCAAAUUAAAUUAAAUUAGACCAAAAGACACUCAAUGACGCAAAAUCUGCCCAUAAAAGCCUGAACAAAUCAUGAAAAGUGCAUUCCAUAUUGACAGUAAACCAAGUGACCGAUUCUAAAUAAUUGAGAUGAAAUUGUGAAACAACCCACGAGAUCAAAUAAAUAAAAUAAGAAUUAAUUACCAGCUUUGACUUUCUUCUCCAAAUUCGCAACUCCAAGACAUAAGAAGCCAAUGAAAUUAGUCGUAACCCAUAAAGUACGACGACGACCCCGCCAAUAGCUGAAAAUAAAAUACUUAUUCAUCAAUUUAAACUAACUUUAUAACAAAUAUCUUAUCGAUAUUUUAUUUAAAAAAAGCAAAUUUGUAAAAUUUUUCCAUGGGAGAUAGAGAGUAAUAUGUAUAUCCGUACCUUUUCAGCAUGUAAUUGUUGUAUGGUUGUGUUAAGAUCAUUAUUUGCCCAACGGCGUUGAUCCUCUUACUCUCCAUACGAGACGUUUACUCUCGGAGGCGUGUUUGAUUCUCCUGAAGUGAAAGUCUUCAUCUUGGGACAACCAAUCACUUCUAGAUAUUCCAGAGAUGGGAAUUUGAAGGUGUAAUUGGCAGAGCAGAAACUUGUGAGACUGUCUAAAUCGCACAGAAUCAACGCCUUCAAUUUGCUGAAAACAAUCUCUUCUAUGUCAACUCCUUCUUUGUCAUUUAUUACCACCUCUGUCAUUGCUCUGCAUCCAUAUACUUGCACUGAUACGAGUCGCACCAGAGUUUUUGCUGUGGAGGAUGUUACGAAGUGUAUCAAUUCCUUGCAACCGACAGCUACCAGUUUUGUUAGGUUCCGAAAAGAUACCGAUGAUGAUGGCAAUAGACUUAACAGAUUUUGACAAUGAUAUACUUUUAGAAUUUCAAGAUAUUGAAAAAUGGAGUCAAGUUUGGAGUCUUGUUUACAUAGCUGCUUCAGAUGAUUAAGGUGGCCCAGCUCUAUACAUUUUAUCAUUGCCAACUUCCUCAAACGUUUCUCUAAGCAUCCUUCCGUUGAAAAUAGCUCUUCGUAUGAACAAUGAUACAGUAAGAGUAAUUCGAGAUUGUGAAAUCUCUCAAGUACAUUCCUGAUUGGAAAACAAGCCGAGUCAUCAUAAGUUAUGUCUAGUUUUUUAAGACUGCCAAAAAGGUGUUGAGGGAAAUCGGCGUCCAAAAUCAUCUUCACAUCUUUUCCGCUUAACGCCAGUGACUCCAAGUUGGGUAAGAUCUGAUCAUUAUCAAUCACGUAGUAACUAAUCAGUCAGUUGAUGUUCUCUCCAAUAAUUUUGAGUAAUCCAAUCAUAUGCAGCGACCUUAUAGUACUUGUUGUAGAUUAUAUAUAUUUUACCAAAAAAAAAAAAAAAAGAAAGGAAAAAUUGAAUUAGUGAUAAAAUUCAUUCUAGGGGCCGUUGAAUUAGUGAUAAAAUUGAAUUAGUGAUAAAAUUCGGUUAUAUUUUUCAAAGUCAAAAGUCGCUAAUGAUCUAAUUGAUAAGAAAUCUAGAAAGCGGCUUCAUACCUUUUUGAACAAGAAUAGGGGCCGUUGUGCAGGAAUACCAAGUUGAUCAUCCUCAUUAUUUUGUGAUGAAUCUGCAGCGAAUGUCUUCAAUUUGUCACAACCAGACACCACUAAAAUUUUUAGUGCAGGCCAUUCCGAAGUAAGCAUUCCAUGGUAUAAACAUUUAAGUUCUGGUAGCUCUUGGAGUAUAAGAGUGGUCACCCGUUGAAAGACAAAACGAGGGGUCACAUGAUCUACUCUGUCUUCCGAAAUGAUCUCUUGCAAACCCCUACAAUUCACUAUCUCUACUUGUUGGAGAUGCUCAAAGCUUUGAAUCAUAGAAACUAAAAAUAUGUAUUUCAAUUUGUUACAGUGGCACACAAUCAAUCGUGUUAAACUUUGAAAGCGAGGAAGCAUGACCGGACGAUGAUUGUAAUGCCAAAUCUUGUCGACAUUAAUUUCAGAUAUCUCCAAAGCCUCCAAGUUAGGCAAGCCUACCUAAAAAAAUAUUAAUUUCUUGUUAGAUCCAACAUCCAUAUGAGAAGGACUUAUUGAAAUUUUCUUCUUUGAUUGCAGAUUAAUAAUUCAAGUCAAAAUCAAUUUCCAACUGACAGCUGAGUAUGCAUUCUAAUUCAUAUUACUUGUUAAGAGCUCAAUUAGUGAGUGCGUGAGAUUCUUUUUAUCUUUUUUUUUUCACUUUCUUUCAAUUCUUUAAAUGAUUUAAUUAUUUUCCACGUAUGACAUCAAAAGAGAAUGCACAAUAGCAUAAAGAAAGUGUUAGCCUACGCACCUUGCCGUUGAAAAGCAGGGUUUCCAAAUUGAUUUCGUUGGAGCAAGAACUUGUCAAUUCCUCUUGCAGCCCUUGUCUGUUUAGUGAUGCUGAAGGAGUCUUCAAUUUACGGAAAAAAGUUGUAACCUCUGGAAGAUUUCCUAAACUCAAAGAUCUUAAUUGAGCCAACUCUAUCUUCUCAGUAGCAUUAUUGUUGUCAACAUCAGCUUCUCCCCCAGUUGCAAAAAUCUCUUUCAUCUUGCUGCAAUUAAUAACUGCAAUUCUCUCAAGUCUUGGAAGGCAUUUUGCAGUGGAGAGCCAGAAGAUAUUACUCAACUCAUUACAAUUUUCUACUUUUAUUGUUUUGAGUUUAUUGAAAGACUCUACUUUGAGUCGAUCAAUGCAUAUCCUCUCCAUGUUGAUCAAAUUGUGAAGAGUCAGCGACUCCAAAAGAGGAAAGGCAUCACAAGCGACCAUCUCCAUUGAGUCGACAAUACAAAAGAAGUCAGGAUUAUUUUGAACCCAGAGAAGCUUCAAUUGUGGUACGCCCUUUGUGUCCAAAUCGAAAAGAACAUUUUUGACACCUUGUAGCUUGUCCAACAAUAAGUAUUCAACGUUAUUGAUGGCCUGCAAUUUCAUGGAGCAAAUGUCCAUAAAAUCAAGCUUGAGCUUCAACUCUCUUAAACGCUCAUGAUUAUUGUUGAUCAAAAAGUGCGACCGACUGCGAAACCAAUCUUUUGUAACAGGCAAGGAAGCCAUGAAUGACUUAUUUCCAAUAGAUAUUUUGAACCUUUUGAGCUUUCUGGCCAAAAAGCCUUCCGGUAAAAUACUGUCAUUUUUAACAUCAACACUUCGGGAAUGUCAUUAAUAAUACUAUCUUUUAAAAAAAUUGCAGGAUAUUUUUUUAAUGCAUCUGCAUCUGGCCAUUUCCACAAAUGCAAUUUUGUCACGACAUGCAAUUGAAAUGGCAACAUCGCGAACAACAUCAUGCAUGGAAAAUAAUUUACUGCUACCAUCCUUAAGCAACAAACAAGAGUCUCUUAGUUGAUUGACCCAUGCAUCUAAUUUGUUAUGUGCAUCUUCUAGUUUAUGGACACUUUCAAAUGCACCCAAGCCCACGCUAUAUUUGAACAAGUCCAUAAUUGAAGUUGGUGUAAUUAGACUACACAGUAAAAAAGUUUUCUUGAGUUGCUCACCUCUUAAGUACUUGUAACUCAGCUCAAUUGUUGAGUAUGCCUCUACUGGUACUCCUCCGUCGAAGCUUGCCUCUGAAGGCGUUUGGAGUUCUUGCAAGGCGUUUUUCCACACAGGCAGCUCUUUGUUUCUCAGUGCCUUUGCUACUGUGGUUAGGGCAAUAGGCAAACCUCCACAUGCCUUGGCUACACUUGUUGCUGUAGAUUUUAACUCACGAUUUUCAACAUAAUUACCAGCCAUUAUCUUGAACAAUCUCCAAGCUUCUUGCUCAUUUAGAAUGCAAAUCAAGAAGUUAUUUUCAUAUCCCAUACUUAACGAGACAUUACGAUCCUUUGCUGUUAAUAAUAAUUUGCAUCCUCUAUGAUCAUCGCCAAAAGGAAUUCCAACAGUCUCUAAAUCAAGAUAUUUCCAGAUUUUGUCCAGAAUCACAAGGAUCUUCUUAUGAUUCUUCAAUCGUUCAUAAAGUUUACUAGCUCUUCUAGAUUCAGCCUCCUCGGACAACUCCAGACCUAGUUUCUCUGCAAUUUCCCCUUGAAUCUUUUUUAUGUCUGGAGUUUGGGAAACCUCUGAAAAAACCACCUGAUCAAAGAGUUUCUCUUCACUGGCUUGCCUUGCAAACUCCUUCACCAGUGUUGUCUUUCCAAUGCCGCCCAUGCCGUAUACCCCAACGAUGCUGACAUUGACAUCAGUCAAUGCAUCUUGUAUAGACUUCAGAGUAGAAAGUCUUGAUUUAAAGGCCUCAUAACCUUUGUUAGACUUUAGCCAUACCUCCUCCACAAUGGUACGGUAGAAAAUUUGAUCAUCAAAUCUCCUAGCUUCUUCUUUGAGUUCAACAAGGGCCUUCACCUCUGUUUCUGCUUUCUUGCUAAGCUGAUAGCGGGUCUUCAAAUUAGGACACAAGCCCUUGAAACAUCGCUUACUUGUUGUCUCCCCAUCUUCAAUGAAUUUGGAUGCCUGCUCAAUGGUGUUGUUCGCACUAACCAGCUAGUUCUCAACCUUCUCUUCAAUCUUUUCUCCUUUUCUUUCAGCCUUAGAAACUCUGUGCUGAAUGCUCUUACUUUCAUCCUUGAGCUUGUCUAUUUCUGCCUUGAGAUUCUCAAAGUUGGCUUUAUAGUUACGCAAAUAACCAAGUUGGUGUUCUGUUGGAGGAGCGAAGCAUUUCACAACUUCUAACAGAACAGUAACAAUGCUUUCCACCAUCUUCGAUCCUCUUUUUUUCAAAGUUCCGAAAUGAAAAUAAACGACGAGCGAAACACAGAGAGAAAGAGAGGCAAAAAAAAAAAAAAAAAAAAAAAGAAAAUGAAACAACAAAGAUGACAAGUGUAUCUGUUUGUGGAAGCGGAGAAAUCAAAGAAAGCUUAAAAACUGUUGUGAAUCUGGUGAGAAGAUGGAAACAAGGAAAAGGUUUCUAGUUCAAAAGUGAUUGAAUUGAUAUAAGGAAUGAUUUAGAUAAUAGAGGAAAAGUGAAUCAGUCAAAAUAACUUAUGUAUUGACCAGAAGAAAGAUGCAAACAAUAUUGGAGACAACAACAACGCUAUGUGUUGUGCGCAGAAUGCGGAAACAAGUGCACUGAAUAAUCACAGAAAAAUAAAGGACACAAGAAUUACAUGGUUCGGCAAUAUGCCUACGUCCAUGGGAACAAGAGAAAAAUAAUUGUAUUAUUAACAAUUAUAGUACAAAUUUGAGUAAAGAAAUCUCACUUUCCCAUAACCCAAAUACACCAGUACUCUCACACACACUCUCCAAUUGCUCACACUCUCACAACUCUCAAAACCUUAGAAACUUAUACGCUUAACAAUUUAGGGAUGAUUUACAAAUGAAGAAUGCAUCUAUAUUUAUAGCAAAAAACGUUGCACUAUUGCACCAUCCGCUUUGCAAUUUGUCAAUUCUCCUAUCUGUCAAUUUGACAAAUUUUACUAACCUUUUUCAUUUUUCUUCAUUUGGUGCAGGAUUGUCAAAAGUCAUAUAUUCUACAGCUUGCAAUUUUGGUGCCGACUUUGAAAAACAAAAGCAAUGCAUGUGGCUCACUUUUAUUUUUCAACCAAUUUGAAAAAAACUCUUUGACUUUUCAACAAUUCUCCACCUCGGCGAAGAUUUGUUCAAAUCUGAGCCGACUACCAACCAAUCAUCAUCCCCAAAGUGGCUGCAUCUCUGUGACUGCCUACGUACCCAAAAUUUGGGAUCAAGCCAACCGUAGUUUAAAAUUUCCGAAGGACAUAUCUUAACACAAUCGAAGGAUUUGAAUUAGUUUCAAGCAAUGUUGAAACUUAACUCCAGAAACUACCUUCGUCAACAUAUCUGAUGGAUUAUCUUUGGUAUCGAUCUUUCUCAACAACACAACACCGCUCUCGAUAAUCUCUCUCACAUAAUGAUAUUUCACAUCUAUGUGUUUCGUCCGAGCGUGAUAUGUUUGAUUCUUCGCAAGGAAUAUCGCACUUUGAUUAUCACAGAAGACCGCAAUGUUCUCUUGGAUUACUCCUAAAUCACCUAACAAGCCUUUCAACCAGAGAGCUUCUUUUACAGCUUCAGUUACUGCCAUAUACUCUGCUUCCAUAGUGGACAAAGCAAUUAUCGAUUGUAGAAUCGACCUCCAGCUAACCGGACCUCCACCCAAUGUGAAUACGUAGCCCGUUGUUGAUCUUCGCUUGUCAAGGUCUCCAGCGAAAUCAGAAUCACAAUACCCAACACAUUGUUGACCACAAUCAUUCUUGAACAAUAACCCAACAUCAACUGUCCCAUACAGAUAUCGGAGAAUCCACUUUACUGCAAGCCAUUGAUUUAUACCCGGAUUGUGCAUGUAUCUACUAACCAUGCUCACUGCUUGAGAUAUAUCAGGCCUUGUACAUACCAUAGCAUAUAUAAGACUACCCACAGCACUAGCAUAUGGAACACGAGCCAUAUAAUCGCGCUCCUCUUGAGAUCUAGGACAUAAAGAAGAGCUUAAUUUGAAAUGAGGAGCUAAAGAUGUACAUACUGGUUUAGUUUUGUCAUCCAUGCCUAAUCUUUUUAGCACUUUCUUCAAAUAAGACUUUUGAGUCAACCAUACGCUCCCAUUCUUCUUGUCUCUACGAAUCUCCAUCCCAAGUAUUCUCUGUGCAUCACCCAAGUCUUUCAUCUUGAACUCAGAAGCUAGCUGCUUCUUUAAUCUUUCGAUCUCAUCUCUAUUCUUCGAAGAUAUAAGCAUAUCGUUGACAUAGAGUAACAAAUAGAUAAAAGCUUUAUCUAGUAGUCUUCUAAAGUAAACACAAUGAUCGUGUUCGCUUCUAGUGAAUUUCUGCCCUUGUAUAAAUUGAUCAAAUCUUUUGUACCACUGCCUUGGCGAUUGCUUCAGUCCGUACAAAGAUUUAAUCAACCUACACACAUGAUUCUCCUUUCCAGCAACUUUGAAACCACAAGGCUGAAUCAUAUAGAUUUCCUCCACUAAAUCUCCAUGUAAGAACGUCGUCUUAACAUCCAAUUGAGCCAACUCUAACUCAUAUUCUGCAAGUAAGGUAAGUAGGAUACGAAUGGAAGUAUAUUUUACAACUGGAGAGAAAACUUCAUUAUAUUCAAUACCUUCCUUUUGAGCAAAACCUUUCGCCACGAGCCUUGCCUUGUAUCGAGGAAUUGAUUGCUUCAGAGAUCCUUUCUUCUUGGUGUAGACCCAUUUAUUCCCAAUAGCCUUUUUUCCUUUUGGUAACUUUACAAGUUCCUAUGUCUGGUAACUUUACAAGUUCCCAUGUCUGGUUUUGAUGGAGAGAUUUCAUCUCUUUUUCCAUGGCUAACUUCCAUUGAUCACUUUCACUGCCGCGUAAUGCUUCACUGAAAGUGUUGGGGAUGUCAUCAUCAAUAACUAGAAGUGCAUAGGCUACCACCAUGUAUUUAGUAAGCCAUCCGGGUUUCUUUAUCUCCCUUCUUGGCCUCCUUAUUGCUAUAAAAUCAUCAUUAUCUACAUCAUAAAUUGUUUCUUCAUUUUGUGGGACAUCAGAAGAAACAACCUCUUCUUCAACUGUAGGUGUCACCUCCAUAGUUGAACCCUUCUUUGAUGUAGAAUUAACUGGUACAUAUGAAGUUGCAUCAAACUUCACCCGCUGCAAUACCUCUUUGGUCUUGUUCUCCACCUACUGAGAACUUGAAGCUUUCAUCAUUAAAGCUUCAUCAAAUGUGACAUCUCUGCUACACACAAACUUUUUGUCUUCGAGAUUCCAAAGCUUGAAGCCCUUUACUCCAUCUUUGAAUCCCACAAAGAUAGCUUUUCUAGCACGAGGAUCCAGUUUACCAUCUUUGACAUGAUAAUAAGCUGGACACCUGAAUAUACGAAGGAAAUCAUAGUCUUGUGCAUGCUUUCCAGACCACAUUUCCAUAGGAGUUUUACCUCUAAUUACAGUAGAAGGAACUCGGUUUAUCAAGUGACUUGCAUAGCUCACAGCUUCAGCCCAAAACUUUUUAUCUAAACCAGCAUUAGAUAAUAUACACCGUACUUUCUCCAGUAAAGUACGAUUCAUGCGCUCAGCCACACCGUUCUGUUGCGGAGUAUGUCUCACCAUGAAAUAUCUUUUAAUACCCUCGUUCUGGCAUACUUGCAAGAAUGGAUCAGAAGUAUAUUCACCCCCAUUAUCAUAUCGUAAUACUUUGAUCUUUCUGCCAGUUUAAGUCUCUACCAAUUUCUUCCAUUUCACGAAAAUCUCUAGAACAUCAUCCUUUGCUCGCAUGGUGUACACCCACACACGUCUAGAGAAAUCAUCAACAAAUGUAACAAAAUAAUGGCUUCCACCAAUUGAUGCAGUCUUGGUUGGUCCCCAUACAUCACUAUGAACAUAUGCAAGGAUCUCACGAGUAUCGUGAUUAGCCGUACCAAACUUGACCCUUGUUUUCUUGCCUACUACACAAUGCUCACAGAAAUUUAAUUUACAGGUUUUGGGACCUUUUAAGAGUCCGUGCCUCAUCAGAGUUUGCAAGGACUUCUCUCCAGCAGUCACAGUCGUACAUGCCAUAGCUUGGUGGUGUCACUGUGCGCCUCAACAACAUUUGCUUCAUCAAUUGUACCUCCCUUCAAAUAGUACAGAUUAUGACGCCGAACCCCUUGUAGAAUCACCAUAGCCCCAUGUGUAAACUUCAUUAUACCAUCUUUAAUGGUAACCUUGUAGCCUUUACCUUCCAAAGUACCCACAGAAAUUAGAUUUUUCUUGAAAACUGGAAUAAAUCUAACCUUUUUGAGUUCUCUGACCGUUCCAUCAAACAUUUUGAGCUGAAUUAUUCCUAUCCCCAUUGUGCGACAAGGUUGAUCAUUCCCCAUCACAACUGCACCAGAUUCCAGAUUACGAAAACCCGUAAAUCAUUCCUUAAUAAGACACAAAUGAUAGGUUGCUCCAGUAUCAAGUAUCCACUCGCUCGAAUUAGCUACAUAUACUACAGGAGUAAUACUUAGUGAAUAAUCAGAGUCUUCAUCUUUCCAUGCCAUGUUUGCUGGUGCUGGUUUCUUCCCAUCUCUCUUUUGAACCUUUGGCCAAUCUUUCCUCCAAUGGCCAUUUUCAUGACAAAAUGCACACUCAUCUCGAGCUAUAUUUCUGCUUCUCAAUUUGGAUCGAGAAUUUUUUCCACCAAGCUUUUUCUUUUUCUCCAUCACCCAAUCUUUACUCACCAAAGCUUCAAACGAUACUCGUUCAGAAUUUUUAUCAUUAUUCUGCAUCUCCAAGUUAGUCAAUGUUGUGCAAACAUCUUUGAAGACGAUCACACUCUUCCCGUAUAUCAAGGUAGUCACAAAAUGACUAUAUUCCUCUGGUAGUGAGUGUAACAAAAUUAUAGCUUUGACUUCAUCCUUAAUAUCUUCAUCGAGAUUCUUCAAAUCAGCAGGUAACUUUUCAAAUCUUGAGAUAUGAUCGUGCAUUGACACCCCAUGCUUCAUUCGAAAGCCAUAUACUUGGCUCAUUGUAUAAAGACGAUUUUCAGGACUUUUCAGCAGGUACUUCUCCUCCAAUGUACGCCACAAAGUCACCGCACACUCCUCAUCUUUCACCAAGUAUUUCACCUCCUUGGUCAAACAAGAUCUGAUCUGACCACAAGCUUUCUCGUUCAUACGAUCCCAAAUUUCUUCAUCAUACAAGUGUCUUUUAUUUUUCAGAACAACAUCGAGAUCGAUUUGAAUAAGGACAUCCAUAACUUCGCGCCUCCACAUGCCGAAGUUGAUUUUCCCAUCAAAUUUUUCAACAUCGAUCUUCUGGCCUCCUAUAACAGGUGCUGAGUAGGGAUUUGACAAAUCUCGCCUCCCACUUGAACUGUCUCCUGAAAUAGUCUCGGUAGAUCUCUCCUUACUUCUGGAAGUUUCACCUUCUACCAUUUUCUCAACGAACUAUUUCCACUUGAAAAACAGCCUCUGUGAUGUUAAUUUCGCAUGAAUAAAUGCACCAGGAAAGUUCCCAGGAAACUGGAUGGGAACUCGGUCCCAAUUAAAAACCAAAAUCCUUAGACGCUUAUUGCCUUGUUGACAGAACUUUCCUAGACAUGCAAAAAGACACACUACUUACAAUAGACUGUCUCCUAAAUACAAAUGGCCGUCUCAACCGUAUUCGUGAACAGUACCGUAUGUGAACAAUACCGUAUACAAGAAUAGUACCAUAUGUGUGAAUAGUAUUGUAUAUGUGAACACUUCCGUAUAUUAGAAUAGUAUCGUUUACGUGAACAGUACCGUAUCCCCCCAAGUACGAACCUUCGGCUCUGAUACAACUUGUUGUGCGCGGAAUGCGGAAACAAGCGCACCAAAUAAUCACAAAAAAAUAAAGGACACAAGAAUUACGUAGUUCGGCAAUAUGCCUACGUCCACGGGAGCAAGAGAAAAAUAAUUGUAUUAUUAAUAAUUAUUUAAGUACAAAUUUGAGUAAAGAAAUCUCAUUUUCCCAGAACCCAAAUACACCCAGUACUCUCACACACACUCUCCAAUUACCCACACUCUCAUAACUCUCAAAAGUUUAGAACUUAUAAGCUUAACAAUUUAGGGAUGAUUUACAAAUGAAGAAUGCAUAUCUAUUUAUAGCAAAAAACAUUGCACUAUUGCACCAUCCGCUUUGCAAUUUGUCCAUUCUCCUAUCUAUCAAUUUGACAAAUUUUGCUAACUUUUUUCAUUUUUCUUCAUUUGGUGCAGGAUUGUCAAAAGUCAUAUAUUCUACAGCUUGUAAUUUUGGUGCCGACUUUGAAAAACAAAAGCAAUGCAUGUGGCUCACUUUUCUUUUUCAACCAAUUUGAAAAAACUCUUUGACUUUAAUUUCAACAAAUAGAGAUGGAGAAAAAGAAAUAUCUUCACACGGUGGAAGUACAAAGGGUAGAUAUGGAACCAAACAGAGACAACAACAGGCCACAACUAGAUUGGGAAUGGAGAGAAACAAAUUAACAAAGACUGGAGAUUACAACAGAACAGAUGCCAAGAGAAAAGGGUUUCUUCAUCCAGUGAAAUUCAAGUGAGUUGACAGCAAAAGGGAGCAUAUGUGUUUCUUGAUUGAGAACGAGUGCAAAGGAUGACUUUUUAAUGAGGUUCUGAAGCUGACGGAUAACGAUUUGCUAAAAUUUUGAGAAAGUUAUAUAUUUCGUAACUUCAACAAGUGAAGAAUAAAAGAAUAAUAGUUCGUCAUCUUCACAAUGAAGAUCAUGGCCGAGAUUAAAAGCUAAAACUAGUCCAUUUGAAAAGCCAAAGUUCAAGUUCCUUGGCUAAGUUCAGAAGUGAAGCAAAGAAUAAAUAAAUAAAGAUCAAGGGAUGGGAAUAAAGUCACCCCCAGACAGUUGCAGAAAGAUUAUUAUUUGGUAAGUGUAGUUGAUUAUUAGUACAAAACAGAGUAGGUGAAACACAUCCUUUCUAUUUAGACUGAUCAGCAUCUAAAAUUUUAUGAAUUAUGAGUUGCAUUUUACUUUGUACAUUAUGUUAACACAUUUUAAUUUAGCCAAUUUUGCAAUAAAUGUUAUUGAUGUAUUAAAUAGAAAAUGAAUUGAAUUCCACUCAUCGUCAUCUUGGCAAAUCAAGUCAAAAAAUAAAAAUCCAUAUGCUUUUGUUAAAGUUAAAAGCUACAUAAAUAAUAUCACAGAAGCUUCUGCUAAGGUUCAUGUGAAGUCACAGCUUUGAUACUUGUAAUACAAGGAGCACGGAGAAACCAUAAACUUCAGUUUAGGUAUAUACAUUGCUUGUCUUUCAAACUUGAAUUGAUAAGGGGGAAAAAAUAAUACUAAAGCAAACAGAAGGAUCAUUUAGUUGACAAAAUUAUUAGCUGAUAUGCAUUAACAACUCCUAUCCUAUACUAUCAGCCAGUAGGUUGUUGCUGCUUCCCGAUUUUUAAUGAUGCGAACAUCUCAUACUUAGAAAUAAGGGCGGAGCCUGGAGAUUGAUUUAUAAGAUAAGAAGCAACAUUGUGUACAAUAUCAGAUUUCCAAUGUGAGAAAAAUAAAAUUGCGUUAUAAAAUUAAUCCCACUAAGAAAGUGGUCUACGAAAUUGCCACAUUAAAAGAAAUUUUUUCCAUAAAUUAAAAUAAAAUUAAAUGAAAACUAUUUUUCAGUAAAGUCAAUUGCCCACGCUAGGCUAAGGCGUUUGUUUUUUUGUUUUUUUUUUUUUAAAUCUGAAUAGGUAUAAAUUUUUCGUAAGCAUGAAUGGGCUGAGUACAAAUAUAUGAAUGACAUAUUUAUUUUUAUUUUUCUUAAUACCCGAAUAUAAGUGACAUCUUAUUUAUCUUAAAUAUGGUUAUUUGAUAUUUAUAUUUUUACAAAUCAAAAUAAAAAAAAAAAAGUAGUUAGAUUUUAUAGUUUAAGAAAUAAAUAUAUUUUAUAAAAAAAAAUUUAGAAUAUAUAUUUACUUCUUAUUCAGACUUUUUUCUAUUCAAUAAAAUUCACAAAAGUUACUUUUUCUAUUCAAAUGUAAAUGCUUAAAAAUCAUAUAUAAGUUACAAAAAAAAAUUUGGAAAAAGUCAUAAAUUAAUAAAAUUUCAGAUUUUAUAUAUUUAACUCCCAAUGCAGAUCCGUCCCUAUUAGUGUUAGGAAAUUGACUGGUGAAUGUUGAGUGUUAGAAAAUAGGAGAAAAUCGUCAUUUUACACUUCAAGUUUUACUAACAUCCUUACUUUUACGUAUUUAACCUUCUUGUGAUUUAAUUACGUGUUUUUUUAUUUUAAUUAAGUAUUUUAUGUAUUUUAGUGGCAUUAUAGUCAUUUCACAAUGAACGAGAGAUCAGACGGCAAAACGGACAUCACUUUUGAACUCAGGACGGUCGAAAACCUUAGGAGGAGCAUAAAAGGAAAAAUGACACUGUUCAUAUGUACGGUACUAUUUACAUGUACAGUACUGUCUACGUUACUGUUCACGACACUGUUCACAUAGACGGAUCGAUGAUGUGGCAUUGACCGAUGAUAUGGCAUUGACUGAUGAGGUGUCACGAUCUUGUUGGACUAAAAUUCUUAUGCACUGUUGAUUGGUGACGUGGCAGCAUGUUAGUGGACCAAAAAUUGCGCGUACGGUACAUGCAUAUACACAGGAUUAUUUUCAACCAAACCGCGUUACUGUUCAAGCCGGGUCAAACCGUGUUACUGUUCAAACCGCGUGGUCAAACCGCGUACUGUUGACUGAUGACGUGGCGCAAUCCUAAACGUCCAAACUGUUUUUAAUCCGAUGGCCAUGAUUUACUCAAUGUAUCUAUAAACAAGAUCCUUGUUUAUGGCUCUGAUACCAUAAAUCUUGUUGGUACGUGGCGUUGUUUUACCAUAAACAAGGAUCUUGUUGGUACGUGGCGUUGUUUUACCAGAUCAAUGCAAAAGUUAAUCUGCCUUAGGGACCAGAUCUGACUUAGAACAGAUCAAUAUCCCGCAUGUUCGGGUUUUCAGCCGAUAUACCACAAAGGCUCAACGAUAGUACUAGAUCUGGAUCCCAGAAAUAGUACUCUGAUUGAAUGGAGGGAGAAGAGAAAUACAACUAAGGUCAGAGAUCCGGUCUCUAUGCCUUAGAGGAUAUGUAACAGUUUAUAAAGAAAUUUAAAUAGACGUAAAAUAAAUUACAAAAUUUAAAACAUACAUGCUUUAUAAAAUUAAAAUAUUAAACUUACAUAUUAUUCUUGCUUGAAUCCAAGAAACCUUUACGUUACAAUAUAGUUUUACAGAAUAGGAAAGAUGAGAAAGUUCGGAGACAGGAAAAUUUCCUCCAAGUCUCUGAUUUCUUUCCAGAGGAGAAUACAAGAAGAAGUAAAAAAGAGAAGUGUCCUCCCCUUCUGCUCGAGGCCUCGAUUUAUAGAAUCAGAAGUGCCUUGGUAGCUGCAUCAGACCACUACUUGGAGAAACGUGCUUGUGGAGACAGCAUCGUCUGCUUUAUCACGUGGAGACAGCAUCUUCUGCUUUAUCACGCGGAGACAACAUCUUUUGCUUUAUCACGUGGAGACAGACAUCUUUUGCUUUAUCACGUGGAGACAGCAUCUUCUGCUUUUUGAAAAGCGUUGACGUGGACCAAAAAGUGAAAAUGAAAAUACAAGGAAAAAUACAUAAAUACAAAUUAUUUACAUAAUACUAAAUGAACAAUACAUAUGAUAAUUACUUUUUUUUUUAAAUGGUAACUUUAAAAGUGCUUUAUGGGAGAAAGAAUCCCGAAACAAUCAUCUUUAUUGUCGUCUCCCAGGGAAAUGAAUGGUUCAGCUUCUUCAUCGGUAGAACCUGCUGCAGAUGGUUCAGAUCUUGAGGCAAGGAGGUGUUCUAUAACUUGAAAAUAUUCGUUUUCAGUCUUUGCACUGGCCAAAAGAGAUUGGGCUUUUGACCGUUGGGCUAAGAAAGUACUCUGGGUUUUAACAUCUUGAAUGCUUGGCGCGAGAAGGCCUUUUGAGGAGAGCCAUUUCUGAACUGUGGCUACAGACAGCUUUGACUGUUCAUCAAACUUUGACCACCAUUUGACUUUAAAGGUUCUUUGUAGAAUGAAUUGGGCUUCCUGUUUGUGGUAUUGGAAAUUCCACAUCCAGACCCAAGGAAGGAAAAAGUUUGUACAGAAACAAAGAAAAGGAGGAAACCUUUUCUCGGACUCUGAAGGAACAUAAUGGGCUUUAAAAAUGUUUAAACAGUGAAUGGCAUUUGGAGUUAAAAUAUCGGGGCAUGGCCCAAAAUAAUUCCACCACUGUUGGAACCAGUUUGGAAGACUCUGAACGGUUAUUUUUGAAUUAAAGAAAAAUAACCAAGAAUGGGUCUUUUUUGGGUUUUGAAUAAAGAAUGUGUUAAAUCAGGCCUGUUGAUAGUCCCAGUAAGAGAAAAAUAAACAGUGGUUUAAACUCCGUUGGAAAUUGGCAGGAAAGGUUUUUAGUUUGUGAAGUUCAUCACCCCACUGUUUUGGACUCAAGACUUGUAAUAUGGUGGCUGUGGAAUAGGCGGGUCUUUAUGGGAUUCACUGAGGAAGAAAUGUUUGAAUUUUACAGACUCAGUGUAUUCCAGAAUGCUUUGGUAGAAAGACUGGGGUUUUGUCAAAUCCCAAGGUUUGAAAAACCAGCCUUUCGGAAAAAUCUUUGAAAUGGCUUGAAAUGGAUCAGAGUGAUAAAAUCCAUCUUCUAUAGAUAAAACAUUUUGAUGAUGGGUUUUAUUAAACCAAUCCGAAGAUUUUUUAGGAAGAUUUUGUUGUGAAACAAUAAUUUGAGAACUGGAACUUUCUCCAGAAAGAACUAUAUUUGAAGAGGAUUUUGAAAUAUCUUUAGAAAUAGUCUUUGAAACAGUUUUUUCUUCUUCAGGAUUUUUAGAAAAAGCUUUAUUUUGAGAAAUGCUUUGAAGAGCUAAUAAGAGUUCAGGAGAAUUGGAAAUGGAGUUCAUCCAUUCUUUUACCUGUACUUCCGAGGCGAUAGCUUUAGAAUGAGCUUCAUGCUCCUCAACCAUAUCAAUCCAAGAUUUAAUAGGCAUGGCUGAGGAUAAAAUUUUGUCUUUAGGAGGAGUUGAUAAAGAUUCUUUAGAAGCGGGUUGAGGUGGAGGGUCUUUGAGGACACCUUUUCCUUUGUCUUUUUUGGGCGGCAUUAUCUGUUUUGAAGAAAUUCCCUAGUUAGAAAGUCAGGGAUAGAAUUUGUAUCUCCUUUAAUAAAGUCAAUAUCAAAGUCAAAAACACUUAAAAUAGUUUGCCAUCGUGCAAAAAUUUGUUUUGAUGCAAUGUUUUGAACACCUUUUUCUAAAACAUGUUUUGCAGCUUUGCAAUCUAUCCUAAGUAAAAAAUUUUGAUUUAAUAAAUCACUUUGAAAUUUGGAUAUGCAUAAAACAAUGGAUAAAAUUUCUUUUUUAAUAGUAGAAUAAUUUUUCUGACAUUCAUUCCAAUGAGCAGAAACAUAUUGAACUAUUUGUUCUUUAGUACCAUUCUUUUGUUUUAAUAUUCCUCCAUAACCUAAAUCUGAAGCAUUGGUUUCAACAAUUUUAGGUAAUACAGGAUUUGCAAGAAACAAACAAGGGAUUUCUUUGACUGUAAGUUUUAUUAAUUUAACAACUUUAGUGUGUUCAUCAGUCCAAACAACAGGGUGUUUCUUUAAUCUAUCAUGCAACGGUUUUGAAAUCCUAUUAAUGUUAGGACAGAAAUCAAGAACAUAAUUCAAACUACCUAAAAAUCUAUGUAGUUGAGUUUUAUCAAGAAUUUUAUCAGGGAAUUUGUCGGCAAAUGCAAGAGAUCUUUCUAUAGGUGUUAUAGUACCUUUAGAAAUAUAAUGACCAAGAAAUCUAAUUUUGGUCUGAAAUAAAGAAACUUUAGAAUUAGAAAUAGCUAAGCCAGCUUUUCUAGUCGCAAACUAGAAAGUCUUUAAAUGUUUGAAAUGUUGAUCAAUAGACUGAGAAAAGAUUAAUACAUCAUCAAUAUAAACAAUGCAAAAUUCUGAAAAAGGAUUAUAAAUAUCAUUCAUUAUCCUUUGAAAUUCGGAAGGUGCAUUUUUUAAUCCGAAUGGCAUUACUGUCCAUUCAUACUGUCCAAAAGGAACAGUAAAAGCAGUUUUGUAUCUAUCUUUAGGAUGGAUUUGAAUUUGCCAAAAUCCUGAUUUCAUAUCAAAUUUUGAGAAAAUGAAAGCAGAGUGCAGUUUUUGGAGUAAAUCUUUUUUAUUAGGUAUGGGAUCCCUAAUCCAUUUUAAUGCUUUAUUAAGAGGUUUGUAAUUAAUAACUAAUCUAGGUGUUCCUCUUUCUAUUUCAGAAUUCUUAUUGACAUAGAAAGCGGCACAAGACCAAGGAGACCUAGAUUUGACAAUGAGUCCUUUAGACUCUAAAUCUUUGAUUUCGUUUUUACAGUGUUGUUCUAAGUCCAUGUUCAUUUGGAUUGGACGAGCUUUAGUGGGAAUUUGUCUUUCAUCAAAGGAAUUUUCAUAAGGCAAAUCAACCAAAUGUUGUUUUCUAUUCCAAAAGGCAGAAGGCAAAUCAGCACAUAUUUCUUUUUCAACUAGGGUUUUAUAUUCAGAAAUUUUUCUCUUUGAAAAAUCAUUUUGCAAUUGGCUUUCAAUUUUUUGUAAAUUCAAGUCUUUUGUAAACAAACCAAGUCAUUUUGUCUAGACUUGAGUAAAAUAUUGAUUUGGUUCUGAUAAACAGAACAUGCUUUUACAAUAUUCAAAUUUCUUGUUUUAGGUUUUUCAAUAAAAGGAAAAAAUAAUUUUUUGUUUUUUGCGUUAAAAGAUAUACUAUCAUAAUUGACAGUAUAAGGAGUAAUAAGGUUAAUGAAAGGAGUUCCUAAAAUAACAGUGUGAUGUAUGUCAUUUGUUAGGACGAAGGAAGUCCUAAAUUCAAAACCAUUAUUAUAAAUUGAGGCAUCAACUUUAGAUUUGACUUUUAACUUCGAGUUAUUGGCGACAGAAAGUCUUUCAUUGGUUUUCUCAUGAAAUCCUUUAGGGACAAUAUCUUCUCUAAUGCAAUUUAAAUCGGCACCUGUAUCAAAAAGGGCAAUUGUGUCAAUCUCAAAAUCUUUAGAAAGAAUUAAGGUGAUUUUAAUCAAAUAUUUUCUAGUGGUGAUCUGUUUUAAAACAAAAAGGAAAUCCUUGGGUAAAGAUUCAAUGUUUUCAAGGUUUUGUCCUUCAUUAUCACCAUCGGAUUCUGAUUCUUUAUUAUAAUUAUCUUGUAAUUGUUUUUGUAACAGAAGUUGGAUGGUUUCAGAAUCACUUUUCUGUUUUUCUUUCAAGUUUUUUAUCUCAAGUUUGAUUUCUUUUAUCUCUUUUUGGAGAUCUUGGAUAUUUGGUAUUGUUUUCUUUAUUUUCUUAUUGUCAAGGAUUUUUGUAAGAUCAUAAGUAUUCUUUUUAAUAGUAGGGGCUUUAGAGGUUUCUGCUUUAUCUCCUAAAUCUAAAGUUUUUAGGAGUUUAUCAAGGUACUCUUUUUGAAGAGUAUGGUCAGAAAUGUGUUUAACUAACUCAAGAAAAGUUUCUUGAUCUUUAGUUAACACAUUAACUUUCUUAAAAUAGGAAUCUGUUUCAGCAUCACUAUUACUAGUUACAGAUGUAUCUGAGUCAAGUAAUUCAUCAAUCUAUAAGGGCUCACUAUCUCCCGUCAUGGAAGAUUUAGAAUCAGAAGAUUCUACAAGUAAAGGGGCAACUUUAGAAAGUGUCUCUUCAUCAAGACCAAGUUCGUGAAGUUUUGUAUUUACUCUACAAAAUUUCUUGGUGUGGCAUUUUCUUCCACAUUUAAAACAUGUGGCUUCUUUGUAAUUGAAAGGAGGUUUUGUUGUGGCCUUAGGAUCCUUUCGUUUAGAGAAGCGAGGCUUCCUAUAAAAUUUCGAAGGUUUUUUAUAGGAAGAUUCCCUAAAAUCCGGAAAAGCUUUUUUACGAUUCUUAGAAUUGUAAUGUUUUUUGUAAGGUUUUGUAGAACAUUUACCAUUACAAUCCCUGGAAGUAGAGGCUUUAAAAGGAUCAUAGUUAAACUGUUUACAGAAACUGCCUAAUUCUUGCUUAGAUUGUCUAAGCUCCCAUUUUAGACGCUUCUGUAAUUUCAUAUCUUGGCAAAUCUUUAAUCCUUCUUUAUUGACAAAACUGACCAAUUCACCAUAGGUGAGUUCAUCAUAUGGAAUACGGUUGUCAUAAAGAGCUUUAAUGGAAUUCCUAACUUUUUCUCCUAAGAGAGUGGGUAAACCAGCAAGGAAUUUUUCUUUCCAAGUAACAUGGUUUGCAUCAUCUCGGAGAAAAAGUCUAGUGAAGAAAGUGGUUUUAUAACUUUGGAAUUCACUAAGUUUCCUACAUCUUAAGUUGUGUAGUAACUCAGCAUUUUUAUCUCUAAGGUGUGAAGGAUCACCUAUGAAGUGUAGAGAAAUAGUAAGGAUCAGGGUAGCUACAGCAUCUUGAAUAGGGCUAUUGAAUUCAUCACAGAUAGGUGCUCCAUUUUCAUCUGUUUAAAUAGCAUUAAGAAUAUCUAAUUGUUGUUGUUUGGUGAGAAGAUGAUCCCACCAGCCUUUAAGUUGACCAGUAAAACCAGCAAUGAGGAUCUCUGCAAUAGCUUUGUCAGAGGUUCCUGACUGGGUUUUAUAAGCAUUAGCUGCCAUGGUCAUCUGUUGCAACAAUCCUAAAAUAUUAUAUUCGGACAUACUAUCAAUGUUCCACUCAUAGACAGAGGAGGCAUUAAAUCGUGAUUGGUUUAAUGCGCUUGGUCUGUUGUCUAUGGCUAAGUCAGGAGGAGAAUUGAUAGUAGGAAGGGCUAAUUCCCAAUGAAUUUUAUUGGCGUUAUGAAUAGGUUCAUUUGUAAAGGCUUCUAUAUCUAAAGAGGCUAUAGACACUUGGUCUUGUUCAAGUACACCAAUUUUGCUAGAUUGGGCACUAUCAGGAGCUAUUUGUAUCUUACUAGAUGCAGAAGAAGAAGCUUCGAUCCUAUCUAGUUGUUCUCUAAUGGCUUUAGCAAAAUCUGAUUUUGACUCAUGGGCAAGCUUUUGACUAGUUUUCGAAACUUGGAAGGGUUUGAAAAUAGGCUCUUUAAGCCUUUUGUCAAUAUCCGAUUUUGAUGAACUAAUAGGGGAAACAACUAUUGUUGACUUUUGGAAUUGGUUUUCUAUUCUAGUCAACUGCUUUCCUAUUGUAUUUAGGUUAGUAUUACAGAAAUUAUUCUGUUGGAUAAUGUUACCUAAAUUAGUCUCUGGAUCAUUAGUUUUAUGGAUUUUAUAAGGUGAGGCUUUAAUUUGGACAGGAGGUUCACCAUGGUCAAUGGUCAGACUCCUAAGAGGUGGAUGCUCAGAUUCUAUAGUUCUGUCACUGUCAGAAAGAUUCCACUCAGUGAUCUUUUUUCUAACUGUGAUCGGGUUAGAUUCUUUAAAAGGAUAUGUAAUGUUAUUAUCAGAAGCAUACAUAGUCAACAGAAUGUAUAGAAGAGCUAGGUAUAUCCGAUGUGGAAAACCUAGGUUGACUUUUUACAGGUUGGAAAGGAAGAUUUAUAACAGAGGGAAGUUUUGAGAAUUUUCUCUCUAAAGAGGCGAUACUAGAACUUGAAUCUUUAUCAGAAAACCUAGAUGAUGUGGACCUUCUAAAAUAUAGUUUGACUUUACCAUCAGAAUAUUGAGUCACAUUUUGUAACACUGUAUUUGGUUCAAGUUGUUUUGGAAUCACUGGUUCAGUGGCUCCUUCAAGAAUCCAUUCUUCUGGAAGAUUGACAUCUUUCCAUUGGAUUGGUUUGGGAACAACAGUGUUGGCUUUAGACAGGUCAGUCUGCAAGAGAAGAGUCUCAUCUCUUUUUGACUGAAAUUUAUGUUGUGUAUUAAACGCAGAAUUCAUGGCUUUGUAUGAAAUUUUGAUAAUUAAGGCAACUGGGACAGAUCCCUCAAUCAUGUGAUAAUUAUGGGUUUUGAUUUGUAAAAUCAUGCUUUUCAAAAUGUUUUUGUCUUUUAAAGAAAUUGUUAUGUUCGGGUAACAGCUAAAUGAGAUGGGACCUUUACAAAGACUUGAUUCUAUACUACUUAAUAAAGAAUCAUCAAAAGAGAUGAAUCGCCCAUCUCUUAGGAUAGCAAGAAUAGAGGUAUUAAGACCUUCUUUAGUUAAGGGUUUUAUGCCAACUUGUAUUAAGCCGAUGUGAACAUAAUUAAAGUUCUUUUCUUUUAGUUUCUUUAAAGAGUGUUAUGAAAACAGGUGAAUUGUUUCAAAUGGCUUUGAAAGGGUUAUGUCACGUUCUUCAGUUUUUAUAACAAAAUCAGUCUUUAAAAAAUCAAGCUUUUUUAUUUUGUAAAUCAUGUCUUUAGAAAUCUUUGGUAAUUCCCAAUUAUCAAUUGCUUUAUUAAAGUCUUCAAUAAAAAAUUCUUCUGAAUUUACAACAUUCUUAGAAUCACUAGUCCUUCCAGAAGAAGAGCUAGAGAAAGAUGAUGCUCUACAGAGUAGAGAAUCCAUAUAAGCUGGAACCUAUAAAUGAUCUAGUUUUACAGGAAUGGAAAAUCAAUCCUAGGCUAAGAGUUGGUUUUACUGCCCUUCAACCAAAUCGGGACUUACGACCAAAUACUACCAAGGCACCCAAAGGUAACACCCUUUACCACUCAAGCAAAAGUUUAAUCACAUACAACUUCAGCCUACACAAAAACUCUAAACGAUAAAACACGACCCCCCUGGCUCUGAUACCAUAAAUCUUGUUUAUGGUAUAUAUAUAUAUAUAUAUAUAUAUAUCUUUUUAAUAUAUUCCAUUACUUUAAUAAUCAAUUUAAAAUAGUUUGUGAUAUUUUCAGCUAUUUACUUAUCUACUUUUAGCUAGUUAUUUACACCGAAUGAAGUGCUAGGGUCCAAAUUUUAGUAUCCUUCUCAGCUGUUUGGGGUUAGUAAAUACUAAUUAGCAUAUUCGUCCCGAACAGCUGUGUAAAUGCUGUUAGAUUUCGGAGAGAUGCUGAGGAUGGUACAAGAUUUAUCAAAUUGUGGCGACAUUUUUAUACCUUUAGAAUUUCAAGAUUUUGAAGAAAUAAAUGGGAUCUGUUUUCCAUAAGUGCUCCACUAUCCACCAGGAGGAAUUCUAAAAUACAUUACAGAUUAGUGAUUUCUCAGAAUAAAUAAACACAUAUUAUAACAUUAUUUACUUAUUGUAUGACUGAUAUGAUAUUUCUGAGAUAUUUUAGAAUUUUUAACGCACCAAAGUUCAUUUUUAGCUUUAAAGGUUUUUAUGUGUGAGCCUCUCAGCAUGUUCCCCAACCUCCUCACGUGAAAAUAUUUCUAUGUACGGUUACAAGCUUUUCCAGAUUGUGAGUAUUCCGAAGCAAUCCAACUUGAAAAACAGCUGGUUCGUAGAAAAUGACAGUUUACGAAGCUGGCCCUGCUGCCAUACAUAUGAUGAUGAAGACCAUUUGGCUUUAUGUCAAUUCCUCCAAGUUGAAAUCUUUCUCGGUCUGGGACACUUCCAACACAUAAAGUACUACUAGGCUAGAUGAUUUUAAAAAAUGUCCAGGUCCUUUAUCAAAUUUCAUUUGCAUUCAAGACCAAUCCCCUUUGAUGAAAAUCAAUAAUUAAAGGCUUUCCAAUGAGAAAUUAUUACGUCUUCAAAUCUCAAAAAACGCCAGAAUAUUAAUUCGCUACAUAUAAUCAAGAUAUCUCAUUGAGACGCAUUAAUAAAAAAUGUCAAAAUGCAUAGAAAGAGCAGACACACGGAUGAUGAAUUUACUCAUCUUUAGUAGUAUUUGAACUUGAGAGACAGAAUGAAGUACAUGUCAAGAAUAUCAUAAAGAUGGAAACCGGAAGUCCUCCGCACAUAAACUUUGAAGAAACUGGAAAACGACUUUANNNNNNNNNNNNNNNNNNNNNNNNNNNNNNNNNNNNNNNNNNNNNNNNNNNNNNNNNNNNNNNNNNNNNNNNNNNNNNNNNNNNNNNNNNNNNNNNNNNNNNNNNNNNNNNNNNNNNNNNNNNNNNNNNNNNNNNNNNNNNNNNNNNNNNNNNNNNNNNNNNNNNNNNNNNNNNNCCAUUUGGAGUCUUGUUUCCACAAUUGCUUCAGAUGAUUAAAUUUGUGCAGAUCUAAAUGUUUUAUCAUUGUAAACUUCCUCACUUGUUUCUUCAAGUAUCCUCCAUUCGAAAAUACCUCUUCGCAUGAACAACGACGCCGUAUGAGAGUUUCCAGAUUAUGAAAUCUCUCAAGUAAAUCAAGUGGAAAACAAGUUGAUUCAUCAUCCACUGUUUGUAGUAGUUUAAGACUGCCAAAGUCAUCCUCGAGUAUUUUCCACUUAAUGCCAGUUCCUUCUAAGUUGGGUAAGCUCUGAUCAUCAUCAAUCACGUAAUAACUUAUUAAGUCAAUUCAUAUUCUCUCAAAUAACUUUUAAUAAUCCAAUCAUACACAGUGACUUUAAUAUAAAUGCAUAAUAUUUUACAAACAAGAAGAAAAAAUCGAAUUAGAGGUAAAAGUUAUUCUACGAUUUUAUUUUUUAUAUAUAUCUUGCAUGCUAUUCCCAAAAGCAAUCCCAAACGGCCUUUAAAGCAAUUUUACAAAAGCGGCCUGCACAUAUAUUGCCAACUUUGUUGGGAAUGGCAAUGGGGAGAGGAGGGGAAGAGACCGAACUCCCCGUACCCAUUCAUGAUAUUCUGCAUAUAUCCUCGUCCUCUCCUCAUUUCUCACAAAAUUGCUUUAGGAAAUCCCCCUCCCCUCCCCAAAUAAUAAUAGGGGAUCCUUGAAGGCCCUCGAUCCUCGAAUAACUGAUACGUUUUUUGUUUUAAAUUUUAAUUUAAUCAUAUUAAAAUAAAAAAUAAAAAUAAAAAUAAAGUUUGACGAUAUAUCUUAUAUUAACAUUAAUCUAUUACAAAAGUCACAUUACAAAGUAUAAAUCACCAUAAUAAUUAUCUUCGGCAAUCUUCAAAAUCAUAUAAUAAAAAAAAGAAAUUACUUUUAUAUCAACAAUGAGAUAAAUGAAAUGAAUAUAGAUACUUAAUCAAUAUUUCUAAUAAAAGUAUUUACCUCUGCGUCUCCUACUCUUCUUGUUCUUCCUCGAGGAAUGUGACAAAUUGAGAGAUAGCCUCAGAUUUCAAAUUUAAAACAAUAAAAAUGAUAUAAGUAAUGUAAAUUCUAAUUAAAAUAAACUCAUACUGCCAUUGUAAGCUUGUGGUCAACUUUGACAACAUAUUAAAGCCUCCAAUGUGCUUGAAUAAAGCGUGUUACGGUACUCUACCACUGGUGCUAAAAGCUAAUUCAGAAGCAACAUUUGUAAUUAGAAUUGCCAAAAUAUCUCUAGGUGCCAAUAUAGGAUAUCUAUAGACAUUUAUUUUACAAAAACUCAAAAUAUUAAAAUCUUUCAUCCUAAGCAUAACUUUCUCAUCCAAAUAUUAAUGUAGUCAAUUAGGCCUAAAUUUUAAUAAUAUAAUUUUUUUAAUUUUUUUAUUUAUACUAAUAUUUAAUAUUUUAUUAUUUAUUUACAAAUAAUUUUAAAAAAAUUAAAAUUAAAUCAAAAAAUUAGAAGGGGAUAGGGAUUCCGCCGCAUCCCCGUUCUUUCUCUGAAUAAGAAAUUGAGUAAAAAAACUAUCUCCGUCCACUUUCCAAAUAAAAAAUUAAGUAAAAAAUUAUGUACCCUCCUGAAUUGGGAAAAUCUCGAGGGUCAUGUCCCCGCGGCAAUAUCUGCCAUUCCUAAACUUGUAACAGCCAGUUGCUUUUGUGACUGUUUAUGUGACGGCUAGACUGCUCUCACUUAUGUUACUAACCACGUGACGGUAGAGAGCCAAUUGGCAUACUAUUUUGACGGUAGAGUUAUAAAUUUGUUUCUAAAUAGAAAACUAUUUGCUGAAGUCAAUAUUUUGAAAACCAAAGUCCCAAAUUCUCUCUCGUGCGUGCCUGGUCAUCCUAAACCUUACUGGUAGCCGGAGAAUGGCGUAAAACGGCAGCGAUCUUCUUCUUCAUCUUAUUCUCUCUCUCAUCGUUUCAGGUAAGCUUGUGAUUAUGAGUUUCUUCUCUUUCUUAGCUUGUAAUUAUAGGUUUUGAUUUCUUUAAUUCGUAUUGUAGCCAUUAAUGUCAAUUUUUGUCCCACCGGCAAUUUUUUUUUGUUCCUAGAAGUUGAAGCCCUUCUGUUCUUGUGCCAUUGGUGAGUUUGCUCACUCAAAUUAAUUUUGUUCUGCGGAGUUUACAAAGUUCAAAUGGAUUCAUUUGGAUUACUAUUGAAUUUAGCUUUAAUUCCAACAUCCAUUCUAAUGUUUUGCUAUUAGAUUUACUUUAAUUUUAUGUUUAAAGCUUCUACAAUGAAUAGCGGAGCUUGGGUUUUAGUUUCAUUUUCUCAUUAACUUCUUUUAGUUUAUCUUAUAUGCUCGCCAAGUGCUUGUUAUAUUGUCUGAUAAGUUAUAUAACAUUGCUGAUUCUAUAUUAGUAAUGUCAUGUUCCAUUUUCGGAAAUUAUAACACAAAAGUUUUUACAAUGGCUUGCAUCUGCAAACUGAAUUGACUUGUAGAGUAAGAGCUUGGAUUAGUGUUAUGUUCUUGAAUAAAUGAAAGUUCAUAUUGUGUAAGAGCAUGUAGAUGUAAAGCAUCACUACCAUUUCUACAAACUGCUUUCAUUUUGUUCAGAUGCUCCUCUUGAACUUUGAAAGGUGCCUCAUUCAAGUCCUAGCUAUAACUACUAGCUCUGAUUGCUUAAGUUCCUGUGCUAGCUGAAACAGAUUUAUUUAAUUAAUUUAUUGUGUAUGUACUAAUUAUAUUGAAAGUAUAUGAAGAAAUUGUUUAACAUGAAUGACUUCUAAAUGACUUAAAAGCCUAAAGGAUAUGUGAAAUAAUGCUCAUUUCACUUGAACGAGCCUAUUAAUACUUGUAUGUCUAUGAUUGUCAAUCUUGCUUAAGUGUUUCAGUUAAGUGGUUUACCAAACAGGGAAAAAAAUUUAAUGGAAAACUUUAGAGUUCUAACAGAAAUAUAGUUGACUGCAGAUAUAGUUAUUUUAUGGUACAUAAAUCAUAUUGUCCUAUUCUCAAUGUCCUACGACCUAUUUUAUUUUAUAUGGUCAUUCAUUUUUGCGAUGGUUUUUUGUGCUUAUGAGUAUGGAAAUAGUGGGAUUUGGUGUGGCAAACAAAAAUAUACAUAUAAUCAAGUUUCUUAAUCAUUGUGCUUAUGAGUAUGGAAAUAGUGGGAUUUGGUGUGGCAAACAAAAAUAUACAUAUAAUCAAGUUUCUUAAUCAUGUAUAUUGGUUUUGGGUAUGAAUGUUUUCCUAUUCUAGUUCUAGGCAAAGUUUCUUCAUUUUGGUCUUCAGAUUUCCAGUAGGUUAAAGUUAAGCAACUAUCAUAACUAGCUAGCUAGUUAUUUGCCUUGCCUUUGUCGCCAUUACUGACGCCAUUUACAUUGCAUGGCAUAAGGAAUAGUAACUAGGUGAUUAUUGGUGAUUCCUUGAGUUUAUUAUUGGCCAAACAAACAUAUUNNNNNNNNNNNNNNNNNNNNNNNNNNNNNNNNNNNNNNNNNNNNNNNNNNNNNNNNNNNNNNNNNNNNNNNNNNNNNNNNNNNNNNNNNNNNNNNNNNNNNNNNNNNNNNNNNNNNNNNNNNNNNNNNNNNNNNNNNNNNNNNNNNNNNNNNNNNNNNNNNNNNNNNNNNNNNNNNNNNNNNNNNNNNNNNNNNNNNNNNNNNNNNNNNNNNNNNNNNNNNNNNNNNNNNNNNNNNNNNNNNNNNNNNNNNNNNNNNNNNNNNNNNNNNNNNNNNNNNNNNNNNNNNNNNNNNNNNNNNNNNNNNNNNNNNNNNNNNNNNNNNNNNNNNNNNNNNNNNNNNNNNNNNNNNNNNNNNNNNNNNNNNNNNNNNNNNNNNNNNNNNNNNNNNNNNNNNNNNNNNNNNNNNNNNNNNNNNNNNNNNNNNNNNNNNNNNNNNNNNNNNNNNNNNNNNNNNNNNNNNNNNNNNNNNNNNNNNNNNNNNNNNNNNNNNNNNNNNNNNNNNNNNNNNNNNNNNNNNNNNNNNNNNNNNNNNNNNNNNNNNNNNNNNNNNNNNNNNNNNNNNNNNNNNNNNNNNNNNNNNNNNNNNNNNNNNNNNNNNNNNNNNNNNNNNNNNNNNNNNNNNNNNNNNNNNNNNNNNNNNNNNNNNNNNNNNNNNNNNNNNNNNNNNNNNNNNNNNNNNNNNNNNNNNNNNNNNNNNNNNNNNNNNNNNNNNNNNNNNNNNNNNNNNNNNNNNNNNNNNNNNNNNNNNNNNNNNNNNNNNNNNNNNNNNNNNNNNNNNNNNNNNNNNNNNNNNNNNNNNNNNNNNNNNNNNNNNNNNNNNNNNNNNNNNNNNNNNNNNNNNNNNNNNNNNNNNNNNNNNNNNNNNNNNNNNNNNNNNNNNNNNNNNNNNNNNNNNNNNNNNNNNNNNNNNNNNNNNNNNNNNNNNNNNNNNNNNNNNNNNNNNNNNNNNNNNNNNNNNNNNNNNNNNNNNNNNNNNNNNNNNNNNNNNNNNNNNNNNNNNNNNNNNNNNNNNNNNNNNNNNNNNNNNNNNNNNNNNNNNNNNNNNNNNNNNNNNNNNNNNNNNNNNNNNNNNNNNNNNNNNNNNNNNNNNNNNNNNNNNNNNNNNNNNNNNNNNNNNNNNNNNNNNNNNNNNNNNNNNNNNNNNNNNNNNNNNNNNNNNNNNNNNNNNNNNNNNNNNNNNNNNNNNNNNNNNNNNNNNNNNNNNNNNNNNNNNNNNNNNNNNNNNNNNNNNNNNNNNNNNNNNNNNNNNNNNNNNNNNNNNNNNNNNNNNNNNNNNNNNNNNNNNNNNNNNNNNNNNNNNNNNNNNNNNNNNNNNNNNNNNNNNNNNNNNNNNNNNNNNNNNNNNNNNNNNNNNNNNNNNNNNNNNNNNNNNNNNNNNNNNNNNNNNNNNNNNNNNNNNNNNNNNNNNNNNNNNNNNNNNNNNNNNNNNNNNNNNNNNNNNNNNNNNNNNNNNNNNNNNNNNNNNNNNNNNNNNNNNNNNNNNNNNNNNNNNNNNNNNNNNNNNNNNNNNNNNNNNNNNNNNNNNNNNNNNNNNNNNNNNNNNNNNNNNNNNNNNNNNNNNNNNNNNNNNNNNNNNNNNNNNNNNNNNNNNNNNNNNNNNNNNNNNNNNNNNNNNNNNNNNNNNNNNNNNNNNNNNNNNNNNNNNNNNNNNNNNNNNNNNNNNNNNNNNNNNNNNNNNNNNNNNNNNNNNNNNNNNNNNNNNNNNNNNNNNNNNNNNNNNNNNNNNNNNNNNNNNNNNNNNNNNNNNNNNNNNNNNNNNNNNNNNNNNNNNNNNNNNNNNNNNNNNNNNNNNNNNNNNNNNNNNNNNNNNNNNNNNNNNNNNNNNNNNNNNNNNNNNNNNNNNNNNNNNNNNNNNNNNNNNNNNNNNNNNNNNNNNNNNNNNNNNNNNNNNNNNNNNNNNNNNNNNNNNNNNNNNNNNNNNNNNNNNNNNNNNNNNNNNNNNNNNNNNNNNNNNNNNNNNNNNNNNNNNNNNNNNNNNNNNNNNNNNNNNNNNNNNNNNNNNNNNNNNNNNNNNNNNNNNNNNNNNNNNNNNNNNNNNNNNNNNNNNNNNNNNNNNNNNNNNNNNNNNNNNNNNNNNNNNNNNNNNNNNNNNNNNNNNNNNNNNNNNNNNNNNNNNNNNNNNNNNNNNNNNNNNNNNNNNNNNNNNNNNNNNNNNNNNNNNNNNNNNNNNNNNNNNNNNNNNNNNNNNNNNNNNNNNNNNNNNNNNNNNNNNNNNNNNNNNNNNNNNNNNNNNNNNNNNNNNNNNNNNNNNNNNNNNNNNNNNNNNNNNNNNNNNNNNNNNNNNNNNNNNNNNNNNNNNNNNNNNNNNNNNNNNNNNNNNNNNNNNNNNNNNNNNNNNNNNNNNNNNNNNNNNNNNNNNNNNNNNNNNNNNNNNNNNNNNNNNNNNNNNNNNNNNNNNNNNNNNNNNNNNNNNNNNNNNNNNNNNNNNNNNNNNNNNNNNNNNNNNNNNNNNNNNNNNNNNNNNNNNNNNNNNNNNNNNNNNNNNNNNNNNNNNNNNNNNNNNNNNNNNNNNNNNNNNNNNNNNNNNNNNNNNNNNNNNNNNNNNNNNNNNNNNNNNNNNNNNNNNNNNNNNNNNNNNNNNNNNNNNNNNNNNNNNNNNNNNNNNNNNNNNNNCCCCCCCCCCCCACCACCAAAAAAAAAAACAAAACAAAUAGGAAGACUUUGCAAGAUUCACAACCAGGUUACAUUUAAUUUAUUAAUUGUGUGUACGUACUAGUUAUUUGUUGAUAGAAUAGGAAGAAGUAUUUUAAUAUGAAUGACUUAAAACUUAUUGCUCAGUAAACAUAAUGUGCAUCAGUGCUAGAAAAUGUAUUUAUUGUUUGUAAUUUUUUAUGGUUUUGCUUAAGAAAUGAAAUGUGAAAAAAUGCUACAUUGUAUUAGGAAUAAAAUGAAGAGAUUUAUGAUUUUUAUGUGUUAUUCAAGUUUCAGAUUCAAUUUUAAACUUUUGAUACAUGCAUUGAAAGCUUAAACUCCUUUAAGAAAUUAUUAAUAGACACAUGUUUUAUUAGUGUCAUCUUCUGGAUGAUAGUGAGGAUCUUAUGUCUAUUAAUAAUUCUUGAAUUAUCUAGGCUUGGACAGUUUGGUAAUGCAUAGUUUUCUAUGUUAGCUAGUGCCUGAAAUUUUUUUCCCACGUAAAAAUGGGGUUUUCAGCAGCUGCUCCUCAUGUUCUCUGGGUGCAUACUAGACAAAUGGGUGUCAUGUGUUGUUUUGGCAUAACACAUAAACACUCAUAUAUCUAUGUCGUGUACUUGAAGAACUAUAGGGAGAUGCUUCCGAAGUUUCUAUAAACGUAGAGGAAAACUUUAGAUACUUAAGAUUGAAGAAACUUAUGCAUUCUUGAGUGGGAUAUAUAGGACCACUUACCUUUUGUAAAUAUGAAGGGAAUGUUGGAUAUAUUGAUGGGAGUGGAGGAGCUGAGUGGGAUGAAUGUAAUCGGUUAUGAUUUUGCUGAGUCGACUUGGUUUUGAGUCUUGUAAUUUUUUUUAUAAAUGGAGUACUAUCUCCAAUGUUGGUUUAUAAAUAUGUUUCAGCUGGCUGACCUAAUUUUUUGUUUCUAGGUAACAGGCUUUAUAUAUCUGUAAUUGAUAGCCAAGUGAAGUUCUCAGCAGUGGGUGAGGAUAUUUCUUUACAGAAGGUAUUGCAAACUGUUUUUUAGAUUAAUUAUUAUUGUAUAUAUACUUUAAUUUUCACAUCUUUUUCUCUGAUUCUUGUGGCUUUGCUUGCUUCCAUAUAUAUAAAACCAUAAAAUUGUAUAAUAAUUUUUUUUAUUAUAUUGCGAAACUGCGCACACAUGAAAAUAUCUUGUUUAGUAGUAGAAAUGAAGAAUUAAAGUGAUUUAUUUAACUAAUUUUUCUAGUGCAAUAAAAGGAGAUAGUCAUGGACCAGAGUUGGGUUGGUUUGCCAAAUAGAUAUCCAAUUCAUAUACUGAUGGGGGUCAAAAAAUUUAUAGAUUUUGCAUUUGAGAAUGUUGUUGGUGAUAAAAGAAUUUAUUGUCCUUCUAAGAGGUGUUGUAAUAUCGAUAUUUCAUUAUAAGGAAAGUGGCAAGAGACCAUAUCAUUAUAAAUGGCUAUUGGUUAAAGUAUUAAAACUGGAUAUUGGAGGGUGAGCCAUCUUCAUCUUUGAAAUCUAACUAAGAAACAGGUUAGUCAUGACUCGGGUAGUGAUGCUAGUAUGGUUGGAAUGAUGCAUAAUGCAUCACGUAAUCAAAUGUUCAAGUCACACGCAGCAUUGUUAUGGACUAUCUCCGACUUUCUAGCAUAUGCCAACUUGUUUGGGUGGAGUAUUAAAGGUAAAUAAGCAUUUCUUGUUUGCCAACAAAACACUAGAUCUAAUUGGUUGAUACAUAGUAGAAAAUUGUCACGUGGGUCACUGUCGAUUUUUACCAACAAAUCAUAGGUUCCGAAAAUAUAGUGCCAUCUGAUAAAACUGGAGAGUGGGGACAAGCACCUUCUCGGUUGUCUGGAGCUGAGGUGAAAAAGCAGUUCAAUAAUGUACUUACUGAGUAUAAGAUUGAAGAUUUGAAAAGAGGAGAAUGAAUAAAAUGAAAGAAAUGAUAAGAUUACUUGGAAGAAGAAAAGCAUUUUUAAUGAACUAACGUAUUGGGAGUUCAAUUUGAUUCAUCAUAAUCUUGAUGUCAUACACCGUUUUUAUUUUUGUUAUGAACUCAGAUCAAAAGUUUAAUGUGAUCAAAAUUUCUUAAAAAUAGUGAAAAAGACUCCUAAUAAUAUGGAAGAUGGCUAUAAAAGAUAAUUUCUUAAAAGUUUAAUGUGAUCAAAAUUGCUUGUGAACGCAAGGGUUUUAGUUACACUGUCAACGCUGUCAAUGUAGUGAUACAAUGAAGAUGAAGUAAAGCAUUAGUAGAAUAAUGAAGUUGACCAGUAACACAGUAAAGCAUAUUUUAUUCCAGAGCAUGAAAACUUUUAAACAGUAACACAGCUCUUAUUCCAGAGGCUGCACACGAGUGACCUGAAUCUUCUUCAGAACUUUCAAAUUUUAUCAAGCAAAGAUUUCAAAAUCCUUGCCUUCCUAAGUUGGGAAAAAUAGAUGUGGAGCAAACCAAAUGAAAUAAAUGGGUAAACAGAACAAGCAGGGCAAAAAUUAAAAAUGAUAGCAAUUAACAAAUUAAUAGCAAUGUUACAUUUGACUCUUUAGCCCUUUGUUCCUUCUCUUAGCAUUCUUCAAAGUUUUUGAAAAUAGGAUGUGAAGCAAACAAAAUAAAAUAAAUUUAGACAACACAUGCCCUGUAUUCAGCAUCAUAUAUAUCUCGAAUAUCUAACAUAAUAAAUUUCACAUCUAAAAUACUAGAAUUUCAAACAGUACUAGUAGUGAAAAAAUGAUGACAACAACAAAAAUAGAAAAUUACAAGACUGCUGAUAAAAUUUCAUUUGCAUGCAUGUCUGACAAAAUUUCCGUGAUUUAAUGUGCUUUCAUGAACGCAAGUCCUAACGUUUCUGUGAUCACAAAAUGAAACUGAAGAUAAAACAGAACAACUACCAAACCUUUCAAGCUUGACGAAGCCAUGAGAAUUGAUAGCUCAGGCUCUGAUACCAAGUAAAAGUUUCUAAUCUGUUUGGUAAGUAAGAAAAUGAGAGAAAAUGAAAGAAAGAACAGAGAUCAUCUAAGAGCUGGAUUUGAUAAGUAAAUAUGAAUCAUCCAUUCAUUAGCUGAUUGCAAAUGUAUUUAUACAAGUGAUGGUUGUCGAAGCCAACAAAAAUAAAUUCCUACUAUAAAUAAAUUGUGUAUAGUGAUUGAGCAGGGUCGUGUCCACAGAGAUCGGUAAUUAUUUAAAUCCUUUUGAAACGUAAAACGUAAAAUGGGGGAAUUGUUGACAAUAAUAAAAAUCAAAUUAAAAUAACAAGAAUACAAAUUAAAGUUGUAAUUCAAAUUGGAGAAAGCUCUGGUUGAAGGAAUUAACUCAGCUUGAUUCGACUACUGAUCAUUGAUUCAAAUAUAGAUUAUUAUUACUUAUGAAUAGACCGGUUAUAGCUACUGAGACCCUCUAAUAGCCAAUCUCUCCUUAACUAGUCGAUAACCAAGGUAUGACCGUUGGUUAUUUCCCUAAUCAAUAGACAACCCUAGAUACGAUCAUAGGAUUUAAUCAAUUGACAACCUGAAAGACCAGAGAGACCCAAAUCCUAAUCAACACAUACGAUGAUUCAUUUAAAUUAGAUUGUUUAUUCUCAUAACACAACUCACUGCUAUGUUAUUCGUCACAAACAUUAAAAGCUUCAUACGAUGAAUCCUUUAAUUAACAAUAGAUUAAGUUGAUAAUUAAAUAGUGGCCAAUUACCUAAUUAACAAACAUAAUCAUGAAAAUAAUUCAGAGAAUAAACAAAUACCCAAAAAGUAAUAAAACAAUUAAAGUAUAAAAUAGAUCUCACAGUAGUGAUGAAUCAAAACUUCAUUAUCCUUCAACCAGAAAAAUAAGUUUAGUUCUUCAUAGAGAGAAGAGAAAAGUUUAGAUCUAGGGUUUCUCUCUUUUUCUCCAAUCCCCAUUUUUCACAAUAGAUUCCUCCCUUAAAUACUCUCUCUCUCUUCUCUUUUAGAAUUCUAUUUAAAAUAAAAUACUAAUAUCUGAAAUAUUAAAUUCGUAAUUACAAAAAUAACCAAAAAUACAAAACACGUUAAACUAAAAACUGCAGGUCCGCAGUUGACAGCACGUGCCCACGCCUUAUCAACAAAGUUCUUCUGACGCUCAUAAUUUCUCCAAGAGAACAAUCAUCCUUAAACAUCAUCUUGUAACUCAAUUUUAUCACCAAUCAAUAGAAUUGCACCUACAAAAGUAAAACACAAGUAAAUCACUAUUAUUAAGUGCAAAACAUCGAUAUUAAGGGAAGUAAACAAUGCAAAACUAGUGCAUAAAUUGCACUCUAACAACAAGGUUCCUGAACAUUUCAGAUUCUAUAUGCUCGAGCUAAGCACCUGAGAGUUGAGCAGUGUGCACUAACAAACUGCUAACAAAAUAACUAACUCAUGCCAGCUCAGCUAACACGUCAGUAACUCUAACUAUCUUGCUUAACAAACUGAAACAAUAACUAACCAUUUUAACUAUCUUAACAAUCCCAAUAAUUUCUCCAUUUGUGUACUUUUUUGAAUCAUAAUCAAAUGGAUAAAUGUUGCAACUAUUUUUUUAGAUAUUUUCACUUUAGGAUGUCAGCCCGAGGAAGUACGGGGGUCUGAGUUAUUCAACUGAAAAUGUCGGCCAAGUUCUUGCCAUCUCAAGUGCAAAACUGAAAAUGUUACUCGUUCUUCUUAACUUGUUUUCUCAUGCAUCAACCCCACAAAACUGCUCAUUGAAGGGGUAAAAUUUUGAACACACCAUGUGGCAUUUAGACCAUUUGAUAGUUUGUUUCAAACAUAUUUGUUUAUAAAAUACUUUUCUUCAUGGAUUUGGUUACGUAAUUGUCUAUGUAUGUACAGGUUUUAUCGAUACCUCUUUUGACAAGUUACAUAGCAAUGUUAUCUGGGUUCAGCCGUGCCUUAUUGAUAAACUGUGCUUCUGUAAUGAAGAAUGUUUUAUCUGUAAGUGGAUAUCCUAAUCGUUGAUCCAUAUCCAUAAGCAAGUAUGUAUAAAAUUAUUUUAUGUCUUUUUUAUUAGAAAUGUUGUAAUUCUUUUUUACUCUUCCUGAAUUAUAACAGCAGGUGUCUAUAAUAACUGGAUUGUUCCUUCUGCAAAACAGAGCAGUGGUAAAUAUUUUUUUCUUUUGUUUGUCUAGUACAUUUCCAUGAUUUCAGCUUUUUCAAAUUUUGUAUGUGUCAAAGUUUAAAUUUAAUUUGUUGGUUUAUGGCAACAACAGGAACAGAAUCAAAGAGGAGCUGCCAAUGGACUGCUAUGACUGUAGAGUCGCUUACCAAAACUGCUGGUUCAGCUGUAGGAGGUGCUAUGUAGGCGUCCUAUUGAUUUUGUAAAAUUAUAUGUAAAUGAUGUCAUAAUUUUUAUUGUCUCCCCCACCCCCUCUCCCCAAAAAAAAAAAAAAAUUAAAAAAUUAAAAACUAAGGCAUGAUUAAAUUGAUCAUUUGUUUGGUAACAACUUGAUUAAUCGGGUUCUGGCAGAUUUUCUUGGUCACAAAAGCGUCAAGAUGCUGGUUUCCUCCCAGGUAUGAUGAUUUACUAAUGAAAUUUAUCACUAGUAUGUGAAUUACUUGGUGCUAAUUAACUUAAUCAGCUGCUUAAAUUAAAGUGCAGGUAACCUUAUUUUUUUUUUCUUUUUACAAUAAUACUCUUGGAAUAAUAUUUCUGGGAAUAUUAAUGAAAAAUGGUAAUUCAUCCAGCCAGCCUUAAACAAAAUAAAUAUUAAUAAAAACUUUUAUGUUAUUAUUUUAGUUUUAGGACUAAUUUCGUAAAUUAAAUUUUUUAUGCAUUUAUUAGUAAGACUGCUUUAAGAAUAUUAAACAUUACUUUAAGUUGGCUGAUAUUAAUUUAUUUAUAAAUAAUUAUUAGCAAGAUUGUUGUAAAAGUACAAAAAAUACUAGUUAUUUCAUAUUGAUAUUUAUUGAUUAAUUUGGCAAUUAACUUUUUUAUAAAUAAAUUAAUUAAUUUAAGAAUAUUAUUGCCAAGAAAUUAUUGUAAAAGUAAAUAAAAUUUAAGGAAAAAAUGCAACAUAUUUAAUAUCAAGGUAUAUUGAGGUAUUUUUCAAAAUAUAAAGACAAAACAAGCACUGAAAUUAAAAUACAGAUACCAAACAAGCAUUUUCUCUCUUAGAAAAUUUUAUAUUUUAUUAAUGAAAGUCUAAAUAACAAAAUUAGGGUUUUGGACUCCUUUUAAACUAAGCCUAAAUAUCACGAAUUUACCAAUAUAGUAAACCUAAAAUAUUACUGCAUAAUAACAUUCUCCUAACUGAAAUAAGAUAAAUACUACUUCAAUUCUAUAUCUAAAUGAAAAAAAGAUAAAAAUCUUGAAAACAAUAGGAAAAUAGAACUUAAACUUGUAAACUAAUAUGAAAUAAAUAGAAUUCUCAAUCGAACCACGAGGCUAAUGCGGUGCUACAGUAUUAGAUUAGAUUUCCCUCAUUGCUAACUUCGAAAUGGUAUAUUAUACACCCUAUAUAGGUACUUAUAGCUAAGGGUGGGCAUGUGUUGGUUUGGGUUAGGUUUUAAGUCAAUCCAAACCAAACCAUAAAAUUUUGGGUUCAACCCAAAUUAACCCAAAUAUUUUUAACCCAACCCAAACCAACCCAUUUGGGUUUGGUUUGAAUUUUAUAAUUAAAAUAUUUUUUAUUUUAAUAAAUUUAACUAUAUCAAAUUAUAAUACUUAUUAAUUAAUAUUAAUUAUUAAAUUAAUAUUAAAAUACGAAAAAAUGUAGUGGAUAAAAAUUAUGAAUAAUGGAUUUUACAAUAACUUUGUUCUUAAAUAUUAACCAUAUUACAACAUAAAUUCUACCAAUGUCAAUACAAAUUAAAGUAAGAUAAGAUAUCUCAACUCAAGUAUCAAAGCAAUCCAUCAAAAUUAAAUUAUUUAAUUUUAUAAAUUUAAAUCUUCCGAGAAAUAAAUCUAAAAUUUAUUGUAAUUAGAAAAAAUGCCAAAAUUUUAAAUGCAGUAAGAAAAAUUAGACAUGAAAUCUAAUUAGGUUUAAAUUUAAUUAAAAAAUAACAAUAGAAUCAUAUUUUAUUUGAUAAAAUCUUAUAAUCAAUUACAUUUUUAAUUUUAGUAAGUUACAAUACAAAUAGGAUUAUAAAAUUAUAUUAGAGGAUUUCAUAAAAAUAUUGUUUGAGUAAUUUAUUAAAAUGUUAAUUUAGUCUUUUAACUCAAGUUGAGACCGUAAAAAAUUGUUAUAUAAUAGUGUAUUGUACAACCAAUUGCAUAUGUAUUUGCCCUAUGCAGCACUUCUAUUAUUAUUAUAUAAUAAUAAUUAGUAGUAGUAUAAUUACUAUAUAAUAAUAAUUAUUAGUAGUAUAAUUAUUAUAUAAUAAUAAUUUUAAUAAAAAAUUAUUAUUAAAAUAUUGAUUUAUCCUUUUAUUUUGUUUAAUUUAUUUUUCAUUAAUAUGUUAUUUUGAAUUUGUUCAUGACCCAUGGGUAAACCAUACCCAAGCCAUUGUAAAAUAAUUUCUUUCAUAAAAAUCCAAAUUUAACUCAUUUCAUGAUUUAUCCAACCCAAACCAUUUUAUUUGGUUUGGGUUUGGGUAAACCCAUGGGUUGUGGGUUUAUGCCCACCCCUACUUAUAGCUCAAGUUAUUACCUUAGAGAGAUACCCUACGCAUCCUACACAACCAUCCACUGCAUCAAAGUCGUUCCAAAACAGUAGUUCACAGUUGGUACUGCACAUGAUACUUGUUUCUCCUUUUGCAUCUACUUUUGUUGUUAACAUUAAUUUCAAUAGCAGCUCAUUAUGUAUGCAACAUUUCAAAAUUAAUCCAAAAAAACAAAAAUUAGUUCAGCUGACCAAAUUUGAAAGCAUGGAUUUGCUGUCGAUUAAAAAUCGUUUUGUAGGGAAAAUUUUUGGAUUGCAAUUCUCAUACAAUACAUAGAAUUAUCAUAAUCUAUAAAUUGUAUUUUUGCUUUUCUACGGUAGUAAGUCAAGAAUCCUACUUGUAUUUUUGCUUUUCUACGGUAGUAAGUCAAGAAUCCUUAGUGACAAUUUAAAUUGAAAAAAUAAAAUCAUAAAUAAGAAUUAUUUGAUAAGAAUUAAAAUAAUUGAUAAAUAUUUGAGAGGAGCAAUUUUGGAAGACUCGAUUUCUAAUAGGAGGGGAAUUUGAAUUUUACAACCUUCCGUGAGGAAUCCAAAAUGCACAAUUUGAUGAAAAUUAAAUUUCAAUAGAAAUUGAAUUCCCAUACAUUAGUGAAAACCAAACAACAGAAAAGUGAAAGGAAUUUGAAUUCAUUUCCUUCCCGUCUCAUCCCUCCAACUAAAUACCAUCGAUACCCAAAGGUAUGUGAUUGGGAUUCCAUACUGAUCAGAAUGGGAUUUGUCCAUAUUAUUAGGACCAAUUUUAAAAGCAGUCGGAGUUUAAAAUUGAAAUUAAUCCCAAUUUUUUAUUUGGGACUAGAUAAGAAUUUAUAUUGGAACUCCAAUUCUCCCAAUUAUUUUAGUUGAUAAUAUGUUUAACAUUAUUAAUUGCAUAUUAUUUAAUUAUCAGUAUAUAAUAUUCUUUAAUUUUCCAAUUUUAUAGGAUUAGACACAAAAUUGAUUAUGCCUUCUGAAAUUUAAGGGUUAUGUCAAUUGAACAGAAAACUUGGAGUUGAACUUUUGGAUGUUUUUGUUGAUUAUCAAUUUAUGCAUGAAUUUUUGUACGUUUACUUUGGUUUAUUAUUGUUACUUUUAGACAUUUUUAUUGGUUUGAUUUAGGGUCAUUUUGGUAAUCUUGUAAUUUUUAAAAUAGUUACAGUUAGCUAUGCUAUAGAAAUUGAUAAAUCGUGAAGAGAAUCAGCUGAACAUUUAGUAAAAUUUAUUUUUAAAAGUACUUUAGUUUUAAAAGCAGUUGUAUGUGUUUCGUAAAUCUUAUUUUUAAACAGGUGCAAGAAUAUAAAUAACUAAAUUGGACAUAAUGCUAAAUAAAAUUUAUUUACACAUUUACAAACAUGUAUAUAAAAUAUUUUUAUUAUGUACAUAUAAUUAUUGAUAACUAAAAUAAAUAUUUUAUAUUAUUAAAUUUUAUUCUUUAUUUUGUUAUCUCAAUAUAAUUGGUAAUAAUAAUAAUCUCUUAAAGUUAAUGAUUUUAUUUCUUAAUUAAUAAAGAUAAUUCUGGAUUUUUAUUAUAGAAUGAGGAUAUAUAUAUAUAUAUAUAUAUAUAUAUAUAUAUAUAUAGAAUUGGAUUAAGUAUAAAAGUGAUUUUCAAAAUCAAAUUUUGAAAAACUAUUCCUUCCAUACUUCUCAAAAUCCUCUGUAUGAUGAGAUGAUUUUUCCAAAAGUAAUUGCUAAAAAAUUAUAAAACACUAAAAAUUAGGUUUUAGUUUUUAAAAUCACUUUUGAGCUUCCCAAAAACAAGCCUAACGGGCCUUUAUUUGGGUGGUGUAGGAACUUAUAACUUUUGGAUCAUUUAGUUUUUAUUGGUUUGAUACAAUUGUUACACUAAAAAUUGAAUGUAUCUUAAACCCCAAACUUCUUCUUCUUCUUUUUUGAUUGCACAAAAUUAAAAACAAUAGUGAACGCAUUCUUUAAUAAACAAUAAGUAAUUACUAAAAUUGUGUUAAAGAAUUUAGUUGAAACAUAAAUUGAUUUCAAUGUUGUAUAUGCUAAAUUUCUUAAAAAUUUUCUUUCACGGUCUGCUGAAUAGUUUUAUUAGUAUUUUUAUUAUAUAAAAAUAAUUGAUUUAAUUUUUUAAAGAAAUUUAUUAGGUUCAUGUAAAUACGUUUUUGUUAUUUAAAAAGUGUACAAAGUAAAACUUAAUUUUUUAAAUUUAUUAGAUGAGUGGAUAAAAUAAUUGAGUGUUCAUAGUAAAUUUUAAGUAUAGAUAGUCAGACCCUAAUAUUUUUAAUAUAUGGAAAAUUUGAAAAUAUGUUAAUGAGAAUUAAAAUGAUAAUUAAGGGAGGCAUUCGAGACAUUCAGGAUUGUUAGGAUAGGACAUGAUUGUGAGCGGUUUGAGAUUGGCCCUAAUUUUGAUCACAAAUAUAUAAGCAGGAUGUUUAUCCAUACUUACAUUCCAUUUGAUAAUUAAGAUGAGAGUGGAAUUGUCAAAUCCCAAAUUAUCCCGGACCAUUGCCACCAAAGGUACUCUCACUAAUAAUAUCUAAAGAAAAAUCUACAUCUAUUUCAUACUUUUUUUUUAAACGGAAAGAGCCCUUAUGGGGCUUGAAAUAGUAUCCUAAAUAAUAUUCAGAAUAUCAGGCCAUGACUGGGUUUGUAACAAACAAAUAUUACAUAGUUGGGAUACGUAGUUACUAGUGUCCCAAUUUAUGUAGUAUCUAUCAUUUAGUACACAUAUAAAGUGUUUGGGACAUGAAAUAGGGUGACCAAGAUAAGGUGUUUGCUCAUACAAUAUCGUGCUCUUCUCAAAGUAAAAAGUGAAAAAAUAGUUGAUAGGCUACUAGGAGUUUAUUUGGUCACCUCGAGCACAUCAUCUCGACCAGGAUAUUAUUUGGUGAUCUCGAGCACAUCAUCUUGACUAAGAGAUUAUUUGGUCACCUUGAGUAUAUCACCUCGACCAGGAGAUUAUUUGGUGACCUCGAGUAGAUCAUCUUGAUCAGGAGGUUACCAGGAAGCACGACUCAGUCAAAACAAAUCUCACUUAUUUUCUUCGAAAUAUUAGGGAUCAUAUUCUUAGUGGGCUGAAAAUUAGUGAUUUUCUUAAGAGUUUUAGGUGAGAGGAUAAAAACCGCUAUAAUUUGCUAUAAAAACCCUGGGAAGGGAGGGAAAUAGGGAGAUUCUUUUUAUCUCUCUCUCUUUGGGUGACUGAACCCAUGGGAUCUUUUUCUCUCUACCACUGGGAAACUUCUCUUUCUCUCAUGAUUUAUUUUUCUUUAAGAUUGGUUAUUUUUUAUUCUUUUCCCAUAAAUUUACUUAAAAGCUUUUUGUUUAAAGUAUUCAUAAUUAAGCCGCGUGAAUUGUGGUACAAAUUUUUCCAAGUAGACCUAAAUCGCUGACUUGAGCGUCGGAGGAUUUUCUUUAAGAUUGAUUAUUGUUUCCAUAAAUUUGAACCAAGAAGGAUGACGCGAUAAAAUUUGUUUUUUAUUGUAUGGUUGAUUUCAUAUCUCAUGCACUCAUUUCUUAAGAUAAUUAGAUUUCAUCUUUUGCAAAUGUGGAAAUAUCAAUAAUGAUCAAUCAAAACGAUCUCAAAACCUUUCAACGCGACAUAUUUAUAAUACAAUAUUGUGAAAAUUACACCAAAAAUUUAAUUUAUGAUAUAUUAUUAUCCCACCAGCACACAGAAAUGAAUUCGUACAAAUCUAAAAUACUUAGCAAUUUUCAAAUAGAAUUUUAAAUUUAUUUCCAGUUAGAAAACUAUUCGCUGGACUCCGUAUUACUAGCCACCAUCGUAAGCCUAACCGGUUGCCGGCGAACGGCGUAAAACACCAGCCAUCUUCUUCUUCAUCAUAUUCUCCUUUCAUCUUUUGAGUUAAGCCUGUGAUUAUGAGUUUCUUCUCUUACUUAGCUUGUAAUUAUAGAUUUUGAUUCUUUUUAAUUCGUAUUGUAGCCGUUAUUGUCAAUUUUUGUCCCGCCAGCAAUAUUUUUUUAUUCCUACAAGUUGAAAAUGGAUUCAUUUGAAUUACGAUUGAAUUUAGCUUUAAUUUCAAUAUCCAUUCUAAUGUUUUGCUAUUAGAUUUACUUUAAUUUUAUGUUUAAAGCUUCUACAAUGACUAGCGGAGCUUGGGUUUUAGUUUCAUUUUCUGUAACUUGUUUUAGUUUAUCUUGUAUGCUCACCAAGUGCUUGUUAUAUUGUCUGAUAAUUUAUAUACAUUGCUGAUUCUAUAUUAAUAAUGUUAUGUUCUAUUUUCAGAAAUUAUAAUACAAAAUUUUUUACAAUGGCGUGCAUCUACAAACUGGAUUGACUCGUAGAAUAAGAGCUUGGAGUAGUGUUAUGUUCUUGAAUAAAUGAAAGUUCAUAUUGUGUAAGAGCAUGUAGAUGUAAAGCAUCAUUACCAUUUCUAUAAAGGACUUUCAUUCUGUUCAGAUGCUCUUCUUGAACAUUGAAAGGUGCCUCGUUCAAGUCCUAGCUAUAACUACUAGCUUUGAUUAAUUAAGUUCCUAUACUAGCUGAAACAGAUUUAUUUAAUUAAUUAAUUGUGUAUGUACUGAUUAUAUUGAAAGUAUAUGAAUUUUUUUUUUUUAACAUGAAUGACUUAAAAACCUAAAGGAUAUGUGAAAUUAUGCUCAUUUCACCUGAAUGAGCCUAUUAAUACUUUUAUGUCUAUGAUUCUCAAUAUUGGCUUAAGCAUUUCAGUUCAGUGGUUUACCUAACAGAGAAAAAAAUUUAAUAGAAAACUUCAGAGUUCUAACAGAAAUAUAGUUCACUAUGCAGAUAUAGUUAUUUUAUUUUAUAUAGUCAUUAAUUUUUGCCAUGGUUUUUUGUGUUUAUGAGUUUGAAAUAGUGGGAUUUGGUGUACCUUAGCAUCUUUUGAAAAUUCUCUUUAAGUGUGGCCAACAGAAAUAUACAUAUAAUCAAGUUUCUUAAUCCUGUAUAUUAGUUUUGGGUAUGAAUGUUCCUAUUCUAGUUCUAGGCAAAGCUUCUUUGUUUUGGUCUUCAGAUUUCCAGUAGGUUAAGUUAAUCAACUAUCAUAACUGGCUAGCUAGUUAUUGUCUGCCCUGGCGCCAUUACCCAGGCCAUUAUAUUGCAUAGCAUAAGGAAUAGUGAUUAGGUGAUUAUUAGUGAUUUGUUGAGCUUAUUAUUGACCAAACAAAUGUAUUCGCCUUUGGCCACAACUUAGUUUGAUUAGUUAUUAGACCAUAAAGAGCCUUGAUCUAUUCAUUGGCUUUAUUAUUUUUAUUUGGUUUUUCUUUCAACAACAUUGUUGAUAUCUUAUAAAAAUAUUCAGUGGUUUUUAAACACCUAAUCAUUGGCUAUAUUAAGCUAAUUAAAACUGAGGCUUUGGAUCAAUUUCUUCUAACAAGAUACAAAUGAGCAAAACCUUUCUCCUCUAAGUAAAUUUUUUUAAUAUCCCUUGAAUUGUAAGGAUCUGGAGGCGUGAAUCCUCUUGAUUUUUUUUAACACUGUCAAUGUUCUUUUUAUUCUGAGAAGGAAAUAAAAGGUUUUAUCUUUCAUACCCGAAUAGUAAGCUGGCCUUGUCUUAACAUGGCCUCCCGAGGACUUGCAAGAUUCAUAGUGUCCCCCACCCCAAAAAAAAUAUAAAAAACACAAAUAGGAAGAUUUUGCAAGAUUCACCACCAGGUUUUUUUUAAUUUAUUAAUUGUGUGUACGUGCUAGUUAUAUGUUGAAAGAAUAGGAAGAAGUAUUUCAACAUGAAUGACUUAAAACUUAUUGCUCAGUAAACAUAAUCUGCAUCAGUGCGAAAAUGUAUUUAUCGUUUGUAUUUUUUAUGGUUUUGCUAAAGAAAUGAUAUGUGAAAUAAUGCUACAUUGCAUCAGGAAUAAAUUGAAGAGACUUAUGAUAUUUAUGUGUUAUUCAAAUUUCAGAUUCAAUUUUAAACUUUUGAUACGUGCAUUGAAAGCUUAGACUUGUUUAAGAAAUUAUUAAUAGACACAUGUUUUAUUAGUGUCAUCUUUGGAUGAUAGUGAGGAUCAUAUGUCUAUUAAUAAUUCUUGAAUUGUCCAGGCUUGGACAGUUUGGGAAUGCAUAGUUCACUCUGGUAGUUAGUAGCUGAAGUUUUUUCCCACGUAAAAAUGGGUUUUUCGGUAGCUGCUCCUCGUGUUCUCUGGGUACGUACUAGGUGAAUGGGUGUCAUGUGUUGUUUUGGCAUAACGCAUAAACACUUAUAUAGCUAUGUCGUGUGCUUGGAGAAUUAUAGGGAGAUGGUGCCGAAAUUUUUAUAAACGUGGAAGAAAACUUUAGGUACUUGAGAUUGAAGAAACUUAUGCAUUCUUGAGUGGGAUAUGUAGGAUUACUUACCUUUUGUAAAUAUGAAGGGAAUGUUGGAUAUAUUGGGGAUAGUGUAGGAGCUGAGUUGGAUGAAUGUAAUUGGUGAUGAUUUUGCUGAGCUGACCUUGGUCUUGAGCUUGUAAUUUUGUUUGUAAAUGGAGUGCUAUCUCCAAUGUUGGUUUAUAAAAAUGUUUCAGGACUUGCUGAUCUAAUUUUUUGUUUCUAGGUUACAGGCUUUAUAUAUCUGUAAUUGAUAGCCAAGUGAAGUUCUCAGCACUUGGCAAGGAUAUUUCUUUACAGAAGGUAUUGGAAACUGUUUUUUACAUUAAUUAUCGUUGUUUAUAUACUUUGAUUGUCACAUCUUUUUCUCUGAUUCUUGUGGCUUUGCUUGCUUUCAUAUAUGUAAAUUCUAAUGAAAUUAACCAUAAAAUUGUAAAAUGAUCUUUUUAUUAUAUUGCAAAACUGUGCACACACGAAAAUAUCUUGUUUAGUAGUGGAAAUGAAGAACUAAUUUUUGUCGCGCAUUAAAAGGAGAUAGUCAUGGACAAGUGUUGGGUUGGUUUGCCAAAUAGAUAUCCAAGUCAUAUACUGAUGGCGUUGAAAAAAUUAUAGAUUUUGUAUUUGAGAAUGUUGUUGGUGGUACAAGAAUUUAUUGUCCUUCUUGAUAAGUUUUGUAAUCUAUAUUUCGUUAUAAGGGAAGUGGCUGAUGAUGAUAUGGUUGGAAUGAUACAGUGCAUCACGUAAUCAAAUGUUCAAGUUACACGCAGCAUUGUUAUGAACUAUCAGUGGCAACUUGUCUGGGUGGAGUAUUAAAGGUAAAUAAGCAUGUCUUGUUUGCCAACAAAGCACUGGAUCUAAUUGGUUGAUACAUAGUAGAAAAUUUUGUCACGUGGGUCACCGUCGAUUUUUCCCAACAAAUCAUAGGUUUCGAAAAUAUAGUGUCUUUGAAUAAAACUAGAGAGUAGGGACAAGCACCUUCUCAGUUGUCUGGAACUGAAGUGAAAAAGCAGUUUAAUAUAUUUACUGAGUAUAAGAUUGAAGACUUGAAAAGAGAAGAACGAAUAAAAUGAGAGAAAUGAUAAGAUUACUUGGAAGAAGAACUGCAUUUCUUAAGAUUACUUGGAAGAGAAAUGAUGUGGAAGAUGGCUAUAAAAGAUAAAAGGAAAGGCUUAAAAAGAAAAGCCAUGCCUGUCAAAAACAAAAAAACAAUUGCAGCGUCAAAUUUAUAACACAAAUCAAAACGGUGCGUUUGAGAGUGUAUAAAAUACAUUUAGAGUGGGAGUUGUGUUGUUGCUUGAAGGCAGAAUGUUUGUGAGAUAUUUGUCGACGAAGCCGAAACCAAAGAUGAAGCCCAUCAAAAGCAUUUAUAGUGUAAAAAGUAUAUUGUGGAAAUGUCUGGUCGGUAAUACAACUAUUUCUUGUAGUGUAAAUGAUACACUAAUUUGAAUUUAUAUGCUUUUAUGAUUAUUUGAUUAUCAAGUGGUGAUCAUAUGUGAUGAUAAACUUAGGUCGUACCUUUAUAUUUAUUGCCUUAGUUUUCUAAGCGUUCACAUUUUGAUGAGUAAAUUAAGGAUUUCAAGAUGAAGUACAUAAUUAGAUUAAUGCUAAGAAACUGAAGUUUGAUCGAUUGAAAACGAAAAUAAUAAUAAAGGUAAUUAAGAAAAUGAACAAUAUAUGCAGAAGCGGUCCUUAUUAGUACUUCUAGAUUUUCUCUUGGGCUUUCCUUAUUAUUGUUAAAAAAUGACACGAAGAACUUUGAGUUUAAAAAUCUGGCCCUGAUGCCUGGUAGCCCUUCAACAUAUGAAGAACCAGAUGUUUUGAUGAGAAAAUGACAAGACCAUUUAUCAAAUUUCUUGUGGAUAUAAAUACAUACACAUAGACGAGGCCAACCUCCUCAAAUGAGAAUCAGAGUGAUUACAAGACCUUGCAAUGAGACAAUGAUACACCAUCAAAUGUCAAAAUACAAUAGAAAUUCACGACAUAUAUAUAAUAAAAGACCUCUCAUUGAGUCAUAUAUAUUGAGAAUAAAAAUGUUAUAAUACAUACACAGAGCUUAGUUAGAAUAAAAUGUCUUUGAACUUGCGAUGAUCAAACAAAGGAAACAGACAGGUUGUAACUCACACUAUCACAGAUGUAGCGACACGAUGCAGUGAAUCACAAGAAGAUCACGAAGAUGGAAACGGGAACCCCUCAGAAUGUAAACUUUGAAUAGAGGAAAAAAGAAAAACGUCCUUAUUUCAAAUUGUGCACAGAAGAAGAGUGACUUAAAUCUUCAUCAGUAUCCAGGCAUUCUGCAAUCAUAAAGUAGAAAAAUUUUAACAGUAACAGCAGAGAAAAUAUUAUGAAUAUGCUAGACCAAAUUAGUCCCUUUUUUGGUUUGUGAAAACUUUAUUUUUUAUGAAUACGCUAUCCAAUAUUUUCAAUCAAUAUUUCCACAAUAUAGUUGUUCAUAGCUAACGUUUGAUGGUUUAACGAUUUGUUCCAAGAAUAAUGAGCUGAUUACGUUUUGUUUUAUUUUUAUUUUAUUUUUUUUAAUCCGAUGAAGGAUAUUCAGCUGUGUCUUUAAUUAUGCAUUCAUAGGGAAGAACAUUUUCUAAGUACUUUCCUUGCCUUCUAACUUUCCAAGGAAAGAUAGGUGUGAAGAAAAGCAAACCCAAUGAACAAACAGAGCACAAACUAAAAUAAUUAGCAAAUAAAGAAAGGAAAAAGUAUGCACGUUUUCAAGGAUUUAAAAAAUACGAAGGCUUUUAAUGAAAUUUUAUCAUAAAAAAGUAUGCAAGGAGUUAUAAAAUUUUAGAAGACGAGGGGAGCUCGCAAAAAAAAAAAAGAAAAAAAAAAGAAAAAGACUCAAAUUAAACUAGACUAAAAAGACAUUCAAUUACGCAAAAUCUGUCCAUAAAAGUCUGAAAGGAUCAUUAAAAUUGCAUUGCAAAUUUAACAGUAAACUGAGGAACCCAUUCUAAAUAAUUCAGAUGAAAUUGCGAAACAAACCAUGGGAUUAAAUAAAUUAAAUAAAAAUUAAUUACCAGUUGAGACUUUCUUCUAAAAAUUCGCAACUCCAAGUCAUAAGAAGCCUAUGAAAUUAGUAGUACAGCGUAGAGUAUGACGACGACACCGCCAACAGCUGAAAGUAAAAUUCUUAUUCAUCAAUUUAAACUUACUUUAUAACAAAUAUCUUAUCUAUAUUGUAUUUAAGAAAACAAAUUUUGUAAAAAUUUAUCAUGGGAGAUAGAGAGUAAUAUGUACAUACGUACCUUCUCAGCAUGUAAUUGUUGUAUGGUUGUGUUUAGAUCAUUAUUAGCCCAGCGCCGUUGAUCCGCUGUCUCUCCAUAGCAGACGUUUACUCUUAGAGGCGUGAUUGAUUCUCCUGUAGUGAAAAUCUUCAUCUUGGGACAACCAAUCACCCACAACUCUUGCAAAGAUGGGAAUUUGAAGGUGUAAUUGGCAGAGCAGAAACUUGUGAGGCUGUCUAAAUCACGCAGUUCCAACGUCUUCAAUUUGCGGAAAACAAUCUCUUCUUUUUCAACCCCGUCUUUGUCAUUUAUUACCACCUCUGUCAUUGCUCUGCAUCCAUAUAUACUCACUUUGACGAGUUGCACUAGAGUUUUUGCUGUGGAGGAUGUUACCAAGUGUAUCAAUUCCUUGCAACCGAAAGCUACAAGUUCUGUUAGGUUCCGAAAAGAUACCGAUGAUGAUGGCAAUAGAAUUAACAGACUUUGACAAUGAUAUACUUUUAGAAUUUCAAGAUACUGAAAAAUGGGGCCAAGUUUGGAGUCUUGUUUGCACAGCUGCUUCAGAUGAUAGUGCCGGUGCAGCUUUAAUUCUUUUAUCAUUGCCAACUUCCCCACAUGUUUCUCUAAGCAUCCUUCCAUCGAAAAUACCUCUUCGUGGAAUGAAAAAUUAAGCAGUGUGAGUAUUUCGAGAUUGUGAAAUCUCUCCAGUACGUUCCAGAUUGGAAAACAAGCUGCGUCAUCUCCAACAAUCUCUAGUUGUUUAAGACUGCCAAAAAGGUGUUGUGGGAAAUCGGCCUGCAAAAUCAUCUUCACAUCUUUUCCACUUAGUGAUAGCUCCUUCAAGUUGGGUACGAUCUGAUCAUCAUCAAUCGUAAUAACUAAUGAGGUCAAUUGAUGAUCUACGGUCACAGGCAGUGACUUUAUAGUAUUUGUUUUAUAUUAUAUUUUUAAAAAAAUUGAAUUAUUGAUAAAAUUUAUUUUAUAUGUUAAUUUUAGAGGUAAAAAAGAAAUUAGGGAAAAAGGUUGAUUUAUACUGGCUCGAAAUUAUUUUAUUGCACAAUAAUAAAUUACUAAUUUAUUUUGUAAGUUCUUCUAUAUGGAAAGACUAAGGAUUCUUUUAUAAAUGUUAUACCAAAAAAAGUUCAUAUAAUUAUUAAUCUACCCCAUUGAUCUCUUAAUCUAGACUAGCAAAGAUUAUUGUAUAAUAAAAGUUUUCAAUUUAUUGAGUAUUAAUUUAUCGAUGCUUUGCCAUAUUUUUCAAAGUUAAAAAUAAGCUAUAGACAAAAAAUCUAGAAAAUGGCUUCAUACCUUUUCCAACGGCAAUGGGGGCUGUUGUGCAGGAAUGCCAAGUUGAUCAUUCUCAUUAUUCUGCAAUAAAUCUGCAGUGAAUAUCUUUAAUUUGUCACAACAAUGCACUGAAAGAACUUCUAGCGCGGGCCAUUCCGAAGUAUGCAUUCCAGGGUACAAACAUCUAAGUUUUGGUAGACCUUGGAGUCUCAAAGUGGUGAGCUGUGGAAAGACAAAAUAAGGGAUCACUUCAUCUGCUCUAUUCUCAGAAAUGAUCUCCUGUAAAUCCUCACAGAAGCGAACUUCUAGGUGUUGGAGCUGCUUAAGGCUUCCGAUCAUAGACGCUGAAAAUAUGUAUUUUAAUUUGUGACAACGCCACACAAUCAAUCGUGUUAAAUUUUGAAAGCGAGGAAACGUGACAGGAAAAUGAUUGUAGUGCCAAAUCUUGUCGACAUUAAUUUCAGAUAUCUCCAAAGCCUCCAAGUUAGGCAACGCAACCUAAAAGAAUAAGAAUUUCUGGUUAGAUCCAAUAUCCAUAUGGGAAGCACUUGUUGAAAUUUUCUUCUUUGAUUGCAAAUUCAUGCAAGUCAGAAUCAAUUUCCAACUGACAGCUGAGUAUGCAUUCUAAUUCAUACUACUUGUUAAGAGCUCAAUUAGUGAGCGCGUGAGAUUCUUUUUAUCCUUUUUUCCGUUUUCUUUCAAUUCUUUAAAUGAUUUAAUUAUUUUCCACGUAUGAUAUCAAAAGAGAACGCAUGAUAGAAUAAAGAAAAUGUUAGCCUACGCACCUUCUCGUUGAAAAGCAGAGUUGAAAUAUCCAAAGUGAUUUCGCUGGAGCAAUACAUAGUCGUCGAUUCCUCUUGCGACACUUGUCUGUUCGGUGAUGCUGAAGGAGUCUCCACCUCACGGCGGCAAAAACUUGUAACCUCAGGAAGAUUCCCCAGACUCAAAGAUCUUAAUUGAGCAAACUCUAUCUUCUCAAUUGCAUUAUCAACUUCUUCCCCAAUUGCAAAAAUCUCUGUUAUCUUGCUGCAAUUAACAACUGCAAUUCUCUCAAGUCUUGGAAGGCAUUUUGUAGUAGAGAGCCAAAAGAUAUUACUCAACUUAUCACAAUUAUAUGCUUCUACGGUUUUGAGUUCGUUGAAAGACUCUACUUUGAGCCGAUCAACACAUAUCCUCUCCAUGUUGAUCAAAUUGUGAAUGGUAAGUGACUCCAAAAGAGGAAAGGCAUCACAAGCGACCAUCUCCCUUGAAUCGACGAUACAAAAGAAGUCAGGAUUAUUUUGAACCCAGAGAAGCUUCAAUUGUGAAAAGCCCUCCUUGCAGCUUGUCCAACCAUAAGUAUUCAACGUUAUUGAUGCCCUGCAAUUUCAUGGAGCAAAUGUCCAUAAAAUCAAGCUUGAGCUUCAAUGAUCUUAAACUCUUGCGAUCACUGUUGAUCGAAAAGCGGGGCCGACUUUUAAACCAAUGUUGUCCAACACUCAUGGGAUGCAUGAAUAACCCAUUUCCAAUAGAUAUUUUGAACCUUUCGAGCUUUCUGGCCAAAAAACCUUCUGGUAAAAUAUUGUCACUUUUAACGUCAAUUUCUAGAGUGGUUAGCCGAGGUAAAUGCAUCAAUUCGUCAAGGCUAGCAUUACUUCUUUUGCUGUUGGCUCUUUCAACCUCCCAUUCAAUGAAGCAAUUACCCAUAUACAGCUCUUCUAAUCGAGUUAAGCUUGAUAUGAGAUUAGGCGCAAUAACUUUUAGAUGGAAACAAUUGGUUAAAUCUAACAAUCUCAACUUAUUCAAUUGACCUAGUUCUUCUGGCAACUGCAUAAUCUCAGACUUCAAAAAGCUAAGGACUUCUAGAUUCUUCAACUUCCCAAUGAUUGCUAUGUCCCCCAACGCACUUUGAUCCAGACAUAGUGUGUGAAGAUUUUGUAGAAGAUCAAUUGAAGAUGGAAAAGAAGAAAACUGCAUUCGAGUAAAAUCUAGAACUCUAAGCUUUUUCAUCCCUACAAAAAAGUUCUCAGGAAUAUUGAUUUCAAGAGAAGAAUCUUUGAGAGAGAUAAAUAAAAAUUCAAGGUUUGGGCAUUCUAAUCCUUCAGGAAAUUCACGAUUACUAUUAUUUCUUAAAGAGAUCGCAUUGCAUUUUCGAAGUGCAUCCUCAUCUGGCCAGUCCCACACAUCCUUAUUUCUCACCAAAAACACAUGUUGGUGGCGGCAUGCAAUUGAUAUUGCGACAUCACGAACAACAUCAUGCAUUGAAAAUUGUUCAUUGCUCUCACCCUCAAGCAACAAACAAGAGUGUCUAAGUUCAUGGACCAAUGCAUAUAAUUUGUCUCGUGCAUCUUCCAUCUUAUUGACUCCUUUAAAUAUACCCAAACCCAUGGAGUACUUAAACAAGUCCGAAGUAAGAAUACGGUUAUCCAUUAGACUACAGAGCAGAAAAAUUUUCUUGAGUUGCUCACCUUUUAAAUGGUUGAAACUCAGCUCAAUACUUGAAUAAGUCUCUGCAGAUACUCCUUCGAAGUUUACCAUUGAAGGCGUUCGGAGUUCUCGCAAGGAAUUCUUCCAUUCAUACUCUUGCUUCUCAGUGCCUUUGCCACUGUAGUCAAGGCAAUGGGCAAACCUCCACAUGCCCUGGCGACGUCUAUUGCUGUGGAUUUCAACUCACGAUUUUCAACAUCAUCUCCGGCCAUCAUCUUAAACAAUCUCCAGGCUUCUUCUUCAUUUAAAUUGUUUAUCAAAAAGUUGUCUUUAGAUCCCAUUUUUAAGAGGAGACUACGAUCUCUUGCUGUCAGCAGUAGUUUGCAGCCUUUAUGAUUUUCUCCAAAAGGAAUUGCAGUAGUCCCCAAAUCAAGAGGUUUCCAGAUGUUAUCCAGAAUCACAAGGAUCUUCUCAUUCUCCAAUCUUUCAUAUAGUCUACUAGCUCUUCUAGACUCAGCUUCCUCGCGCAACUCCAAGCCCAACUUCUCGGCAAUUUCCUGUUGAAUCUGUUUUAUGUCUGGAGUUUGCGAAACCUCUGAAAAGACCACCAUAUCAAAGUGCUUGUCUUCCAUAGCUUGCCUGGCGACCUUCUUCACCAGUGUCGUCUUUCCAAUGCCGCCCAUGCCGUACACCCCAAUGAUGCUGACAUCAACAUCGAUCAAUGCGUUUUUUAUAGCCUCCAAAGUAGAACGUCUUGAUUCGAAGGCCUCGUAGCCUUUGUGAGACUUGAGCCAAAUCUCCUCCGGAAUGGUACGGUAGGAAAUUCUAUCAUCAAAUCUCCCAGCUUCUUCUCGGAGUUUAAAAAGGGCCUCCUUCUCUGUUUCUGCUUUCUUUCCAUGCUGAUAGCGAGUAAUCCAAUUAGGAAACAGCCCCAUGAGACAUCGUUCAUUUGCUUUCUCUUCGUCUAGAAUGAAUUUGGCUGCCUGCUCAAUGCUCUUGUUCGCAUUAACCAGCCAUUUCUCAACCUUCUUUUCAAUCUUUUCACUUUUUCUUUCAGCCUCCGAAACUCUGUGCUGAAUGCUUUCUCUUUCAUCCUUGAGCCUAUCGAGUUCUGCCUUGAAAUUCUGAAAGUUGGCAGCGGAGUUGUACCAAUAACUAAAUUCGCGUUGUGCGUGAGGAGACAAACAGUUUACAACUCCUGGAACAAUGCUUUUCAAAAUGUCCAUUUUUUUUUCUUUUUUGGGGAAGUGAACGAAAUAGAAAUAGAACAGGGUCAACGGCCGCGCAAUUGAUAAUCAAGUAGAAGCAAAACAAGGCAAAGUUGAAAAAAGAAAUGAUAUUUGUACAAAACAAGGGAAAUCAGUGUAACAGAAGAGAAUCAAAGUGUUUAUGAGAUCAGAAAAUUGAAUCAAGAAAAGGGUUGCUUGAUCCAAUGAAAAUGCAAAGAGCUGAUGGAAAAAGGGGACAAAGAUAAAUAAGAAAACGGCUAGCACGAGCAGUGACCACGAUAAACAGAAGCAAAGUGUGUAUGAGAUCAAAAGACGAAAAUCAGGAGAGGUUUUCUUGACCGAGAAUUGAAGGCAAUUAGUAGGAGCUGACGAAUACGGGGAUCAAGAGGGAAAAAUUGCUUUUAAGCGAAUCUGAUAAAAUUAUUUCAAUACUCGUGGGCGACUCCUUUUUAAACUGCAGAAGGAAAAAAAAAAUUCUGAAUUUCAAUAUAUUAUUUUUUAUCCUAAUUUAUGUUAGGACUCGUAAUCUCGUCUCAAAUAAUUAAUUAGUAGAUAAUUUUUCUAACAAAUAUGUGUUGAAUAGAUAUAUUUCUUGACUAUGAGCAGGCUAGAGAUAUUUUAGCAUAGGAAUGAAAGUACAAGUUGUGUCAUAUUAUAAUUAUCAAUUGACCUAAAAAUGUUGUUGUGAAUUGAAAUUAUUUCUGUAAAAUAAAAGGAUUUGGGUCAUUGUUCGUUAUUUUCUGGCAAUAUUGUCUGGUCGUGACUCUUUGUUAAAUAUUAAAAAAAUAAAUUUAUAUUUAUUAAGUAUAAAAAAUAAAUAAACAAACAAAAAUAAAAGGAAAAGUUUAUACAUUACGUAAAAUAAUAAGAACAAUAUCAAUAUUUCACACUCUAUAAUUGAGUGAUGUGUUAUCCAACUGCCAUACAUUGGUCCCAAACAGAGACUUAAAUAUUAAAGUCCAAAGUUAUUGUGAUGAUGACUUAUAAUUGCCAAACUUGACAUACGGGUAAUCAUGCAUUAUAAGGUGCUGAUUUCUUCCGAUCGGAACCUUAUUUUUCAUUUACAAAUAAAUAAAUGAUGUGACUUCACGGUUGGCGGGGUCCUUUGUGUCAUUUGGGCAUUUCACUAAAUGAUUGAUUGUAGCAGGGAGAUUCCUGGAAGUUGCCAUUUGCCAAUGCUACUAACAUUUUCAAACUUGGAAAACCCUUCAAUCAAUCUUUUAGUGGUAGGCUCCGGUAGCUUGGUUUGAUUAUGACAUAUGAUUAUUUGAUAAUGAAGCUAGAGGAUGUAUUAAUAUAAAAUUUGUUUAUUGGUGUUGAAGUUAAUUAUCUCAUUAAUAUUAGUAUAAAAAGUUAAUUACUAAGAAACACAUAGCAGUAGUUAAUUGGUGUCAUAUUAUUAGGAUUCUGGGAUAUAAUUUUAUAUCAUAACUUUGUAAGUGUAUACUUACUCAUCAAACUAAUAAAAUUAUUUAAAAAUUUCAGUUGGAAAAAAUAAAUUAUAUUAUUUUCAUUUCAAAUAAUCUAUAAGUUAACUCAAAACAUAAUCAAGCUGAGAAUUAAAAUAAUGCUACUGUAUGAGAGGAUUUUUAUUUUUUCCCGAAGUUUCACUAGGAAAUUAUUGAUACAUAGCUUUAUUCGGAUCAUCUCAGUUCAAACGACAAAUAAUUGAAAGACUAAGCUAAAUAGACCAGCCAACAACUUUGUACAAGAGAGUUCAAAAAUUAAGGUCAUGGUAUUAAGGUGUUCUAUCUUGAAAAGUAUAGCGUAGUAAUAAAAUAAAAACUAAUAGUCUUUGGUAAGAUAUGACAUUUAAAUAAUAAUUUUCACAAAAAUACAAAGAAUAUUUAUAAAGUACUUCUAUAGUGAGGAGACCCUCACUUUGUUAAAGUGAAAAUAUCAAUAAUAUACAAAAGACAUAUAUUUUAACACAUUAAAAAUUGUAUUUUUUUUAUCUAUUGGUGUAUUUGAAUAUGUGUUAUUUAGUUUGUUAGUGAUAUCAUUACUUUGUUAAAAUGAGAAUGUCGUUACUAGAGAAUCAUUAUAUAUACAUAUAUAAAGUGCUUCUGCCCAAGACCUAGACUUUAUUAAAAUUUAAGAAAGCAAGUAUAUUUUAUAUGGUAUAAUAGUGUAAUAACAUCACACUAUUAUAUCAUAUAGAGUAAUAGUUUUUCAAACUUUAAUAAAGUUCAAGAUUAUAGAAUGAAUGAUUUUUAUAUAUUAUAAAUUUUUUUAUCAUAAAUGGAGGACAAAAUUAACAUAUUUUCAAAUUAUAAUAAGUAUUUAUCAAAUAAUUUAACAUUGCAAUUUCUCCUAACUAGUAUAGUAAAUAAUACGACCUAGGAGAUACAUUCAAAGCAUUUCAUAAGUUAGUUGUUAAUAAUAAAUGAUAUAUGCAGCUCCAAUCAUCAUUGUACGGUGAGUAAUUUCCAGUUAUAAAUAGAUAUUACUCCCUUCCCAGCAAUUUUUGAUGACUUAAUUUAGUGAGAUCAAAAUCAACAUUGAAUUUUUGACCAGCUGCCAACAACUUGUGAGCAGUUCACAGUGGGUACUGCACAUGAUGCCUGUUUCUCCUUUUGCAUCUAUUUUGUUGUUAACAUUAAUUUCAAUAGCAGCUCGUUAAUCCCAAUUGUUGAUUUGGGACUAGAUAAGAGUUUAUCUUGGAACUCCAAUUCUCCCAAUUAUUUUAGUUGACAAUAUAUUUAACAUUAUUUUUUUAACAUUAUUAAUUGCAUAUUAUUUAAUUAUCAGUAUAUAAUAUUCUUUAAUUUUCUAAUUUUAUAGGAUUAGACACAAAAUUGAUUAUGCCUUUUGAAAUUUAAGGGUUAUGUCAAUUGAAUAGAAAACUUGGAGGUAAACUUGUGGAUGUUUUUGUUGAUUAUCAAUUUAUGCAUGAAUUUUUGUACGUUUACUCUGGUUUAUAAUUAUUACUUUUAAACAUUUUUAUUGGUUUGAUUUAGGGUCAAUUUAGUAAUCAUGUAGCUUUUAAAAUAAUUACAAUUAGCUAUGCUGUAGAAAUUGAUCAAUCGUCAAGAGAAUCAGCUGAACAUUUAGUAAAAUUUAUUUUUAAAAGUACUUUUAGUUUUAAAAGCGUUGUAUGAAUAAAACUGUUACACUAAAAAUUAAAUGUAUUGCCCACUUGGGUAAAUAAAGCUAUAUAUUACAACUGUUACACUAAAAAUUAAAUGUAUCUUAAACCCAAACUUCUUCUUCUUCUUUUUGACUAACAAAAUUAAAAACAAUAGUGAACACAUUCUUUAAUAAACAAUAAGUAAUAAAUAAAAUCGUGUUAAAUUGCUUAAAAACUUUCUUUCACGGUUUGCUAAAUAUUUGUAUUAGUAUUUUAAAUAAAUAAAAAUAGUUGAUUUAAUUUUUUUAAAUAAACUUAUUAGGUUCAUGUAAAGAUGUUUUUGUUAUUUUAAAAAGUGUAGAAAGUACUCCUAAAAAAAAGCGUAGAAAGUAAAACUUAAUUUUUUAAAUUUAUCAGCUGAGUGCAUAAAUAAUUGAGUGUUCAUAAUGAUUUUUAAAGUAUAGAUAGUCGGACCCUAAUUUAAUAUAUGCAAAUUUUGCUAAUAUGUUAAUGAGAAUUAAAAAGAUAAUUAAGGGAGGCAAUCGAGACAUUCAGGAUAGUUAGGAUGGGACAUGAUUGUGAGUGGUUAGAUAUUGGUCCUAAUUUUGAUCACAAAUAUAUAAACAGGACGAGUUUAUCUCUACUUACAUUCCAUUUGAUAAUUAAGAUGAGAGUGGAAUUGUCAAAUCCCAAAUCAUCCCGGAUCACUGCCACCAAGGGUACUCUCACUAAUAAUAUCUAAAGAAAAAUCUACAUCUAUUUCAUACUUUUUUUUAAUGGAAAGAGCCCUCAUGGGGCUUGAAAUGGUAUCCUAAAUAAUAUUCAGAAUAUCAGGUCAUGAUUGGGUUUGUGACAAACAAAUAUUACAUAGUUGGGAUACGUAGUUAUAGUGUCCCAAUUUAUGUAGUAUCUAUCAUUUAGUGCACAUAUAAAAUAUUAAUCAGCUUAAUUAAUUUAUAAAAUUUAAAUCUAAUUAAUAAGUGAUACAUAAAUGCCAAGUGCAGUACUGUAUAUGCAAAUCAUGUUUGUGGAUCAUUACAAAACUGGCUCUUGAAAACAAGCAAGAAAGCUUAAUUAAGAACUUAAAACAAAAAGAAUUAGAUUGAGAAUAGUCGAGCCUUAUUUUUUCAAGAAUGGAGCUUAUAAAUCUUCAAGUACCAACAUACGCUUGGCCCAAUUGUUGUUACUAAAAUUUCAAUAUACAUAUAUAAGUAUGAUAUAGCAAAAAUUUGAUGGUACAUAUGUCGGAAUAUACUAGUUCAUGGGUGCAUUUGAUUAUUGUUUCCAUAAAUUUGAACCAGGAAGGAUGACACGAUAAAAUUUGAUUUUAUAGUAUGGUUGAUUUCAUAUCUCAUGCACUCAUUUCUUAAGAUAAUCAAAUUUUCUCUGGCAUCUUUUGCAACUGUCGAAAUAUCAAUUAUGAUCAAUCAAAACGAUUUCAAAACCUUUCAACGAGAUAUAUUUCUAAUACAAUAUUGUGAAAAUUACACUAAAAAUUUAAUUUAUUAUAUAUUAUUAUCCAACGAGCACACAAAAAUGAUUUCGUACAAAUCUAAAAUACUGAGCAAUUUUCAAAUAGAAUUUACUAUGUACUACAAGAAAAUAGGGUAUAUGUGACCCCUAAUAUGAAUGCAAAAGCAGCCAUUACGCAUAUCACUAACUUCUAACUUUGUAACUCCGAGUUGCUUUUGUUACCCUUUAUGUGACGGCCACACUGCUGUCACAUAUGUUACGAACCGCGUGACGGCGAAGAGCCGUUCGGUAUACUAAUAUUUUAGAAUUUUAAAUUUAUUUCCAGUUAGAAAACUAUUCGCUGGACUCCGUGUUGCUGGCCACCAUCGUAAACGUAACUGGUUGCCAGCGAACGGCGUAAAACGCCGGCCAUCUUCUUCUUCAUCGUAUUCUCCCUUCAUCUUUUGAGGUAAGCUUGUAAUUAUAGAUUUUGAUUUUUUUUAUUUUGUAUUGUAGCCGUUAUUGUCAAUUUUUGUCCCGCCAGCAAUAUUUUUUUAUUCCUACAAGUUGAAGCCCCUGUGUUCUUGUUCCAUUGGUGAGUUUGCUCACUCAAAUUAAUUUUGUUCUGCGGAAUUUACAAAGUUCAAAUGGAUUCAUUUGAAUUACUAUUGAAUUUAGCUUUAAUUUCAACAUCCAUUCUAAUGUUUUGCAAUUAGAUUUAAUUUAAUUUUAUGUUUAAAGCUUCUACAAUGAAUAGCGGAGCUUGGGUUUUAGUUUCAUUUUCUGGAUAACUUGUUUUAGUUUAUCUUGUAUGCUCACCAAGUGCUUGUUAUAUUGUCUGAUAAGUUAUAUACAUUGCUGAUUCUAUAUUAAUAAUGUUACGUUCUAUUUUCAGAAAUUAUAAUACAAAAGUUUUUACAAUGGCGUGCAUCUACAAACUGAAUUGACUUGUAGAAUAAGAGCUUGGAGUAAAUGAAAGUUCAUAUUGUGUAAGAGCAUGUAGAUGUAAAGCAUCAUUACCAUUUCUACAAAGUGCUUUCAUUCUUGAACUUUGAAAGGUGCCUCGUUCAAGUCCUAGCUAUAACUACUAGCUUUGAUUAAUUACGUUCCUAUACUAGCUGAAACAGAUUUAUUUAAUUAAUUAAUUGUGUAUGUACUAAUUAUAUUGAAAGUAUAUGAAUUUUUUUUUUAACAUGAAUGACUCCUAAAUGACUUAAAAACCUAAAGGAUGUGUGAAAUAAUGCUCAUUUCACUUGAAUGAGCCCAUUAAUACUUUUAUGUCUAUGAUUUUCAAUAUUGGCUAAAGCAUUUCGGUUAAGUGGUUUACCUAACAGAGAAAAAAAUUUAAUAGAAAACUUCAGAGUUCUAACAGAAAUAUAGUUUACUAUGCAGAUAUAGUUAUUUUACGGUAUACAAAUCAAGUCGUCCUAAUCUCAAUGUCCUAUGACCGAUUUUAUAUUAUAUAGUCAUUAAUUUUUUCCUUGGUUUUUUGUGUUUGUGAGUAUGAAAUAGUGGGAUUUGGUGUACCUUAGCAUCUCUUGAAAAUUCUCUUUCAGUGUGGCCAACAGAAAUAUACAUAUAAUCAAGUUUCUUAAUCCUGUAUAUUAGUUUUGGGUAUGAAUGUUCCUAUUCUAGUUCUAGGCAAAGCUUCUUCAUUUUGGUCUUCAGAUUUCCAGUAGGUUAAGUUAAUCAACUAUCAUAACUGGCUAGCUAGUUAUUGUCUGCCUUGGCGCCAUUACCCAGGCCAUUAUAUUGCAUAGCAUAAGGAAUAGUGAUUAGGUGAUUAUUAGUGAUUUGUUGAGCUUAUUAUCGACCAAACAAACAUAUUCGCCUUUGCCCACAACUUAGUUUGAUUAGUUAUUAGACCAUAAAGAGCCUUGAUCUAUUCAUUGGCUUUAUUAUUUUUAUUUGGUUUUUCUUUCAACAAUAUUGUUGAUUUCUUAUAAAAAUAUUCAUUGGUUUUUAAACACCUAAUCAUUGGCUAUAUGAAGCUAAUUAAAACUGAGGCUUUGGAUCAAUUUCUUCUAACAAGAUACAAAUGAGCAUAACCUAUCUCCUCUGAGUAAAUUUUUUUAAUAUCCUUGAUUUGUAAGGAUCUGGAGGCCUGAAAUCCUCUAGAUUUUUUUUAAUACUGUCAAUGUUCUUUUUAUUCUGAAAAGGAACUAAAAGGUUUUAUCUUUCAUACCCUAAUAGUAAGCUGGCCUUGUCUUAACAUGGCUUCCCGAGGAUUUGGAAGAUUCAUAGGCCCCCCCCCCCCCCCCCCCCCCCACACACACACACACAAAAAGGAAGAUUUUGCAAGAUUCACCACCAGGUUAUUUAUUUAUUUAUGAAUUGUGUGUACAUACUAGUUAUAUGUUGAAAGAAUAGGAAGAAGUAUUUCAACAUGAAUGACUUAAAACUUAUUGCUCAGUAAACAUAAUAUGCAUCAGUGCGAAAAUGUAUUUAUCAUUUGUAUUUUUUAUGGUUUUGCUUAAGAAAUGAUAUGUGAAAUAAUGCUACAUGCCUACAUUGUAUCAGGAAUAACUUGAAAAGAUUUAUGAUAUUUAUGUGUUAUUCAAAUUUCAGAUUCAAUUUUAAACUUUUGAUACGUGCAUUAAAAGUUUAGACUUGUUUAAGAAAUUAUUAAUAGACACAUGUUUUAUUAGUGUCAUAUUUGGAUGAUAGUGAGGAUCAUAUGUCUAUUAAUAAUUCUUGAAUUGUCCGGGCUUGGACAGUUUGGGAAUGCAUACUUCUCUCUGGUAGCUAGUAGCCGAAGUUUUCUUCCCACGUAAAAAUGGGUUUUUCGGUAGCUGCUCCUCAUGUUCUCUGGGUACGUACUAGGUGAAUGGGUGUCGUGUUGUUUUGGCAUAACGCAUAAACACUUAUAUAGCUAUGUCGUGUGCUUGGAGAAUUAUAGGGAGAUGGUGCUGAAAUUUUUAUAAACGUAGAAGAAAACUUUAGGUACUUGAGAUUGAAAAAACUUACACAUUCUUGAGUGGGAUAUGUAGGAUUACUUACCUUUGGUAAAUAUGAAGGGAAUGUUGGAUAUAUUGAGGGUAGUGUAGGAGCUGAGUUGGAUGAAUGUAAUUGGUGAUGAUUUUGCUGAGCUGACAUUGGUUUUGAGCUUGUAAUUUUGUUUGUAAAUGGAGUGCUAUCUCCAAUGUUGGUUUAUAAAUAUGUUUCAGGACUUGCUGACCUAAUUUUUUGUUUCUAGGUUACAGGCUUUAUAUAUCUGUAAUUGAUGGCGAAGUGAAGUUCCCAGCACUUGGCGAGGAUGUUGGUUUAUAAACUGUUUUUUAUAUAUACUUUGAUUUUCACAUCUUUUUCUCUGAUUCUUGUGGCUUUGCUUGCUUUCAUAUAUGUAAAUUCUAAUGAAAUUAAACAUAAAAUUGUAAAAUGAUCUUUUUAUUAUAUUGCAAAACUGUGCACACACGAAAAUAUCUUGUUUAGUAGUAGAAAUGAAGAACUAAAAUGAUUUAUUUAACUAAUAUUUGUAGCGCAUUAAAAGGAGAUAGUCAUGGACAAGUGUUGGGUUGGUUUGCCAAAUAGAUAUCCAAGUCAUAUACUGACGGGGAUGAAAAAUUUAUAGAUUUUGCAUUUGAGAAUGUUGUUGGUGGUACAAGAAUUUAAUGUCCUUUUAAGAAGUGUUGUAAUCUAUAUUUCGUUAUAAGGAAAGUGGCUGAUGAUGAUAUGGUUGGAAUGAUACAAUGCAUCACGUAAUCAAAUGUUCAAGUUACACUCAACAUUGUUAUGGACUAUCAGUGACUUUCUAGCAUUGCCAACUUGUUUGGGUGGAGCAUUAAAGGUAAAUAAGCACGUCUUGUUUGCCAACAAAACACUAGAUCUAAUUGGUUGAUACAUGGUAGAAAAUUUUGUCACGUGGGUCACCGUCGAUUUUUACCGACAAAUCAUAGGUUUCGAAAAUAUAGUGUCUUUUGAUAAAACUAGAGAGUAGGGACAAGCACCUUCUCGGUUGUCUGGAACUGAAGUGAAAAAGCAGUUUAAUAUACUUACUGAGUAUAAGAUUGAAGACUUGAAAAGAGGAGAACGAAUAAAAUGAGAGAAAUGAUAAGAUUACUUGGAAGAAGAACAGCAUUUUUUAUGAGAACUACCGUAUUCAUCAUGAUCUUGUUGUCAUGCACUGCUUUGAUUUUUGUUAUGAACUCAGAUCAAAAGUUUAAUGUGAUCAAACUUUCUUAAAAAAAGUGAAAACGACUCCUAGUAAUAUGCUUUGAUUUUUGUUAUGAACUCAGAUCAAAAGUUUAAUGUGAUCAAACUUUCUUAAAAAAAGUGAAAACGACUCCUAGUAAUAUGGAAGAUGGCUAUAAAAGAUAAAAGGAAAGGCUUAAAAAGAAAAGCCAUGCCUGUCAAAAAAUAAAAAAAUAAAAAUGGCAGCGUCAAAUUUAUAACAAAAAUAAAAACGGUGCGUUUGAGAGUGUAAAAAAUACAUUUAGUGGGAGUUAUGUUGUUGCUUGAAGGCAGAUUGUUUGUGAGAUUUUUGUCGACGAAGCCAAAACCAAAGAUGAAUUACGAGGGUUAUGUUUGCCAUAGUCAAGGAACACGGUCCUCUCACCUUUGCCGAAACUUGGGAACGCGUCAAGGUGUGUGUAUCUAUUAAAUUGAAUUUCAACCGUUUGAUCUGUAAUUAUAAUUAAUCCAAUCAAUCUGACAGUGAUCGCUGACCAUAAUACUAGUAGUUGUUUUACAUUUUCAGCAAGCUGGAGCGAGUGGAUUGACGGGCAAAAGCCACAUGAAGAUUGUGUUGAGAUGGAUGAGGGAGAGACAAAAGCUCAGGCUCGUCUGAAAUCACGUGGGCCCUCAUAAGCAAAUCCUGUACACAACAACUUGAAGCAGCCAAAGUCAGGGAAUGAUCCUUCUCCGUCACAACCCUAGCUGCCUUAAAGUGAGACUGUGAAGAUGAAGUAAAGCACCAGUUGAACAAUGAAGAUGGAAACCCCUCAGCAUGUAAACUUUUCAACAGUGACACAGCUCUUAUUCCAGAGGCUGCACAGAAGAGCGACCUGAAUCCUCUUCAAGACUUUCAAAUUUUUAUCAAGUAAAGCUUCCAAAAUUUCUCAACAAAUUGAUUAUUUGGUGUGGUUGACACAUUUUGUGUAAUAACAGAAAAUUGAUUAUUUGGUGUAACAACAGAAAAUUACAAGAUCGCUGACAAAAUGACAAAAUGACAAAAUGACAAAAUGAAACUGAAGAUAAAUCAGAACAACUACCAAACCUUUGACUGAAAAUUCAAAAGAAUUUAUAUUCAAAAUGUCAAAAUAAACUGGAAAUUUAUUGCAUAUAUUACAAGAAGCAGUACACACCAAUUGUAAAUUGAUACAUCGUUUUUGAAAUUAAGAUAGUCAAAUGAAAGAAACACAACGGAGGGUUAAUGUAACACUUUCAAAGCUGCAUUAGUGAUACAGUAGAGUGAAUACCCUCAGCAUGUAAACUUAACUUCAAAGGACGGAGCACAAGUUUCACAGAAAAGUAGCUCUUAUUCCUGAUGCUGCAAACACAGAGGAGUGACCUCAAUCUUCUUCAUAACUUGGGAAUUCUGCAAUUAUAGAGCACGACAUUGAGCAUGAACUAGAAAAAAUAUUUAUUUUGUACAAUUUUCAUGUAACCUGACUAACCAAGAUUAAUUUGGUGGUAAUGCAUUGGGUCAUUACUUUAUAUGUUUUUACUGUCAUCACUUUAGAAAAAACUAAUUUCUCAAUGUGAAAUGGCCCACAAAAGUAUUAUCGUUUAAAAACUAAAGAUUAAAGCCCCCGGGGGGGGGGGGGUGUCUGAAGGCUUUUUACAUGAAAAUGUUGUCACUUUGAAUGAUAUUUUCAAGGAAUUUUAUUCUAAAAAUAAAAUACGUGGGACCUUAUUCUUCAAAUUGACAGCUCGCCAAGUACUAAAGGCGUAUGAGAUCAGUACUGCGGCGAGUAAGGAGACGACCCCUCCAACAGCUGAAAAUAAAAUUAGCAUUCAUCAAUUUAAAUUAAAAUUCAUAUUAUGAAAUAAAAACUAAUGAUUAAUGAAUUUCCGAGGAAUUUCAUAAGAUUCUCAUAUAAAAACGUGAUAAAAAACUCACUCAUCAAUAACAAAUAUUCUAACAGUUACCCGUACCUUUUCUUGAUGUAAUUGUUGUAUGAUUGUGUUAAGGUCAUUAUUAGACCAACGCAGUUUGUCUUCACUCCUUCCGUACCAGACGUUUACUCUCGGAGGCGUGGUUGAUUCUCCUUUGGUGAAAAUCUUCAUCUUGGGACAACCAAUCACCGACAAAUCUUGCAAAGAUGGGAAUUUGAAGGUGUAAUUGGCAGAGGAGAAGCUUGUGAGACUAUCUAAAUCAAGCAGGGACAAUGUAAUCAAUUUGCUGAAAACAAUCUCUUCUUUUAUAUUUGCUGUUUCAUCUUCGUCACAUACUACGACUUCUGUCAUUGCUGUGCAUCCAAAUACCUUCAAUGAUAAGAGUCGCUCCAGACUUUUUGCUGUGGAGCAUGUUAGUAAGUUCAUCAAUUUCUUGCAAGCAAAAGCUUGCAGGCGUGUGAGAUUCCGAAAAGAUACCGAUGAUGAUGGCAAUAGACUUAACAGAUUUUGACAGUGAUAUGCUCUUAUAAUUUCAAGAUGUUGGAAAAUGAAGUCCAGCUGUUUGGAGUCAUGUUUCCACAGUUGCUGCAGACGAUUAAGUCUGGUCAGGUUUAACCUUUUUAUCAGUGCCAACUUCCUCCCAUGUUUCUCCAAAUAUCCUUCAUUUGAAAAUACCACUUCAUACGAACAAUCCGACAGGAAGAGAAGUUCCAGAUUGUUAAACCUCUCAAGUAAACCAAGUUGAAAGCAAGCUAAGUCAUCAUCCCGAACCAGUAGUAGUUUAAGACUGCCAAAGAGGUGUUGUGUUGAACCUCGCAAAACCACCAGGGCUAGGAAGCCUAAUCCAAAGUAUCUGGCAUUUCUGGAUGUGAGCAAUACUAAUGACGUGGGGGCUAAAAGGCUUGGUCAAGUGUUGGAUGCAUAAAGGACCGAGUCUUGUGCUGGAAAAUCUCUAUAUCUUGUUAGUAGCUUCAGUAGUUGAGUUAAAAUAGGAGUUAGCCGUUGCCUUGCUUCAUUAUUUAAUAAGUUGUAAAACAAGUAGUUGGGGGAGAAAAAAAUAAGAUUUGUCAUUGUGGUUUACUCCAAACCCGAAUUGGAGAACUUUGAAAUAACAGAAGAAUUAUCAAAUUUAUUAAUUCUUGUUGCUGAGAUAAGAAUCUUCUUUCAUUCUAACUUGAGUUCUAACAUGUUGUGGAAAAUCGCCUUGCAAAAUCAUCGUGAUGUCUUUUCCACUUAAUGCCAGUUCCUCCAAGUUGGGUAAGAUCUGAUCAUCAUCGAGCUCAAAUUAUUAACUUAGCACAUUGAUCCAUAAUUCAAGACUGGCAAAAUUCAUUGUGUAAUCAAAGUUUUCAAUGAUCCAACUAAUAUAUAUAUAUAUAUAUAUAUAUUCCUUCUCUAGUGCGGACAUCCUCAUUUUUUUUCAUGUGGACCAGUUUUUAGACCCUAUGGUUUAAAAGAGUUAGUUUUUAACUCUCUAAAACCGCAUGGCUUCAUAAUUCAUUUAAAAACUAACUCUCUUAAACCGCACGGUUUAAAAGUAUGUCUACAUUAAAAAAAAUGCGGACCCCCACACUUGAGAAUGAUUAUAUAUAUAUAUAUAGAGAGAGAGAGACACACACACACACACGCUCUUAAACCGUGGGAUUUGAAAGUUUCUCCGCAUGAAAAAAGUAAAAAAUAAGGGCAUUCCCACUAGAAAAAAACACCAUAUAGGUAUUUAUUAAACCUCCGGAUCUGUGAGUGAGGAACAACAAAGAUAAUUGAUAAAAAAAAUCUAAAAUUUGGUUUCAUACCUUCUUGAACGAGAGUAGGGGUUGUUGUGCCGGAAUACCAAAUUGAUCAUUCUCAUUAUUCUGGGACAACGUUAUUUUAUCACAAUUACAGGCCUCCAAUUUUUUUAGUGCUGGCCAUUCUGAAGUAUGCAUUCCAGGGUAUAAACAUCUGAGUUCUGGUAGACCUUCGAGAUUCAGAGUGGUCACUUGUGGAAAGACAAAAUAUGGGGUCACUUGAUCUGCUCUGUCUUUGGAGAUGAUCUCUUGUAAACCCAUACAUAUCCGUAUCUCCAGGUGUUGGAGGUGCUUAAGGCUUUGGAUCAUAGAAGCUGAAAAUAUGUAUUUUAAUUUGUCACAGCCCCACACUAUCAAUCGUGUCAAACUUUGAAAGCAAGGAAUCAUGGCCGUAAGUUGAUUGUAAUGCCAAAUCUCGUCGACAUUAAUAGCAUUCAGCUCCAAAGCCUCCAAAUUUGGCAACACUACCUAAAGAUAAUUUUCUCUUUAGAUCCAAUAUCCGUAUGGAAAGCACUUGUUUUGACACAAUGUCCAUAUAAGCACUUAAUUAAGAGCUUAAUUAGCCUACGUACCUUCUCGUUGAAAAGCAGAGUUGACGUUUCCGAACUGAUCUCGUUGGAACUGGCUGUCAAUUCCUCUUGCGACUCUUGUCUGUUUGGUGAUGUGGAAGGAGUCUUCACUUCACCGCAAAACCUUGUAACCUUUGGAAGCUUUCCCAGACUCAAAGAUCUUAAUUGACCAAACUCUAUCUUCUCAUCAACAUCAACAUCAGCUUCUCCUCCAGUUGCAAAAAUCUCUUCCAUGCUGCUGCAAUUGAUAACUGCAAUCCUCUCCAGUCUUGGAAGGCAUUUUGUACUACUAGAGAGCCAGAAGAUAUUACUCAACUCAUCACAAUUUUCCACUUUUAUGGUUUUGAGUUCUUUGAAGGACUCUAUUUUGAGUCGAUCAAUACAUAUCCUCUCCAUAUUGAUCAAAUUGUGAAGAGUAAGGGACUCCAAAAGAGGAAAGGCGACACAUGGUUCUCUCUCCAUUGAAUCGACGAUACACAGGAAGUCCGGAUUAUUUUGAACAUGGAGAUGCUUCAAUUGUGAAAAGCCCUCAGUGUCCAAUUCUAAAACAACAUUCUUGAUUCCUUGCAACUUAUCCAAACAUAAGUAUUCAACGUUAUUGAUGCCCUGCAACUUCUCGGAGCAAAUGGCCAUAGAAUCAAGCUUGAGCUUCAAUGUUCUUAAACUCUCAUGAUUACUGAUCAUAAAGUGCUGCCGACUUUCAAACCAAUCAUUCUCAAUAACCAGGGUAGAGUCGAAUGAUGCAUCUCCUAUUGAUAUAUCAAACCUUUCCAGCUUUUUGGAAAAAAAGCCAUCCGGUAAAAUGGUAUCAUUUUUAACAUCUAUUUCUAAAGUGGUCAAUCGCCUCAAAUGCAUCAAUUCGUCGAGGGUGGCAUUACUUCUUUCACUAUUGGCCUUUUCAACUUCCCAUUCAAUAGGGGAAUUACCCAUAUACAGUUCUUCCAAUCGAGUGAAGCUUGAUAAGACGUUGGGCACAAUAAAUUUUAGUUGCAAACAAUCUGUUAAAUCUAACAGCCUUAACUUAGUCAGUUGACCUAGUUCGCCAGGCCACCGUACAAUAUCAGAAUUUAAAAAGCUAAGGAUUUCUAGAUUCUUCUACUUUCCAAUUAUGGCUGUGUCUCCCAACAUGCUUUGAUCUAGACAGAGUGUUUGAAGAUUUGCUAGAAGACCGAUUGAAGAUGGCAAUGAAAAUAAUCGCAUUCGUGUCAAAUCUAUAACUCGAAGCUUUUUCAUCCCUUUGAAAAUGUUGUCAGGAAUAUUGACCUCGACAAAAUAGUCUUUGGGAUGCAUAUGUAAAAAUUCAAGUUGCGGACAUUCAAAUUCCUCAGAAACUUCAUGAAUGCGACUAUUUAGUAAAGAGAUUGCAGAGCAUUUUUUAAGUGCAUCCUCAUCUGGCCACUCCCACACAGCCUCAUUUCUCACCAAGAAAGCAUGUUGGUCUCGACAUGCAAUUGAUACGGCAACAUCGCAGACAACAUCAUGCAUGGAAAAUUGUUCACUGCUAUCACCCUCAAGCAAUAAACAAGAGUCUCUAAGUUCAUGGACCAAUGCAUAUAAUUUGUUUCGUGCAUCUACCAUCCUGUUGACUCCUUGAAAUAUGCCCAAACCCAUGGAGUAUUUAAACAAGUCUGUAAACCAAAAACUGUUACCUAUUAGACUACAGAGCAGAAAAAUUUUCUUGAGUUGCUCACCUUUUAAAUACUUGAAACUCAGUUCAAUACUUGAAUAAGUCUCUGCAGGCACACCUUCGAAGUUUAUCACUGAAGGCGUUUGGAGUUCUCGCAAGGCAUUCUUCCACUCAUGCAGACACUUGUUUCUCAGUGCCCUCGCAACUGUAGUCAGGGCAAUGGGCAAACCUCCACAUGCCUGGGCUACAUUAAUUGCUGUAGACUUGAACUUACAAUUUUCAACAUCAUCACCAUUCAUUAUCUUAAACAAUCUCCAAGCUUCUUCUUCAUUUAGAUUGCCAAUCAAGAAGUUAUCUUUGGAGCCCAUACUUAAUAGCACAUUAUUGUCUCUUGCUGUCAGCAGUAGUCUACAUCCUUUAUGAUCAUUUCCGAAGGGAAUUCCAACCGUCUCCAAAUCAAGAUGUUUCCAGAUAUUAUCUAGAAUCACAAGAAUCUUAUUCUCAUUCUUCAGUCGUUCAUACAGCCUGCUAGCUCUUCUAUAUUCAGCUUCAUCGGACAACUCCAGACCUAACUUCUCUGCAAUUUCCCCUUGAAUCUUUUUUAUGUCUGGAGUUUGUGAAACCUCUGAAAAAACCACCCGAUCAAACAGCUUGUCUUCCCUGGCUUGCCUAGCAAACUCCUUCACCAGUGUCGUCUUUCCAAUGCCGCCCAUGCCGUACACCCCAAUAAUGCUGACAUUCACAUCAGUCAACGCAUUUUGUAUAGACUUCAAAGUAGAAACUCUUGAUUCGAAGGCCUCGUAACCUUUGUUAGACUUAAGCCAUAUCUCCUCCGGAGUGGUACGGUGGGAAACGAUAUCAAACUUCUUAACUUCUUCUCCAAGUUCAACAAGGGCCUUCACCUCUGUCUCUGCUUUCUUGCUAAGCUGAUAGCGGGUCUUCAAAUUACGACACAAGCCCUUGAGACAGCGCUUAUUUGUUGACUCUUCAUCUUCAACGAAUUUGGCUGCCCGGUCAAUGAUGCCGUUAACACUAACCAGCCACUUCUCAACCUUCUCUUCAAUCUCUUCCCCUUUUUCUUUCGCCUCUGAAACUCUGCGCUGAAUGCUCGUACGUUCAACCUUCAACUUCUCCAUUUCCGCCUUGAGAUUCUCAAGGUUGGCAUUGUGGUUCCGCCAUCGCAAAUAAACAACUUGGCGUUCUGUUGGAGGAGCCAAGCAUUUUACAAGUUCCAAAACGAGAGUAACAAUGAUUUCCAGCAUCUUGAAUCCUGACAACAAUGUAGAAGUGAAGAAGGCCAAAGGACAGUCAAAACAGAGAGACAGCGUUACGACAAGCAGUUAUGAAGCUAAAAAUAAAUAACAAACAAACAGAAGCAAAGUGUUUUUCGAAUGAGAAGAAGGAAGCAAGAAAAGGGUUUCUGUUUUAGAUUAAGGAUAAGAAAUGAUUAAGAGAGUGGGGGAGCUAAUAAGAGAGUGGAUUGAGCAAACGUAAAUAAAUUUUUCUUAACCUUUUGUCACACGCGUGUGACAAAUAAUAUAAUUAAUUUUAUAUUUUUAUUCAAUAACUAUUAAUUAUAAUUUUUAAAAAUUAUUAAAAAGAAUAAUUAAGUACUGAAUUCAAAUCCUAUCCUAAAUGGUUAGAUAAAAAUAAGUGAAUGAAAAGAGUAAUGGUAGAUUAAUGAGAAAGUGAUUGAUUAAUUUAUGAGGCCAAUUAACGAAACGACAGAUCUGGUUUCCAUGUUUGUAAUUUAAGUGUAUCAGUACGAGGUACACCGACUCUCCCAGUUUCUUUAGCAUUUCUCUCCGUGGAAAUAAGUGAAAAGCCAAAGUGAUUUGAUUAUUUUUAUGGCCAACUAAUGUAUGACAGAUCUGGUUUCAAUCUCUGCAAUGUAAGUGUAUCAAAACGAGGUCAACAACUCUUUGUCGAGUCAGUCAAAUACGCAAGCAGAGCGAACAAAUUUUUUUUCCAAUUAAGUAAUCAUCAAGUGAUAACCUUCUUUUUCUAUUAAAAUAAGGAGUGCAGAACAACUGUCAAGAGAUAAUCAUUGUUUAUUAUAUUUUCGAUUAAAAUAGUUGCGCGUGAACGAUUGCCCGAAUUCGUAUAAAUUGUUGUCAGGUCUAUUAUAAUUAACAAGUGGAAUGGCCAAUGGAUGAAGAACCACUGCAAUUUCGUUUAUGAAUUUAAAAUGCUAAAGAAACUGGACACCAACGCUAAACGUGAGUUUGAGGCCCUUGCCUCAGUGUCUUUCAGGCGUUACUCGGGGUAGUUGAUAUACUGACGGCCCCGUUAUCAAUUAAUCAUCGAAAUAGAUUAAAAUAUGAAUGGAUUGGAAUGGAAUGAGUUGGAAUUAAAAUAUGAAAUGAUAGUCAGAUUAAUUUAUUUUUUUUUAAAUUAGAAAAUUAGAAUAAAAAUAAAUUAUAUUAUUAUUGAUGCAUUUGCUUUAUCUUAAAAUUACGAUGAGUUAUUACAAGUUACUAAUAUGCCUUUGAUUUUUUAUUAUAAUUAUAGUUAUUUAUUAUAACAUUUGUCAUAUAAUAAUAAUAAUAAUAAUAAUAAUAAUAAUAAUAAUAAUUGUAACAAUUAAUAUUGAAAAAAAAUUUAUUGUUAAUAAUAAAUAGGCAAUUAUCCAUCGACCAUGUGAUCUUUCGAACUUUUUCAAAAAUAGAUAAACACUUUUUUCUUUGCAGAAAUCCACCUGAAAUUUACAAAGCGUUUCAAUUGUUUAUUGUCAUCUUAACUCUGUUAGAAUUUUGUUGAUGUCAUAAGGACAAAAUUAUCAUUUUCACCUAAAUAUCCAAAAAGGGUAUCUUUCAAACAUGAUUAAGAUAAAAAAGUAAAAUAAAUUAUCCAUUGACUAUAUAAUUUUUUAACCUUUAUAAAAAAUAUUAAAAAAAUAUAUGAACAUUUGUUUUUAUUUUUCAACAAUCUAUCGGAUAUUUGUGAAGUGCAUUAGUGCUCCACUACUAUCAUAACCCUUUAAAAAUAUCGCUUAAACACGAGAACCUAUUGCCUAAAAUUAUUUUUCAAGCAAAUGCAACGACAUAUCUGGUUUUGAUCUUCGUGACUUUUAAGUGUGCAAGAACAAGAUGAAUGACCCUUUGUCGAGUUGAAGAAUUAAGAUGAAUCAAUUACAAAUCUAGAACAAACUUACAUGUGACAUUUUAGAAUUAAGCAAACUAUAAUUGAUCAUCCAGUGAUAGGCUUAUUUUCAAUUAAAUUAGAGUAAAGAUAUACAUUCCAAAUUUUUUAUCUCAAAAUUAAUCUUAGAUGAUGUCAUUAAUUGAGUACUUGGUAAUUCUUUCAAGAUCUAAGUGAAUUAAUUAUAUUAUCUCUCUAACCAAUUGAUGAAUAUCAUAUUAUUUUGGAUAAUUUUUUAUCUCAAAUCCUAGAAAAGAAAACAAAAGAAAGGGAGCAAAAAUAUUUUUAGAAACGUAAAAUAACCAAAAAAACACCUUUUCUUGUUUUUCUUAUUUUCCACUAUUAAGCUUCAAAAUGAACAACUUUAUUCUACAAUCUCUCAAAUAAUAUUAAUAACAACAACGUCGUCAUCAUCAAUAAUAAUAAUAAUAGAUUAAUUUUGUAGGAUGGAACUCUCUCAAAUCUUCAAGACACAAAAUGUGCUUGACCCCAUUGUUGUUAUUAUAAUUUCAAAAUCAUAUGUAUUAUAUAAUAUUAGGGAAUAUAACAUAGCAAAAUUGAUGGUACAUAUGUUGCAAUAUACUUGCUCAUGUGGCGACACAUUGACGUAAAGUACAAGCAGAACAACGAAAAAUGUAACGGGAGAGCUCUCAUUAUGUAGAUUUUCAAUAGAAGUAAUGCAUAUUUCACAAGGGCAAUGGCCUUAUUUCAAAUGCUGCACCUGAGGAAUGACUUGAAUCUUCUAUAGAACUCAGGCAUUCUGUAAUCAUAGAGUAUAUCAUUUCAACAAAAAUAUUAUAUAGGUCGUUCCUUAUAUAUUUUAUGGGUACACAUACAGAAAUAUUACUUUGGGUACAUUUUUUGCAAUAAAGCCUGCCCAAUCCAGCGUUUUCAUAAGUUGGGUUUCUCAUUUACUUGUUUUUUCCAUUGGUUAAUUAUCACAAACCUCCACUGAGAUUUAGCAUAUUUUUAGUUUAAUAGAUUGUAUUCGCGCAAAUAUCUUUUCAGACAUUAGUUUACCACUUCGUAUAAAUUAAGUUGGUGAGGAUAAAAUCGUAAAAGUACACAUUAAUGAUAAAAAAAUUCAAGUAAACAUGAAAUUUUCACGUUGUGUUCUGAAAUUGGUCUCAACUUUUUAAAUGUCCAUUAGGUAAAGAACAGAAGCAAGCUUUACCCAGCACACAAAAGCAAGCUUUGCGCAGCACGCAUUAACGCCCGCAAAAAUGAAAAAGGAAAAAUGGUCAUCUCUUUCCUCCAUUCGAAUUGAAGCCAUGAAACGCAACAUCCCUUUCAUCUUCUCUCUAAUGCUUUGAUUAAAAAACUUGCUUACGAACGGGAGACCAUGACACUGAAUCCGGAGACGGCAAUACCAGAGACGAUUGAUCGAUUUGGAAGAAUACCAACCAGUGACUUUCGCCGUCGACCCACAAACAGUCCCAGUGUUUUCGAGCCGUGAAUGAGGUAUGAAUCAGAUUAUUUCCGUGCAUGUCAGUUUUGUUAGGUGAUUUGGUUUAAAAAAAGAAUAAUGGGUCUCGAAAAUUUUUUGAGAGUAUUUCUGUUGCUUACAUUUUUUUUCCAUUGAUUAAUGUUAGUUGUAGGUGAAUGAUUGUUUCAAAUGCAUGUUCGCGUGUGACUGAUUGAAAAUGGCUUGUGAUUUGUCAUGCUGCCGUAUGACUGAUUGAAAAUGGCUCUAAAAUUUUUUUUAUUUGUUUAAGCUACUGAUUCUGAUUAUUGAACAGGAAUUCAUGCUAGCUUUUGUGAAAUUAAAGAUGAGACUAUUUUUUAAGAGAUCUGCCAAACCUUCUCUACUAUAGAUUUGGCUUCUGACAUACCUGGUUGGCUGGAGAUAAUUGUUUAUAUAGUCAUUGUUGCCCGUAUUAUUUAGGAAUAUUGAUUAGCAAUGUACUGGAUUAGAGAUUGGUAUAAUUUUGGAAAAUUAGUCGUAGAUGCAACCUGAUUAUGGUCUCAAAUAGUGUGAUCUGUCAAUUUCGUCUGCUAUGGCCUAACAACCUUGAAUCUGAGCUAUGCUACUAUACAAAGUCCUGACCUAAUCAAGCUUGUUAGCCAAUGUCCAAAAUUGCAGUGUCUUUAGAUAAGUCCCAUCUUAUUUGUUUGAAUUAUAAAUGAAAAUUGCAGUGUCUUUGGAUAAUCACGCUGAAUGUUCAAGUUAUUGACAAGAAGGGACCCCCAGAUUCAAGGCCGGAGCUCCCUGUUGAGAAGCUUUAUAUAUAUAGGAUUGUCGCUGGGUGGAGGAUCGAUAUGCCCGGUUUUGUUUGGAAUAAGGAUGAAGAUUUUGCAUUGAGGCUUUCUUGACAGAUCAUUCUGCAAAUCAAGCUCCAUGUACCUAUCUUCAAACUCUAGGAUAUGUAUAAAGCAAGUGCAUGCUCUAUAUGUCACUUAUUGUAUCCCGAUUAUUUUUCUAUUACUUAAUAUAAUUGCAGUCCUUGAUGAAGUUGGAGACAACUUAUGGAGGGUAUCCAGGAGCUCGAGAGCUCGAUUGCCAUUCAUUUUACACUUGGCUGAGCUAUAGAAUACCAACUAGUGAUUAAUAAAGAGAAGGUAUGAAGGUCCUAUUGCUGGUGGUAUUAUCAAUCAGAAUUGUUAUUUUACUUGGUCAUAGUUACCAUGUAUACUAUUCAUAGACUUUUUGCAUGUUUAUGUAUUUGCGUUCAUCGUUUUGUUAAGCUAGAGAUGGUUGAUUUGUGUACUCAUUUGUAUCACUUGUAGCCCUUGAGGAAUAAAAUUUAAAAUUUUGUUGCAUCUCCUGUACUAAAUACUAAUUUUGUUGGCUUUAUGUAUGUGAAAUGGUUCAUUAUGUUAUUUCUUUGAUGUGUGUAUAGUGUUACGCUGUCUAAAGUCGAAAAGUAUUUCUAUCACUUGUGUAAAAAACAACCUACUUUUUUUCACUCUUCUUAUAUUGAAUAAAAGAGGAACACCAAGAUCUUCACCAAGAUUGAACGAAAUUUGAUGCAAAAUGCAUAGCAAUUAGGCCAGUGCAAAACAACUUCCUUCUGAUUCUCUGAUAUUUGACUUAAAUCUUUUGUUUGUUUCAUUCAUCAAAGUCAUUUUGGAAAGUAGCAGGGGUGAUUUGAUAUUUUCAUUGUAUUCACAUCCCUUGGCACCAAAACAAACAUGCUGGUACUAACCAACAAUUUUUUUUAAUUUUCAGUAUACAAAUUAUCUUUUUUUUUCUAAAUUAGGGGUAUUAAGAAAAGGUAUACUAGCAUCGGGGGAGGUAUUUGAGAAUACACAAAUACAGGCUAUCAAACUGAGAAUACGCCAAAUCUCAGGGGAGGUUUCUGAUAAAUCUUUUUUUUUCCUUUUCCUCCAUUUACUAUAGGUUCAAUUUAGACAUUGUUGACCAAACAGAAGGUUUAGGUUGGUAAACGCACUAGUGUUAAUGUCAACAACCCAAGGGGCUUCAUGGUCCUCUGGGCCGAAAUAGCGUAAUUAUUAAUUCUCCUCCAGUGAAAAUCUUCAUCUCGAGACAAAUAAAUACGAAUUGACAUUAUAGCUGUGCAAAUUUGGAGGUGUAAUAACCGGAAAAGUAAAAAUCUUUAGAGACAUUUCAAAUAAAAAAGAUACAACACCUUCAAUUUGCUAAAAGUAAUGGUAUCAUUUCUUGUACGGAUAAUGGAUGAUUAGAUUUUGUUUUUUGUUAUCCGACGAAGGAUAUUCAGUUGUUCUUUAUGUGUUCACAGGCAAGAGCAUGAGCAUGUUUAUGAUUUGAUAUAUGCUUCUUGCAUUUUUUAAUUAAGUACUCUCUUUCCUUACUGUGAAGCCGAAAUUAGUUAUAAUCUGUUAUGGACAUGCUGAGGUGGCAGGUGAGCUGGCAUAAGUGGGAUCCAAAUCAAGAGUUGGUUAGUUAGUUAAAUAACAGACUGACUCAUUGCAAGUGGAAACACACGUGAGAAGCAUACAUUUAUAAGCUGUCUCUAAGCUAGCUAAACAUACAUAGAAUCAUAGAGAAUUUACAGAGAGGAAACACUCGAUAGGUUUUAAUCUGUAAUUGGUGACUCAGUUGUAAACCAUCUUCUUCUUGUUGUUCAAUAAAGCCUCUGCCCUUGCUGGUUUUACAGCCGUGGAUGUAGGUUCCUUUGUGGAGCUUAACCACGUUAGUUUCUUGGUGUGUUGUGAAUCUUUGAUUGCUUGGUUCUUCUUUGUUCUUUUCUUAAUGUUGUUUCUGUAAACUCUGGUUUUGUGGGUUGCUUAAUUCUUGUUCAAGUAAGCGAAGUAAACACGUUUGCCAUAACAAACUGGUAUCAGAGCCUGGUAUUGGUUGGGAUCAGACUCAAAGAUGGCAAGCACCAGAGUUGAUCUUGAAAAGUUCAAUGGAGAUAAUGAUUUUUAUCUCUGGAGUUUGAAGAUGAGAGCAAUACUUAUUCAAUAAGGGCUUGACAGUGCCCUCGAUGAUGGAGAAGAUCCGAUGGCCAAGAAAGAAAAGGCAGAAGGCUCUUCAAGCCUUGGUGCAGAUCAGAGGAUCAUAAACAAUAAGGCCCAUAGCACCAUUAUCUUGCAUCUCUCUGAUGAAGUCUUGAGAGAAGUAUCCAAAGAAAGAACUGCAGCUGGUUUAUGGGCAAAACUAGAAGAAAUGUUUCUGAAGAAAUCAUUGGCAAAGAGGAUGUACAUGAAGAGGAGAUUGUACACAUUCUCAAUGAAAGAUGGAGUAGCCAUGAAAGAUCACGUGGAUGAGUUUAAUAAACUCAUUCUUGAUCUCGAGAAUGUCAACAUAAUUCUUGAAGAUGAAGACAAGGCACUCAUCCUCUUAAGUUCUCUUCCAGAAUCUUAUGAACAUUUUGUAGAUACCCUCAUCUAUGGCAGACAAACCCUCUCUUUGAAAGAUGUCAAAGAUGCUCUGAAAUCCAAGGAUUUGAAGAAAAGAUCAGACAUGAAAGAUCAAAACAAUGCAGAAGGUUUGGUUGCCAAAGGAAAGCCAGAAAAGAAACACAAUAAGCAGAAAAAGAACAACAGCCAGAAAGAUAAAGCUGAAAAGAAGAAGAAGAAGAAGAGAAAGUGUUACUUCUGUCAGAAAGAGGGACACUACAUUAAAGAUUGCUUUGAGAAAAAGAAACUAGAAGAACUGCAAAAGAAAUCAAAUGGGAAGACUGCUGUUGCCUCUGAAGAUGAAUGUGACUACGAUGAAGCAGAUGUCUUGGUGGCUGCAGAAAGGCACCCAACUGGUGAGUGGAUUCUGGACUCUGGUUGCUCAUUCCACAUGUGUCCAAAUAAAAGUUUCUUUAAGACCUUUGAAAGUGUAAAUGGUGGAAAGGUAUUGUUGGGAAAUAACCUAGCUUGCAAGGUGGCUGGAAUAGGAACCAUUAGCUUAAAAUUGCAUGAUGGUGUCACUAGAGACUUGCACCAAGUAAGAUUUGUCCUUGAACUGAAAAGAAACUUGAUAUCUCUAGGAAUGGUUGACCAAUCAGGGUGUACUAUUAAGGCUAAAAAUGGAGAGAUACAGGUCUUGGAUCAGGGUAAAAUUGUAAUGAAAGGGGUUAGGAAAAAUGGGCUGUACAUACUAGUUGGAUCCUCACUUGUGCAAGGGAUCUCAGCAAGUGUGACCAGAGAUAAAACCAAGCUCUGGCACAUGAGACUAGCUCAUAUCAGUGAGAGAGGUCUCAAGGAGCUAAGCAAUCAAGGUUUGCUUGGUGAUGACAAAGUUACUUCCUUAAAAUUCUGUGAGAAAUGUGUGUUUGGGAAGGCCACAAGACUAAAAUUCAGUUUAGGGAGAAAAGAAACCAAACAGACUCUAGAUUACAUCCACUCAAACCUUUGGGGGCCAUCACAAGUUCCAUCUUUAGGUGGAGCUAGGUACUUUGAGUCCUUAAUAGAUGACUACUCUAGGAAGGUUUGGAUCUAUGUGUUGAAACACAAAAGUGAAGCACUAGGGAAGUUCAAAGAGUGGAUUACUCUCAUUGAAAACCAAACUGAUAAGAAAAUAAAGAGGCUCAGAACAGACAAUGGGCUGGAGUAUUGCAGCAAAGAGUUUGAAGAUUUCUCCAAAUAUAAGGGCAUUACAAGGCAUAGAACUGUCACCUACACUCCACAGCAAAAUGGGUUGGCAGAAAGAAUGAACAGAACCAUAAUAGAGAGGGUAAGAUGCAUGCUGCUGAAUGCAAACCUAUCCAAAGGUUUUUGGGCAGAAGCAGUCACCACAACUGCCUACUUGAUAAACAGAAGCCCAUCCUCAGCUCUAGGUUUCAAGACACCUCAGGAGCUUUGGUCUGGAAAGCCACAAGACUUGAGCAAUUUGAGGAUCUUUGGAUGUCCAGCUUAUGCACACUUAAAGCAAGGUAAGCUUGAACCAAGGGCUGUUAAAGGGUAUUUCUUGGGCUAUCCUGAGGGCAUUAAGGGAUACAAGAUAUGGACCCUCAAUGGCAAACCAUCUAGGAUAUUAAUCAGUAGGGAUGUCACCUUUGAUGAAGAGCAAAUGCUUCAGUCAAAGGUAGAAACUGAGAUUGAAGCUGCUGAAAUAGAGGAAGAAGAAAGUGCUGGACAGAUGGUAAAGCAUUCUGAUAGUUGUAAGCCUUCUGAACAACCAUAAGACCAGACCAAGGAAAGAAAACAACCAUCAGAACUGGAAACAUAUCAGCUUGCUAGGGACAGAGAGAGGAGAGCCAUCAAAAUGCCAAAGAAGUAUGGCAUAGCUGACCUCAUUUCCUAUGCACUGACAGUAGCUGAUGAAGUAAAUGGUGGAGAGCCUUUGAGCUAUAAAGAAGCUAUGAGAUGUGAGGAUAAGCUGAAAUGGUAUGCUACAAUGCAGGAUGAAAUAGUCUCUUUAAAGAAGAAUAAUACCUGGAUCUUAGUGGACAGACCAUCUAAUAAGAAACUAGUUGGCAGCAAGUGGAUUUUCAAGUUGAAGGCUGGAGCUUCAGAGAAUGAACCACCAAGACAUAAAGCCAGACUUGUGGCAAAGGGAUUCACACAAAGAGAGGGAGUUGACUUCAAUGAAGUGUUCUCACCUGUAGUCAAAUACAGCUCAAUUAGGUUGCUGUUGGCCUUCUCUGCAUAUCAUGACCUGGAGCUGGAGCAGACGGAUGUUAAAACUGCCUUCUUACAUGGCAGUCUUGAUGAAGAGAUUUUCAUGGCACAGCCAGAAGGGUUCAUUGAGAAAGGAUCAGAGGACAAAGUGUGCUUAUUAAAGAAGAGCUUGUAUGACCUCAAGCAAUCUCCAAGGCAAUGGUAUUUAAAGUUUGAUGAGUUUAUGCUAAGCCAUGGAUACUGCAGAAGCAGAUUUGAUAAUUGUGUGUAUUAUAAAUUCCUGUCAAAUGGUGGUGGCAUCUACUUACUUAUGUAUGUGGAUGACAUGCUUAUUGCAUGUAAACAAAAUGAAAAGUAAAGAAGCUUAAGGUGGAGCUCAGCACUGAAUUUGAAAUGAAGGAUUUGGGUGCAGCUACAAAGAUUCUGGGAAUGCAGAUAAAGAGAGAUAGAGAGUCCAAAGUUUUGUAUCUGUCUUAGGAGGAUUAUGUGAAGAUGGUGUUAACCAGGUUCAAUAUGAAAGAUUCAAAGCCUGUUUCAACACCUCUGUCAGCUCACUUCCAGUUAUCUAAGUCACUGGAACCUACAACUGAUGAUGAUUUUAACUACAUGAGGGAGAUACCUUGCUCCAGUGCAGUUGGCAGCAUCAUGUAUGCCAUGGUGUGCACCAGACCUGACUUGGCUCAUGGAGUUGGAGUCAUCAGUAGGUUUAUAGGGAAUUCAGGGAAGGGUCACUGGAAUGCAGUGAAAUGGGUACUAAGAUAUCUUAAAGGGUCUGCUGUCACUGCCAUCAUGUUUGGUAAAAUAAGUGGAGCAUCACCUGUAGUGGCUGGAUUUGUGGACUCAGACUAUGCAGCAGACAAAGAUAGAAGGAGGUCCAUCACAGGUUUUGUGUUUACUAUAUGUGGAGGUGCUAUAAGUUGGAAAUCUUCCCUGCAGUCAGUGGUUGCCCUCUCAACAACAGAAGCUGAAUAUAUUGCACUUACAGAAGCUGUCAAAGAGGCAAUAUGGCUGAGAGGGCUGGUCUCUGAAUUGGGGUUUAAACAAGAAGUUGUUGUAGUUGGCUGUGAUAGCUUAAGUGCUAUUCAGCUAAGUAAAAAUCCUAAGUAUCAUGAGAGAACUAAACAUAUUGAUGUUAGAAUGCAUUUAAUUAGGGAUGAAAUCAGCAAAGGAGUAGUGAAUGUGGUUAAGGUGCCAUCUGAAGUAAAUCCAGCUGACAUGUUAACCAAGCCUUUGCCAUCAGUCAGGUUCAGGGACUUACUGAAUCUGAUUGGAAGUGUUAGCUUGUGAAACAAGCUUACUGGUGCUGUGUUGCAGUGAAGGGAGAAGCAUAAACAGAUUAGAACUAAGGUGGAGAUUUGUGAAGCCGAAAUUAGUUAUAAUCUGUUAUGGACAUGCUGAGGUGGCAAGUGAGCUGGCAUAAGUGGGAUCCAAAUCAAGAGUUGGUUAGUUAGUUAAAUAACAGACUGACUCAUUGCAAGUGGAAACACAUGUGAGAAGCAUACAUUUAUAAGCUGUCUCUAAGCUAGCUAAACAUACAUAGAAUCAUAGAGAAUUUACAGAGAGGAAACACUCGAUAGGUUUUAAUCUGUAAUUGGUGACUCAUUUGUAAACCAUCUUCUUCUUGUUGUUCAAUAAAGCCUCUGCCCUUGCUGGUUUUACAGCCGUGGAUGUAGGUUCCUUUGUGGAGCUGAACCACGUUAGUUUCUUGGUGUGUUGUGAAUCUUUGAUUGCUUGGUUCUUCUUUGUUCUUUUCUUAAUGUUGUUUCUGUAAACUCUGGUUUUGUGGGUUGCUUAAUUCUUGUUCAAGUAAGCGAAGUAAACACGUUUGCCAUAACACUUGCCUUCUUAGUUUUGAAAGAAAGAUGUGAAGCAAAGCAAACCCAGUGAAAUAUACAGAGAAGCAGAACCAUCAGAGGAAAAACUAAAUAACAGAACUACAAUUGAACCAAACAAAAUCAAAUAAACCGAGGCAACAGAUGCCCUGAAUCAGGCAUCGCUUUUCCUCGAAAGAAAAUAUGUUUGCAUGGGUGGGAACCUAGUAAUUACUCAAGAGUUGAGGAGUUGGAAAGAUUUGGUAUUCAUAUCUUCACAAUUCAUAUGCUUUAAUGCAGAAUCGACAGCUUUAUAUUAUUUUAUUCAACCAAAAACGAUAAAGCAGUAAAACCACAAUAAUCCACCAACUUUUGAUACUUUUAGGAAUUUUUUUAGUCAAAUUAAGUUUCAUGAUAAAACAAGUGGCUCCUCCACACACUUGCACUUGCUUGAAUAUUCGUGCCGACAUUUUCAUAUGUGAUGGUACUUCUUAGCCAGUAGAUAUGUUGAAGUACUACAAAACAGAGUAUUUGAUGAAGUUUUGCUACUUUCGUAUCCCUUUUUUUGUUGCAUAACUAAAUUCUUUAUAAACACAAAUUAGAAAGAUACAAAUAAUACAGUAGCUUGAAUUUAUAUGCUUUUAUGAUUAUUUGAUAAUCUAGUGCUGAUCAUAUGUGAUGAUAAACUUAGCUAGUAGUUUUAUAUUUGUUUUCGUAGUUUCCUUAGCGUUCACAUUUUGAUGAGUAAAUUAAGGAUUUCCAGAUGAAGUACAUAAUUUGAUGAAUGCUAAGGAACUGAAGUUUGAUUAAUUGAAAACAAAAAUAAUAAUGCAGGUAAUUGCGAAAAUGAGCAAUGCAGAAGUAGUCCCUAUAGUAUUUCUAAAUUUUCUCUUGGGGUUCCUUAGUAUUCCUUAAUAUUUUUUAAAAAUGACAUGACGAUCUUUGAGUUGACGAAUCUUGGCCUGCUGCUUAGUACCCUUCCAACAUAUAAAGUACUAGAUGUUUUACUGAGAAAAUGACUAGAUCAUUUACCAAAUUUCUUGCGCAUAUAUACGUAUGCAUACGAGAAAUGGGAAUCAAUGAUUAUAAGACCUUGCAAUGAGACAAUAAUACAUCAUCAAAUCUAAAAAUACACAAGAAAUUCGGGACAUAUAUAUAACAAAAGACCUCUCAUUGAGUCAUACAUAUUGAGAAUAAAAUGUCAAAAUGCAUACAAAGAGCUUAUACAGAAAAUGAAUUUACACAUAUUUAGAAUAAACUGUCUUUGAACUUUCGAUGGUCAAAUAAAGGAAACAGACAGGAUAUUGUUAACAUAUAUGUUUCCAUAAUGUUGAUUUUGAUGAUAACAAACAUGAUUAAGAAUAAUUAAUCUUUUAAGCUCAAAUUAUUUUCUUUUUAAAUAAAUCAUUAUUUUCACAUUUUAAAGGUUUUAUAUUUAAUGGAAAAAUGAUUUUAAGAAAUUGAUUGUUUUUAUUCUUUUUAAAUAAAUCAUUAUUUUCACAUUAUAAAUGUUUCAUAUUUAAUGGAAAAAUGAUUUUAUGCAAUUGGUUGUUUUUCAAGUUUAUGGUUUAUUUGAAAGAGUUUUGAAAACUUUGAAAUCAACAAGUAUUGCUUGAAAUUUUGGAGAAGGAUUUAUUUGAAAAGUAUUCAUAGCAUUUUGGGCUAUAUUAUAAUUUCAUAAAGUUUUGGAAAUAGUAAGUAUUAUUUAGAAAUUCUGAAAUUGGACUUAUUUGCAAAGUUUCAUAACAUUUUGGGCCGUAAUACAGUUUUAUAAAGUUUUGGGGUCAAACGAUAAUUUUAGAAAAUAUGUCACUGUAGCAGUUACUGUAGAAAACGGCGAUCCGACAUCUUGAUAACGGCUCGCCGACAUCUAACAGAAUUGAAGAUUAGUCUCUGGACCUAAACGGCGAACCGACAUGUGUGAUAAACGGCUCGCCGAUAUCAACCAGUAGCCUCUGGACCUAAACGGCGAUCCGACAUAUAGUUAACGGCGAGCCGACAAUUUGAAAAAUCAGCCCAACGGUCAUAUUGACCAGUCAAACGGCGAUCCGACAUCUAGCUAACGGCGAUCCGACAGUGUGCAGAAAGUCAAUAACGGCUAGUUUUCAGCUCUAACUAUAAAUAAGCUCAAUCCAAUUCAAACAAGGAGUGAUCCAAGAGUUAUCAUUGAGCUUGCCAUUGAGCAUAAAAUUAUUAUUGAGCUUUGAACUUGUUUUUGUUUCUUUGAUUCACACAUUGAGCAUUCAUUUGUAAUCAAACACAUUGUGUGAGAGAAAAUUCAUUUGUAAUAUUUAUCCUUGAGAGGUUGUAAGUGUUGGGAUACACUUGGGUUAAGAGAUUGGAGAUAAUCUCUUGUUGUAAAGGUCCAUUGACACCUUGAAAGUCAAUUGUAAGCGUUUGAAGCAUUGGGAGGCUAGCUUAGUGAAAUCCUCAAGCCCGGUGAGCUUGGAGGCGUGGACGUAGGCGGAGAUUGCCGAACCACGUAAAAAUCAUUGUGUUUGUUUUCUCUUCCCUUACUCUUUUAUAUUGUGAUUGAUUUAUUUGUUAUUGCUUUAAAUUAGUUUUGGAUUUUCAUUGUGUUUUGUUUUAGAAUUGAAUAAUUUUUUAAUAUCCCAAUUCACCCCCCCUCUUGGGUUGCAUAACUAGAAUUUCAGAUAUAACACACACUAUCAUAGAUGUAGCGACACGGUGAAGUAAAUCACAUGAAGAUGGAAACGGAAACCCUUCACAACAUAAAAUUUGAAUGGAGGGGGGAAAAAAGGCUUCAUUUCGAAUGUUGUACAGAAGAAGAGUGACUUGAAUCUCUAUCAGUAUCCAGACAUUCUACAAACACAGAGUUGAGAAUUUUAACAAGAAUAACAGACAAAAUAUUGUACUUCUAUACUUGUAACAAAACUAGACCAAAUUAGUUCCCUUUUUGGUUUGUGAAAACUUGAUAUUUUUUAAAAUUCUAUCGAAUGCUUUCAAACAAUAUUUCCAUAAUAUAUUUGUUCAUAGCUAACCUUUGAUGGUUUAAGCAUUUGUUGUAGGCAUGACGGGCUAAUUAGAUUUUUUUUUUUUUAUCCGAUGAAUGAUAUUCAGCUGUUCUUAAUUAUGUGUUAAUAGGCAAGAACAUUUUCUUAAGUACUUUCAUUGCCUUCCAAGUUUCCAAUGAACAAACAGAGCACAAACAAAUUUAACGGAACAGUAACGAUGACAAUAAAUAAUUGGCAAGGAAAGAAAGAAAAAAGUUUGCAUGAUUUCAAGGAAUUAUAAAAUCUGAACACUUUCAACAUGCAAGUGUUGCCCCUCUUAUUGAAAUUUCAUCAUAAAAUGCUUGCAAGGAAUUAUAAAAUUUUAGAGAACAAGGGAACUCUCAAAACAAAAUACUCAAAUUAAAUUAAAUUAGACCAAAAGACGCUCAAUGACGCAAAAUCUGCCCAUAAAAGCCUGAACGAAUCAUGAAAAGUGCAUUCCAUAUUGACAGUAAACCAAGUGACCCAUUCUAAACAAUUGAGAUGAAAUUGUGAAACAACCCACGAGAUCAAAUAAAUAAAAUAAGAAUUAAUUACCAGCUGGGACUUGCUUCUUCAAAUUCGUAACUCCAAGUCAUAAGAAGCCAAUGAAAUUAGUCGUAAUCCACAGAGUAUAACGACGACCCCGCCAACAGCUGAAAAUAAAAUUCUUAUUCAUCAAUUUAAACUAACUUUAUAACAAAUAUCUUAUCGAUAUUUUAUUUAAAAAGAAAAAGCAAAUUUUGUAAAAUUUUUCCAUGGGAGAUAGAGAGUAACACGUAUAUCCGUACCUUCUCAGCAUGUAAUUGUUGUAUGGUCGUGUUAAGAUCAUUACUAGCCCAACGCCGUUGAUUCGAUGUCUCUCCAUACCAGACGUUUACUCUCGGAGGCGUGCUUGAUUCUCCUGUAGUGAAAAUCUUGAAUUUGGGACAACCAAUCACAGAUAGAUCUUGCAAAGAUGGGAAUUUGAAGGUGUAAUUGGCAGAGCAGAAACUUGUGAGGCUGUCUAAAUCACGCAGUUCCAACCUCUUCAAUUUGCGGGAAACAAUCUCUUCUUUUUCAACCCCGUCUUUGUCAUUUAUUACCACCUCUGUCAUUGCUCUGCAUCCGUAUACACAAAGUGAUACGAGUCGCACUAGAGUUUUUGCUGUGGAGGAUGUUACUAAGUGUAUCAAUUUCUUGCAAUCGAAAGCUACAAGUUUUGUUAGGUUCCCAAAAGAUACCGAUGAUGAUUGCAAUAGAAUUAACAGACUUUGACAAUGAUAUACUCUUAGAAUUUCAAGAUACUGAAAAAUGGGGCCAAGUUUGGAGUCUUGUUUGCACAGCUGCUUCAGAUGAUAGUGCCGGUACAGCUCUAAUUCUUUUAUCAUUGCCAACUUCCCCACAUGUUUCUCUAAGCAUCCUUCCAUCGAAAAUACCUCUUCGUGGAAUGAAAAAUAACACAGUACGAGCAUUUCGAGAUUGUGAAAUCUCUCCAGUACAUUCCAGAUUGGAAAACAAGCUGAGUCAUCUCCAACAAUCUCUAGUUGUUUGAGACUGCCAAAAAGGUGUUGUGGGAAAUCGGCCUGCAAAAUCAUCUUCACGUAUUUUCCGCAUAGUGAUAGUUCCGUCAAGUUGGGUAAGAUCUGAUCAUCAUCAAUCAUAAUAACUAAUAAGGUCAAUUGAUGUUCUCUCAAAUGAUUUUGAGUAAUCCAAUCAGACGCAGUGAGUUUAUAGUAUUUGUUUUAUAUUAUAUUUUAAAAAAAAUUGAAUUAUUGAUAAAAUUUAUUAAAUGAUUUUUUAUAUGUUAAUUUUAGAGGUAAAAAAGAAAUUAGGGAAAAAAGGUUGAUUUAUACUGACUCGAAAUUAUUUUAUUGCACAAUAAUAAAUUACUAAUUUAUUUUGUAAGUUCUUCUAUAUGGAAAGACUCAAGAUUCUUUUACAAAUGCUAUACCUAAAAAAGUUUAUAUAAUUAUUAAUCUACCACAUUGAUCCCUUAAUCUAGACUAGCAAAGAUUAUUGUAUAAUAAAAGUUUUUAAUUUAUUAAGCAUUAAUUUAUCGAUACUUUGUCAUAUUUUUCAAAGUUAAAAAUAAGCUAUAGAUAAAAAAUCUAGAAAAUGGCUUCAUACCUUUUCCAGCGGCAAUAAGGGCUGUUGUGCAGGAAUACCAAGUUGAUCAUUCCCAUUAUUCUGCGAUAAAUCUGCAGCGAAUAUCUUUAAUUUGUCACAACGAUACACUAAAAGAAUUUCUAGGGCGGGCCAUUCCGAAGUAUGCAUUCCAGGGUACAAACAUCUAAGUUUUGGUAGAUCAUGGAGUAUCAAAGUGGUGAGCUGUGGAAAGACAAAAUAAGGGAUCACUUGAUCUGCUCUGUUUUCAGAAAUGACCUCCUGUAAAUCCUCACAAGAGCGUAUUUCUAGGCGUUGGAGCUGCUUAAGGCUUCCGAUCAUGGACGCUGAAAAUAUUUAUUUUAAUUUGUGACAACCCCACACAAUCAAUCGUGUUAAACUUUGAAAGUGAGGAAACACGGCCGCUGGAAUUUGAUUGUAGUGCCAAAUCUUGUCGACAUUAAUUUCAGAUAUCUCCAAAGCCUCCAAGUUAGGCAACGCAACCUAAAAAGAUAAGAAUUUCUUGUUGAAAAUUUCUCUUUGAUUACAAAUUAAUGCAAGUCAGAAUCAAUUUCCAACUGACAGCUGAGUAUGCAUUCUAAUUCAUACUACCUGUUAAGAGCUCAAUUAGUGAGUGCGUGAGAUUAUUUUUUUCCCCAUUGUUUUCAUUUUCUUUCAAUUCUCUAAAUGAUUUAAUUAUUUUCCACGUUUGACAUAAGAGAACGCAUGAUAGAAUAAACUCUGUUAUAUAUAUAUAUGAAUAAAAUGUUAGCCUACGCACCUUCUCAUUGAAAAGCAAAGUUGAAAUAUCCAAAGUGAUUUCGCUGGAGCAAUACAUAGUCGUCGAUUCCUCUUGCGACACUUGUCUGUUCGGUGAUGCUGAAGGAGUCUCCACCUCACGGCAAAAACUUGUAACCUCUGGAAGAUUCCCCAGACUCAAAGAUCUUAAUUGAGCAAACUCUAUCUUCUCAAUUGCAUUAUCAACUUCUUCCCCAACUGCAAAAAUCUCUUUCAUCUUGCUGCAAUUAAUAACUGCAAUCCUCUCAAGUCUUGGAAGGCAUUUUGUAGUAGAGAGCCAAAAGAUAUUACUCAACUUAUUACAACUAUAAGCUUCUAUGGUUUUGAGUUUGUUGAAAGACUCUACUUUGAGCCGAUCAAUACAUAUCCUCUCCAUGUUGAUCAAAUUGUGAAGGGCCAGUGACUCCAAAAGAGGAAAGGCAUCACAAGCGACCAUCUCCCUUGAAUCGACGAUACAAAAGAAGUCAGGAUUAUUUUGAAUGCAGAGGACCUUCAAUUGUGAAAAGCCCUCCGUGUCCAAAUUGAAAAGAACAUUCUCGAUGCCUUGCAGCUUGUCCAACCGUAAGUAUUCAACGUUAUUGAUGCCCUGCAAUUUCAUGGAGCAAAUGUCCAUAAAAUCAAGCUUGAGCUCCAAUUCUCUUGAAAUCUUGCGAUCACUGUUGAUCGAAAAGCGCGGCCGACUUUUAAACCAAUGUUGUCCAACACUCAUGGGAUGCAUGAAUAACCCAUUUCCAAUAGAUAUUUUGAACCUUUCGAGCUUUCUGGCCAAAAAACCUUCUGGUAAAAUAUUGUCACUUUUAACGUCAAUUUCUAGAGAGGUUAGCCGAGGUAAAUGCAUCAAUUCGUCAAGGCUAGCAUUACUUCUUUUGCUGUUGGCUCUUUCAACCUCCCAUUCAAUGAAGCAAUUACCCAUAUACAAUUCUUCUAAUCGGAUUAAGCUUGAUAUGACAUUUGGGGCAAUAACUUUCAGACGGAAACAGUCUGUUAAAUCUAACAGCCUUAGCUUAGUCAGUUGACCCAGUGCUUUAGGCAACUCUACAAUAUCAGAUUGCAAAAAGCUAAGGAUUUCUAGAUUUUCCAACUUUCCAAUAAUGGCUAUGUCUAUGCCUCCGAAAAUGCUUUGAUUAAGACAAAGUGUCUGAAGAUUUACUAGAAGACCAAUUGAAGAUGGCAAUGACAAUAACCGCAUUCUAGUCAAAUCCAAAACCCGAAGCUUUUUCGUCCUUUUGAAUAAGUUCUCAGGAAUAUUAGGCACAGCAAAAGAGUUCUUGGGAGACAUGACUAGAAGUUCAAGUUGUAGAGAUUCGGACCCUUCAGGAAUGUCAUUAACAAUACUAUCUUUAAAAGAAAUUGCAAAAUAUUUUUUAAUUCAUCUGCAUUUGGCCAUUUCCAAUCAUCCUCAUUUCUCACCACAAAUGCAUUCAUGUCACGAAAUGCAAUUGAAAUGGCAACAUCGUGAACAACAUCGUGCAUAGAAAUGUAUUUACUGCCACCAUCCUCAAGCAACAAACAAGAGUCUCUUAGUUGACUGACCCAUGCAUCUAAUUUGUUAUGUGCAUCUUCUAGCUUAUGGACACUUUUAAAUACACCCAAGCCCAUGCUGUAUUUGAACAAAUCCAUAAUUGGUGCUGGCGUAAUAAGACUACACAGUAAAAAAGUUUUCUUGAGUUGCUCACCUCUUAAGUACUUGUAACUCAGCUCAAUUGUUGAGUAUGCCUCUGCUCGUACUCCUUCGUCGAAGCUUGCCUCUGAAGGCGUUUGGAGUUCUUGCAAGGCAUUCUUCCACACAGGCAGCUCUUUUUUUCUCAGUGCCUUUGCUACUGUGGUUAGGGCAAUAGGCAAACCUCCGCAUGCCUUGGCUACACUGGUUGCUGUAGAUUUUAACUAACGAUUUUCAACAUAAUCACCAGCCAUUAUCUUGAACAAUCUCCAGGCUUCUUGUUCAUUUAAAAUGCCAAUCGAGAAGUUUUUUUCAGAUCCCAUCCUUAACAGCACAUCAAGAUCUCUUGUUGUGAAUAAUAAUUUACAUCCUCUGUGCUCAACUCCAAAAGGAAUGCCAAUAGUCCCCAAAUCAAGAGGUUUCCAGAUGUUAUCGAGAAUCACAAGGAUCUUCUUCUCAUUCUUCAAUCUUUCAUAUAGUCUACUAGCUCUUCUAGACUCAGCUUCCUCGGACAACUCUAGGCCUAACGUUUCCGCAAUUUCCUCUUGGAUCUUUCUUAUGUCUGGACAUUGGGUAACCUCCGAAAAAACCACCAUAUCGUAAAGCUUGUCUUCAAUGGCUCGCCUUGCAAACUCCUUCACCAGUGUCGUCUUUCCAAUGCCGCCCAUGCCGUAGACCCCAAUGAUGCUGACAUCAACAUCGAUCAAUGCAUUUUGUAUGGCCUUCAAAGUAGAAAGUCUUGAAUCGAAGGCUUCGUAGCCUUUGUGAGACUUGAGCCAUAUAUCCUCCGGAAUGGUACGGUAGGAAAUUCCAUCAACAAAUCUCCCAGCUUCUUCUCGGAGUUUAACAAUGGCCUUCACCUUUGUUUCUGCUUUCUUGCUAAGCUGAUAGCGGGUCUUCAAAUUAGGACACAAGCCCAUGAGACAUCGUUUAUUUGUUGUCUUCUCAUCAUCAAUGAAUUUGGCUGCCUGCUCAAUGAUGAUGUUCGCACUAACCAGCCACUUCUCAACCUUCUCUUCAAUAUUUUCCCCUUUUCUUUCAGCCUCAGAAACCCUGUGCUGAAUGCUUCUCCUUUCAUCCUUGAGCUUGUCUAUUUCUGCCUUGAGUUUCUCAACGUUGGCUUUAUAGUUACGCAAAUAACCAAGUCGGCGUUCUGUUGGAGGAGCCAAGCAUUUCACAAAUUCUAAAACACUAGUAACAAUGCUUUCCACCAUCCUGGAUCCCUUUUCUUUUUUUCGAAGUUUCUGACAAGAAAAUAAACAAUGAGCGAAACACAGAGAGAGUGAGGAGAAAAAGAAAAAGAAACGCAAAGAUGGACAGUUUAUCUGGUUGUGGAAGCGGAGAAAUGAAAGAAAUCGUAAUAGCUGUUAUGGAUAUGCUGAGAAGAUGGAAACAAGGAAAAGGUUUCUAGUUCAACAACUGGAUUGCGAGCGGAGAGACUAAUUAACAAAGACUGGAGAUUACAACAAAGCAGAUGCCAAGAGAAAAGUUGAUCCAGUGAAAUUCAAGAGAGUUGACAGCAAAAGGGAGCAAAGAUUAAUAACAAAACAGCAGUGACUACAAUGAACAAAAGCAUAUGCGUUUCUUGAUUGAGAAUGAGUGCAAAGAAUGAUCCUUAAUCAAUAAAAUAUCUGACAAUAUCUUCACCGAAAGUUUGAGACAUGUGAUCCUUAUUCCACUGCGUCAAUUACACUCCAGACCAAUGCUGCCGUCAUUAUCGAACGGUCGAUAUCCAACACUUGCACGAAGAUUCCAAGAAGUUGCGUGGCUGCCGACUUUUAGAUGCAAAGCCUCAUUGUGUCGAUGUUACACAAAAGAGAGCAGUCCGGGUAAUUGCCAAAACUUAGAACUAAACAGUAGCUUAGUCAGAAAAUCAAACGCCAGUACCGGUAAAAUGACCGAUAAAAAUAUAAAGAAAUAAAAAUUUUAAAGUUUUACUUCAUUGCUUUUUUAAUCUUAUUACUAUUUCUCCUUGCACUUCUAAAGAAACCAAAGCUUUAAAAGAAAUCAGCCAAAUCAAGAAGAUUGAAAAGUAAAUCUAUGGUUUUAGAUUUUUAUUUUAUUUUUUUAGAUAAUAGAUAUUGUUGAGUAAUGAAAAGUACCAGCUCCGCUAUCCCCUCUUUCCUCACCCUGGGGCGAAUUUCCCCAUAUGAAUGGCACGAGCAGAUUCCUGGUAAUACAUCCUGUACAAGGCAUAUGCCGACUAGAAACGAAUACCGACCAGAUGUACAUACCGACCAAGUACUCAUUAUUCAAAGAAAGAGGACACGAUCUCACAAACUCACGACAAUUUUGUCAUGCCCCAAACUGUUGGGGAGAACAUGACGCCCCACGUUUACCCACGAUUCGGUGGUUGGAAACCCAUGAAGGUCCGUCAUCACCCGAAAAUGAGGGGCAUGAAUAAUACUCAGAAAACAUGGGAUGAUUGCCUAUAAAAGGCCAAGAAAUCGAUGAAAAAGGGGAGACAAAAAUUGAGAGUAAAGGGGAAACUCUGUCAAAUUAUAAUCAGAAAUUCAUAUAUCAAAAUCCUUGAUACAUUUGGUAUUGAGAAUAUUGCAACUAAUAUGUACAACACAAAUCAUUCACUUUUCUCGUAAACACCUUGUACUAAAUUAAGUAUUGAAGGGUUUAUGCCCGAAAAACCACUGGCGUCUCUGAUUUGUUUCUGUGAACGCAGGCCUGGAAGGAAGAAGACGGGUGAUUUGGGUCCCAGAAGCUCGGGAAAUUGCUGAAGCUGAUGGAUCGCAGCCUCCGUUCCUUUGUCGAUACAAGCGUUGGUGAACCAAUCUAGUCGGUCCAAAGGCGACCAGAUUUUAGCAUCAACAUAUAUUAUUUUGAUGAAUUUUUUAAUAUGAGAAUAAUGUUAGGAAUUCCAAUAGUAAAAUUCUAAUUGAGACCCAAUUGUUAUGUGUUAUUUUUUUAUUGAAUAAUGAAUUUCACAACUAAUAAAAUUUAUAUUUCCAUCAUCUAAUAAAUGACUACCAUAUCAGUUGGGACUCAAUUAUUAGGAUCCUUAACAUUGCUCUUAGUAUUAAAUUGGACAUCUUAGCUAAAUCAGAUUAAAAAUCAAAUUAGAUUUUAGGCUUUUAUUCAACAUCUCUUUUUUUUUUUUGGUCUAUUGGAAGUGAACGAAAUAAAAAUACAACAGGGUCAACGACUGGGCAAUUGGUAGUCAAGUAGAAGCAAAUCAAGGCUAAAUGGGAAAGAGAAACGAUGUUUGUGCAAAACAAGGAGAAAAUCCAUGUAACAGAAGAGAAUCAAAGUGCUUUUGAGAUCAAAAAUUGAAACAAGAAAAAGGUCGCUUGAUCCAAUGAAAAUGCAAAGAGUUGAUGGCAAAAGGGAACAAAGUUAAAUACGAAAACAGCUAGCGCUAGCAGCGACCACAAUAAACAGAAAAUUUGAGAUGGAUUUACAAUAUUUCUGCCUUUCUUUAUGCUUUAACAAAUAUUGCUCUAUCAAAAAAAAUAUUGAACAUUUUUAUUAUUGGAGUCACAAAAGACCUACACAAUAUAGCAAGUGACUAGGAAUAAAUAAGAAUAUAUAACUCUCUCUCUAAUUCUCACUCUGGCUUUUAAUUGUCACUCAAAACCCAGAAUUCAUCCUUAAAGUGUAGGCAAAUCAGAGAUGACAUCGUUUGGUUGUCAUACGUGCCUUUUAGUUUUCGGAUGACAUGGCGUACACUUCUUCUGUAAACCCAACACGACAUGUCGUACUCUUUUGUUUUGAGAUCCUAUUUCAAACUUUUCAUGCUAUGAAUGAAAGAUAAACUCCAAUCAUCAAAAUAUUUAGUGUUUGUUUGGUAAUGUAAUGUCAUUGUUGUUGUGAAUUGAAAUUAUUUCUGUAAAAUAAAAGGAUUUGGGUCAUUGUUUGUUAUUUUCUGACAAUAUUUAUUAAAUAUUAAAAAAUAAAUUUAUAUUUAUUAGUUAUUAAAAAUAAAUAAACAAACAAAAAUAAAAGGAAAAGUUUAUACAUUACGUAAAAUAAUGACAAUAUCAAUAUUUCGCACUCUAUAAUUGAGUGAUGUGUUGUCCAACUAGCAUACUUUGGUCCCAAACGGAGACUUAAAUAUCAAAGUCCAAAGUUAUUGUGAUGAUGACUUAUAAUCGCCAAACUUGACAUACGGGUAAUCAUGCAUUAUAAGGUGCUGAUUUCUUCCGAUCGGAACCUUAUUUUUCAUUUACAAAUAAAUAAAUGAUGUGACUUCACGGUUGGCGGGGUCCUUUGUGUCAUUUGGGCAUUUCACUAAAUGAUUGAUUGUAGCAGGAAGAUUCUUGGAAGUUGCCAUUUGCCAAUGCUACUAACAUUUUCAAACUUGGAAACCCCUUCAAUCAAUCUUAUAGUGUUAGGCUCUGGUAGCUUGGUUUGAUUAUGACAUAUGAUUAUUUGAUAAUAAAACUAGAGGAUGUAUUAAUAUAAAUCUUGUUUAUUGGUGUUGAAAUUAAUUAUCUCAUUGAUAAUAGUAUAAAAAGUUAAUUACUAAGAAACACAAAGCAGUAGUUAAUUGGUGUCAUAUUAUUGAGAUUCUAGGAUAUAAUUUUAUAUCAUAACUUUGUAAGUGUAUAAUUACUCAUUAAAUUAACAAAAUUAUUUAAAAAUAUUUAGUUGGAAAAAAUAAAUUAUAGCCUUUUUAUUUCAAAUAAUCUAUAAGUUAACUCAAAACAUAAUCAAGCUGAGAAUUAAAAUAAUGCUACUGUAUGAGAGGAUUUUUAUUUUUUCCCAAAGUUUCACUAGGAAAUUAUUGAUAUAUAGCUUUAUUCGGAUCAUCUCAGUUCAAACCACAAAUAAUUGAAAGACUAAACUAAAUAGACCAGCCAACAACCUUGUACAAGAGAGUUCAAAAAUUAAGGUCAUGGUAUUGAGGUGUUCUUUCUUGAAAAGUACAGCAUAGUAAUAAAAUAAAAACUAUUAGUCUUUGGUAAGAUAUAAUUUUUAAAUAAUAAUUUUCACAAAAAUACAAAAAUAUUUAUAAAGUACUUCUAUAGUGAGGAGACCCUCACUUUGUUAAAGUGAAAAUAUCAAUAAUAAACAAAAGAAAUAUAUUUUAGCACAUUAAAAACUGUAUUUUUUUUAUCUAUUGGCGUAUUAAAAUAUGUGUUAUUUAGUUUGUUAAUGAUAUCACCACUUUGUUAAAAUGAGGAUGUCCGUCUCUAGAGAAUCAUUAUAUAUAUAUAUAUAUAUAUAUAUAUAUGUAUGUAUAUAUAUAAAGUGUUUCUCUCCAAGGCCUAGACUUUAUUAAAAUUUAAGAAAGCAAAUAUAUUUUAUAUGGUAUAAUAGUGUAAUAACAUCACACUAUUAUAUCAUAUAGAGUAAUAGUUUUUCGAACUUUAAUAAAGCUUAAGAUUAUAGAAUGAAUGAUUUAUACACAUUAUAAUUGUUUUUAAUCAUAAAGUGGAGGAUAAAAUUAAUAUAUUUUUUAAAUUAUAAUAAAUAUUUAUCAAAUAAUUUAACAUUGUAGUAUCUCCUAAUUAGUAUAGUAAAUACGACCUAGGAGGUACAUUAAAGUAGUUGUUAAUAAUAAAUGAUAUAUGCAGCUCCAAUCAUCAUUGUACGAUGAGUAAUUAUAUAUGAAUCUUCACUUAUAGGUGAAAGCACUUUGUCAGACAUCAAAUCUCUGCAAAAGAUACCCGUCUUUAUUCGCUCAUUAUCCACACACACACAUAUUUAAUCUCACCUUUUUUUUUCCAAUCAAACCGAACAGAAAAAGAAAAAAAAUAAUUUUUCUUUUAAAAAAAAUGUAAAUUGAGGUUAUGUGAUUGUAAAGGCUGAUGUUACAAUACCUGCAUGUAUCAGAUACAUGCAGGUUUUAUGGCCGUUGGAUUCAUUGUAUUGAAUCCAACGGCCAUAAAUGAAUUUAAACAAUAAAUAAUUAAAAAAAUAAAAAAAACUUGAAACCUAUAGAAUCGGUCUCAACACACACCAAACCCCCUCAACACACAUCAAACCCAGGCAAAUAUAUUUGUUGGGAAAAAAAACAAACAAAAGGCUCUCACCUCACGCGGGAAAUCAAUUUGUUCUUCCCUCCAUCCUCACUCACGGCUCACGACUCCUGAUAACUCUAUGAAAUGAGAGUUAUCAUAGCACUUUUAGACUUAAAUUAAUAUUACUUAGAGAGUAAAUGAUGUGAUUCUAUUGCAUUUUUGUUACAUUUUGCAUAAAUAUUCAUUUGAGUUUAGUCUUAAUGAGUUUUGCUUGAUUUAAAGUAAUUUGUGCUCAAAUUGUGUACAUAAUUGUAGGUUUCCAGAAGCUUAUAAUUCAUGGAAGGAAUGCUAUGCAAUAGGCUUGCAAAAUAAAAUCCACUGGAAAAAUAAAUUUAUCCACCUUCACCAACACAUCUUCAAUCUUCCCUUCUGGAUAUGCAUGAGAUCUGUCAGCAAGUUGUAAAGUCACUGUUGUUGGUCUACAUUCACCAACUCCCAAUUGCUUAAACACUGAUAAAGGCAUGAGAUUGAUGCUAGCCCCUAAAUCACAAAGUGCUUUGCCACUGUAUUCAGUGCCUAUGGAGCAUGGAAUUGUGAAGCUUCCUAGAUCCUUCAUCUUCUGUGGUAUCUUACUCUGAAGCAUUCGGCUGCACUCUUGUGUUAAAGCAACUGUCUCAAAUUCUCCAAGUCUUCUUUUCUUUGACAAGAUAUCCUUAAAAAUUUUUGCAUAAUUUGGCAUUUGCUCUAGAGCUUCCACAAAAGGGAUAUUGAUAUGUAGCUGUUUCAGCACCCCCAAAAUUUUGCUGAACUGCUUGUCUUAUUGUUGCUUCUGAAAUCUUUGAGGGAAUGGUGGUGGGUGUCUAAACUGCUGUGCUGCAGCAGGUUGUACAGACUGCUUCUCUUUUGCUCUACUCAGGUCUGUUACUAUUGGUGUUGUAGCUUCCUUACCACCAGAUGCUGGAUCAUAACUUUCUGUAAAUGUUGUAGCAGAGCUGUGUUGAUUUGCAUUCCGAAAAGUGGAAGACUGUGACUCAUUCUCUACUUGAGUGUCUUCUUGGCCUUUGUUGGACUCAAUUUUUCUUUUUGGUACACCAACGGGACUAUGAACAUCUUUUCCAGAUCUCAAGUUAAUUACUUUGCAGUGCUCUUUCCCUUCUCUUCUUGGGUCCUCUGUAUUAAUGGGUAAACUACCGUGAGGUCUGUUGCUUACUGCUGUAGCAAGCUGUCCAAUUUGAUUUUCCAAGUUUUUCAAAGAUGCAGCAUGACUUUGGACAACCACUUCAUUUUUCACAAUAUAAUCCUUAAUCAAACCUUCAAGGGAGCUAAGUUGAUCAUUGUUGAUACUUCUUUGCUCUUGAUUUUACUGAUAAAAUCCAGGUGGUUGAGCAAGUCUGUUAUGUCCACUGGGUGCUGCAGUAGUCUGGUUCUGAUAACUCCAUGAAAAGUUCGGGUGCUGUCUCCAUCCAGGGUUGUAAGUGUUUGAAUAUGGAUUGUCCUGGUUCUGUCUAUUAAAGCUGCCCAUAUAGUUAACCAAAGCUGGAUUACCAGGACAAUUGUCAAAUAAAUGCCCUUCUCCACAAUAAACGCAAGACAUAUCAGAAAUUUGGUUAACAGUUGCUGGAGCAGUAGUCAUAGCCUUUACCAUCCUUGUUAAUGAAGUUACUUGGGCUGACAAUGUUCUCAAGGCAUCUACGUUAUGAACUCCUGCAGUUCCUCUUGCUGCAGCUUGUUUGGUUGAUGGCCACUGAUAAUUGUUGUUAGCAAUCCUCUCUAAAAUUUCAUAAGCCUCAUUGUAAGACUUAGAUAACAAAGCCCCAUUUGCUGAAGCGUCCACCAUCAAUCUAGUGCUUGGGUUGAGACCAUUAUAGAAAGUUUCCAACUGUAUGCAUCAAGGAAUACCAUGAUGAGGACAUCUCCUAAGUAACUCCUUAAAUCUUUCCCAUGCAUCACCAAGCUCUCAUCUUCAAGUUGAUGGAAAGAUGUGAUCUCGUUCCUCAACUUUGCAUUCUUGGUUGGCGGGAAGUAUUUCAACAAAAAUUUGUCAGCCAAGUCACUUCAUGUAGUGAUAGAAUCUGGUGGUAGAGAAUUCAACCAUGCUCUUGCUCGAUCUCUCAAAGAAAACGGGAAAAGUCCGAGUCUCAAUGCUUCCUGCGAUGCUCCAGCAAUCUUGAAAGCAUCACUUACUUCCAAAAAUAACUUAAGGUGUAAAUGAGGAUCUUCGGAUGGCAAACCAUUAAAUUGCCCCACUGUUUAAAGCAUCUGAAACAUCACGAGUUUGAGUUCAAAAUUGUCAGCUUGAACGUCGGGUCUAACUAUUCCUGGAUGUAUGGCUUGAGGAGUCAACACUGCGUAAUCUCAAAUGGCUCUAUCUCUAUCGUUCACCAUGUGAAUAAUGUCGUUGUUCCCUGGUGGAUAAAUUUAUUUUUCCAGUGGAUUUUAUUAUGCUAGACUUUGAGGCAGACAAAGAAGUGCCAAUCAUUCUAGGGAGACCUUUCUUAGCUACGGGAAAGACUUUAAUUGAUGUUCAAAAAGGAGAAUUAACCAUGAGGGUGAAUAACCAGCAAGUUACAUUCAAUGUGCUGGAUGCCAUGAAGAGUCCCGAUGAGAUUGAAGAUUUUAAUUUUAUCAGUGCUGUGGACUUUGUUGUAACUGAGAGAUUACACAGUUGCUGCUGUAAGGAAGAAAUCAAUGCUGUAACAAUUGAAGGACUUGAUGAUGAAGAUCAUGGAGCAGCUAACAUAGCAUGGUUAAGGAAGAAGCAACCAUUCAGAAUUGACGAGCAAAUCCAGCAAAGGGAACUCACUCCAGAACAACAAGAAUUCAAGGUUAAUGGGCCAAGAGUAAAGCACUAUAUGGGAGAUGGUGUGAAUAGCCUAAAGAGGGAUCGGUUCUUGAAAGAUCUAGGUUGAGGAAACAAGAAAGGUCAGGCUGAAGGACCUAAAAUCAAGCGCUAAUUGGGAGGCAACCCAAUAAGGGAAGUUGUUUCAAGUUUUUAUGGCAUUGAAUUUAGCUUUUAAAUUAUUUAAUUUGUCUUUUUGUUAUUUUAAGUGUGCAUCUAAUUUUUUAUGUCUUUAUGUUACAUUGUAGCAAGUACAAAAAAAAAUGUGGGCAAAAAGAGCAGGAGGGAAUUGCUGCAGCAUCACUUACAGCAUGACAUAUAACAGAAGAUUCUCAAACAAUAGAGACAUUUCUUGCUUUUGCAGCAGCAAAUGGAUUGAUCAUAUUUUAUGAUAAGGAGCGUUUGAGAAGUGGAUCAAAGAAGAAGUGACCCUUUACAGCCUGUGCUACAGCAGUGCUUCCAGCAACAGGGCAGUGCCCCUAACCGCUAGUUUAUUUUACUUCUUGCUGUAAAACUUUUCUUUCAUUUAGUUUUAAUUUUCUAAUUCAUUUUGCAUGUCAUUUUAUUUAGUGUAUGCAUGUCUGGUUUAUGUGGUUUUGUUUUGUGUGCUUGUGAGGACACAGCACCACUCAAGUUUGGGGGGGUUGUGUUUAUGAGUGCAUGUGUUUAUGCUUGUGUUGUGUGAAGCUCUGUUAUCUAAUAUUUGUGUAUGGAUUUGAAAACCUAAUGAAGAUAAAUUGAGUGUUAUUCAGUAUUUAUGAGAAAGCCAAGUAGAGAUAGUUAUAGAUGGAGGUUGAACUUCAGUCCCGACACUUAGACUUUGGUUGAGUUUUAUGAGAAUGUUGUAGCAGAGCCAUGAAAACCAAAAAAAGAGUAGAAAAUAUCUCAAGUUUGGGGAAAACUUUUUGUUGGACUGUGCUUGUUAUGAAAUAAAUUCUGCUCCAAUGGUUUAAGUUGCUGAGUAACCAGGGUUGAGUAUGCACCCCAUAUGCAAACUUGAGUCCAAAGGCAACACGAGCUACGAGCAGUGCUGCAGCAAUUAUAAAAAAAAGAGAAAUGAUGAUAAAGUGGUCCGCUACCUAGAAUACUGAGUAACCUGGUCUGUUCAUGAGCCCCAUGUUCAGCCUUGAGUCAAAGGCGUCCAAAGGUAUGACCUAGAUAUAACAUCCUGAAUGCGUUGCUGUAGCAACUCUGACAUGUACUUUGAAUGAGUAAUUGGGUGUCGUCAUUACAAGUGAUAGGCAUUCACAUGAAAGCUCAAUGUUGCAUUGAAGGGUUUAACUGAAAAAAAAAUUAUUAUUGUUGUAGCACAGUUUGAAUAUAAUUGUGAGUUCUGAUCCCCCAUAUGUGAAUAUAUUUGUGUUCUACCUCUGAAUUGUAUACAAAGUUUGUGCAAUGCUGUAGCACCUCUGGAAUUUGAUCAAAGUGGAACAUACACACUUUGGACAGAAUGAACCCUAAGUCUAGAACUGAACUACUAUGGCUAUUUUGUAUGAUUAAGAGUGUGAUCUGAGGGUGGAAGAAUCCUUGCAAAUUUGAUGACAGAGCUAAGUUAUUUGUUGCAUGAUUGUGUGAUUGAAGUGUGAAUGUUGUUGUCAUUACUUGAGGACAAGUAAUGGUUUAAGUUUGGGGGUGUAAUAACUCUAUGAAAUGAGAGUUAUCAUAGCACUUUUAGACUUAAAUUAAUAUUACUUAGAGAGUAAAUGAUGUGAUUCUAUUGCAUUUUUGUUACAUUUUGCAUAAAUAUUCAUUUUAGUUUAGUCUUAAUGAGUUUUGCUUGAUUUAAAGUAAUUUGUGCUCAAAUUGUGUGCAUAAUUGUAGGUUUCCAGAAGCUUAUAAUUCAUGGAAGGAAUGUUAUGCAAUAAGCUUACAAAAAUGAGGAAGAACAUGGCUAUAAAAGAAUUGAAACAAAUCUGGAACAGUUCAGUUGCUGUAGCCAUUGCUGUAGAAAUCUUGGAACAACGACAGAAAAAAUUCCGUGCGGGAUACUUGCAGAAUUGCGAUCUGCAGUUUCCUAAUCUGACUUAUGCGCGACAAAGGCUUCCGUUUACCCUAAUUUUCAACUAUAAAAGAAGCACACAUCAUAAGGAAAAGGGAGAGCCGUCACCCAAGGAGAAAAACACAAAGAAACAUAAGAAAUACAAGAUUCAAGAGAGAGAUUAAGGGCUGCACAAGAGGAGAAUUUGCAGAAAUCAAUUGGGAGCUCAAUCCUUCUUAUUCUUCUCUUGUUUUCUCGUUUUCUAUUUAUUUAUGGGGAUGUGUUUCAUGGCUGAAACUUUGUUCUUUAUUUUUCUUUUGCAAACCACGAACUAAAUUUAUUUGUGGUUGAGUGAUAAACAAUCUUGAUGGUUUAUUGACUGAAUUUAUGUGUUGCUACAUGUUUGCUGUAGCAGUUUGUUUUGAUAGUAUAUAUUUUUAUUCAUUAUUUUGGUUGAUCACCCAUUUAAUGAUACAAGUUAGGAGAGAGCCGUAAAAGGGCCUAUCUUAGUGGAGCAUAUCAUAACAAUACUUGAUCUUAAAUUGAGUUUCCCGGAUUGAGUUUUACUUGAGUCCCAAAAAGGCCAUGCUUGAUUUAAGAUUAGUGAUGAACUAGACAUAAGGAUUCACCUUGUAGGGUAAAUAGAACCUAAGCAUGUAAUGCUAUAUCUUAUGUUGGCAUAGCAACUGAUCACUGUUAGGUUGCAUAUAGAUAUAAGAUAUCCAACAUGCGACGGUUGAGGAUAUAUAAGGAUUCUGCCCAGUGCUGUAGCAAAUACUAUAGCAACCGAGCCAACCAUUAGAAAAUAGUCAAGACCAUUAGGAGAGUUUAUUCACUCAACUACUAUAUACUCCCAUUAGUUUUAUCCUUGAGCUUGACGUAAUAGUUUACUUUAUUGCAUUUAUUUAUUGCGUUUUUAUUUUAAUUAGUACAUUAGUUUCAUUAAUUGUUUAUUUUAUUUUAGCACAAAAUCUGCACUGUUAAGAUUGUUGUAGCAAAUCUAAUAACAUCAAUCCCUGUGGAGACGAUCUUGAAUACUCAUCACUUUAUUACUUGUUGUGUACACUUGCACAUUGACACCAAUAGCAUUAGUAUUUAUACACCAACAACUCCUUCUCCCUCUCCCUCUUCACUCACCCUCACGGCUCCCUCUCUCUCUCCCUCUCCCUCUUCACUCACCCUCACGGCUCCCUCUCUCUCUCCCUCUCCCUCUUCACUCAUCCUCACGGCUCCCUCUCCCUCUCCCUCUCCCUCUCCCUCAUCAUUCACUCUCUCGCCUGCAGUCCCUCACGAGACGCCUCAUCAGGGCCACCAACGACGGCGCUAUCCGGCGAAGACACGCGGAGGUUGAUCUCUAUUGCCGGCAAGGAUUUGCAGUUACAGAUUCACAACCCACUCAGUUCCCGUCAGCCCAUUCUGAGUCGUUGUCAGGCCAUAUCUGCAGUCCACCUACGGUAAUGAGACAUGGGUAUCAUGGGUUUUGUUUGGUAUCAUUAUAUUUGUUGAUUGAGUGUUUUAUUUGAUGUGGUAAGAAGAAUCAUUCGCCUCUCAUAUUUAAAAAUUACAGGUUUUAUCAUGUAAGUUUAUUAGUGCGUAUUGUUGGGUAAUGUAAUAAUUUACAUGGAUUUAGAAUUCGCGGAGAGAGUUUGAUGACAUUAUCUGUGUGUAUUGACAGGGGACAUAAUUUUUAGUGUACACAGUAUAAUGGGUAAGCGUAAGGCCAAUGUCGCAGAUGACAUUAAUAUUCAGUCUGAAGCUGGAUCCUCCGAGGCCGGGCAAGCAUUCGUACAUAUACUACUUGUAAGAAACUAAUUCAUUGUUGAAUUUUAUUAUUGACAUUCUGUAGUCAUUUCAGUUUAAUAGUGCAAUAAUUUUAAUUGACAUAUAAAGAACUGAUAUUUCAUAUUAUUUUUCUAUCUACAGCAAGAUAGAAUCCCAAAAGUUAAAGGAGGAAUGUGUGAAGGUGGAUGAAACGGUUUGUAGACAACUUUUCUAUGUUGCAACCUACUAACUAAUAGUUUGGUUAAUGAUUGGCCAAUGAAUAUAUAUAUUUUUUUAGUGUAGGUUAAGGGGCGUAUACGUGACAAAUGGUUGAAACUCAGCGCGAAAGAUAAAGUCGAAUUCAUCAACAGUUAUAAUGAAAAGGCUGAAAUGAACUCGAGAUUGGCCAGUGGAUUGUUAAGUGAACCGAUUCCAACAGUGGAGAACAAUUCUGAUAAGGGUAAUCACCUAUCUCGAUGUAGUGUUUUACGGUUCUCCAACAUUGUUUCUUCGUUAUCUAUUGAACAGCAAGAUGCCGUGAGAGAAAUUGGUUUCGGAAGCUUGUUAGGUUUAAAAUGUGGGCGACUUAGGCAAGAUUUAUGUAGAUUGUUAGUUAAGCAAUGUAACGUAGAUAAGCGGUCGAUAACAGUCCAUGGAAUGGAAUACAAGCUUACUCCGAAAACUUUUACAAGCGUGAUGGGUGUUGGUGACGGAGGAACACCGAUUGUGCUUGGUGGUGAAGAUAGUGAAAUUACUGACUUACGAGCCAAGUAUUGCUCAGGAAAGAAAGGCAUCCCAAUAGGUAGUUUAGAUGAAAAAUUAAAGACAAAUAGUUGUGCAGAUGAAGAUUUCUGUAUUCUAUUUAGUCUAUUUGUGAUUGAAACUAUUUUGUGUCCAACUACAGCUACAUACAUCAACCCAUCAUACCUUUAUGCUUUAAAAGACGUGAAUAACAUUCGCGAUAAAAAUUGGGCCAACUGGUCUUUCAAUUUUUUAUGGGAAGAAGUUUCAAAGUUCAACGAAAAUAAAAUUUCCUCGAUGAGCGGAUGCGUUAUAUUUUUAAUGGUAUGAUUUAUUUAGUAAUUUGUAUUCUCGUUAGUUAAACGAUUAUGGUAUUAUCGAUCAUUAUUUCCGUAUUAACUAAUUUGUUGUUGUUUGCAACUGUUCUACAUGUCAUCAACUAAGUUUCAACUUUCUUCUGUUGCGGAGAAUGGAUGUCCUCUUAGUGCAUGGAUUGAUAGUGAAAUAAAAAGAUUCCUCAAGUGGUGACAAAAGUAUGGUGACUUUGAGAGCAAUGCGGUUUGUUCCCUUCCAUAAUUGUAUAGUGUUUUGUAGUUAUGUUAUUAAAUUGAAUAGAUUAUUUAUGGAUAUUUGUAGUUAAUGCAGGUUUCGAUGCGAGAAAUCAGUUGCAGCUCAUCAGGUGCUCAAAGUGAAGAACAAAUUGACGAUGUUGACACUGCAAGGCAGCAUCCAUUUCAUGCUAUAUUAGCAGUAAUGGAUAGAAUGGAGGAACAUAUGAGAAGAAAUAAUGAUUUACUAUAAAGAAUGGGCUUGAAAAUGGAUUCUCUUACUGAAAAGGUUGAAAAGUUGGAACGAGCAUAUUUUCGUCAAGAAGGAGCGAAUGUCGCUGAUGAUAGUCAAUCACCUCCUACAUGUACUGGUGCCGAGGCAACUGAUGGUCCAAUCUUUUCCUCUCCGAAUAUGAAGAUGCACCCACCUAUCCCAGAGUUGUCACGCUUUUAGAUCUAGUACAGGAAAAGCGUACGCCCAUCGAAGUUAAAGAACGAAAAGCUGUGUACCUCAGCACAUCCACUGAUGAAGAGGCUAUCCUAAAAGAAAAGUUGGCAGAAGUAUUGCAAGACGCGAUGAAGCCUAAAUUGGUGCCGGAACUUCAAGAUGAGGUAUACAUAGAGUAAUAAUUUGUUAACUUUUGUCUAAACUAUAUAUGAUUUAGUCUAAUCGAAACAAGAGAAGAAAUGUCAACAGCCGUAAGAUUUUAAUCCGCUGUCUUUAGGCCCUCCUCGGCCAUACAGAAAUCGAAAGCCGGGGCGGUACCAGUUGUCCCCGUAUGAUCAAGUCUCACGCGGUCCAAAGCCAAAAUAUCGAGCGGGCCCUUUUUUAGUGAAUGAGCCGGUGACCCUCGAUCAAUUGAAAAUGCUCUAGUAUGGAUUUGACAAAAGCACUAGCCUAGAGUAACAAUACCUUCAUGGCCACUCAUCAAGCUCUUUUCGUUUAAUAUGUUGUCAUAGUUGUUUGAUUUUGUUAAUAUAUCAUGUGAUUAACAUACAGUGAAAUAAUUGUGCGAUCAAGUCAUGAGGAUAUCACUCGGCGAGGCUUGUUAUCACUUUUGCCCGAUGCAUCACUUGACGAGGAGGUUUAUUCGUAAUUUGACUUUAAUGAUAAAAUUGUAGUUAAUAAAACCAAUUAUAAUUGUUCUUGUGUUUAGAUUAUUUGCAUGAUGAGUGAUUACCUUACACGACGUGAGUCGUGCAAAAGCCACGGGCAACCAAUCAGUUGGUUCCUACCAACAAGAUAUGCAGUUACUGAUCCGUUCCUGUUUUUUUUUUUUUCAUAUCCUUUUUUUCAUCAUUAACUAUGGUAAUUUCAGUUGUGUUCUAUAUGAAUUUGAUGUGAUGAAUAUGUAGCAAUUUGCUACAAUGCCAAAUGCACAUUUAGAUGGUUUCAAGGCUGCCUCCCAAUACCGCAAACGUUACAUGUAUGACCUGCACCGGUGCCAUCAGGUAGCGUGUGUGUUUGUUGAAAUGAUUUUUCGUUAUGAUCGAUAUUAUGUAUGGUAAAAGUGACCCUAAGUUGUUCUUGAAUAGAUCAUUGUUCCCAUGCAUGAUGGUGGCCACCAUUGGUUUAUGCUGUUGGUUAAAAUUAAAGACAAACAAGCAGAGAUCUGGGAUCCACUAUCGGAUGCACAACGGACACGAGAUCGAGAAAUCCAAGUGAAUAGUAUUGUAAGUCCAACUAAUUUUUUUAUAAAAACGAUGAGUUUAGUUUUCUAGGUAUUGUGUUAUUAAUACAUGUGAUGUAUUUUUGCACUUGAAAAUAGUUACACUCGUUGGAUGCUAUACUUCAUGGCGUUGUGGAUGCUACAUAUUCAGUAUCUUGGAGUUUCUUGUCAUUUGUAGUGACCCAUGGGGAAGGAGUUCCACGGCAACCUAACGGUUUUGAUUGUGGAGUUUACGUCAUCAAAUUUAUGGAUACUCCUGGAAUCAUCACCAACAAAUCGUAUGUGGUACGCUCCCUUAUUCGCCUUAUGUGGUUUUUUGGUUGAUUUUACUACUGUUGUUGGGCCACUGACAUGAUGAAAGUGCAUGAUUAUUUCUGCAGCAUGACUCACAGAAUGUUCGGGCGUAACUUGCGUUACAACUUAUAGACUCUCCGUUCAACAAACAACGCGAUCAAUUAUUGACGUUGGCUAAUGCACACUACAGUAACGCUGCAACGUACAUAAAUGAAUCGAAUCGAAGCUUGCAUCAACAGUGAAGCCUCGUAAUGUGUCCACCAAAAAAGGUCAUAAGAAUAGUUCCACAAAACGUCAUUUCAGGCGGAAGGUCUAAGAUUGUUGUGAAUAUAGAUUAUGAUAAUUUUUUGCUGACUUCAUUCACAACCCUAAACUUUUGCUAAAUUUACCUUGUAACUGGCGUUGACGUACGAGUCAUGUAAAUUGUUUUGGUGAUCCAAAGACGUAGAGGGAUUAAUGGGGCAAUUAUGAUUUUUUCCUUCGGCAACCGGUUGUCUUAAUUAAUAUAUGUUGAAAGGAAGAUAAUUGUUGUAAAUGUUGCUAUUAUCACUAAGUAUGCAAAAUAUAUUAUUACAUUGCCAUUGUUCACUUCUUACAUGAUAAUAUAACUCAAUGAUUUCCAAAAAGUUCAUUCUACCCCUCAGUUCAGAUCCAAAAAUUGUAUCAUUAGCGAUCAUCCUCCAUCCUCCAAGUAUGUGUACCGUCCUCAACUAAGCAUAAUGUUACUGCUGUCGUAAUGGUCGUCAAUUCCUUCUGAGAUGUUAAGCCUCCAAGGACAAGUUGUCUCGAACGUAAAUGUUGGGGAACUUGGCGAGCUUGAUUCCAUUGAAACAGGCGGUGUUAACACAUUAUAAGAACAAUGCCUUGGAUGAUCGUCAGUCGAAACACAACCAAUACCGCUAACGCUGCAAUGAAGGUCAUUGGGCUGUAUGUCCUUUGGCAGAUAUAGCGGGCAAGUCCGUUUAGUAUGGCCAGGCUGAAAACACUGACUGCAUUUGCGAUUUUUAGCCCCAUCGUGUUUAACGGUUUUAGAGCAACCUUUACUAUUAACCGUAACCGGGUCUUUCAACUUCAUACCUGCUUGAAGUACACAAUUCCUGGCUCGUUUAGCUGAUUCAUCAUCCGCAACCAUCUGUUCAACGCGAAGCGUCAGCCGUUGAAUCUCAUCUAUCGCUAUCAUAUAACUUUGUUCAUUCUUUGCGGCAAAAAGACAAAGAUUAGUACAUGCCGCUGAAAGUGAGGCAAACUUUGCUGUUUCUAACACUCCUUUAUCGAGGUGUGACGCUGCAGCGGUUAUUUUCAUCACUUUACUCACCUUCGCUGAUUUGGUCCAGCGACCAAGAAUCAAUAGUGGUGGUAUGCGAACUAGUUGCUCGAACUUCAUGACGUGAAAUAUAUCCCUACAUGGAAUACCUGCUGAUUCCAUCAUCUUACAUGAACAAGUAAUUGCAACUUCUUUACUAUAAAAUACCACUGUCCAUUUUUGUUCUGGAUGCUGAAAUUUCAUUAAAGUAUAGAUAUUGGAAUUAGCUGUCUUGGCACACUCAAGCAUAAUUAGCGUGGCUUCUCCGAGGAUCUCCAUCCGAACCCACUUCAAUACAUUCCUUGUAUAUAUUUCGGACGCAUGUUUUUCAAUGCUUAGCAGAUGUGUUGUAAGAACUGGGGCUGUGUGGUUUGUCUCAUACUCAUCUUGGACUUCUUUGUGCCGUAUGCAAUACAUUGCACGAUGAAUUUGUCUAAUGAAAUCAUACAGUUUUAACUUCUUCUCAACAAAGCGACGCAAGUAAGAAUUCAAGCUCUCACACCUUUAUGUGGUUCGCAUUCCGGCGAAAAAGGUUCCUUUCAAAUAAGCCACUGCCCAUUUUCUACGCUUUGCAUACAUUUUUUCCACCCAAGAAUUUUGUUCCAGUCCCAGAUCAUAGAGAACCAAUCUCGAUCAAACUCCUCCAUGGUCAUUGGAUUCAACAUUAACUGCCGAAACUUCGACGUGAACUUAUUUCUCUUCACAUUUGCUUGUGCAUUCCGCUCAAGAUGCCAGCAGCAGAGUCGAUGUACACAUCCAGGCAUAACAGUUUUAAUCGCUUUCGACAUAGCUUUAUCACCAUCUGUUAUGACACUUAUGGGUUUUUUUUGUUUCAUUGCCGAUAAGAAAGUCUGUAGCAGCCACACAUAUGAUUCAACAGUUUCGUCAAUCAGUAUCGUAAAUCCAAAAACAGUAGUUCUUUUAUGAUGAUUUACACCAACAAAUGCGACCAAAGGUUUGUUGUAUGCAUUUUUCUUGUACGUUGCAUCAAAACCUAAAACAUCUCCAAAUUGUUCAUAGUCGUACCGAGCAACAGUGUCGGUCCAGAACAAGUUUCGCAGUCGAUUUUCCUCAUCAAGAGUAUACUCGAAGUACACUCCAGCAUCAUAAUCAACCCUUGCAGAUAAGUACGCAAUGGUAGCCUUUGUGUCGGUGUCAAUAAUUUGUGCAUGGUGAUCUGCGUCUAUUCUAUUCCGCAUGUCCUUACCCAUAUACCCAACAUGAUGGAACCCUCCUGCUUGAUCAGACUUGUAGUUCAUGAGCUGGCACACUUUCACCCCAACUUGUCGCAAUGCCUUUGCGUGAGCCAAAUCAGCUUCGUUGACAAGUCUAUGCAAACGAAGAAAUUGUGUCUCGUGCGGUUCAACCAAGCGAUGAGUGUGCUCAAAAACGAAUUUAGUUACCACGUACUUCCCUUUAAACUUAUCAUAGUUCACGCGAAGUUCCGCCUUGCACCCGUUACGAGUAAUGCCCCUCGGUUCCCUGAUUCUGUCUGUUUUCUCCAUCCAUUUUUUUAGCUUGUAUCCCUGUCCUGAGCAAACCCAUCGCCGACUUGCUACUUCACCACUUUUGCCGUCACAACGAAGUUCAUCUUUUCUCACAGAGAAUCCAACCGACUUAGCAUACUUUUUAUACCAUAUGUGGGCAUCAUUGACAUUUUCAAAACAGGAUCCGACACCCACUUCAAUGAGUUCACUUUUUUUAGGCAAACUGUAGGUCGUAUGACUAGAUGAUCUUGUAGCAGAUUUGUCCCCAAAAUAAUCACUGAUUUCGCUAGUUUGUGGCGGUAAUGACGUACCUGCACUUGCACAAAUUUCCAUCCCAUUAUCAUAUGACGGGUUGUCGGGGGGUCCACUUAUUUUCUGUUCUGAUGGCUGGUUAUCAUUGAGGUCUAACACCCAUGCAGAAAUGCUUCCCACGUCUAAAGAUGUUGUCAUGCUCUCUGGUUAUCUUCUCUCAAGAUUCUAGCAUUUGAAGACCAUCAAAAGGACCUAGUUGAAGACUUAAAAGAGUACUGCGUGGGUUAUGUUUGUUGGCAUUCAAUGUCUUCAUUAAAUGAUGGGGUUUGGUUGGUGCUUGGGUUGGUGGAUACAACAUUUAAACGCCUAGCCUAUUACCUAUAAAAGGUUAGCCGGUUUCGCAUUUGUGCUCUCUGGACAUUAAACGGCAAGCCUUUUAAACUCAUGCGGCUAGCCUUUUUCGAAUUGAUGCUAACUGGAGGGGAAACGACUGGCCUCUAAAAUUUAAGAGGCUAGCCUUUUUCGCGUUGGGGCUCAUUGGAGGGGAAACAGCUAGCCUCGAAAAUUUAAGAGGCUAGCCUUUUUCGCGUUGGGGCUCACUGGAGGGGAAACAGCUAGCCUCAAAAAUUUAAGAGGCUAGCCUUUUUCGCGUUGGGGCUCACUGGAGAGGAAACGGCUAGCCUCGAAAAUUUAAUAGGCUAGCCUUUUUCGCAUUUGUGUAUGGGAUGCUCACCAUUAGCGAAAACGGCUAACCUUUAAAAUUUAGAGGCUAGCCGUUUUCGCUUUUGGUGCUCUCUGGACAUUAAACGGCUAGCCUCUAAAAAUAAAAGGCUAGCCGUUUUUUCUUACUAGAGUUUCUGGAACAUGAACGGUCACCCUAUUAAUUUGUAAAAGGUUAGCCGGGUUCAAAGGAAUCAAACUGUUUCGUCUUCACAAAACUGGUCAGCCGCUUCUAUCUCUAAAAGUCGAAUCCUCUCUCCUACGUUCUCAGCCGAAAGAUCCACCGUUUAUAAUCAGUUCAUAGCCCAAAUUCAACCUUAGAAAUCAUUUCCCACCAUUUGCUCUUGCUAAAUUUAACCCUCGAAACCGAAAAACCCUAAGUUGUAAACCCCUUUGACUUCGGUAAAUGUUUGCCGAAAUUGAACUCACAUAUCCCUUUUAAGCAUCAUUAUCUUCCAUUUAAUCGGUUUAUUCCUCUUCAAAUCGCUGAAAAAUCAUAAUGUCAACUUCAAGGCCACGUAGAGCGAAAGACAACGGGAAAGAUGCGAUUCCACCACCCAAACGGAAACGGAAGGACGGCGGCCCUGUAGAACAACCUGAUUUUGAAUCAAGACACUUCCCGGACAAGCGUUUGGCCACCCGUUUUUGCCAAAGAUUCAUGACCCGUAAGGUACUUGAUACAUUCUAUAUUGUGUCUGAUUGGCUUCGUAGCCUUAGUAUCAGUAAUGGAAAUUUGUUGCAAUUGUUGGAGGAAGUUGGUUGGAUUAAUGCCCUUACGAUUAAUGAGAAUGUGUAUCCUGACUUGGUGAAAGUAUUUUACUCGAAUAUGGAUACUUCCACGGAGAAAGAGAAUCGAGUAAUCACCAACGUUAGAGGAGUUUUGAUUGAAUUUGAUGAUACUAAUUUGAAUUCUAUCCUAGGAACCUCCGAAGAUGGGUUAGAAAUAUAUUCUGCUAGGAAAGUUCCUACGAUUGAUAACUUUGUUCAUGUUGAUGCCGUUAGAAACAUUUGUAGGCGCAUUGAUCUUUCUGAUGAGGUCUGUACAAUCGAUUUUCGUGCUCAAUGUCUAUGCCUUCAAUCGCGUAUUUUACAUCGUAUAAUUCAGAAUAUUGUCCUUCCUAGGUCGAGCCACUUAGAUGAUGUUACCCACAUGGAUGUUGCUUUGAUUGAUUCUAUCCUCAGGCAUCGUCCGGUUAGCCUCGGAUACACUAUUAUACGCACCAUGCUUUCCAUACCUAACUUGAUCAGUCGUGCUCUUCCAUACGGAAAUUUCAUCACGCAGAUCCUUAAAUACUUUAGGGUGCCCAUAAACGAACCGUCUUGUAAACCCUGUAGGAGUAUAGGAGAUGAGGCCGUGUAUGCCUUAGGAUUUUUGUGGCGUAAUGGAGCAUGGGUGAAGUAUACUGAAGCUAAGUACACAAUGCUUGCUCCGAAUGAUGAUCGUCCUUUGAAUUUUGUAGUUCCUGCUAAUCAGCUGCCUAAUUUUUCACUUCCUUUCUAGGGUCAACGUAGACGUGAGGACCCUCCUACAUGUGAACCUGAUCAUGAUGCUUCUGCAUCUGCUGUACCACCUGUAGAGCCACAUGACUCCAGCGAAGUUACUCUUCAAUAACUUAUGGACGAGGUGAGGACACUUUAUGUACAGCAGACCAGCUUUCAGCAGCACGUUUUGGAGGAGCACCGGCAUCUGUCACAGCAGCAUCAGUAGUUCCUUCACGGACAACGCCUCAUGUUCGAGCACUUUGGCAUUCCUUAUCCGUUUCCACCUCCACCACCACCAUCCCCACCGCCUCAGUAGUUUCCAUUUCUUUAUUCCAUUAUGUAUGUUUGGAUGUUAGUUUUAUGUUCAGAUGAUUGUUUUAUAUGUUCAGAUGGUUGUUUUAUAUGUUCGGAAGUUUGUUUGACAAGUUCGUUUAUAUGUUCGGAAAUUUGUUUUAUAUGUUUGGAUGGUUGUUUUACGUGUUCGGAUAUGGAUUUAAAGAGUUCGGAAGUUUGUUUAACAUGUUCGGAAGUUUAUUUUAUAUGUUUGGAUGGCUGCUGCUUAUUGUAGCAAUAACAUCAGCUGUCGGGUGCUUAUGACAGCAACUGUUAUUGCUGUUGCUGUCAUAAGGCAGCAGCUGCUGCUGGCAGCUAGCAGCAGCAGCAAGAAUUCGCAGCAAUUGUGUUUGCUGCUGCAACUACUUAUGCAGCAACAGCUACUGCUAGAAUGCCAGCAGCAGCUGGUAUAAUGCACACUACAGCUGCUUAUGCAGCAACAGCAGUUGGUGCCUGAAAAAGCAGCAGCUACCGUUGCUGGUUCUGCACUUGCCUGUUGCAGCAUAACCAGCAGCUGCUGGCAGCUAGCAGCAGCAGCAUCUGCUGCUGGUGUUGUUGCUGCUGCAUCUGCUUAUGCAGCAACAGCUGCUGGCAUUCCAACAACAGCUAGUGCCUGUAAAAGCAGCAGCUUCUCUAUCCAUUAUGUCUGCUGCUGGUGUUGUUACUGCUGUUGGUGCUUAUGCAGCAACAACUGCUGGCUACUUUUACAGCAGCAGCAGCUGGUGGAUGCAUAAGCACCAGUUACUGGCUACUGCAGUUGCUGGUUCUGCAGCUGGUGGCUGCUGCUGCUGUUGAUUCUACAGCUGCUGCAGCUACUGGCUGCAGCUGCUGGCUGCUUUUGCAGCAGCAGCAGCUGGUGGAUGCAUAAGCACCAUCUGCUGGCUACUGUUGUUGCUGGUUCUGCAGCUGGUGGCUGCUGCUGUUGUUGGUUCUGCAGCUGCUGGCUGCUUAUGCCAACAGCAACAGCAACUGAAAUCCCCAAAAUAAGCAUUAGCAGUAGGGCCAUUAGUAGCUGCCACUGCUGGCUGCUUAUGUCAACUCCUCAUUCACUUCUUAUUGCUGAAAUUACUCACGCACAUUGAUUUCAAACCAGUUUGCAUGCUAUUUAAUCGAUUCAUAUUCACCUAAAACACAAUAUUUGUUAUUCAGCGGAAGCAAAGGAAACUAAAGGAACAUUAAAUCAUUAACUUCAAACAUGUGAUCAUUAACUUGCACUAUGGAAAUCAUGCAGAUAAAAAUGAACUCAGGACUAUUAACUUGAUACCGGGACCAUUAAACUUGAAACCGAAGGAACCUGAAACUUAGGGCAACAAACAUGAAAUAGGAUCUCAUUAACGUGCAACCUUAAAAAUUAUAUAUUUAAUGGACCAAUAAACAUGAAACCAUCACCAUUAACUUGAUAUCGAAACCAUUAAACAUUAAACCAGUGAACUUGAAACAUAGGCCAAUAAACCUGAAAUAUGAGAUCAUUAAAUUGCAACCAUAAAAAUAAUUAAAUUAAUGAACUUGAAACUUAGGGCAAUGAACAUGAAACAUCGGAUCAUUAACUUGCAACCUUCAAAAUUAUAUAAUUAAUGGACCAAUAAACAUGAAAUCAUGACCAUUAAUGUGAUACCUAAACCAAUAAACUUGAAACUAAUGAACUUGAAACUUAAGGCAAUAAACCUGAAAUAUGAGAUCAUUAACUUGCAACCAUAAAAAUGAUUAAAUUAAUGAACUUGAAACUUAGGGCAAUGAACAUGAAACAUAUGAUCAUUAACUUGCAACCCAAAAAAUUAUAUAAUUAAUGGACCAAUAAACAUGAAAUCAUGACCAUUAACGUGAUACCUAAACCAAUAAACUUGAAACCAGUAAACUUGAAAUUUAAGGCAAUAAACCUGAAAUAUGAGAUCAUUAACUUGAAACCAUAAAAAUGAUUAAAUUAAUGAACUUUAAAUUUAGGGCAAUGAACAUGAAACAUCUGAUCAUUAACUUGCAACCAAAAAAAUUAUGUAAUUAAUGGACCAAUAAACAUGAAAUCAUGACCAUUAACGUGAUACCUAAAUCAAUAAACUUGAAACCAGUGAACUUGAAACUUAAGGCAAUAAACCUGAAAUAUGUGAUCAUUAACUUGCAACCAAAAAAUGAUUAAAUUAAUGAACUUGAAACUUAGGGCAAUGAACAUGAAACAUCUGAUCAUUAACUUGCAACCGAAAAAAUUAUGUAAUUAAUGGACCAAUAAACAUAAAAUCAUGACCAUUAACGUGAUACCUAAAUCAAUAAACUUGAAACCAGCGGACUUGAAACUUAAGGCAAUAAACUUGAAAUAUGAGAUCAUUAACUUGCAACCAUAAAAAUGAUUAAAUUAAUGAACUUGAAACUUAGGACAAUGAACAUGAAACAUCUGAUCAUUAACUUGCAACCGAAAAAAUUAUGUAAUUAAUGGACCAAUAAACAUGAAAUCAUGACCAUUAACGUGAUACCUAAAUCAAUAAAUUUGAAACCAAUGGACUUGAAACUUAAGGCAAUAAACCUGAAAUAUGAGAUCAUUAACUUACAACCAAGAAAAUUAUUUAAUUAAUAGACCAAUAAACAUGAAACCAUAAUCAUUAACUUGAUACCCGAACCAUUAAACAUGAAACCAAAGGAACAUGAAACGGAAGGCAAUAAACAUGAAAUAUGUUAUCAUUAACUUACAACUAUGAAAAUCAUUAAAUUAAUGAACCAAUAAACAUGAAACCGUGAUCAUUAAGUUGAUACCUUGACCAUUAAACUUGAAACUCCUUUUUUAUUAUUAUAAAAUUAAUUUUUUUGUUAUGUCCUUUACUAUUAAAAUAGUGAUUAUUUUAUUAUUAUUUAAUUUAUUUAAGGGGCAACCGGUUGCAAAAACCGGUUGCUCCCAUUUAUUUUUUUUAGGGAAAUUAUCACUGGUAUACCCUUAAAUGUCACCGGUAUCAAACGUAUUAUAACACUUUUUGCUUAUAUCACUCGUAUACCCUAAAUUGACAAAAGAGUUCUGGCGUCCACCUUUCUGUUUACUACCGUUAAGAACUUAACAAAAUUUGAGCAAAAUGACUAUUUUACCCUUUAAACUCAAAAUGAUGUAAAAAAACAAAUUUGCCUUGAAAAUUAAAGUAAAUUUUCAAUACACAAUUUUUUUAAUUUUGUUAUUAACAAUACAUUUUUUUAUUAAAAAAAUGAAUUAUUAAUGGUACAUAUUAUUAACAAUUAUCCAUAAAAAAAUAUUCAUCUUAUACCAUAAAAAAUUAUUAACAACAUAUUAUUUAUAAUUAUACAUAUUAUACCAUAAAAAAAAUAAUGAUGCUUGGAGGAGUAGAUCUUCAAUAAUUUAGGUUAAAUUUGGAGGAGUAGAUUCAGUUGUAAAGUAGCUUUUUUUUUUUUAGCAAUUAUUAACAAUUAUCCGAUAAAUGGGAUGACAUGUCAUUUUUAUCAAAAUAUAUCAUAUGACAUAUCGUUUUUUACUAGGUAAAUGGGAUGACAUGUCGUUUUUUUAAAAAGACUAAAUUACCCUUAUGAUGUCAGUGUUGUGCAAAUUUUAAUGUACUCGCAAGCGCACGAAUCUAUUGUAGUAUAGAUCAUGGUGACGAGUGUCGAUCCCACGAGGAGGUGGAUUUUAAUUGUGUGUAGAAUUAAUUUUGUAAAUGGGUGAUUGGAUUUGUGGUGGAAAUGGUUUGGAAUAUGCUAAAACUUAAAUUAAAAUGGCGAGAAUAAAUUCUAAAAUUGGAAUUGCAAUGGCGAGAAUAAAUUGAAGAUAAUUCUAUUGAAAUGACGUACUUGGGUAUUCGGAUCCGUAUCAACAUGCAUCAUGGGCUAAAUAAUCCUUAUUAAUGCCAAUUAAAUCAUGAGGGGGGAAUCCACACCUCAUGAACCACGCUCUAAUCAAUAUGGUGCUAAGGGCUUAUCGUGCCAAAUAAUAAUAACCUUGUACUAGAGAGCCGGUGUAACCAAGGCGGUAUCUAGACAAGAUUAUUAUUAUUUGUCGACGAAAAGUCAAAUCAUCCACAAAAACUAGAGGGGAAGAGAAAAUAAAUUUACCAAAUAAAGCCCAUGACACAUGUUGAGACUUCACCUUCAACCCAAGCUUGAAAGAAAAUUAGCCACUCAUAAUUGAACUAAGGGCAAAAUGGGAAUUUAUUAAAAUAUGUAGAAAAUACAAGAUGGAGAGAGAAUUACAGAAAAUGGAGUCCAAAAAUGGAUUCAGAGAUAUCAAAUUACAGUAGCGCGGUUUGGUUGAAAAUAAUCCUGUGUGAUGCAUGUACCGUACGCGAGAUUUUUCGUCCACUGAUAUGCUGCCACGUCACCAUCAACAGUACAUAAGAAUUUUAGCCUAACAGGAUCGUGACACCUCAUCAGUCAAUGCCACAUCAUCGGUCAAUGCCACGUCAUCGAUCCGUCUAUAUGAACAGUGUCGUGAACAGUAACGUAGACAGUACCGUACACGUGAAUAGUACCGUACAUGUGAAUAGUGUCAUUUUUCCUUUUAUGCUCCUCCUAAGGUUUUCGACCGUCCUGAGUUCAAAAAUGAUGUUCGUUUUGCCGUCUGAUCUCUCCUUUAUUGUGAAAUGACUAUAAUGCCCCUAAAAUACAUAAAAUACUUAAUUAAAAUAAAACACACGUAAUUAAAUCACAAGAAGUUUAAAUACAUAAAAGUAAGGGUUGUUAGUAAGACUUGAAAUGUAAAAUGACGGUUUUCUCCUUUAUAAAUAUACAUUUUCUAACACUCAAUACACCCCCCAACCAGCUUAUUGCUAGUCCCUAGCAAAUAAAGCGAAAACAAAAUUCAAAUUCAAAAUGAUUUUUUUUAUUUAUUUUUAGAAACACUCGUGUUUAUUCAAUCAGAUUAAUGAUAGCAAUCAAAUAAAAGUAUAAGUAUUAUCUCCAGUCUAAAGCAACAUCACACCCACAUCAACCAUCCACAUGAAUUAGCCCAGUAGACUUUGUUAUAGCUACUUUCAAGAAUGACAUGUCAAACCCCAAAAUCUCACUAGAAGUAGUGACACUCUCACAAAGAAAUUAAAACCAAUAAAAAUAGUCACUCCAAUGAAUGGUAAUUGAGAGAGAAAAUAAUAAAGAAGUGAUAUCACAUGCUCUCACCAAGAUGAAAUAAAUAUGCCCUCAGCUUAGAAAUAAUACGAUCUCAAGUCAAACAAAAAUGCUAGUCAACCCAAUUUAUUUAUCUUUUUUUUUCUUUUAUUUAUUUAUUUAUUUUUAUUAUGCACCACUACAUCUUUUUAGCCCACAUAACUAGCUUCUACUUCAAACUAUAGUUCCCUAAAAUCAAGAAGGACUUUUAUUAGGACGUAACGUAGGCUAGGGAUAUGGCUAACAAAGAAAGGAAAUAAGGAAAACAAAGUGUAUGUUUGAGAAAAAUGCAGGGAAAUUUUUUUUUUUUUUUUUGGAAGUUGCAAGGUAGAUUUCACCUAUUAUUGUUAUUUUUAUUCUUUUGAAACAACAACUUUUUUUUUCUUUUUGUUUGUUUUUUUUUUUUUGCUUUUAUUUGGCAUAACUUCACUGAACAACAUAAUUAUUUACAUUUUCUCAAACAUAAAUAGGUAAUGGAACUUAUAAGACAUCGGGUAAUACUCCAAAUCGGAGUGGGUCAAGAUGAUAAGUUGACAAAGAAAAGGUUUUUUUUUUUUUUUUAAAGGCUCAAAAGGGUUAACUAUAGAUAUUUAAUAAAAGGGAUGGCUAGAAAGGCUCAAACGGAUCAAAGAUGGCCUUUCCAUCGUCUUUUAGGGCUCUAAAUAAUCAUCCAUAUCUACUAGUUAGACGGGCCUCCCAAUGUAGCAACACACAUUUUUUUUUCUUUUUCUUCUUUUUUUUUUUUUAAUUUUACCAUUUUUUUUAAGGGUUAACUCAAAAGAAAUCUAGAGAUCGUGUAUAAAAUAAUAAACUGCUAAGCUGUAUGAAAAAUGGGCAAAAGAGUUAUUCUCCAAGAAAAAUAAUAGGCUCAAAAACUCACUUGGUACUUAUUACGACAUGUUCAUUCCUUCAAGCAACUCAUAUUUGUCUUCGACAUCAACAUGUAAAGUAGCAAACAUGACGUAACAUCACUUAAGACCAAAGAUAAUACAAAUACUAAAAUUUGAAAUUCAUCAUGUCAUCCAAUGUUAAAACAAAUCACACAUUUUUUUUUUCAAACAACAUUCUACCCCCCAACCUAUUCUAAACAUGAAAGGAAAAUAUGAAUGCAGAAAUGUGAAAAUGAUGUAGAAAAACUAAUUAGAAACGUUACACUUAAAAUGAUAGAAAAAGAAAAUGAUUUUUUUUUUUAAGAAGAUGUGUUUCUAGAGGCACUACACUCCAUAUUCAGCCAUCUUCGACUCAAAAGUUGGGAAAUGUAUAUUUAUAGAGGAGAAAUUAAAAAGAAGAAGAAAAAUGAACAUCAAAACUUAAUUAAGAAAAAGAAAAUGUCUGAAUUUUUUAUUAUUAUUAUUAUUUUUUAUUAUUUUAUUUAUUUAUUAUUUUUUUUAAACGAAGAAGAUGCGUUUCUAGAGUCACUACACUCCAUAUUCAGCCAUCUUCAACACAAAAAGUUAGCAACAGUUAGUUUCUACAACAAAAAAUCAGUAAAAACUUAACCAAGAUUCCACAAUUGUCGACUAUUCCCUCCCCCCAACCAGAACGAAACAUUGUCCUCAAUGUUUUAAAGGAAAGAAGUAGAGUUUAGAAGACAUCACCUGGGUGGUGCAACACAAAAGAAAAUAUUUACAGGCGGAGAGUUAAAUCUAAUUUGUACUUCUUAUUGCUGCUACUGUUACCAUCAUUAUUUGGUCUCUCCAACACAAAGGUCCAGGGGUUUGGCUCCGGUCUAUAAGCUUGUAACAGAUCAAGUAGCUCAUUAGCAGUGUGAGCACAAAUAAAAAGUUUUUUCGCAUGGGAAGGAAUGAAGUAGUUUUUUAUUGCAUGGUUAAGAAAUGCGAUAAAGCCAUCAUAAAAGUUAUUGACAUUUAACAAACCGAUGGGUUUUUGGUGGAUGUGCAGAUGGGCCCAAGAUGCUAGUGUGAUAAGUGCCUCUAGUGUUGCAAGAUCUCCUGGAAUGAAAAUAAAAGCAUCAGCAUGAUUAAGCAUUUCAGUUAUUCUUUCUUGCAUACCUGAGACGACUAACUCUUCUCCAGUUGAUGAGUCAGACGAACUGCCCAAUGGUUUUAAGACUCUUGGGAUGAUGCCUAACACUUGACUUUCUCUGAUAAAAGCUGCUUCUGAGACCAUUUUUUAUAACCCUCGGUUACCUCCUCCAUACACCAAGUGUAAUUUUCUCGCUGCUAUGCUUCGACCAAGAUCUAUGGCUGCCUCCACAAACUCUUUAUGUUUGCCAUAGUUAAAUCCAGAAAGCACACAAAUGUUCUUGAAUUAUCUAUUGGGAGUAGCUGCCAUUGUGAUACUUCUCAAAAACAAUUUGUGAGUGCUUGACAAAAAAGAAAUCACAUUUAAGAGUCUUGGUGACAGUGGGUCACAAUUGUGUAGGAGGUAACAUGUCAGUGUCAAAUAACGCGUAAAGCACGUGGCUCGCGAGUCAAAAAGGAAACAGUAAAAAGGAAAAAGCAAAUAGUAAUAAGGAAAAAAGCAAACAGUAAUAAAAUUAUUAAAGACAAUAAUGCACACAAUAAAACAACAGUGAAAUGAAAUAAAAUAACAGUAAAGUAAAAUGAUAUUUACACAUAGUUGCGACUGUGGCUCACAUCUUCCUCUGGUUUUACGUCCAGAAACGGCUUGAACGCCCUCUAUAGGUCGAGGAUAGGCUUCCUAUCCAGUUUUCUUAUAAACUGGCAAACAGGGUCGUUUAUAGUCAGAUUCCCGAGACUAUAUCGUGCAUGCUCUUUCUGGAAUAAUGGUCAUAACUGGAGAAUCGCUCCUUGCACAUAUCCACUGGGAUGCGUUUCAAGAGACAGAAGGAUAUCAUCCAAUGACUCCUUAUUCAAGCCAUCCCUAAUGAAUUGAAUCUUAUCUUCCCUGUUAUCAGACACCAUUCCUAAAGAACAUGGGUUUUUAUUGCAACUCAUUCUGGCACACUUAUGACAAGCAACAGAAAUUCUUCGAGCUCGUCGUUUUCUUGCAUAAUUUCCUUUACCACAACCAGGCAUGUAUGCAAUAAAUUUUGGAGGUAACUCACCUGCCGAUCGUACUUUAGCCUCGAUUGACCAACGGAUGUCAGCAGGUAUGUUAUUCAUCAUGAGUAAUCGCAUGCGUUCGGACCGAGCUUUAUAGAUCGUAAGGAGGGCAUUCUGAGGAAGUGAAGGGAAUCGCUUGUGAAGUUUCGCUAGAAUCUCGUUUCUGUCCAUACCUUCGCCUCAGAAUAUCAAUUAUUAUGCGAAACUGAAGUAACCGACUUGAUUGUCACGGAGUACCGUUAUCCGCCACUUCACCGGGGUAACAAACUAAAGCACACAAACAGAAAAACAAAUUAAACACACAAAGAAAAUUAAAAUCGUCCUCUUAUGGAAUUUACCUCAAGCUCCAACUGGAUGUCGUAAACACUUCUCUCAAUGUCUCUGAGUUGGCGUUCUAAACCCUCAACAUAGGCUACUAACUCUGGUGGUUGUAGAGCCCAAAUGCAAUGUGUUUUACAAAAUUGAAUCUGCCUUUUGAGAUGAGUUUUGACACGUUGAAGUGGUUUAAGAAUGUUCAGGAGGAACGGUCUUAGUAAGGUACUCAUGAUUAAAAAUGAUAAAAGAAAACUUAAUAGUUAAACAAACACACUUAUGCAAAAAUAAUUUCAAUUAGCAGAAGAAUAACAUAAAGAAAGAAAAAAAUCAAAUCAACGAAAAGAAAAAAAAGUCAAUUCAAAUCUGGUGGGUCACUCAAAUUUAUUUCGGUGUCUUCUCCAUGUGGUUGGUACUCUAGAUAUGGCUUUAAUCUUUGACCAUUAACUUUAAACGUGACACCGUUCUUGGGGUCCUUAAUUUCAAUUGUCCCAUGUGGAAAAACAGUAUGAACAAUAAAGGGACCAGACCAUCGAGAGCGUAACUUACCUGGGAAUAGGUGCAAGCGAGAAUUGCAUAAAAGCACUUUCUGACCUGGAGUGAACGAUUUUCUCAUAAUUUGCUUAUCAUGGAAGACUUUCAUUCGUUGCUUGUAAAUCUUGGCAUUUUCGUAUGCGUCAUUGCGAAUUUCUUCAAGUUCUGCCAGUUGUAAUCUUCUUUCUGAGCUGGCUUGCUGCAUGUCAAAGUUGAAUUUCUUGAUGGCCCAAUACGCACGAUGCUCGAGUUCCACAGGUAGGUGGCAAGCUUUUCCAUACACUAGCAUGUAGGGUGACAUCCCAAUCGGGGUCUUGAAAGUCGUUCUAUAUGCCCAUAAUGCAUCAUCAAGUCUUAAUGACCAAUCUUUUCUGUCCGGCCUCACCGUCUUUUCUAAUAUGUGCUUUAUUUCUCGAUUGGAGAUCUCAACUUGGCCACUGGUUUGCGGAUGACACGGGGUCGCCACUUUGUGUGUGAUUGAAUACUUUGUCAAAAGAGCUUUGAAUGCUUUGUUACAAAAGUGGGCACCACCAUCACUGAUUAUUGCUCGAGGGAAUCCAAAGCGCGAAACAAUGUUGCUUUUAAAAAAUCCUAUCACCACCUUGUGAUCAGUGGUUCUACAUGGAAUUGCUUCUACCCAUUUUGAGACAUAGUCAACAGCAACCAAUAUGUAUUGAUGGCCAAAAGAAGUGGGAAAUGGUCCCAUGAAGUCGAUACCCCAUACAUAAAAAAUCUCAACCACUAAAAUUGGAUUUAGUGGCAUCAUGUUCCUUCGUGUAAUGCUCCCCAUUCGUUGACACUUAUCACAUGAAGAACAAAAAGUGUAAGCAUCUCGAAAUAUAGUUGGCCAAUAAAAACCACAUUGUAAAACUUUAGUUGCUGUUUUCUUAGCACUGAAAUGGCCUCCACAAGCUUAUUCAUGGCAGAAUGAAAGAAUAUUCUGAAUUUCAAUUUCUGGGACACAUCGUCUAACAAUUUGAUCAGCACAAUACUUGAACAAAUACGGGUCAUCCCAAAAGAAAUUCUUUAUCUCUGCAAAGAAUUUAGCCUUGUCUUGCUUGGUCCAAUGCUCUGGAAGUUUACCUGUAACAAGAUAAUUAACUAUAUCAGCAUACCAAGGUAAUACUUCCACAUUCAUUAAUUGUUCAUCUGGAAAUGACUCAUUCAAUAUUAAUGGCUCUGUAAUUGUGUCAAAAUGGAGACGAGAGAGAUGGUCCGCCACAACAUUUUCAGUGCCUUUCUUAUCUUUGAAUUCCAAGUCAAAUUCCUGCAAAAGUAACACCCAACGAAUUAAUCUAGCUUUUGCAUCUUUCUUUGUGAGAAGAUAUUUAAGAGCAGCAUGAUCUGUGAAUACAAUUAUUUUACAACCAAUGAGAUAAGAUCGAAAUUUUUCUAAUGCAAACACUAUGCUAGCAUUUCUUUUUCAGUAGUUGAAUAGUUCAACUGUGCAUCAUUCAAUGUCAUACUAGCAUAGUAAAUAACAUGGGGAACUCGAUCAACUCUUUGUCCUAAUACUGCUCCUAUUGCAUAAUCAGAUGCAUCACACAUGAGCUCAAAUGGUAAACUCCAAUUUGGGGGCUGAAUGAUGGGUGAUGAUGUCAACAACUGCUUUAAUUUUCCAAAUGCCACAAGACAUGAAUCAUCAAAGACAAAAGGUACAUCCUUAGCAAGUAGAUUGCAUAAGGGUCUAGAAACUUUGCUAAAAUCUUUAAUGAAACGUCUAUAAAAACCAGCAUGCCCAAGGAAAGAUCUUACUUCUCUGACUGUUUUAGGUGGAGGAAGAUUAGAAAUGAGAUCCACCUUGGCUUUGUCAACCUCAAUACCUUUGCUUGAAAUGAUGUGACCGAGAACAAUACCUUGUUUUACCAUAAAAUGGCACUUCUCCCAAUUUAAGACUAAAUUCUUCUCGAUACAUCUCUGCAGAACUAGCGUUAGAUGAUGUAAACAUUGAUCAAACGAAUCACCAAAGACAGAAAAGUCAUCCAUAAAGACUUCAAGAAAUCGUUCAACCAUAUCAGAAAAAAUGCUCAACAUGCAUCGUUGAAAUGUAGCAGGUGCAUUACAUAAUCCAAAUGGCAUUCUCCUAUAUGCAAAAGUGCCAAAAGGGCAAGUGAAAGUAGUUUUCUCUUGAUCUUUUGGUGCUAUGGGGAUCUGAUUGUAUCCUGAGUAGCCAUCUAGAAAGCAAUAAAAUUCAUGGCCUACUAAUCUAUCAAGCAUUUGAUCGAUAAAUGGUAAAGGAAAAUGGUAUUUACGUGUGACAGAAUUCAACUUUCUAUAAUCAAUGCAUACACGCCAUCCUGUAGUCACUCUAGUGGGUAUCAAUUCAUUAUCAGCAUUCGUAACUACUGUGACUCCUAACUUUUUGGGGACAACUUGUACAGGACUGACCCAUGAACUAUCAGAAAUUGGGUAAAUGAUACCUGCGUCUAAUAGCUUAAGGACUUCAGUUCUAACAACUUCUUUCAUAUUAGGAUUUAAUCGCCGUUGCAUUUCCCUAGUAGAUUUAGUAUUUUCAUCAAGGUGAAUGUAAUGCAUGCAGUCUACUGGGUUUAUACCUUUUAUGUCUGCUAUGGUCCAUCCUAAUGCUCCUUUGUGCUCUUUUAAAACAUCCAACAACUUACCUUUUUGUUCGUCAUUUAGGGAUGAUGAGAUGAUUACCGGUAGAGUACUUUCUUCUCCCAAAAAUGCAUAUUCCAAUGUGUUGGGUAAUGGUUUGAGCUCGAGUUUUGGUGGUGAUUCUGAUGAUGGGAUGAGUUUCUUUUCUGAUGGUGCUAGUUGUUCAACUCUUGACUUCCAUUUAUUAGUGUCCAUAGAUGGUGCUGAGUCAAGUAGGGCGUUGACCUCAUCGACUGAUCUGUCAAUAUCAAAAUCCAAACCAAAGUGAGUUAAACAUGUUUGUAAAGGAUCAUCACUAAGGUUUGAAAGAAAAGUAUUAUCAACUAUUGUUUCUAUUAAAUCCACAUCAACAAUUCCAUCAUCUGCACUGUGAGGUUGUUUGGCAAUGUUGAAAAUAUUUAGCUCCAUAGUCAUGUUGCCGAAGGACAACUGCAUAUUUCCAGUCCUGCAUUGAAUGUGAGCAUCCGCAGUUGCCAAGAAAGGUCGGCCUAAGAUAAUGGGGAUAUGCUUCCUUGAAUCCUGUAUUGGUUGAGUGUCAAUUACAAUGAAAUCAACAGGAAAAUAAAACUUAUCUACCUGGAUAAGCACGUCCUCCACAAUGCCACGAGGUAUUUUCGUGGACCGAUCUGCAAGCUGUAACACCACUGGAGUUGGGUGUAAUUCUCCAAGUCCAAGUUUCAAAAAUACUGAGUAAGGCAACAGAUUUACACUAGCUUCUAAAUUCAACAAAGCAUUCUCAAUUGUGUGGUUCCCUAUGCUACAUGAGAUAGUGGGGGAGCCUGGGUCUUUGCAUUUUAAAGGAAUUUUGUGUUGGAGUAUAGAACUAAUGUUUCUGUUAAAAAUGCCUUCUUUUGAACAUGCAUAUUUCUUUUUUUAGUACAAAGGUCUUUAAGAAACUUGGCAUAAGAUGGAACUUGCUUUAUAGCAUCAAGUAAAGGGAUGUUAACACUUACCUGUUUGAAGAUUUCAAGAAUCUCACCUGUGGAUUUUCCCUUCUUUCCUUUCGCUAACCUCUGAGGAAAUGGAGCUUUCGGAAUGUAUUCUCGUGGGUUGGUUUCUUCUUUCUCCUCCGGUGAUGAGUCCUCAACACUUACAGGUACAAUUUGAUUUUCUUUUGCCACCGGCAUCUCCACUUUGUUGUCGACUUCUUUUCCUUUUCGCAAAGUCAUGACUGCUUUGACUUCUCCAUGCUGCUGUGGUGAACUGGUACUUGCUUCAUGCACUCCUUUAGGAUUAGGCACUGGUUGACUUGGAAACUUACCUUUCUCAACGGUCAUUGCCAAGGUCUGAACUGAAGAAGCAAGUUGUCCCACCAUCUUCUCGAGGCUUGAAACUGAUUGAGCUUGUGAGUUGAAGCCUGCUCUCAACUCAUUUCGUAGUCCAUCAAUGGUGCGGUUUUGUUGCUCAAUCAUGGAGUGAGUAAGAUUCUUGAGAUUCUGGAAUGAAUCCUCCCAUGGUAUGGGUUGAGAGUAGUUCUGGUUCUGAUUGUAUGGUCUAAAUGGUGGCUGGGAGGCUUGAGGAACUUGAGGAAUUUGUUGCAUUGGUGGAGUUGGAGCUUCUGGUCCAUUCUGUUGGAAUCCUUGAGACCAUGAAAAAUUGGGGUGGUCUCUCCAUCCAAGGUUAUAUGUGUUGGAGUAUGGGUUGUAAUUUGAUGGUUUUCUCAUUACACCUAUGGCAUUGGCUUGAUCUGAGUAUGAGUCAAGGUCAUGUGGUUCAGUUGAUUUAGCAGUCGAUAACGAUGCUAUUUGUCGAGCAAGACCUUCAACCAUCUCCUUGACUUCUUUGAUUCCCGAAGUUGACUCGCCAAUGUGAACCUCAUUCACUCCUUUAAUUCUUUUAGUAUUCCUGAGUGAUCGACUCCGUUGUUGGGAAUUAUCUGCUUGUCGCUGGAAGAAUUCUCAAAUUUCUGAUGCACUUUUUGACAUUAGCUCUCCUCCACUUGUUGCCAUUAGCCAUUCUUGCACAUUCGGCAAUAAUCCCUCCAAAUAGUAUUGGCAUUGGUGCCAUUUCUCGUACCCAUGAUGUGGACACUUCAAGAGUAGCCCAUUGAAUCGCUCCCAUGUUUCGAAAAAUUGCUCGUCCUCUCUCUGGGUAAACUCCGAGAUUUCCCUGCGAAUAGCAUUGGUUUUAUGCACUGGGAAAUAUUUAUUCAAAAAUUUUGUUACCAUUUGUUCCCAUGAUGAAAUGCUAUUAGCAGGUAAUGUAUUAAGCCAUGAACGAGCUCUAUCCUUUAAAGAAAAUGGGAAUAAUCUGAGUUUAACAUCAUCGUCUGAAAAAUUUUCGUAUUUAAAAGUUUGACAAAUAGCAUGAAAAUCAUUCAGAUGAUUAUAUGGAUCCUCAUUUUCUAAGCCAUAGAAUGUGGGGAGACAAUUUAGCACACUAGGUUUUAACUCAAAGCUCCUAGCAGCUACAUUUGGGUAUCUUAUGCAUGAUGUGCUCAAAUUAGCUAAGGGACUAAAAUAGUCCUUAAAUGGCCUCUCCUGUGGUUGCAAAUCCAUUUUAUUUUUAAUUUGUUUGUGUGUGCGAAGUGUUUUUCCUAAUUCAAGGUCUAUAGGUUCAAGAUUAGGAAAUAAUGACCUACGACCAUGCAUGCAAAACAAAUAAAAUAAAAAUAAAGAUGGGAACAAAACAAAUAAAAAUAAAGAAGAGGGAGAAAUUACGAUACUAACCUUAUUGCGCUAUUACAACCUUACUAUAAAAAUACACAAAAAAAAUACGUGAAAUAAAUUAACUAAAAAUAAAUUAAUAAGAUAAACAAAAAAAAAUUACAAAGAAAAAUAAAUUAAAAAUUAAAUUACAGAAUUUUAAAGAAGAGAAAAAGAAAAGAAAUACUAACCUUUAAAUGUAGAUUCACUUUUUUUUUUAAUAAGAAAAAACAAAUACAAGAAAACAAAUAAAAGAAAUUAUUCACAAAAAUUAAUUCUAUGAAUUAAAAUUACUUACCUCCCCGGCAACGGCGCCAAAAACUUGUUGUGCAAAUUUUAAUGUACUCACAAGCGCACGAAUCUAUUGUAGUAUAGAUCAAUGGUGACGAGUGUCGAUCCCACGAAGAGGUGGAUUUUAAUUGUGUGUAGAAUUAAUUUCGUAAAUGGGUGAUUGGAUUUAUGGUGGAAAUGGUUUAGAAUAUGCUAAAACUUAAAUUAAAAUGGCGAGAAUAAAUUCUAAAAUUGGAAUUGCAAUGGCGAGAAUAAAUUGAAGAUAAUUCUAUUGAAAUGACGUACUUGGGUAUUCGGAUCCGUAUCAACAUGCAUCAUGGGCUAAAUAAUCCUUAUUAAUGCCAAUUAAAUCAUGAGGGGGGAAUCCACACCUCAUGAACCACGCUCUAAUCAAUAUGGUGCUAAGGGCUUAUCGUGCCAAAUAAUAAUAACCUUGUACUAGAGAGCCGGUGUAACUAAGGCGGUAUCUAGACAAGAUUAUUAUUAUUUGUCGACGAAAAGUCAAAUCAUCCACAAAAACUAGAGGGGAAGAGAAAAUAAAUUUACCAAAUAAAGCCUAUGACACAUGUUGAGACUUCACCUUCAACCCAAGCUUGAAAGAAAAUUAGCCACUCAUAAUUGAACUAAGGGCAAAAUGGAAAUUUAUUAAAAUACAUAGAAAAUACAAGAUGGAGAGGGAAUUACAGAAAAUGGAGUCCAAAAAUGGAUUCAGAGAUAUCAAAUUAGGGGGGAGAGGCCCCCUUUUUAUAGAUACAUGGAGUAAAUCAUGACCAUCGGAUUAAAAACAGUUUGGACGCUCAGGAUUGCACCACGUCAUCAGUCAACAGUACGCGGUUUGACCAUGUGGAUGAACAGUAACACGGUUUGACCCGGAUGAACAGUAAUGCGGUUUGGUUGAAAAUAAUCCUGUGUGAUUCAUGUACCGUACGCGAGAUUUUUCGUCCACUGAUAUGCUGCCACGUCACCAUAAACAGUACAUAAGAAUUUUAGCCCAACAGGAUCGUGACACCUCAUCAGUCAAUGCCACAUCAUCGGUCAAUGCCACGUCAUCGAUCCGUCUAUAUGAACAGUGUCGUGAACAGUAACGUAGACAGUACCGUACACAUGAAUAGUACCGUACAUGUGAAUAGUGUUAUUUUUCCUUUUAUGCUCCUCCUAAGGUUUUCGACCGUCCUGAGUUCAAAAAUGAUGUCCGUUUUGCCGUCUGAUCUCUCCUUUAUUAUGAAAUGACUAUAAUGCCCCUAAAAUACAUAAAAUACUUAAUUAAAAUAAAACACACGUAAUUAAAUCACAAGAAGAUUAAAUACAUAAAAGUAAGGGUUGUUAGUAAGACUUGAAAUAUAAAAUGACGGUUUUCUCCUUUAUAAAUAUACAUUUUCUAACACUCAACAGUCAGCGCUCGCAAACGGCAGUUAACGGAUCGGUGGACGGCAGAAGUGUUUUGUCAACUUAGGGUAUACGAGUGAUACACUUGAAAAAUAUUGUAGCACGUUUGAUACUGGUGUCAUUUAAGAGUAUACGGCUGAUAAUUUCCCUUUUUUUUAUUGCUUGCAUGUAUCAUAUACAUGUAUAUACUGUAGCCGUCCCCUAUUGUGAAAGGUUGUUAUUCUUUAGUCUUUACUACACAAAUAGUAGUUUUUUUUUCCUUCUUUUUUCAAAUUUUGGGUUUUCUUUUACGGCUUCUGAGAGAAGUACCUGCGAAUGGAUCAAAACAAGGGAAUUUCAAUUUAAUGAUUUGACUCUUCUGCCAUGCUUUGCUUUUCAAAUCAUUUGAUAUGGAGCGGAGCAGUGAUGAGCUACAGAAAAUUCUUGACUCUGAGUGCGAGGAGAGGGAGAUGUGUGUGUCACUGUUUGUAAUUUUUUUGUAUUACCAAUGAAAUAUAUUUAGCAUGAGUGUGAUAAAUAUAUGUGGGUCCAGUUACCUUGCAACAAUUGCAAUACACCAUUUAUUUUUGUCUUAUGUGACGUUACAUUUCAUUUAACACCUUGUUUUUUUUCUUAUUUACAUUUUAUUUAUAAGUUUAUAUGUUUUAACUAGUGAACUUUUAAAAUGUAAACUUAUUUUUUUAAUAUUAUUUAUUUUUUUACAUUUAUUUAUAAUUUGUAUGCUUUAGCUGGUAACUUUUAUAAAAUGUAAUUUUAUUUUAUUUAACAUUAUUUAUCUUUAAAAAAAAAGAAUAAAUAUAAUAAUAAGCCUAUGACUAAAUAAUAUUAAAUAAAAUAAAUAAUAUUAAAUAAAUUAAAUUAAAUAAAUAAUAUUAAAAUUUUAACUUAAAUAAAAUAAAUAAUAUUAAAAAUGAUAUUAUUUUUAAGACACUAUUGAUUUUUUAAUGUUAUUCAGUUUUUAAAGAAUAAAUAUAAUAAUAAGCCAAUGAUUAAAUAAUAUUAAAUAAAACAAAAAUAAAAAUAUUAAAAAUAAUAUUUAUUUUUAAAGCUCCCUAAUGAUUAUUUUAUUUUAUUUAAUGUUAUUUAGUUUUUUGAAAGAAUAAAUAUAAUAAUAAGUAUAUGACUAAAUAAUAUUAAAUAAAAUGGAAUAAAUAAUAGUUAUUUAUUCUUUUAAAUAAAAUAUAUAAUAUUAAAAAUAAAAUUUAUUUUUUAAUACUCACUACUAAUUAAACAAUAUAAAUUGUAAACAAUCCGGACUUAUGUGCUAAAAUUUUUAACUCUUUAAUUUGUUUGUGUCUUUAAUAAAUAUCAGGGAGUGCAAUGUUAAUAUUUAAAUGAACAAAUCUCUACCAUUGAAACAACCUUUUCACUAAAUCCAACGUUUUGUCUAAAACUACCUUUUCACUAAACUACCUUUUGUCUGAAAUCAAGAAAAGACAAAACUUGAGGGUACCUUGCAACUGUUGUAAGGUAGCUGAGUCCAAUAUAUAUUGCCAUAAAACGAAAUAUCAUAUCCAAAAUAAUAAUAAUAAUAAGUGUGUCAGAUGACACAAACAGCUGAAAAACGAGGAAACGUCUUCUUCUAACAAAGUUUGUAAUUAAAAAUUUAUAAACGAAUACAUACAUAUAUAUGAAAGGAAAGAUGAUGAUGAUAAUGAUAAAGAGAAUAGGGUUGAAUUUGGCGAGAGGGGUCCCCCUAUUUGUUGAAUUUCAUAUUAAAUAAAUAUCCGUUUGUCUCUUUAAUGGCCAAACAGACCAGCUGCCAACAACUUAUUCCAAUGUGAGUAGAUCACAGUGGGUACUGCACAUGAUGCUUGUUUCUCCUUUUGCAUCUAUUUUUGUUGUUAAUAUUAAUUUCAAUAGCAGCUCGUUAUUAUGUAUGCAACAUUUCAAAAUUAAUCCAAAAAAAACAAAAAUUAGUUCAGCUGACUAAAUUUGAAAGCAUGGAUUUGCUGUCGAUUAAAAAUCGUUUUGUAGGGAAAAUUUUUGGAUUGCAAUUCUCAUACAAUACAUAGAAUUAUCAUAAUCUAUAAAUUGUAUUUUUGCUUUUCACUUAUAUUUAGAUAGUUCAACAUUUUUAUUGGUUUGAUUUAGGGUUAGUUUGGUAACGUUAGUUUAAUACUCUGAUUAUUAUUAUUCGAUUCGUUUACUUUGAUUAUUAUUAUUUUUUAAUAGAGAAUAAAUUAUUCGAUUAAAAAAGUGAUUUUUUCUCUAUUAACAAGUGAUUUUUCUCUAUUAAAAAAUAAUAAUAAUCAAAGUAAACGAAUCGAAUAAAAAAAUAAUAAUAAUCAAAGUUCACAUAAUCUAUAAAUAUCAUGUUUAUUUAUUUAAGAUAGUUCAAAAUUUUUAUUGGUUUGAUUUAGGGUUAGUUUGGUAAUCCUGUAGCUUUAAAAUUAAUUACAGUUAGCUAUGCUGUAGAAAUUGAUCAAUCGUAAAAAGAAUCAACCGAACAUUUAGUAAAUUUUAUUUUUAAAAGUACUUUUAGUUUUAAAAGCAGUCGUGUGUGUUUCAUAAAUCUUAUUAUUAAACUGGUGAAAAAAUAUAAAUGACUGAAUUGAACAUAAUGCUAAAUAAAAUUUAUUUACACAUUUACAAACAUGCAUAUAAAAUAUUUUUAUUACGUACAUAUAAUUAUUGAUAACUAAAAUAAAUAUUUUAUAUUAUUAAAUUUUAUUCUCUAUUUUGUUAUCUCAAUGUAAUUGAUAAUAAUAAUAAUAAUCUAUUUUAAGUUAAUGAUUUUAUUUCUUAAUUCAUAAAGAUAAUUUUAGAUUUUUAUUAUAUAAUGGGGAUAUAUAUAGAAUUGGAUUGAGUAUAAAAGUGAUUCUCAAAAUCAAAUUUUGAAAAACUAUUCAUUCACUACUUUUCAAAAUCUACUGUAUUAUGAGAUGAUUUUACCAAAGUAAUUACUAAAAAAAUUUAUAAAACACUAAAACUUAGCUUUUAUGGUGUGUUUACUUCAUGGAAUGGGGAAUGGGAAUAAAAUGUGUGGGUCUCACACAAUUUGGGAAUAAGGAAUGAGAAUCCCAUGCCCAUGAGUGGUUGGGAAUAAAAGUGAGGGAAUGAGAAUGGAAUAUAUAUUUACUUUUGUAUCCCUCUAAUUUUUUCAUAUUUUCCAAAUUACCCUCAUUCAAAUCACAAUUAAUUUUAUUAUUUAAAAUGUCAUUAAUAAUAAUAAUAUUAUUAUUAUUAAAUUUUAUUAACUUUAUUAUUUUAGUUAUUAUUAAUUAUUUUUAUUAAUAUUAUUAUUAUUAACAAUAAAAAUAAUAAUUGAUAAAAAAUAAUUAAUUUAUCAUUAUUAACAAUAUUAUCAUUAUUUUUGUUAUUAUUAUUAUUAUUAAAAAUAAAAAUAACAAUAAUUAAUAAUAACUAAAAUAAUAAAGUUAAUAAAAUUUAAUAAUAAUAAGUUAAUAAUGAUAAUUUUAAUAAAAAUAAUAUUAACAAUAAUUAGUAAUAACUAAAAUAAUAAAGUUAAUAAUAUUUAAUAAUAAUAUCUAAUAUUAUUAUUAUUAAAUAUUAUUAACUUUAUUAUUUCAGGUAUUACUAAUUAUUGUUAAUAUUAUUUUUAAUAAUAAUAAUAGUAAUAAUAACAACAAUAAUGAUAAAUUAAUUAUUAAUACUAUGGGUAUUUUGGUAAAUUGAUUCUCAUUCUCAUUCCUCAUUCUCAUUUAUUUUGCCAAGUAAACAUAUCAAUAGCAUUCCAGCACAUUCUCAUUCCCAUUUAUUUUUGUCAAGUAAACAUUGAAAUCUCAUUCAUAUUUCUCAUUUCCAUUCCAGUCCAUUCUCAUUCCCAAUCCACUCACAUUCCACCCCAUUCCACUUCCAUGAAGUAAAUGCACCAUUAAUUUUUAAAAUCAAUUUUGAGCUUCCCAAAAACAAUCCAAACAUGCCUUUAUUUGGGUGGUGUUAGAACUGUUAGCCUAAAGGACUAUACAUAAUGUGAUUUUGAUGAUAACAAACAUAUGUAUUAAGUGAUUUAAUAAAUAUUGUAUUUCACAUUUUCACUAGUUUUUGAAGGAUAAUAUUUAUGCAAGUGAAUCAAGUGAAAUCAAGAUUGAAGACACUCAACGGACAACGGUGACAUCAAGAAUAGUCUAGAGCUCCACGAACAAAUUAGUGCGAUAAAUUCUUGUAAAGCCGGUAUGAUUUAAUUGAUGUAUGAUUUAGCAUUUGAGAAGCUCAAGAGAUUAAUUUAAUUAAAUACUUUUCAUAAACUAAAAGUUUUAUUUUUAUAAAGUAAAGUAUUUUGUGGAUUUAAGUAAUUUGGACUUAAAUGCUAAUAUUUGAAAUCUUUGAUUUUAAAUAAGUAUUAAAUUUCAGAGUUGGACGUUUUUACAAAUAUUUGAAAUGUUUUGGGCCAUACUAUAAUUUAUGAAUAUGUUGGACUAAAGUGAAAGGUUUUGAGAACUUUGAAAAAUAUGGGUAUUAUGUUGAAAAGGACCUUUGUGCGAAAUAAUAAAAUCUUUGGGGCCAUAUCAUAAUUUUAGAAAGUUUGGGAAAGACGACUAUUCUUAGGAAGUUCUGAAAUUGGAUCUAUUUGUAAAGUUUUAUGACAUUUUGAGCCAUAGUAUAAUUAUAGAAAGUUUUGGGUCAAAGUAUAAAUUUAGUGAACAGAGUUACUGUAGUAAAUUCAAAAAUAACGGUAAUAUCACUGUUCCUGAGCGGCUAGCCGGAUAAUCAAGCGGCUAACCGCUUGGGCGCGGGAAUUUACCUAUAACGGCUAGUUUUCGGGCUUUCACUAUUAAAACUCAACUCAAACUUCAUUCCUUAAACGAAUGCAAGGAAAAACAAGAUCAUAUAACAUAUAUUGAGCUUCCAUUUCGCAAAUCAUCAUUGAUUGAAUGAUCAUUGAGCUAUAAUUUGUUAUCUACUCUUAAAGAGAGUUUCAUUGUUGUGAUUUUCAUUUCUCAUCAAAUUGUGAGUGUACAAGUGUGAGAAACACUUGGGGUGAAGAGAUUGGGGAGAUAAUCUCUUGUUGUAAAGGUUCAUUGACACCUUAGAAGUCAAUUGUAAACAUUUGAAGCCUUGGGAGGUUUGGAUAGUGAAAUCCUCAAGCCAGGUGUGCUUGGAGGCGUGGACGUAGGCAGGGAUAGCCGAACCACGUAAAAAUCCUUGUGUUUGUUUUAUCUUCCCUUACUCUUUUAAUAUUGUGCUUGAUUGAAUUUAUUAUUUUUUUAUUUGAUUAAGGCAAUAGAUUCAAUUGUUGUGCGAAUUGUAUUGCAUAAUUUUAAAAACCCAAUUCACCCCCCUCUUGGGUUGCAUAACUUGCAUUUCAUUUGGUAUCAGAGCGAGGUGCUCUUGUGUAGACUUAACCGUCUAGAGUAAAAGAUCCAUGGCAACCCAUAAUGAUUCAACCUUUAGGGAAGGACAAUCCACAAUUAGACCACCGUUCUUUGACGAUAAUGACUACCCAUAUUGGAAAACUAGGAUGAGAAUUUAUUUACAAGCUUUAGAUUAUGAAAUUUGGGAAAUUGUUUGUGAUGGUCCAUUUAUGCCUUUGACUAAAAACGAAGUCGGGGAAGAUAUUCCAAAACCUUCACGGGAAUGGAAUGAAUUGGAAAAGAGAAAAGCUUCUCUAAAUUCCAAAGCCAUGAAUGCCUUGUUUUGUGCACUUGAUAAGAAAGAGUUUCAUAGAGUGUCAAGUUGUGAAAGUGCUAAUAAAAUUUGGCACAAACUUGAAGUUGUUUAUGAAGGCACGAAUCAAGUGAAAGAGUCUAAAAUUAGUAGGUACACUCGACAAUAUGAAUUGUUUCAAAUGGAACAAAAUGAGAGUGUGUAUUCUAUGUAUACUAGAUUUACGGACAUAGUGAACACUCUAUGAGCCCUAGGAAAGACCUUUUCAAAUAGCGAGAAAGUUAAGAAAAUCAUUAGGUCUCUACCUAAGGAAUGGAGACAAAAAAAGACUGCCAUUGAGGAAGCCAAAGAUUUAAAUAUUUUACCUAUUGAUGAUUUAAUUGGUUCUCUUAUUUCUUAUGAGGAAGACUUGGCAGCUGAAAGAAGCAAUGAGGAGAAGAAGAAAAGUAUUGCUCUCAAAGCCUCGAAACACGAGAGUGAUGAGGAAAGCGAGCUGGAUGAGGAGGAGAUGGAUAUGCUGGCGAGGAGGUUUAGAAAACUUUUUAAGAAAUCCGGUGAGCGAAGAAAAUUUAGAGACCUCAAGAAAUGAAAGGAGAAGAAUGAAGUAAUCAAAUGUUAUGAGUGCAAAAAGCCUGGCCAUAUAAGAACGGAUUGCCCUCUUCUCAACAAACUCAAGAAGAAAGCAAUGGUAGCCACAUGAGAUGAUAGCGAUGAGGAAACAAGUGAUGAUAAAGAGCAUCAAGAAAUGACAAAUCUAGCUCUCAUGGCAAUUGGAGAUGAAUCGGAUGAUGAACUUGAUGAGGUAAAUGAUAUUUCUACUCAUGAUGAAUUAUAUGAUGCUUUUAAAGAAUUGCAUGAUAAUUGGAUAAAAAUUGGUAAAAAGAAUGCAUGUUUUAAAAAGAAAAUGGUAAAGCUCACAAAUGAAAAUGAAUCUCUAAGUGCAAAGAUUACAUGCCUAGAAUUAGAGAAUAAAACAUUACAUGAUAGAGUUGUAUUAUCAAAUGAGAAACCUAGCACUUCACAUGAGCAUCUAGAAUCAUAUGUAGAUGACUUGAAAAAUGAAAAUGAUGCUUUACAAAAAUGCAAUGAUUCAUUAAAUGAAAAGCUUAAAGGACUAGAGUUAGAUAAUAAAAUGUUGCAUGAUAGAAUUGUAUCAUUUAAAUGCAAACAAAGUACUUCAUAUGAGCAUGAGAAAUCACAUGUUGGUGAAUUAAUGAAAGAAAAUGAAGUGCUUAAGAAGAAGAGUAAUGAACUAAAUCAAAUUGUGUUAAAAUUCACAAAUUGGCAAAAGAUGUUGGAUAACUUGCUUAAUUCACAAAAAUGUGUGUUUGAUAAAGGAGGUAUUGGUUAUAAGCCAAAUUUGAAACAAAAAUAUUAUAAGAGUUAUUUUGUUAAAACUACCUCCAUUAAUGAUCAAAUUGUAUGUCAUUAUUGCAAUCAAAAUGGUCACAUAAAGAAUAGAUGUCCAGUUAAAAUAAAUGCAUAUUAUGGAGCAAAAUGUAUUUGGGUUCCAAAAGGAACCAUUACUAACACUCAGGGACCCAAGAAUAUUUGGGUACCAAAGUACACAACUUGAAUAAUUUUUGUAGGUACCACAAACAAGGAAGGGUGGAGAGUUCCUUGAUGAAACUUGUGAGGAUAAUCACUUGAUCAUGGUCUAGGCAAAAAUAAUGAGGCAAGAUGGUUUAAUUGUUUUGGUAACAAUUAUUGCCUUAUUGAUUAUAAGUUACGGUCUUUUAAUCUUAGUAAAUAUUUCAUAUUUCAUUAUAUCAUUAAGUGCUUUAUCAUGAUGGAUUUGUUUGAUUUUAAUGAUUAUGUAAUGCCUAAGUAUGAUAAAUGAGUAAUAUGCUUGAAUUAUUAAUCUUUGAAUGCUUAUAUGUUUCAUGAUUGAGUAAAAUAUAUACAUGAUGGAUGAAUUAUAUGUGUGAAUUAAUCAUGUCUUAAAUGUUUAUAAUUUCAACCAUAAAGGUUAUUGUAUCUCAUAAUUGUGAUGGAUAUGCAUGAUGAAUAUGUUAUAAAUUUGAGUUUUAUGAUUUUUUGGAUGUUAAUUAUAUUGAUCCAUGCAUUAAAAUGGUUUUUGAAAAUGUUUGGAUCACGAAAUGGUCUUAAAAUCGAUCAAAAAUAGCCAGAGAGCAAAAAUUGGUGCAGAUGGGCAGCCAUGAGGUAGCUAGCCGCCUGCCCCAAGCGGCUAGCCGCUUUGUCACGGGUUGGAGUAAUUGUUUUUGCUUCUUCUUCUUCCUUCGUUAUUUUUCUGCACUUGUUCCUCUCUCUCUCAAAACCGUGAGCCACCCUCUUCCAUUUCCAAUCAAUUUCUCUUUAUUUCUCAACCAUUUUUAUGCCAAAAUUAAUCAUUCAAACCAAUACCCAUGCAUUUCACUCUCAUUAAACACUUCCCAAUCAUCAUUUCUUCACUUGUUCUUGAUCAUUUCAUCAUCAUCUCUCACGCGUGAACAGUACCUCUCCAUUUCUCUCUCAAAUUUCUUCAUCUUUCACUCAUUCUCUUGCCAAAAUCAAUCAUCCAACUCAUUAUUCAUCCAUUACUCCUUCAAUUUUCACUCUCAAAACAUGAUUUCAUUAUCUCUCCACAUAAAACCCAAAAUCAAAAACCUAACUUACCCAUUUCUUUCUCUUCCAAUUUAAGCUCUUUUUAGUCCACUUUUGAUCCAAUCAACACCAUCCAUUAUCUUAAAUCAUCUCUUGGAUCAAUAUAAUCAGUUUAAAAUAAUCCAUUUCACUCAUUAUUUUACAAAACCGAGUUUGUGCAUUUUGGGUAUUUUAAAUUACCAUGGUUCCUUAUUAUAUUAUGCACCUACAUUUUCAUAUGCAUAAUUGUUUUAAUUGUAGAUUACGGAUGAUGGUUGUUUAAUAUUUGGAUAACUUAUAUUUGGAUGAUAUUUUCUGAAUUCUUAGAAUGAAUAUGACUCUUUAGUUAAUUGAAUGCUUAAUUUUUAUAUGUUUCUUGAUUAAUCAUUGAGAUAUUCUUUUUGGUAUAAGCAUAGAUUUAUAGUACUUUUGAUGAUUGAUGAUUAUAUGUGUGUUGCUUGAUGAAUUAAUGGAGUUGUUAGUUUGUUAUAAUUGUUUCAGCUUAUAUGGAAGUGUUUUUAACCAUGUUGUAUAUUUAAGGAUUUGUUCAUUUUAAGGGGAGAUUCUGCCGAAAUUUUUGCUCGCACAAAAUUGGUAAUAUCUUUAUCGAAUUAUUUUUGAUGCUCUUGUUUCGAUUGCAUCUAUCUAUUUUUUAUGAAGGGGAAGAUAAAUAUGAUAUGUUUUUGGAUAAUAUCAUUUUGGUUAAAUUUUUUAAUUGGCCAUAUAUUUAGGGGGAGCAUACAAUAUGAUUUUGGAUAAUAUGCAUUUUGAGCAUUCUUUUGAUGGGUUGAUGGUUCAUGAUCAUUUUAUGGUUAAUUGGAUGUUUGGUUAUUAUAUGUUUCUUGAUUAACCAUUGACAUAUUAUCGAUCUUCACAUGAAUUUCUAGUAAUUUUGAUGAUGAAGGGGGAGAAGUCAUGUAUUUUGAAUAUGAAGACAUAUAAUACGUAUUUUGUAUUUCAAGUAUUUAUGCAUGGUUUUGAAAUAUUAAGGGGGAGCUUACAAAUUAUCAUAAAUCAAAUAUUCAGGGGGAGUUUUUGUUUUGAAUUUGAUUUAUAUGUUUAAUUAUAUAUGCCAUGUAUUAAGGGGGAGUACAAAUGUCAAAAUACAUGAGAUGUUUGUCAUCAUCAAAAAGGGGGAGAUUGUUAGCCUAAAGGGCUAUACAUAAUAUAAUUUUGAUGAUAACAAACAUAUGUAUUAAGUGAUUUAAUAAAUAUUGUAUUUCACAUUUUCACUAGUUUUUGAAGGAUAAUAUUUAUGCAAGUGAAUCAAGUGAAAUCAAGAUUGAAGACACUCAACGGACAACGGCGACAUCAAGAAUAGUCUGGAGCUCAACGAAUAAAUUAGUGCGAUAAAUUCUUGUAAAGCCGGUAUGAUUUAAUUGAUGCAUGAUUUAGAAUUUGAGAAGCUCAAGAGAUUAAUUUAAUUAAAUACUUUUCAUAAACUAAAAGUUUUAUUUUUAUAAAGUAAAGUAUUUUGUGGAUUUAAGUAAUUUGGACUUAAAUGCUAAGAUUUGAAAUCUUUGAUUUUAAAUAAGUAUUAAAUUUUGGAGUUGGACGUUUUUACAAAUAUUUGAAAUGUUUUGGGCCAUACUAUAAUUUAUGAAUAUGUUGGACUAAAGUGAAAGGUUUUGAGAACUUUGAAAAAUAUGGGUAUUAUGUUGAAAAGGACCUUUGUACGAAAUAAUAAAAUCAUUGGGGCCAUAUCAUAAUUUUAGAAAGUUUGGGAAAGACGACUAUUCUUAGGAAGUUCUGAAAUUGGAUCUAUUUGUAAAGUUUUAUGACAUUUUGAGCCAUAGUAUAAUUAUAGAAAGUUUUGGGUCAAAGUAUAAAUUUAGUGAACAGAGUUACUGUAGCAAAUUCAAAAAUAACGGUAAUAUCACUGUUCCUGAGCGGCUAGCCGGAUAAUCAAGCGGCUAACCGCUUGGGCGCGGGAAUUUACCUAUAACGGCUAGUUUUCGGGCUUUCACUAUUAAAACUCAACUCAAACUUCAUUCCUUAAACGAAUGCAAGGAAAAACAAGAUCAUAUAACAUAUAUUGAGCUUCCAUUUCGCAAAUCAUCAUUGAUUGAAUGAUCAUUGAGCUAUAAUUUGUUAUCUACUCUUAAAGAGAGUUUCAUUGUUGUGAUUUUCAUUUCUCAUCAAAUUGUGAGUGUACAAGUGUGAGAAACAAUUGGGGUGAAGAGAUUGGGGAGAUAAUCUCUUGUUGUAAAGGUUCAUUGACACCUUAGAAGUCAAUUGUAAACAUUUGAAGCCUUGGGAGGUUUGGAUAGUGAAAUCCUCAAGCCAGGUGUGCUUGGAGGCGUGGACGUAGGCAGGGAUAGCCGAACCACGUAAAAAUCCUUGUGUUUGUUUUCUCUUCCCUUACUCUUUUAAUAUUGUGCUUGAUUGAAUUUAUUAUUUUUUGAUUUGAUUAAGGCAAUAGAUUAAAUUGUUGUGCGAAUUGUAUUGCAUAAUUUUAAAAACCCAAUUCACCCCCCCUCUUGGGUUGCAUAACUUGCAUUUCAAGAACUUGUAACUUUUGGAUCUUUUAGUUUUUAUUGGUUGGAUACAAUAUUAUGACUUGAGCGUCGGAAGGUUUUCACCGAAAUAACUUCCAGCACCCCCUGACUGUUCUUUGUGCUUGCAUGCUCGCGGGUUAUUUGCUCAUGGAUCAUCUGCUCAUAGAACAUCUGCUCACGGUGCUCACUGAUCAGCAGCUCGUGGAUUAUCUGCUCAUGGUGCUCACUGAUCAGCAGCUCAUAGAUUAUCGGCUCAUGGAUUAUCUGUUCAUGGUUAGAGGAUUUUCUUGGAGAUUAAUAAGUCGCUUCUCCACCAAACAAAUUUAUUGCUGAUGCGGGGAUGUGGUAUUGAGUCAACAACUGACUCGACUUUAUUUCUGCAUCAAUAUAAAGUAUUAAUCAGCUUAAUUAAUUUAUAAAAUUUAAAUCUAAUUAAUAAGUGACACAUAAAUGCCAAGUGCAAUAUAUGCAAAUCCUGUUUGUCGAUCAUUACAAAACUGGCUCUUGAAAACAAGCAAGAAAGCUUAAUUAAGAACUUAAAACAAAAAGUAUUAGAUUGAGGAUAGUCAAGCCUUAUUUUUUCAAGGAUGGAGCUUAUAAAUCUUCAAGUACCAACAUAUGCUUGGCCCAAUUGUUGUUUUUAAAAUUUCAAAAUAUAAGUAUGACAUAGCAAAAAUUUGAUGGUACAUGUGUCGGAAUAUACUAGCUAGUUCAUGGAUGCAUUUGAUUACUAUUUCCAUAAAUUUGAACUAAGAAGAAUGACACGAGAAAAUUUGAUUUUAUUAUAUGGUUGAUUUCAUAUCUCAUGCACUCAUUUCUUAAGAUAAUUAGAUUUUCUCUGGCAUCUUUUGCAAAUGUGGAAAUAUCAAUUAUGAUCAAUCAAAACGAUCUCAAAACUUUUUAACGAGACAUAUUUAUAAUACAAUAUUAUGAAAAUUACACCAAAAAUUUGAUUUAUUAUAUAUUAUUAUCCAACGAGCACACAAAAAUGAAUUCAUACAAAUCUAUAAUACUUAGCAAUUUUCAAAUAGAAUUUACCAUGUACUAUAAGAAAAUAUGGUAUAUGUGACCCCUAUUGUGAAUGCAAAAGCAGCCAUUACGUAUAUCACUAACUUCUAACUUUGUAACCCUGAGUUGCUUUUGUUACCCUUUAUGUGACGGCCAUACUGCUGUCACAUAUGUUACUAACCACGUGACGGUAAAGAGCCGUUCCGUAUACUACUAUUUUAGAAUUUUAAAUUUAUUUCCAGUUGGAAAACUAUUCGCUGGAUUACGAGUUUAAAUGCUGUCACCAUCGUAAACCUAACUGGUUGCCGGCGAACGGCGUAAAACACCGGCCAUCUUCUUCUUCAUCGUAUUCGCCCUUCAUCUUUUGAGUUAAGCUUGUGAUUAUGAGUUUCUUCUCUUACUUAGCUUGUAAUUAUAGAUUUUGAUUCUUUUUAAUUCGUAUUGUAGUCGUUAUUGUCAAUUUUUGUCCCGCCAGCAAUUUUUUUUAUUCCUACAAGUUGAAGCCCCUGUGUUCUUGUUCCAUUGGUGUGUUUGCUCACUCAAAUUAAUUUUGUUCUACAAAGUUCAAAUGGAUUCAUUUGAAUCACUAUUGAAUUCAGCUUUAAUUCCAACAACCAUUCUAAUGUUUUGUUAUUAGAUUUACUUUAAUUUUAUGUUUAAAGCUUCUACAAUGAAUAGCGGAGCUUGGGUUUUAGUUUCAUUUUCUAGAUAACUUGUUUUUCUUGUAUGCUCACCAAGUGCUUGUUAUAUUGUCUGAUAAGUUAAUAUAUUGCUGAUUCUAUAUUAAUAAUGUUACGUUCUAUUUUCAGAAAUUAUAAUAUAAACUGAAUUAACUUGUAGAAUAAGAGCUUGGAGUAGUGUUAUGUUCUUGAAUAAAUGAAAGUCCAUAUUGUGUAAGAGCAUGUAGAUGUAAAGCGCAUUGCCAUUUCUAUAAAGGACUUUCAUUCUGUUCAGAUGCUCCUCUUGAACUCUGAAAGGUGCCUCAUUCAAGUCCUAGCUAUAACUACUAGCUUUGAUUAAUUAAUUUCCUGUACUAGCAGAAACAGAUUUAUUUAUUUAAAUAAUUGUCUAUGUACUAAUUAUAAUGAAAGUAUAUGAAGAAAUUUUUUAACAUGAAUGACUUCUAAAUGACUUAAAAACCUAAAGGAUAUGAGAAAUAAUGCUCAUUUCACUUGAACGAGCCUAUUAAUACUUGUAUGUCUAUGAUUCUUAAUAUUGGCUUAAGCAUUUCAGUAAAUGGUUUACAUAACAGAGAAAAAAAUUUAAAUGAAAACUUUAGAGUUCUAACAGAAAUAUAAUUGACUAUGCAGAUAUAGUUAUUUUAUGGUAUACAAAUCAUGUUGCCUUAAUCUCAAUGUCCUAUGACCUAUUUUAUUUUAUAUAGUCGUUCAUUUUUGCCAUCGCUUUUUGUGUUUAUGAGUAUGGAAGUAGUGGGAUUUGGUGUAUCUUAGCAUCUUUGGAAAAUUCUCUUUAAAUGUGGCAAACAAAAAUAUACAUAUAAUCAAGUUUCUUAAUCAACUAUCAUAACUGGCUAGCUAGUUCUUGCCUGCCUUGCUGCCAUUACCCAGGCCAUUACAUUGCAUAGCAUAAGGAAUAGUGAUUAGGUGCUUAUUAGUGAUUCGUUGAGCUUAUUAUUGACCAAACAAACAUAUUCGCCUUUACCCACAACUUAGUUUGAUUAGUUAUUAGACCAUAAAGAGCGUUAAUCUGUUCAUUGGCUUUGUUAUUUUUAUUUGGUUUUUCUUCCAACAAUACUGUUGAUUUCUUAUAAAAAUACUCAUUGGUUUUUAGUUAUUAGACCAUAAAGAGCAUUAGUCUGUUCAUUGGCUUUGUUAUUUUUAUUUGGUUUUUCUUCCGACAAUACGGUUGAUUUCUUAUAAAAAUAUUCAUUGGUUUUUAAACACCUAAUCAUUGGCUAUAAUGAAGCUAAUUGAAACUGAGGCUUAUCAAUUUCUUCCUACAAGAUACAAUUGAGCAUAAACUAUAUCCUCAGUAAAUUUUUCUAAUAUCCUUGAUUUGUUAGGAUAUGGAGGCCUGAAAUCCUCUAGAUUUUUUUAACACUGUCAAUGUUCUUUUUACUCUGAAAAGGGAAAAAAAAGGUAUAUCUUUCAUACCCUAAUAGUAAGUAGGCCUUGACUUAACAUGCCUUCCCGAGGAUUUGCAAGAUUCACAAGCAGCUCACCCCCCCCCCCCCUCCCCCAACCCAAAAAAAAAAAAGAAAAACAAAUAGGAAGAUUUUGCGAGAUUCACAACCAGGUUAUAUUUAAUUUAUUAAUUGUGUGCACGUACUAGUUAUAUGUUGAAAGAAUAGGAAAGUAUUUUAACAUGAAUGACUUAAAACUUAUUGCUUAGUAAACAUAAUCUGCAUCAGUGCUAGAAAAUGUAUUUAUUGUUUGUAUUUUUUAUGGAUUUGCUUAAGAAAUGAUACGGGUAAUAAUGCUACAUUGUAUUAGGAACAAAUUGAAGAGAUUUAUGAUAUUUAUGUGUUAUUCAAAUUUCAGAUUGAAUUUUAAACUUUCAAUACAUGCAUUGAAAGCUUAGAUCGUUUAAGAAAUUAUAAAUAGACACAUGUUUUAUUAGUGCCAUCUUUGGAUGAUAGUGAGGAUCAUAUGCCUAUUAAUAAUUCUUGAAUUGUCUAGGCUUGAACUGUUUGGGAAUGCAUAGUUUUCUAUGGUAGCUAGUAGCUGAAGUUUUUUUCCCACAUAAAAAUGGGUUUUUCGCUAGCUGCUUCUCAUCUUCUUUGGGUGCAUACUAGAUAACACAUAAACACUCUUAUAUCUAUGUCGUUGCUUGGAGAACUAAAGGGAGAUGCUGCCGAAAUUUCUAUAAACGUAGAAGAAAACUUUAAAGUACUUGAGAUUGAAGAAACUUAUGCAUUCUUGAGAGGGAUAUAUGGGACCACUUACCUUUUGUAAAUAUGAAGGGAGUGUUGGACAUAUUGAUGGGAGUGGAGGAGCUGAGUUGGAUGGAUGUAAUCGGUUAUAGUUUUGCUGAGUUAACUUGGUUUUGAGCUUGUAAUUUUGUUUAUAAAUGGAGUACUAUCUCCAAUGUUGGUUUAUAAAUAUGUUUCAGCUGGCUGACCUUAUUUUUUGUUUCUAGGUAACAUGCUUUGUAUCUGUAAUUGAUAGCCAACUGAAGUUCUCAGCUGUGGGUGAGGAUAUUUCUUUACAGAAGGUAUUGGAAACUGUUUUUUACAUUAAUUAUUGUUGUAUAUAUACUUUAAUUUUCACAUCUUUUUCUCUGAUUCUUGUCACUUUACUUGCUUUCAUAUACAUAAAUUCUAAUGAAAUUAACCAUAAAAUUGUAUAAUGAUUUUUUAAUUAUAUUGCAAAACUGUGCACACACGAAAAUAUCUUGGUCAGUAGUAGAAAUGAAAAACUAAAAUGAUUUAUCUAACUAAUUUUUGUAGUGCAUUAAAAGGAGACGGUAAUGGAGAAGAGUUGGGUUGGUUUGGCAAAUAGAUAUCUAAGUUAUAGAUUUUGCAUUUGAGAAUGUUGUUGGUGAUGCAAGAAUUUAUUAUCCUUGUAAGAAGUGUCGAAUAUUUCGUUUUAAGGGAAGUAGCAAGAGACCAUAUCAUUAUAAAUGGUUUUUGGUUAAAGUUUUAAAACUGGAUAUUGCAUGGUGAGCCAUCUUCAUCUUUGGAAUCUAACCAAGAAACAGGUUAGUCAUGACUCGGGUGCUGAUGAUGAUAUGGUUGGAAUGAUACAUGAUACAUCACGUAAUCAAAUGUUCAAUUCACAGACAGCAUUGUUAUGGACUAUCAGUGACUUUCUAGCACAUGCCAACUUGUCUGAGUGGAGUAUUAAAGGUAAAUAAGCAUUUCUUGUUUGCCAACAAAACACCAGAUCGAAUUGGUUAAUACAUAGUAGAAAAUUGUCACGUCGGUAACGUCGAUUUUUACCGACGAAUCAUAGGUUUCGAAAAUAUAGUGCCUUUCGAAAAUCUGGAGCUGAAGUGAAAAAGCAGUUGAAUAAUAUCCUUACUGAGUUUAAGAUUGAAGACUUGAAAAGUGGAGAAUGAAUAAAAUGAGAGAAAUGACAAGAUUACUUGGAAGAAGAAAAGCAUAUUUUAUGAACUACCGUGUUGGGAGUUCAAUUUGAUUCAUCAUAAAAUGUGAGACAUGAGGGAGAGACAAAAGCUCAGGCUUGUCUGCAACCAUGUGGGCCCUCAUAAGCAAUUCGUGUACACAACUUGGUUCACCAAGCCCAACAACUUGAAGCAGGCAAAAUCCGGGAACGAUCCUUCUCCUUCGCAACCCUAGCUGCCUUAACCUUGUAUUUCUGAUAUUUAGUUAAAGAGUAAGAAGAUUGCUCCUCUGUCAAUUACCUUCGAGAGAGACUUUCUUUUUCAUUCAUCGAUGCUUGCUUGUGAAAGCAAGGGUUUUAGUUACACUUUCAACGCUGUCAAUGUAGUGAAGUAAAGCAUUCGUAGAAUAAUGAAGAUGGAAGCCCCACAGCAUGAAAACUUUUAAACAGUAACACAGCUCUUAUUCCAGAGGCUGCACGCGAGUGACCUGAAUCUUCUUCAGAACUUUCAAAUUUUAUCAGGCAAAGCUUUCAAAAUUUCUCAACAAAUUGAUUAUUUGGUGUGGUUGCCACAUUUUGAGUAACUGCUAUUUGUUCUCAAGUACAAAAUCCUUGCCUUCCUAAGUUAGGAAAUAUAGAUGAGAAGCAAACCAAAUGAAAUAAAUGGGUAAACAGAACAAACAGUGCAAAAAUUAAAAAUGAUGGCAAUUAACAAAUUAAUAGCAAUGUUACAUUUGACUCUUUAGCCCUUUGCUCCUUCUCUUAACAUUCUUCAAAGCUUUUGAAAAUUGGAUGUGAAGCAAACAAAAUAAAAUAAAUUUAGACAACACAUACCCUGUAUUCAGCAUCAUAUAUAUGUCGAAUAUCUAAUUUAAUAAAUUUCACAUCCAAAAUACUAAAAUUUUAUUUGCAUGCAUGUCUGUCAAAAUUUCCGUGAUUUAAUGUGCUUUCAUGCACGCAAGUUCUAACGUUUCUGUGAUCACAAAAUAAAACUGAAGAUAAAACAGAACAACUACCAAACCUUUCAAGCUUGACGAAGCCAUGAGAAUUGAUAGCUCAGGCUCUGAUACCAAGUUAAAGUUUCUAAUCUAUUUGAUAAGUAAGAAAAUGAGAGAAAAUGAAAGAAAGAACAGAGAUCAUCUAAGAGCUGGAUUUGAUGAAUAAAUCUGAAUCAUCCAUUCUUUAGCUGAUUACAAAUGUAUUUAUACAAGUUUUCUAAGCACCUGAGAGUUGAAUAACUUAUGCCAGCUCAGCUAACACGUCAGUAACUCUACCUAUCUUGCUUAACAAACUGAAACAAUAACUAACAAUUUUAACUAUCUUAACAAUCCCAAUAAUUUCUCCGUUUGUGUAUUUUUUUGAAUCAUAAUCAAAUGGGUAAAUGUUGCAACUAUUUUUUUAGACAUUUUCACUUUGGGAUGUCAGCCCGAGGAAGUUCGGGGGUCUGAGUUAUUCAACUGAAAAUGUCGGCCAAGUUCUCGCCAUCUCAGGUUCAAAACUGAUAAUCUUGCUCGUUGCUCCCCAUUUAUACUUAUUACGAAACUGAAAAAGUUACUCGUUCCUCUUAACUUGUUUUCUCAUGCAUCAACCCCACAAAACUGCUUAUUGCAGGGGGUAAAAUUUUGAACACAUCAUGUGGAAUUUGGACUAUUUGAUAGUUUGUUUCAAACAUAUCUGUUUAUAAAAUACUUUUCUUCAUGGUUUUGGUCCCAUAAUUUUCUAUGUAUGUACAGGUUUUAUCCAUACCUCUUUUGACAAGUUACACUUACAUAGCAAUGUUAUCUGGGUUCAGCCUUGCCUUUUUCAUAAACUGUGCUUCUGUGAUGAAGAAUGUUUUAUCUGUAAGUGGAUAUCCUAAUCAUUGAUCCAUAAACUUAGGUUAUAUUAUCCAUCAGCAAGUAUGUAUAAAAUUAUUUUAUGUCUUUUUUUAUUAGAAAUGUUGUAAUUCUAUUUUAAUCUUCCUGAAUUAUAACAUCAGGUGUCUAUAAUAACUGGAUUAUUCCUUCUGCAAAACAGAGCAGUGGUAAAUAUUUUUUUCUUUUGUUUGUUUAGUACAUUUACAUGCUUUCAGCUUUUUCAAAUUUUGUAUGUGUCAAAGUUUAAAUUUAAUUUGUUGGUUUAUGCCACAACAAAAGGAACAGCAUCAAAGAGGAGCUGCUAAUGGACUUGCUAUGACUGUAGUGUCGCUUACCAAAACUGCCGGUCCAGCUGUAGGAGGUGCUCUGUGAGUGUCCUGUUGAUUUUGUAAAAUUAUAUGUAAAUGAUGUUAUAAUAUUUUUUUUCAUUAAUUGGGGUUCUGGCAGAUUUUCUUGAUCACAAAAGCGUCAAGAUGCUGGUUUCCUCCCAGGUAUGAUGAUCUACUAAUGAAAUUAUAUUCUUUUUAUUUCAAAUAAUCUAUAAGUUAACUCAAAACAUAAUCAAGCUGAGAAUUAAAAUAAUGCCACUGUAUGAGAAGAUUUUUAUUUUUUUCCCGAAGUUUCACUAGGAAAUUAUUGAUAUAUAGCUUUAUUCGGAUCAUCUCAGUUCAAACGACAGCUAAUUGAAAGACUAAACUAAAUAGACCAGCCAACAACUUUGUACAGUAGAGUUAAAAAAAUAAAGUCAUGGUAUUGAGGUGUUCUGUCUUGAAAAGUACAGCAUAGUGAUAAAAUAAAAACUAUUAGUAUUUGGUAAGAUAUGACUUUUAAUUAAAAAAUUUCACAAAAAUAUAAAAAUAUUUAUAAAGUACUUCUGUAGUGCGGAGACCCUCACUUUGUUAAAGUGAAAAUAUCAACAAUAAACAAAAGACAUAUAUUUUAACACAUUAAAAACUGUAUUUUUUUAUCUAUUGGUGUAUUGAAAUAUGUGUUAUUUAGUUUGCUAAUGAUAUCAUCACUUUGUUAAAAUGAGGAUGUCAUCACUAGAGAAUCAUUAUAUAUACAUAUAUAUAAAGUGGUUCUCUCCAAGACCUAAACUUUAUUAAAAGUUUAGAAAGCAAAUAUAUUUUGUAUGGUAUAAUAGUGUAAUAACAUCACACUAUUAUAUCAUAUGAGUCCCAUAUAGAGUAAUAGUUUUUCGAACUUUAAUAAAGUUCAAGAUUAUAGAAUGAAUGAUUUAUAUAUAUUAUAAAUUUUUUAUUAUAUAGUGAAGGACAAAAUUAACAUAAUUUUCAAAUUAUAUUAAGUAUUUAUCAAAUAAUUUAACAUCAUAAUUUCUCCUAACUAGUAUAGUAAAUACGGCCUAGGAGGUACAUUCAAAGCAUUUCAUAGGUUCCUUGUUCGCUCCAGAUUCAGUCACAGACAAGGAGCCGUUUUUUGAGAAUAUUAAGCAUCAUCUUCAAAUGAAUUUUCUUGGCAAAGGUUUCAGAUCCAAAUUGUUGUUCCAGAUUAGUCCAAAGCUCAAGUAAGGUUUGAGAGUUUACCACAAGACUAAGGAUCUCGAUACUGAUGGAUGACAUUAACCAGCUCAACAACAAUUGAUCGUUUCUCUUCCACGAAGUUGAAUCUUCAAUUUCAGUAAAAAGAAAUUGGUUAGGACAGAGUUUUGAUCUAUCAAGUAGAUCUUCUAGUCCAUUGGCACGGACUGAAGACAAGACCUGUGAUUUCGAGAUCCUAUAAUUCGAUCGAUCCAGUUUGAUGGGUGAAGUGAAAGUAAACGAGGAAACAUAGGAGUUUGUAUUCUGAUUUGAGCUUGACGAAGCCAUGAGAAUUGAUAGCACAGGCUCGGAUAUCAAGUUAAAGUUUCUAAUCUGUUUGGUAAUUAAGAAAACCAGCGAAAAUGAAAGAAAGAACAGAGAUCAUCUAAGAGCUGGAUUUGAUGAAUAAAUCUGAAUCAUACAUUCUUUAGCUGAUUAAAAAUGUAUUUAUACAAGUUCCUGAAUAUUUUAGAUUCCAUAUGCUUGAGCUAAGCACCUGAGAGUUGAGCAGUGUGCACUAACAAACUGCUAACAAAAUAACUAACUUAUGCCAGCCCAGCUAACACAUCAGUAACUCUAACUAUCUUGCUUAACAAACUGAAACAAUAACUAACCAUUCCAAUAAUUUCUCCAUUUGUGUAUUUCUUGAAUCAUAAUCAAAUGGGUAAAUGUUGCAACUGUUCUUUUAGAUAUUUUCACUUUGGGCUGUCAGGCCGGGGAAGUGCGGGAGGUCUGAGUGACUCAACUGAAAAUGUCGGCCAAGUUCUUGCCAUCUCAGGUGUAAAACUGAUACUCUUGCUCCCCAUUUAUACUUACUACGAAACUGAAAAUGUUACUCGUUCCUCUUAACUUGUUUUCUCAUGCAUCAACCCCACAAAGCUGCUUAUUGCAGGGGUAAAAUUUUGAACACACCAUGUGGCAUUUAGACCAUUUGAUAGUUUGUUUCAAACAUAUUUGUUUAUAAAAUACUUUUCUUCAUGGAUUUGGUUACGUAAUUGUCUAUGUAUGUACAGGUUUUAUCGAUACCUCUUUUGACAAGUUACACUUCCAUAGCAAUGUUAUCUGGGUUCAGCCGUGCCUUAUUGAUAAAUCUGUAAUGAAGAAUGUUUUAUCUGUAAGUGGAUAUCCUAAUCAUUGAUCCAUAUCCAUAAGCAAGUAUGUAUAAAAUUAUUUUAUGUCUUUUUAUUAGGAUUGUUGUAAUUCUUUUUUACUUUUCCUGAAUUGUAACAUCAGGUGUCUAUAAUAACUGGAUUAUUCCUUCUGCAAAACAGAGCAGUGGUAAAUAUUUUUUUUCUUUUGUUUGUUUAGUACAUUUACAUGCUUUCAGCUUUUUCAAAUUUUGUAUGUGUCCAAGUUUAACUUUAAUUUGUUGGUUUAUCCCACAACAAAAGGAACAGCAUCAAAUUUUGUUGGUUUAUGCCAAAACUACCGGUCCAGCUGUAGGAGGUGCUCUGUGAGUGUCCUAUUGAUUUUGUAAAAUUAUAUGUAAAUGAUGUUAUGAUUUUUAUUGUCCCCCCCCCCCCCCCCCCAACACAAAAAAAAGCAUGAUUAAAUUGAUCAUUUGUUGGGUAACAACUUGAUUAACCGGUCCUGGCAGAUUUUCUUGGUCACAAAAGCGUCAAGAUGCUGUUUCCUCCCAGGUAUGAUGAUUUACUAAUGAAAUUUCUCACGAGUUGGUGAAUUACUUUGUGCUAAUUAGCUUAAUUAGCUGCUUAAACUAAAGUGCAGGUAACCAAAUGGUUUUUUUUUUCAUUCUGAAUUUGGUUGAGGCACUUGGAGUAAUAUUGACAUUCAAACCGUUUCUAACUCAACGCGCCCCGUGAGUUGAGAAAAGAUGCAUCUGUUGAAAUAUUCAAAUAUAUUUCAAGCAAAUUAAAGCUUUUCAAAAUCUAUCAACAAUAUGAUUAUUUGAUGUGGUUGCCACUUGCCAUAUUUUGUGUUACUGUUCUAAAGGGUUAAAUAUGAAAAUGGUUGUUGGUGCUCACACCAAUCGAUAGCUGGUAACAUUAACUCCUCAAUACUUAUACUUGUUCAUUUUCAGAACUACGACAAUUUAUCUUCACAAUGAUGCAAGCUAGAAAGAAUUUUUCAUGUUAAGUAAAACAUUGAAGCCAUAAAGAGUCUUAAUUGAGUACUAAGUUUUCUACCAUGCUUUCAACGGUAACAUAUUUGGAGCUCUUAUUCCAGGGGCUUCACAGUAGAGAGACCUGAUUUCGAUCUUCUUCAGAACUUGGGGAUUCCGUAAUAACAGAGGACAACAGUUAUAUAAGAAUAUUAUUUUGUACAAUUUUCGUAUAACCUGACCAAUGCAAGUAUAAUUUUAUGAUCUUAACUCAGAUCAAAAGACCUUCAAUGAUGUAAAUUUGCACAUAAAGCUGAGAUCCAAACAUUAGAACUUAUGAUGAAACGCAAACAAAAACGGUGAGAUUGAAAAGAUAGAGAAACACAAGCUUUUUAGUAGGAAUAAAUGCUCAUUUAGUCUCUAUAUUUUGACUCGAGCGCAUUUAGUUCUUAUAUUUUAAAAAGUGCCUCAACCUCAAGACACCCCCUAUUGUGAAAUAUAUUUUGUUUCUACCUUUUUUUUUUACAAUAAUACUCUUGGAAUAAUAUUUUUGGGAAUAUUAAUGAAAAUAAAAAAAUGGUAAUCAUCUAGCCAGCCUUAAACAAAAUAAAUAUUAAUAAAAACUUUUAUGUUAUUAUUUUAGUUUUAGGACUAAUUUCGUAAAUUAAAUUUUUUAUGCAUUUAUUAGUAAGAUUGCUUUAAGAAUAUUAAACAUUACUUUAAGAUGGCUGAUAUUAAUUUAUUUAUAAAGAAUUAUUAGCAAGAUUGUUGUGAAAGUACAAAAAAUACUGGUUAUUUCACAUUGAUAUUUAUUGAUUAAUUUGCCAAUUAACUUUUUUUAUAAAUAAAUUUAAGAAUAUUAUUGCCAAGAUAUUAUUGUAAAGGUAAAUAAAAUUUAAGGAAAAAAUGUAACGUAUUUAAUAUCAAGGUAUAUUGAGGUAUUUUUUAAAAUAUAAAAACUAAACGAGCAUUGAAAUUAAAGAGCAAUGAUAUAGCCACAAACUCUUGUACAAACUUAUUUUGUACAAACUGAUGUGGCAUGAUAAGAUUAGUUGAAUUAAAUAUCACUUUGCCCACAUGAUUUGUUUUUAUUAUUUUAUAUUUUCAUUCAACCAAUGAAUUAAUGCCACGUCAGUUUGUACAAAAUAAGUUUGUACAAGAGUUUGUGACUGUAUCAUUACUCGAAAUUAAAAUACAGGUACCAGACAAGUAUUUUCUCUUUUAGAAAGUUUUAUAUUUUAUUAAUGAAAGUCUGAAUAACAAAAUUAAGGUUUUGGACUUCUUUUAAACUAAACUUAAAUAUCACAAAUUUACCAAAAUAAGUAAACCUAAAAUAUUAAUACAUAAUAACAUUCUCCUAACUGAAAUAAAGAUAAAUGCUACUCAAAUUCUAUAUCUAGAAAAAAAAAAAGGUAAAAAUCCUGAAAACAAUAGGAAAAUAGAUCUUAAACUUGUAAAAUUAUAUGAAAUAAAUAUAAUUUUCAAUCGAACCACGAGACUAAUGUGGCGCUACAGUAUUAGAUUAGAUUCCCCUCGUUGCAAACUUCGAAAGGUAUAUUAUACACCCUAAAUACAUACUUAUAGCUCAAGUUGUUACCCUAGAGAGAUACUCUACUCAUCCUAUGCAACCAUCCGUUGCAUCAAAUUCGUUCCAAAAUUAAGAAUAAAUCAGCUGAUGCAUUCCAAAUAAUUUAGAUGAAACGAUAAAAUAAACCUAGAGAUCAAAUAAAAUGAAAUGAAAAUGAUAAUUACCUCGGACUAAAGCUCAUACAAAUUCAUUAUUUGACACCUCCAGCAAUUGUUGAAAUAAUAGUUAAUGAAAUAUAAAAUAAGACAAAAGUACAUAUUAAUGACACACCACUGUGAAUCGAUACAUCAACGUAAUACAUCAAUUGAAAUAUCAUACGAUAAAUUAGUCAGAGAAAGAAAUAAGUAAAUAAAUCAGCAAAGGAAACAUGCAUAAACAAAUUAAAAAAAAAACAAAGACAAAAGAAGGAAGAGUUGUCUGUGAGAAUCUUCUUCUAUGGUCAUUGAAGUCCCAAAACUAAUAAGGAUCGAUCAAUUGAACAGUUGCAAACUCAAUGGAAAUACAAUGGAACCUUAAAAAUGAACAGUGAAGGAAAAUGAAGAAAUCCGCAGGAAAUAAGGCGAGUAAGAGUGAAGAAUUAAUUACCACUGAGUAAAAUUGAGAGUUGUGAUCUAGAAGAGAUUCUUCUUCUCCGUAAUCCCCUUUUUUCUUUUAAUGUUGUUAUUAUUAUUAUUAUAUAUAUAUUUUCAAUUUCAUGAUUUCUUUUUUGUUUUAAACGGUAUUGGCAUAUUACAUUUAUUUAUGUUAAUUUUACAAUACCUCCCUUCAGAUUGCACAAAUUACAUAAAAAAAAAGCGCUUUAUGUAUAAAACUUUCAAACAAAUUGGGCCAAAAUCUAACUUUACCAAGUUUAGAGUAAUUUUGGGCUCGACAUUCCGUUUCCGACAAACGAAUUUUCUUUAUCACCAAGGUAUGAUACUUUUCAUAUUUAUCCAACGGCUCGUCAAUGACAAUACCUUUGUAAAAAGUACUUAUUUUGAAUAGUAUAUUGUGGAAAUGUCUGGUCGGUAAUACAACUAUUUCUUAUAGUGUAAAAAUGAUACACUAAGCGUUCACAUUUUGAUGAGUAAAUUAAGGAUUUCAAGAUGAAGUACAUAAUUAGAUUAAUGCUAAGAAACUGAAGUUUGAUCGAUUGAAAACGAAAAUAAUAAUGAAGGUAAUUAAGAAAAUGAACAAUAUAUGCGGAAGCGGUCCUUAUUAGUACUUCUAGAUUUUCUCUUGGGCUUUCCUUAUUAUUGUUAAAAAAUGACCCGAAGAACUUUGAGUUUAAAAAUCUGGCCCUGAUGCCUGGUAGCCCUUCAACACAUGAAGCACCAGAUGUUUUGAUGAGAAAAUGACAAGACCAUUUAUCAAAUUUCUUGUGGAUAUAAAUACAUACACAUAGACGAGACCAACCUCCUCAAAUGAGAAUCAGAGUGAUUACAAGACCUUGCAAUGAGACAAUGAUACACCAUCAAAUGUCAAAAUACAAUAGAAAUUCACGACAUAUAUAUAAUAAAAGACCUCUCAUUGAGUCAUAUAUAUUGAGAAUAAAAAUGUUAUAAUACAUACACAGAGCUUAGUUAGAAUAAAAUGUCUUUGAACUUACGAUGAUCAAACAAAGGAAACAGACAGGUUGUAACUCACACUAUCACAAGAAGAUCACGAAGAUGGAAAUGGGAACCCCUCAGAAUGGAAACUUUGAAUAGAGCAAAAAAGAAAAAACGACCUUAUUCACAGAAGAAGAGUGAUACAACUUGGCCAAUUGUUGUGAAUCAGAUCGAGCACAAUGAGACAGCAAGGGAAGAGACCCAGCCUGCAGAAAUAGAAGAAGUCCAACCCUUGAAUGAGACACAAGCUAAAGAGCAGCUCAAGACAGGUCCAGCUCGCGCGAGAAAGAAACCAGGAUGGCUCAAAGACUUUGUCAUUUGAGGAAUGUUCGAGAAUGCUUGAGAUAUCAUAAUAACGAAUAUUGUUCUGUUUUCAAUUAUUGUUUUGUUGUUAUCAAUUUUAUUCUAUUUAGUUAGUUAAGGGUGCGUGGCUGUUUUUGGAAGGGAGAAUAUAUUGUACUGUCAAGGGACCCAUGAGGGCAUGAAAAGAAAGGAUAUCAUUUUGUCUUUUUUCAGCUUCGUCUUCUUUCUCUUCUCUGUAACUCCCCUGUCCCAUUUCUCUUUCUUCAAAUUAUUUUCUCCACGAAUUGGAGCUUGCACUCGCUCAAAGAGUGUCGUAUCAACUGGUGCUUUCAUUGCAUUUAAUCUCUUUACACAAAACAAAAAAAAAAUGUCUCUCACAGAACCAACGACUGAUUCAGCAGUUCUCUCCACCAUGAAGACGCUCAUUGAAAAUCAAAUGCUUGCUGUUCAUCAGACCUUAUAGCAAUAUAUGUCCACGGUGGAUUCUCGAUUUGAGGAGCUACGUUCCCAAAUCAAUGGUUCCGUCGGAGGGUCAGUGGGUUCUUCCCGCCCAAUGGCGCCAGAACCAGCGUCUUCGACUGUACUGUCAGGUGUUACUGAUAUCUCUCCUCUGUUGCGUUCUAUGAAAAUGAAUGUCCCAAAAUUUGAUGGCACUGAUCCGAAUGGUUGGGAUUUUUGAAUCAAUGAGUUCUUUGAUUUUCACGGCACCCCUGACCAUUUACGCCUUCGUAUUGUAUCUUUUCACAUGGAGGGAAAAGCAGCAGCAUGGUAUCAAUGGAUGAAGGCCAACAACUUGCUGAGCACUUGGCAGAAUUUUUUACUCAAUCUUAAGCAAAGAUUUGGUACAUCCUGUUGAAAAGUCAAAGAGGUUUGGUUGAAAAAGAAAAGUGAGUCACAUGCAUUGCUUUUGUUUUUCAAAGUCAGCACCAAAUUGCAAGCUGUAAAAUAUUUGGCAUUUGACAAUCCUGCACCAAAUGAAGAAAAAUGGAAAAGUAAGCAAAAUUUGUCAAAUUGACAGAGAUGGAGAUUGACAAAUUGCAGAGGGAUUAGGUGGAAUAGUGCAUGCUUGAAGCCUAUAAAUUGAAGCCAUUUUUUUUCAUUCUAAAUCAUCCCAAAAUUUGUUAAGCUUAUAAGUUUCUAAGCUUUUGAGAGUUCUGAAAGUGUGAGCAAUUGGAGAGUGUGUGUGAGAGUACUGGGUGUAUUUGGGUUCUGGAAAAGUGAGAUUUCUUUACUCAAAUUUGUACUCAAAUAAUUGUUAAUAAUACAAUUAUUUUUCUCUUGCUCCCAUGGACAUAGGCAUAUUGCCGAACCACGUAAAUUCUUGUGUCCUUUAUUUUUCUAUGAUUAUUCGGUGUGUUUGUUUCCGCAUUCCGCGCACAACAAGUGGUAUCAGAGCCGACGGUUCGUACUUGGGGGGAUACGGUACAAUUUACGUAUACGGUACUAUUCAUGUAUACGGUACUGUUCACGAAUACGGUGGAGACGGCCAUUUGUACUUAGGAGACAGUCUAUUGUAAGUAGUGUGUAUUUUUGCAUGUCUAGGAAAGUUCUGUCAACAAAGGCGAUAAGAGUCUAAGGAUUCUGGUUUUUAAUUGGGACCAAGUUCCUGUCCAGUUUCCUGGAAACUUUCCUGGUGCAUUUAUUCACGCGAAAUUAACAUCAUAGAGACUGUUUUUCAAGUGAAAAUAGUUCGUUGAGAAAAUGGUAGAAGGUGAAACUUCCAGAAUUGGGGAGAGAUCUGCCGAGACUAUUUCAGGAGACACUUCAGGUAGGAGGCGAGAUUUGUCAAAUCGCUAUUCAGCACCUGUUAUAGGAGGCCAGAAGAUCGAUAUUGAAAAGUUUGAUGGGAAAAUCAACUUCGGCAUGUGGAAGCGCGAAGUUAUGGAUGCCCUUAUUCAAAUCGAUCUCGAUGUUGUUCUGAAAAAUAAAAGACACUUGUAUGAUGAAGAAAUUUAGGAUCGUAUGAACGAGAAAGCUUGUGGUCAGAUUUGAUCUUGUUUGACUAAGGAGGUGAAAUACUUGGUGAAAGAUGAGGAGUGUGCGGUGACUUUGUGGCGUACAUUGGAGGAGAAGUACCUGCUAAAAAGUCCUGAAAAUCAUCUUUCGAAUGAAGCCUGGGGUGUCAAUGCACGAUCAUGUCUCAAGAUUUGAAAAGUUACUUGCUGAUUUGAAGAAUCUUGAUGAAGAUAUUAAGGAUGAAAUCAAGGCUAUGAUUCUGUUACACUCACUGCCAGAGGAAUAUAGCCAUUUUGUGACUACCUUGAUAUAUGGGAAGAAUGUGAUCGUCUUCAAAGAUGUUUGCACAACAUUGACUAACUUGGAGAUUCGGAAUAAUGAUAAAAAUUCUGAACGAGCAUCGUCUGAAGCUUUAGUGAGUAGAGAUUGGGUGAUGGAGAAAAAGAAAAAGCGUGGUGGAAAGAAUUCUCGAUCCAAAUCGAGAAGCAGAAAUCUAGCUCGAGAUGAGUGUGCCUUUUGACAUGAAAAGGGCCAUUGGAGGAAAGAUUGUCCAAAGGCUCAAAAGAGAGAUGGGAAGAAACCAGCAGCAGCAAACAUGGCACGGAAAGAUGAGGACUCUGAUUAUUCACUAAGUAUUACUCCUGCAGCAUACGUGGCUAGUUCGAGUGAGUGGAUACUUGAUACUGGAGCAACCUAUCAUUUGUGUCCCAUUAAUGAAUGGUUUACGAAUUUUCGUAAUCUGGAAUCCGGUGCAGUUGUGAUGGGGAAUGAUCAACCUUGUCGCACAAUGGGGAUAGGAACAAUUCGGCUCAAAAUGUUUGAUGGAAUGAUCAGAGAACUCAAAGAGGUUAGAUUUGUUCCAGCUUUAAAGAAAAAUCUAAUUUCUGUGGGUGCUUUGGAAGCUAAAGGCUACAAGGUUACCAUUGAAGAUGGCACAAUGAAAUUUACACAUGGGGCUAUGGUGAUUCUGCAAGGGGUUCGGCGUCACAAUCUGUACUAUUUGAAGGGAGGUACAACUGAUGAAGCAAAUAUUAUUGAGGCGCACAGUAACACCACCAAGCUAUGGCAUGUACGGCUGGGACAUACUGGCGAGAAGUCUUUGCAAACUCUGAUGAGGCACGGACUCUUAAAAGGUACCAAAACCUGUAAAUUAAAUUUCUGUGAGCAUUGUGUAGUAGACAAGAAAACAAGGGUCAAGUUUGGUACAGCCAAUCACGAUACUCGUGAGAUCCUUGAAUAUGUUCAUAGUGAUGUAUAGGGAUCAACCAAGAUUGCAUCAAUUGGUGGAAGCCAUUAUUUUGUUACGUUUGUUGAUGAUUUCUCUAGAUGUGUGUGGGUGUACACCAUGCGAGCAAAGGAUGAGGUUCUAGAGAUUUUCGUGAAAUGGAAGAAAUUGGUGGUGACUCAAACUGGCAGAAAGAUCAAAGUAUUACGAUUUGAUAAUGGAGGUGAAUAUACUUCUGAUCCAUUCUUGCAAGUAUGCCAGAACGAGGGUAUUAAAAGACAUUUCACGGUGAGACAUACUCCGCAACAGAACGGUGUGGCUGAGCGUAUGAAUCGUACUUUACUGGAGAAGGUACGGUGUAUGUUAUCUAAUGCUGGUUUAGAUAAAAAAUUUUGGGCUAAAGCUAUGAGCUACGCAAGUCACUUGGUAAACCAGUUGCCUUCUGCUGCAAUUAGAGGUAAAACUCCUAUGGAAAUGUGGUCUGGAAAGCAUGCACAAGACUAUGAUUCUCUUCGUAUAUUCGGGUGUCCAGCUUAUUAUCAUGUCAAAGAUGGUAAACUGGAUCUUCGUGCUAGAAAAGCUAUCUUUAUGGGAUUCAAAUGUGGAGUAAAGGGCUUCAAGCUUUGGGAUCUCGAAGACAAAAAGUUUGUGUGUAGCAGAGAUGUCACAUUUGAUGAAGCUUCAAUGAUGAAAGCUUCAAGUUCUCAGCAGGUGGAGAACAAGACCAAAGAGGUAUUGCAGCGGGUGGAGUUUGAUGCAACUUCAUAUGUACCAGUUAGUUCUACAUCAAAGAAUGGUUCAACUAUGGAGGUGACACUUAGAGUUGAAGAAUAUGUUAUUUCUUCUGAUGUCCCACAAAAUGAAGAAACAAUUGAUGAUGUAGAUAAUUAUGAUUUUAUAGCAACAAGGAGACCAAAAAGAGAGAUAAAGAAACUCGAAUGGCUUACUAAAGAUAUGGUGGUAGCCUAUGCACUUUCAGUUAUUGAUGAUGACAUCCCCAACACUUUCGGUGAAGCAUUACGCAACAGUGAAAGUGAUCAGUGGAAGUUAGCCAUGGAGGAAGAGAUGAAAUCUCUCCAUCAAAACCAGACUUGGGAACUUGUAAAGUUACCAAAGGGGAAAAGGGCUAUUGGCAAUAAAUGGGUCUACACCAAAAAGCAAGGAUUUCCGAAUCAAACAACUCCUCGAUAUAAGGCAAGGCUCGUGGCAAAAUGUUUUGCUCAAAAGGAAGGUAUUGACUACAAUGAAGUUUUCUCUCCAGUUGUAAAACAUACUUUCAUUCGUAUCCUACUUGCCUUAGUUGCAGAAUAUGAGUUAGAGUUGGCUCAAUUGGAUGUUAAGACAGCGUUCUUACAUGGAGAGUUGGAGGAGGAAAUCUAUAUAAUUCAGCCUUGUGGUUUCAGAGUUGCUGGAAAGGAGAAUCAUGUGUGUAGAUUGAUUAAAUCUUUGUACGGACUGAAGCAAUCAUCAAGGCAGUGGUACAAAAGAUUUGAUCAAUUUAUACAAGGGAAGAAAUUCACCAGAAGUGAACACGAUCAUUGUGUUUACUUUAGAAGACUACUAGAUGGAGCUUUCAUCUAUUUGUUACUCUAUGUCGACGAUAUGCUUAUAGCUUCAAAGAAUAGAGAUGAGAUCGAAAGAUUAAAGAAGCAGCUGGCUUCUGAGUUUGAGAUGAAAGAUUUGGGUGAUGCACAGAGAAUACUUGGGAUGGAGAUUCAUAGAGACAAGAAGAAUGGGAGCGUAUGGUUGACUGAAAAGUCUUAUUUGAAGAAAAUGCUAGAAAGAUUCGGUAUGGAUGACAAAACUAAACCGGUAUGUACACCUCUAGCUCCUCAUUUCAAAUUAAACUCUUCUUCAUGUCCUAAAUCUCAAGAGGAGCGCGAUUACAUGGCUCGUGUUCCAUAUGCUAGUGUUGUGGGUAGUCUUAUGUAUGCUAUGGUAUGCACAAGGCACGAUAUAUCUCAAGCAGUGAGCAUGGUUAGUAGAUACAUGCACAAUCCGGGUAAAAAUCAAUAGCUUGCGGUAAAGUGGAUUCUCCGAUAUCUGUAUGGGACAGUUGAUGUUGGGUUAUUGUUCAAGAAGGAUUGUGGUCAACAAUGUGUUGGGUAUUGUGAUUCUAAUUUCGCUGGAGACCUUGACAAGCGAAGAUCAACAACAGGCUGCGUAUUCACAUUGGGUGAAGGUCCGGUUAGCUGGAGGUCGAUUCUACAAUUGACAAUUACUCUAUCCAGUACGGAAGCAGAGUAUAUGGCAGCAACUGAAGCUGUAAAAAAAGCUAUCUGGUUGAAAGGCUUGUUAAGUGAUUUGGGAGUAAUCCAGGAAAACAUUACGGUCUUCUGUGAUAAUCAAAGUGCGAUAUUCCUUGCGAAGAAUCAAACAUAUCACGCUCGGACGAAGCACAUAGAUGUGAAAUAUCAUUAUGUGAGGGAGAUUAUCAAGAGCGGUGUUGUGUUGUUGAAAAAGAUCGAUACCAAAGAUAAUCCAUCAGAUAUGUUGACGAAGGUAGUUUCUGGAGUUAAGUUUCAACAUUGCUUGAAACUAAUUCAAAUCCUUCGAUUGUGUUAAGUUAUGUCCUUCGAUAAUUUUGAACUACGGUUGGCUUGAUCCCAAAUUUUGGGUACGUAGGCAGUCACAUAGAUGUAACCACUUUGGGGAUGAUGAUUGGUUGGUAGUCGGCUCAGAUUUGAACAAAUCUUCGCCGAGGUGGAGAAUUAUUGAAAAGUCGCCGAGGUGGAGAAUUGUUGAAAAGUCAAAGAGAUUUGGUUGAAAAAGAAAAGUGAGUCACAUGCAUUGCUUUUGUUUUUCAAAGUCGGCACCAAAUUGCAAGCUGUAAAAUAUUUGGCAUUUGACAAUCCUGCACCAAAUGAAGAAAAAUGGAAAAGUAAGCAAAAUUUGUCAAAUUGACAGAGAUGGAGAUUGACAAAUUGCAGAGGGAUUAUGUGGAAUAGUGCAUGCUUGAAGCCUAUAAAUUGAAGCCAUUUUUUCAUUUUUUCUUACUUUUCCAUUUUUUAUGCAGAGGGAUUAGGUGGAAUAGUGCAUGCUUGAAGCCUAUAAAUUGAAGCCAUUUUUUUCAUUCUAAAUCAUCCCAAAAUUUGUUAAGCUUAUAAGUUUCUAAGCUUUUGAGAGUUCUGAAAGUGUGAGCAAUUGGAGAGUGUGUGUGAGAGUACUAGGUGUAUUUGGGUUCUGGAAAAGUGAGAUUUCUUUACUCAAAUUUGUACUCAAAUAAUUGUUAAUAAUACAAUUAUUUUUCUCUUGCUCCCAUGGACGUAGGCAUAUUGCCGAACCACGUAAAUUCUUGUGUCCUUUAUUUUUCUGUGAUUAUUCGGUGCGUUUGUUUCCGCAUUCUGCGCACAACACAUCCAUGUAUGAAGAUCAUCCAGGUAACCUCUCCAAGCUCUCCCAAACGUCGACUGUUGCUGAUUUUCAGUCUGCCUUUGAGGAUUUGAUGAACAAGGUCACGGGCAUCUCCGAGCCAUUGUUGGUUAAUUUCUUUAUCACGGGCUUAAAACCCGAUAUCAGGCGAGAAUUAUUAUUUGCAAGACCCACAUCUCUCAUGGAGGCUUUUGCUUUAGCCAUAGCUUAUGAGGCACGAUCGGAAGAAAUCAAGACCUCUAGCCGUUCUUGGACAAAGUGGACACCCUCAUCUACUUACACCCACCAAUCCACCAUUACUGCCUCCCCACAUCCUGCAUCAUAUAAAACCCCAACAACAACUACUCUUCCGAGUUUGUUAGCCACUAAACAGCCACCUCAACCCCCAUUAUUGCCUACUCCCACCUUGCCUAUUCAUCGAUUAACUCCAACAGAAUUAAGAGAGAAAAGAGAAAAAAGGGCUCUGUUACAACUGUGACAAAAAAUAUAGCGCCACACAUCGCUGUCGUAGCAAGUUUUUGUUAUUAAUGGGUACGGAUGAUGAAGAUGAUGAGCCAAGUGAGGACGCUUUUAUUCAUGCACAACCAGACGAAGUAGUCACAGCGGACAUAUCUAGUUUGCAUGCCUUGGCUGGGCAAACUAAUCCACGAUCUUUAAGGGUGAUGGGCACCGUUGUCAACUAUCAGUUUCAGGUGUUAAUUGACAGUGGCAGUACCCACAAUUUUCUUAAGCCGCCAUUGGCUAAACGCCUUGGCCUUUCCGUUCAAGCUAUAACUCCUUUUCGAGUUUACAUUGGCAAUGGCAAUUUUCUUACUUGUCGAUUUCUCUGCCCUAAAGUGCCUAUCAAUAUGCAGGGGCAUGAAUUUCUUUUGGAUUUCUUCCUUUUGCCAAUCGAAGGCCCUGAUGCUUUCCUUGGGAUUCAAUGGUUACAAAGCUUGGGAAGAAUUUCUACGGAUUAUUCCGAGAUGACGAUGGAGUUUCAGUAGGAGGGAAAAUCUGUCAUUUUACGAGGAGACCCAAUUCCAAAUCCGAAUUUAAUCUCUUUUAACCAGUUUCAUGCCUUGCUAUCCAACUCCAAAAUCGACAACGUAUUUGAACUUCAUUCUUUACCAACUGAACCAUCAACAACUCACACAUCUACCAACACAUUGCCGGAUAAUGACUUAGAAUUUCCGAGGUCGUUGCCUGAACCUAUUACUACUCUCCUUCAAAAAUUUAAGGCAUUAUUUGCUCCACCCACUGGUCUUCCCCCUCAACGGCUAUUUGAUCACAAAAUACACCUUAUUCCCAAUUCCAAACCAGUCAACGUUCGCCCAUAUCGGUAUCUUUAUUUUCAGAAAACCGAAAUGGAGAAAUUGGUGAGAGAAAUGUUAAAUCAAGGCAUCAUAAAACCCAGCCAAAGCCCAUUUUCUUCACCGGUAAUGCUAGUAAAGAAAAAGGAUGGCUCCUACAGAUUCUGUGUGGAUUACCGCGCUGUGAAUACGGUGACAGUGAAGGACAAAUUUCCCAUCCCCACUAUUGAUGAAUUGUUUGACGAACUUGGCGGUGCUAGGAUUUUCAGCAAACUUGAUCUAAGAGCCGGUUAUCACCAGAUAAGAGUUCACAAGAGGGAUACUUAUAAAACAGCGUUUCGCACGCAUGAUGGACACUACGAGUUUCUUGUUAUGCCGUUCGGUUUGACCAACGCGCCGUCCACUUUUCAAGCAACAAUGAACCAAUUAUUUGCUUCCUUUUUACGUAAAUUUGUUAUUGUCUUUUUUGAUGAUAUAUUGGUCUAUAGUGCAUCAUUGGCUGAUCAUGUGUAUCAUUUGGAGCAGGUUAUGAGUUGUUUAUACACAUAUCAAUUUUAUGUCAAAUUCUCCAAAUGUUUGUUUUGCCAGGAAUCAAUUGAUUAUUUGGGCCAUAUUGUGUCGGCUCGAGGAGUGCACGCUAAUCCGCAAAAGAUCACAGCCAUGGUAGAUUGGCCCUUGCCUAAAUCGGUGAAGCAACUGAGAGGGUUCUUGGGGCUGACAGGGUACUACUGACGUUUUAUUCAAGGCUAUGCAACCAUCGCAGCUUCUCUCACUGAGUUGCUUUGUAAGGAGGCUUUUUAUUGGAAUCUGGCAGCUACUCAAGCUUUUCAAGCAUUAAAGAAGGCUCUUGUGGAAGCCCCUGUACUUCACUUGCCGAAUUUUGCCUUGGAGUUUGUCAUUGAGACCGAUGCUUCUAAUGUCGGGAUCGGUGCUGUGCUAAUGCAAGUCGGGCAUCCUCUAUCUUAUUUUAGCAAAAAGUUGGGUCCUCGAAUGCGUGCAUCCUCGACAUAUUUGAAGGAAUUAUAUGCUAUUGUAGCUGCGGUUCAAAAAUGGCGUCAAUACCUCCUUGGUCGAUUUUUCCUUAUACGCACUGACCAUAAAAGCAUAAAGGAACAGUUUCAACAAGUUAUUCACACCCCAAAGCAGUAAUUUUACAUUCGCAAGUUGAUGGGUUAUCAAUACAGAAUCGAUUAUAAAGCUAGUAACUUCAAUAAAGUUGCUGAUGCUUUAUCGCGAAUUCAUGGGGACAACGUGACUGAAGAACCCAAACCAACAGCACUCUGUUUGUCAUUUGUAAGCCAACCUUCUAGUGAACUAUUGACAGCUCUGCACAAGGAAAAUUGCACUCUUCCUGAUAUGAAAUAACUCCAUCAGAGGUAUGCAGCCGGUUCACUUUCUUCUGACUUCUCGGUUCCUGCUAUUUCGACAUCGAUAUUACCUCAGCCCCAACUCAUCAUUAAAAGCCGUGCUACUCAAAGAGUUUCACGAGACACCUAUGGCAGGACAUGCUGGUAUUAAAAAGACAUUGGUACGUCUUUCAUCGACUUUUUUUUGGCCUAAGAUGAGGAAAGAUGUUGAGCAAUAUGUAGCCGCUUGCCUUGUUUGCCAGCAAAUUAAAUACUCAACUCAAGCGCUGGCGGGUCUGUUACAACCUUUGCCCGUCCCUUCAUUAGUUUGGGAUGAGUUAACCAUGGAUUUCAUUACAGGGCUGCCACUUUUGAGAGGAUUUGAAGCAAUUCUGGUUGUUGUGGAUCGUUUAUCAAAGUCAGCUCACUUUGGAGCCUUGCCUUCUCAAUUUACUGCCAUCAAAACAGCAGCUUUAUUUGCUGACAUGGUUGUAAAAUUACAUGGAUUUCCUAGCUCUAUAAUUUCAUAUCGUGAUCCUAUAUUCAUGAGCAACUUUUGGCAAAAAUUGUUUGAUUUAAGUGGGACAUAGUUAUGCCACAGCACGGCUUAUCACCCUCAAACGGAUGGCUAAUCCGAAGUAGUUAACCGAGGGCUUGAGCAAUAUUUACGAGCCUUCGCACAAGACAAGCCACAGACAUGGUCUUCAUUUUUAGGCUGGGCUGAAUUUUACUACAAUACCAGUUAUCACAGCAGCUUGCGUAUGACUCCCUUUCAAGCCCUUUAUGGACGUCUUCCUCCCACAAUUCCAAGUUACUCAAGGGGCUCUACUUCAAUCCAAGCGUUAGAAGACAUGUUAAUUGAGAGGGAUGCCAUGCUUUGCUCAUUGAAAGAGAACUUACGACAAGCUCAGCAUCGAAUGGCUCAAAAGGCUAAUUUACAUCGCCGAGAAAUUCAAUUGCAGGUAGGUGAUAAAGUGCUGGUACACCUUCAACCAUAUCGCUAGACAUCAGUUGCUAAGCGCUCAUCUCACAAGCUGGCAAGGCACUAUUAUGGACCAUUCACAGUGGUAAAGCGUAUUGGACCCGUUGCUUACAAGUUAGAGUUACCCACAAAUUGUAGAAUUCACUCGGUGUUCCAUAUUUCCUUACUAAAACCUUAUGUGGGAAACUUCCUCAUUGAUGUUUAUUCACUGCCUCCAGGAAGUGUGGAUAACAAGCCCCUGUCAUCGCAAAUUGCAGUAUGUGCUGAGCGAAAGAUACUUCAACAAGGCAAAGUAAUUCCACAAAUUUUGGUGCAAUGGUCUGAUAGCUCACCAGAAAAUUCGACUUGGGAGGACUUUGAGGAAUUUCGUAAACUCUACCCUGCACUACACCUUGAGGACAAGGUAAGCUUUCAAGGAAUGGGGAAUGAUACAACUUGGCCAAUUGUUGUGAAUCAGAUCGAGCACAAUGAGACAGCAAGGGAAGAGACCCAGCCUGCAGAAAUAGAAAAAGUCCAACCCUUGAAUGAGACACAAGCUAGAGAGCAGCUCAAGACAGGUCCAACUUGCGCGAGAAAGAAACCAGGAUGGCUCAAAGACUUUGUCAUUUGAGGAAUGUUCGAGAAUGCUUGAGAUAUCAUAAUAACGAAUAUUGUUCUGUUUUCAAUUAGUGUUUUGUUGUUAUCAAUUUUAUUCUAUUUAGUUAGUUAAGGGUGCGUGGCUGUUUUUGGAAGGGAGAAUAUAUUGUACUGUCAAGGGACCCGUGAGGGCAUGAAAAGAAAGGAUAUCAUUUUGUCUUUUUUCAGCUUCGUCUUCUUUCUCUUCUCUGCAACUCCCCUGUCCCAUUUCUCUUUCUUCAAAUUCUUUUCUCCACGGAUUGGAGUUUGCACUCGCUCAAAGAGUGUCGUAUCAAAGAGUGACUUAAAUUUUCAUCAGUAUCCAGACAUUCUGCAAUCAUAGAGUAGAGAAAUUUUAACAGGAACAGCAGAGAAAAUAUUAUGAAUAUGCUAUAGACCAAUAUACUUGUUCAUAGCUAACGUUUGAUGGUUUAAGGAUUUGUUCUAGGAAUAAUGGGUUGAUUACUUUUUUUAUUUUAAUUUUUUUUAAUCCAAUGAAUGAUAUUCAGCUGUUAAUUAUGUGUUCAUAGGGAAGAACAUUUUCUAAGUACUUUCCUUGCCUUCUAACUUUCCGAAAAGCAAACCCAAUGAACAAACAGAGCACAAACUAAAAUAAAAGAACAGCAAUGAUGACAAUAAAUAAUUGGAAAAGAAAAAAAGGAAAAAGUAUGCACGUUUUCAAGGAAUUAUAAAAUACGAAGGCUUUUAAUGAAAUUUUAUCAUAAAAACGUAUGCAAGGAGUUAUAAAAUUUUAGAAGACGAGGGGAGCUCCCAAAAAAAAAAAAAAAAGAAAAAGACUCAAAUUAAACUAGACUAAAAAGACAUUCAAUUAUGCAAAAUCUGUCCAUAAAAGUCUGAAAGGAUCAUUAAAAUUGCAUUGCAAAUUUAACAGUAAACUGAGGGACCCAUUCUAAAUAAUUCAGUUGAAAUUGCGAAACAAGCCAUGGGAUUAAAUAAAUGAAAUAAAAAUUAAUUACCAGUUGAGACUUUCUUCUAAAAAUUCGCAACUCCAAGUCAUAAGAAGCCUAUGAAAUUAGUCGUAAUACGUAGAGUAUAUCGACGACACCGCCAACAGCUGAAAGUAAAAUUCUUAUUCAUCAAUGUAAACUUACUUUAUAACAAAUAUCUUAUCUAUAUUGUAUUUAAGAAAGCAAAUUUUGUAAAAAUUUAUCAUGGGAGAUAGAGAGUAAUAUGUAUAUCCGUACCUUCUCAGCAGGUAAUUGUUGUAUGGUUGUGUUUAGAUCAUUAUUAGCCCAGCGCCGUUGAUCCGCUGUCUCUCCAUACCAGACAUUUACUCUUGGAGGCGUGAUUGCUUCUCCUGUAGUGAAAAUCUUCAUCUUGGGACAACCAAUCACCCACAAAUCUUGCAAAGAUGGCAAUUUGAAGGUGUAAUUGGGAGAGCAGAAACUUGUGAGGCUAUCUAAAUCAAACAGUUCCAACGUCUUCAAUUUGCGGAAAACAAUCUCUUCUUUUUCAACUCCAUCUUUGUCAUUUAUUACCACCUCUGUCAUUGCUCUGCAUCCAUAUAUUUCUAUUGCUACGAGUCGCACCAGAGUUUUUGCUGUGGAGGAUGUUACCAUGUGUAACAAUUUCUUGCAACCGAAAGCCACCAGAGCUGUUAGGUUCUGAAAAGAUACCGAUGAUGAUGGCAAUAGAAUUAACAGACUUUGACAAUGAUAUGCUUUUAGAAUUUCAAGAUACUGAAAAAUGGGGCCAAGUUUGGAGUCUUGUUUGCACAGCUGCUUCAGAUGAUAGUGCCAGCGCAGCUCUAAUGUUUUUAUCAUUGCCAACUUCCCCACAUGUUUCUCUAAGCUUCCUUCCUCCGAAAAUACCUCUUCGUGGAAUGAAAAUUGAAACAGUGAGAGUAUUUCGAGAUUGUGAAAUCUCUCAAGUACAUUCCAGAUUGGAAAACAAGCUGAGUUAUCUUCGGCAAUCUCUAGUUGUUUAAGACUGCCAAAAAGGUGUUGUGGGAAAUCGGCCUGCAAAAUCAUCUUCACGUCUUUUCCAUUCAAUGAUAGGUCCUUCAAGUUGGGUAAGAUCUGAUCAUCAUAAAUCAUAAUAACUAAUGAGGUCAAUUGAUGUUCUCUCAAAUGAUUUUGAGUAAUCCAAUUACCAGCAGUGACUUUAUAGUAUCUGUUUUAUAUUAAUUUUACCCCCAAAAAAAAUUUAAUUAGUGAUAAAAUUCAUUAUAUGAUUUUUUAUAUGUUAAUUUUAGAGGUAAAAAAGAAAUUAGGGAAAAAGGGUUGAUUUAUAUUUGCAUGAAUUUCACAACAAUAAAUUAUUAAUUUAUUUUGUAAGUCGUUGUAUAAAGAAAAACUAAGGAUUCUUUACCUAAAAAAGUUCAUAUAAUUAUUAAUCUCCCACAUUGAUCCCUUUGUCAAGACUAGCAAAGAUUAUUAUGUAAUAAAAAUUUUCAAUUUAUUAAGUAUUAAUUUAUCAAUGUUUUGUUACAUUUUUCAAAGUCAAAAGACGUCAAUGAGAUAUUGAAAAAAAUAUCUAGAAAAUGACUUCAUACCUUUUCCAAUGGCAAUAGGGGCUGUUGUGCAGGAAUACCAAGUUGAUCAUUCCCAUUAUUCUGCGAUAAAUCUGCAGCGAAUAUUUUUAAUUUGUCACAACGACACACUGCAAAAUUUUCUAGUGCUGGCCAUUCCGAAGUAUGCAUUCCUGGGUAUAAACAUCUAAGUUUUGGUAGACCUUGGAGUAUCAGAACGGUGAGCUGUGGAAAGACAAAAUAAGGGAUCACUUCAUCUGCUCUGUUUUCAGAAAUGAUCUCCUGUAAAUCCUUACAGUCUCGUAUAUCUAGGUGUUGGAGCUGCUUAAGGCUUCCGAUCAUAGACGCUGAAAAUAUGUAUUUCAGUUUGUCACAGUACCACACAACUAAUCGUGUUAAACUUUGAAAGUGAGGAAACACGGCCGCCGGAAUUUGAUUGUAGUGCCAAAUCUUGUCGACAUUAAUUGCAGAUAUCUCCAAAGCCUCCAAGUUAGGCAACGCAACCUAAAAAAAAUAAGAAUUUCUCGUUAGAUCCAAUAUCCAUAUGGGAAGCACUUGUUGAAAUUUUCUUCUUUGAUUACAAAUUAAUGCAAGUCAGAAUCAAUUUUCAACUGACAGCUGAGUUUGAUGCAUUCUAAUUCAUACUACUUGUUAAGAGCUCAAUUAGUGAGCGUGUGAGAUUCUUUUUAUCCUUUUUUCCAUUUUCUUUCAAUUCUUUAAAUGAUUUAAUUAUUUUCCACGUAUGACAUCAAAAGAGAACGCAUGAUAGAAUAAAAUCUGUUAUAUAUAUAUAUAUGAAGAAAAUGUUAGCCUACGCACCUUCUUGUUGAAAAGCAGAGUUGAAGUAUCCUCUUGCGACGAUGGUCUGUUUAGUGAUGCUGAAGGAGUCUUUACUUCACGGCAGACAUUUGUAACCUCUGGAAGAUUCCCCAGACUCAAAGAUCUUAAUUGAGCAAACUCUAUCUUCUCAAUUGCAUUAUCAACUUCUUCCCCAAUUGCAAAAAUCUCUUUCAUCUUGCUGCAAUUAACAACUGCAAUUCUCUCAAGUCUUGGAAGGCAUUUUGUAGUAGAGAGCCAAAAGAUAUUACUCAAUUUAUCACAAUUAUAUGCUUCUACGGUUUUGAGUUAGUUGAAAGACUCUACUUUGAGCCGAUCAACACAUAUCCUCUCCAUGUUGAUCAAAUUGUGAAGGAUAAGUGACUCCAAAAGAGGAAAGGCUUCACAAGCUACCAUCUCCAUUGAGUCCACGAUACACAGGAAGUUAGGAUUAUUUUGAACAUGGAGAUGCUUCAAUUGUGAAAAGCCUUCUGUGUCCAAAUAAAAAAGAACAUUCUUGACACCUUGCAGCUUGUCCAACCAUAGGUAUUCAACGUUAUUGAUGCCCUGCAAUUUCAUGGAGCAAAUGUCCAUAAAAUCAAGCUUGAGCUUCAAUUCUCUUAAACUCUCACGAUUACUCUUGAUCAAAAAGUGCGGCCGGCUUUGAAACCGUUCUCUUGUAACAUUCUUGGGAGGCAUGAAUGACUCAUUUCCAAUGGAUAUAUUGAACCUUUCGAGCUUUCUGGCCAAAAAGCCUUCCGAUAAAAUACUGUCAUUUUUAACAUCAAUUUCUAGAGUGGUUAGCCAAGGUAAAAGCAUCAAUUCAUCAAGGCUAGCAUUACUUCUUUCACUGUUGGCUCUUUCAACCUCCCAUUCAACGGAGCAAUUACCCAUAUACAAUUAUUCUAAUCGGAUUAAGCUUGAUAUGACAUUUGGGGCAAUAACUUUCAGACGGAAACAGUCUGUUAAAUCUAACAGCCUUAGCUUAGUCAGUUGCCCUAGUGCUUUAGGUAACUGUACAAUAUCAGACCGCACAAAGCUAAGGAUUUCUAGAUUUUCCAACUUUCCAAUAAUGGCUAUGUCCAUGUCUCCCAAAAUGCUUUGAUUAAGACAAAGUGUCCGAAGAUUUACUUGAAGAUCAAUUGAAGAUGGCAAUGACAAUAACCGCAUUCUAGUCAAAUCCAAAACCCGAAGCUUUUUCGUCCUUUUGAAGAAGUUCUCAGGAACAUUGGGCCCAACAAAAGAGUUAUUGGGUGACAUGAAUUAAAAUUCAAGUUGUGUAGAUUCCAACACUUCAGGAAUGUCAUUAAUAAUACUAUCUUUUAAACAAAUUGCAAAAUAUUUUUUUAGUGCAUCUGCAUCUGGCCAGUUCCACACACCCUCAUUUCUCACCGCAAAUGCAAUUUUGUCACGACGUGCUAUUGAAAUGGCAACAUCGCGAACAACAUCAUGCAUGGAAAAGAAUUUACUGCUACCAUCCUCAUGCAACAAACAAGACUCUCUUAGUUGAUGGACCCAUGCAUGUAAUUUGUUUGUUAUGUGCAUCUUCUAGCUUAUGGACACUUUCAAAUGCACCCAAGCCCAUGCUAUAUUUGAACAAGUCCAUAAUUGAAGUUGGUGUAAUUAGACUACACAGUAAAAAAGUUUUCUUGAGUUGCUCACCUCUUAAAUACUUGUAACUUAGCUCAAUUGUUGAGUAUGCCUCUACUGGUACUCCUUCAUCGAAGCUUGCCUCUGAAGGCGUUUGGAGUUCUUGCAAGGCAUUCUUCCACACAGGCAGCUCUUUGUUUCUCAGUGCCUUUGCUACUGUGGUUAGGGCAAUAGGCAAACCUCCACAUGCCUUGGCUACAUUUGUUGCUGUAGAUUUUAACUCACGAUUUUCAACAUAAUUACCAGCCAUUAUCUUGAACAACCUCCAAGCUUCUUGCUCAUUUAGAAUGCCAAUCAAGAAGUUAUUUUCAGAUCCCAUACUUAACAAGACAUUACGAUCCCUUGAUGUUAAUAAUAAUUUGCAUCCUCUAUGAUCAUCGCCAAAAGGAAUUCCGACAGUCUCUAAAUCAAGAUAUUUCCAGAUGUUAUCCAGAAUCACAAGGAUCAUCUUCUCUUUCUUCAAUCGUUCAUAAAGUCUACUAGCUCUUCUAGAUUCAGCCUCCUCGGACAACUCCAGACCUAGUUUCUCUGCAAUUUCCCCUUGAAUCUUUUUUAUGUCUGGAGUUUGGGAAACCUCUGAAAAAACCACCUGAUCAAAGAGUUUCUCUUCACUGGCUUGCCUUGCAAACUCCUUCACCAGUGUUGUCUUUCCAAUGCCGCCCAUGCCGUAUACCCCAACGAUGCUGACAUUGACAUCAGUCAAUGCAUCUUGUAUAGACUUCAGAGUAGAAAGUCUUGAUUUAAAGGCCUCGUAACCUUUGUUAGACUUUAGCCAUACCUCCUCCGCAAUGGUACGGUAGAAAAUUCUAUCAUCAAAUCUCCUAGCUUCUUCUUUGAGUUCAACAAGGGCCUUCACCUCUGUUUCUGCUUUCUUGCUAAGCUGAUAGCGGGUCUUCAAAUUAGGACACAAGCCCUUGAAACAUCGCUUACUUGUUGUCUCCCCAUCUUCAAUGAAUUUGGCUGCCUGCUCAAUGGUGUUGUUCGCACUAACCAUCCACUUCUCAACCUUCUCUUCAAUCUUUUCUCCUUUUCUUUCAGCCUCAGAAACUCUGUGCUGAAUGCUCUUACUUUCAUCCUUGAGCUUGUCUAUUUCUGCCUUGAGAUUCUCAAAGUUGUCUUUAUAGUUACGCAAAUAACCAAGUUGGCGUUCUGUUGGAGGAGCGAAGCAUUUCACAACUUCUAACAGAACAGUAACAAUGCUUUCCACCAUCUUCGAUCCUAUUUUUUUCAAAGUUCCGAAAUGAAAAUAAACGACGAGCGAAACACAGAGAGAGAGAGAGAGGCAAAAAAAAGAAAAACGAAAAAAAGAAAAUGAAACAACAAAGAUGACAAGUGUAUAUGGUUGUGGAAGUGGAGAAAUCAAUGAAAGCUUAAAAACUGCUGUGAAUCUGGUGAGAAGAUGGAAACAAGGAAAAGGUUUCUAGUUCAAAAGUGAUUGAAUUGAUAUAAGGAAUGAUUUAGAUAAUAGAGGAAAAGUGAAUCAGUCAAAACAACUUAUGUAUUGACCAGAAGAAAGAUGCAAACAAUAUUAGAGACAACAACCGCGCUAUUGACUGGUAAUAGAGAUGGAGAAAAAGAAAUAUCUUCACACGGUGGAAGUACAAAGGGUAGAUAUGGAACCAAACAGAGACAACAACAUGCCACAACUAGAUUGGGAAUGGAGAGAAACAAAUUAACAAAGACUGGAGAUUACAACAGAACAGAUGCCAAGAGAAAAGGGUUUCUUCAUCCAGUGAAAUUCAAGAGAGUUGACAGCAAAAGGGAGCAUAUGUGUUUCUUGAUUGAGAACGAGUGCAAAGGAUGACUUUUUAAUGAGGUUCUGAAGCUGACGAAUAACGAUUUGCUAAAAUUUUGAGAAAGUUAUAUAUUCCGUAACUUCAACAAGUGAAGAAUAAAAGAAUAAUAGUUCGUCAUCUUCACAAUGAAGAUCAUGGAUGAGAUUAAAAGCUAAAACUAGUUUUCAAAAUAAUUCCUUAUGAANNNNNNNNNNNNNNNNNNNNNNNNNNNNNNNNNNNNNNNNNNNNNNNNNNNNNNNNNNNNNNNNNNNNNNNNNNNNNNNNNNNNNNNNNNNNNNNNNNNNUCUUUUUUCUUUAAUACACGAAUAUACGCGACAUCUUAUUUAUCUUAAUAUGGUUAUUUGAUAUUUAUAUUUUCACAAAUCAAAACAAAAAAAAAGUAGUUAGAUUUUAUAGUUUAAGAAAUAAAUAUAUUUUAUAAAAAUAUUUUUAGAAUAUAUAUUUACUUCUUAUUCAAACUUUUUUCUAUUCAAUAAAAGUCACAAAAGUUACUUUUUCUAUUCAAAUGUAAAUGCUUAAAAAUCAGAUAUAAGUUACAAAAAAUGUUUUUAGAAAAAGUCAUAAAUUAAUAAAAUUUCAGAUUUUAUAUAUUUAACUCCCAAUGCAGAUCCGCCCCUAUUAGUGUUAGGAAAUUGACCGGUGAAGUAGGUCCACAACUAAAAUGAAAUUGAAAGAAAAUGAAGAACAAGCACACAGAGAACACCAAAAAUUACAUGGUUCGACUUUUAGCCUACGUCUACAGGUAAAGACAGAAGGAUAAAACUUUACUGGUGAAAUGAGGAUUACUAGUAUUAUAAUAUUUUGUUUCACUUCCCAGAACCUCAAUCCACUCAAUCUCUUAAAACACUAAUCACUCAAGAGCAUUAAAACUCUUAGUCUCUCACUCUAGAAUUGAAGAAGAAAAGAAUGAAAUGCGGGGGUGAACCCCUCAUUUAUAGUUAAAAAUUUGGGCACUAUUUAUAUAUUUAUAUAUUUUUUUUUAAAUUCAAAGUUUGAACUUGACAUUCAAACUUUGAAUAUCAAAAGGUAUUGGUCGCUCUUCUAGAAAAGCGAUAUUGACUUUGACAUUCUCCCACUUAGAAAUUUAAUUGAGAAUCAAUCAAUCUCCACACCAUCCUUUCUACUUCGCCGCUAUCAUGUUGCUUAUGUCUCUACUAGGCCAUAAAAUGAUCUACUCCAAACAAAUUUAUCAACAUUGAUAGGCUUGGGCAAAACAUUUGUUAGGUUCUCCUUGGUAUCCACUCUUGUAUCUUUCACUACUUCAUGAAGAAGUGAUAUUGUACUCCUAUAUUCUUUGUCCUGGAAUGAAAGGUUGGAUUCCUUGCAUCCUAACUAUCACAAGCCAUAAAAAAUUUUAUGCCCAAGCUCCUUCAGUAACCUUUGUAUCCAAAUAGCCCUUCCAAGCUUGUGUAGCUGCUAUGUAAUCUACUUCUGUUGUUGAUAAAACCACAACGGUCUGCAAUUUUGAAAUCCAACUAACAAUUUCUCCUUCUGGUGUAAAUACUUAGCCAGUAGUGGAUUUCCUUUUAUUAAGAUUUUCUGUAAAAUCUAAAUGCACAUAGCCCUUGACAGUAAAUUCUAAUCCUUCGUAACAUAAUGCAACAUCUAAUGUUCCUCUGAUAUAUCUCAGAAUCCUCUUAAUAGUCUUCCAAUGUUCUUUGCAAGGAUUCGCUAUGUAUCGACUAACCGCUCCCACUACUUGUACAAAUCAUAGUGAACCUUAAAUUUUCCACUGCUGAUGCAUACAGUGCUCAAGACAUCUCUUCUUCUCUACUUCAUUACCAGAUGAAUACUUAAGAAUAACUUAAAAUUAAUAGGAGGCGGGGUAGAAAGCCAAAUCUUCUUGCUAUUACUAUCUCGGUGAAUUUGCAUCCCUAAAAUCUUGUUUACUAGUUCUAAGUCUUUUAUUUCAAACUCCCUAGUUAACUGUGCCUUCGGUUCUUGGACUCGGUCUUUGUUGGGGUCUGCUACCAAUAUGUAAUCCACAUACCACAAUAAAAUGAUGAAAUCAUUAUUAUCAAACUUGUUGUAAUAUGUACAACAAUCUGAACUGAUUCUAUUGUAUCCAAUGUUUAUGAUGAAGGGAUUAAAAUCUCUUAUUUCAACAUUUCGGUGCACGUUUGAGAUCGUAUAGAGAUUUGUUCAACUUGCAAACCAAGUGUCCCUUUUUAGUAAAAUCUUCUAGUUAGAACAUAUAAAUCUUUGUUUCAAGUUCUCCAUGAAGAAAUGAAAUUUUCACAUCUAACUGCUCCAAAUAUAGGUCAAAUGUAGCACACAUUGACAAGACCACUCUGACUGUCCUAGGUCAAAUCACUGGAGAAAAUAUGUCAUUGAAGUUAAUACAUUCUUUCUAAGCAUAUUCUUUCACCACCAAUCUUUCACGAUACCGCUCCACUAAGUUAUUACCAUCACAUUUGAUCUUGUGGACCCAUUUGCAACCAAUGGUUUUUUUUUUUUCAUAUGGUAGUAGUACGAGUUCCUAUGUCAUAUUCUUGUGUAGAGCCUUAAUUUCUUCCUGCAUUGCUAUCAUUCACAAAGUAACAUCUGAGCUGUUUAAAGUUUCAUGGAAAGUUGAUGGCUUUCCAUUCUCUGUUAAAAGACAGUAUGCAAAAUUGAUAUCUAUGACAUAAUCCAAAUGCCACACUGACAGUUAUCUAUCACGAGUUGACCAACAAACUUUUGGGGCCUCAGACUCGAUUGGUUCUUGUUCUCAUACUUUGGUGUUGCUUCAAAAAAAUAUGAAUCUUCAUUUUCCAGAUUAUUUUCAACAUAUAUUAGCACAAUCUCUGAAUUUUUAUAGUGCUAUCAUCCAUAUCUCUCUUUUGCAUUUGAUCUUCUACAAAGAUAAUAUCUUUGCUGAUAACGAUCUUGUGAGCAUUGAGGUCCCAUAGAUAAUACCCUUUCACUCCAUCAAUAUAUCCUAAGAAGAUACAUCUCUAGGAUUUUGGAUCCAUCUUUAAUCUCACUUGGGUAUUGUAUAUCACGUAAAAGGACAUCAAAAUGCCUGAGAUGAGAGUAAUCAAUUGGCUUUCCUGUCCAUUUUUCCAUUGGAAUCUUCAACCUGAUUGCCUUGAAUGAUGACCCAUUUACCACAUAACAAGUAGUUUUUGCUACUUCCGCCUAGAAUGAGUUGAUAGACCAGCAGUUCUCAACAUAACUCUUAUUUUUUCUAUAAGAGUCCUGUUCUUUCACUCUACUACUCUAUUUUAUUGAGGAGUGUAUGCCACCGUGAACUAUCUCUAGAUACUUUCUUGCUUACAUAUGCAAGAAACAUGUUAUCUGUAUACUCUCCACCAUUGUUUGUCCUCAGGCACUUGAUCCCUUGCCCUGAUUUAAGUUCAAUCUACGCUUUGAAUUCUUUGAACAAUAGAAAUACAUUUGACCUUUUCUUGAUUGGAUACACCAAAUAUCUCCUAGAAUAAUCAUCAAUAAAAGUCACCAAGUACUUUGCACCUCCUAUAGAUAUAUCAAGUUAUUCCCAAACAUUAGAAUGAAUCAAGUCUAAAUACAUUUACUUUUGAAAGUGGAUCUGCUAAACUUUCAUCUAUGAUGCUUCCUUGUUUCGACAUGUGGCCAAGUUUAAGAUACCACAUCAUCGUUGAAUUUUCUCUAUUUGAUGUGACACACAUAAAAGCUUUCUGUAGUGUUUCCCUUUAAGUAUGAAUAGAUUAGCACCGAUCUUUUCCACUUUCAUUAAUGCAAGUGCGCCUUUGACUAUCUUUAUGAUCCCAUUUUCUACAUGAGUUUUGCGCGCAAGACUAUUUAUUUGUCCUAAAGAUAAGAGAUAUUUUUCAAGUCUUUGACAUGUCUUACCUUCUCAAUUGUGUGAACCGUACUAUUAAACAUAUUUAUUUUGACAGUACCAAUAUCAGUAAUCUCAAAGGCAUGAUCAUUACCUAUGUAUACAAAUUCUCUUGAAAUAGGUUCAUAUUUGUGAAAUCAUUCUCUUGGAGAGAUCAUGUGCCAGGCAACUAUUAAGUCUAUAAGCCAGACGUCAUAUAGUGGUUUUCUGCCUUUUGAAGUAGUUGUUGCCUUACUGUAGAGAAUUUUGCCCUCAUACGAGGUACUUACUACAUACCCUUGAGCAUUUGAUGACUUAGGAUCUUUACCCUCUCUUCUCUUCUAGUUGUUCCAAUACUCUUCCUUGCCACGCCCUUUCUUGCCACAAUUGUUGCAUUUGACAUUCUUCUUACUUCUUGAUUUUGAUCUACCGUGAUUGUGGCUCUCACUAGGGCCACGUUCCAUGGAUCUUCCUUUCAUCACCAAUAGUGCUUCUACUUGUUGCGAACUCGUUUGUCUAUCUUUUUUAUUUUUUGCUACUCUCCUCAUUUAAUACGGAGGCUGCCAUAUUGUCAAAGACUAACUUGUCUGCUCGAUUGUUAUUAGUUAGAUUAAUGACGAAUUGAUCAUACGAAUCUGGUAAACCUUGAAGUAGAAGCUCCACAUGUUCAUUUUCCUCUAUUUUAUGACCUAACGUUGUAAGUUAUGAAAAUAAAGUCUUUAAAGUGUUGAUAUGGUCGAUCACUGAUGUAGAUUCCGCCAUUCGAAGAGUAUAAAGCCUCCUCUUUAAAAAGAUUUUAUUUUGUAGUGAUUUGACCUCGUAUAGUCUUGUGAGAGUAAACCAUAUUUCCUUUGCUUUCUUUUACUCUACCAUAUUGAAUAAUACCCUAUCUGAAAGUGGGAAGUGUAGAUCUGCAAUGGCAUUAUUGUCUAUUUGAAAGUGGUAAGUGUAGAUCUGAAAUGGCAUAAUACCACUAUUAGAAAAUUGAUUGGUGAAGUAGGGUCACGAUUAAAAUAAAAUUGUAAGAAAAUGAAGAACAAGAACACAGAGGACAUCAUCAAUUAUUUAGUUCGGCUUUUAACUUAUGCCCAUAGGCAAGGACAAAAGGAUAAAACUUUACUAGUGAAAUGAGGAUUAUAAGUAUUUUAGUAUUUUGUUUCACUUCUCAAAACCUUAAUACACCCAAUCUCUCUAAACACUCUUAAUCACUCAUUAUAGAACUAAAGAAGAAAAGAAUGGAAUGAAUGAAAUGAGGGGGUGAACCCCUCUAUUUACAGCUAAAAAUUUGGGCAUUUUUAUAUUUAUUAUUAUUAUUAUUAUUUCUAAAUUUAAAGUUUGAACUUGAUAAUCAAACUUUGAAUAUCAAAAGAUAACGGCACCAACCUUGACUCUUAGGCUGACCUUUAGAGCUUUAAAUAAAGAAAAAGCUUUUAAAAAUGUCAUGUGUACUUGAUUAUACAAAAAUCUCCACCACAUAGAAUGAUUUGAUAAAAGAAAAUUUUUAUUUUUAAUUUUACUUUUAUCAGGCACAGUGCAUUUCCCCUUGGGCUCAUAUGUAAGGAUGUCAAUAAGAAGGGAAGGAGAGGGGAUUGAUUUCCCCAUACUCAUCUUUAAUACUCUGUCUAUCUCUUUGUACUCUAGACAUUUCCUUCAAAAUUACUUGAAAUGAGGGGAUGGAUGUUUCUAAAUAAUACAAAGGGAUCUCCGAUGGUAUCCGAUCGCUGAUUAUUUAAUUUCUUUUUUUUUCUUAAUUUAAUCAUCUUAAAGUAAAAAUAUAAAAUCAUAUUAACACAAAAAUAUCAAAUUAACUAAAGUGAUUAAAAUCAUUUCCAUCAAAUUAAGUCAAUGUCAUCAAAUUAGAACAUAAUCUUUGAACUAAUUAAGCAAAAGUAAAUCUUCAAAGUUGAACUCAUCCAUAAAUGUCAUAUAGUAUAAACCAUCAAUUAAAUUAUCUUUGUCAAUUUUAAAUUGUUUAUAUUUACUUUAUAUUGGCUGUUAUUUAUAUUAUUUUUAUAAAUGUAUUAUAAUAUUUUUUAUUUACAUCACACUAUUACAAUUGAAAUUUUAAAUGUAUUUACUAUAAAUUUGAAAAAAAUGAAUUAAAAAUAGAAACUAAAGAUAGAAAUAGAAAAAUGUGGAGCCAAAUAAAAUAUUAGGGCAAACACCAAGUUAUAUUUCAUGUAACUUACACCCACACAUAUUAAUUUAUCAGAUUCUUGUCUCCACAUAGAAAAAUUAGAUCUAAAAUUAUCAAACUCCCGAAUGAGGAAGAUCCCUCGGGGCCAUCGUCCCUGUGGAAAUUUCUGCAUCCCUGCAGUCUACAACGCCUAAUAAUGAAUUGAACGGUUGAAAUCCCUCUAAAUUUUUGAUAAUUUCUAAUCGCCCCUCCGUAUUUGAUUGAACAUCAAAACUAUUGAGUCCAAAUUUAUAACUUUGAUUUAUCUUCCAUUCCAUAGUUUUCAAGUUCUCUCUCUCUCUCUCUCUCUCUCUCUCUUAAUCCUUUUUACUGCAACCACCAUCAAAGCCUAGUAGUUAAUAUGUAUGCUGCUUUGCUUUCAAAAUCGGACACUACUGCUAUUUAUGGUUUUUAUUCUUUAUUUGACACAAAAUUUGGUGAUAUCUCCGUGGAAAAACACUACUGGUGUAUUCAAUUUUAUCCGGUAAUGGUUAAAUUGAUUAGUUAUAUGAACGGUAACUUCGCCAAGACGAAAAUACAUAUUAAGUUAUAAAGUGUUGGCACUCAUUAUUUUUCGCAAAAAGUUUCGCCCAAAAUACAUAUAUUUUUUUAUUGUUUUAUUUGACACAAAAUAUUGACAAAUUUUUCUGUGAAAAAACACUACUAUUAUAUUCAAUUUUAUCAUUAAAGUUGUUAGUUACAUGAACCUUAAAUUUGUUGGAUCAUAAACUUGAUCCAAGAUGAAUAAAUUCAAGCCCAAUUCAUGGAAGAUUCCAUGAGUAGGUAUGGUUGGUGAAGUAGGUGAGUGGUAGGUUUUAAUAAAUGGUGAUGAUUUAUGUAGUAGUUGAAUAAAUGAAUAGUUGUGAUUAGUUUGUAUCAUGUAUAAAUACCCCCUCUCCCCUUUGGUUUAAGCAUCAAGUGAAGUAACAAAAUCUCUAAGGUGUAGAGAAUGAAAAAUAAGAGUUGUAAUUGGUAAGGAGUGUUGUUGAAGAAAUAAAAUAGUGUGAUUUGUGUGUUUUAUUUGUUAAUUCUCCAACAAAAUUAACACGAACCGUAACUUAGCCAAGCCCAUAAUACAUAUUUCAUAUUUGUAUGAACUUUAAAGUUUUUCCACUUAUUAUUUUUCGCUAAAAGUUUCUAAAUUGUAUUGUAGUUUGAACUUGCCCAUCAUUCAAUUUUUUAACUCCACAAUUAUUUGACCUUACCAAGCUUGAAAAUAUCCUUCCAUACAUAUUUAAUUUUCUCCAAGUAUGAUCAAGAUUUAAUCAAGAGCCUCCGGGAUCUUAAAGUAUAAGAAAGGUCCGGAAAAUCUUUAAAACCCCACUGUUUAAAGUUUUUUUGGACUUUCCUGUACUUUAAAAUCUUGAAUUGAUAUAUAUAUAUAUAUAUAUUAUCAUUGUUAGGUGCUAGUACCCUCAUUUUUUUUUUUAAUGCAAACACCCUCUUAAGCAGUAGGGUUUAAUAGGAUUAUUGUUGAAUAAACUAUAAAGUCGUGCAUCUUAAUAACAUUAAAAACUAACUUUCAACUAGCUCUCUUAAAUUGUACGGCUUAAAAGCAUGUCCGCAUGAAAAAAUAAACAUGCCUGCACCAAAAAAGGACUAUAUAUAUUAUUUAUUUUAUAUAUACAUACGUGUGCACGCUCGUGUAUAUAUAUAUAUAUAUAUAUAUCUUUUUAAUAUAUUCGAUUACUUUAAUAAUCAAUUUAAAAUAGUUUGUGAUAUUUUCAGCUAUUUAUUUAUCUACUUUUAGUUAGUUAUUUACACCGAAUGAAGUGCUAGGGUCCAAAUUUUAGUAUCCUUCUCAGUUGUUUGGGAUUAGUAAAUACUAAUUAGCUUAUUCGUCCCGAACAGGCGCGUAAAUGCUGUUAGAUUUCGGAGAGAUCGAUGCUGAGGAUGGUACAAGAUUUAUCAAAUUGUGGCGACAUUUUUAUACCUUUAGAAUUUCAAGAUUUUGAAGAAAUAAAUGGAAUCUGUUUUCCAUAAGUGCUCCACUAUCCACCAGGAGGAAUUCUAAAACACAUUACAUAUUCGUGAUUUCUCAUAAUAAAUAAACACAUGUUAUAACAUUAUUUACUUAUCGUAUGACUGAUAUGAUACUUUGGAUUGCAAUUCUCAUACAAUACAUAGAAUUAUCAUAAUCUAUAAAUUGUAUUUUUGCUUUUCUACGGUAGUAAGUCAAGAAUCCUUAGUGACAAUUUAAAUUGAAAAAAUAAAAUCAUAAAUAAGAAUUAUUUGAUAAGAAUUAAAAUAAUUGAUAAAUAUUUGAGAGGAGCAAUUUUGGAAGACUCGAUUUCUAAUAGGAGGGGAAUUUGAAUUUUACAACUUUCGGUGAGGAAUCCAAAAUGCACAAUUUGAUGAAAAUUAAAUUUCAAUAGAAAUUGAAUUCCCAUAUGUUAGUGAAAACCAAACAACAGAAAAGUGAAAGGAAUUUGAAUUCAUUUCCUUCCCGUCUCAUCCCUCCAACUAAACACCAUCGAGACCCAAAGAUAUGGGUUUGGAAUUCCAUACUGAUCACAAUGGGAUUUGUCCAUAUUAUUAGGACCAAUUUUAAAAGCAGUCGGAGUUUAAAAUUGAAAUUAAUCCUAAUUUUUUAUUUGGGACUAGAUAAGAAUUUAUAUUGUAACUCCAAUUCUCCCAAUUAUUUUAGUUGAUAAUAUGUUUAACAUUAUUAAUUGCAUAUUAUUUAAUUAUCAGUAUAUAAUAUUCUUUAAUUUUCCAAUUUUAUAGGAUUAGACACAAAAUUGAUUAUGCUAAUAUUCUUUAAUUUUCCAAUUUUAUAGGAUUAGACACAAAAUUGAUUAUGCCUUCUGAAAUUUAAGGGUUAUGUCAAUUGAACAGAAAACUUGGAGUUGAACUUUUGGAUGUUUUUGUUGAUUAUCAAUUUAUGCAUGAAUUUUUGUACGUUUACUUUGGUUUAUUAUUGUUACUUUUAGACAUUUUUAUUGGUUUGAUUUAGGGUCAUUUUGGUAAUCUUGUAAUUUUUAAAGUAGUUACAGUUAGCUAUGCUGUAGAAAUUGAUCAAUUGUGAAGAGAAUCAGCUGAACAUUUAGUAAAAUUUAUUUUUAAAAGUACUUUAGUUUUAAAAGCAGUUGUAUGUGUUUCGUAAAUCUUAUUUUUAAACAGGUGCAAGAAUAUAAAUAACUAAAUUGGACAUAAUGCUAAAUAAAAUUUAUUUACACAUUUACAAACAUGUAUAUAAAAUAUUUUUAUUAUGUACAUAUAAUUAUUGAUAACUAAAAUAAAAAUUUUAUAUUAUUAAAUUUUAUUCUUUAUUUUGUUAUCCCAAUAUAAUUGGUAAUAAUAAUAAUCUCUUAAAGUUAAUGAUUUUAUUUCUUAAUUAAUAAAGAUAAUUCUGGAUUUUUAUUAUAUAAUGAGGAUAUAUAUAUAUAUAUAUAUAUAGAAUUGGAUUAAGUAUAAAAGUGAUUUUCAAAAUCAAAUUUUGAAAAACUAUUCCUUCCAUACUUUUCAAAAUCCACUGUAUGAUGAGAUGAUUUUUCCAAAAAUAAUUGCUAAAAAAUUAUAAAACACUAAAAAUUAGGUUUUAGUUUUUAAAAUCACUUUUGAGCUUCCCAAAAACAAUCCUAACAGGCCUUUAUUUAGGUGGUGUUGGAACUUGUAACUUUUGGAUCAUUUGGUUUUUAUUGGUUUGAUACAACUGUUACACUAAAAAUUGAAUGUAUCUUAAACCCCACACUUCUUCUUCUUCUUUUUUGAUUGCACAAAAUUAAAAACAAUAGUGAACGCAUUCUUUAAUAAACAAUAAGUAAUUACUAAAAUUGUGUUAAAGAAUUUAGUUGAAACAUAAAUUGAUUUCAAUGUUGUAUAUGCUAAAUUUCUUAAAAAUUUCUUUCACGGUUUGCUGAAUAGUUUUAUUAGUAUUUUGAAUAAAUAAAAAUAAUUGAUUUAAUUUUUUAAAGAAAUUUAUUAGGUUCAUGUAAAUACGUUUUUGUUAUUUUAAAAGUGUACAAAGUAAAACUUAAUUUUUUAAAUUUAUUAGAUGAGUGGAUAAAAUAAUUGAGUGUUCAUAGUAAAUUUUAAAGUAUAGAUAGUGAGACCCUAAUAUUUUUAAUAUAUGGAAAUUUUGAAAAUAUGUUAAUGGGAAUUAAAAUGAUAAUUAAGGGAGGCAUUCGAGACAUUCAGGAUUGUUAGGAUAGGACAUGAUUGUGAGCGGUUUGAGAUUGGCCCUAAUUUUGAUCACAAAUAUAUAAGCAGGAUGAGUUUAUCCAUUCUUACAUUCCAUUUGAUAAUUAAGAUGAGAGUGGAAUUGUCAAAUCCCAAAUUAUCCCGGACCAUUGCCACCAAAGGUACUCUCACUAAUAAUAUCUAAAGAAAAAUCUACAUCUAUUUCAUACCUUUUUUUUAAACGGAAAGAGCCCUUAUGGGGCUUGAAAUGGUAUCCUAAAUAAUAUUCAAAAUAUCAGGCCAUGACUGGGUUUGUAACAAACAAAUAUUACAUAGUUGGGAUACGUAGUUACUAGUGUCCCAAUUUAUGUAGUAUCUAUCAUUUAGUGCACAUAUAAAGUGUUUGGGAAAUGAAAUAGGGUGACCAAGAUAAGGUGUUUGCUCAUACAUUAUCGUGCUCUCCUCAAAGUAAAAAGUGAAAAAAUAGUUGAUAGGCUACUAGGAGUUUAUUUGGUCACCUCGAGCACAUCACCUCGACCAGGAUAUUAUUUGGUGAUCUCGAGCACAUCAUCUUGACUAAGAGAUUAUUUGGUCACCUUGAGUAUAUCACCUCGACCAGGAGAUUAUUUGGUGACCUCCAGUAGAUCAUCUUGACCAGGAGGUUACCAGGAAGCACGACUCAGUCGAAACAAAUCUCACUUAUUUUCUUCGAAAUAUUAGGGACCAUAUUCUUAGUGGGCUGAAAAUUGGUGGUUUUCUUGAGAGUUUUAGGUGAGAGGAUAAAAAUCACUAUAAUUUGCUAUAAAAACCCUGGGAAAGGGAGGGAAAUAGGGAGAUUCUUUUUAUCUCUCUCUCUUUGGGUGACUGAACCCAUGGGAUCUUUUUCUUUCUACCACUGGGAACCUUCUCUUUCUCUCAUGAUUUAUUUUUCUUUAAGAUUGGUUAUUUUUUAUUCUUUUCCCAUAAAUUUACUUAAAAGCUUUUUGUUUAAAGUAUUCAUAAUUAAGCCGCGUGAAUUGUGGUACGGAUUUUUCCAAGUAGACCCAAAUCGCUGACUUGAGCAUCGGAGGAUUUUCUUUAAGAUUGAUUAUUGUUUCCAUAAAUUUGAACCAAGAAGGAUGACGCGAUAAAAUUUGUUUUUAUUGUAUGGUUGAUUUCAUAUCUCAUGCACUCAUUUCUUAAGAUAAUUAGAUUUCAUCUUUUGCAAAUGUGGAAAUAUCAAUUAUGGUCAAUCAAAACGAUCUCAAAACCUUUCAACGAGACAUAUUUAUAAUACAAUAUUGUGAAAAUUACACCAAAAAAUUAAUUUAUGAUAUAUUAUUAUCCCACCAGCACACAAAAAUGAAUUCGUACAAAUCUAAAAUACUUAGCAAUUUUCAAAUAGAAUUUUAAAUUUAUUUCCAGUUAGAAAACUAUUCGCUGGACUCCAUAUUACUAGCCACCAUCGUAAGCCUAACCGGUUGCCGGCGAACGGCGUAAAACACCAGCCAUCUUCUUCUUCAUCAUAUUCUCCUUUCAUCUUUUGAGUUAAGCCUGUGAUUAUGAGUUUCUUCUCUUACUUAGCUUGUAAUUAUAGAUUUUGAUUCUUUUUAAUUCAUAUUGUAGCCGUUAUUGUCAAUUUUUGUCCCGCCAGCAAUAUUUUUUUAUUCCUACAAGUUGAAAAUGGAUUCAUUUGAAUUACUAUUGAAUUUAGCUUUAAUUUCAAUAUCCAUUCUAAUGUUUUGCUAUUAGAUUUGCUUUAAUUUUAUGUUUAAAGCUUCUACAAUGAAUAGCGGAGCUUGGGUUUUAGUUUCAUUUUCUGUAACUUGUUUUAGUUUAUCUUGUAUGCUCACCAAGUGCUUGUUAUAUUGUCUGAUAAGUUCUAUACAUUGCUGAUUCUAUAUUAAUAAUGUUAUGUUCUAUUUUCAGAAAUUAUAAUACAAAAGUUUUUACAAUGGCGUGCAUCUACAAACUGAAUUGACUUGUAGAAUAAGAGCUUGGAGUAGUGUUAUGUUCUUGAAUAAAUGAAAGUUCAUAUUGUGUAAGAGCAUGUAGAUGUAAAGCGUCAUUACCAUUUCUAUAAAGGACUUUCAUUCUGUUCAGAUGCUCUUCUUGAACAUUGAAAGGUGCCUCGUUCAAGUCCUAGCUAUAACUACUAGCUUUGAUUAAUUAAGUUCCUAUACUAGCUGAAACAGAUUUAUUUAAUUAAUUAAUUGUGUAUGUACUGAUUAUAUUGAAAGUAUAUGAAUUUUUUUUUUUUUUAACAUGAAUGACUUCUAAAUGACUUAAAAACCUAAAGGAUAUGUGAAAUUAUGCUCAUUUCACAUGAAUGAGCCUAUUAAUACUUUUAUGUCUAUGAUUGUCAAUAUUGGCUUAAGCAUUUCAGUUAAGUGGUUUACCUAACAGAGAAAAAAAUUUAAUAGAAAACUUCAGAGUUCUAACAGAAAUAUAGUUCACUAUGCAGAUAUAGUUAUUUUACGGUAUACAAAUCAAGUUGUCCUAAUCUCAAUGUCCUAUGACCAAUUUUAUUUUAUAUAGUCAUUAAUUUUUGCCAUGGUUUUUUGUGUUUAUGAGUUUGAAAUAGUGGGAUUUGGUGUACCUUAGCAUCUUUUGAAAAUUCUCUUUAAGUGUGGCCAACAGAAAUAUACAUAUAAUCAAGUUUCUUAAUCCUGUAUAUUAGUUUUGGGUAUGAAUGGUCCUAUUCUAGCUCUAGGCAAAGCUUCUUUGUUUUGGGCUUCAGAUUUCCAGUAGGUUAAGUUAAUCAACUAUCAUAACUGGCUAGCUAGUUAUUUGUUUGCCUUGCGGCCAUUACCCAGGGCAUUAUAUUUGCAUAGGCAUAAGGGAAUAGUGAUUAUUAGUGAUUUGUUGAGCUUAUUAUUGACGAAACAAAUGUAUUUCGCCUUUGCCCACAACUUAUUUGAUUAGGUAUUAGACCAUAAGGAGCCUGGAUCUAUUCAUUGGCUUUAUUAUUUUUAUUUGGUUUUUCUUUCAACAAUAUUGUUGAUUUCUUAUAAAAAUAUUCAUUGGCUUUUAAACACCUAAUCAUUGGCUAUAUGAAGCUAAUUAAAACUGAGGCUUUGGAUCAAUUUCUUCUAACAAGAUACAAAUGAGCAAAACCUUUCUCCUCUAAGUUAAUUUUUUUAAUAUCCCUUGAUUUGUAAGGAUCUGGAGGCCUGAAUCCUCUUGAUUUUUUUUAACACUGUCAAUGUUCUUUUUAUUCUGAGAAGGAAAUAAAAGGUUUUAUCUUUCAUACCCGAAUAGUAAGCUGGCCUUGUCUUAACAUGGCCUCCCGAGGACUUGCAAGAUUCAUAGUGCCCCCCACCCCAAAAAAAAACAUAAAAAACACAAAUAGGAAGAUUUUGCAAGAUUCACCACCAGGUUUUUUUUAAUUUAUUAAUUGUGUGUACGUGCUAGUUAUAUGUUGAAAGAAUAGGAAGAAGUAUUUCAACAUGAAUGACUUAAAACUUAUUGCUCAGUAAACAUAAUCUGCAUCAGUGCGAAAAUGUAUUUAUCGUUUGUAUUUUUUAUGGUUUUGCUAAAGAAAUGAUAUGUGAAAUAAUGCUACAUUGCAUCAGGAAUAAAUUGAAGAGAUUUAUGAUAUUUAUGUGUUAUUCAAAUUUCAGAUUCAAUUUUAAACUUUUGAUACGUGCAUUGAAAGCUUAGACUUGUUUAAGAAAUCAUUAAUAGACACAUGUUUUAUUAGUGUCAUCUUUGGAUGAUAGUGAGGAUCAUAUGUCUAUUAAUAAUUCUUGAAUUGUCCAGGCUUGGACAGUUUGGGAAUGCAUAGUUCACUCUGGUAGCUAGUAGCUGAAGUUUUUUCCCACGUAAAAAUGGGUUUUUCGGUAGCUGCUCCUCGUGUUCUCUGGGUACGUACUAGGUGAAUGGGUGUCAUGUGCUGUUUUGGCAUAACGCAUAAACACUUAUAUAGCUAUGUCGUGUGCUUGGAGAAUUAUAGGGAGAUGGUGCCGAAAUUUUUAUAAACGUGGAAGAAAACUUUAGGUACUUGAGAUUGAAGAAACUAAUGCAUUCUUGAGUGGGAUAUGUAGGAUUAGUUGCCUUUUGUAAAUAUGAAGGGAAUGUUGGAUAUAUUGGGGAUAGUGUAGGAGCUGAGUUGGAUGAAUGUAAUUGGUGAUGAUUUUGCUGAGCUGACCUUGGUUUUGAGCUUGUAAUUUUGUUUGUAAAUGGAGUGCUAUCUCCAAUGUUGGUUUAUAAAAAUGUUUCAGGACUUGCUGACCUAAUUUUUUGUUUCUAGGUUACAGGCUUUAUAUAUCUGUAAUUGAUAGCCAAGUGAAGUUCUCAGCACUUGGCAAGGAUAUUUCUUUACAGAAGGUACUGGAAACUGUUUUUUACAUUAAUUAUCGUUGUUUAUAUACUUUGAUUGUCACAUCUUUUUCUCUGAUUCUUGUGGCUUUGCUUGCUUUCAUAUAUGUAAAUUCUAAUGAAAUUAACCAUAAAAUUGUAAAAUGAUUUUUUUAUUAUAUUGCAAAACUGUGCACACACGAAAAUAUCUUGUUUAGUAGUAGAAAUGAAGAAAUAAUUUUUGUAGCGCAUUAAAAGGAGAUAGUCAUGGACAAGUGUUGGGUUGGUUUGCCAAAUAGAUAUCCAAGUCAUAUACUGAUGGCGUUGAAAAAUUUAUAGAUUUUGUAUUUGAGAAUGUUGUUGGUGGUACAAGAAUUUAUUGUCCUUCUUGAUAAGUGUUGUAAUCUAUAUUUCGUUAUAAGGGAAGUGGCUGAUGAUGAUAUGGUUGGAAUGAUACAGUGCAUCACGUAAUCAAAUGUUCAAGUUACACGCAGCAUUGUUAUGAGUGGCAACUUGUCUGGGUGGAGUAUUAAAGGUAAAUAAGCAUGUCUUGUUUGCCAACAAAGCACUGGAUCUAAUUCGUUGAUACAUAGUAGAAAAUUUUGUCACGUGGGUCACCGUCGAUUUUUCCCAACAAAUCAUAGGUUUCGAAAAUAUAGUGUCUUUGAAUAAAACUAGAGAGUAGGGACAAGCACCUUCUCAGUUGUCUGCAACUGAAGUGAAAAAGCAGUUUAAUGUAUUUACUGAGUAUAAGAUUGAAGACUUGAAAAGAGAAGAACGAAUGAGAAAUGAUAAGAUUACUUGGAAGAACAACAGCAUUUCUUAAGAUUACUUGGAUGAGAAAUGAUGUGGAAGAUGGCUAUAAAAGAUAAAAGGAAAGGCUUAAAAAGAAAAGCCACGCCUGUCAAAAACAAAAAUCAAUGGCAGCGUCAAAUUUAUAACAAAAAUCAAAACGGUGCGUUUGAGAGUGUAUAAAAUACAUUUAGAGUGGGAGUUGUGUUGUUGCUUGAAGGCAGAAUGUUUGUGAGAUAUUUGUCGACGAAGCCGAAACCAAAGAUGAAGCCCAUCGAAAGUAUUUAUAGUGUAAAAAGUAUAUUGUGGAAAUGUCUGGUCGGUAAUACAACUAUUUCUUGUAGUGUAAAUGAUACACUAAUUUGAAUUUAUAUGCUUUUAUGAUUAUUUGAUUAUCAAGUGGUGAUCAUAUGUGAUGAUAAACUUAGGUCGUACCUUUAUAUUUAUAGCCUUAGUUUUCUAAGCGUUCACAUUUUGAUGAGUAAAUUAAGGAUUUCUAGAUGAAGUACAUAAUUAGAUUAAUGCUAAGGAACUGAAGUUUGAUCAACUGAAAACGAAAAUAAUAAUGAAGGUAAUUAAGAAAAUGAACAAUGCAGAAGCGGUCCUUAUUAGGACUUCUAGAUUUUCUCUUGGGCUUCCUUAUUAUUGUUAAAAAAUGACACGAAGAACUGAGUUUAAAAAUCUGGCCCUGAUGCCUGGUAGCCCUCCAACAUAUGAAGCACUAGAUGUUUUAAUGAGAAAAUGACAAGACCAUUUAUCAAAUUUCUUGUGGAUAUAAAUACAUACACAUAGACGAGACCAACCUCCUCAAAUGAGAAUCAGAGUGAUUACAAGACCUUGCAAUGGGACGAUAACACACCAUCAAAUCUCAAAAUACAAUAGAAAUUCAUGACAUAUGUAUAAUAAAAGAUCUCUCAUUGAGUCAUAUAUAUUGAGAAUAAAAAUGUUAUAAUACAUACAAAGAGCUUAGCUAGAAUAAAAUGUCUUUGAACUUGCGAUGAUCAAACAAAGGAAACAGACAGGUUGUAACUCACACUAUCACAGAUGUAGCGACACGAUGCAGUGAAUCACAAGAAGAUCACGAAGAUGGAAACGGGAACCCCUCAGAAUGUAAACUUUGAAUAGAGGAAAAAAGAAAAACGUCCUUAUUUCAAAUUGUGCACAGAAGAAGAGUGACUUAAAUCUUCAUCAGUAUCCAGGCAUUCUGCAAUCAUAAAGUAGAGAAAUUUUAACAGGAACAACAGAGAAAAUAUUAUGAAUAUGCUAGACCAAAUUAGUCCCUUUUUUGGUUUGUGAAAACUUUAUUUUUUAUGAAUACGCUAUCCAAUAUUUUCAAUCAAUAUUUCCACAAUAUAGUUGUUCAUAGCUAACGUUUGAUGGUUUAACGAUUUGUUCCAAGAAUAAUGGGCUGAUUACGUUUUGUUUUAUUUUUAUUUUAUUUUUUUUAAUCCGAUGAAGGAUAUUCAGCUGUCUUUAAUUAUGCAUUCAUAGGGAAGAACAUUUUCUAAGUACUUUCCUUGCCUUCUAACUUUCCAAGGAAAGAUAGGUGUAAAGAAAAGCAAACCCAAUGAACAAACAGAGCACAAACUAAAAUAAAAGAACAGCAAUGAUGAGGAUAAAUAAUUAGCAAAUAAAGAAAGGAAAAAGUAUGCACGUUUUCAAGGAUUUAAAAAAUACGAAGGCUUUUAAUGAAAUUUUAACAUAAAAAAGUAUGCAAGGAGUUAUAAAAUUUUAGAAGACGAGGGGAGCUCGCAAAAAAAAAAGAAAAAGACUCAAAUUAAACUACACUAAAAAGACAUUCAAUUAUGCAAAAUCUGUCCAUAAAAGUCUGAAAGGAUCAUUAAAAUUGCAUUGCAAAUUUAACAGUAAACUGAGGAACCCAUUCUAAAUAAUUCAGAUGAAAUUGCGAAACAAGCUAUGGGAUUAAAUAAAUUAAAUAAAAACUAAUUACCAGUUGAGACUUUCUUCUAAAACUUCGCAACUCCAAGUCAUAAGAAGCCUAUGAAAUUAGUCGUACAGCGUAGAGUAUGACGACGACACCGCCAACAGCUGAAAGUAAAAUUCUUAUUCAUCAAUUUAAACUUACUUUAUAACAAAUAUCUUAUCUAUAUUGUAUUUAAGAAAGCAAAUAUUGUAAAAAUUUAUCAUGGGAGAUAGAGAGUAAUAUGUACAUACGUACCUUCUCAGCAUGUAAUUGUUGUAUGGUUGUGUUUAGAUCAUUAUUAGCCCAGCGCCGUUGAUCCGCUGUCUCUCCAUAGCAGACGUUUACUCUUAGAGGCGUGAUUGAUUCUCCUGUAGUGAAAAUCUUCAUCUUGGGACAACCAAUCACCCACAACUCUUGCAAAGAUGGGAAUUUGAAGGUGUAAUUGGCAGGGCAGAAAUUUGUGAGGCUAUCUAAAUCAAACAGUUGCAACGACUUCAAUUUGCAGAAAACAAUCUCUUCUUUUUCAACUCUAUCUUUGUCAUUUAUUACCACCUCUGUCAUUGCUCUGCAUCCAUAUACUUGCACUUUGACCAGUCGCACUAGAGUUUUUGCUGUGGAGGAUGUUACUAAGUGUAUCAAUUCCUUGCAACCGAAAGCUACAAGUUUUGUUAGGUUCCGAAAAGAUACCGAUGAUGAUGGCAAUAGAAUUAACAGACUUUGACAAUGAUAUACUCCUAGAAUUUCAAGAUACUGAAAAAUGGGGCCAAGUUUGGAAUCGUGUUUGCACAGCUGCUUCAGAUGAUAGGGCCGGUACAGCUUUAAUUCUUUUAUCAUUGCCAACUUCCCCACAUGUUUCUCUAAGCAUCCUUCCAUCGAAAAUACGUCUUCGUCGAAUGAAAAAAAAGACAGUGUGAGUAUUUCGAGAUUGUGAAAUCUCUCCAGUACGUUCCAGAUUGGAAAACAAGCUGAGUCAUCUGCAGCAAUCUCUAGUUCUCUAAGACUGCCAAAAAGGUGUUGUGGGAAAUCGGCCUGCAAAAUCAUCUUCACAUCUUUUCCACUUAGUGAUAGUUCCAUCAAGUUGGGUACGAUCUGAUCAUCAUCAAUCAUAAUAACUAAUGAGGUCAAUUGAUGAUCUACGGUCACACGCAGUGACUUUAUAGUAUUUGUUUUAUAUUAUAUUUUAAAAAAAAUUGAAUUAUUGAUAAAAUUUAUUAAAUGAUUUUUUAUAUGUUAAUUUUAGAGGUAAAAAAGAAAUUAGGGAAAAAGGUUGAUUUAUACUGGCUCGAAAUUAUUUUAUUGCACAAUAAUAAAUUACUAAUUUAUUUUGUAAGUUCUUCUAUAUGGAAACACUAAGGAUUCUUUUAGAAAUGCUAUACAAAAAAAAGUUCAUAUAAUUAUUAAUCUACCACAUUGAUCUCUUAAUCUAGACUAGCAAAGAUUAUUGUAUAAUAAAAGUUUUCAAUUUAUUGAGUAUUAAUUUAUUGAUGCUUUGCCAUAUUUUUCAAAGUUAAAAAUAAGCUAUAGACAAAAAAUCUAGAAAAUGGCUUCAUACCUUUUCCAACGGCAAUGGGGGCUGUUGUGCAGGAAUGCCAAGUUGAUCAUUCUGCGAUAAAUCUGCAGUGAAUAUCUUUAAUUUGUCACAACAAUGCACUGAAAGAAUUUCUAGCGCGGGCCAUUCCAAAGUAUGCAUUCCAGGGUACAAACAUCUAAGUUUUGGUAGACCUUGGAGUCUCAAAGUGGUGAGCUGUGGAAAGACAAAAUAAGGGAUCACUUCAUCUGCUCUAUUCUCAAAAAUGAUCUCCUGUAAAUCCUCACAGAAGCGAACUUCUAGGUGUUGGAGCUGCUUAAGGCUUCUGAUCAUAGACGCUGAAAAUAUGUAUUUUAAUUUGUGACAACGCCACACAAUCAAUCGUGUUAAAUUUUGAAAGCGAGGAAACGUGACCGGAAGAUGAUUGUAGUGCCAAAUCUUGUCGACAUUAAUUUCAGAUAUCUCCAAAGCCUCCAAGUUAGGCAACGCAACCUAAAAGAAUAAGAAUUUCUGGUUAGAUCCAAUAUCCAUAUGGGAAGCACUUGUUGAAAUUUUCUUCUUUGAUUGCAAAUUCAUGCAAGUCAGAAUCAAUUUCCAACUGACAGCUGAGUAUGCAUUCUAAUUCAUACUACUUGUUAAGAGCUCAAUUAGUGAGCGCGUGAGAUUCUUUUUAUCCUUUUUUCCGUUUUUUUUCAAUUCUUCAAAUGAUUUAAUUAUUUUCCACGUAUGAUAUCAAAAGAGAACGCAUAAUAGAAUAAAGAAAAUGUUAGCCUACGCACCUUCUCGUUGAAAAGCAGAGUUGAAAUAUCCAAAGUGAUUUCGCUGGAGCAAUACAUAGUCGUCGAUUCCUCUUGCGACACUUGUCUGUUCGGUGAUGCUGAAGGAGUCUCCACCUCACGGCGGCAAAAACUUGUAACCUCAGGAAGAUUCCCCAGACUCAAAGAUCUUAAUUGAGCAAACUCUAUCUUCUCAAUUGCAUUAUCAACUUCUUCCCCAAUUGCAAAAAUCUCUUUCAUCUUGCUGCAAUUAACAACUGCAAUUCUCUCAAGUCUUGGAAGGCAUUUUGUAGUAGAGAGCCAAAAGAUAUUACUCAACUUAUCACAAUUAUAUGCUUCUACGGUUUUGAGUUCGUUGAAAGACUCUACUUUGAGCCGAUCAACACAUAUCCUCUCCAUGUUGAUCAAAUUGUGAAUGGUAAGUGACUCCAAAAGAGGAAAGGCAUCACAAGCGACCAUCUCCCUUGAAUCGACGAUACAAAAGAAGUCAGGAUUAUUUUGAACCCAGAGAAGCUUCAAUUGUGAAAAGCCCUCCGUGUCCAAAUUGAAAAGAACAUUCUCGAUGCCUUGCAGCUUGUCCAACCAUAAGUAUUCAACGUUAUUGAUGCCCUGCAAUUUCAUGGAGCAAAUGUCCAUAAAAUCAAGCUUGAGCUUCAAUGAUAUUAAACUCUUGCGAUCACUGUUGAUCGAAAAGCGAGGCCGACUUUUAAACCAAUGUUGGCCAACACUCAUGGGAUGCAUGAAUAACCCAUUUCCAAUAGAUAUUUUGAACCUUUCGAGCUUUCUGGCCAAAAAACCUUCUGGUAAAAUAUUGUCACUUUUAACGUCAAUUUCUAGAGUGGUUAGCCGAGGUAAAUGCAUCAAUUCGUCAAGGCUAGCAUUACUUCUUUUGCUGUUGGCUCUUUCAACCUCCCAUUCAAUGAAGCAAUUACCCAUAUACAGCUCUUCUAAUCGAGUUAAGCUUGAUAUGAGAUUAGGCGCAAUAACUUUUAGAUGGAAACAAUUGGUUAAAUCUAACAAUCUCAACUUAUUCAAUUGACCUAGUUCUCCGGGCAACUGCAUAAUAUCAGACUUCAAAAAGCUAAGGACUUCUAGAUUCUUCAACUUCCCAAUGAUUGCUAUGUCCCCCAACGCACUUUGAUCCAGACAUAGUGUGUGAAGAUUUGGUAGAAGAUCAAUUGAAGAUGGAAAAGAAGAAAACUGCAUUCGAGUAAAAUCUAGAACUCUAAGCUUUUUCAUCCCUACAAAAAAGUUCUCAGGAAUAUUGAUUUCAAGAGAAGAAUCUUUGAGAGAGACAAAUAAAAAUUCAAGGUUUGGGCAUUCUAAUCCUUCAGGAAAUUCACGAUUACUAUUAUUUCUUAAAGAGAUCGCAUUGCAUUUUCGAAGUGCAUCCUCAUCUGGCCAGUCCCACACAUCCUUAUUUCUCACCAAAAACACAUGUUGGUGGCGGCAUGCAAUUGAUAUUGCGACAUCACGAACAACAUCAUGCAUUGAAAAUUGUUCAUUGCUCUCACCCUCAAGCAACAAACAAGAGUGUCUAAGUUCAUGGACCAAUGCAAAUAAUUUGUCUCGUGCAUCUUCCAUCUUAUUGACUCCUUUAAAUAUACCCAAACCCAUGGAGUACUUAAACAAGUCCGAAGUAAGAAUACGGUUAUCCAUUAGACUACAGAGCAGAAAAAUUUUCUUGAGUUGCUCACCUUUUAAAUGGUUGAAACUCAGCUCAAUACUUGAAUAAGUCUCUGCAGAUACUCCUUCGAAGUUUACCAUUGAAGGCGUUCGGAGUUCUCGCAAGGAAUUCUUCCAUUCAUGAAGACUCUUGCUUCUCAGUGCCUUUGCCACUGUAGUCAAGGCAAUGGGCAAACCUCCACAUGCCCUGGCGACGUCUAUUGCUGUAGAUUUCAACUCACGAUUUUCAACAUCAUCUCCGGCCAUCAUCUUAAACAAUCUCCAGGCUUCUUCUUCAUUUAAAUUGUUUAUCAAAAAGUUGUCUUUAGAUCCCAUUUUUAAGAGGACACUACGAUCUCUUGCUGUCAGCAGUAGUUUGCAGCCUUUAUGAUCUUCUCCAAAAGGAAUUGCAAUAGUCCCCAAAUCAAGAGGUUUCCAGAUGUUAUCCAGAAUCACAAGGAUCUUCUUCUCAUUCUCCAAUCUUUCAUAUAGUCUACUAGCUCUUCUAGACUCAGCUUCCUCGCGCAACUCCAAGCCCAACUUCUCGGCAAUUUCCUGUUGAAUCUGUUUUAUGUCUGGAGUUUGCGAAACCUCUGAAAAGACCACCAUAUCAAAGUGCUUGUCUUCCAUAGCUUGCCUGGCGACCUUCUUCACCAGUGUCGUCUUUCCAAUGCCGCCCAUGCCGUACACCCCAAUGAUGCUGACAUCAACAUCGAUCAAUGCGUUUUUUAUAGCCUCCAAAGUAGAACGUCUUGAUUCGAAGGCCUCGUAGCCUUUGUGAGACUUGAGCCAAAUCUCCUCCGGAAUGGUACGGUAGGAAAUUCUAUCAUCAAAUCUCUCAGCUUCUUCUCGGAGUUUAAAAAGGGCCUCCUUCUCUGUUUCUGCUUUCUUUCCAUGCUGAUAGCGAAUAAUCCAAUUAGGAAACAGCCCCAUGAGACAUCGUUCAUUUGCUUUCUCUUCGUCUUGAAUGAAUUUGGCUGCCUGCUCAAUGCUCUUGUUCGCACUAAACAGCCAUUUCUCAACCUUCUCUUCAAUCUUUUCACUUUUUCUUUCAGCCUCAGAAACUCUGCGCUGAAUGCUUUCUCUUUCAUCCUUGAGCCUAUCGAGUUCUGCCUUGAGAUUCUCAAAGUUGGCAGCGGAGUUAUACCAAUAACUAAAUUCGCGUUGUGCGUGAGGAGACAAGCAGUUUACAACUCCUGGAACAAUGCUUUUCAAAAUGUCCAUUUUUUUUUUCUUUUUUGGGGAAGUGAACGAAAUAGAAAUAGAACAGAGUCAACGACCGCGCAAUUGAUAAUUAAGUAGAAAACAAGGCAAAAUUGAAAAAAGAAAUUAUAUUUGUACAAAACAAGGGGAAAAUCAGUGUAACAGAAGAGAAUCAAAGUGUUUUUGAGAUCAGAAAAUUGAACCAAGAAAAGGGUUGCUUGAUCCAAUGAAAAUGCAAAGAGCUGAUGGCAAAAGGAAACAAAGCUAAAUAAGAAAACGGUUAGCACGAGCAGUGACCACGAUCAACAGAAGCAAAGUGUGUAUGAGAUCAAAAGACGAAAAUGAGGAGAGGUUUUCUUGAUGGAGAAUUGAAGGCAAAGAGUAGGAGCUGACGAAUACGGGGAUCAAGAGGGAAAAACUGCUUGCUUGUAAAACUACUUUCAAGCGAAUCUGAUAAAAUUAUUUCAGUACUCGUGGGCGACUCCUUUUUAAACUGCAGAAGGGGGAAAAAAAAAGUCUGAAUUUCAAUAUAUUAAUCUCGUAAUCAAUGAUUAAUUAGUAGAUAAUCUUUCUAACAAAUAUGUGUUGAAUAGAUAUAUUUCUUGAUUAGUAGUAGGUUCGAUAUACUUUACUAUAGGAAUGAAAGUACAAAUUGUGUCAUAUUAGAAUACAAAUGGGACCUAAAAAUCCCGUUUUAUGGCCUUUUAAUUAUUUGUCAGCUAAUAAUGAAGUCAUAUACAAAAAUUAUUAAUCUGACCUAGUCUUUAAGUCUUAUAAAUGUUUCUAGAUUUUUAAUUAUAAUAUCAUUAUUUAAAAAAUAUUGCUUGACUUACAUUAGUAACAUUACGAUUGUUCAUAAAACAUGUGAUCCUCAUCCAAAGGCCAGGUGAACAAAUAUAAACGACAAAUUCUUUUCAAUUAAAUAAUCAUCAAGAGAUAAUCUUCUAUUUCAGUACAAAUAGCGAGUGCAGAACAGCUGUCAAGAGAUAAUCAUUGUUUAUGGAGCCAUAUAUAUUUUCUAUUAAAAUAGUUCGUGAACAAUUGCCAGAAUCCGUAAAAAUUGUUGAAAGGUCUAUUAUUUUCGAUUAAAAUUGUUGAAAGGUCUAUUAGUUUCGAUUAAAAUAUUUUCGAUUAAAAUAGUUGCGUGAAUAAUUACCAUAGAUAGUGUUUACAUUUUGGAUUGGACUGAAAAUCUUGAAAAGUAGAAAUCUUGGGAUUGAGAGUAUGGAGUAAAAGUGGGUGUAAGUUGUUUACUUACACUGGAAUAUCAGCAUGGAAUAAAGAUUAUAAUCCAAUUUAUGUGUUUACUUUAUCUUGGAUUGGGAGUAAAUAGUUUCAAAUUAUAAUUUUAUCUUUAUUUAAAGAAUUAUAGUUUUUAAUUACAAAGUUAAUAAAAAAAUAUAUUUAAUGAAUAAAAAUUUAUUUUAUUAUAUUUGUAAAUUUAUAAUAAUUAUUAAUAUUCUUAAUUAUGUACAUCAUAAUUUUUUAUUAAUUUUAAUUUUAAUUAUAUAAAUUAAAAAUUAUUGAUAAGAGCAAUGUAAAUGAAACAUUUUUACUAUUAACAUAGUACAAAAUUAAUAUUUUCUUAUAAUUAACUAUUUAUUAUUACUAAUUAUUGAUAUUAAAUAAAUAUAAUACUAUUAUUUUUAAAUAAAUAUAAUAAUAUUAUAUUUUCAAAUAAAGAUAGUAUAUAGUAAUAUUAUUAAUUCUCUAUUAAUAUAAUAAUAUUAUUUUUAAGUAAUUUAAACUUAGAAUCAAACCAAAUUAUUAUUUAGUUAAAUAUAAUAAUAUUAUUUAAAUAAAUAAAAUAUUAUUUAUUUUAUUUUAUUAAAUAUAAUUAUAGUAAAUUUAAUAAAAGGGGGUUAAAAAAGGAAGGUAAAUAUAAAAUGAAAUAUUUUUUAUUUAAUUAUAUUAAAUUUAUUAUUAUAUAAAUAAUAAUAUAAUAUUAUUUAGUAUAAAAUUAAUAUUUUCUUAGAAUAAACUAUUUAUUAUUAUUAAUUAGUAAUAUUAAAUAAAUAUAAUACUAUUAUUUUUAAAUAAAUAUAAUAAUAUGAUAUCUUCAAAUAAAGAUAGCAUAUAGUAAUAUUAUCAAUUCUCUAUUAAUAUAAUAAUAUUAUUUAUUUUAUUUUAUUUUAUUAAAUAUUAAAUAUUAAAUUUAAUUAAAUAAAGGUAGAAAAGGGAGAGGUAGGAGUGGGUUUCCCAUGGGAGUCCCACUCACACUCCCCACUCCAAAAAUGGGUGGGGUCCACGGAGUGGGAUUCCCAAUCCCUCCUUAAAAUAGUGAAGAAAACACUGAAGUUAGAGGAAUUCACACUGCGCACACUCACUCCAGAAAGUAAACAUCGAAAAAGCCAAAGGAUGAAGAACCACUAUAAGUUCUUUUAUGAAUUUAAAAUGCUAAAGAAACUUGACACCAACGCUAAGCUAACAAGUGCAUAUUUUUCUGUGGCCCUUGCCUCAAUGUCUUUCGGGCAUUGCUCGGGGGUAGUUGAUAUACUGAUUAAAAUAUGAAUGAAUUGGAAUGGAAUGAGUUGGAAUUAAAAUAUGGAAUGAUAAUUAAUUAAUUUAUUUAAAUUGUAAAAAUUAAAAUUAAAAUAAAUUAUAUCAUCAUUGAUAUAUUUAUUUUAUUUUAAAAUCACGAUGAGUUGUUACAAAUUACAAAAUAUCUUUAAUUUUUUAUCAUAAUAAUUAUUAUUUAUUAUAAUAUUUUGUUGGCCUAAAUGGUUAUAUAAUCCUUGAUUUUGAUGAUAACAAACUACAUAGAGUACAAUGGUAAAUUUAUUUCUCACAAUUUCACAAGUUUUUGAAGGGCAAAAAUCAUUCAAGUGAGAUCAAGAUCAAGAUACUCAAUAGACAAUGACAAUCAAGGAUGACUACUAAGGGUACUAGUUUACGCAAUCUUUAUUGUUAAAUUUCUUGUAAAGCUAGUAUAAUUUAACGUGUGCAUGAUGUAACAUUUAAAAGCUCAAGAUAUUUUUCAUGACAUUUUCAAAUUAAAUCAUCAUUUUCUAUAAUAUAAAAGUUUUAACGAUUUUAUAAAAUUAGUUGCUUUUUCCAAAUUUAUGGACUAAAUUGAAAAGUUUUGAGAACUUUGAAAUCAACUAAUAAUGUUUUAAAUCAUAGAAAUUGACAUAUUUGUAAAUAUUUCAAACGUUUUGGGUCGUAAUAUAAUUUCAAAAAAUUAGGUCUAAUCUAUAAAUCCUGGAACAAUAGUGGCUAAUCGCUUAACCAAUAGCGGCUAACUACUUCAAGUCCAAAAACAUAGCAGCUAACCGCUUAAAUCAAGUGGUAAUCCACUUGAACCAAAGUUUUCAAAUUUGAUUUGCAACUGUAACUUACCAUAUCAACAUAGUGGCUAAUCGCCUCAUUUUAACGGCGAUCCAGCAAGUCCCUAGAAAAACCAAUAAUUGCUAGUUUGAUUGUUUAAACUAUAAAAUUCAAAUCUAACAAUUUUUUUCAAUCUCAAUUAAGCUAAAACUUAUUCAUAUAUCUUGAGCUUUCAUUUUGCUUAUCUACAUACAUUAAUCAUUAUAGAGCUAUCAUUUGCUUAUACACUCUUAUAGAGUGUAAUCUUUGUAAUCUUCAAUUAAUAUCAAAAUUGAGUGAGUACAAGUGUGGGAAACACUUGGAAAAAGAGGUGUGUGUAUACAUAAUUACUUGUAAAGGUUUAUUAACACCGUAUAAGUCAAUUGUAAAAUUUUAGAGCCUUGGAAGGUUUGGAUAGUAGAAUUCUCAAGUUUGGAUUACUUGGAGGCGUAGUCAUAGGCGGGUUUGCCGAACUACAUAAAAAUUCAUCUGUUUGUUAUCUUCUCCCUUAUCUUUUUAAUUUCACGCAUAGUUAAAUUUACCAUUAUUAAAUUUCUUGAAGCAUUUGUUUAAUUUGUAUUGUGUUUUUGUUAGUAUAAUUUUUAAUACCUAAUUCACCCCCUCUUGGGUUGCUUAGCUAGAAUUUCAUUUGGUAUCAAAGGAAGUUCUCUUGUUAGGACUUAACCAUCUAGAGUAAAAGAUCCAUAGUAAUCCAAAAUGAUCCCAGAUUUGGGGAAGGUUAAUCCCUUCUAGAUCACCAUUCUUUGAUGGGAAUGAUUAUCCAUGUUGGAAAAUUAUGAUAAGAAUUUAUUUGCAAGCAUUAUAUUAUGAAAUAUAGGAAGUUGAUUGUGAUGGUCCAUUCAUGCCUACUGCUAAAAAUGAAGAAGGGAAAGAAAUUCUAAAACCUUCACAAGAAUGGAAUGAGUUGGAAAAGAGAAAAGAUUCUCUUAAUUUCAAAGUCAUGAAUGCUUUGUUUUGUGCCUUAGAUAAAAAAAAAUUCUAUAGAGUUUAAGGUUGUUCCAAUGCUUAUGAAAUUUGGAAAAAACAUAAAGUCAUUUAUAAAGCUACAAAUCAAGUCAAAUAAUAUAAAAUUAGUAAAUAUAGUAGGCAAUACGAAUUGCUAUAAAUGGAACAAAAUGAGAGUGUUAAUCCCAUAUACACUAGAUUAACAGACAUUAUAAACACUUUAGGAACUCUUAGAAAGACCUUUUCAAACAGCGAGAAGGUAAAAAAAAUCAGAAGGUCUUUACCAAAAGAAUGGAGACCUAAGAAAAUUGCCAUUAAGGAAGCCAAUGAUACUUUAUUUAUUGAUGAUUUAAUUAGUUCAUUUAUUUCUUAUGAAAAGGAUUUGACAACUGAAAAAUAUAUUGAAGACUAGAAGAAGAAGAGUAUUUCCUUAAAAGCAUCAAGAUCUAAAAGUGACAACGAAAGUGAGAUCGAAAAUGAAGACAUGGCUAUGAUAGCUGGAAAAAUCAAAAUAAUUUUCAAGAAAUCCAUCGAGCGAAGGAAAUUCAAAAAUCAGAAAGAGAAGAAGGAGGCAAUUAUUUGCUUUAAAUGCAGGAAGCCUAGGCACAUAAAACUAGCAUGUCCUUUUCUCAAAAAAUUAAAGAAGAAAGCCAUGGUAGCAACACGGGAUGAUAGCGAUAAGGAGACUAUAGAUGAAGAGUAGUCCCAUGAAGUGUCAAAUUUGGCACUUAUGGUUAUAGGAGAUGAUUAUAGGAGAUGAACUUGAUGAGGUAAACCUCUUAGGAUGAGUUGUUUGAAGUAUUCUCUAAAUUGCAUAAAGAUUUAAAGAAGAUUGAAAUGUAAAAUGUUUCUCUUGGAAAGAAAAAAGUAGAACUUUUAAAUGAGAAUGACACUUUGAAUAAAAAGAUUAAGUGCCUAGAAGUAUUUGUGAAGAAAUUGCAUCUUUUAAAGAAAAAACAAAAUGUUUCAUCUAAGAAUAAAGGUUUACUUGUAAAUGAUUUGAAAAAGAAAAAUGAAAUAUAUUGCUUUAGAAUUUGCUUAGUAUUAGUAAAUUGUGUGAUAAAGGUUACAAAGUUAUUUUUAUGUGAUAAAGGCUAUAGAGUUAUUUUUUAUAAAACAAAAUGUAUUAUUAAAAAUGCAUGUGAUGACAAAGUUUUAUUUGUUAGAUAAAGAUGUGUUAAUGUAUACACCAUUGAUAUAGAUAGUGUAUCAACUUAUGAUAAAUAUUUUUUUCACAUUACAUGAUGAUAGUUGAUAUGGCAUGGAAGACUAGGUCAUGCGAGCAUGGAUUUGAUUUCAAAAUUUUUUUAAAAUGAUUUGGUUAUAGGUCUUCUAAAAAUUGGUUCUAAAAAAGAUAGAAUUUGUGAAGUUUGCCAAUUUAGAAAACAAAUAAAACGUCCUUUAAAAAUAAAAUUCAUAUUUCUACUUCAAAACCACUUUAACUUUUUCACAUGGAUUUGUUUGAAUUUUCUAAAUAUGCUAGUUUAAGUGGUAAAUAUUAUGCAUUUAUAAUUAUAGAUGAUUAUUCUAUAUACACAUGGUAUUACUCUCAACUAAUAAAGAUGACACCUUUAAUGCUUUCAAAAUUUCUAUAAAAAGAUUCAAAAUGAAAAAUGAUAUGUUAUUUCUUCCAUUAGAAGUGAUCAUGGUGGAGAAUUUGAAAAUUAUAUUUUGAAAAUUUUUACAAUAACUUUGGCAUUGAGCAUCAAUUCUUGUCACCAAGAACUCCACAAUAAAAUUGAGUAGUUGAGAGAAAGAAUAUGUCUAUCCAAGAAAUGGCUAGGACCAUGUUAAAUGAAAAUACUUUACUAGAAUAUUUUUGGGUUGGAGCCGUCAACAUUGUUUGUUAUAUUUUAAAUCAUGCAUUGAUUAGACCUUAUCUCAAUAAAACUCCUUAUGAGCUUUGGAAAAAUAGAAAAACAUUGACUAUUUCAAAGUUUUUGGUUGCAAAUGUUUUCUAUUGAAUACAAAAGACAAUCUUGGUAAAUUUAAUCUAAAAUCUUAUGUUGAUAUUUUUCUUGGGUAUUCAAAUACAAGCAAAACUUAUAGAGUGUAUAAUAAAAUAUCCUUGGUCGCUAAAGAAUCUAUACAUGUUAUGUUUGAUGAAUCUAACUUUUCUUCUAUGAAGAAAGUUGUUGUUGAUGAUGAUGCAUAUGAAGAGUUACAAAAACAAAAAGUCUUUAAAAGACAAACAAUAUGAUUUACCAGGUAAAAAUCAAGAUGAGCAACAAGAAGAACAAGUUAAACAGAUUCAAAAUAAAGGUAAUUCACAAACACUCUCUAAGGAGCUAAGGUAUGUCUCUUCACACCCUAAAGACUUAAUCUUAGGAGAUCCUUCAUGAGGUGUAACUACGAGAUAAUCACUUAGAAAUACAUGUGAACAUACUGUAUUCAUAUCUCAAGUUGAACCAAAAUCCUUUUCAGAUGUGGAAAAUGAUGAAUCUUGGAUUAUAGCAAUACAAGAAGAGUUAAAUCAAUUUGAAUGAAACAAUGUAUGGAAACUUAUUCAUAAACCAUAACAUCAAUCUGUAAUAGGCAGUAAAUGGGUAUUUAUGAAUAAAAUUGAUGAAUCUAGUGUGGUUGUAAGGAAUAAAGUUAGAUUAGUAGCUCAAUGAUGCAACCAAAAAGAAGAAAUUGAUUUUGAUGAAACCUUUGCACAUGUAUCUAGAUUAGAAUCCAUUACAUGCUUUUAUUAUUUGCAUAUCAUAAUGAUUUUAUUUUAUAUUAAAUGGAUGCUAAAAGCACCUUUCUAAAUAGUUGUAUUAUGAAGGAAGCUUAAGUGAAACAACCCCCUCAUUUUAAAAACGAAAAAUGUUUUUGGAUCAUGUUUACAAAUUGUCCAAAGUUUUAUAUAGUUUAAAGUAAGCAUCUAGAGCAUGAUAUGAUAGACUUAGUAAAUUUCUUUUAGAAAAUAGUUUUUCAAUGGGUAAAGCGAAUACUACUCUAUUUGUUAAAUACAAGGAUCAAGGUAUACUUGUUCAAAUUUAUAUUGAUGAUAUUAUCUUUAGUUCUACUAAUGAGUUUCUGUGUAAGGAAUUUUCAUCUUGCAUGAGUAGAGAAUUUGAGAUGAGCAUGAUGGAAGAAUUGAAGUACUUUCUUGGACUUAAAAUUUAAGAGAAAAAAAAGAAUUCAUUAAUCAAGCCAAGUAUUUCAGAGAUCUACUCAAAAGAUUUUGCAUUCAAGACUAAGGACACUCCAAUGAGUACUACAAUCAUGCUCGAUAAGGAUAAAAAAAGUAAAGAUGUUGUAUCAAACGAUAUCGAGGUAUGAUCAUAUCUUUACUUUACUUUACUGCUAGUAGACAUUACUUUAGUGUAUGUUUGUGUGCAUGAUUUCAACCAUAUCUCAAAGAAUCUCAUUUUCUUGCAGUUAAAAGAAUUUUUCAUUAUUUAUGAGGAACAAUUGAUCUUGGUCUAAGGGAACUCAUAUAAAUUAUUAGCUCAAUAAAUUUGUCAAAGAAUCUCAUUGAACAUUCUAGGACCAAACAUAUUGAAACUAGGCAUUAUUUCUCACGUGAUCAUGUUCAAAUGAGAGAUAUUGCUUUAGAAUUUGUUUCUAUGGAAAAAUAACUUGCUGAUAUUUUUACAAACCCUUUUUGUGAAGAAUAGUUUUCAAAGAUUUAGAUUGAGUUUGGAAUGAUGACAUUUUCACAUCAAUAUUUCAUUGCAUGAUAUUGAGACUACAAAUUUGCUUAAUUUUCUAUCUUGAUUGAUUGUACGAUAAAAACUUGAUUUUAAUGUGUUAUAUGCUUGAAUUUACUUCUUUGAAUGUUUAUCAUCAUAUCUUAUGCAUUAAAAAUGGCUUUUAAAAUACUUCAGGAUCACAAAAUGGUCUCAAAAUUAAUUAAAUUUUGGCCAAAAAGCAAAAUCGUGCAAAAUCUAGGGGAACUAGCUAACCGUUAACCACAAGCAACUAGCCAAUUGUGAGGCAGAAACUAGCUGGCCAGCCGGCUCAAAGCAAACGGUUAAUUGCUUGGUUUCUAAAAAUGAAACAGUUAACUGCUUUCUUCAAGAGGCUAGCUGGCUUCACGUUUUCAAAUGUUGUUCAUCUUCUUUUUCCCACUUUUAGUUGUUACCCUCUCUCUAUCACUGUCAUCUCUCAUUUCUUUUAACCUCUCUCUAAAAUCUUCCAUUUUUACAUCACUUUUGUGUCAAGUUAAACUUUCCAAAUCAUUUCCCAUCAAUUAAUCUUCACACAUUUGCUUUUAAAACACAAUCUAAUCACUCUUCUCUCAAAAUCUUAAAGCUUAAGUCACCAGUUUCAAUAUUCUCAAAUUUGAACCAUUAUUUGACCAUUUUCGACCAAAAUAAACCCAUACAUUCCUUAGAUCUUCUCAAAGAACAUUUUAAUCGGUUCAAAGUCAUCUAUUUCUUUAAAAACUUUGUGAACUCGAAUUUGUGCAAUUUUGGACACAUUUUGAUAAUUUCUUAAUGGCUAGUGGUGAGAAGUCCAAGGGUAAGCAUAUGCCUAAAAUGUAAAAAAAAAAAAGAUUCAUAAAGACAUUAUGAAAUUCAUUUCCACCCACUUCCCAAAUCCGCCUCAAUGGAAUGAUUCUCUGAUCGAUUUAUGACAAGGUCAGUCCUCCCAUACUAUAUAUGUUAAUCUUGAUUAAUUAGAAAAUUUGUCAUGUUGUAGCAAAACUCUUAGAACUUUACUUGCUGAAUUGGGUUGGACAAAUGUCUUAGUUCUUAAGGAACAUAUUUGUCCUAAUUUGGUACGAGUAUUUUAUUCGAACAUGCUUAUUUCUACAAAUACUGCCAAUAUGAUUAUUACUAAUGUUAUUGGGAUUCCUAUUAAGUUUACUGUAGAAGAUUUAAACAUGAAUCUCAUAUGAUAGGUUGCAUUUGUAUACAUCUAGGACUAAAAUUGAUUAUCCCUGGUAUUUAGUUGUAGAUGAUGUUUGAAACAUAGAUGUUCGAAACAUAUGUAGGUGAUCUGAUCUAUCCAUGGAGCUUUUUAACUCCUCUCUUAGAUCACAAGUGUUGCCUCUUCAAGUUCGGAUCCUACAUAGUGUCCUUCAGCUUGUGAUCAGUCCUCGCAAGGGACAUGGUGCUGAGGUUACACGCUUAGAUGUUACUUUAUUAGAUAGCAUCCUUGAGGGUAAAAGCUAAAUGUGCGAAUAUUAUCAUUCAGCACAUGCUUAAUACACUGAGUAUAGGAAACCGAUCCUUUUCGGUCUGUAGUGUCAUUACCCAUAUCCUUCAAUAUUUUUGGGUCCCUAUAGCUGAACCAUCUCAUGAUGAACCCAAGGAGUUAAGGGAUGAGGUCAUUGCUAGCUUAGGAUUUGGGUGGGUAGAUGACCAAUAGGUUAAAAAUCAGAACUUGUUGAGCAAACCCACAAAGCUGGCUCUUUUUUAUCAUUGCAUCUUUAACGAUGUGCUUCCCCUUACUGGGUUCUUGAUCUUAGUUCUUCCCUGAGGUCACAAGCUCUGCAUUGGCCUUCUGAUGCUCCACCAUCAUCAUCUUCAGCCAUUCCCAAUAACCCAAUCUAGCAGUUGUUGAAUAAAGUGUGUUCCAUAUCCGAACAGUAAAGCGAGCUUAAGAUAUCGUUCGCAGCAUUCCAGGAUCAUUUUCUUUCUGAGCAGCAACAUCUCUUUCUUCAACAAUAACAAAUUCUAGACCAUCACCAGCUUAUUUUCAUUGCUCUUAAAUUUUCACCACCAUCCUUAUUAUCAUGUUUGCUGCUUCAUCAGUGAUUUUCUUUUAUCUCUUUUGCUUCCUUGUUUUAUGCACCGACAUUAUUUAUCAUAUGCAUUUUCGUUUUUAGCAUUAUGGAUACUUGAUGGAUGUUAUUUUACUUAUGCAUUAUGGAUACUUGAGUUGAUAUGGAUUAUCUUUAUGCAUUCUAGUUAUUGAUUGUGGUAUCUUUAUUAAUUAUCUUUAUGGAUUAUCUUUAUUGAUUAUGGAUUAUGUAUAUGGAUACUUGAUUAAUGGUCAUGUGUGGAUUUUCGAUUGAUGAUAUUUGUGGGGGAUAAUUAUUGAUAAUAUUUGUAUAAUAGAGGAGUGAUUUUUCAUGAUGAAGGGAGAGAAGAUAUUGACAUGUAUUUUGAAGUGUUUUGACAUGUUUUUGGCUCAUGGGGGUUGAUUGAGUGUUUGUAGUAUUUUAGUUACUUUCUGAGUCACUCAAGGAGAGUUUACAAAUGUUGUACAAUUAUAUGGAUCAUGUACUUAGAGGGAGUGAGUUUAUAUAUUUGGUUAUAUUUUUUGAAUUAUGUCAUAUACUCAAGGGCAAUAGAAAUGUCAAAAUACAUAGGGUGUUUGUCAUCAUAAAAAAAGGAGAGAUUGUUGGGGUAAACGACUAUAUGAUCCUUAAUUUUGAUGAUAACAAACCACAUAAGGUAAAAUGAUAAAUUUAUUUCUCACAAUCUGACAAGUUCUUGAAGGACAAAAAUCAUUCAAGUGAGAUCAAUUUCAAGUCACUCAAUGGACAACAACAAUCAAGGAUGAAUACUAAAGGUACUAGCUUAAUUAAUCUUCAUAGCUAUAUUUCUUAUAAAGCUAAUAUGAUUUAAUGUAUGCAUGAUUUAGUAUUUAAGAGUUCAAGAUAUUUUUCAUACAAUUUUCAAAUUAAAUCAUCAUUUUCUAUAAUAUAAAAGUUUUAAACGUAAAUAAAAAUGAUUUUAUAAAAUUAAUUGUUUUCAAAUUUAUGGACUAAAUUGAAAAGUUUUGAGAACUUUGAAAUUAAUUAGUAAUGUAUUAAAUUCUUGAAGUGGACCUAUUUGUAAAUAUUUCAAAAUUUUAGGCCAUAGUAUAAUUUUAGGAACUUUUAGUUUAAAUCUAUAAAAUUUGAAACAGUAGUGACUAACCACUUAACGAAUAGUGGCUAACUGCUUCAGGUCCAAAAACAUAGCUGCUAACCAUUUAAAUCAAGCGACGAUUUGCUUAGGCAAAAAAGUUUUUAAAUUUUAUUUGUAACGGUAACUUGCCACAUCAAUAUAGCGACUAACUUCUUUAUUUUAGCAGCAAUCCGGUAGGUCCUCAGAAAGUCAAUUAUGACUAGUUUGAUUGUUUAAACUAGAAGAACCCAAAUCAAACUCAAAUCUAACAACUUUUUCAAUCCCAAUUAAGUUAAAACUUGUUCAUACAACUAAUCUUGAGCUUUCAUUUUACUUAUUUACAUGCAUUUAAUCAUUAUUGAGUUAUCAUUUGCUUAUACACUCUUAUAGAGAUUAAUCUUUGUAAUCUUCAAUUAAAUAUCAAAAUUUUGUGAGUAUAAGAGUGGGAAACACUUGGGGAAAGAGGUAUGUGUACACAUCACUACUAUAAAAGUUUAUUGACACAUUAAAAGCCAAUUGUAAAAUCUUGGAGCCUGAGAAGGCUUGGAUAGUGGAAUCCUCAAACUUAGUUUGCUCGAGGCAUAAACAUAGGCGAGUUUUGCCGAAACACGUAAAAAUUCAUUUGUUUGUUAUCUUCUCCCUUAUUUUUUUAAUUGCAUUCAUUGUUAAAUUUACUAUUAUAAAUUUCUUAAAGCAUUUGUUUAAUUUGUUUUGUAUUUUUGUAAGUAUAAUUUUAAUACCCAAUUCACCGCCCUCUUGGGUUGUGUAGAUAGAAUUUCACAUUUGUUGUACAACAACAACAACAACAACAAUAACAAUAACAAUAAUAAUUGUUAUAAUGGUUGGAACAAUUACUAUUGAAAAACUUUUAUUGUUAAUAAUAGUAGAAAAUAAGAACAAAAAAGGAAAUUAUCCAAUAACCAUGUAAUCUUUGGGUCUUUUUUAAAAAUACACAGAAACGUUUUUCUUUGUAGAAAUCCACCUAGAGUUUAUUAAUUAUUCACUGUCAUCUUAGCUCAUUAGAAUCUUGUUGAUGUCAUAAGAUUAAAAUUAUCAUUUUACUUGAACACCUAAGAUUAAAGUUAUCCUUUAGAGUUUCUUUCGCUGGGGCUGGUGACCUUAGUGGUUAGAUUUGCUAGAUAUGGUCGUGAGAAACUCGACAAUGGCCGAGGAUUGGCUGGAUUCACGGUGGUUUGGUCAAAAAGUUGACUUGAAUUGGCAUAUGUGGUGCUUCAUUCAUGUUAGAGAUUUCGAUUGCGAUUUGGAUAUCGACAAUGAGAAAGUGGCGUUUGCGGUGGCGCUAGGUGAGGCCCGGGUUUUGGGUUAGCAUUGUGGCGGUUUAUGGCGGUGAUCAUUGGUGGGUUUUGUCAAGUUAUGACCAGUGGAAUCUAGCAAGUUUAGUGGUGGUCUUGGUUGACAGUGAAGAUGGUUGGUUUCACGGUGGCAGCUGGUGGAUGCUCCCAGUUUUUAGGUCUAGAUGAUUUAUAGUAGGUACAAGCGGCGAUUGAUGGCAGGAGUGGCUAAGGUUUGGUAAGUAGUGGCUAAUGAGUUUGGUAGAGGGAUUAGCCAAUGAUGAACUAUUAGUGAAGAGUGGCAGUGGCGGUGGGCGGCUGCUAAGGUUUUGUAAUUUUGUAAUAUUUUUUUGUUGGAUAAACAAUGAUGGAUUUGGUGGGGAUGGAUAUGGGUAGCCAGGAAAACUGUGCAAUUGGCAUUGAACCACUCUAAUACAAACUAACAAAUUGGAAUAGCGGAAGUGGAAUUGAUAGGUCGGAAAUAUUAGCUAUUGUUAUAAUACUGGCUAAGGUAAUGUGGAUAGUUUACGUCCUAAUCGAAACGUGUAGAUCUCAUUCUAACAAUGGCUCAAUGAGAUUUUAAUAACGCAUAAAGCGAGAUUAGACGACGUUCUAAUCCAAAUAACUUUGCAAGAGAGAUUUUAAUAAAUAAUUUUAGAGGGAAUUAUUAAAAAGGGCUUUAUUAGUUGAUCAAUAGUUGAAGUUACAAUAAUAAGAUUUUGAUUUAUAAUAUAAUAAACCUACUUCACUAAGUUAACUUAAAAAGAAAAACUAAAUCACAAUUUUAAUAGAAAUAAAAAAACUAAGACAUAUACCAUAGUUGACUAUAAUUAAAAUAGAAAACGAUAAAAUAAUAAAAAUUAUAAAAUCCUAAAACAAUGUCUACAUCAUAUCCUCACUAAAAUAAAAAUAUAAAAGUAAAGCAAAUUGUGGUAUAACAGACUUUAAUUCUAUCACUCUUCAAUUUUUUUGUUUAUUAAUUAAUAUUGGUGUCUAUGGUUAAAUUUGUUAUUUUUUAUAACAAUUUUAUUUGUUAAUUGAAAUAUUUAGUCUAUGUAAACAAAAAAAAAUGGUUGGAGAGAAUGAGAGAGGAAGGGGGGGAGAGAGAGAGAACAAAGUCAAACAAAUAAUUUAAUGAAUUAUAUUUUUAAAAUUAAAUUUUAAUUUGAUUAAAUAAAUGAUGUAGUGAGAAAAUGAGUAGGUUCAAAUAGCUUUACUUAUAUUUAUUUCAUUAAUGGCUCAAAAUUUAAUGAAAAUAAAUGGUUUUAAAAAAUUGCAUUUAAGUUGCAUAAUUCAAUGAGUAGUGCCACACAUCCUAAAUCUUUUAUCUUAAAAAAUUAUCCCAAAUGAUAUAGUAUUCAUCAAUAGAUUGAAGAGAUAAUACAAUUAAUUCACUCAAAUCUUGAAAGAAUUACCUACUAUUCAAGUAAUGACACACCAUUUGGGAUAUCUAUCAUUACUCUAAUUGAAAAUAAACCUAUCACUGGAUGAUUAAUUAUGGUAGGUUUGCUUAAUACUAAAAUGCCACUCAUAAGUUUUGUUUGGAUUUGUAAUUGAUUUAUCUUAAUCCUUCAACUUGACAUAAGGUCGUUCUCCUCGUUUCUGUACACUUAAAAGUCACCCAGAUCAAAACUAGAUCUAUCGUUGCAUUUGCUUGAAAAAUAAUUUACAAGUAAUAAGUUCUCGUGAUUAAGCAACAUUUUUAAAGGGUUAUGAUAGUAGUGGAACCGUGAUACAAUUUGUAAAUAUUAGAUGGAUUGUUGAAAACAAUAAAAAAUGCUUGUAUGUUUUUUAUAAGGAUCUCCCUAUCUUACAUGCAUGUAAGAUAGGAAUUGCCUUUUUAUAAAGGCUAAAAGAUAAAGUGGUGCAUGGAUAAUUACUUUUUUUUUCCCUUUUUAUCUUAAUCAUGUUUGAACGACAUCCUUUUAUAGUUCCCAGACAUUCUGCAACUAUAAUAGACAAUUUUAAUAGGAACUACAGAGAAAAUAUUAAUAUUUUUAUACUUAUUCACUUACCUGAUGGAUAGUUAGAUAAGUGUUACUUUUCACACAACUAGACCAAAUUAGUACCCUUUUUGGUUUGUGAAAACGUGAUUUUUAUGAAUAUGCUAUAGAUGCUUUCAAAUGUUUCUACAGUUUACGAAUUUACGCAUUAAACGAAAACCUCCAACUAUCAAAUAAAAAGGUGAAAAUUCAAUAGAAUCGACAACUUCUCAGACUCACGUAGGUGGUGGUUCAAGUUUCUAAACUACUAUUAUUAUUAACAGUUUUGAAAAGCAAAUAGUAACUUCAUUUCACAGCAUCUGCUUUUGAGAAAGCUCAGAUGUAAUCAAAAUUCCAAAACCACUCUAAAUAUGUUAGGGAUAUGACCAUAAAUAGAAGUUAAAUAUGAUAGGAUAUAUAGUUGUUCAUAGCUAACAUUUGAUGGUUUAAUUAUUUGUUCUAGGGAUUAUGCGCUGAUUAGUGUUUUUUGUUAUCCGAUGAAUGAUAUUCAGUUUUUCUUACAUGCUCAUAGGCAAGAGCAUUUUCUAAGUACUUUCCUUGCCUUCAAAUUUUGAAAGAAAGAUAGAUAUGAUAUGUGACGCAAGCCCAAUGAAAUAAGCAAAUAAAAUAGAAUAAACGAAGCAAAAAUAUUUCUAGAAACAAGAAAUGACAAAGGAAACACGAAUACAACUUUUUUCUUGUUUUCCUUAUUUUCCUCUGUUAAGCUCCAAAAUGAAUAACUUUAUUCUACCAUCUCUCAAAUAAUAACAUCAACAGCACAUAAUCGUCAUCAAUAAUAAUAAUAAUAAUAACAAUAAUAAUUUAACUUUGUAGGAUGGAGCUCUCGCAAAUCUUCAAGACACAAAAUGUGCUUGACCCCGUUGUUGUUAUUAUAAUUUCAAAAUCAUUUGUAUUAUAUAAAAUUAGGGAAUAAAACAUAGCAAAAUUGAUGGUACAAAUGUUGCAAUAUAUUUUUUCAUGUAGCAACACAUUGAAGUAAAGAAAAGCAAAACAACGAAAAAUGUAACGGGAGAGCUCUCAUUAUGUAGAUUUUCAAUAGAAGUAAUGAAAAUUUCACAAGGACAAUGGCCUUAUUUCGAAUGCUACACCUGGGGAAUGGCUUGAAUCUUUUAUAGAACUCACACUAUUAUAAAAAACGCUAAACAAUGACAAAAAUUUUAUAACAUAUAUCGAUAUGUCAAAAUCAUUUGAUGGUACAUUUUAUAACAAAAAAUGAAAAAUGUAACGGGAGAGCUCUCAUUAUGUAGAUUUUCAAUAGAAGUAAUGAAAAUUUCACAAGGGCAAUGACCUUAUUUCGAAUGAUGCACCUGAGGAAUGACUUAAAUCUUUUAUAGAACUCACACUACUAAAAAAACGUUAAAUAAUGACAGAAAUUUUAUUACAUAUAUAGAUAUGUAACAAAUGUAUCAUGAAAGUGUGAUAGAUUUGUAACAUAUAUUCAUAUGUCUAGAGUUUAUGACAUAUUCAUGACUUAUAACUUAGGGAAAUUUACGAAAAUAACCAUUAAUAUUUUAUUAUUUUCGCAAUUAAUCCUGUCAACUUUUUUCUAUCAACAUUAGCCAAACACAAGCCUUUCUUCCCAAAUUACCCUUCUUUACAGAACAAAACCAACAUUGUUUCUCCCAUGUCGCCAAACCAAAAGCAGCUUGUCACUCUUGAAUCAUCAGCCAACGGCGACCACAAAAGACAACGAUAAAAGUGAUAUCCGAUCAUAAUCUAUCCGGAUCCAACACAAAUCGACAUCAUUUAGUGGUAUGAAUUAUUUUCUGAACUUACUGAACUGAGUUGGGUGAAUCUGAAUCUGCCGACAGGCUAAUGUCGCAGUAAAACUCGGUGCGACAGGCGCCUGUCGCACCGAGCAAGGUGCGACAGGCACCCUGUCGCACCAAGAUUCGGGCGACAGGUUGUCUGUCGCACCCACCCUGGAGAUUCAUUAAAACUGUAUUAUUUUAAUAGGACUGAAAUAAAUUUUUUUUUAUAAUUUCAGGCUUAAUGGAUUCAGUUGUACUUGAAUUGUGUUACGAUGGUUGGUGGGAGACAUUAGAGAAUGGUCGUAUGGAGCAUGUGAAUGGUAAAAAUCGAGCUUUUUUGGUUGGAAAAAAUUAUCUGUUUGAUCAGUUAUUGGCAAGAGUAUACGAGGUGUUACAAAUAAACCCUAAUGAUUAUAGUAUCACAAUGAAGAUAACUUUGAGGUCUAGUAACACAUUAUAUCGUAUAUGUGCAAUGCCCAUGGAUAUAUGUGAUGAUGAAAUGGUGAGGGUUGUGUUGCAUAUGGCAUUUGACGUAGCUAAUGUUGGAUGCAUUCCUAUAUUCGUGACCACAUCACCUUGAGUUCCGAGCGAAGGUAUUGAGCCACUUGUCGAUACAGAAACUUCGUUUAGAGCAAAUAUGUCUGGCCCCGAUAAUGAUGAAGAGGUGUUGCCAAGGACAAUAUCGUUGCAGCAAUAUUACUCUCCAAUCCACGAAAAUUAUGACAACAUUGAUGAUAAUGGCGUUACGUUACAGGAUGUUGGAGCAACGGUAUUUCCAAUAACAACGUCGUUGGAGCAACGAUAUUCUCCGUAUCACAACAAUGAUUUUCGGGACAAUGAUGAUUUUAAUAAUGAGACAGAGGGGGAUAAUGUUUGUGCAGAACCUUCUAAUAAUACGAGGCGGGGCACUCGUUUCAAUAAUGAUGGUGAUGAUAGAGGAGCCGGUCCUUCGAAUGUUCCGUCGUUUCAGCAUGAGGAUGAGUGUGAAGACAAUACUCCUGUGAAUAACAGAGGCAAUAGACCUAUUCCUUCUACGGUUCGAUCGAGAAGGAGAAUUGACCCCCUUACAAGUCUUGCUCCAACUUUGCCUUCGAACAUGGUUGCUCCAAGCUUUGUUAGCAAUUGUGACUCAGAUGAUAUCAGCGUGGGUAAGCUAUUUGCUGAGAAGAAUGAGCUUAUAUUACAACUACGCAAGGUGGCCUUUAGAGAUAAGUUUGAUUUCAAGAUUGCACAGUCUACUAUGACACGUUUCGAGGCUCACUGUUGUUCAGAAUCAUGUAAAUGGCGUAUUCGAGCAACUAGAAGUUCGAACGAGCAAAAUGUUCCUUGGGUGGUGAAGAGAAUUGAUAAUGUACACACUUGUCAUAAUGAGGUAUUGGUUGAUGGACGUCAUCAAGUAAGGAGCCGGGUUGUCGGUCAUAUUAUCGCAGAAAAAUAUAUUCAAGAUAAGAGGAUUUAUACUCCCAAUGACAUAAGAGCAGAUAUGCAACAGGAAUACGGUGUUCAGUUAACAUACCAGCAGGCAUAUAGGGCGAGAGAAGUUGGUCUUGAAAUAGUUCGCGACAACCCUGCAGAGUCAUACAACUUGCUCCCUAAAUACUCUCACGUACUAACUACAGCGAAUGAGGGUACAGUCACUCACCUCAAGCAAGAUGGAGAUGGUAAUUUCUUAUACUAUUUUGUAGCACUCGGAUCUUCCAUCAAGGGGUUUAUGCAGUACAUUCGGCCUGUCAUUGCUGUAGAUGGUACUCAUCUGAAGGGACUAUAUCGUGGAAGCAUGUUCGUGGCAACAUGUCUUGAUGGUAACAAUCAAUUGUAUCCGUUAGCUAUUGGGAUCAUGGAUUCAGAAAACAAUGAUGCUUGGGAAUGGUUUAUGAUGAAGUUACACGAAGUGAUUGGUGAUAGACCUGAGUUGGUAAUUAUCUCUAAUCGAUGCACUACCAUAAGGAGAGCCGUUCUUAAAGUAUUUCACAAUGCAACUCAUGGCGUUUGUUUUUACCACGUCAAAGGUAACAUUAAGUCACAAUUUAGAAUGUCCAAAGCUCUUUGGGAUGAAUUUGAGCCUGCCUUUAUUAAUGCAGCAAAAGCAUAUGGCCAUGAGGAAUUUAAGAGACAACUUGAGGGGUUGUGGAUGGAUCCACUCGGGUGCGGCUGAUUACCUAGAAAAUAAUGUCGGUACGUGUAAUUGGGCAAGGUCUCAGUUUGAAGGUAGGAGGUACAACAUUCUUACCACCAACAUCGCGGAGAGUGUUAAUGCUUUCAUGAGGGAACCUCAAAAAUUUCCUGUUACUCAUCUUGUUGAUCACUUUAGGAAAACAUUGCAGCAAUGGUUUUAUGAUAGAAAAAUUGUGGCUGAAUCAAUGACUACUCGGCUAACAACAUGGGCGGAUGAAAUAGUCACUGAGAGGAGAACUAUAGCUGAAAGAAUGAUAGUUCGGCCGGUGUCUCCGCAUCGCUUUCAAGUUAUAGGCGGUGGGCUUAAGGAAGGGUUGGUUGACUUGCAAAAGAGAAUUUGCUCCUGCAGAGUGUUUCAGCUUGAUCAGCUUGUGUGUGCUCAUGCAAUUGCGGCGUGUCUAACAUACCGGGUGGAUUUUAUUAACCUUUGUUCAGACUUUUACACUACAGAAUCGUUGGCGAUGGCUUAUGCACAACCAGUGGAGCCAGUUGGUGAUGUGGCUGAUUGGGAAGUUCCAGAUGAAAUUCAGGAGAUGCAAGUAUACCCACCAGUUGAGGCACCACCACCUGGCCGUCGUAAAGAGCUCAGAAUACCCUCGGCUGGCGAGGACGUUGACCGGCGGACUGUAAGAUGCUGCCGGUGUCAUGAACUAGGCCAUAAUAGUAAGCGAUGUAAGAAUCCUAUUGCGUCGACUCGAAGUUAGUUGUAUUUUGUGUGUUAUUCGGUGGUUAAAACUAUUAUUGUUUUUGUGUUUCGUUGGUUAAAACUGUUAUUGUUUUUUGUAUUUCGUUGCUUAAAACUGUUAUUGUUUUUUGUAUUUCGUUGCUUAAAACUGUUAUUGUUUUUUGUAUUUCGUUGGUUAAAACUGUUAUUGUUUUUUGUGUAUUGUACACUUAUAUUUCAUAAAACUUUAUUUUAUUUUAAAGUUCAAAAUGUGAGGCAUUAAAAUUAUAUAAACUUAAGUGCGCAAAUUAAAAAAAAAUUCAAAUUUCAACAUUAAAAUUACUACAUAGGUCUAUAAUAUAAUAUCGUCAUUAAAUAUAUCAACCGCAAUCUUCUUUCUAAAGUACUCGACAUGACUAGCGUUAAACUCCAAUCUAAGCCCAAACAUUAAAUACAUCGUAACCAUCAAUACAAAAACACCGCAAUCGCCAGUUCCGGGCUCUUGUUGCGGCGCGCUCUUAACUGCGAUAACUUUCCACGGGUCUUCACUCCGCAACUCAGGUCGGAUAUUGUAGAAGCCAACAUAUUCCAACCAGCGAGGGAAUAUAACUUCAAGUGGCUUGAAUUUCAACUUGUACCUUUUGUCGUCGCGAAAUGUGAGUAAUGAGUCAUAGAUCCAGACUUUAUUUUUCCGAAAGUCAACUCGUGCUAGUACCCAAUGCGCGCCGUCCAAGUUAACAGGGAUGAGUAAAUGCAUAUAAAAAUUGAAAAACAUGUUCGUUAUAUAUGCAAUUGAAAUACAACAAAGAAAAAGCAACAACUCGAAUAUUUUCAUUAUAGAACAUGUGAAAUGUAAUAAAAUACAUACCAUAUCGACAUCUGUCAUUGAUUUUGACAUUGUGUGCUGUCGCCCACAAAGAUAACUAUUUAAGCGGUCGUCGAAUACUAUUGAAUCGACUGCACAAUUCUCGUUAUUCCAUAACUGAUUCAAGAACACCUAGUACAUAGAUAACCAAGAAAUGCAUAAAUUAAUAAAACUUAAAGGCAAUAAUUAAAAAAAAAUUAAAUAGUAUUUAUAAGUUUUGUCGGCACGUUACCCAAAAAAAUGUGUCAGUAUGUGUGACACGUUGGAGUAAGGCAUUUGGAUACUGCCGUUGUUUCUCGCUAAUCAAGCGGAGAUACUCGUGAAUAUGCUGUAGAGAAACAGAAAUAUUACGAUUUAAAAAAAAUUAUACACAAAUCCACAAUAGAAUACACCACGAGGAAAAUAUAAAUACCUCAUCGCCUAGCCAUCCCAUCGAAGCUGUCCCCAAAAUUAUUUGAAAGAAUGACCGCGGGUGCUGGACUCUCCGGCGGACUCUGCUAUCACCAGUGAACCAUCGAUCAAACUCAGCAAACAAACUAGAGUCCUCCAAUUCUCUAAGUGGAUUUACAUCCACACUUGUACUCAUGUCAAUCGCAUGCUCCAUGAUUUGGGGUCGAGGUAAGGGCCGGACGUUCUGUCCUCGCCUGACCGGAGGAAUCAUGUAAGGACUGUUAUAAACAUAUGACGGUAUGUACGCGCGGCCGAACUUACUAAAGCCCGGAGGCACCUCUGUGAACACCUGCACGCUCUCCCCACUAACAUCCCCGUAGAAACUAUACAAUGACGUGGGCGUAGACAAAUUUUCAUUGCCCACGUCAGUAUACACUCCAUAGUCAUCCGGGGCCUAUACAUUCGCCAAAAAGAACAUAUUAAAUAACUAUCAAAUUAAAAGUUAAACGAACAUAAUUAUUAAAUUUAAAUUAGCUUACCGCAUACGAGCGUGCAGUGGGAGAAUCCUUAUUUGGACGUUUAGAAAAUGUGUCGAUGAAGCCAACAACGGUUUCUUUAAAAUCUUUUAAUUCGGACUUUAUUUCAUACACGUUACGAUCAAUCUUAUCCAGCCGUCGUUGUACAUAAUCAUUAAACUGCUUUGUCCUCGACUAUUACAAAAGAAAAAAAUAAAACUUUAGAAUAACAAUAAAAAAAUAAUAAUUUAUAAAGGAAAAAUAUCGUAUAUUAUUUCUAACCUCAGAAUCCCGUGUGUCAUCAGAGUUGUCUGUUUGCUGGUGGUGGUCAUCAACAGCCACCUCAUCCUCAAAAGUGUCAUGACCCACCUCAUCCUCAAAAGUGUCAUGACGCUGCUCUGGUAUUGGGUUUGGUAUGUCGUCAUGAUCGUCAUGCUCGUCUGAUUGCCUUGUAACCGACGGCAUCGCGUUGAUCGAGGGUUGGUGCUGUAUAAAGUAUCAUUUAAAAUUAGUAAAUGAAAAGCCAAAAAUUUCGAUUAACAAAUUUUUAGUACUUAGAGUAUACCGACCUUAUGAACCCAGUCUGGAAUGCUUGGCAAGUAAUUCUUCACAGAGAGCCAAUAUUUUCUGCUACUCUCCUUUGAAUUUGGCUCAAGAGUUUGUAAAAAGUCCCCCUGCCAUAAAUUCAAUUGAAAAUUUUAAGUAAGUAUACAUAACUUAAAUUUAGUAAAGUUAAAAAAAUAAGUAAUACAUAUUACUUACAAGACGAGAUUCGUCGUUGAAGAACGAAUAAACCUCCGCAAAGUUGAUUCUCGAAGACGCCAUGGGAUUCCAUUGCAGAAUGCGGGGAAUCUUAUUCUUCGUUUUGACGACCCAUGUUGAUGGCAACCCUCCGAUUGCUUCGUAAAUCCAAGCCUACAACAACCAAAGUGAAAAAUCAAAUAAAACAACUAUCAAAUAUUUAAUACUAUAAAACUUAUUAAUAAACAAAAAAAAAAAGCACCUGAACCCCAGACGUAAAGCCGUAAAGAUUGUAUAUUUCAAUAUUAUGAUUUGGAUUUUUCAACCGAGUCUUCUUAAAUUUCUCGUCUUUCUCGAACAGUGCAUUGUCAAGACUCUCGUAAAUCAUUUCCCACGACAAUAGACCCCAUGGACGUUUUCGGAAGUACUGUACAUCAUCAACUUGGUCAAGCCAAUCGAAAUUAAUUUGACAGUGAUUUUUUCUUGCAUUUAGUACUCUGUCCGUAAAAUAAAACAGCGUAAUCUUUAAUGCGUCCAUAUCGUCCAUUUCCUCGAAUUUCAACUUCUUAAAUACUGCAUCGAAUUGCUUCACAUUAAUCUUACGAUGCACACCACCAAAAUACGUAUUCCGUAGCCUCUGCUCCAUUUCAUCAUUUUUUUCAUUGGUAUCAACACCAAAUGAAAGUCCAGUAACCAAGCACCAUUCGACAAUUGACAAGCGAAUCAAACGCUUACCAAUUUGAAACCAUAACUGAUCCUCACGGCUAUCGUCUUCAUGGGCCACUUGCCGCAGUAAAAGAUUGUGCAAAAUUACCCCACUAAACGAAAAACUUCGACACUCCAAGAAAUGCUCAAAUAUAUCCUUUUUGAACAUACUCAACUGCCGCAUUGUUAAUUUUUCCUCGAUGGCUUUUACGACCGAAGAUAACAUACACAUGCUCGAAAUUCGACCAGGAAAGUGAUCAGCAUAACGAAAAUACAUCUUGCCUACUUCAAUAUCCGGUGAUUCUGAUUUCGCCAUGUAUCUGUAAUAUUUAUAAAAUUAUUACAUUACAUUUACAGAAAAAAUAUACUCGUUAAAAAAAAAUUAUAAUUUUUGGUCCAAAGCUGGUGCGACAAUGCCUGCUGUCGCACCAAAUCUGGUGCGACAGCGUGCCGCGCAUGGGUGCGCGCGCGCCCCCUGCCCCCCUCCCUCCCCACCCCCAAAAUUAAGCGCAAUCACUCCAAAAUCGAAAACAAUACUCCCAAACACCACCAACCACCACAAACAUCAUCACCACCACUAUUAUUCUCAAGCUAUAACUAUUAUUAUUCUAAAAUCUCAUUUUAAAUUAAUGAAAAUAAGAAAAAUGACUAACCUAGGUUUUGUUGAAGGUUGUAGAUCGUAGAUCGGAUGCCGGUGAGAGAUGGAGCCGCCGCCGACGAGGGUUGAUGUCGCCGCCGAUGAUGGGAGUUGGAUCGGUUUGGGAGAGAUGAGUGCAAGAGAGUGUUGGGGGAGAGAUGAGGGAGGGAUAUUUUGGUCUCAAAUGUUGUUUUAUGGCUAAUGUUGAUAGAAAUAUUUUUGGGGGGGUAAGAUGAAAAAAAGUAAAAUUUUUUUGGUUAUUACUGUAAAUUUCCCUAUAACUUAACUAACAUAAAUAAAUGAUAGAUAUGAGUAAUGUUCAAGUUUUGUGGAUUUAAUAUUUUAAAAUGAUGCCGUUUAAAUUAACGACGCCGUUUUUAUGAAACUUAAAACAUAUCAACACUUCAGCCAAUUAUCGACCAAGUGUUGAAUAAACCCCUCUCGCUGCAACCUAAAAUCAUUGAACUUUGAGCCACUCUUAACAACAUUGUGUGGAACCCUAACCCUAAGCCUCAUUUCCACCACCGAUAAAGCUAAGAAAGUUUCCCGUAUAUCAGAACUAUGGCGAAUUGCCUUCAGUCCUUAGGACCCAUAAAAAAUCUUGUAUUCCCUCGCUUUUACUUCGCUAAUUUUUUGUAUUAUUCCAUCUCUUUCACUUUAAUAACCCAAAAUCUCUCCUCUGUUUCAAUCGAAAGAAAACCCUAGCUUAAAUUAAGCUGAAAUUUACAUAUCAAAGCUCUCGCUCAACUUCCCUCCUUCAAUUGAAACAAAAUGCAGCCAUAAAACCCCAAUACGCCACACCCUUUUGUCUCAGGCCAACAUUCAUUUAAACCCCACCUUUCGGUUCAAUGCCAUUUAAUGCGAUUGCAGAUGCCGUUUCAACUCAUUAUUUAGUUAACGCCAUUCAGUUCUUUGCUGUCAGCCUUAACCCUAAUAACUAAUCGACUGUGGUAGCACGUUGCUGACUCGGGCUGAGGAUACAUGAAUUAAAUAUAUGAAUUGGGUGAUGUCAGUGAUUCAUCCUCCUAUUUGCCGUGAAUUGAGAUUUGUGUAUAAUGUUUGUAAGAUUGUUAAAAAUUUCAUGUUCCAGUCGAAUUUCUUGCUCUCUCUCUAUAUAUAUAUAUAUAUUAUCUUCUUUAUAGUCAGGCUCUGGCUUUGCUGCUAUGCUUAGUGCAGUAUAUGGUUUCAAGACUAAAUUAGGUUUAUUUGACGACAUCGAUAUCUUACCUAGCUCUGCUUGAAAAUGAAAAUGUUGUACUAGUAAUCAUAGACUUUGUUUAUUCAGUUGAUAUUUUAAUUAUAUGUAUAAGAAUGAAGCUUUAUUUGGGAAAAAAAGAAAUAAAGAAAUAGGCUCUGUUGAAGCUAAUUAAUACUUCAUUCUUUCUAUACGUGCGACCUGUGGUGGAAACAUGAUAUGAAAAUGUGUUACUGGUGAGGUUGCUGCUUGAGAUGAGAAUGAUGAGAAUGCCUUCUAUUCGGAAAUCCUUGGUAGGUAUUAUAUAAUUAUAUUUGAUGGAAUAUUAAAUAGCUAAAGAACCUCUGAUAUUGUCUUUGUUCAAUGGUUACUGUAGUAGUGUUUGUUGGUCUUUUUCUGGUUGGCGUUUGGAUGUUAAUGUCAUCAUCAGUUGUACUGGUGUGGGAUCCAGGAUGUUGUCCUCUUAAGAGCCUAUAAGCAAAGUGAAACAGAGAGUAUCUGAGUUUUGUCUGGGCCUUUCGUAGAAAAUCAAGGUGAUGAAUGACAGGAUUCAACAAUGGGGAUGGGGAUGAUGUUCCUGUUGAAAAGUUAGAGAAUAGAGUGGAAGAUAAUCACGAAGAGAUGAAUAUGUAUGAGGGUGAUGGUGAGACGAGUGAAUCUAAGAAUAUGGUUAAUCAAAACCAGGAAGAGAAUUUAGUGAAGGAGAGUUUUGAUGAGAAUACUGAGUCUGAAGAGGAAUCUAAGGCGGUGUCUAAAAAUUACGAUGUUAGAAAAAGGGAAGAUAAGGAAUCUAAAAGUGAAGGUGGAGAUUCGAAUUCAGAAGCUGGAGAAACAGAAGGCGGCGAAUUGAAUAAAAUUGAGCAAAUUGAAUCAGAGAAGAGCUUGGAUGAAAAUAAAUGGAUGAGGCUAGUCAGAUUGAAAAGGAGAAGGAUUCUCAAGAUCAAGAUAAUGACACUGAGAGUCGUUGAAAGGAUCAGGCUUCAACUGAGAUUUUUCCUUUUGGUGACUAGUCAGAAAUUCUGAAGGAAACUAAUGCUCAGAAUGGGGCUUGCUCAACUCAACCUAUUGAGUCAUAGAAUCAGAAAAUAUCACAACAAACUUCUAUAUCUAAGGACCCGUAUGGUCAUCGCUGGAAAGUGUGUAAUGCCACUGCUAGGCCAGAUUGCAUCCCUUGCCUGGACAAUUUGCAAGCAAUUAGAAUGCUUUCCAGCACAAAAGCAUUAUGAACAUCGAGAGAGGUAUUGCCCUGAAGAAGCUUGUACCUGUAUUGCUCCUUUACCGGAAGGAUACAAACACUCAAUUAAGUGGCCCCAAAGCAGGGAUAGGGUAUGAUCUUAUAUUAUGCAUUAUAAAAUAUAUACUUGAGUACUUUUAAUUCACUUGGGCUAAGAUUUGUUCUCAUGCUGUGUGGGAUAGAUUUGGUAUUAUAAUUUUCCCCACACAAAGCUUGCAGAAGUUAAGGGUUAGCAAAAUGGGGUUAAAGUUACUGGUGAAUACCACAUUUUUCCAGGUGGCAGAACUGAAUUUGAGCUCUUCAUUACAUUGACUUCAUUCUGAAGGUGAGCAUUUUUCAUUUAUCAUUUUAUGUCUGUUGUUAGCUUCAAUUAAUACGUGGCUUAUUCUUUUCUUUGUAUGAACCAUGGGCGGUCCAUUUCAUUUUAUAAGCUAUUUCUUGGGUUUUAGCAAGACAAAUAAUAAGAUUUGUGCUGUUUUUGUUUUAUGCGUCUAUAUAAAUUGUGUGUGCGCAUAUCAUACUAGGGGAGUAUUGCUUUAAUGCUAUAUACAGUCAAGGACACACGGUGGGUCACAUUCUGACUCGUUUCAAUGCUUAUUUUAUAAAUAUUUACUUGUAUAUAUUUUGUAGUACUUUUAGAGAUGUAUUCUGCACUGGAUUUUUUAAGUGCUUUUAAUGUAGACUACUGUCUUUGUCUUUAUCUCUCUUUCUGUGAAACUGAAAGGUUCAUAGAAUUUUUUAGAAACCAGUAAUCUUACAAAAAAUUUUAACCUGUUAAUUAAUGCGGUUUCAUUAUCUUGAAAAAUUUUCAAGCGUGCUUGCUUUUUUCUUUUUCUUUCUUCUGAAAUAAUUGUUGAUAUUCCCCUUCUCUUCUAUCAAGUUUCUGAUUCUCUAAAGCCCACAUUAUUUUUGUCUUUCUUUAUACAGGCCUUUAUCAUUUAUUGGCCAGCACCCUUUCCUCGGUUCUAUAUAAGAAUGUAAUUUCGUCCGAAUCUGCCAAAAACCGUGUGCUAUUGUCAACAACAAAUCAGAAUUCCAUCUCCACCUCCUGACAAACCAUGCGUCACCACCUGCUUAGGAAUCCAAAGCCUUUGCUGGUGUUGAUAGUAUGUUCUCUCUCUAUCUCUGUUUUUCCUCGGUUGAGAAUUUAAAACAACAUCAUACUCAUCAUAUACUCUGUUUGGAUUCCUUGAAAUAAUAUUUUUUUAAUUUUUAUUGUUAUUUUGAAUUGUUUCUACAUAUUUUGAAUCAGAGUUGUUUGAGUAAAAUUUAAAUAUCAAUAUUACUGAUACGUGUCUAAUCUGAACUUCUUACCUUAAUAGCUUACUCACCUGUGCUUUUUUUUCUCCCCCCUUUUAAGAAUUCAAAAGCUAUAUUAUGGAUUUUGUUUUUGUUGUUUAUUGUCAUGAAGUAGGAGUGGGCAGAAAAUUGAAGAACCGUAUCAGAUUCGGUUCGAUAUUUGAUUCGGUUGUGCAAUAACCUAAAUUGGACGGUUUCAUUUCGGUUGGGAUGAAUGAAAACCGAAACCGAACCAAUAAUAAAAUUAACAAGCAAACCAAAUGAAAGUCCCAAAACAGUAACAAAACAAACACAGGUUUCUUAUCAAAUUUCACAGCACGACAUGGUCGCUCUAUUUGGUAAAAAAAUAGAAAAAAGAAUAAUGGGUCUCGAAAAUUUUUUAGAGUAUUUCUGUCGCUUACAUUUUUUUCCAUCGAUUAAUGUUAGUUGUAGGUGAAUGAUUGUUGCAAAUCCAUGUUAGCUUGUGAUUGAUUGAAAAUGGCUUGUGAUUUGUUAUGCUGCCAUGUGACAGAUUGAAAAUGGCUCUGAAAUUUUUUUAUUUGUUUAAGGUAUUACUGCUGAUUAUUGAACAGAGAUUCAUGCUAGUUUUUGUUAAAUUGAAGAUGAGAUUUUUUUUAGGAGAUCUGCAAAACCUUCUCUACUAUAGAUUUGGCUUCUAGCAUACCUGGUUGGCUGGAAAUAAUUGUUUAUACAGUCAUUGCUGCCUAUAUUAAUCAGGAAUAUUGAUUAGCAAUGUACUGGGUUAGAGAUUGGUAUAAUUUUGGAAAAUUAGUUGUAGAUGCAACCUGAUUAUGGUCUCAAAUAGUGUGAUCUGUCAAUUUUGUUUGCUCUGGCCUAAUAACCUUGAAUAUGAGCUAUGCCACUAUACAAAGUCUUGACCUAAUCACACUUGUUAGCCAAUGUCCAAAAUUGCAGUGUCUUUAGAUAAGUCCUUUCUUAUUUGUUUCGGUUAUAAAUGAAAAUUGCAGUGUCUUUGGAAAAUCAUGCUGAAUGUUGAAGUUAUGGACGAGAGGAGACCCCCAGAUUCAAGGCCGGAGCUCCCUGUUAAGAAGCUUUACAAAUAUAGGAUUGUCGCCUGGCAGAGGAUUGCUAUGCCUGGUUUUGUUUGGAAUAUGGAUGAAGAUUUUGCAUUGAGGCUUUUUUGAUAGAUCAUUUGGCAAAUCAAGCUCCAUGUAUCUAUCUUCAGACUCUUGGAUAUUUAUAAAGCAGGUGCAUGCUCCAUAUGUUACUCAAUGUAUCACGAUUAUUUUUCUAUUGCUUAAUAUAUUUGCAGUCCUUGAUGAAGUUGACAACUUAUGGAGGGUAUACAGAGGCUCAAGAGCUCAAUCGCCAUUCAUUUUANNNNNNNNNNNNNNNNNNNNNNNNNNNNNNNNNNNNNNNNNNNNNNNNNNNNNNNNNNNNNNNNNNNNNNNNNNNNNNNNNNNNNNNNNNNNNNNNNNNNGGAUUUUGUUUUUGUUGUUUAUUGUCAUGAAGUAGGAGUGGGCAGAAAAUUGAAGAACCGUAUCAGAUUCGGUUCGAUAUUUGAUUCGGUUGUGCAAUAACCUAAAUUGGACGGUUUCAUUUCGGUUGGGAUGAAUGAAAACCGAAACCGAACCAAUAAUAAAAUUAACAAGCAAACCAAAUGAAAGUCCCAAAACAGUAACAAAACAAACACAGGUUUCUUAUCAAAUUUCACAGCACGACAUGGUCGCUCUAUUUGGUAAAAAAAUAGAAAAAAGAAUAAUGGGUCUCGAAAAUUUUUUAGAGUAUUUCUGUCGCUUACAUUUUUUUCCAUCGAUUAAUGUUAGUUGUAGGUGAAUGAUUGUUGCAAAUCCAUGUUAGCUUGUGAUUGAUUGAAAAUGGCUUGUGAUUUGUUAUGCUGCCAUGUGACAGAUUGAAAAUGGCUCUGAAAUUUUUUUAUUUGUUUAAGGUAUUACUGCUGAUUAUUGAACAGAGAUUCAUGCUAGUUUUUGUUAAAUUGAAGAUGAGAUUUUUUUUAGGAGAUCUGCAAAACCUUCUCUACUAUAGAUUUGGCUUCUAGCAUACCUGGUUGGCUGGAAAUAAUUGUUUAUACAGUCAUUGCUGCCUAUAUUAAUCAGGAAUAUUGAUUAGCAAUGUACUGGGUUAGAGAUUGGUAUAAUUUUGGAAAAUUAGUUGUAGAUGCAACCUGAUUAUGGUCUCAAAUAGUGUGAUCUGUCAAUUUUGUUUGCUCUGGCCUAAUAACCUUGAAUAUGAGCUAUGCCACUAUACAAAGUCUUGACCUAAUCACACUUGUUAGCCAAUGUCCAAAAUUGCAGUGUCUUUAGAUAAGUCCUUUCUUAUUUGUUUGAGUUAUAAAUGAAAAUUGCAGUGUCUUUGGGAAAUCAUGCUGAAUGUUGAAAUUAUGGGCGAGGGGAGACCCCCAGAAUUCAAGCCGGGAGCUCCCCGGUAAGGAAGCUUUCCAAAUAUAGGAUUGUCGCCUGGCAGAGGGUUGCUAUGCCUGGUUUUGUUUGGGAAUAUGGAUGAAGAUUUUGCAUUGAGGCUUUUUGGAUAGAUCAUUGGGCAAAUCAAGCUCCAUGUAUCUAUCUUCAGACUCUUGGAUAUUUAUAAAGCAGGUGCAUGCUCCAUAUGUUACUCAAUGUAUCACGAUUAUUUUUCUAUUGCUUAAUAUAUUUGCAGUCCUUGAUGAAGUUGACAACUUAUGGAGGGUAUACAGAGGCUCAAGAGCUCAAUCGCCAUUCAUUUUACACUUGGCUGGGCUAUAGCAUACCAACUAGUGAUUAAUAAAGAGAGGGUAUGAAGGUCCUGUUGCUGGUGGUAUUAUCAAUCAGAAUUGUUAUUUUACUUGGUCAUACUUACCAUGUAUACUAUUCGUAGGCUUUUUUCAUUUUCAUGCAUUCGCAUCAUCUUCUUGUUAAGCUACAGAUGGUUGAUUUGUGUACUCAUUUGUAUCACUUGUAGCUCUUGAGGAAUAAAAUUUAAAAUUAUGUUGCAUCUCUUGUACUAAAUAGUAAUUUUGUUGGCUUUAUGUAUGGGAAAUGGUUUGUUGUCUUAUUUCUUUGAUGUGUAUGGUGUUACACUGUCUAAAGUUCAGAAGUAUUUCUAUCACUUGUGUAAAAAACAACCUACUUUUUUCGUUCUUCUUAUAUUGAAUAAAAGAGGGACACCAAGAUUGAACGAAAUUUGAUUCAGACAGCAUAGCAAUUAGGCCAGCGCAAAACAGCUUCCUUCUGAUUCUUUGAUAUUUGACUUAAAUCUUUUGUUUGUUUCAUUUAUCAAAGUCAUUUUGGAAAGUAACGGGGGUGAUUUGAUAUUUUCAUUGCAUUCACAUCCCUUGGCACCAAAACAAACAUGCUGGUACUAACCAACAAUUUUUUAUUUUCAGUAUACAAAUUUUUUUUUUUCUAAAUUAAGGGUAUUAAGAAAAGGUAUACUAGCACCAGAGGAGGUAUUUGAGAAUACACAAAUAUAAUCUAUCAAAUUGAGAAUACGCCAAAUCUCCGGAGAGGUUUUUGAUAAAUCCUUUUUUUUCUUUUUCCUCCAUUCACUAUAGGUUCAAUUUAGGGUGGUUGUUAAGUUAUAUCAUUGUGUAACAUAGAUCAAUUCAACAGUUGUUACCAGUAACACAAAAGUAUAACGAACAAAAACUAAUUGUGUUACUGGUAGUAACUAUUAAAUUGAUGUAUGUUACAUAAUUAUGUAACUUAACAAGGUCUUCAAUUUAGACACGGUUGACCAAACUGAAGGUUUAGGUUGGUAAACGCACUAGUGUUAAUGUCAACAACCCAAGGGGCUUCAUGGUCCUCUAGGCCGAAAUAGCGUAAUUAUUAAUUCUCCUCCACUGAAAGUCUUUAUCAUCUUGGGACAAAUAAUUACAAAUUGACAUUAUAGCUGUGGAAAUUUGGAGGUGUAACAACCGGAAAAAUAAAAAUCUUAAGAGACUUUAAAUAAAAAAGAUAACACCUUCAAUUUGCUAAAAGUAAUGGUAUCAUUUCUUGUAUGGAUAAUGGAUGAUUAUAUUUUGUUUUUGGUUAUCUGACGAAGGAUAUUAAGUUGUUCUUUAUGUGUUCAUAGGCAAGAGCAUGAGCAUAUGCAUGAUUUGACAUAUGGUUCUUGCAUUUUCUAAUUAAGUGCUCUUUUUCCUUGCCUUCUUAGUUUGAAAGAAAGAUGUGAAGCAAAGCAAACCCAGUGAAAUGUACAGAGAAACAGAACCAUCAGAGGAAAAACUAAAUAACAGAACUACAAUUGAACCAAACAAAAUCAAAUAAACGGACGCAACAGAUGCCCUGAACCUAGUAAUUACUCAAGAGUUGAGGAGUUGGAAUGAUUUGGUAUUCAUAUCUUCACAAAUCAUAUGCUUUAAUGCAGAAUCGACAGCUUUAUAUUAUUUUAUUCAAAAAACGAUAAAGCAGGAAAACCACAAUAAUCCACCAACUUUUGAUACUUGUAGGAAUUUUUUUUAGUCAAAUUAAGUUUCAUGAUAACACAAGUGGCUCGUCCACACACUUGCACUUGCUUGAAUAUUUGUGCCGACAUUUUCGUAUGUGAUGGUACUUCUUAGCCAGUAGAUAUGUUGAAAUACUACAAAACAGAGUAUUUGAUGAAGUUUUGCUACUUUCGUAUCCCCUUUUUUUGUUGCAUAACUAAAUUCUUUAUAAACACAAAUUAGAAAGAUACAAAUAAUACAGUAGCUUGAAUUUAUAUGCUUUUAUGAUUAUUUGAUAAUCUAGUGCUGAUCAUAUGUGAUGAUAAACUUAGCUAGUAGUUUUAUAUUUGUUUUCGCAGUUUCCUUAGCGUUCACAUUUUGAUGAGUAAAUUAAGGAUUUCCAGAUGAAGUACAUAAUUAGAUGAAUGCAAAGGAACUGAAGUUUGAUUAAUUGAAAACAAAAAUAAUAAUGCAGGUAAUUGCGAAAAUGAGCAAUGCAGAAGUAGUCCCUAUAGUAUUUCUAAAUUUUCUCUUGGGGUUCCUUAGUAUUCCUUAAUAUUUUUAAAAAAUGACAUGACGAUCUUUGAGUUGACGAAUCUUGGCCUGCUGCUUAGUACCCUUCCAACAUAUAAAGUACUAGAUGUUUUACUGAGAAAAUGACGAGAUCAUUUACCAAAUUUCUUGCCCAUAUAUACGUAUGUAUACGAGAAAUGAGAAUCAGUGAUUAUAAGACCUUGCAAUGAGACAAUAAUACAUCAUCAAAUCUAAAAAUACACAAGAAAUUCGGGACAUAUAUAUAACAAAAGACCUCUCAUUGAGUCAUACAUAUUGAGAAUAAAAUGUCAAAAUGCAUACAAAGAGCUUAUACAAAAAAUGAAUUUACACAUAUUUAGAAUAAACUGUCUUUGAACUUUCGAUGGUCAAACAAAGGAAACAGACAGGAUAUAAUACACGCCGUCAUAGAUGUAGCGACACGGUGAAGUAAAUCACAUGAAGAUGGAAACGGAAACCCUUCACAACAUAAAAUUUGAAUAGAGGGGGAAAAAAGGCUUCAUUUCGAAUGUUGCACAAAACUAGAAUAACAGACAAAAUAUUGUGCUUCUAUACUUGUCACAAAACUAGACCAAAUUAGUUUCCUUUUUGGUUUGUGAAAACUUGAUAUUUUUGAAAAUUCUAUCCAAUGCUUUCAAACAAUAUUUCCAUAAUAUAGUUGUUCAUAGCUAACCUUUGAUGGUUUAAGCAUUUGUUGUAGGCAUGACGGGCUAAUUAGAUUAUUAUUUUUUUUAUCCGAUGAAUGAUAUUCAGCUGUUCUUAAUUAUGUGUUAAUAGGCAAGAGCAUUUUCUUAAGCACUUUCGUUGCCUUCCAAGUUUCCAAAGAACAAACAGAGCACAAACAAAUUUAACGGAACAGUAACGAUGACAAUAAAUAAUUGGCAAGGAAAGAAAGAAAAAAGUUUGCAUGAUUUCAAGGAAUUAUAAAAUCUGAACACUUUCAACAUGCAAGUGUUGCCCCUCUUAAUGAAAUUUCAUCAUAAAAUGCUUGCAAGGAAUUAUAAAAUUUUAGAGAACAAGCGAAUUAAAUUAAAUUAGACCAAAAGACGCUCAAUGACGCAAAAUCUGCCCAUAAAAGCCUGAACGAAUCAUGAAAAGUGCAUUCCAUAUUGACAGUAAACCAAGUGACCCAUUCUAAACAAUUGAGAUGAAAUUGUGAAACAACCCACGAGAUCAAAUAAAUAAAAUAAGAAUUAAUUACCAGCUGGGACUUUCUUCUUCAAAUUCGUAACUCCAAGUCAUAAGAAGCCUAUGAAAUUAGUCGUAAUCCACAGAGUAUGACGACGACCCCGCCAACAGCUGAAAAUAAAAUUCUUAUUCAUCAAUUUAAACUAACUUUAUAACAAAUAUCUUAUCGAUAUUUUAUUUAAAAAGAAAAAGAAAAUUUUGUAAAAAUUUAUCAUGGGAGAUAGAGAGUAAUAUGUACAUACGUACCUUCUCAGCAUGUAAUUGUUGUAUGGUCGUGUUAAGAUCAUUACCAGCCCAACGCCGUUGAUUCGAUGUCUCUCCAUACCAGACGUUUACUCUUGGAGGCGUGAUUGAUUCUCCUGUAGUGAAAAAAUUCAUCUUGGGACAACCAAUCACACACAACUCUUGCAAAGAUGGGAAUUCAAAGGUGUAAUUGGCAGAGCAGAAACUUGUGAGGCUGUCUAAAUCGCGCAGUUCCAACCUCUUCAAUUUGCGGAAAACAAUCUCUUCUUUUUCAACCCCGUCUUUGUCAUUUAUUACCACCUCUGUCAUUGCUCUGCAUCCAUAUAUACUCACUUUGACGAGUCGCACUAGAGUUUUUGCUGUGGAGGAUGUUACCAAGUGCAUCAAUCCCUUGCAACCGAAAGCUAAAAGUUUUGUUAGGUUCCGAAAAGAUACCGAUGAUGAUGGCAAUAGAAUUAACAGACUUUGACAAUGAUGUACUCCUAGAAUUUCAAGAUACUGAAAAAUGGGGCCAAGUUUGGAGUCUUGUUUGCACAGCUGCUUCAGAUGAUAGUGCCAGCGCAGCUCUAAUGCUUUUAUCAUUGCCAACUUCCCCACAUGUUUCUCUAAGCAUCCUUCCAUCGAAAAUAGCUCUUCGUGGGAUGAAAAAUUAAACAGAGUGAGUAUUUCGAUAUUGUGAAAUCUCUCCAGUACGUUCCAGAUUGGAAAACAAGCUGAGUCAUCUCCAAUAAUCUCUAGUUGUUUAAGACUGCCAAAAAGGUGUUGUGGGAAAUCGGCCUGCAAAAUCAUCUUCACAUCUUUUCCACUUAGUGAUAGUUUCUUCAAGUUGGGUACGAUCUGAUCAUCAUCAAUCAUAAUAACUAAUGAGGUCAAUGAUGAGCUUUUUUUCAUUUUUUAAAACAAAAAUAUAAAAGGUUUUUUAAAAUUUUUAAAAAAUAAUUUUUUAAGAANNNNNNNNNNNNNNNNNNNNNNNNNNNNNNNNNNNNNNNNNNNNNNNNNNNNNNNNNNNNNNNNNNNNNNNNNNNNNNNNNNNNNNNNNNNNNNNNNNNNGUUCAGCUGGCUGACCUAAUUUUUUGUUUCUAGGUAACAGGCUUUAUAUAUCUGUAAUUGAUAGCCAAGUGAAGUUCUCAGCUGUGGUGAGGAUAUUUCUUUACAGAAGGUAUUGCAAACUGUUUUUUAGAUUAAUUAUUAUUGUAUAUAUACUUUAAUUUUCACAUCUUUUUCUCUGAUUCUUGUGGCUUUGCUUGCUUCCAUAUAUAUAAAACCAUAAAAUUGUAUAAUAAUUUUUUUUAUUAUAUUGCGAAACUGCGCACACAUGAAAAUAUCUUGUUUAGUAGUAGAAAUGAAGAAUUAAAGUGAUUUAUUUAACUAAUUUUUCUAGUGCAAUAAAAGGAGAUAGUCAUGGACCAGAGUUGGGUUGGUUUGCCAAAUAGAUAUCCAAUUCAUAUACUGAUGGGGGUCAAAAAAUUUAUAGAUUUUGCAUUUGAGAAUGUUGUUGGUGAUAAAAGAAUUUAUUGUCCUUCUAAGAGGUGUUGUAAUAUCGAUAUUUCAUUAUAAGGAAAGUGGCAAGAGACCAUAUCAUUAUAAAUGGCUAUUGGUUAAAGUAUUAAAACUGGAUAUUGGAGGGUGAGCCAUCUUCAUCUUUGAAAUCUAACUAAGAAACAGGUUAGUCAUGACUCGGGUAGUGAUGCUAGUAUGGUUGGAAUGGUGCAUAAUGCAUCACGUAAUCAAAUGUUCAAGUCACACGCAGCAUUGUUAUGGACUAUCUCCGACUUUCUAGCAUAUGCCAACUUGUUUGGGUGGAGUAUUAAAGGUAAAUAAGCAUUUCUUGUUUGCCAACAAAACACUAGAUCUAAUUGGUUGAUACAUAGUAGAAAAUUGUCACGUGGGUCACCGUCGAUUUUUACCAACAAAUCAUAGGUUCCGAAAAUAUAGUGCCAUCUGAUAAAACUAGAGAGUGGGGACAAGCACCUUCUCGGUUGUCUGGAGCUGAGGUGAAAAAGCAGUUCAGUAAUGUACUUACUGAGUAUAAGAUUGAAGACUUGAAAAGAGGAGAAUGAAUAAAAUAAAAGAAAUGAUAAGAUUACUUGGAAGAAGAAAAGCAUUUUUUAUGAACUAACGUAUUGGGAGUUCAAUUUGAUUCAUCAUAAUCUUGAUGUCAUGCACCGUUUUGAUUUUUGUUAUGAACUCAGAUCAAAAGUUUAAUGUGAUCAAAAUUUCUUAAAAAUAGUGAAAACGACUCCUCCUAAUAAUAUGGAAGAUGGCUAUAAAAGAUAAUUUCUUAAAAGUUUAAUGUGAUCAAAAUUGCUUGUGAACGCAAGGGUUUUAGUCACACUGUCAACGCUGUCAAUGUAGUGAUACAAUGAAGAUGAAGUAAAGCAUUAGUAGAAUAAUGAAGUUGACCAGUAACACAGUAAAGCAAAUUUUAUUCCAGAGCAUGAAAACUUUUAAACAGUAACACAGCUCUUAUUCCAUAGGCUGCACACGAGUGACCUGAAUCUUCUUCAGAACUUUCAAAUUUUAUCAAGCAAAGCUUUCAAAAUCCUUGCCUUCCUAAGUUAGGAAAGAUAGAUGUGGAGCAACCCAAAUGAAAUAAAUGGGUAAACAGAACAAGCAGGGCAAAAAUUAAAAAUGAUGGCAAUUAACAAAUUAAUAGCAAUGUUACAUUUGACUCUUUAGCCAUUUGUUCCUUCUCUUAGCAUUCUUCAAAGGUUUUGAAAAUUGGAUGUGAAGCAAACAAAAUAAAAUAAAUUUAGACAACACAUACCCUGUAUUCAGCAUCAUAUAUAUGUCGAAUAUCUAAUAUAAUAAAUUUCACAUCCAAAAUACUAGAAUUUCAAACAGUACUAGUAGUAAAAAAAUGACGACAACAACAAAAAUAGAAAAUUACAAGACUGCUGAUAAAAUUUCAUUUGCGUGCAUGUCUGACAAAAUUUCCGUGGUUUAAUGUGCGUUCAUGCAGGCAAGUCCUAACGUUUCUGUGAUCACAAAAUGAAACUGAAGAUAAACCUUUCAAGCUUGACGAAGCCAUGAGAAUUCAUAGCUCAGGCUCUGAUACCAAGUUAAAGUUUCUAAUCUGUUUGAUAAGUAAGAAAAUGAGAGAAAAUGAAAGAAAGAACAGAGAUCAUCUAAGAGCUGGAUUUGAUGAAUAAAUCUGAAUCAUCCAUUCUUUAGCUGAUUACAAAUGUAUUUAUACAAGGUUUCUAAGCACCUGAGAGUUGAAUAACUUAUGCCAGCUCAGCUAACACGUCAGUAACUCUACCUAUCUUGCUUAACAAACUGAAACAAUAACUAACCAUUUUAACUAUCUUAACAAUCCCAAUAAUUUCUCCGUUUGUGUGUUUUUUUGAUUCAUAAUCAAAUGGGUAAAUGUUGCAACUAUUUUUUUUANNNNNNNNNNNNNNNNNNNNNNNNNNNNNNNNNNNNNNNNNNNNNNNNNNNNNNNNNNNNNNNNNNNNNNNNNNNNNNNNNNNNNNNNNNNNNNNNNNNNNNNNNNNNNNNNNACUAACUUGAAUUUAUAUGCUUUUAGGAUUAUUUGAUAAUCAAAUGGGUAAAUGACAGGAAGAACUUUGAGUUUAAAAAUCUGGGCCUGAUGCCUGGUAGCCCUCCAACCUAUGAAGCACUAGAUGUUUUAAUGAGAAAACGACAAGACCAUUUAUCAAAUUUCUUGUGGAUAUAAAUACAUACACAUAGACGAGACCAACCUCCUCAAAUGAGAAUCAGAGUGAUUACAAGACCUUGCAAUGAGACAAUAAUACACCAUCAAAUCUCAAAAUACAAUAGAAAUUCAUGACAUAUAUAUAAUAAAAGACCACUCAUUGAGUCAUAUAUAUUGAGAAUAAAAUUUUUUUAAUACAUACAAAGAGCUUAGCUAGAAUGAAAUGUCUUUGGACUUGCGAUGAUCAAACAAAGGAAACAGACAGGUUGCAACUCACACUAUCACAGAUGUAGCGACACGAUGCAGUGAAUCACAAGAAGAUCACGAAGAUGGAAACGGGAACCCCUCAUAAUGUAAACUUUGAAUAGAGGAAAAAAGAAAAACGACCUUAUUCACAGAAGAAGAGUGACUUAAAUCUUCAUCAGUAUCCAGACAUUCUGCAAUCAUAGAGUAGAGAAAUUUUAACAGGAACAACAGAGAAAAUAUUAUGAAUAUGCUACACCAAAUUAUCCCUUUUUUGGUUUGUGAAAACUUGAUUUUUUAUGAAAUAUUUUCAAUCAAUAUUUCCACAAUAUACUUGUUCAUAGCUAACAUUUGAUGGUUUAAGGAUUUGUUAUAGGAACAAUGCACUGAUUACGUUUUUUUUUUAAUUUUUUUAAUCCGAUUAAUGAUAUUCAGCUGUUCUUUAAUUAUGUGUUCAUAGGGAAGAACAUUUUCUAAGUACUUUCCUUGCCUUCUAACUUUCCAAGGAAAGAUAGGUGUGAAGAAAAGCAAACCCAAUGAACAAACAGAGCACAAACUAAAAUAAAAGAACAGCAAUGAUGAGAAUAAAUAAUUGGCAAAGAAAGAAUGGAAAAAGUAUGCACGUUUUCAAGGAAUUAUAAAAUACGAAGGCUUUUAAUGAAAUUUUAUCAUAAAACUUAUGCAAGGAGUUCUAAAAUUUUAGAAGACGAGGGGAGCUCGCAAAAAAAAAGAAAAAGACUCAAAUUAAACUAGACUAAAAAGACAUUCAAUUAUGCAAAAUCUGUCCAUAAAAGUCUGAAAGGAUCAUUAAAAUUGCACUGCAAAUUUAACAGUAAACCGAGGGACCCAUUCUAAAUAAUUCAGAUGAAAUUGCGAAACAAGCUAUGGGAUUAAAUAAAUGAAAUAAAAUUAAUUACCAGUUGAGACUUUCUUCUAAAAAUCGCAACUCCAAGUCAUAAGAAGCUAUGAAAUUAGUCGUACUGCAUAGAGUAUAUCGACGGCACCGCCAACAGCUGAAAAUAAAAUUCUUAUUCAUCAAUUUAAACUAACUUUAUAACAAAUAUCUUAUCGAUAUUUUAUUUAAAAAGAAAAAGAAAAUUUUGUAAAAAUUUAUCAUGGGAGAUAGAGAGUAAUAUGUACAUACGUACCUUCUCAGCAUGUAAUUGUUGUAUGGUCGUGUUAAGAUCAUUACCAGCCCAACGCCGUUGAUUCGAUGUCUCUCCAUACCAGACGUUUACUCUUGGAGGCGUGAUUGAUUCUCCUGUAGUGAAAAAAUUCAUCUUGGGACAACCAAUCACACACAACUCUUGCAAAGAUGGGAAUUCAAAGGUGUAAUUGGCAGAGCAGAAACUUGUGAGGCUGUCUAAAUCACGCAGUUCCAACCUCUUCAAUUUGCGGAAAACAAUCUCUUCUUUUUCAACCCCGUCUUUGUCAUUUUUUACCACCUCUGUCAUUGCUCUGCAUCCAUAUAUACUCACUGUGACGAGUCGCACCAGAGUUUUUGCUGUGGAGAAUGUUACCAUGUGUAACAAUUUCUUGCAACCGAAAGCCACCAGAGCUGUUAGGUUCUGAAAAGAUACCGAUGAUGAUGGCAAUAGAAUUAACAGACUUUGACAAUGAUAUACUUCUAGACUUUCAAGAUACUGAAAAAUGGGGCCAAGUUUGGAGUCUUGUUUGCACAGCUGCUUCAGAUGAUAGUGCCAGUACAGCUCUAAUUCUUUUAUCAUUGCCAACUUCCCCACAUGUUUCUCUAAGCAUCCUUCCAUCGAAAAUACCUCUUCGUGGGAUGGAAAAAAAAGCAGUGAGAGCAUUUCGAGAUUGUGAAAUCUCUCAAGUACGUUCCAGAUUGGAAAACAAGCUGAGUCAUCUCCAGCAAUCUGUAGAUGUCUAAGACUGCCAAAAAGGUGUUGUGGGAAAUCGGCCUGCAAAAUCAUCUUCACAUCUUUUCCACUUAGUGAUAGUUCCUUCAAGUUGGGUACGAUCUGAUCAUCAUUAAUCAUAAUAACUAAUGAGGUCAAUUGAUGAUCUACGGUCACACGCAGUGACUUUAUAGCAUUUGUUUUAUAUUAUAUUUUAAAAAAAUUGAAUUAUUGAUAAAAUUUAUUUUAUAUGUUAAUUUUAGAGGUAAAAAAGAAAUUAGAGAAAAAGGUUGAUUUAUACUGGCUCAAAAUUAUUUUAUUGCACAAUAAUAAAUUACUAAUUUAUUUUGUAAGUUCUUCUAAAUGGAAAGACUGAGGAUUCUUUUAUAAAUACUAUGCCUAAAAAAGUUCAUAUAAUUAUGAAUCUACCAUAUUGAUCCCUUAGUCUAGACUAGCAAAGAUUAUUGUAUAAUAAAAGUUUUCAAUUUAUUGAGCAUUAAUUUAUCGAUGCUUUGUCAUAUUUUUCAAAGUUAAAAAUAAGCUAUUGAUAAAAAAUCUAGAAAAUGGCUUCAUACCUUUCCCAACGGCAAUGGGAGCUGUUGUGCAGGAAUACCAAGUUGAUCAUUCUCAUUAUUCUGCGAUAAAUCUGCAGCGAAUAUCUUUAAUUUGUCACAACGAUACACUACAAGAAUUUCUAGCGCGGGCCAUUCCGAAGUAUGCUUUCCAGGGUACAAACAUCUAAGUUUUGGUAGAACUUGGAGUAUCAGAGUGGUGAGCUGUGGAAAGACAAAAUAAGGGAUCACUUGAUCUGCUCUGUUUUCAGAAAUGAUCUCCUGUAAAUUCUCACAGAACCAUACUUCUAGGCGUUGGAGCUGCUUAAGGCUUCUGAUCAUAGACGCUGAAAAUAUGUAUUUUAAUUUGUGACAAUGCCACACAAUCAAUCGUGUUAAAUUUUGAAAGCGAGGAAACGUGACCGGAAGAUGAUUGUAGUGCCAAAUCUGGUCGACAUUAAUUUCAGAUAUCUCCAAAACCUCCAAGUUAGGCAACGCAACCUAAAAAAAUAAGAAUUUCUCGUUAGAUCCAAUAUCCAUAUGGGAAGCACUUGUUGAAAUUUUCUUCUUUGAUUACAAAUUAAUGCAAGUCAGAAUCAAUUUCCAACUGACAGCUGAGUAUGCAUUCUAAUUGAUACUACUUGUUAAGAGCUCAAUUAGUGAGCGCGUGAGAUUCUUUUUAUCCUUUUUUCCAUUUUCUUUCCAUUCUUUAAAUGAUUUAAUUAUUUUCCACGUAUGACAUCAAAAGAGAACGCAUUAUAGAAUAAAGAAAAUGUUAGCCUACGCACCUUCUCGUUGAAAAGUAGAGUUGAAAUAUCCAAAGUGAUUUCGCUGGAGCAAUACAUAGCCGUCGAUUCCUCUUGCGACACUUGUCUGUUCGGUGAUGCUGAAGGAGUCUCCACCUCACAGCAAAAACUUGUAACCUCUGGAAGAUUCCCCAGACUCAAAGAUCUUAAUUGAGCAAACUCUAUCUUCUCAAUUGCAUUAUCAACUUCUUCCCCAAUUGAAAAAAUUUCUUUCAUCUUGCUGCAAUUAAUAACUGCAAUUCUCUCAAGUCUUGGAAGGCAUUUUGUAGUAGAGAACCAAAAGAUAUUGCUCAACUUAUCACAAUUAUAUGCUUCUAUGUUUUUGAGUUGGUUGAAAGACUCUACUUUGAGCCGAUCAAUACAUAACCUCUCCAUGUUGAUCAAAUUGUGAAGGAUAAGUGACUGCAAAAGAGGAAAGGCAUCACAACCGACCAUCUCCCUUGAAUCGACGAUACAAAAGAUGUCAGGAUUAUUUUGAACCCAGAGAAGCUUCAAUUGUGAAAAGCCCUCCGUGUCCAAAUUGAAAAGAACAUUCUCGAUGCCUUGCAGCUUGUCCAACCAUAAGCAUUCAACGUUAUUGAUGCCCUGCAAUUUCGUGGAGCAAAUGUCCAUAAAAUCAAGCUUGAGCUUCAAUUCUCUUAAACUCUCACGAUUACUGUUGAUCAAAAAGUGCGGCCGGCUUUGAAACCAUUCUCUUGUAAUACUCUUGGGAGGCAUGAAUGACUCAUUUCCAAUGGAUAUUUUGAACCUUUCGAGCUUUCUGGCCAAAAAACCUUCUGGUAAAAUACUGUCAUUUUUAACGUCAAUUUCUAGAGUGGUUAGCCGAGGUAAAUGCAUCAAUUCAUCAAGGCUAGCAUUACUUCUUUCCCUGUUGUCUCUUUCAACCUCCCAUUCAAUGCAGCAAUUACCCAUAUACAGCUCUUCUAAUCGAGUUAAGCUUGAUAUGAGAUUGGGCGCAAUAACUUUUAGAUGGAAACAAUUGGUUAAAUCUAACAAUCUCAACUUAUUCAAUUGACCUAGUUCUUCUGGCAACUGCAUAAUAUCAGACAUCAGAAAGCUAAGGACUUCUAGAUUCUUCAACUUCCCAAUGAUUUCUAUGUCCCCCAACGCACUUUGAUCCAGACAUAGUGUGUGAAGAUUUACUAGAAGAUCAAUUGAAGAUGGAAAUGAAGAAAACUGCAUUCGAGUAAAAUCUAGAACUCUAAGCUUUUUCAUCCCUACAAAAAAGUUCUCAGGAAUAUUGAUUUCAAGAGAAAAAUCUUUGAGAGAGAUAUAUAAAAAUUCAAGGUUUGGGCAUUCUAAUCCUUCAGGAAAUUCACGAUUACUAUUAUUUCUUAAAGAGACAGCAUUGCAUUUUCGAAGUGCAUCCUCAUCUGGCCAGUCCCACACAUCCUCAUUUCUCACCGAAAACACAUGUUGGUGGCGGCAUGCAAUUGAUAUUGCGACAUCGCGAACAACAUCAUGCAUUGAAAAUUCUUCAUUGCUAUCACCCUCAAGCAACAAACAAGAGUCUCUAAGUUCAUGGACCAAUGCAUAUAAUUUGUCUCGUGCAUCUUCCAUCUUAUUGACUCCUUUAAAUAUACCCAAACCCAUGGAGUACUUAAACAGGUCCAAAGUAUGAAUACGGUUACCCAUUAGACUACAGAGGAGAAAAAUUUUCUUGAGUUGCUCACCUUUUAAAUGGUUGAAACUCAGCUCAAUACUUGAAUAAGUCUCUGCAGAUACUCCUUCGAAGUUCACCAUUGAAGGCGUUCGGAGUUCUCGCAAGGAAUUCUUCCAUUCAUGCAGACUCUUGCUUCUCAGUGCCUUUGCUACUGUGGUCAAGGCAAUGGGCAAACCUCCACAUGCCCUGGCGACGUCUAUUGCUGUAGAUUUCAACUCACGAUUUUCAACAUCAUCACCGGCCAUCAUCUUAAACAAUCUCCAGGCUUCUUCUUCAUUUAAAUUGUUUAUCAAAAAGUUGUCUUUAGAACCCAUUUUUAAAAGGACACUACGAUCUCUUGCCGUCAGCAGUAGUUUGCAGCCUUUAUGGUCUUCUCCAAAAGGAAUUCCAACUGUCUCCAAAUCAAGGUGUUUCCAAAUGUUAUCUAAAACCACAAGGAUCUUCUUGUGAUUUCUCAAUCGCUCAAAUAGUCUACUUGCUCUUCUAGAUUCAACUUCCUCGUGCAACUCCAGGCCCAACUUCUCGGCAAUUUCCUGUUGAAUCUUUUUUAUGUCUGGAGUUUGCGAAACCUCUGAAAAGACCACCAUAUCAAAGAGCUUGUCUUCCAUAGCUUGCCUGGCGACCUUCUUCACCAGUGUCGUCUUUCCAAUGCCGCCCAUGCCGUACACCCCAACGACACUAACAUUAACAUCGAUCAAUGCAUUUUGUAUGGCCUUCAAAGAAGAAAGUCUUGACUCGAAGGCCUCGUAGCCUUUGUGAGACUUGAGCCAUAUCUCCUCCGGAAUGGUACGGUAGGAAAUUCUAUCAUCAAAUCUUGCAGCUUCUUCUCGGAUUUUGACAAGUGCCUUCACCUCUGCCUCUGCUUUCUUGCUAAGCUGAUAGCGGGUCUUCAGAUUAGGGCACAGACCCUUGAGACAUAGCUUAUUUGUUGCCUCCUCGUCGUCAAUGAAUUUGUCUGCAUGGUCAAUGAUCUUGUUCGCAUUAACCAGCCAUUUCUCAACCUCCUCUUCAAUCUUUUCUCCUUUUCUUUCAUCCUCUGAAACUCUGCGUUGAAUGCUCCUACUUUUAUCCUUGAGCUUCUCGAUUUCAGCCUUGAGAUUCUCAAAGUUGUCAUUGGAGCAACGCAAGUAACGAAGUUGGUGUUGUGCUGGAGGAGCCAAGCAUUUUACAACCUCUAAAACGACAGUAACAAUGGAUUCCAUCACCUUCAAUACUUUUUCUUUUCUUUUUUUUUUUUUGGGGGGGGGGGGGUUUGUGGGAGGAUGGAUUGAUCUGAAGUGAAAGAAACAGAAAAAGAACAGGGGAAACGACUGGACAAUUGUUAAUCAAUGAAGAAGCCGAAGAAAAAACAGAUGACGGUGAAAGGGAACGGGACUAAAUUAGGAAGAGAAAUUGUAUUUGAGCAAAACAAGGAAAAAAUCAGUGUAAUAGAUGAGAAUCAAAGUGUUGUUGCGAUCAGAAAAUUGAAACAAGAAAAGGGUUUCUUGAUCCAAUGAGUAUACAGAGAGGUGAUGGCAGAAGGGAGCAAAGCUAGGUCAGGAGAGGGUUUCUUGAUUGAGAAUUGAACGCAAAGAGUAGGAGCUGAUGAAUUAUAACUGGUAAAACUGAUUUGAAGCAAUUCUAUUGAGCGAUCUGAAAAAAAUUAUUUUGUUCAAUAUCAUACAGUAAAAGGAACAAAACAGUAAAAAGAAAUUAUUUAUUUAUUUUGUCAAAUGUGAAUACAGAGAGUAUCCAAACGAGCAAUUAUUUCUUUCUCGUCUCAGUAAACUAUAACGACAAAACAGCAAAAGAGAAAAUUAUUGUCAAACGUGAAUCACGUUUCUAAUCUAUUAAUUAAAAUGAUGUUAUACAAAAAAUGCUAAUGCUGGGAUGAUUUAACUUCUAACUGAAAAUUGCUAAUAUCAAUGUCGGGGGUGAAGGACAUAAAUUAUUCGUAAUUGCGAUGUAACAUUUGCUGGCAUAUUAUGAAUGAAAGAUAAAUUAUAAUCAUCGAAAUGUGUGGGGUCAGCUGUCAGUUGUAAUAAAAUGAAAGUUUUAAUUUUUGAAAUAAAAAUUAAUAAUACCUGAUAAAGUGGUACCAUUGAAUCAGUCUACGGAAGUCAUCAGAGUUGUCAAUGGUUAGACCCAACUAUAAUAUGGUCCAACUAUGGUAUCCCAUUAAAUGAGCCCUAAAACUAAACUCAAAGCCACAAUUGCUAGAAGAGAAAUUUACACGAGAUAGGUCAUGAUGAACUUCUCUAAUGAUAUUUUCUCAUGUGCUAUAGUGAGACUCACAAUAAACCUUACUAAUUUUUUAAAUAUAAAAUCUUAUGAAUCCCAUUAUAAAACACAUCUAUAAUUUCGCUUUGAAAUUUACUGCUCUGCACGUCUAAGCUAAGCGGAGAAUAGACUUCAUCAACAACGCUUUUGUGAAUAUGUGUUGCAUUACAACACUCCAAUGUGAUCCUCAUCCAAUAUCCAUUAUUUGUGAUCCUUAUUCCUCUGCGUCAAUUAAAUAUUGUUCCAUGAAUUUUUAAUUAUUUGUCAGCUAAUAAUUAAGUCAUAUAAACAAAUUAAUAAUCUGAAUUAGUCUUUAGGUAUUAUAAAUAUUUGUAGAUUUUUAAUUAUAAUAUCAUUAUUUAAAAGUAAUGCUUCACUUACAUUAGUGGCAUGCCAUUACCACUGUCAUAAAACAUGUGAUCCUCAUCCAAUAGCCAUUAUUUGUGAUCCUUAAUCAAUGAAAUAUCUGACAAUAUCUGCGUCAAUUACAGUCCAGUCCAAUGCUGCCAUCAUUAUCGAACAGUCGAUAUCCAACACUUGCAUGAAGAUUCCAAGAAGUUGCAUGGCUGCCGACUUUUAGAUGCUAAGCCUCAUUGUGUCGAUGAUACACGAAACAGAGCUUAGAACUAAACAGUAGCUUAGUCGGAAAAUCAAACGCCAGUGCCGGUAAAAUGACCGAUAAAAAUAUAAGGAAAUAAAAAUUUUAAAGUUUUACUUCAUUGCUUUUUUAAUCUUAUUACUAUUUCUUCUUGCACUUCUAAAGAAAUCAAAGCUUUAAAAGAAAUCAGCCAAAUCACGAAGAUUGAAGUGAACAAAAAUUUUAGGUUUUAUACAACAUCUCUUUUUUUUUUUUUUUUGGUUCUAUUUGAAGUGAACGAAAUAAAAAUACAACAGGGUCAGCGACUGGGCAAUUGAUAGUCAAGUAGAAGCAAAUCAAGGCUAAAUGGGAAAGAGAAAUAAUAUUUGUACAAAACAAAGAGAAAAUUAGUGUAACAGAAGAGAAUCAAAGUGCUUUGGGAUCAGAAAUUGAAACAAGAAAAGGGUCGCUUGAUCCAAUGAAAAUGCUAAGAGCUGAUGGCAAAAGGGAACAAAGUUCAACAAGAAAACAAAUAGCACUAGCAGCGACCAAAAUAAACAGAAAAUUUGAGAUGGAUUUACAAUAUUUCUGCCUUUCUUUAUGCUUUAACAAAUAUUGCUCUAUCAAUAUAUAUAUAUAUAUAUAUUGAGCGUUUUUAUUAUUGGAGUCACAAAAGACCUACACAAUAUAGCAAGUGGCUAGGAAUAAAUAAGAUAUAUAACUUUCUCUCUAAUUCUCGCUCGGGCUUUUAAUUGUCACUCAAAACCCAGAAUUCAUACUUAAAAUUGUAAGCAAGUCAGACAUGACAGCGUCUGGUUGUCAUACGCGCCUUCUAGUUUCCGGAUGACAUGGCAUACACUUAUUCUGUAAAUCCAACAUGACAUGCCGUACUCUUUGUUUUGAGAUCAUAUUUCAAACUCUUCAUGCAAUGAAUGAAACAUAAACUACAAUCAUCAAAACUUUAGUGUUUGUUUGGUAAUGUAACGUCACGGUUGUUGUGAAUUGAAAUUAUUUCUGUAAAAUAAAAGGAUUUGGGUCAUUGAUUGUUAUUUCUGGCAAUAUUUGUUAAAUAUUAAAAAAAUAAAUUUAUAUUUAUUAAGUAUAAAAAAUAAAUAAACAAACAAAAAUAAAAGAAAAAAUUUAUACAUUACGUAAAAUAAUAAGAACAAUAUCAAUAUUUCACACUCUAUAAUUGAGUGAUGUGUUGUCCAACUGCCAUACAUUGGUCCCAAACAGAGACUUAAAUAUUAAAGUCCAAAGUUAUUGUGAUGAUGACUUAUAAUCGCCAAACUUGACAUACGGGUAAUCAUACAUUAUAAGGCGCUGAUUUCUUCCUAUCGGAACCUUAUUUUUCAUUUACAAAUAAAUAAAUUAUGUGACUUCACGGUUGGCGGGGUCCUUUGUGUCAUUUGGGCAUUUCACUAAAUGAUUGAUUGUAGCAGGAAGAUUCCUGGAAGUUGCCAUAAUGCUACUAACAUUUUAAAACUUGGAAAACCCUUCUAUCAAUCUUUUAGUGGUAGGCUCUGGUAGCUUGGUUUGAUUAUGGCGUAUGAUUAUUUGAUAAUAAAGUUAGAGGAUGUAUUAAUAUAAAAUUUGUUUAUUGGUGUUGAAGUUAAUUAUCUCAUUAAUAAUAGUAUAAAAAAUUAAUUACUAAGAAACACAUAACAGUAGUUAAUUGGUGUUAUAUUAUUGGGAUUCUGGGAUAUAAUUUUAUAUCAUAACUUUGUAGGUGUAUACUUACUCAUCAAACUAAUAAAAUUAUUUAAAAAUUUCAGUUGGAAAACAUAAAUUAUAUUAUUUUCAUUUCAAAUAAUCUAUAAGUUAACUCAAAACAUAAUCAAGCUGAGAAUUAAAAUAAUGCUACUGUAUGAGAGGAUUUUUAUUUUUUCCCGAAGUUUCACUAGGAAAUUAUUGAUACAUAGCUUUAUUCGGAUCAUCUCAGUUCAAACGACAAAUAAUUGAAAGACUAAGCUAAAUAGACCAGCCAACAACUUUGUACAAGAGAGUUCAAAAAUUAAAGUCAUGGUAUUAAAGUGUUCUAUAUUGAAAAGUACAGUGUAGUAAUAAAAUAAAAACUAAUAGUCUUUGGUAAGAUAUGACAUUUAAAUAAUAAUUUUCACAAAAAUACAAAGAAUAUUUAUAAAGUACUUCUAUAAUGAGGAGACCCUCACUUUGUUAAAGUGAAAAUAUCAAUAAUAUAAAAAAGACAUAUAUUUUAACACAUUAAAAAUUAUAUUUUUUUUUGUCUAUUGGUGUAUUGAAAUGUGUGUUAUUUAGUUUGUUAAUAAUAUAAUCACUUUGUUAAAAUGAGGAUGUCGUUGCUAGAGAAUCAUUAUAUAUACAUAUAUAUAUAAAGUGCUUCUGUCCAAGACCUACACUUUAUUAAAAUUUAAGAAAGCAAAUAUAUUUUAUAUGGUAUAAUAGUGUAAUUACAUCACACUAUUAUAUCAUAUAGAGUAAUAAUUUUUCGAACUUUAAUAAAGUUCAAGAUUAUAGAAUAAAUAAUUUAUAUAUAUUAUAAAUUUUUUUUAUCAUAAAGUGGAGGACAAAAUUAACAUAUUUAUUAAAUUAUAAUAAGUAUUUAUCAAAUAAUUUAACAUUGCAAUUUCUCCUAACUAGUAUAGUAAAUAAUACGACCUAGGAGGUACAUUCAAAAGCAUUUCAUAAGUUAGCUGAUAAUAAUAAAUGAUAUAUGCAGCCCAAUCAUCAUUGUACGGUGAGUAAUUUUUGAUGACUUAAUUUAGUGGGAUCAAAAUCAACAUUGAAUUUUUGACCAGCUGCCAACAACUUGUGAGCAGUUCACAGUGGGUACUGCACAUGAUGCCUGUUUCUCCUUUUGCAUCUAUUUUUGUUGUUAACAUUAAUUUCAAUAGCAGCUCGUUAAUCCCAUUUGUUGAUUUGGGACUAGAUAAGAAUUUAUCUUGGAACUCCAAUUCUCCAAUUAUUUUAGUUGACAAUAUAUUUAACAUUAUUAAUUGCAUAUUAUUUAAUUAUCAGUAUAUAAUAUUCUUUAAUUUUCUAAUUUUAUAGGAUUAGACACAAAAUUGAUUAUGCCUUUUGAAAUUUAAGGGUUAUGUCAAUUGAAUAGAAAACUUGGAGUUAAACUUGUGGAUGUUUUUGUUGAUUAUCAGUUUAUGCAUGAAUUUUUGUACGUUUACUUUGGUUUAUAAUUAUUACUUUUAAACAUUUUUAUUGGUUUGAUUUAUGGUCAAUUUGGUAAUCCUGUAGCUUUUAAAAUAAUUGCAAUUAGCUAUACUGUAGAAAUUGAUCAAUCGUCAAGAAAAUCAGCUGAACAUUUAGUAAAAUUUAUUUUUAAAAGUACUUUUAGUUUUGAAAGCGUCGUAUGAAUGAAACUGUUACACUAAAAAUUAAAUGUAUUGCCCACUUGGGUAAAUAAAGCUAUAUAUUACAACUGUUACACUAAAAAUUAAAUGUAUCUUAAACCCAAACUUCUUCUUCUUUUUUUUUUUUGACUAACAAAAUUAAAAACAAUAGUGAACACAUUCUUUAAUAAACAAUAAGUAAUAACUAAAAUCAUGUUAAAUUUCUUAAAAAAUUUCUUUCACGGUUUGCUAAAUAUUUUUAUUAGUAUUUUGAAUAAAUAAAAAUAGUUGAUUUAAUUUUUUUAAAUAAACUUAUUAGGUUCAUGUAAAGAUGUUUUUGUUAUUUUAAAAAGUGUAGAAAGUACUCCUAAAAAAAAGCGUAGAAAGUAAAACUUAAUUUUUUAAAUUUAUUUGCUGAGUGCAUAAAUAAUUGAGUGUUCAUAAUGAUUUUUAAAGUAUAGAUAGUCGGACCCUAAUUUUUUAAUAUAUGGAAAUUUUGCUAAUAUGUUAAUGAGAAUUAAAAAGAUAAUUAAGGGAGGCAAUCGAGACAUUCAGGAUAGUUAGGAUGGGACAUGAUUGUGAGCGGUUUGAUAUUGGUCCUAAUUUUGAUCACAAAUAUAUAAACAGGACGAGUUUAUCUCUACUUACAUUCCAUUUGAUAAUUAAGAUGAGAACGGAAUUGUCAAAUCUCAAAUCAUCCCGAACCAUUGCCAUCAAAGGUACUCUCACUAAUAAUAUCUAAAGAAAAAUCUACAUCUAUUUCAUACUCUUUUUUUUUAAAUGGAAAGAGCCCUCAUGGGGCUUGAAAUGUUAUCCUAAAUAGUAUUCAGAAUAUCAAGCCAUGAUUGGGUUUGAGACAAACAAAUAUUACAUAGUUAGGAUACGUAGUUAUAGUGUCCCAAUUUAUGUAGUAUCUAUCAUUUAGUGCACAUAUAAAAUAUUUGGACAUAUAAAAUAUUAAUCAACUUAAUUAAUUUAUAAAAUUUAAAUCUAAUUAAUAAGUGAUACAUAAAUGCCAAGUGCAAUACUGUAUAUGCAAAUCAUGUUUGUGGAUCAUUACAAAACUGGCUCUUGAAAACAAGCAAGAAAGCUUAAUUAAGAACUUAAAACAAAAAGAAUUAGAUUGAAAACAGUCAAGCUUUAUUUUUUCAAGGAUGGAGCUUAUAAAUCUUCAAGUACCAACAUAUGCUUGGUGUUGUGCAAAUUUUAAUGUACUCGCAAGCGCACGAAUCUAUUGUAGUAUCGAUCAAUGGUGACGAGUGUCGAUCCCACGAGAAGGUGGAUUUUAAUUGUGUAGAAUUAAUUUUGUAAAUGGGUGAUUGGAUUUGUGGUGGAAAUGAUUUGGAAUAUGCUAAAACUUAAAUUAAAAUGGCAAGAAUAAAUUUUAAAAUUGGUAUUGAAAUGGCGAGAAUAAAUUGAAGAGAAUUCUAUUGAAAUGACGUACUUGGGUAUCUGGAUCCGUAUCAACAUGCAUCAUGGGCUAAAUAAUCCUUAUUAAUGCCAAUUAAAUCAUGAGGGGGGAAUCCACACCUCAUGAACCACGCUCUAAUCAAUAUUGUGCUAAGGGCUUAUCGUGCCAAAUAAUAAUAACCUUGUACUAGGGGGCCGGUGAAACCAAGGCGGUACUAGACAAGAUUAGUAUUAUUUUUCGACGAGAAGUCAAAACAUCCACAAAAACUAGAGGGGAAGAGAAAAUAAAUUUACCAAAUAAGCCAUGACACAUGUUGAGACUUCACCUUCAACCCAAGCUUGAAAGAAAAUUAGCCACUCAUAAUUGAACUAGGGGCAAAAUGGAAAUUUAUUAAAAUAUGAAGAAAAUACAAGAUGGAGAAGGAAUUACAGAAAAUGGAUCCCAAAAAUGGAUUCAGAGAUCUCAAAUUAGGGGGGAGAGGCCCGCUUUUUAUAGAUACAUGGAGUAAAUCAUGACCAUCGGAUUAAAAACAGUUUGGACGCUCAGGAUUACGCCACGUCAUCAGUCAACAGUACGCGGUUUGACCACGCGGAUGAACAGUAAUGCGGUUUGGUUGAAAAUAAUCCUGUGUGAUGCAUGUACCGUACGCGAGAUUUUUCGUCCACUGAUAUGCUGCCACGUCACCAUCAACAAUUCAUAAGAAUUUUAGCCCAAUAGGAUCGUGACACCUCAUCAGUCAAUGCCACAUCAUCGGUCAAUGCCACGUCAUCGAUCCGUAUAUGUAAACAGUGUCGUGAACAGUAACGUAGACAGUACUGUACACAUGAAUAGUACCGUACAUGUGAAUAGUGCCAUUUUUCCUUUUAUGCUCCUCCUAAGGUUUUCGACCGUCCUGAGUUCAAAAGUGAUGUCCGUUUUGCCGUCUGACCUCUCCUUUAUUGUGAAAUGACUAUAAUGCCCCUAAAAUACAUAAAAUACUUAAUUAAAAUAAAACACAUGUAAUUAAAUCACAAGAAGAUUAAAUACAUAAAAGUAAGGGUUGUUAGUAAGACUUGAAAUGUAAAAUGAUGGUUUUCUCCUUUAUAAAUAUGCAUUUUCUAACACUCAACACACCCCCCAACUAGCUUAUUGCUAGUCCCUAGCAAAUAAAGCGAAAAUAAAAUUCAAAUUCAAAAUGAUUUUUUUUUUUUUAGAAACACUCGUGUUUAUUCAAUCAGAUUAAUGAUAGCAAUCAAAUAAAAGUAUAAGCAUUAUCUCCAGUCUAAAGCAACAUCACACCCACAUCAACCAUCCACAUGAAUCAGCCCAGUAGACUUCGUUAUAGCUACUUUCAAGAAUGACAUGUCAAACCCCAAAAUCUCACUGGAAGUAGUGACACUCUCACAAAGAAAUUAAAACCAAUAAAAAUAGUCACUCCAAUGAAUGUAAUUGAGAGAGAAAAUAAUAAAGAAGUGAUAUCACAUGCUCUCACCAAGAUGAAAUAAAUAUGCCCCCAGCUUAGAAAUAAUACGAUCUCAAGUCAAAUAAAAAUGCUAGUCAACCCAAUUUAUUUAUCUUUUUUUUUCUUUUAUUUAUUUAUUUAUUUUUAUUAUGCACCACUACAUCUUUUUAGCCCAUAUAACUAGUUUCUACUUCAGAUUAUAGUUCCCUAAAAUCGGGAAGGACUUUUAUUAGGAUGUAACGUAGGCUAGGGACAUGGUUAACAAAGAAGGGAAAUAAGGAAAACAAAGUGUAUGUUUGAGAAAAAUGCAGAGGAAAUUUUUUUUUUUUUGGAAGUUACAAGGUGGAUUUCACCUAUUAUUGUUAUUAUUAUUAUUAUUUUUUUUUUUUGCUUUUGCUUGGCACAAUGUCACUAAAUAAAAUAAUUAUUUACAUUUUCUCAAACAUAAAUAGGUGAUGGAACUUAUAAGACAUCGGGUAAUACUCCAAAUCGGAGUGGGUCAAGAUGAUAAGUUGACAAAGAAAAUAUAUAUAUAUAUUUUUAAAGGCUCAAAAGGGUUAACUAUGGAUAUUUAAUAAAAGGGAUGGUUAGAAAGGCUCAAACGGAUCAAAGAUGGCCUUUCCAUCGUCUUUUAGGGCUCUAAAUAAUCAUCUAUAUCUACUAGUUAGAUGGGCCUCCAAAUGUAGCUACACACAUUUUUUUUCUUUUUUUUUUAAUUUUAUAAUUUUUUUUUUAAGGGUUAACUCAAAAGAAAUCUAGAGAUCGUGUAUACAAUAAUAAACUGUUAAGCUGUAUAAAGAAUGGGCAAAAGGGUUACUCUCCAAGAAAAAUGAUAAUCUCAAAAACUCACUUGGUACUUAUUAUGACAUGUUCAUUCCUUCAAGCAACUCAUAUUUGUCUCCGACAUCAACAUGUAGAGUAGCAAACAUAAUGUAACAUCACUUAAGACCAAAGAUAAUACAAAUACUAAAAUUUGAAAUUAAUCAUGUCAUCCAAUGUUAAAACAAAUCACACAAUUUUUUUUUUAAACAACAUUCUACCCCCCAACCUAUUCUAAACGUGAAAGGAAAAUAUGCAUGCAGAAAUGUGAAAAUGAUGCAUAAAAACUAAUUAAAAAAAGUUACACGUAAAAUGAUAGAAAACGAAAAUGGUUUUUUUUUUUAAGAAGAUGUGUUUCUAGAGGCACUACACUCCAUAUUCAGCCAUCUUCGACUCAUAAGUUGGAAAAUGUAUAUUUAUAGAGGAGAAAUUAAAAAGAAGAAAAAUAAACAUAAAAACAGAAUAAAGAAAAAGAAAAUGUCUGAAUUUUUUUUUUGUUUUUUAAUUUUUUUUUAAACGAUGAAGAUGCGUUUCUAGAGUCACUACACUCCAUAUUCAGCCAUCUUCAACACAAAAAGUUAGCAACAGUUAGUUUCUACAACAAAAAAUUAGUAAAAACUUAACCAAAAUUUCACAAUUGUCGACUAUUCCCUCCCCCCAACCAGAACGAAACAUUGUCCUCAAUGUUUGAAAGGAAAGAAGUAGAGUUUAGAAGACAUCAACUGGGUGGUGCAACACAGAAAACAAUAUUUACAAGUGGAGAGUUAAAUCUAAUUUGUACUUCUUACUGCGGCUACUGUUACCAUCAUUAUUUGGAUGCUCCAACACAAAGGUCCAGGGGUCUGGCUCCGGUCUAUAAGCUUGUAACAUAUCAAGUAGCUCAUUAGCAGUGUGAGCACAAAUAAAGAGUUUUUUCGCAUUAGAGGGAAUGAAAUAGUUUUUUAUUGCAUGGUUAAGAAAUGCGAUAAAGCCAUCAUAAAAGUUAUUGACAUUUAACAAACCAAUGGGUUUCUGGUGGAUGUGCAGAUGGGCCCAAGAUGCUAGUGUGAUAAGUGCCUCUAGUGUUGCAAGAUCUCCUGGAAGGAAAAUAAAAUGAUUAAGCAUUUCAGUUAUUCUUUCAUGCAUACUUGAGACGACUAACUCUUCUCCAGUUGAUGAGUCAGACGAACUGUCCAAAGGUUUUAGGGCUCUUGGGAUGAUGCCUAACACUUGGCUGCCUCUGAUAAAAGCUGCUUCUGAGACCAUUUUUGAUAACCCUCGAUUACCUCCUCCAUACACCAAGUGUAAUUUUCUCUCUGCUAUACUUCGACCAAGAUCGAUGGCUGCCUCAACGAACUCUUUAUGUUUGCCAUAGGUAAAUCCAGAAAUCACACAAAUGUUCUUGAAUUGUCUAUUUGGAGGAGCUACCAUUGUGAUACUUCUCAAAAAAUAAUUUGUGAGUGCUUGACAAAAAAAAAUCACAUUUAAGAGUCUUGGUGACAGUGGGUCACAGUUGUGUAUGAGGUAACACGUCAGUGUCAAAUAACGCGUAAAGCACGUGGCUCGCGAGUCAAAAAGGAAACAGUAAAAAGGAAAAAGCAAACAGUAAUAAGGAAAAAGUAAACAGUAAUAAAAUUAUUAAAGACAAUAAUGCACACAAUAAAACAAUAGUGAAAUAAAAUAACAGUAAAGUGAAAGGAUAUUUACAGGUAGUUGCGACUGUAGCUCACAUCUUCCUCUGGUUUUACGUCCAGAAACGGCUUAAACGCCCUCUAUGGGUCGAGGAUAGGCUUCCUAUCUAGUUUUCUUAUAAACUGGCAAACAGGGUCGUUUAUAGUCAGAUUCCCGAGACUAUAUCGUGCAUGCUCUUUCUGGAAUAAUGGCCAUAACUGGAGAAUCGCUCCUUGCACAUAUCCAUUGGGAUGCGUUUCAAGAGAUAAAAGGAUAUCAUCCAAUGACUCCUUAUUCAAGCCAUCCCUAAUGAAUUGAAUCUUAUAUUCCCUGUUAUCAGACACCAUUCCUAAAGAACAUGGGUUUUUAUUCCUGCUCAUUCUGGCACACUUAUGACAAGCAACAGAAAUUCUUCGAGCUCGUCGUUUUCUUGCAUAAUUUCCUUUACCACAACCAGGCAUGUAUGCAAUAAAUUUUGGAGGUAACUCACCUGCCGAUCGUACUUUAGCCUCGAUUAACCAACGGAUGUCAGCAGGUAUGUUAUUCCUCAUGAGUAAUCGCAUGCGUUCGGACCGAGCUUUAUAGAUCGUAAGGAGGGCAUUCUGAGGAAGUGAAGGGAAUCGCUUGUGAAGCUUCGCUAGAAUCUCGUUUCUGUCCAUACUUUCACCUCAGAAUAUCAGUUAUUAUGAGAAACUGAAGUAACCGACUUGAUUGUCACGGAGUACCGUUAUCCGCCACUUCACCGGGGUAACAAACUAAAGCACACAAACAGAAAAAUAAAUUAAAACACACAAAGAAAAUUAAAAUUGUCCUCUUAUUGAAUUUACCUCAAGCUCCAACUGGAUGUCGUAAACACUUCUCUCAAUGUCUCUGAGUUGUCUUUCUAAACCCUCAACAUAGGCUACUAACUCUGGUGGUUGUAGAGCCCAAAUGCGAUGUGUUUUACAAAAUUGAAUCUGCCUUUUGAGAUGAGUUUUGACACAUUGAAGUGGUUUAAGAAUGUUCAGGAGGAACGGUCUAAGUAAGGUACUCAUGAUUAAAAACGAUAAAAGAAAACUUAAUAGUUAAACAAACACAUUUAUGCAAAAAUAAUUUCAAUUAGCAGAAGAAUAAUAUAAAGAAAAAAAAAUCAAAUCAACGAAAAGAAAAAAAAUCAAUUCAAAUCUGGUGGGUCACUCAAAUUUAUUUCGGUGUCUUCUCCAUGUGGUUGGUACUCUAGAUAUGGCUUUAAUCUUUGACCAUUAACUUUAAACGUGACACCGUUGUUUGGGUCCUUAAUUUCAAUUGCCCCAUGUGGAAAAACAGUAUGACCAAUAAAGGGACCAGACCAUCGAGAACGUAACUUACCUGGGAAUAGGUGCAAGCGAGAAUUGAAUAAAAGCACUUUCUAACCUGGAGUGAAUGAUUUUCUCAUAAUUUGCUUGUCAUGGAAGACUUUCAUCCGUUGCUUGUAAAUCUUGGUAUUUUCGUAUGCGUCAUUGCGAAUUUCUUCAAGUUCUGCCAGUUGUAAUCUUCUUUCUGAGCUGGCUUGCUGCAUGUCAAAGUUGAAUUUCUUGAUGGCCCAAUACGCACGAUGCUCGAGUUCCACAGGUGGGUGGCAAGCUUUUCCAUACACUAGCCUGUAGGGUGACAUCCCAAUCGGGGUCUUGAAAGCCGUUCUAUAUGCCCAUAAUGCAUCAUCAAGUCUUAAUGACCAAUCUUUUCUGUCCGGCUUCACCGUCUUUUCUAAUAUGUGCUUUAUUUCUCGAUUGGAGAUCUCAACUUGGCCACUGGUUUGCGGAUGAUACGGGGUCGCCACUUUGUGUGUGAUUGAAUACUUUGUCAAAAGAGUUUUGAAUGCUUUGUUACAAAAGUGGGCACCACCAUCACUGAUUAUUGCUCGAGGGAAUCCAAAGCGCGAAACAAUGUUGCUUUUCAAAAAUCCUAUCACCACCUUGUGAUCAUUGGUUCUACAUGGAAUUGCUUCUACCCAUUUCGAUACGUAGUCAACACCAACCAAUAUGUAUUGAUGGCCAAAAGAAGGGGGAAAGGGUCCCAUAAAGUCGAUACCCCAUAUGUCAAAAAUCUCAACCACUAAAAUUGGAUUUAGUGGCAUCAUGUUCCUUCGUGUAAUGCUCCCCAUUCGUUGACACCUAUCACAUGAAGAACAGAAAGUGUAAGCAUCUCGAAAUAUAGUUGGCCAAUAGAAACCACAUUGUAAAACUUUAGUUGCUGUUUUCUUAGCACUAAAAUGGCCUCCACAAGCUUGUUCAUGGCAGAAUGAAAGGAUAUUCUGAAUUUCACUUUCUGGGACACAUCGUCUAACAAUUUGGUCUGCACAAUACUUGAACAAAUACGGGUCAUCCCAAAAGAAAUUCUUUAUCUCUGCAAAGAAUUUAGCCUUAUCUUGCUUGGGCCAAUGCUCUGCAAGUUUACCUGUAACAAGAUAAUUAACUAUAUCAGCAUACCAUGGUAAUACUUCCACAUUCAUUAAUUGUUCAUCUGGAAAUGACUCAUUCAAUAUUAAUGGCUCUGUAAUUGUGUCAAAAUGGAGACGAGAGAGGUGGUCCGCCACAACAUUUUCUGUCCCUUUCUUAUCUUUGAAUUCCAAGUCAAAUUCCUGCAAAAGUAACACCCAACGAAUUAGUCUAGUUUUUGCAUCUUUCUUUGUGAGAAGAUAUUUAAGAGCAGCAUGAUCUGUGAAUACAAUUAUUUUACAACCAAUGAGAUAAGAUCGAAAUUUCUCUAAUGCAAACACUACUGCUAGCAUUUUUUUUUCAGUAGUUGAAUAGUUCAACUGUGCAUCAUUCAAUGUCAUACUAGCAUAGUAAAUAAUGUGGGGAAUUCGAUCAACUCUUUGUCCUAAUACUGCUCCUACUGCAUAAUCAGAUGCAUCACACAUGAGCUCAAAUGGUAAGCUCCAGUUUGGGGGCUGAAUAAUGGGUGAUGAUGUCAACAACUGCUUUAGUUUUUCAAAUGCCACAAGACAUAAAUCAUCAAAGAUAAAAGGUACAUCCUUAGCAAGUAAAUUGCAUAAGGGUCUAGAAACUUUGCUAAAAUCUUUAAUGAAACGUCUAUAGAAACCAGCAUGCCCAAGGAAAGAUCUUACCUCUCUGACUGUUUUGGGUGGAGGAAGAUUAGAAAUGAGAUCCACCUUGGCUUUGUCAACCUCAAUACCUUUGCUCGAAAUGAUGUGACCGAGAACAAUACUUUGUUUUACCAUAAAAUGACACUUCUCCCAAUUUAAGACCAAGUUCUUCUCGAUACAUCUCUGCAGAACUAAUGUUAGAUGAUGUAAACAUUGAUCAAACGAGUCACCAAAGACAGAAAAAUCAUCCAUAAAGACUUCAAGGAAUCGUUCAAACAUAUCAGAAAAAAUGUUCAACAUGCAUCGUUGAAAUGUAGCAGGUGCAUUACAUAAUCCAAAUGGCAUUCUCUUAUAUGCAAAUGUGCCAAAAGGGCAAGUGAAAGUAGUUUUCUCUUGAUAUUUUGGUGUUAUGGGAAUCUGAUUAUAUCCUGAGUAGCCAUCUAGAAAGCAAUAAAAUUCAUGGCCUACCAAUCUAUCAAGCAUUUGAUCGAUAAAUGGUAAAGGAAAAUGGUCUUUACGUGUGAUAGAAUUCAAUUUUCUAUAAUCAAUGCAUACACGCCAUCCUGUAGUUACUCUAGUUGGUAUCAAUUCAUUAUCAGCAUUGGUAACUACUGUGACUCCUGACUUUUUGGGGACAACUUGUACAUGACUGACCCAUGAACUAUCAGAAAUGGGGUAAAUGAUACCUGCAUCUAAUAGCUUAAGGACUUCAGUUCUAACAACUUCUUUCAUGUUAGGAUUUAACCGACGUUGCAUUUCCCUAGUAGAUUUAGCAUUUUCAUCAAGGUGAAUGUAAUGCAUGCAGUCUAUUGGGUUUAUAACUUUUAUGUCUGCUAUGGUCCAUCCUAAUGCUCCUUUAUGCUCUUUUAAAAUAUCCAACAACUUACCUUUUUGUUCGUCAUUUAGGGAUGAUGAUAUGAUUACCGGCAGAGUACUUUCUUCUCCCAAAAAUGCAUAUUCCGGAGUGUUGGGUAAUGGUUUGAGCUCAAGUUUCGGUGGUGAUUCUGAUGAUGGGAUGAGUUUCUUCUCUGAUGGUGCUAGUUGUUCAACUCUUGACUUUCAUUUAUUAGUGUCCAUGGAUGGUGCUGAGUCAAGUAGGGCGUUGACCUCAUCAACUGAUCUGUCAAUAUCAAAAUCCAAACCAAAGUGAGUUAAACAUGUUUGUAAAGGAUCAUCACUAAUGUUUGAAAGAAAAGUAUUAUCAACUAUUGUUUCUAUUAAAUCCACAUCAACAAUUCCAUCAUCUGCACUGUGAGGUUGUUUGGCAAUGUUGAAGAUGUUCAGUUCCAUAGUCAUGUUGCCGAAGGACAACUGCAUAUUUCCUGUCCUGCAUUGAAUGUGAGCAUCCGCAGUUGCCAAGAAAGGUCGGCCUAGAAUAAUGGGGAUGUGCUUCCUUGAAUCCUGUAUUGGUUGAGUGUCAAUUACAAUGAAAUCAACAAGAAAAUAAAAUUUGUCUACCUGGAUAAGCACGUCCUCCACAAUGCCACAAGGUAUUUUCGUGGACCGAUCUGCAAGCUGUAACACCACUGGGGUUAGGUGUAAUUCUCCAAGUCCAAGUUUCACGAAUACAGAGUAAGGCAAAAAAUUUACACUAGCUCCUAAAUCCAACAAAGCAUUCUCAAUUGUGUGGUUCCCUAUGCUACAUGAGAUAGUGGGAGAGCCUGGGUCUUUGCAUUUUAGAGGAAUUUUAUGUUGGAGGAUAGAACUAACGUUUUCUGUUAAAAAUGCCUUCUUUUGAACAUGCAUAUUUCUCUUUUUAGUACAAAGGUCUUUAAGAAACUUGGCAUAAGAUGGAACUUGCUUUAUAGCAUCAAGUAAAGGGAUGUUAACACUUACCUGUUUGAAGAUUUCAAGAAUCUCACCUGUGGAUUUUCCCUUUUUGCUUUUAGCUAACCUCUGAGGAAAUGGAGCUUUGGGAACGUAUUCUCGUGAGUUGCUCGUCCUCUCUCUGGGUAAACUCCGAGAUUUCCUUGCGAAUAGCAUUGGUUUUAUGCACUGGGAAAUAUUUAUUCAAAAAUUUUGUAACCAUUUAUUCCCCAUGAUGCAAUGCUAUUAGCAGGCAAUGUAUUAAGCCAUGAACAAGAUCUAUCCUUUAAAGAAAAUGGGAAUAGUCUAAGUUUAACAUCAUCGUCUGAAAAAUUUUCAUAUUUAAAUGUUUGACAAAUGGCAUGAAAAUCAUUCAAAUGAUUAUAUGGGUCCUCAUUUUCUAGGCUAUAAAAUGUUGGGAGACAAUUUAGCACACUAGGUUUUAGUUCAAAACUCCUAGCAGCUACAUUUGGGUAUCUUAUGCAUGAUGUGCUCAAAUUAGCUAAAGGACUAAAAUAAUCCUUAAAUGGCCUCUCAUGUGGUGCUUGUAAAUCCAUUUUAUGUUUAACGUGUUUGUGUGUGCGAAGUGUUUUCUCAAGUUCAAGGUCUAUAGGUUCAAGAUUAGGUAAUAAUGACCUACGACCAUGCAUGCAAAACAAAUAAAAUAAAAAUAAAGAUGAGAACAAAACAAAUAAAGAAGAGGGAGAUAUUACGAUACUAACCUUAUUGCGCUAUUACAACAUUUCUAUAAAAAUACACAAAAACAAAUACGUGAAAUAAAUUAACUAAAAAUUAAAUUAAUAAAAUAAACAAAAAUUACAAAGAAAAAUAAAUUGAAAAUUAAAUUACAGAAUUUUAAAGAAGAGAAAAAGAAAAGAAAUACUAACCUUUAUAUGUAGAUUCACUUUUUUUUUCUUUUUUUUUAAUAAUUAAAAAAAUACAAGAAAACAAAUAAAAGAAAUUAUUCACAAAAAUUAAUUCUAUGAAUUAAAAUUACUUACCUCCCCGGCAGCGGCGCCAAAAACUUGUUGUGCAAAUUUUAAUGUACUCGCAAGCGCACGAAUCUAUUGUAGUAUAGAUCAAUGGUGACGAGUGUCGAUCCCACGAGGAGGUGGAUUUUAAUUGUGUAGAAUUAAUUUUGUAAAUGGGUGAUUGGAUUUGUGGUGGAAAUGAUUUGGAAUAUGCUAAAACUUAAAUUAAAAUGGCAAGAAUAAAUUCUAAAAUUGGUAUUGAAAUGGCGAGAAUAAAUUGAAGAGAAUUCUAUUGAAAUGACGUACUUGGGUAUCUGGAUCCGUAUCAACAUGCAUCAUGGGCUAAAUAAUCCUUAUUAAUGCCAAUUAAAUCAUGAGGGGGGAAUCCACACCACAUGAACCACGGUCUAAUCAAUAUGGUGCUAAGGGCUUAUCGUGCCAAAUAAUAAUAACCUUGUACUAGGGGGCCGGUGAAACCAAGGCGGUACUAGACAAGAUUAGUAUUAUUUGUCGACGAGAAGUCAAAACAUCCACAAAAACUAGAGGGGAAGAGAAAAUAAAUUUACCAAAUAAAGCCCAUGACACAUGUUGAGACUUCACCUUCAACCCAAGCUUGAAAGAAAAUUAGCCACUCAUAAUUGAACUAGGGGCAAAAUGGGAAUUUAUUAAAAUACGAAGAAAAUACAAGAUGGAGAAGGAAUUACAGAAAAUGGAUCCCAAAAAUGGAUUCAAAGAUCUCAAAUUAGGGGGGAGAGGCCCCCUUUUUAUAGAUACAUGGAGUAAAUCAUGGCCAUCGGAUUAAAAACAGUUUGGACGCUCAGGAUUGCGCCACGUCAUCAGUCAACAGUACGUGGUUUGACCACGCGGAUGAACAGUAACACGGUUUGACCCGGAUGAACAGUAACACAGUUUGGUUGAAAAUAAUCCUGUGUGAUGCAUGUACCGUACGCGAGAUUUUUCGUCCACUGAUAUGCUGCCACGUCACCAUCAACAAUUCAUAAGAAUUUUAACCCAACAGGAUCGUGACACCUCAUCAGUCAAUGCCACAUCAUCGGUCAAUGCCACGUCAUUGAUCCGUAUAUGUAAACAGUGUCGUGAACAGUAACGUAGACAGUACCGUACAUGUGAAUAGUGCCAUUUUUCCUUUUAUGCUCCUCCUAAGGUUUUCGACCGUCCUGAGUUCAAAAGUGAUGUCCGUUUUGCCGUCUGAUCUCUCUUUUAUUGUGAAAUGACUAUAAUGCCCCUAAAAUACAUAAAAUAUUUAAUUAAAAUAAAACACAUGUAAUUAAAUCACAAGAAGGUUAAAUACAUAAAAGUAAGGGUUGUUAGUAAGACUUGAAAUGUAAAAUAACGGUUUUCUCCUUUAUAAAUAUGCAUUUUCUAACACUCAACACUUGGCCCAAUUGUUGUUAUUAAAAUUUCAAUAUACAUAUAUAAGUAUGAUAUAGCAAAAAUUUGAUGGUACAUAUCUCGGAAUAUACUAGUUCAUGGAUGCAUUUGAUUAUUAUUUCCAUAAAUUUGAACCGAGAAGGAUGACAUGAUAAAAUUUGAUUUUAUGGUAUGGUUGAUUUCAGAUCUCAUGCCCUCAUUUCUUAAGAUAAUCAAAUUUUCUCUGGCAUCUUUUGCAACUGUGGAAAUAUCAAUUAUGAUCAAUCAAAACGAUUUCAAAACCUUUCAAUGAGACAUAUUUAUAAUACAAUAUUGUGAAAAUUACAACAAAAAUUUAAUUUAUUAAAUAAUAUAUUACUAUCCAACAAGCACACAAAAAUGAAUUCGUACAAAUCUAAAAUACUUAGCAAUUUUCAAAUAGAAUUUACCAUGUACUACAAGAAAAUAGGGUAUAUGUGACCCCUAAUGUGAAUGCAAAUUUGCAAAAGCAGCCAUUACGCAUGCCACUAACUUCUAACUUUGUAACCUCGAGUUGCUUUUGUUACCCUUUAUGUGACGGCCGCUGUCACAUAUGUUACUAACCACUCGUCACGGGAUGAGUAUUUUGCGCAGCUAACCCGUGCGGCACUUAGACAACUUUACCAAAUGUUGCUAAGUAAGCCUAGAGCUUCUCGAACUAGAGAAGAGAGCAAUUGAGCUGAAUGAGAAAACUUGUAUUGCACAAAGAGAGAAUACAAUGCUUGAGUUGCUUACAAAGCUUGUUGUUGUGAGUUUGUUGGAUGCAAAUGCCUAAUGCCAUCCCAUAUUUAUAGGGGAGGCUUGCCAAGCUCUAGAGAUUCUAGAGAAUUCUACCAUUUCCUAGCUAUUUACAUGUGCUGGAAAUGUAAAGAGAAUUCUAGAGUAUUUACAAGCUCACAUGUGCUAGAGUUGCCUAGAACUUUCCGGAAUUGGGCCAAGCUAGAACUCUUGGCCUUGUGUUGGCUCUCUAGCCCAAAAUUGUGGGUAAUUGGGCUAGCGAAUUGGGCGGACCGUAACAUCCUCCCCCACCUAAGCUCGCGGCGUCCUCGUCGCGAUCUCGUCCUUGCUCCUUUAGGGACUUGUUCCGCGAUUUGUCGUUAGUCUUCUUGUGCUUCACUCUUGGGGAGGUUCCGCCACUUGCUCCGCAUAUGAUCGUUUCCUUCUUUCGGUUGGUGUUGCGGCGUCCCCUCUUGUGUUUCCACAACUCAUCAUGCUCGGAUGGCUUUGUGCGUUGCUCAACCACUUGUCUUGAUGGGAGCUUCGGAGGCAUGGCGUCCUUGCCUUUAUCAUGGACGGUUCGUGCUUGUUGUGGGACUUGGCUUGGAGGGCUUUUGGAAUCCUCUCCCUUGUGGUGUUGCCGGAUGGAGACCAAGUGGUCCGAAUUCUUCUUGAAUCCUCAUCUGCAUUGCAUGACCGAGACCGCCUUUUUUACGGGUUGUGCACGCUCGACCGGUGCCACGCAUGCCUUACUCCCAUCGAAGAUGCUAAGGGAGUUCGUUGCUGGAAGUGGGAAGGCAUGUACCUUGUCGAAGAAUUCCAUGCCAAGGAUCAUUGCGAAGUCAUCCAUCGGCACAAUCGAGAAGUCGAGCUUCCCAUUCCAUGUCCCAAGCGUAACGUGUACGCCUCGUGUGGUUCCCCUAAAUGGCUUGGCGGGUGAGUUUACAGCCUUGAUGGUGCCUCCGUCUUGCGUUACCUUAAGGCCUAGACAUUUAGCCUCUUCUUCGGAGAUGAAGUUGUGUGCUGCUUCGGUGUCAAGGAGCGCACGAACGGUUUGACCAUUGAUGAGCACACUUACGAACAUGAGCCCUUUCCUUGUAGGUGUUGGUGGUUGGCUCACGAGUGUGCUAAGACGUUGGAGCGAACCCAAGUUGUGUUGAGGUUCCUCCGUAGGCGGUGUGUGUCGGCCCUUGAGUUGUGCCACGAGGGCACUCAGCGACUUUUUAUCCAGGCAGUCGCGCACUCAAUGAGGACCGUUGCAUAUGAAGCAUGGGCUUCGCGGCUUGGGUGACUUCUCGGAUUUACUUUGCCCGCCCUUGCCGCUUGGAAGCUUUUUCUUGCUCCACUCCUUGCAAUUGCGGUCGUUGUCCUCAUGGCUCUCUCCCCCACCUUGAUCGUAGCUAGACCUCUUGUCCUUGAGAUGGGCGGAGUAUUCGGUGAGAGACUCCGCAAUAGCAAUGGCGUCGUCAAGUGUUUGUAUGCCACGCCUGUCAAGCUCGGUCUUAGCCCAAUCCUUGAGGCCAUCUUGGAAGUAGAAGAGCGAAUCCUUGUCGGACAUGUUGCUUAUCUCCAACAUAAGGGUAGUGAACUCAUUGAUAUAGUCCCGAAUGCUACCCGAAUGCUUGAGGCGACGUAAGCGCGCUCGCGCUUCCUUCUCCGCAUUGCUUGGGGCGAACUGCUUUCGGAGUUCUUGCUUGAAGUCGGCCCAAGUGUCGAUGGUACAAAUGCCUUUGCCCAUCUCGCCAUGCUUGCGACGCCACCAUAGUUGUGCAGGGCCUCUAAGAUAGGUGGGUGCAGUGCACACUUUCGAUGCCUCAUCACGGACACCCAUGGCAUCGAAGUAUUGAUCCAGCCCGAAUAGGAAGUUGUCCACGAUUGUGGCAUUGUGUGUGCCAUCGUAUGUGUCGGGCUUUGGCACAUCAAUACGGUGCGCAUCACUCGAGUUUGUGGAAGCUGGACUUGCGGAGAGUGUGCGCUUGUGCCAUGCCCAAUCUGAGCGGACUUCAUCCACUUCCGCACGGACAGCGUGUAGUUCGUCCUGAACAAAACUACGAAGUUUGAGCAACUCAUCAUGGAAAGAACGAAACUCACCUCGGAGAGUGUUCGCUUGCUCUUGGAUGAGAGCUUUUGUUGCCACCGUGAACUCGGCGUAUUCCCCCUCGAGACUGUCCACUCGUUCCUCCAAUCCCUCGAGGCUAUCUUGAGCGGCGGACAAUGCGAUUUCGAGAGUAGUCACACGAGGCUCCAACGCAUCCACUGAUGCGGCUUUGGACUUGCCGCGAGUCUUGCUUUGGGCGCGUUCUCCCUCUCGGCUGCAGCUUGGUUCCGAUGGAACAUCCACACCAACAACACCCUCUUGUGCUACGUUCGAAGGGUUGGCCAUUGCUCGUGAGCUAACUUGCGUGCGUGCAAACCUUAGCUCUGAUACCACUUGUCACGGGAUGAGUAUUUUGCGCAGCUAACCCGUGCGGCACUUAGAUAACAUUGCCAAAUGUUGCUAAGUAAGUCUAGAGCUUCUCGAACUAGAGAAGAGAGCAAUUGAGCCGAAUGAGAAAACUUGUAUUGCACAAAGAGAGAAUACAAUGCUUGAGUUGCUUACAAAGCUUGUUGUUGUGAGUUUGUUGGAUGCAAAUGCCUAAUGUCAUCCCAUAUUUAUAGGGGAGGCUUGCCAAGCUCUAGAGAUUCUAGAGAAUUCUACUACUUCCUAGCUAUUUACAUGUGCUGGAAAUGUAAAGAGAAUUCUAGAGUAUUUACAAGCUCACAUGUGCUAGAGUUGCCUAGACCUUUCCGAAAUUGGGCCAAGAUAGCACUCUUGGUCUUGUGUUGGUUCUCUAGUCCGAAAUUGUGGGCAAUUGGGCUAGCGAAUUGGGCAGACCGUAACAACGUGACGGUACAGAGCCGUUCGGUAUAGCACUAUUUUAGAAAUUUAAAUUUAUUUCCAGUUAGAAAACUAUUCGCUGGACUAGCCACCAUCGUAAACCUAACUGGUUGCCGGCGAACGACAUAAAACACCGGGCAUCUUCUUCUUCAUCGUAUUCUCCCUUCAUCUUUUGAGGUAAGCUUGUGAUUAUGAGUUUCUUCUCUUACUUAGCUUGUAAUUAUAGAUUUUGAUUUUUUUUUAAAAUUCGUAUUGUAGCCAUUAUUGUCAAUUUUUGUCCCGCCAGCAAUAUUUUUUUAUUCGUACAAGUUGAAGCCCCUUUGUUCUUGUUCCAUUGGUGAGUUUGCUCACUCAAAUUAAUUUUGUUCUGCGGAAUUUACAAAGUUCAAAUGGAUUCAUUUGAAUUACUAUUGAAUUUAGCUUUAAUUCCAACAUCCAUUCUAAUGUUUUGCUAUUAGAUUUAGUUUAAUUUUAUGUUUAAAGCAUCUACAAUGAAUAGCGGAGCUUGGGUUUUAGUUUCAUUUUCUGGAUAACUUGUUUUAGUUUAUCUUGUAUGGUCACCAAGUGCUUGUUAUAUUGUCUGAUAAGUUAUAUACAUUGCUGAUUCUAUAUUAAUAAUGUUACGUUCUAUUUUCAGAAAUUAUAAUACAAAAGUUUUUACAAUGGCGUGCAUCUACAAACUGAAUUGACUUGUAGAAUAAGAGCUUGGAGUAAAUGAAAGUUCAUAUUGUGUAAGAGCAUGUAGAUGUAAAGCAUCAUUACCAUAUCUACAAAGUGCUUUCAUUAUGUUCAGAUGCUCUUCUUGAACUUUGAAAGGUGCCUCGUUCAAGUCCUAGCUAUAACUACUAGCUUUGAUUAAUUAAGUUCCUAUACUAGCUGAAAUAGAUUUAUUUAAUUAAUUAAUUGUGUAUGUUCUAAUUAUAUUAAAAGUAUAUGAAUUUUUUUUUAACAUGAAUGACUUGUAAAUGACUUAAAAACCUAAAGGAUGUGUGAAAUAAUGCUCAUUUCACUUGAAUGAGCCUAUUAAUACUUUUAUGUCUAUGAUUGUCAAAAUUGGCUUAAGCACUUCAGUUAAGUGGUUUACCUAACAGAGAAAAAAAUUUAAUAGGAAACUUCAGAGUUCUAACAGAAAUAUAGUUCACCAUGCAGAUAUAGUUAUUUUACGGUAUACAAAUCAAGUUGUCCUAAUCUCAAUGUCCUAUCACCGAUUUUAUUUGAUAUAGUCAUUAAUUUUUACCAUGGUUUUUUGUGUUUAUGAGUAUGAAAUAGUGGGAUUUGGUGUACCUUAGCAUCUUUUGGAAAUUCUCUUUAAGUGUGGCCAACAGAAAUAUACAUAUAAUCAAGUUUCUUAAUUGUGUAUAUUAGUUUUGGGUACGAAUGUUCCUAUUCUAGUUCUAGACAAAGCUUCUUCGUUUUGGUCUUCAGAUUUCCAGUAGGUUAAGUUAAUCAACUAUCAUAACUGGCUAGCUAGUUAUUGUCUGCCUUGGCGCCAUUACCCAGGCCAUUAUAUUGCAUAGCAUAAGGAAUAGUGAUUAGGUGAUUAUUAGUGAUUUGUUGAGCUUAUUAUUGACCAAACAAACAUAUUCACCUUUGCCCACAACUUAGUUUGAUUAGUUUUAGACCACAAAGAGCCUUGAUCUAUUCAUUGGCUUUAUUAUUUUUAUUUGGUUUUUCUUUCAACAUAAUUGUUGAUUUCUUAUAAAAAUAUUCAUUGGUUUUUAAACACCUAGUCAUUGGCUAUAUGAAGCAAAUUAAAACUUAGGCUUUGGAUCAAUUUCUUCUAACAAGAUACAAAUGAGCAUAACCUUUCUCCUCUAAGUAAUUUUUUUUAAUAUCCUUGAUUUGUAAGGAUCUGGAGGCGUGAAAUCCUCUAGAUUUUUUUUAACACUGUCAAUGUCCUUUUUAUUCUGAAAAGGAAAUAAAAGGUUUUAUCUUUCAUACCCUAAUAGUAAGCUGGCCUUGUCUUAACAUGGCUUCUUGAGGAUUUGCAAGAUUCGUUUAGAUGAUUAGAAUGAAACUAAGCGACUGGAAAGAGUGGAUGGUAGACUAAAGAGAAAGUGAUUGAUUAUUUUAUGAGGCCAAUUAACGUAAUGACAGAUCCGGUUUCGAUGUUUGUAAUUUGAGUAUGAGGUAAAUCGAUUCUUUGUCGAGCCAGUCAAAUACAAAGGCAAAUUAGUAAAACAAGAGCCAGCAACUUUUACUCACACAUAAGGCAAUAAUAUAUUGAGAUCACGCAACAUUGCAAUAAAGUUAUCAUCAAGUUGUAGCCUUCUUAUUCAAUCAAUUAUAGCAUUAUCUCUAGCUCUGUAUUUUUCAAAAAAAAAUUAUUCAAAAGAUGUCUGUCAUUAGUUUUUCAAUGAUUAAAAUUAUAAUUUUUGUUUAAUAUAUAUAACGUAAAAUUUUAAAAGAAUCAGACAUGCAUUAGGGUAAAAAUAAAAAAUAUGGAGGUAGCUUUUAACUAGGCAAUUGGCUCAACUAUGGAUCAGUGUGAGAUCGCUAUUUUUCUUAUAAAAAAAAUAUUCCAGCCAAACAAUUGUCGCAAAAUUUUAAUCGAAAUUACAAAAUAUAUAUAUUUUGAAUACCUGUAAAUAAACCACUUAGAAAGCUAUCGAAACACGAAUAUUAAUUUUUUAAAAUAUAUAUUUUUUCAAGCAAAUGCAGUGACAGAUCUGGUUUUGAUCCUCGUGACUUUUGGGUGUAACUGUGUAAGUACGGGUGAACGACUCUCUAGUCCAGGACAACUUGCACGUGACAUUUUAGUAUUAAGCAAACGGAAUUUUUUUAAAUUAAAUUAAUCUCAAAGUGAUAGGCUUCUCAUGAAUCAUGUAAUGUUGUCGUUUUUCAAGACAUGACAUUGCCCAUCACUUGUUUGUCACAAUGUCCAAAUAAAUAAUUUUUUUUUAAAAAAAAAGUUAUUUUCAUUCUUUCUUUUCAAGUAUCCUAAUUCCUUUCGCAGUUUGAUUCCUCUUUUCCUGAAAUUUGUUCCUUCCAUUAAACUAAUAAUUUAUUUAAAGGUAAUUAAGCGUCAGCCCCAAUUAUUUAGUAUUUCACACAGCACACCCACAUCUUUCGAUCAUGUGCACCUCUUCCUUAUUUCCGUUAAAAAAUCAACUAUCAACUAAUUCUAACUGUUUAGGCUGUUAUAAAUUUAAAAGACUAUACUACCCCUAUUUUGAAAUGAAUUGGGUAUAUAAGUACUAAAAUACCCUUACAACUAAUAAAAUUUAAAUCAAAAAGUAAAAAUUUAUUAUAAUAUUUUUAAAAUUACAUGGAAACAAUUUUUUUUCCGGAUUACGAACCCAAGAUUAUAAACCUAGUAAAUUACAAAAUCAGAGGCAAAGCAUGAUUCCAAUGUGAAAGAAAAAAAUCAAACACACAUUCAUCAAUACAUUACAAAAUAAGUCCAAUAAUCCCACCAAAACAAAUAAAACCCAAUAAGAAAGAAACCCGAAACUAAUGAUACCAAAAUCCAUGACAACAAAUUUCAUUGUAAAAUUCUAUUACAAAAUAAAUUCAUACUAAGAAAAUUCAAUAAAAAGAAACUCAAUAAUCAAAAAUCCUAAGACUAAAGAUAUCAAACCCUAAAUUAAAUUAUAGAGGCGGCGAAGGAAAAAGGGGUUUUUUUUUAUUAUAUAAAUUAUUUUAAUCUUGUAUUAAUUACCAUUCUACCCUUCUUUCCGUUAACGUUAGAUUUGAAAGAAAUGGGGGUGGUGGACGUGGUCAGAAGAUUGGAGGCACAAUGCAAAAUGUCGAAACAAUUGGGGCUAACGCUAAAUUACACAUUAUUUAAAUUAAAUUAUCCUAGUUGUAUUUGACUGUGACUGUGACUGUGACCGGAACCGUUACAAUCACUUAGUAUUUUUAUUAAUUAAUUAACAAUUUGUUUCAUCAUUAGACGGUACUAUGAUAGUUUUGUCACUAUGUUUGGUACCAUCUCUUAAAUCGUGUAACAAAGAUUUCAUGAAAAAUUAGAAAACAGCACGACAUGAUACAAACUCUUUUUUAAUACAUGUAGACCUUAUUUUUAAAAAAUGAACAUACAAACUUUUUUUAAUACGUGUAGACCUUUUUUUGUAUUUAAAAAUAGUUACACAGAUCCUCAAUUUGUGUGUCCCUCAAUAAAUUUUCAUGAUCAUUUUUUAAAAUAAGGGAUUUUUGUGAUUAUUUUGCCACGUCCAAGGAUGCCGCUAUUCUUGUCACCAAAAAUUAUUCUCAUUAAGAGUCAUGAUUAAUUGGACGUCAACAAUGUCCAAAUAAAUAAUUUUUUUUAAAAAAAAGUUAUUUUCAUUCUUUCUUUUCAAGUAUCCUAAUUCCUUUCGCAGUUUGAUUCCUCUUUUCCUGAAUUAUGUUCCUUCCAUUAAACUAAUAAUUUAUUUAAGGGUAAUUAAGCGUCAGCCCCCAAUUGUUCAGUAUUUCACACAACGCACCCACAUCUUUCGACCAUGUGCACCUCGCCCCUAUUUUCAUUAAAAAAAUCAACUAAUUCUCACUAUUACUGUUAUAAAUUUAAAAGACUAUACUACCCCCAUUUCGAAAUGAAUUGGGUAUAUAAGUACUAAAAUACCGUUACAACUUAUAAAAUUUAUAUCAAAAAGUACAAAUUUAUUAUAAUAUUUUUAAAAUUAUAUGGAAACGAAUUUUUUCCGGAUUACGAACCCAAGAUUAUAACCCUAGUAAAUUACAAAAUCAUAGGCAAAGCAUGAUUCCAAUGUGAAAGAAGAAAAUCAAACACACAUUCAUCAGUACAUUACAAAAAAUUGAUGGUUUAGCUUAUAGAGUCAUGUCUAUUAUUAUUACCUUGUAAACAAGUCAAAUGUCUCAAUAAUUUGACACCUCAAUAACUGAAACAAUUUAAACCCUUGUUUAGUAUUAAAGUUGGGCAGGUGUAGCUUAAAAGUUACAGUACCAAAGUGUUUAGUAAACACUAGCUAUUGCCGCUUAGAAAUUAAGUUGAUUUGAUCUCACACUUGUAUGACAAAACCUAUAGUGUCUUUAUUAUUUUUGUCAAAUUAUUAUUUAAUAAUUAUUUUAUUAUACAUUAUCAACUUUUAUUUAAUAGUUGCAACUUCUUUUUCUUUUUUCUUACUAUGCUAUAGCAUUUCAAUAUCAAAUAGGGCUUAAAUGAGAAACAACUUCUAAAUUAAAUGCGACGUCUCUCUUCUUAUUAUUUGCAUAAGUUUGCCUAGUGGAUUAAAUGAGCAUUGGUAACCAUAAAUUAUGUAGAAUUAUUUUAUUGAUAUAUUUUUUCUAUGAUUUUCAAAUUAUACACAAGAGCCAAAACGUUUUCAUGAUGGCAGAUUUAUUGAGAAAAAAAGUGUUCAUUCAAAUAAACCUCAUGAAUAUUCACAUGAAUUUAUGUGAUGAGAAAGGGAAAAAAAAUUCUUCCAUUCAUUCAUAUGAACAUCUUUAACUAUUUCCUAAAAUUUAGGAGGAAAAAAAUGAAUUCUUCAUUUAUUCAUAUAUCGAGUUUCAUAAUCACUCGUACUAGGUUCCUGGGUGUAAAUGACUGAGAUUUACGAUUUGAGGACAAUUUUGAUAUUUCAAUAGACUACAAAUGCAUGUUGCGUUCAUUUCACACCAUCUGAUACGAAAAAAAAAAUUGAUGUUUUGGCUUCUAGAAUCAUGUCAAUUAUUGCCAUAUAAAUAGGUCAAUUGUCUCAAUAUCAGACCUUUUAAGAAGCCAAACAAAUUAAAAAUCAGUUUAAUAGUGCUGUAGUUUUUAAAAUAAUUACUGUUAGCAGUACUGUAAAAAUAAUUAGUUGUAAAAAGAAUCAGUUAAAUAUUUGAUAAAAUUUCUUUUUAAAAUUACUGCAAAUUUUAAAAGUAGUCGUUUGUGUUUAGUAAAUUUUACUAUUAAACUGCUGUAAAAAUAUAAAUAAAUCAAUUGAACACAAUAUUGAAUAAAAUUUAUUUACGCAUUUAUAAACAUGUAUGAAAUUUUUUUUAUUGUGUAUAUAUGAUAAUUGAUAACUAAAAUAAAUAUUUUAAAUUAUUGAUUUUAUUUUUUUAUUUGGUUAUCUUAAUAUAAUUGGUAAUAAUAAUCUCUUUAAAUUAAUGAUUUUAUUUCCUAAUUAAUAAGGAUAAUUGUAGAUUUUUAUAAUAUAAUUGAAUAUAUAUAUAUGAAAUUGUACUAACUGUAAAACUGAUUUUCAAAAUCCGAUUAUGAAAAGAUACUCCUUCCACGCUUUUCAAAACCUGCUAUAGGACGGGGUGAUUUAGCUAAAAGUAAUUUUAAAAAAAAAUUGUCAAACACCAAAAUUGACAUUUAGUUUUUUAAAAUUACUUUUGGGAACUCCCAAAAGCAAUUUCAAACGGGCUUCAAGGUCUUAUUUGAUACUAAAGUUGGGCAGUUAUAUCUUAAAAGUUACAGCUAUUUAGUAUAUAAUAGUUGUUGUGAUAUUGAAAAUACAAAUUGAAGGACUCUUUUUGUCCCAAAACUGAUAUUGAAAUCCGAAAAGUUACAGAAAUGGUGUGUCCACGUAUAAAAGUGAAGAGACAUAUUUGAUUUUAGGUUUAAAACUCAGGGUCCACGUACUGAAACUUCCGUAAUAAACAUAGGGCGAUUUUAUUGCAAUGGUCACCUACACUGGCCUACUUAUUUAUUUGAGUUGGCACCGAGCUUGAAAACUGCGGGAAAGCAAACUGACUGACAAUGACAAUACGAAGCUUGGCCUUUGGCCGGAACCACAUUUCACCACACAUUAUGAUAUUAGAUCUUUCAUUAUUGAUCACAUAUUCACAUUAUCUAACUUCAACGGAAAAUUACCUUCUAGAAAGUGCUCGUAUAAUUGUUUAUAUAUAAGCAGUCUCCAAACUUAUCAUCAAUUUUCCAGAUUCACCGAAAAAUGAGCUGGCGCUGGGCAGGUAGUAUUGGCGCUGCUAAGGUAAAGAUCAACCCUCUAAUUAAGUCUCUUCACUUGAAAAGCUUAUAGAUACACGUAACAUGCUGAUAUUUAAAAUAAUGUUUGUUUAAUUUUCGCUGUACAGAACAAAUUGGAAGAAGAUGCGCGACUUCAAGACUACCAGAACGUGGGACUUGUAGUAGGCGUGACAGGAAUUGUAGGCAACAGCCUAGCUGAGAUUUUGCCCCGAUCAGAUACCCCCGGUGGCCCGUGGAAGAUCUACGGGGUGGCGCGACGUCCCAGGCCUAACUGGAACGCCAAGUACCCUAUUGAUUACAUCCAAUGCGACGUUUCCGACCCAGACGAUACGCAAGCCAAGCUCUCAAAACUCGCUGACGUCACCCACAUAUUCUAUGUGACGUGGGCCAGCCGUCCCACUGAAGCCGAGAAUUGUCAGAUCAACGGCGCCAUGUUUCGUAACGUGCUCCGUUCUGUAAUCCCGAAUGCGCCUAAUCUCCGCCACAUCUGUCUCCAAACGGGAGGCAAACAUUACGUCGGUCCAUUCGAGUGUAUUGGCAAGAUACCGUCUCACGAUCCGCCUUUUACUGAGGAUUUGCCAAGACUAAACGUAUCACUUUUUUACUAUAAUCAGGAAGAUAUAUUGUUUGAAGAAGUUGACAAAAGACGGGGUUUGACUUGGUCCAUACACCGACCUUCCGGAAUAUUUGGGUUUUCACCUCAUAGUUUGAUGAAUAUUAUAGGCACUCUCUGCGUGUACGCAGCUAUUUGUAAACACGAAGGUGCUCCUCUUGUAUUUCAUGGGACUAGAGAUGCUUGGGAAGGUUUCCAAGAAUUUUCAGACGCAGAGUUGGUUGCGGAGCAGGAAAUUUGGGGGGCAGUGGAUCCUAAUGCAAGAAACGAAGCUUUCAAUUGCACCAAUGGAGAUGUUUUUAAGUGGAAGCAUUUAUGGAAAGUGUUGGCUGAGCAGUUUGAGAUUGAGAAUUAUGGGUUUGGAGAAGAAAUGGGUAGUGAGAGGGUGAGAUUGGAGGAAGUUAUGAAAGGUAAAGAAAGUGCGUGGGAGGAGAUUGUGAGAGAGAAUCAGCUGCAGCCAACAAAAUUGAAUGAGGUUGCUGUUUGGUCAUAUGCAGAUGUGGUGUUGAAUAUUGGUGCGGGUUAUUUUGUUAGCAUGAACAAGAGUAAGGAGCACGGGUUCUUGGGUUUCAGGAACUCUAAGAAUUCGUUUAUCACAUGGAUUAAUAGGUUGAAAAGUCACAGGAUUGUGCCUUAAGUAUUUUUUUUUUUUUUUCACUUUUUGAUUUGGUGCCUCGAGUAAUUGAAAAGCCACGAAAAAUUAAUAGUUCAACCCGUGAUUGGUUUGGCUGGAAAUUGUACCCUUUUGUUAGAUCCUUGUUUUGUUAAUCAAAGAAUUUUACCUCAGGUAGAAAAAAAAAAAAAAAGAUGCCUUUGUUGUUGCUAAAGAGUUAAUAAAUAAAUACAGUACUGAAUUAUCAACCUUAGAAAACCUCCAUUAUACAUUUCUGAAUCACGUACCUUCAAGUUAUAACGACCCAAUGUUCAAGUAAUGCCUAAUCCUAGUAGUCUAAAGCUUCUUUAAAUGGUUCGUGUGUCGAAAGCACUCUCUUUCGAACCAACCGAUUCACUAGACCAGGAAAAAAAAAAGAUUGACUGUGAAAAUAUUAAAAAUUAAAAAUGAAGUCUUUCGAAAUUUUUUAACCGGACAGCAUUUGUUAGAAAGGGGAGAGAGAGAGCAAAGGGUAAGAAAAGAAAAUUAAAAUAAAGUUUAUGGACAUUUAUCAUUUUACAUUAAUUAUUCGUUAUAAUUAAAGGAUGAAAUUAUAAUUUUAUUUGGUCAAAUUGGUCAACACUUUCAUUUAAUAGAAAAUCUAAAAGACCAAGCCUAUUCUCAGGCAUUCUUGGGGAAGAAUAAACUAUUUAUGUCUAUUUUAAAACUUUGAUGGUAGAUCUAUACUAAACUAAAAAUUGUUACGGGAGAUUCUUGUACCACUACGUAGCUCGAAAGAGGAAGACUGAAGUGGUACUAAAUUUGCUAUGAAAUGAGUUUAACGACCGCAUGCAAACGAACAAUUAUAAGAAAAGUUUAGUUGAGGAGCGAGCAAAGAUAUGCUGACCAAUACAAUAUUUGAAAAAUAUAAACAUAUGUUUUUAAACUAUUAUUAUUAGGCUAAUGCUAAGUUACAUGCAUGUGACUUAUAACCCUCUCACAUAAAUAGUGAAUAAUGUUGGUCCACUCACUAUUAAUGUGAGAUGGUUGUAAGUUACAUGCAUGUAACUUAGGGAGAUCUUAUUAUUAUCAUCAUCAUCAUCAAAUAAAUAUAGUGCAAACAUGUCUAAAAACAGGCGGGAGCCGGGUUUGAUUUAUGUUGUAUACUUGUGUAGGCCGCUGUUCAGAUAUAGUCCAGCCCAAUGGAAGCAAUAUGUAAGCCCAACACGGGUCUUCAUCGAUUUAUGCAAUGCAGUAAAAAAACAUAUCUAAUGGAAACAUCUACUGAAUUUGAAUCAGUUACUGCAAUUAAAGUUACCAACCUUGUAUGAUUGAACGAAAAUAUUAAUAUUAAGUAUACAUUAUUGGUAGAAGAAAAAUGACAUUUUUUGGAGAAAUUCUAUAAUGCAUUAGAAGUAUUAUAACAGUUAUAUAACAAGUAAAUGAUACUGUGAUAUUUAUGUAUUUAUUGUGAAAGAUCAUUAUGUAAAAUAAUGGUUACAUUAAAUUUAAUUAUACAUGUCAUGCAUACAUCAAUCGAUUAUAUUACUACUAAUGAAUUAUAAAAUUUCUCAAUUCGCUGAUAUUAUGUUUAAUAUUAAAUAAAAAAAUAUCAGUAUUUGAUGACUUACGUAGUUUUUAACAUUUUUAACGUACCAGCAUCAACAGUUAUUGAUAUUAUAGGAUCAUAAACCUUCACUCAUGCGAAGAUUUUAUAUUUUAUUUUAUUUUGAAAUUUAUUAUUUCAUUUAUUCUUAACGAUGUCGUUUUGGACAUAAAAUUUAGAUAAAUUAUUAAGUCUUCAUCUUCUCUUUCUUCACAAAAUCGUUUCCCUCUCUUUCCUGACACAGUAUCUCAACAAAACAAAAUACCAAAAUAAAACAAAGGCCAAAACCAAAAGCAGAAACAGAUCAAGCAGCUCAACCUCUCUAGCCUCUUAAUGAAUAAUGAUAGAUCGAACCAGAAGCAAAACAGUUGAGUUGAAGAUCGAAGCUCUAGGUCAAAACACACUCUCUCUUUCUCAAUUUUUGUAGUUUUUUCUUUCGACUUCAUCAAAGUCUAAACCCUAAAUGCUCGCCUUCUCAAGCACAACAACUUCAAAAGGAUUUAUCAUUUUCUUGGAGAUCUUAUAGAGUCGUAUUCUUAGCAUCAUCAAAGUCAGCCGCGUCGAGCCGUCAUGGUCUGUGUGACAAGCUAAAAGGUCACAUUGACUUGAGCAAAAGAAUAGUUAAGCUUGUAAAUAGAGGCAGAACAAUUAGCAAGCUCGUUCACUCUAUCGUGCGACCCGUGCCUGAGACUCUUGGAAUCGAAUUAGAGGUAUUGAUUUUGAUUUGAUUGUCGACAUAUUUUUGUUUUUAGAUUUUUUUUUUUUUUAUAUUUUAUAGUGUUUAAUUAGCAAUAAAUUUGAAUUUCUAGAGUAAUUUAGGUGUACUGGCGAAUUAAAUGUUGAUUUUAUGUAUUUACUUUUUGAUUUGAAAUCCGCUUUCUCUUAAGUGUUAUUCGUUUGUGUUUCGAAUGCAGGUUUAGUGCUUGAUGAAUUGCCUCAUUCGGGUCUACUUUUUAUGAUGCAGAAAACUUAUUGUUUUUUUUUUCUAUCUAAAUUUGGUUGUUAUUAAUUAAUAAAAGUAGAGAGAUUCAGUUGUUAUUCUUGGUUCUUUAUGCAGAUGGUGCUCUUGCUUUUCUUCUGUGUUCUAUUCUUUUUGUUCAAGAUAUUUAUAGUUGUCGAUCCAAUAUUUAUUUAUUCAUUAGUUUUUACUGAAAGCAUAAAUACUCUUCCACUCGCCAAAAAUUAUUUUAUUCCAGUAGUUUUUCAAUUGUAAUGCCAGCUAGGUCCUACCAAUGCUAUUAUUUUAUGCCAGUAGUUUGAGUUCAGGUUCCCAGUGGUUUUCUUCAUUUUAAACGUGGUUAGGCAAUUGGAGUAUUGAUAACAUUCAAGCCGUUUUUAGUUCAACGCCGCAACUAGAGAAAGAUCCUUUUAAUUUUCAAGCCAAUUAAGUUUUCGGAAUGCUUCAACCAAGUUAUUUCUUUGGGGUUCCACAUCAGUUUUUGGGGUAGCCAUAAACUUAUGAUGAUGAUGAUGAUGAUGAUGCUCUCGCCAAUUGAUUAUUGCUAAUUUUCUUUGUACCUAUUAGCUGUUCCAGGCUAUCUUAUUGCCAUUUUUACAAUGUUACUAAAAUUUGUUGGUAUAGCAGUGCCCUUUCAUUAUAGUUGGCCUCUUAUGAGUGUAAUUAAUCUCAAAUAUCAACAUUAUAAAUUAUGAGUGUAAUUGAUUGGGUAAAUACUCGUUUAAUCCCUAAAUUUUGAUAUAAGUGUCCGUUUAAUCUCCAAAUUUUAAAAAGUGCGUAAAAACACUCUUAUUGUUCAAUAUGUUACAUUCUUAUCAUUGUUUGUUUCUUUUCUUUUACAAUAAUAAUAUUGCAACAAUAUUCUUGACAUUAAUUAAUUUAUUUAUAAAAAAAUUAAUUAGCAAAUUAACCAAUAAAUAUAAGUGUGAAAGAACUAAUAUUUUUUGUAUCUGUUAAACAAUCUUACUAAUAAUUUUUUAUAAAUAAAUUAAUAUUAGCCUACUUAAAGUAAUGUCUAAUAUUUUUACAAUAAUUUUACUAAUAAUUAUCACGUCGGUAACGUCGAUUUUUACCGACGAAUCAUAGGUUUCGAAAAUAUAGUGCCUUUUGAUAAAUCGAGAGAGUGGGGACAAGCACCUUCUCGGAUGUCUGGAGCUGAAGUGAAAAAGCAGUUGAAUAAUAUCCUUACUGAGUUUAAGAUUGAAGACUUGAAAAGUGGAGAAUGAAUAAAAUGAGAGAAAUGACAAGAUUACUUGGAAGAAGAAAAGCAUAUUUUAUGAACUACCGUGUUGGGAGUUCAAUUUGAUUCAUCAUAAAAUGUGAGACAUGAGGGAGAGACAAAAGCUCAGGCUUGUCUGCAACCAUGUGGGCCCUCAUAAGCAAUUCGUGUACACAACUUGGUUCACCAAGCCCAACAACUUGAAGCAGGCAAAAUCCGGGAACGAUCCUUCUCCUUCGCAACCCUGGCAGCCUUAACCUUGUAUUUCUGAUAUUUAGUUAAAGAGUAAGAAGAUUGCUCCUCUGUCAAUUACCUUCGAGAGAGACUUUCUUUUUCAUUAAUCGAUGCUUGCUUGUGAAAGCAAGGGUUUUAGUUACACUUUCAACGCUGUCAAUGUAGUGAAGUAAAGCAUUCGUAGAAUAAUGAAGAUGGAAGCCCCACAGCAUGAAAACUUUUAAACAGUAACACAGCUCUUAUUCCAGAGGCUGCACGCGAGUGACCUGAAUCUUCUUCAGAACUUUCAAAUUUUAUCAAGCAAAGCUUUCAAAAUUUCUCAACAAAUUGAUUAUUUGGUGUGGUUGCCACAUUUUGAGUAACUGCUAUUUGUUCUCAAGUACAAAAUCCUUGCCCUCCUAAGUUAGGAAAUAUAGAUGUGAAGCAAACCAAAUGAAAUAAAUGGGUAAACAGAACAAACAGUGCAAAAAUUAAAAAUGAUGGCAAUUAACAAAUUAACUUGUAUUUCUGAUAUUUAGUUAAAGAGUAAGAAGAUUGCUCCUCUGUCAAUUACCUUCGAGAGAGACUUUCUUUUUCAUUCACCAAAAUAAAAUAAAUUUAGAAUUUCAAACAGUACUAGUAGUAAAAAAAUGACGACAACAACAAAAAUAGAAAAUUACAAGACUGCUGAUAAAAUUUCACUUGCAGGCAUUUCUCACAAAAUUUCUGUGAUUUAAUGUGCUUUCAUGCACGCAAGUCCUAACGUUUCUGUGAUCACAAAUGAAACUGAAGAUAAAACAGAACAACUACCAAACCUUUCAAGCGUGACGAAGCCAUGAGAAUUGAUAGCUCAAUGUCAUGGGAUGAGUGUUUUGUCACUAAAACAGAACAAUAAUUUUGAACACACCAUGUGGCAUUUAGACCAUUUGAUAGUUUGUUUCAAACAUAUUUGUUUAUAAAAUACUUUUCUUCAUGGUUUUGGUCCCAUAAUUUUCUAUGUAUGUACAGGUUUUAUCGAUACCGCUUUUGACAAGUUACACUUACAUAGCAAUGCCCUUUUUGAUAAACUGUGCUUCUGUGAUGAAGAAUGUUUUAGCUGUAAGUGGAUAUCCUAAUCAUUGAUCCAUAUACUUAGGUUAUAUUAUCCAUCAGCAAGUAUGUAUAAAAUUAUUUUGUGUCUUUUUUUAUUAGAAAUGUUGUAAUUCUAUUUUACUCUUCCUGAAUUAUAACAUCAGGUGUCUAUAAUAACUAGGUUAUUCCUUCUGCAAAACAGAGCAGUGGUAAAUAUUUUUUUUCUUUUGUUUGUUUAGUACAUUUACAUGCUUUCAGCUUUUUCAAAUUUUGUAUGUGUCAAAGUUUAAAUUUAAUUUGUUGGUUUAUGCCACAACAAAAGGAACAGCAUCAAAGAGGAGCUGCUAAUGGACUUGCUAUGACUGUAGUGUCGCUUACCAAAACUGCCGGUCCAGCUGUAGGAGGUGCUCUGUGAGUGUCCUGUUGAUUUUGUAAAACUAUAUGUAAAUGAAGUUAUAAUUUUUUUUUUCAUUAAUUGGGGUUCUGGCAGAUUUUCUUGAUCACAAAAGCAUCAAGAUGCUGGUUUCCUCCCAGGUAUGAUGAUCUACUAAUGAAAUUUCUCACGAGUUGGUGAAUUACUUUGUGCUAAUUAGCUUAGUUAGCUGCUUAAACUAAAGUGCAGGUAACCAGAUGAUUUUUUUCAUUUUGAAUUUGGUCGAGGCACUAGGAGUAAUAUUGACAUUCAAACCAUUUCUAACUCAACGUGCCCCGUGAGUAGAGAAAAGAUGCAUCUGUUGAAAUAUUCAAAUAUAUGUCGAGCAAAUUAAAGCUUUCAAAAUCUAUCAACAAUUUGAUUAUUUGAUGUGGUUUGCCACUUGCCGUAUUUUGUUUUGCUGUUCUAAAGGCUUAAAUAUGAAAAUGGUGGUUGGCGCUCACACCAAUCGAUUGCUGUUAACAUUAAUUGUUCAGUACUUUUCUCUGUCGACAUUUAUACUUGUUCAUUGUCAGAACUACGACAAUUUAUCUUUACAAUGAUGCAAGCUAGAAAGAAUUUUUCAUGUUAAGUAAAAUAUUGAAGCCACAAAGAGUCUGAAUUAAGUACUAAGUUUUCUGCCAUGCUUUCAACGGUAACACAUUUGUAGCUCUUAUUCCAGGGGCUUCACAGUAGAGAGACCUGAUUUCGACCUUCUUCAGAACUUGGGGAUUCCGUAAUAACAGAGGACAACAGUUAUAUAAGAAUAUUAUUUUGUACAAUUUUCGUAUAACCUGACCAAUGCAAGUAUAAUUUGAUGAUCUUAACUCAGAUCAAAAGACCUUCAAUGAUGUAAAAUUUGAACAUAAAGAUGAGAACCAAACAUUAGAACUUAUGAUGAAACGGAAACAAAAACAUUGAGAUUGAAAAGAUAGAGAAACACAAGCUUUUUAAAAGGAAUAAAUAUUCAUUUAGUCUCUAUAUUUUGACUUAAGAGCGCAUUUAGUUCUUAUAUUUUAAAAAGUGCCUCAACCUCAAGACACCCCUACUGUGUUGGAAUAAUAUUUUUGGGAAUAUCAAUGAAAAGAAACGAAUGGUAAUUCAUCUAGCCAGCCUUAAACAAAAUAAAUAUUAAUAAAAACUUUUAUGUUAUUAUUUUAGUUUUAGGACUAAUUUCGUAAAUUAAUUUUUUUAUGCAUUUAUUAGUAAGAUUGCUUUAAGAAUAUUAAACAUUACUUUAAGAUGGCUGCUAUUGAUUUAUUUAUAAAGAAUUAUUGGCAAGAUUGUUGUAAAAGUACAAAAAAAUACUGGUUAUUUCAUAUUGAUAUUUAUUGAUUAAUUUUCCAAUUAAAUUUUUUAUAAAUAAAUGAAAUUAAUUUAAGAAUAUUAUUGCCAAGAUAUUAUUGUAAAAGUAAAUAAAAUUUAAGGAAAAAUGUAACGUAUUUAAUAUCAAGGUAUAUUGAGGUAUUUUUUAAAAUAUAAUAACUAAACGAGCAUUGAAGUUAAAAUAUAGGUACCAGACGAACAUUUUCUCUUUUAGAAAGUUUUAUAUUUUAUUAAUGAAAGUCUGAAUAACAAAAUUAAGGUUUUGGACUUCUUUUAAACUAAACUUAAAUAUAACAAAUUUACCAAAAUAACUAAACCUAACAUAUUACUACAUAAUAACAUUCUCCUAAUUGAAAUAAGAUAAAUGUUACUCAAAUUCUAUAUCUAGAAAAAAAAAAGAUAAAAAUCCUAAAAACAAUAGGAAAAUAGAUCUUAAACUUGUAAAAUAAUAUGAAAUAAAUAUAAUUUUCAAUCGAACCACGAGACUAAUGCGGCGCUACAGUAUUAGAUUAGUUUCCCCUCGUCGCGAACUUCGAAAUGUAUAUUAUACACCCUAAAUAGAUACUUAUAGCUCAAGUUGUUACCCUAGAGAGAUACUCCACUCAUCCUACGCAACCUAGAGAGAUACUCCACUCAUCCUACGCAACCAUCCGCUGCAUCAAAUUCGUUCCAAAAUUAAGAAUAAACCAGCUGAUGCAUUCCAAAUAAUUUAGAUGAAACGAUAAAAUAAACCUAGAGAUCAAAUAACAUGAAAUGAAAAAGAUAAUUACCUUGGACUGAAGCUCAUACAAAUUCAUUAUUUGACACCUGCGGCAAUUGUUGAAAUAAUAGUUAAUGAAAUAUAAAAUAAGACAAGUACAUAUUAAUGAAACACCACUGUGAAUCGAUAGCUAAGGACGGAGUAAAAUUUAAUUGUAAAUUAGGACAGUAGAGCAAGCAUCCAUAAACAUAACAUGAACGUAAUACAUCAAUUGAAAUAUCAUAGGAUAAAUUGGGACAUCAGAGAAAGAAAUAAGUAAAUAAAUCAGCAAAGGAAACAUGCAUAAACAAAUAAAAAAACAAAGACAAAAUAAGGAAGAGUUUGUGAUAAUUUUCUUCUAUGGUCAUUGAAGUCCAAAAACUAAUAAGGAUCGAGCAAUUGAACGGUUGCAAACUCAAUGGAAAUACAAUGGAACCUUAAAAAUGAACAGUGAAGGAAAAUGAAGAAAUCUGCAGGAAAUAAGACGAGUGAGAGUGAAGAAUUAAUUACCACUGAGUAAAUGCGAAUGAAGAAUGGAGACAGAUCCUUCUUCGCCCCAUUGAGAAGUGAGAUUCAUAGAUUGCAUUGAAAUUGAGAGUUGAGAUCAAGAAGCGAUUCUUCUUCUCCGUAAUUUCCUUUUUCUUUUAAUGUUGUUAUUAUUAUUAUUUUUUUUUUUUUUCAAUUUCAUGAUAUCUUUUUUGUUUUAAACAGUAUUGGCAUAUUACAUUUAUUUAUGUUAAUUUUACAAUACCUCCCUUCAGAUUGCACAAAUUACAUUAAAAAAAAAAGUGCUUUAUGUAUAAAACUUUCAAACAAAUUGGGCCAAAAUCUAACUUUACCAAGUUUAGAGUAAUUUUGGGCUCGACAUUCCAUUUCCGACAAACGAUUUUUCUUGGCGUUUGAUUUUUCUUUAUACUUUUCAUAUUUAUCCAACGGCUCGUCAAUGACAAUACCUUUGUAAAAAGUACUUAUUUUGAAUAUUAUAUUGUGGAAAUGUCUGGUCGGUAAUACAACUAUUUCUUAUAGUGUAAAACUGAUACACUAGCGUUCACAUUUUGAUGAGUAAAUUAAGGAUUUCAAGAUGAAGUACAUAAUUAGAUUAAUGCUAAGAAACUGAAGUUUGAUCGAUUGAAAAUGAAAAUAAUAAUGAAGGUAAUUAAGAAAAUGAACAAUAUAUGCAGAAGCGGUCCUAUUAGGACUUCUAGAUUUUCUCUUGGGCUUUCCUUAUUAUUGUUAAAAAAUGACACGAAGAACUUUGAGUUUAAAAAUCUGGCCCUGAUGCCUGGUAGCCCUCCAUGAAGCACCAGAUGUUUUGAUGAGAAAUGACAAGACCAUUUAUCAAAUUUCUUGUGGAUAUAAAUACAUACACAUAGACGAGACCAACCUCCUCAAAUGAGAAUCAGAGUGAUUAAAAGACCUUGCAAUGAGACAAUGAUACACCAUCAAAUGUCAAAAUACAAUAGAAAUUCACGACAUAUAUAUAAUAAAAGACCUCUCAUUGAGUCAUAUAUAUUGAGAAUAAAAAUGUUAUAAUACAUACACAGAGCUUAGCUAGAAUAAAAUGUCUUUGAACUUGCGAUGAUCAAACAAAGGAAACAGACAGGUUGUAACUCACACUAUCACAAGAAGAUCACGAAGAUGAAAAUGGGAACCCAUCAGAAUGGAAACUUUGAAUAGAUGAAAAAAGAAAAACGACCUUAUUCACAGAAGAAGAGUGACUUAAAUCUUCAUCAGUAUCCAGACAUUUUGCAAUCAUAGAGUAGAGAAAUUUUAACAGGAACAGCAGAGAAAAUAUUAUGAAUAUGCUAUAGACCAAUAUACUUGUUCAUAGCUAACGUUUGAUGGUUUAAGGAUUUGUUCUAGGAAUAAUGGGCUGAUUACUUUCUUUUUAUUUUAAUUUUUUUUUAAUCCAAUGAAUGAUAUUCAGCUGUUAAUUAUGUGUUCAUAGGGAAGAACAUUUUCUAAGUACUUUCCUUGCCUUCUAACUUUCCGAAAAGCAAACCCAAUGAGCAAACAGAGCACAAACUAAAAUAAAAGAACAGCAAUGAUAACAAUAAAUAAUUGGCAAAGAAAAAAAGGAAAAAGUAUGCACGUUUUCAAGGAAUUAUAAAAUAUGAAGGCUUUUAAUGAAACUUUAUCAUACAAAGUAUGCAAGGAAUUAUAAAAUUUUAGAAAACAAGGGGAGCUCUCAAAAAAAAAUGAAAAACUCAAAUUAAACUAGACUAAAAGACAUUCAAUUUUGCAAAAUCUGUCCAUAAAAGUCUGAAAGGAUCAUUAAAAUUGCAUUGCAAAUUUAACAGUAAACCGAGGGACCCAUUCUAAAUAAUUCAGAUGAAAUUGCGAAACAAGACAUGGGAUUAAAUAAAUGAAACAAUCUAAUAAAAAAAAAAUAAAUGAAACAAAAAUUAAUUACCAGUUGAGACUUUCUUCUAAAAAUUCGCAACUCCAAGUCACAAGAAGCCUAUGAAAUUAGUCGUACUGCGUAGAGUAUGACGACGACACCGCCAACAGCCGACGACACCGCCAACAGCUGAAAGUAAAAUUCUUAUUCAUCAAAUAUCUUAUCAAUAUUGUAUUUAAGAAAGCAAAUUUUGUAAAAAUUUAUCAUGGGAGAUAAGAGUAAUAUGUAUAUACGUACCUUCUCAGCAUGUAAUGUUGUAUGGUUGUGUUUAGAUAAUUAUUAGCCCAGCGCCGUUGAUCCGCUGUCUCUCCAUACCAGACAUUUACUCUUGGAGGCGUGAUUGCUUCUCCUGUAGUGAAAAUCUUCAUCUUGGGACAACCAAUCACCCACAACUCUUGCAAAGAUGGGAAUUGGAAGGUGUAAUUGGCAGAGCAGAAACUUGUGAGGCUAUCUAAAUCACGCAGUUCCAACGUCUUCAAUUUGCGGAAAACAAUCUCUUCUUUUUCAACUCCAUCUUUGUCAUUUAUUACCACCUCUGUCAUUGCUCUGCAUCCAUAUAUUUCUAUUGCUACGAGUCGCACCAGAGUUUUUGCUGUGGAGGAUGUUACCAUGUGUAACAAUUUCUUGCAACCGAAAGCCACCAGAGCUGUUAGGUUCUGAAAAGAUACCGAUGAUGAUGGCAAUAGAAUUAACAGACUUUGACAACGAUAUGCUUUUAGAAUUUCAAGAUACUGAAAAGUGGGGCCAAGUUUGGAGUCUUGUUUGCACAGCUGCUUCAGAUGAUAGUGCCAGCGCAGCUCUAAUGUUUUUAUCAUUGCCAACUUCCCCGCAUGUUUCUCUAAGCUUCCUUCCUCCGAAAAUACCUCUUCGUGGAAUGAAAAUUGAAACAGUGAGAGUAUUUCAAGAUUGUGAAAUCUCUCAAGUACAUUCCAGAUUGGAAAACAAGCUGAGUUAUCUUCGGCAAUCUCUAGUUGUUUAAGACUGCCAAAAAGGUGUUGUGGGAAAUCGGCCUGCAAAAUCAUCUUCACGUCUUUUCCAUUCAAUGAUAGGUCCUUCAAGUUGGGUAAGAUCUGAUCAUCAUAAAUCAUAAUAACUAAUGAGGUCAAUUGAUGUUCUCUCAAAUGAUUUUGAGUAAUCCAAUUACAAGCAGUGACUUUAUUGUAUCUGUUUUAUAUUAAUUUUACCCCCAAAAAAAAUUGAAUUAGUGAUAAAAUUCAUUAUAUGAUUUUUUAUAUGUUAAUUUUAGAGGUAAAAAAGAAAUUAGGGAAAAAUGGUUGAUUUAUAUUUGCAUGAAAAUAUUUUAUUUCACAACAAUAAAUUAUUAAUUUAUAUUGUAAGUCCUUGUAUAAAGAAAAACUAAGGAUUCUUUACCUAAAAAAGUUCAUAUAAUUAUUAAUCUCCCACAUUGAUCCCUUAGUCAAGACUAGCAAAGAUUAUUAUGUAAUAAAAAUUUUUAAUUUAUUAAGUAUUAAUUUAUCAGUGUUUUGUUACAUUUUUCAAAGUCAAAAGUCGUCAAUGAGCUAUUGAAAAAAAUAUCUAGAAAAUGACUUCAUACCUUUUCGAACGGCAAUAAGGGCUGUUGUGCAGGAAUAUCAAGUUGAUUAUUCUCUUUAUUCUGCGAUAAAUCUUCAGCAAAUAUUUUUAAUUUGUCACAACGACACACUGCAAAAUUUUCUAGUGCUGGCCAUUCCGAAGUAUGCAUUCCUGGGUAUAAACAUCUAAGUUUUGGUAGACCUUGGAGUAUCAGAACGGUGGGUUGUGGAAAGACAAAAUAAGGGAUCACUUCAUCUGCUCUGUUUUCAAAACGAUCUCCUGUAAAUCCUUACAGUCUCAUAUAUCUAAGUGCUGGAGCUGCUUGAGGUUUCCGAUCAUAGACGCUGAAAAUAUGUAUUUCAGUUUGUCACAGUACCACACAACUAAUCGUGUUAAACUUUGAAAGUGAGGAAACACGGCCGCCAGAAUUUGAUUGUAAUGCCAAAUCUUGUCGACAUUAAUUGCAGAUAUCUCCAAAGCCACCAAGUUAGGCAACGCAACCUAAAAAAAUAAGAAUUUCUCGUUAGAUCCAAUAUCCAUAUAGGAAGCACUUGUUGAAAUUUUCUUCUUUGAUUACAAAUUGUUGAAAGUCAGAAUCAAUUUCCAACUGACAGCUGAGUUUGAUGCAUUCUAAUUCAUACUACUUGUUAAGAGCUCAAUUAGUGAGCGUGUUGUUAAGAGCUCAAUUAGUGAGCGUGUGAGAUUCUUUUUAUCCUUUUUUCCAUUUUCUUUCAAUUCUUAAAUGAUUUAAUUAUUUUCCACGUAUGACGUCAAAAGAGAACGCAUGAUAGAAUAAAAUCUGUUAUAUAUAUAUAUAUAUAUAUGAAGAAAAUGUUAGCCUACUAUCACGGGAUGAGUAUUUUGCGCAGCUAACCCGUGCGGUACUUAGACAACUUUGCCGAAUGUUGCUAAGUAAGCCUAGAGCUUCUCGAACUAGAGAAGAGAGCAAUUGAGCCGAAUAAGAGACAUUGUAUUGCACAAAGAGAGAUUACAAUGCUUGUUGUUGUGUUUGUUGGAUACAAAUGCCUAAUGCCAUCCCAUAUUUAUAGGGGAGGCUUGCCAAGCUAGAGGCUCUAGAGAUUCUAGAGAAUUCUACCAUUUCCUAGCUAUUUACAUGUGCUGGAAUUGUAAGGAGAAUUCUAGAGUAUUUGCAAGCUCACAUGUGCUAGAAUUGCCAAGAACUUUCCGGAAUUGGGCCAAGCUAGCACUCUUGGCCUUGUGUUGGCUCUCUAGCCCGAAAUUGUUGGCAAUUGGGCUAGCGAAUUGGGCGGUCCGCAACAUCCUCCCCCACCUAAGCUCGCGGCGUCCUCGUCGCGCUCUCGUGCUUGAAAUUCUAGAUGUGCUCAGCGAAUUGCCAUAAGUCAUCUUCACGUUCCCAAGUGGCUUCGCUCUCGGGGAGGUUUUUCCACUUCACCAAGUACUUGCUAUGUGCUGGCACGCCCCUCCUCGAAACCGUGCGGUCCGCAAUGAUGUAGUCCACAUCUUUGUCGAAUGCGGUGACAAGCAGUUGGCACGCGCCUCGAUUCUCCGCGACUUGGUUCUCCCAUGUCUUCGUGAUAUGGCUUGAGAAGGCUCACAUGGAAGACCGGAUGGAUCUUGAGUCUUGGCGGAAGUUGGAGUUGAUAUGAGACGUUGCCCACACGUCGAACAACUCGGAAGGGUCCCUCAUAGCGCCUCACUAACCCCUUGUGGACUUUCCGCAAUGUCUUGAAUUGUUGGGGUAGGAGCUUGAUCAUGACUUGAUCUCAUUCAUUGUACUCAACAUGCCGUCUCCUUGUAUCCGCCCAUUUCUUCAUUUUCCUCGCGGCUUUGUCGAGGUAGGCUCGCGUGAUGUCCGCUUCCUCAUGCCAUUCGCGGGCGAACUUGUGUGCCGCGGGGCUUUUCCCGCCGUAAGUCGAGGCUAUGGCGUUGGGGGUCAUGGGCUGGAAUCCCAUGAUGAUCUCGAACGGACUCUUGCCCGUAGCCUCACUUCGCUGCAAGUUAUAAGAAAAUUGGACGAUGUCGAGUAGCUUCGCCCAAUCCCACUGAUGAGCGCUCACAUAAUGCCUCAAGUACAUUUCGAGGAGGCCAUUGAUGCACUCGGUCUGCCCAUCCGUUUGUGGGUGGAAGCUUGUCGAGAACUUGAGAUCGGUCCCCAACAUCUUGAAGAGCUCCGUCCAAAAACGCCCAGUGAACCGAGGGUCUCACAAUGCUCCUUGGAACUCCCCAAAGCUUCACAAUGUGCUUGAUGAAUAGGCAGGCUGCCUCAUCCGCUUUACAAUCGAUUGGUGCGGCAAUGAAUGUGGCGUACUUGCUGUAUCGGUCGACAACGACCAUGAUGCUUCCGCAACCUUCGGAUUUGGGCAGCGAAGUAAUGAAGUCCAUGGAGACAUUUUCCCAUGGCCUUGUUGCUAGUGGUAGCGGCUCCAAUAAUCCCGCUGGAAGUUGAUGAUCCACCUUGUCUUGUUGGCACACAAGACAAGUUCGCACAUCUGCUUCGAUGUCGUCCCUCAUGUACGGCCAAAAAUACGAGGCUUGAACUAGUGCGGUGGUGCGCUCGAUUCCUGGGUGACCAGCCCACUUAGAGUCGUGGCACUCCUUGAUUACCUCCUUCCGUAAGUUUCCCCACCUUGGCACGAACAGCCGAUCUCCCUUGGUGUGGAGGAUGCCUUCCUCUUGCCAAAAUCGCCUUGUCUUGCCUUCGAGCACCUUCUCCAGCAAAUCCUUUGCUAGCGGAUCUUGUUGGAGGCCUUCCUUGAUGCGUGAGACAAGGUCGGACUUUGGUUGGCUCAUGCUAAUUGUUGCCAAUUCGGCCUUACGGCUUAGAGCGUCUGCAACGACAUUGGCUUUCCUCGGUUUGUACUCGAGCCAAUAGUCGAAUUCCGUAAGGAAAUCUUGCCACCGUGCUUGCUUCGGGCUCAACUUUUUUUGUGUUUGAAAGUAGCUCGUCGCUACGUUGUCCAUCAUAGUCAUGAAGUGAGAGCCUAGCAAGUAAUGUCGCCACACCCGCAAGCAAUGUAUGAUUGCGGUCAUCUCCUUCUCUUGCACCGUGUAGCGGCGUUCCGUAUCGUUUAGCUUUCGACUCUCGAACGCUAUGGGAUGGCCUUCUUGCAUAAGGACUCCACCUAUGGCGAAAUCCGAGGCAUCCGUUUGAACUUCGAAGGGUUUAGUGUGGUCCAGAAGAGCGUGGACGGGUUCCUCCGAAAUUGCCUUCUUCAACUGCUCGAAUGCGCGUUGGCACUCUUCGGACCAAUGCCACGUUCUGUUUUUCUUGAGCAUAUCCGUCAAGGGUGCUGCCUUGGCUGAGUAGCCCUCGAUGAAGCGGCGGUAGCAGUUCACCAACCCAAGGAAUGAGCGAAGCUCGGGUACUUUCGAGGGAGGUUCCCAUUCGAGGAUGGCCUUUACUUUGGCAUUCUCCAUCAUGAUCUUUCCGCCCGCAACCUUGUGGCUAAGGAACUCCACUUCUUGUUGGGCAAACGAGCACUUCUCCAACUUGAGGAAGAGCUCGUUGUCUCGGAGUACUUGGAGGACUUGUCGUAAGUGUUGGGCAUAAUCCUCGAGUGUGGUGCUAUACACCACUAUGUCGUCCAAGUACACGACCACGAAGCGGUCGAGGAAUGGUUGGAGUAUCUUGUUCAUGAGCGUGCAAAAUGUAACAGGUGCAUUAGUAAGGCCAAAAGGCAUCACAAGGAAUUCGAAAGACCCAUACCUUGUAGUGCACGCUGUCUUCGGUUCGUCUCCCUUGGCGAUGCGCACUUGAUAGUACCCGGAGCGCAAGUCAAGUUUGGUGAAGUACCGCACUUUGCCAAGUUGGUCGAACAAGUCCGCGAUCAAGGGAAUCAGAUACUUGUUCUUGAUGGUGAUCUUGUUGAGCGAUCUAUAGUCGAUGCACAUCCGCAGCGAUCCAUCCUUUUUCUUUUGGAAGAGGACCGGUGCACCGAAUAGGGCCUUUGAGGGGUGAAUGUAGCCUGCGUCCAGCAAGUCUUUGAGUUGUCUCCGCAACUCCUCUAAUUCGGGUGGCGCCAUGCGGUAGGGCGCCAAGGCUGGUGGCUUCGCGCCUUGUUCCAGCUCGAUCGCAUGAUCUACCUCUCGCCGAGGUGGGAGCUUCUUCGGAAGUUCCAGAGGCAUCACGUCCUUGUAUUCAUUGAGAACGGCUUGAAUUCGCGAAGGGACUUGGCUUGGCGACGUUCUGCUCUUUCCUUCCUUGUUUAGUUCCCGGAUGGAGACCAAGAAGCUUGGGUCCUUCUUGAAAGCCCUUUUGAAUUGCAUGGCGGAGAGUGUCUUCUCCUCGGACUUGCCUCGCUCCGUGGGUACCAUGCAUGCUUUGCUCCCGUCGAGGAUGCUUAGGGAGUUUGUAGCGGGCAGUGGGAAGGCAUGGACUUGGUCGAAAAAUUCCAUGCCGAGGACUAUCUUGAAGUCAUCCAUGGGGAUGAUGGAGAAAUCAAGCUUUCCGCUCCACGUACCGAGUGUUAAGUGCACGCCUUGUGCAAUUCCCGCAAUUGGCUUGGCGGGUGAGUUUACUGCCUUCAUUGUGCUUCGUGAGCUAACUUGCGUGCGUGCAAACCUUAGCUCCGAUACCACUUGUCACGGGAUGAGUAUUUUGCGCAGCUAACCCGUGCGGCACUUAGACAACUUUGCCGAAUGUUGCUAAGUAAGCCUAGAGCUUCUCGAACUAGAGAAGAGAGCAAUUGAGCCGAAUAAGAGAAAUUGUAUUGCACAAAGAGAGAUUACAAUGCUUGUUGUUGUGUUUGUUGGAUACAAAUGCCUAAUGCCAUCCCAUAUUUAUAGGGGAGGCUUGCCAAGCUCUAGAGAUUCUAGAGAAUUCUACCAUUUCCUAGCUAUUUACAUGUGCUGGAAUUGUAAGGAGAAUUCUAGAGUAUUUGCAAGCUCACAUGUGCUAGAAUUGCCUAGAACUUUCCGGAAUUGGGCCAAGCUAGCACUCUUGGCCUUGUGUUGGCUCUCUAGCCCGAAAUUGUGGGCAAUUGGGCUAGCGAAUUGGGCGGUCCGCAACAUCCUCCCCCACCUAAGCUCGCGGCGUCCUCGUCGCGCUCUCGUGCUUGAAAUUCUGGAUGUGCUCAGCGAAUUGCCAUAAGUCAUCUUCACGUUCCCAAGUGGCUUCGCUCUCGGGGAGGUUUUUCCACUUCACCAAGUACUUGCUAUGUGCUGGCACGCCCCUCCUCGAAACCGUGCGGUCCGCAAUGAUGUAGUCCACAUCUUUGUCGAAUGCGGUGACAAGCAGUUGGCACGCGCCUCGAUUCUCCGCGACUUGGUUCUCCCAUGUCUUCGUGAUAUGGCUUGAGAAGGCUCACAUGGAAGACCGGAUGGAUCUUGAGUCUUGGCGGAAGUUGGAGUUGAUAUGAGACGUUGCCCACACGUCGAACAACUCGGAAGGGUCCCUCGUAGCGCCUCACUAACCCCUUGUGGACUUUCCGCAACGUCUUGAAUUGUUGGGGUAGGAGCUUGAUCAUGACUUGAUCUCAUUCCUUGUAUUCAACAUGCCGUCUCCUUGUAUCUGCCCAUUUCUUCAUUUUCCUCGCGGCAUUGUCGAGGUAGGCUCGCGUGAUGUCCGCUUCCUCAUGCCAUUCGCGGGCGAGCUUGUGUGUGACGAUGGUCUGUUUGGUGAUGCUGAAGGAGUCUUUACUUCACGGCAGAAAUUUGUAACCUCUGGAAGAUUCCCCAGACUCAAAGAUCUUAAUUGAGCAAACUCUAUCUUCUCAAUUGCAUUAUCAACUUCUUCCCCAAUUGCAAAAAUCUCUUUCAUCUUGCUGCAAUCAACAACUGCAAUUCUCUCAAGUCUUGGAAGGCAUUUUGUAGUAGAGAGCCAAAAGAUAUUACUCAAUUUAUCACAAUUAUAUGCUUGUAUGAUUUUGGGUUCGUUCAAAGACUCUACUUUGAGCUGAUCAAUACAUAUCCUCUCCAUGUUGAUCAAAUUGUGAAGGAUAAGUGACUCCAAAAGAGGAAAGGCUUCACAAGCUACCAUCUCCAUUGAGUCCACGAUACACAGGAAGUUAGGAUUAUUUUGAACAUGGAGAUGCUUCAAUUGUGAAAAACCUUCUGUGUCCAAAUCAAAAAGAACAUUCUUGACACCUUGCAGCUUGUCCAACCAUAGGUAUUCAACGUUAUUGAUGCCCUGCAAUUUCAUGGAGAAAAUGUCCAUAAAAUCAAGCUUGAGCUUCAAUUCUCUUAAACUCUCACGAUUACUGUUGAUCAAAAAGUGCGGCCGGCUUUGAAACCAUUCUCUUGUAACACUCUUGGGAGGCAUGAAUGACUCAUUUCCAAUGGAUAUUUUGAACCUUUCGAGCUUUCUGGCCAAAAAGCCUUCCGGUAAAAUACUGUCAUUUUUAACAUCAAUUUCUAGAGUGGUUGGCCAAGGUAAAAGCAUCAAUUCAUCAAGGCUAGCAUUACUUCUUUCACUGUUGGCUCUUUCAACCUCCCAUUCAACGGAGCAAUUACCCAUAUACAAUUCUUCUAAUCGGAUUAAGCUCGAUAAGACAUUUGGGGCAAUAACUUUUAGAUGGAAACAGUCUCUUAAAUCUAACAGCCUUAGCUUAGUCAGUUGCCCUAGUGCUUUAGGUAACUGUACAAUAUCAGACCGCACAAAGCCAAGGAUUUCUAGAUUUUCCAACUUUCCAAUAAUGGCUGUGUCCAUGUCUCCCAAAUGCUUUGAUUAAGACAAAGUGUCCGAAGAUUUACUAGAAGAUCAAUUGAAGAUGGCAAUGACAAUAACCGCAUUCUAGUCAAAUCCAAAACCCGAAGCUUUUUCGUCCUUUUGAAGAAGUUCUCAGGAACAUUGGGCCCAACAAAAGAGUUCUUGGGUGACAUGAAUAAAAAUUCAAGUUGUGUAGAUUCCAACACUUCAGGAAUGUCAUUAAUAAUACUAUCUUUUAAACAAAUUGCAAAAUAUUUUUUUAGUGCAUCUGCAUCUGGCCAGUUCCACACAUCCUCAUUUCUCACCGCAAAUGCAAUUUUGUCACGACGUGCUAUUGAAAUGGCAACAUCGCGAACAACAUCAUGCAUGGAAAAGAAUUUACUGCCACCAUCCUCAAGCAACAAACAAGAGUCUCUUAGUUGAUGGACCCAUGCAUGUAAUUUGUUAUGUGCAUCUUCUAUCUUAUGGACACUUUCAAAUGCACCCAAGCCUAUGCUAUAUUUGAACAAGUCCAUAAUUGAAGUUGGUGUAAUUAGACUACACAGUAAAAAAGUUUUCUUUAGUUGCUCACCUCUUAAAUACUUGUAACUUAGCUCAAUUGUUGAGUAUGCCUCUACUGGUACUCCUUCAUCGAAGCUUGCCUCUGAAGGCGUUUGGAGUUCUUGCAAGGCGUUCUUCCACACAGGCAGCUCUUUGUUUCUCAGUGCCUUUGCUACUGUGGUUAGAGCAAUAGGCAAACCUCCACAUGCCUUGGCUACAUUUGUUGCUGUAGAUUUUAACUCACGAUUUUCAACAAAAUUACCAGCCAUUAUCUUGAACAACCUCCAAGCUUCAUGCUCAUUUAGAAUGCCAAUCAAGAAGUUAUUUUCAGAUCCCAUACUUAACAAGACAUUACGAUCCCUUGCUGUUAAUAAUAAUUUGCAUCCUCUAUGAUCAUCGUCAAAAGGAAUUCCAACAGUCUCUAAAUCAAGAUAUUUCCAGAUGUUAUCCAGAAUCACAAGGAUCAUCUUCUCUUUCUUCAAUCGUUCAUAAAGUCUACUAGCUCUUCUAGAUUCAGCCUCCUCGGACAACUCCAGACCUAGUUUCUCUGCAAUUUCCCCUUGAAUCUUUUUUAUGUCUGGAGUUUGGGAAACCUCUGAAAAAACCACCUGAUCAAAGAGUUUCUCUUCACUGGCUUGCGUUGCAAACUCCUUCACCAGUGUUGUCUUUCCAAUGCCGCCCAUGCCGUAUACCCCAACGAUGCUGACAUUGACAUCAGUCAAUGCAUCUUGUCUAGACUUCAGAGUAGAAAGUCUUGAUUUAAAGGCCUCGUAACCUUUGUUAGACUUUAGCCAUACCUCCUCCGCAAUGGUACGGUAGAAAAUUCUAUCAUCAAAUCUCCUAGCUUCUUCUUUGAGUUCAACAAGGGCCUUCACCUCUGUUUCUGCUUUCUUGCUAAGCUGAUAGCGGGUCUUGAAAUUAGGACACAAGCCCUUGAAACAUCGCUUACUUGUUGUCUCCCCAUCUUCAAUGAAUUUGGCUGCCUGCUCAAUGGUGUUGUUCGCACUAACCAGCCAGUUCUCAACCUUCUCUUCAAUCUUUUCUCCUUUUCUUUCAGCCUCAGAAACUCUGUGCUGAAUGCUCUUACUUUCAUCCUUGAGCUUGUCUAUUUCUGCCUUGAGAUUCUCAAAGUUGGCUUUAUAGUUACGCAAAUAACAAAGUUGGCGUUCUGUUGGAGGAGCGAAGCAUUUCACAACUUCUAACAGAACAGUAACAAUGCUUUCCACCAUCUUCGAUCCUCUUUUUUUCAAAGUUCCGAAAUGAAAAUAAACGACGAGCGAAACACAAAGAGAAAGAGAGGCAAAAAAAAAAAAAAAGAAAAACGAAAAAAAGAAAAUGAAACAACAAAGAUGACAAGUGUAUCUGGUUGUGGAAGCGGAGAAAUCAAAGAAAGCUUAAAAACUGUUGUGAAUCUGGUGAGAAGAUGGAAACAAGGAAAAGGUUUCUAGUUCAAAAGUGAUUGAAUUGAUAUAAGGAAUGAUUUAGAUAAUAGAGGAAAAGUGAAUCAGUCAAAAUAACUUAUGUAUUGACCAGAAGAAAGAUGCAAACAAUAUUAGAGACAACAACCGCGCUGUUGAUGCCCAAAUCUGAUCUAGUCUAUCAGCGACUUAAUGUCAGAUUUCUACACCAGUAUUAGAUUUAUUUGGUAGAGAAUCGAUUGGUCAAUCGUCAAGAUGUCCUGCAACCACUAGCGAUUAACCUAGGAAUACCUGAAAUCAUAGAAGAAGGUUAGAGGCGCCGGAAGUUUUUCCGGCGUGAACCCUCCGACACUCAAGUUAGUUUCUAGGCCUUUCGGAAAAACUUGUGCCACCACUCAUGUGGCUUAAUAAACAUUGCCUUAAAACCCAAGGCUUUUCGAGUAAUUUACAGAAAGUAAAGCAGAGUGUCAAAGAAAGAAUUUUCCAUGAGAGGAAGAGAGCCCAAAAAGCCCCCCUAGCUAACUCCCCACUCCCCUCUUUCCCCCCUUGUUCUCUCCCACUUUCGGAAGUUAAGGAUGAGAUAAAAGUAAUGCCCCCACUCUCCUUUUUUUCCUCCUUUUUCCGUUACCAAACACGCGCUAUUGACUGGUAAAAGAGAUGGAGAAAAAGAUAUAUCUUCACACGGUGGAAGUACAAAGGGUAGAUAUGGAACCAAACAGAGACAACAACAUGCCACAACUAGAUUGGGAAUGGAGAGAAACAAAUUAACAAAGACUGGAGAUUACAACAGAACAGAUGCCAAGAGAAAAGGGUUUCUUCAUCCAGUGAAAUUCAAGUGAGUUGACAGCAAAAGGGAGCAUAUGUGUUUCUUGAUUGAGAACGAGUGCAAAGGAUGACUUUUUAAUGAGGUUCUGAAGCUGACGGAUAACGAUUUGCUAAAAUUUUGAGAAAGUUAUAUAUUUCGUAACUUCAACAAGUGAAGAAUAAAAGAAUAAUAGUUCGUCAUCUUCACAAUGAAGAUCAUGGCCGAGAUUAAAAGCUAAAACUAGUCCAUUUGAAAAGCCAAAGUUCAAGUUCCUUGGCUAAGUUCAGAAGUGAAGCAAAGAAUAAAUAAAUAAAGAUCAAGGGAUGGGAAUAAAGUCACCCCCAGACAGUUGCAGAAAGAUUAUUAUUUGGUAAGCGUAGUUGAUUAUUAGUACAAAACAGAGUAGGUGAAACACAUCCUUUCUAUUUAGACUGAUCAGCAUCUAAAAUUUUAUGAAUUAUAAGUUGCAUUUUACUUUGUACAUUAUGUUAACACAUUUUAAUUUAGCCAAUUUUUCAAUAAAUGUUAUUGAUGUAUUAAAUUGCAACAACAAAACACAAUUAUUGGUUUUAAAGAAUGAAAAAAAAAAUACAAAAAUAGAAAAUGAAUUGAAUUCCACUCAUCGUCAUCUUGGCAAAUCAAGUCAAAAAAUAAAAAUCCAUAUGCUUUUGUUAAAGUUAAAAGCUACAUAAAUAAUAUCACAGAAGCUUCUGCUAAGGUUCAUGUGAAGUCACAGCUUUGAUACUUGUAAUACAAGGAGCACGGAGAAACCAUAAACUUCAGUUUAGGUAUAUACAUUGCUUGUCUUUCAAACUUGAAUUGAUAAGGGGGAAAAAAAUAAUACUAAAGCAAACAGAAGGAUCAUUUAGUUGACAAAAUUAUUAUUAUUUUUAAAUUCGGGUCAUUCAGUUACUUUCAUUUCAGUUUCACUACUGAUUCAAUUUAACCAGUUAACGUUGACAAAAAUAAAAUGCAAAUAUAAGGCUAAGGCUGCUAAUUUGAUGAACUAAUUAUCUCAGGAACCAAAGCAUCUAUAAGCAUGCAUGGGUGGCAACACCAUAAUUACUCAAGACUGGAGGAGUAAAAAGAUUGGAGAUGAUAAACAUUAAAUUUCAGGAAAAUCAUUCACAAAUAUGCUUUUAUAAAAGUUUUGCUGGUAAAGUUCGAGAAAUGCAUACAUGUCAAAUUUCCAUUUCUUGUGAGCAUUUCACCAAAUAGCUGAUAUGCAUUAAUAACUCCUAUCCUAUACUAUUGGCCAGUAGGUUGUUGCUGCUUCCCCAUUUUUAAUGAUGCGAACGUCUCAUACUUAGAAAUAAGGGCGGAGCCUGGAGAUUGAUUUAUAAGAUAAUCUUUUGAAUAAAAAUAAAAACAAUUACAGAUUUCAAAUGUGAGAAAAAUAAAAUUGCGUUAUAAAAUUAAUCCCACUAAGAAAGUCGUCUACGAAAUUGCCACAUUAAAAGAAAAUUUUUCCAUAAAUUAAAAUAAAAUUAAAUGAAAACUAUUUUUCAGUAAAGUCAAUUGCCCACGCUAGGCUAAGGCGUUUGUUUAUUUGUUUGUUUGUUUUUAUAAUCUGAAUAGGUAUAAAUUUUUCGUAAGCAUGAAUGAGCUGAGUACAAAUAUAUGAAUGAUAUAUUUAUUUUUCUUUUUCUUAAUACCCAAAUAUAAGUGACAUCUUAUUUAUCUUAAAUAUGGUUAUUUGAUAUUUAUAUUUUUACAAAUAAAAACAAAAAAAAGUAGUUAGAUUUUAUAGUUUAAGAAAUAAAUAUAUUUUAUAAAAAUAUUUUUAGAAUAUAUAUUUAAUUCUUAUUUAGACUUUUUCCUAUUCAAUAAAAGUCACAAAAGUUACUUUUUCUAUUCAAAUGUAAAUGCUUAAAAAUCAGAUAUAAGUCACAAAAAAAAUAAAUUUUAGAAAAAGUCAUAAAUUAAUAAAAUUUCAUAUAUUUAACUCCCAAUGCAGAUCCGCCCCUAUCAGUGUUAGGAAAUUGACUGGUGAAGUAGGUUCACAGCUAAAAUGAAAUUGGAAGAAAAUGAAGAACAAGCACAUAGAGGACACCAAAAAUUACAUGGUUCGACUUUUAGCCUACGUCUACGGGUAAAGACAAAAGGAUAAAACUUUACUGGUGAAAUGAGGAUUACUAGUAUUAUAAUAUUUUGUUUCACUUCCUAGAACCCCAAUCCACUCAAUCUCUUAAAACACUAAUCACUCAAGAGCAUUAAAACUCUUAGUCUCUCACUCUAGAAUUGAAGAAGAAAAGAAUGAAAUGCAGGGGUGAACCCCUCAUUUAUAGUUAAAAAUUUGGGCACUAUUUAUAUUUUUAUAUAUUUUUUUUAAAUUAAAAGUUUGAACUUGACAUUCAAACUUUGAAUAUCAAAAGGUAUUGGUCACUCUUCUAGAAAAGUGACAUUGACUUUGACAUUCUCCCACUUAGAAAUUUGAUUGAGAAUCAAUCAAUCUCCACACCAUCCUUUCUGCUUCGUCGCUAUCAUGUUGCUUAUGUCUCUACUAGGCCAUAAAAUGAUCUACUCCAAACAAAUUUAUCAGCAUUGAUAGGCUUGGGCAAAACAUUUGUUAAGUUCUCCUUGGUAUCCACUCUUGUAUCUUUCACUACUUCACGAAGAAGUGAUAUUGUACUCCUAUAUUCUUUGUCCUGAAAUAAAAGGUUGGAUUCCUUGCAUUCUAACUAUCACAAACCAUAAAAAUUUUUAUGCCCAAGCUCUUUCAGUAACCUUUGUAUCCAAAUAGCCCUUCCAAGCUUGUGUAGCUGCUAUGUAAUCUGCUUCUGUUGUUGAUAAAGCCACAAUGGUCUGCAAUUUUGAAAUCCAACUAACAAUUUCGCCUUCUGGUGUAAAUACUUAGCCAGUAGUGGGUUUCCUUUUAUUAAGAUUUUCUGCAAAAUCUGAAUGCACAAAGCCCUUGACAGUAAAUUCUAAUCCUUCGCAGCAUAAUGCAACAUCUGAUGUUCCUCUGAUAUUUCUCAGAAUCCUCUUAAUAGUCUUCCAAUGUUCUUUGCAAGGAUUCGCUAUGUAUCGACUAACUGCUCCCACUACUUGUACAAAUCAUAGCAAACCUUAAAUUUUCCACUGCUGAUGCAUACAGUACUCAAGACAUCUCUUCUUCUCUACUUCAUUACUAGAUGAAUACUUAAGAAUAACUUGAAAUUAAUAAGAAGCGGGGUAGAAAGCCAAAUCUUCUUGCUAUUACUAUCUCGGUGAAUUUGCAUCCCUAAAAUCUUGUUUGCUGGUUCUAAGUCUUUUAUUUCAAACUCCCUAGUUAACUGUGCCUUCAGUUCUUGGACUCGAUCUUUGUUGGGGCUUGCUACCAAUAUGUCAUCCACAUACCACAGUAGAAUGAUGAAAUCAUUAUUAUAAAACUUGUUGUAAUAUGUACAACAGUAUGAAAUGAUUCUAUUGUAUCCAAGGUUUAUGAUGAAAUGAUCAAUUCUCUUAUAUCAACAUCUCGGUGCAUGUUUGAGAUCGUAUAGAGAUUUGUUCAACUUGCAAACCAAGUGUCCCUUUUUAGUAAAACCUUCUAGUUAGAGCAUAUAAAUCUUUCCUUCAAGUUCUCCAUGAAGAAAUGAAAAUUUCACAUCUAACUGCUCCAAAUAUAGGUCAAAUGUAGCACACAUCGACAAGACCACUCUGACUGUCCUGGGUCAAAUCACUGGAGAAAAUAUCUCAUUGACGUUAAUACAUUCUUUCACCACCAAUCUUUCACGAUAUCGCUCCACUAGGUUAUUACCAUCACGUUUGAUCUUGUGAACCCAUUUGCAACCAAUGGUUUUUUUUUAUAUGGUAGUAGUACGAGUUCCUAUGUCAUAAUCUUGUGUAGAGCCUUAAUUUCUUCCUGCAUUGCUAUCAUUCACAAAGUAACAUCUGAGCUGUUUAAAAUUUCAUAGAAAGUUGAUGGCUUUCCAUUCUCUAUUAAAAGACAGUAUGCAAAAUUGAUAUCUGUGACAUAAUCCAAAUGCCACACAUACAUUUAUCUAUCACGAGUUGACCAACAAACUUUUGGGGCCUCAGACUUGAUUGGUUCUUGUUCUCAUACUUUGGUGCUGCUUCAAAAAAAUCUGAAUCUUCAUUUUCCAGAUUAUUUUCAACAUAUAUUAGCACAAUCUCUAAAUUUUAAUAGUGCUAUCAUCCAUAUCUCUCUUUUGCAUUUGAUCUUCUACAAAGACAAUAUCUCUGCUAAUAACGAUCUUGUGGGCAUUGAGGUCCCACAGAUAAUACCCUUUCACUCCAUCAAUAGAUUCUAAGAAGAUACAUCUCUUGGAUUUUGGAUCCAUCUUUAAUCUCACUUGGGUAUCGUAUAUCACGUAAAAGGACAUCAAAAUGCCUGAGAUGAGAGUAAUCAGUUGGCUUUCCUGUCCAUUUUUCCAUUGGAAUCUUCAACCCGAUUGCCUUGAAUGAUGACCCACUUACCACAUAAUAAGUAGUUUUUGCUACUUCCGCCUAGAAUGAGUUGGUAGACCAGCAGUUCUCAACAUAACUCUUAUUUUUUCUAUAAGAGUCAUGUUCUUUCACUCUACUACUCUAUUUUAUUGAGGAGUGUAUGCCACUGUAAAUUAUCUCUAGAUACUUUCUUACUUACAUAUGCAAGAAACAUGCUAUCUGUAUACUCUCCACCAUUGUCUGUCCUCAGGCACUUGAUCCCUUGCCCUGAUUUAAGUUCAAUCUACGCUUUGAAUUCUUUGAACAAUAGAAAUACAUUUGACCUUUUCUUGACUGGAUACACCAAAUAUCUCCUAGAAUAAUCAUCAAUAAAAGUCACCAAAUACUUUGCACCUCCCAUAGAUAUAUCAAUUGAUUCCCAAACAUUAGAAUGAAUCAAGUCUAAAAUACAUUUACUUUUGAAAGUGGAUCUGCUAAACUUUCAUCUAUGUUGCUUUCUUGUUUCGACAUGUGGCCAAGUUUAAGAUGCCACAUCAUCGCUGAAUUUUCUCUAUUUGAUGUGACACACACAAAAGUUUUCUGUAGUGUUUCCAUUUAAGCAUGAAUAGAUUAGCACCGAUCUUUUCCACCUUCAUUAAUGCAAGUGUGCCUUUGACUAUCUUUAUGAUCCCAUUUUCUACAUGAGUUUUGUGCACAAGGCUAUCUAUUUGUCCUAAAGACAAGAGAUAUUUUUCAAGUCUUUGACAUGUCUUACCUUCUCAAUUGUGCGAACCAUACCAUUAAACAUAUUUAUUUUGACAGUACCAAUAUCAAUGAUCUCAAAGGCAUGAUUAUCACCUAUGUAUACAGAUUCUCUUGAAAUAGGUUCAUAUUUGUGAAAUCAUUCUCUUGGAGAGAUCAUGUGCCAAACAACUAUUAAGUCUAUAAGCCAGACGUCAUAUAGUGGUUUUCUGCCUUUUGAAGCAGUUGUUGCCUUACUGUAGAGAAUUUUUCCAUUAUACGAGGUACUUACUACAUACCCUUGAGCAUUUGAUGACUCAGGAUCUUUACCCUCUCUUCUCUUCUAGUUGUUCCAAUACUCUUCCUUGACAUGCUCUUUCUUGCCACAGUUGUUGCAUUUAACAUUCUUCUUACUUCUUGAUUUCGAUCUACUGUGAUUGUGGCUCUCACUAGGGCCACGUUCCAUGGAUCUUCCUUUCAUCAUCAAUAGCGCUUCUACUUGCUGCGAACUUGUCUGUCUAUCUUUUUUAUUUUUUGCUACUCUCCUCAUUUAAUACGGAGGCUGCCAUAUUGUCAAAGACUAACUUGUUUGCUCGAUUGUUAUUAGUUAGAUUAAUGACGAAUUAAUCAUACGAAUCUGGUAAACCUUGAAGUAAAAGCUCUACAUGAUCAUUUUCCUCUAUUUUAUGACCCAACGUUGUAAGUUAUGAAAAUAAAGUCUUUAAAGUGUUGAUAUGGUCGAUCACUGAUGUAGAUUCCGUCAUUCGAAGAGUAUAAAGCCUCCUCUUUAAAAAGAUUUUAUUUUGUAGUGAUUUGACCUCGUAUAGUCUUGUGAGAGUAAACCAUAUUUCCUUUGCUCUCUUUUACUCUACCACAUUGAAUAAUACCUUAUUUGAAAGUGGUAUGUGUAGAUUUGCAAUGGCAUUAUUGUCUAUCUCAUUCCACUUGUCAUCAUCAGUUAUCUUUGUGAGCCUCUCUUCAAUUGUUGCCAAGCAAUUACUCUUCCUCAAUACAACUUUCAUCUUCAUUUUUCAUGACGAAAAAUUAUUUUUGUUGAACUUCUCAAUUUUGUAUUUUUCCGCCAUCAUUGUUCACCACGAGCUACCUUUGCUAAGAUCGAUUCCUACCAUUUCAUAUGAGCAGUAACUGUAUAUAUGAAUAAAGUGUUGUAUACAGAAACAAUAUCAUAUACAUGAACAGUACAAUAUAUGUAAACAGUAUCUUGACCCCAAAAAAUACAACCCGACUCUGAUACCACUAUUAGAAAAUUAAUUUGUGAAGUAGGGCCGCGACUAAAAUGAAAUUGGAAGAAAAUGAAGAGCAAGCACACUGAGGACACCAUAAAUUAUUUGGUUCGACUUUUAACUUAUGCCCAUAGGUAAGGACAAAAGGAUAAAACUUUACUAGUGAAAUGAGGAUUAUAAGUAUUUUAGUAUUUUGUUUCACUUCUCAAAACCUUAAUACACCCAAUCUCUCCAAACACUAGUCACUCAAGAGUAUAAAACUCUUAAUCUCUCAUUAUAGAACUAAAGAAGAAAAGAAUAGAAUGAAUGAAAUGAGGGGGUGAACCCCUCUAUUUAUAGCUAAAAAUUUGGGCACUUUUUAUAUUUAUUAUUAUUAUUAUUUCAAAAUUUAAAGUUUGAACUUGAUAUUCAAACUUUGAAUAUCAAAAGAUACGGGUUGUUCUUCUAGAAGAACGGCACCAACCUUGACUCUUAGGCAGACCUUUAGAGCUUUAAAUAAAGAAAAAGCUUUUAAAAAUGCCAUGUGUACUUGAUUAUACAAUAAUCUCCACCACAUAGAAUGAUUUGAUAAAAGAAAUUUUUUAUUUUUAAUUUUACUUUUAUCAGGCACGGUGCAUUUCCCCUUGGGCUCAUAUGUAAGGAUGUCAAUAAGAUGCGAAGGAGAGGGGAUUGAUUUCCCCAUACUCAUCUUUAAUACUCUGUCUAUCUCUUUGUACUCUAGACAUUUCCUUCAAAAUUACUUGAAACGAGGGGUUGGAUGUUUCUAAAUAAUACAAAGGGAUCUCUUAUGGCAUCCGAUCUCUGAUUAUUUAAUUUCUUUUUUUUCUUAAUUUAAUCAUCUUAAAGUAAAAAUAUAAAAUCAUAUUAACACAAAAAAUAUCAAAUUAACUAAAGUGAUUAAAAUCAUUUCCAUCAAAUUAAGUCAAUGUCAUCAAAUGAGAAGAUAAUCUUUGAACUAAUUAAGCAAAAGUAAAUCUUCAAAGUUGAACUCAUCCAUAAAUGUCAUAUAGUAUAAACCAUCAAUUAAAUUAUCUUUGUCAAUUUUAAAGUGUUUAUAUUUACUUUAUAUUGGCUGUUAUUUAUAUUAUUUUUAUAAAUGUAUUAUGAUAUUUUUUAUUUACAUCACACUAUUACAAUUGAAAUUUUAAAUGUAUUUACUAUAAAUUUGAAAAAAAAAAGAAUUAAAAAUAGAAACUAAAGAUGGAAAUAGAAAAAUGUGGAGCCAAAUAAAAUAUUAGGGCAAACACUAAAUUAUACACCCACACAUAUUAAUUUAUCAGAUUCUUGUCUCCACAUAGAAAAAUUAGAUCUAAAAUUAUCAAACUCCCGAAUGAGGAAGAUCCCUCGGGGCCAUCGUCCCUGUGGAAAUUUCUGCAUCCCUGCAGUCUACAACGCCUAAUAAUGAAUUGAACGGUUGAAAUCCCUCUAAAUUUUUGAUAAUUUCUAAUCGCCCCUCCAUAUUUGAUUGAACAUCAAAACUAUUGAGUCCAAAUUUAUAACUUUGAUUUAUCUUCCAUUCCAUAGUUUUCAAGUUCUCUCUCUCUCUCUCUUUUAAUCCUUUUUACUGCAACCACCAUCAAAGCCUAGUAGUUAAUAUGUAUGCUGCUUUGCUUUCAAAAUCGGACACUACUGGUAUUUAUGGUUUUUAUUCUUUAUUUGACACAAAAUUUGGCGAUAUCUCCGCGGAAAAACACUACUGGUGUAUUCAAUUUUAUCCGGUAAUGAUUAAAUUGAUUAUUACAUGAACCGUAACUUCGCCAAGCCCAAAAUACAUAUUAAGUUAUAAAGCGUGGCACUCAUUAUUUUUCGCAAAAAGUUUCGCCCAAAAUACAUAUAUUUUUUUAAUUUUUUCUGUGAAAAAAACUACUGUUAUAUUCAAUUUUAUCAUUAAAAACUACUGUUNNNNNNNNNNNNNNNNNNNNNNNNNNNNNNNNNNNNNNNNNNNNNNNNNNNNNNNNNNNNNNNNNNNNNNNNNNNNNNNNNNNNNNNNNNNNNNNNNNNNNNNNNNNNNNNNNNNNNNNNNNNNNNNNNNNNNNNNNNNNNNNNNNNNNNNNNNNNNNNNNNNNNNNNNNNNNNNNNNNNNNNNNNNNNNNNNNNNNNNNNNNNNNNNNNNNNNNNNNNNNNNNNNNNNNNNNNNNNNNNNNNNNNNNNNNNNNNNNNNNNNNNNNNNNNNNNNNNNNNNNNNNNNNNNNNNNNNNNNNNNNNNNNNNNNNNNNNNNNNNNNNNNNNNNNNNNNNNNNNNNNNNNNNNNNNNNNNNNNNNNNNNNNNNNNNNNNNNNNNNNNNNNNNNNNNNNNNNNNNNNNNNNNNNNNNNNNNNNNNNNNNNNNNNNNNNNNNNNNNNNNNNNNNNNNNNNNNNNNNNNNNNNNNNNNNNNNNNNNNNNNNNNNNNNNNNNNNNNNNNNNNNNNNNNNNNNNNNNNNNNNNNNNNNNNNNNNNNNNNNNNNNNNNNNNNNNNNNNNNNNNNNNNNNNNNNNNNNNNNNNNNNNNNNNNNNNNNNNNNNNNNNNNNNNNUCUAAGUUUUGAAAGAAAGGUUGAAAUAAACAGAGAAACAGGACAAACAGAAGAAGACUGAAUUAACAGAUCAACAAAGAUGGCAACUAACAAAUGGAAAAGUUCUCUUGUAAUCAAACUAUAGCAAACAGAUGACACCAUUACCAUAUAUCUUAAUGAGUAGAUUGAUUCUAAACAUAUAUGUUAGGAUACAUUUGGUUGUUUAAUAGUUUGAAAUAAGGAGGAUGAGAUGGUUUCCACAUAAAAGUGCUGGCCCUUUCAAUGACAUUUUCAAGGAAUUAUAAAAUUCAAAAUUAAAAAAAAAUAGCACAUUAUAAAGCCACACCGUCAAAUAAAUAAAUAAAUAAGUGAAGACCAAACUAAGUCACUAAGACCUUUAAUGAUAUAAAAUAAGCAUAUAAAUCUCAGAACAAAACAUUAAAACUCAUUCUAAAAGUAAAAAUAAACUAGUGGUGUAUUCCAAACAAUUUAGAUGAAGCGAUAAAACAAGCCAAGAAAUCAAAUAAAAUGAAAUGAAAUUGAAUUACCUGGGACUUUGUUUUUCAAAUUCACAACUCGAUUGUAAUUAAAGUAAAAUGCCAUUGCCAUUAGGACAUACACAUCAUUGAAUAAGAUGAGGACCCCUCCAACAGCUGAAAGUAAAAUUUUCAUUCAUUAGUUUCAAUUAAAAGUAAAGCACACAGAUUUGCAGGGAAGCAAGAGAUUUAAUAAAUUUAACAACAGCAAUUUAAUUUGACAGGACUUCCAUACAGUAAUGAAGCUAAAACUUAAUGAUUAACGAAUUUUUGUAAUUGAAUGAAUAAGAUUCUCUGAUUUUGGAUAAUUGAAUGAAUAUGAUUCUCUAACUCUUGUGAAAAUAUCAAUUUUAAAUAGGGUAGAGUUUCAAGAAUUAAGCACAUAUGUAUCCCAAGGCUGUUGAUCAUCUCUCUCUCCAUAGUAGAAGUUUACUCUCAGAGGCGCGUUUAAUUCUCCUUUAGUGAAAAUCUUCAUCUUGGGACAACCAAUUAUAGAUAAAUCUUCCAAAGAUGGGAAUUUGAAGGUGUAAUUGGCAGAGCAGAAACUUCUGAGACUAUCAGCAGAAACUUGUGAGACUAUCCAAAUCAUACAGAUACAAAAUCUUCAAUUUGGUGAAAACAAUCUCUUCUUCAAAAUUUGCUGCUCCAUCUUCUUCAUUUAUCACCACCUCUCUCAUUGCUCUGCAUCCAUAUACCAACAUUGAUAAGAGUCUCUGUAGAGUUUGGAGUGACAGAUUCGAUAAUGAUAAACUCCAAAUACUCGCCAAGAUCGCAAAUCAAACAACCAAGAUGCAAAAAGAAUCAAUCCAGAACAAAUCACAGAGACACUUAAGAACCUAAAAGAAUUAAAGAAUUAGCGGCAAAGACAAAAGAAUUAACGUGGUUCAGCUAGCUUUCACUAGCUUACAUCCACAGGAAAAACCAGGAUCAAGUUUAUUGAUUUUCAGAAGAUGAUUACAGAGAGUUUUAAGAGCUAAUAACAGAGUAUUUCUUGAAGCCUUCUCACGAAUCUUCUAAUCACUCAAUAGCUCUCACGCACAUGCCUCCUGUUGCACCAGAAGAAGCUGUUUAUAACAGCUUCUUCAACAAACCAAAAUGAACCCAGAAACUCACGUGAUUGGCAUGCGUUAUAACAGACUCAUAACGACCUUGAGCAGCUUCUUCGAGCACGUGUUUCUCUCGUGCUUUACUUAAAUUCCAGAGACAAAACAAAUUGCUCUUCAAAACGCAAUCAGCAAUUGUCGUAUUGUAGUUUACUUAAGCUGCAAAACGCAAGUCCAACUUGUCGUUUCAAAUAUCUUGAUUUGCUUCACAACACAACAGUCGCUCUAGACUUUUUGCUGUGGAGGAGGUUGCUAAGCUCAUCAAAUUCCUUGCAACGAAGAACUAGAAGUUCUUUUAGGUUCCCAAAAGAUACCGAUGAUGAUGGCCAUAGAUAUAACAGAUUUUGACAAUAAUGUACAUUUAGAAUUUCAAGGCAUUGAACAAAGGAGUCCAAUUUGGAGUCUUGUUUCCACAAUUGCUUCAGAUGAUUAAAUUUGUGCAGAUGUAAAUGUUUUAUCAUUGUAAACUUCCUCGCAUGUUUCUUCAAGUAUCCUCCAUUCGAAAAUACCUCUUCGCAUGAACAACGACGCCGUAUGAGAGUUUCCAGAUUAUGAAAUCUCUCAAGUAAAUCAAGUGGAAAACAAGUUGAGUCAUCAUCCAUUGUUUGUGGCAGUUUAAGACUGCCAAAAAGGUGUCGUGGGAAAUCGCUUUGCAAAGUCAUCCUCGGGUCUUUUCCACUUAAUGCCCGUUCCUCCAAGUUGGGUAAGCUCUGAUCAUUAUCAAUCACGCAAUAACUUAUUAAGUCAAUUCAUAUUCUCUCAAAUAACUUUUAAUGGCUAACACUAAGUUACGUUUAACGUAACAUACAUUCAGAUAACGAAAAUAUCUGUUAGCACCCCUAAACUUAAUGGAAACUACAUUAAUAGAGUUAAAAGAAAUACUUUUAAAUCUUAAAGAGGAAAUAAAAGAAAUUAAACAGGAAAUAGGAAAAAUAAAAAUAGAAAUGACUGUAAUACAAAUGAAUCAAAAGAAAAAUAAAAAAUUAGAAAGGUUUGAAAUAAUAAAAUCAAGAAUAAUUGGAACAAGUUUUAAGAAGCCCACACAAAAACCACAAGCAGGUAGUUAUGAUGCAUGGUUUAUGGACACCCAGUAUCCUAAAAUACUAAGAGCAUCACCAAAAAACUCUUCAAAUAAGAUUUUAUUACUUAUUUGAAGAGCUACAUCAACAUUUAAGGCUCCAAAAGACACUCCAAUUAAGAUUCUUGAAAUAAGAAAUGAUCAUCUCUCUUCAAAUUUGAAGAGUUACUUUCUCCCUCUUCAAUUUAUAUUUUAUUACUUUUUGUUGAAGAAAAAGAGAAAUGUGUUUUAAUUACUAUUGACUUUUCCUUUAAAAAAAUAGUUAUUUAUUUAAAAUAAUAUUAACUCAUUUCUAUUUGAAGAGUCUUUUGGAGAACAAUAUCUUUUUUCACUCAUCUAUUUGCCACAUAGGUAAGCAAAUGAAUAUUUGAAGAGUAAAAUUUAUAGAGCCUUUUGGAGAUGCUCUAAAAGAAACAGAAGAAUUAAGAGCAGAAUUAAAAAAUAAAGAAAAAGGAAAAGAAAAACUAGAAAUAAAAGAAACAACUCCUAGUGAUUCAGAUUAAUGGAAAACACAUUAGAAGAAUUAACUGAAAAAUUCAGUGAAAUAAACCUUAGUGAUUUAGAAGACUUUGAAAAAGAAUAUCAUAUAAAAAUGAAUACUUCUGGAGGACCAGAAUUGAAACCUGACAUAGGAGAACCAAGUCAUAGAUAUGCAACAAACAAAAAGAAAAAUAGACCAUUUUUUGAGUAUAUACCACCCGUUAAAAAUACUCCUUGGAAAAAAGAAUAUCAACCUAACAAUGAUAAUUUAACACCAAUAAGUAAUGCAGGAACAUUUUUAAAUCUAGACUGCAAAAUAAACCCCCAUAAGGUUUUAAUUGAAUGGGGAAUGCAAAUGUGAUUAUUUUUUCUAUAUAAUGGCUCUAAAGUCGAUUGGAAUGUAGAAACAGAAGAAGAAAAAAUAAAUUUAUUCGCUGACAUCCUCAUAGCCAGUUUUACAGGUAAUGUAUUUAACUGGUGGAAAGGAUUAAGUGAAGACACUCAAAGACUAAUAAAAGAUUCAACUAAAAUAGCUUUAGCCAGAAGUAGAGGAUUAGGAAUUGAAAGAAUAAUCGAAUAUAUUGCUAAUGAAUUCUUAGGAGAAAACUGGUUAGAAAAUACAGAAAGAGAAACAAAAAAUGAAAAAUUAGAGGCAAGGAUGAAAUUAAUAAACUUAACAAUUUGUAACAUGUGUUUCGUGAAAGAAUAUACCUGUGAAUUUAGUAAAUAUUAUUAUACACAAUUCUAUAGCCAAGAAGAUCAAAAUAUUUAUAAAAAUUUAUAUUAUUCCAAAUUACCAUAUCCCUGGAAUGGAUAUUUUAUAAAUGAGUAUGAGAAAAAUAGUACUGCUAAUAGAUCUCCAGACACAUUAGGAUCUAGAAUAAGGUUUUUGAAUACAAGAUUAAGUGAAAUAUGCAUUCAAAGAAAUUUAAUGAAAAAGAGUAAAAAUAUAGGAGAUACAUGUUGUGGAAAAACAGAAAUGCCAACCCAAUGGGGUUGUUAUACACCAUAUAAACGAAAAAGAAAGUUAUAUAAGAAAGAGAAAAAAUAUAAAAAAUACAAUAACUUUAAAAGAAAAUAUAGAAAACUGGAAAGAAAAUACUAUAAAAGAAAAUAUAAAAACCAAAAAAGAAAAUUAGAUAAAUCUAAAUGUAAAUGCUGGAAUUGUGGAGAAAUAGAACAUAUUAGCACAGAUUGUACAAAAAAGAAAGUAAGACUCUUAGAAGAAGAUUUUGAAAAUAUAAAAAAUGACUUAGAAGAAAUAAGUGAUAUAUCAGACUAUGAAGGAAAAGAAGUUUACAUGGUGAAAGAAUUAGAUGAUGAGUCAGAAUAAAGACGAAAUUAUAGAAAAUGAAAGAAUAGAAGAAAUAGAAGAAAUAGAAAAAGAAGAAAAUAAAAGUGGAUAUAGUCUUGUUGCCACUUUUAAUAAUGAAAAAUAUAAUAAACUUUUGAAAAUAAAUAUGGAAAAACCAGAAUAUGGAAUAAUACAUAAACUUAGAGAUAUGUUUAAAAGAAAAAGAAUAGUAUUACAUGAAUAUUAUGAACAAGAAAAAGUUGUUACAAUUACACAAGCUGAAGGAAAUAUCAGAUUCAGUUUAAUAAAUAAAAGAUCUAUAGAUUUAGCAUUAAGAAAGAUAAAAAAUGAAUCAACAAAAGAAAAAAUUCAAUAUGUAUAUCUAGCAGAAAUUCAAAUCUUAAUAAAAUCUCUUUUCAAAGAAGGCAUAGAUAGUCCCAUAGUAUUGUCACUACAUGAUCAAAGAUUUAAUGACCCUAGUACAGGACAUUUAGGAACAAUAGAAGGAAACUUAUGUUAUACUAAGUUAUUAUUCACAUGUCAUCCUAGAUAUUGUGUACAUAUAAAAGAUAAAAAUAUAGAUGAAACGCUAAGCUUACAUUUUAAACUACUAAAAAGAAACUUAAUGAAAGAAGGGAAUAGAAUAAUGACAAUACAUUAUUCUGCACUAUAUAGUUUUUGCAAUUCAAAUUACGGAGAAGUAUAUGGGAAUAAGCCUUACAUCGAAAUAAAUAAAGAAUGUGAAGAUAUAGCAACAUUCAUAGAACCAACAAUCCAGGAAUAUAAAAUUCCUAUAAACUAUGAGCUAAACAUAGAUGACAAAAAACAAUUUUUAGAUAUUGCUAACGAAAACUCCAUAAUCCCCAUAAGCUUUGCAGGAAGAACCUUAGUAAGAGGAGGUUCAUCUAGAAGGUUAAGUACUGAUAAACAAAUAACUAGAUCUAUAGUAACUAAUAACGUAAUAAAAAUAUUUGGACAAUAUUUUAAUGGAAUAGAUUAUACAACAAAAAUACCUAUAUUGGUAGAUACAGGUACAAGUCAUAAUUAUAUGAAUCACACAAAAAAUAAAGGACUCUUAAUAAAAGAAAAAGAAAUCCCGUAUCAAUAUACUGAUUUUAAUGGUAAUAAACAUAUUUGUAAACAAGAAGUUAAAGUCCCUAUAAUUAUAGAAGGAUUUAGAAUAAUAGUAUCUUGCUAUAUAGAUUCGUUCAUGACCACAGACCCAGAAAAACAUAUAGUACUAGGAAAUAGUUUUUUAAAUGAUUUAGAAUACUACAAAAUUGAAAAACAUAAAGUAACUCUACAAAUAGAAGGUAAAAAGAUAGUAUGUGAAACAUGUUAAAACAAGCUUAUAUAAAAUACCCUAUGUCCGUAUAUAUACAAAUAAACAUAACAGAAAAAGAUAUAGAUACAUGUGCCUUAAUAGACGGCAGUGAAAUAACGAUUAUGAAAUCCUUUCUAUCAAACCAAUGGAAACCAAACGAGAAAUUAAAAAUCAUUGGAAUAACAGGCGAUAAACAACAAGUAAACCAAUCUUUAAUAAACUUUGAAAUACUCUUAGGUAGUAAGAUAGUAUGUAUCAACCAAAUAUAUCAAUAUGAUGGUAUGGAUUGCGAUAUACUCCUAGGAAAUGACUUUAUACAAUAAUUCCAAUAUUAUCAACAAACUACCUAUAUGGUCACUUUAAAAACCCAUUGUAAUCAUAUUCUUCGCAUUCCUCGUGAAUUUAAACCUUAUCGAGUUCGGCCAGCCCAGCGUGGUGAUACAUUUAUUUAUGAAAAACAUUAUCUAAUACAAAAAUGACAGAGUUACAAUAUACAACUAGAAACAAUAAAAUCACAGCUUGAACAAGUCUAUAAAGAAAAUCCAUUAGCAUUAUGGAAACCAGAACAUCCUAGAGCAAAGAUAGAAUUAAUCGAAAAUAGAAUAAUAAGACUCAAACCUAUGAUGCACACAGAGGAAGAUAGAGAAGAAUUUAAAAUUCAAAUAAAAGAAUUAUUAAAUUUAAAGUUAAUUAGAACUAGCAACAGCCCACAUAAUAGCCCAGCCUUUAUGGUUAGGAAAAGAUCAGAACAGGUAAGAGGAAAAGCAAGAAUGGUAAUAAAUUAUAAAGAGUUAAAUAAAUACACAAAAUUUGACGGAUAUUUCCUCUCAAAUAAAGAAGUAUUAAUAAAUCUUGUAAAAAAUAAAACAUACUACUCAAAAUUUGAUUGUAAAUCAGGAUUUUGGCAAAUAAUAACAGGCGAUAAACAACAAGUAAACCAAUCUUUAAUAAACUUUGAAAUACUCUUAGGUAGUAAGAUAGUACGUAUCAACCAAAUAUAUCAAUAUGAUGGUAUGGAUUGCGAUAUACUCCUAGGAAAUGACUUUAUAUAAUAAUUCCAAUAUUAUCAACAAACUACCUAUAUGGUCACUUUAAAAACCCCUUGUAAUCAUAUUCUUCGCAUUCCUCGUGAAUUUAAACCUUAUCGAGUUCGGCCAGCCCAGCGUGGUGAUACAUUUAUUUAUGAAAAACAUUAUCUAAUACAAAAAGGACAGAGUUACAAUAUACAACUAGAAACAAUAAAAUCAUAGCUUGAACAAGUUUAUAAAGAAAAUCCAUUAGCAUUAUGGAAACCAGAACAUCCUAGAGCAAAGAUAGAAUUAAUCGAAAAUAGAAUAAUAAGACUCAAACCUAUGAUGCACACAGAGGAAGAUAGAGAAGAAUUUAAAAUUCAAAUAAAAGAAUUAUUAAAUUUAAAGUUAAUUAGAACUAGCAACAGCCCACAUAAUAGCCCAGCCUUUAUGGUUAGGAAAAGAUCAGAACAGGUAAGAGGAAAAGCAAGAAUGGUAAUAAAUUAUAAAGAGUUAAAUAAAUACACAAAAUUUGACGGGUAUUUCCUCCCAAAUAAAGAAGUAUUAAUAAAUCUUGUAAAAAAUAAAACAUACUACUCAAAAUUUGAUUGUAAAUCAGGAUUUUGGCAAAUAAAAAUGGAAGAAAACAGUAUCCCUUAUACAGCAUUUAGCACUCCACAAGGACAUUACGAAUGGAUAGUAAUGCCUUUUGGACUAAAAAAUGCCCCUCAAAUAUUUCAAAGUCGAAUGGAUAAAAUAUUUAGAGAUUAUAGCUAUAUCAUAGUCUAUGUUGAUGACAUAUUAAUAGCAUCAGAAACAUUAGAAGACCAUAGAACCCAUUUAAAAGAAUUCGUUAACGUAUGUAUUAGAGAAGGUAUAGUAUUAUCAGAAAGAAAAGCAGUCAUAGAACAUAAAAAAUAAAAUUUUUAGGAAUGAUUCUUGAUAAAAAAGGAAUAAGACUCCAAAGCCAUAUAGGAAAAAAGAUUACAGAAUUCCCAAAUAAAUUGGAAAAUAAACAACAAAUACAAAAAUUCUUAGGUUGUUUAAACUAUGCAGAAGGAUUCAUAAAAGACUUAGCAAAAAAGAGAAAUAUACUCCAGAAACUACUUAGAAAAAAUAAUACUAAAGGAUGGAACGAAGAACAUACGGAAACUGUAAUAAAUCUAAAAGAAGAAUGUAAAAACCUCCCAGCAUUAAGGUUACCAGAAGAAAAUGAUAAGUUAGUAAUACAAACUGAUGCAUCUGAUUUAUAUUGGGGAGCAAUACUUAAAACUGAUAUAAAUGAAAUUUGCUGAUAUACUAGUGGAACAUUUAAUCAAGCACAAGUUAAUUACCCAGUUCAUGAAAAAGAACUCCUUGCAAUAUAUAAAUGAAUAAAAAAGUUCUCGUUAUUUUUACUCCAGAAAUAAUUUAUUGUAGAAACAGAUAAUUCUCAGGUAAGUUCACUUAUUAGUAGAAUUUUGCCAAAUGAACCCCAAUACAGGCGACUGCAUAGAUGGCAAGCUUAUUUAUCUUAUUAUAAUUUCAAAAUCAUACAUAUAAAAGGAACUAACAAUUUUCUUGCAGAUUUCCUAAGCAGGAACAUAGAAUUCAGAGAAUGAAUGCAGAAGUAAAUAAAAUCAUUUCUGUAAUAAACACAGAAAUACAAAGGCUCAAAGCUGAAGCAUCAGACAUGCUUGAUGCCAUAAAUUACAUAAAAGAAGCCACAGAGGCUCAUGAGAAGGGAAUACAUUUGUUAGAGUCAUACAUAAACGACCUAACAAAAGGGCUUUCAAUAAACACUAGCCCAAUAGAGAUAGGAAGUAGUAGUGGACCACUCCCACAACAAGAACCAGUCUCUGACCCAUCAUCCAGCCGAACCAUAUCCAUAAGUGUUGAAUCACCUAAAGCAACUUCUUCAAAAAAGUUUAUCAAAAUAAACAACACUCCCUCAGAAGAAGAAGAAAAACCUUCUCCACUAAAUCCAAGAGAAGAAGAGUAUAAACAGUUCUCCACAUGGGUAUACUCUACAUGUACCCACAACAACACCAUUUUCAAAGCCCCUGGCAAAAAUAUAUAUCCCAGAAUGAUAGCCAUAAAAGGAGCAGAUCCUCUCCUUAUUGGAAAAAUAGCAAAAUACGGAUAUCUAGAUUUAAUAUAUCCAGAUACAGACCUAAGAGAAAUAGCCAGUUUAGAUGAGCUAUUAGUCAAAGAAGUCUCAAAAUUUGCCCAAAAAAGGCCCAUAUACUUAAAAUUUUACACUAUUAGCCCAGAAUACCACCAAAAUGUCGAAUACCAAGCAUUUUACAUGAUCUCUGUAGGCCACCUCACAAAAAAUUUUCAGAUAGAAGUAGGAACUGAAUAUACAAAUGUUCCUCAAAUAACCAAAGCAUGGAUCAGAACCCGUAGAGCCCGAGGAAUAAAAGCAAUAUGGAGUAUUGCAAAAGACCUUUAUAAAAGAAACUUUAGAACAAUCAUCCGAUUCCAAAAUUAUAUCCUCGUAACUUCUGAAGAUAGCCAUACACCAUCAAAUAUCUUCUUGGAACUCAUGAACGAAAUCAGCACCAUGAGAUUCCCCAGCAGUAGUGAGACCAUGCAGCAAGCUUAUCAGCUUAUGGAGAUGAAGAUGCCCGACAAAUAAAGUUGUUCGUGGCAGACAAAGAAGAUAUGUGGCAGACAAGAAGAUAAAAAGAAGAUAAAAAAGUUGUACGUGGCAGACAAGAAGAUGCUCGUGAUAAAAAACAGAGAAAAAGAAGAUGCUCGUAAAAAGCAAGAAGACAAGAAGACAAGAAUUCAAGAACCUCUUGUAAUGAUAGAGUGAUGAUGUAAGCAGUGUGAUCAGAAAGCAAUAAUGUAAAUCAAUAAUGGGAUCAUCUUUUCUAAUAUAAAUAGAAAGAGAAGGAGAAAGCAGAAAAAGCUUUCGAAGACAUUCGAUAACUCUCGAUCCAAAAAAUUCUCUGAAAAAGAAUGAAGCUCUAAACACUCUCUUGCUCGAAAUCCAAAAUCAGUACAUCAUAAACCAAAAACAAAAACCAUUAGAGAAAGAGACGAGAAACCUAACUUCACUCAAUACCUCUUUAACAAGAAGAUCGAAAUCUAUACAGUAAAGCCAUCUGAGUCCACAGAUCCCGCUGAGGCAGGAGGCCGUUAAGGGAACAGGACAACCAGGCUGCAGGUCACUGGAAGGAGAUCAGAAAUCAAAGAAGUAACAGUGAGCUAGGUAAUAAUACUCAACUCUUAUCUCUUGGUGGUGGUUGUUGAUGGUGGUUGAUGGAAUGAUUUUUGGAGAAAGAGCAGAUUCUUAAACUGAAGCAGAUCUGUAAUUAAUUUUAUGACAUGAAUCACAGAAUUUACUUAGGAGAAUCUAAAGAAUACAUGAUAAACCCAACUACUAAAAUAACUUAUAAUGAGUACAUGAUGAUAAUAGACUUCGAUUUAGGUUCAUUUAAACAAAGUUCUUAUCUAUUCAGUAAACAAGAACUUGUUAGAACAGAAGACCUAUUAGCCAUAGACCUUCUUAAGUUACCCCAAGAAAUAAAAAGAAAAAUUAUAAAUAACAUUGAAACAGAUAACCUAAAACAUAAUAUAAUUAUGUUGACAAUAGAAGAAGGAAUAGAUGUAGCAAAAGCCUAUUUAGAGCAAAAAACUUAUGAAUCUGGACCUUCAUAUAUCUAUGAUUCAGAUAACGAAGAAUUUGAAAUAUAACUGUGAAAGGUAUAUAGGCUGGGAACCUCUUCGGGUUGCGGACUACUAGUCCAAAGGGCGACCUGGAUCGCUGUACCUAGAGGUAAAACAACGCCACGUACUUUUCUAAUAAAAAUUUAGGACAGAUAAAGAUAGAUAAACAUCAAUUUGAUAAUUAUAAUCAAUAAUAAUCCUGAAUGGUUGAUUUUGUUUUACUGCUCUUGUAAUUUUAUUUUGAAUAUAUUUGUCUAGUCUUGUCAUAUUUUUAUAAUUCUGUUUGUACUUUUGUAUUUGUAAUUUUGUAAUUUUAUUUGUAUUUUUGUAAUUUGUAUUUUUGUUUGAAUUUGUAAUUUCGUAUUUUUGUUUUAAAUACACACCUGAAAAUGGUAUCAGAGCCAGCAGAAUCAUAAGACAUGGACCCUAUACAAGCAAUAGUAGAUAGCUUAUAUACAUUAAAGGUAUAUAAUAAAGAAGAAAUAAAAAAUUUAAUAAAGGCCAUCAAAACUGACAAAAAUAAUAUAAGAAAUAUAGAACUUGAGUUAACUCAGGAGCUUAGAGAAAGAUUUAUAGAAACAACAGGAGGAGAAAUUUUAAUAGAAAAGAAAAUGAAAUUUAUAGAUAAAUUUAUAAAGUUUUUAAUAUAUUGGUGUAAAACAGAAACAUUAUGAAUCAACAGGCUGUUAAUGUAAUACAGGGAUUGGCAAGCUGCAUAGAUCACCUACUCUUAGGAUGGGAAAAUACAGUAAAUGCAUAUAUAAAUCUAAUAAACCAAAAAAUAGAUUUAUUAGAACAAGAAAGGAUAGGACUGGUAAAUUUAGGACCAGAGGUCUAUUAUGAAUUUGUAGAUUUAUAUGAAUUUGAUAACCAUAUAUUGCUGUUUAAAGAAAUAAAAUAAAGUUCUCGAAAGAUUAAAAAAUAGAUGUGCAGGGAUGGAAGAAGACAAAUACAUCCAGGAUUAUAAAAAUUGGAAAUAGAAAGAAUUAUAAGAAUCCUUAUGAAAUUAACCAGGAGAAUAAGACAAAAUUAUAAGAUACAAUCAACGUAAGUUAGAGGCCCCCACUUUUAAUAAUCCAAUCAUAUACAGUGACUUUAAUAUAAAUGCAUAAUAUUUUACCAAAAAAAAGGGAAAAAAUCGAAUUAGAGGUAAAAGUUAUUCUACGAUUUUAUUUUUUGUAUAUAUCUUGCAUGCUAUUCCCAAAAGCAAUCAUAAACGGCCCUUAAAACAAUUUUACAAAAGCGGCUGUUACUUAUAUCACCAACUUUGUUAGGGAUGACAAUGGGGAGGGGAGAGGAGGAGACCAAUCUUGUAGUAUCUAUCCCUGAUAUUUUGCGUAUAUUCUCGUUCUCUCUCCAUCCCCGACAAAAUUACUUUAGGGAAUCACCUCCUCUCCCUGAAUAAUAAUAUGGGAUCUCCGUGGGUCAUUGAUCCCUGAAUAACUGAUAUGUUUUUAGUUUUUUAUUUUAAUUUAAUCAUAUUAAAAUAAAAAUUUAAAUAAAAAUAAAGUUUGAUGAUAUAUCUCACAUUAGCAUUAAUCCAUUACAAAAGUCACAUUACAAAGUAUAAAUCACCACAAUAAUUAUCUUCGUCAAUUUUCAAAAUCCUACAAUAAAAAAAAAAGAAAUUACUUUUAUAUCAACAAUGAAAUAAAUAAAAUAAAUAUAAAUAAAUACUUAAUCAAUAUUUCUAAUAAAAGUAUUUACCUCUUGCGUCUCUUGCUCCUCUUGUUCUUCCUCGAUGAAUGUGGCAAAUUGAAAGAUAGCCUCAGAUUUCAAAUUUAAAACAAUAAAAAUAAUAGAAGUAAUGUAACUUAUAAGCGAAAAUAUUAAUUAUUAUAUAAUAUAAUUACAAUGUAAAAUAAACUCAUACUGCCAUUUUAAGCUUGUAGCUUAUUUUGACAACACAUUAAAUCCUCCAAUGUGCUUGAAUGAAGCGUGUUACGAUACUCUACUAAUGGUGUUAAAAGUUGAUUCAGAAGCAACAGUUGUAAUUGGAAUUGUCAAAAUAUCUCUAGCAAUUCGUGCCAAUAUAUGAUACCUAUGGACAUUUGUUUUUAACCAACUCAAAAUAUUAAAAUCUUUCAUCUGUAGCAUAACUUUCUCAUCCAAAUAUUAAUGCAGUCAAUUAGGCCUAAAAGUUUAAUAAUAUAAUUAUUUUGAUAUUUUUUAUUUAUACUAAUAUUUAAUAUUUUAUAAUUUACAUUUUAUUAUUUAUUUACAAAUAAUUUAUAAAAUUAAAAUUAAAAUUAAAAUCAAUAAAUUAGGAGGGGAUGAGGAUUCUACUGUAUCCUCAUCCCUUUCUCGAAUAAGAAAUUGGGUAAAAAAUUAUUCUCGUCCCUUCCUUGAAUAAGAAAUUGGAUAAAAAAUUAUCUCUUUACCCUCUCCGAAUGGAGAAAAAUUCCGAGAAUCCCUAUCCCUGCGGGGAUUUCUGCCACCCCUAAACUUUGCAACAGCCAGUUGCUUUUGUGACCAUUUAUGUGACGGAUAGACUGCUCUCACUUAUGUUACUAAUAAGCUUGGCAAAAUCAGGGUCCGGUCCGGGCUUCUAAGCCCGCAUGUGAUAACUUUAAUUUUUUUCUUCAAUUUUUUCUUUCAUUUCUCUAACAAUGCAAAUUUUAAAAAAGAAAAUAGUCAAAUAAAUUCAUUCAAUCUCAAGCUUUAGAAAAGAAAAUAGUCAAAUAUAAAUAUAUAACAUACUAACAAUGCAAAUUUUACACAAAUAAUAAAUAAAAAUUGUUUCAAUCUACUUUAUAAUACCUAAAUUCAUCUAAUUUCUAACCUAAACUCAUUCAAUCUAUAUAAAAAUAAAAUAAAUUCAACAACACAAUAGUCACACAAUAAAUCUAAAUAACAUCCAACAUAUCAUAAAAUUCAUAAUUAUAUAUUUAUAUAUAAUAUAUUUAUAUAUUUUUUUUAAUUUAUUAAGAAAUCGGGUCUGAGUCUAGCUUCCUGGUUUUUGGUGUUGAGAAUUUCAAAUCCGGGUCUGGUUUUUUGUGUAUGCGGUCCGGGUUUUACCCGACUGGAUUGCCUGGGUUCGGUUCGGACGAGCUUUUUUGACGCCCUUACUAACGGGCUUUUUUGACGCCCUUACUAACCACGUGACGGUAGAGAGCCAAUUGGCAUGCUAUUAGUUUAGAGUUAUAAAUUGGAAAAUGAGACUCUUAGAGCAUCACCAAAAGGCUCUUCAAAUAAGAUUUUAUUACUUAUUUGAAGGGCCACAUUAAUAUUUAAAGCUCCAAAAGACACUUCAAUUAAAAUUCUUCAAAUAAGAAUUGAUUCUCUCUCUUCAAAUUUGGAGAGUUAAUUUCUCCCUCUUCAAUUUGUAUUUUAUUACUUUUUAUUGAAGAAAAAGAGAGAAAUACUUUAAUUGUUAUUGACUUUUCCUUUAAAAAAAUAAUUAUUUGAUUAAAAUAAUAUUAAUUUAUUUUCAUUUGAAGAGUUUUUUGGAGAAUAUUAUAUUUUUUUACCCUUCUAUUUACCACAUAAGUAAGUAAAUAGAUAUUUAAAGAGUAAAAUUUAGAGAGACUUUCGGAGAUGCUCUUACAACAUUAAGCACAACACAUAGCACCGAACGGUGCGUUUAAAGGCAACUAUAAAAGGUCACAGUAAUCGACAAUUGCAACACACACGUUCUCAACUACAGCACACGCUCUCUCCCUCACAUUCUUCCUCACGCUCUCUCUGUUCUCCCUCACAACACACGGCUCUCUCUCUCCCCCCUCCAAAUCCAACAGCCGUGGGUUACUCUCGCUCUUCGCCCUCCAAAUCCAAGACCUAUGGAUGCAUAAUAGAGUAAAUAGCAAUUCCCAUCCACUCUAGUAACAGAAAAUGACAGCUUCUGUGAUUGUGGUGAAAAGUUUCCCCUAGUAAUGCUAAGUACAGCGAGGAAACCAGCAAGGAAACCAUCAAUUCUGUACACAUAUAGAUGCCAAAAACAAGCAGUGAAUUGCAUCAGAUAUUAGUGAAGAAUAAUUACCAGCCGUAAACUCAGCUCCUUCGGUUGCUAGUGUACAAUAGAGCAAUAGGUUGUGUUUGGGGAUGUUAGAUGUCGAAAUAAUUGAGGCAAAAUUCUUUUAUGCAAUAGUUGGCUUGUGUCGACUUUUGAAAGGAAACUUAUUUUUGUGCUGUCAAUGUUACUUAUUUGUUAGUUUAUUUCUUAGGUUUUGUUGUUCGGGAUAUUAUGUAUUGGAUUUCAUUUCCUUUUGCCUCUGGUAUGGCCCCUAAUAGAACUUGACGUAAUUCUUUUUGGGAUAUGUUUUUCUGAACUAGAGAUGACAUCACUAGCAUCUGGUCUUUCUCUUUGAGACAGCCGAGAGAGUGAGGUGCCGUGAGAGAUGCAAUCGAUGGGGGGUGGAGAGAGGUAGCCGACAGUGAGAAUGGUAAGGAAGAACGGAGCGUAGUGAGAUUAGUGGAUUGGUGAGGAAGAGCGUGAGGGAGAGAAUGAGAGAGCAUGUGUUGUGGUUGAGAAUGUUGCAAUUGAGAAUUUACUGUGACCUUUUAUGCUUGCCUCAAAACUCACCGUUUUGUGCUAACUGUUGUACUCAAUGUUGUAAGAAUAUCGGAACUGUUAUAAAUUUGUUUCUAAAUAGAAAACUCUUUUGUGGAGUCAAUAUUUUGAAAACCAAAGUCUCGAGUUCUUUCUCGUGCGUGCCUGGCCAGCAUCCUAAACCUUACUGGUAGCCGGAGAAUGGCGUAAAACGGCGGCGAUCUUCUUCUUCAUCUUAUUCUCUCUGUCAUCGUUUCAGGUAACCUUGUGAUUAUGAGUUUCUUCUCUUUCUUAGCUUGCAAAAAUAGGUUUUGAUUUCUUUAAUUCGUAUUGUAGCCAUUAAUAUCAAAUUUUGUCCUGCCGGCAAUAUUUUUUUGUUCCUAGAGGUUGAAGCCCUUCUGUUCUUGUUCCAUUGGUGACUUUGCUCACUCAAAUUAAUUUUGUUCUGCAGAAUUUACAAAGUUCAAAUGGAUUCGUUUGGAUUACUAUUGAAUUUAGCUUUCAUUUCAACAUUCAUUCUAAUGUUUUACAAUUAUGUAUUUAGAUUUACUUUAAUUUUAUGUUUAAAGCUUCUGCAAUGAAUAGCUGAGCUUGGGUCUUAGUUUCAUUUUCUAAUUAACUUGUUUUAGUUUAUCUUAUAUGCUCACCAAGUGCUUGUUAUAUUGUCUGAUAGGUUAUAUAACAUAGCUGAUUAUAUAAUAAUAAUGUCAUGUUCCAUUUUCAGAAAUUAUAAUAUAAAAGUUUUUACAAUGGGGUGCAUCUACAAACUGAAUUGACUUGUAGAGUAAGAGCUUGGAGUAGUGUGCAUUCUUGAAUAAAUGAAAGUUCAUAUUGUGUAAGAGCAUGUAGAUGUAAAGCAUCAUUACCAUUUCUACCAAGUGCUUUCAUUCUGUUCAGAUGCUCCUCUUGAACUUUGGAAGGUGCCUCAUUCAAGUCCUAGCUAUAACUAAUUGCUCUGAUUAAUUAAGUUCAUAUGCUAGCUGAAACAGAUUUAAUUAAUUAAUUAAUUAAUUGUGUAUGUACUAAUUAUAUUGAAAGUAUAUGAAGAAAUUGUUUAACAUGAAUGACUUCUAAAUGACUUAAAAGCCUAGAGGAUAUGUGAAAUAAUGCUCAUUUCACUUGAACGAGCCUAUUAAUACUUGUAUGUCUAUGAUUGUCAAUAUUGCUUAAGUGUUUCAGUUAAGUGGUUUACCUAGCAGGGAAAAAAAUUUAAUGGAAAACCUUAGAGUUUUAAUAGAAAUAUAGUUGACUAUGCAGAUAUAGUUAUUUUACGGUAUAUAAAUCAUGUUGUCCUAUUCUCAAUGUCCUACAACCUAUUUUAUUUUAUAUAGUCAUUCAUUUUACGAUGGUUUUUUGUGUUUAUGAGUAUGGAAAUAGUGGGAUUUGGUGUACCUUAGCAUCUUUCGAAAAUUCUCUUUAAAUGCGGCAAACAGAAAUAUACAUAUAAUCAAGUUUCUUAAUCAUGUAUAUUAGGUUUGGGUGUGAAUGUUUUCCUAUUCUAGUUCUAGGCAAAGUUUCUUCAUUUUGGUCUUCAGAUUUCCAGUAGGUUAAGCUAAUCAACUAUCAUAACUGGCUAGCUAGUUAUUGCCUGCCUUGUCGCCAUUACCGACGCCAUUACAUUGCAUGGCAUAGGGAAUAGUAACUAUGUGAUUAUUGGUGAUUUGUUGAGCUUAUUAUUGACCAAACAAACAUAUUCGCCUUUACCCACAACUUGGUUUGAUUAGUUACUGGACAAUAAAGAGCCUUAAUCUAUGCAUUGGCUUUCUUAUUUUUAUUUGGUUUUUCUUUCAACAAUAUUGUUGAUUUCUUAUAUCAUUGGCUAUUUAAUGAAGCUAAUUAAAACUAAGGCUUCGGAUCACUUUCUUCUAACAACAAACAAAUGAGGAUAACCUAUCUCCUCUAAGCAAAUUUUUCUAAUAUCCUUGAUUUGUUAGGACCUGGAGGCCUGAAAUCCUCUAGAUUUUUUUAGCACUGCCAAUGUUCCUUUUAUUCUGAAAAGGAAAAAAAGGUUAUAUCGUUUAUACCCUAACAGUAAAAUGGCCUUUGACUUAACAUGCCUUCCUGAGGAUUUGCAAGAUUCACAAGCAGCCUAGCCACCCCCCAACGCAAAAAAAAUAAAAAAAAUAAAAAACUAAUAAAAAUAAAAAAUAAAACAACCCAAAUAGGAAGACUUUGCAACAUUCACAACGUGGUUACAUUUAAGUUAUUAAUUGUGUGUGUGUGUACUAGUUAUAUGUUGAUAGUAUAGGAAGAAGUAUUUUAACAUGGAUGACUUAAAACUUAUUGCUCAGUAAACAUAGUCUGCAUCAGUGCUAGAAAAUGUAUUUAUUGUUUGUAUUUUUUAUGGUUUUGAUUAAGAAAUGAAAUGUGAAAAAAUGCUACAUUGUAUUAGGAAUAAAUUGAAGAGAUUUAUGAUAUUUAUGUGUUAUUCAAGUUUCAGAUUCAAUUUUAAACUUUUGAUACAUGCAUUGAAAGCUUAAACUCCUUUAAGAAGUUAUUGAUAGACACAUGUUUUAUUAGUGUCAUCUUUGGAUGAUAGUGAGGAUCUUAUGUCUAUUAAUAAUUCUUGAAUUAUCCAGGCUCGGACAUUUUGGUAAUGCAUAGUUUUCUAUGGUAGCUAGUACCUGAAAUUUUUUUCCCACUAAAAAUGGGCUUUUCAGUAGCUGCUCCUCAUAUUCUGGGUGCAUACUAGACGAAUGGGUGUCGUUUUGUUUUGGGAUAACACAUAAACACUCAUAUAUCUAUGUCAUGUACUUGAAGAACUAUAGGGAGAUGCUUCCGAAAUUUCUAUAAACGUAGAGGAAAACUUUAGAUACUUAAGAUUGAAGAAACUUAUGCAUUCUUGAGUGGGAUAUAGAGGACCACUUACCUUUUGUAAUAUGAAGGGAAUGUUGGAUAUAUUGAUGGGAGUGGAGGAGCUGAGUGGGAUGAAUGUAAUCGGUUAUGAUUUUGCUGAGUUGACUUGGUUUUGAGUCUUGUAAUUUUGUUUAUAAAUGGAGUACUAUCUCCAAUGUUGGUUUAUAAAUAUUGUUUCAGCUGGCUGACCUAAUUUUUUAUUUCUAGGUAACAGGCUUUAUAUAUUCGUAAUUGAUAGCCAAGUGAAGUUCUCAGCAGUGGGUGAGGAUAUUUCUUUACAGAAGGUAUUGGAAACUGUUUUUCACAUUAAUUAGUAUUGUAUACAUACUUUAAUUUCACAUCUUUUUCUCUGAUUCUUGUGGCUUUGCUUGCUUUCAUAUAUAUAAACAUUCUAAUGAGAUUAACAUAAAAUUGUAUAAUGAUUUUUUUUAAUUAUAAAUUGCGCGCACACGAAAAUAUCUUGUUUAGUAGUAGAAAUGAAGAACUAAAAUGAUUUAUUUAACUAAUUUUUCUAGUGCAUUAAAAGGAGAUAGUCAUGGACAAGAGUUGGGUUGGUUUGCCAAAUAGAUAUCCAAGUCAUAUACUGAUGGGGUUGAAAAAUUUAUAGAUUUUGCAUUUGAGAAUGUUGUUGGUGAUAAAAGAAUUUAUUGUCCUUGUAAGAAGUGUCGUAAUAUCGAUAUUUCAUUAUAAGGGAAGUGGCAAGAGACCAUAUCAUUACAAAUGGCUUUUGGUUAAAGUAUUGAAACUGGAUAUUGCAGGGUGAGCCAUCUUCAUCUUUGAAAUCUAACUAAGAAACAGGUUAGUCAUGACUCGGGUGCUGAUGAUAGUAUGGUUGGAGUGAUACACGAUGCAUCACAUAAUCAAGUGUUCAAGUUACACACAGCAUUGUUAUGUUAUGGACUAUCAGUGACUUUCUAACAUAUGCCAACUUGUUUGGGUAGAGUAUUAAAGGUAAAUAAGCAUUUCUUGUUUGCCAACAAAACACUAGAUCUAAUUGGUUGAUACAUAAUAGAAAAUUUUGUUACUGGGUUACGGUCGAUUCUUACCAACGAAUCAUAGGUUUCGAAAAUAUAGUGUCUUUUGAUAAAACUAGGGGGUAGGGAUAAGCGCCUUCUCGGUUGUCUUGAACUGACGUGAAAAAGCAGGUGAAUAAUAUAUUUACUAAGUAUAAGAUUGAAGACUUGAAAAGAGGAGAAUGAAUAAAAUGAAAGAAAUGAUAAGAUUACUUGGAAGAAGAAAAGCAUUUUUUAUGAACUAACGUAUUGGGAGUUCAACUUGAUUCAUCAUAAUCUUGAUGUCAUGCAUAUGAUCUACUUUCUUUCAUUUUCUCACCUCCCAAACAUCCAUUAUACAAUAAAGUUUUUUUAGAUUUUAUUGUUUCAUAGAAUUAUAUUUUGCAUAUGAUGAAAUAACUUAACAUUUUAGUAUUCAUUUGCAUAUAAUAAUUAUAAGUAAGAAAAAAUAUUUGUUUACAAUCACUACUAGUUUUAUUGUCGUGAUUACAAAUAAAUUGCUCAAAUUUUCUGCUUCAGCUAUCAAACCUUUUAGCUGCUUCCAGACAUGAAGAAAUUAAACCCAUAAUUUCUAGGUACAAUUGCAUUCGUAUAUGCCAUGAUACAUAUGAUAUGAUUAGAACCAAAAGGAGAAAUAAAUUUUUGGGACUUAUUGUGAUGGUGAUUAAUCUUUUUCUACCUUAACUUUGAUAAGGUUAUAAUUAAAUUUUAUAUGAUUAAAGUGGUCAAUGGUUAAAUAAAUAAAUAAAUAAAACAGAUGAGGAUGGACUAAUGAAAUGACCCACCCCGAACUCCACAAGGUGAGUCUAUGUAAUAUCGUCUUACUUGACUGAUAAUAAUCUAAUUAGUAAGGAUUUUGCCGAAAAUUUGAUAGAGUCUCCACUUUGAAUAUAACAUUUCCAACCUGCAAAUGUGUAAAACAAGCACUCUCAAAUAAAUCAGUAUACAACCAACUUCAUUGAUCAACCUCCUCAACUAUAUUACUGAAUAUUACCCAAAAUAUCUACAAAGUAUCAAAAGAUUAUAUUAUACCUACUGUUGACAUAUAUUAAACUAUUUUUAAUCACAAAAAAUAUUAAAAAAUUAUAUAAUCCAAAAAAUAAGAAAUCAAAAUGCCCUGACAAUAUAAUCUAUAUCUCCUAGUACCAUCACAUGGCCAAAUUUCAAAAUACUAUAGUUGCUAAGUCAACUGGUGUCUUGCAACCUCCUGAGGGGUGGGAGCGAAUUAUAACAAAACGGGUGAGUAUAAAACUCAGUGAGCUCGGUGAGUGGAUAAUAGUUUUUGAAAAUAACUUACCAUAAAUAAUUAUACCACUUUUAUAUAUGAUUUUAUCAAACUAUAUGUAAGAAACAUGAAUAAAUUAUUUAACCUUUGAAUCAAGUAAUUGACAUUGAAAAGAAUACAUUAAGAGGUGCAUAAUAAUCAUGGAAAUUGUAUCACAAUAUAAAAUACAUGAUUAUGAAAUUAUCACAAAACAAGUACCUAAGGGAAUAAUCUUGUCGUACCUAGAGCUCAUACGGGCAAUGCAAUGACAUAUUCUCUAGGUACUGUCAUCCUCGGAGCUAGCACCGGUAGAUCAAUGAAGUGUCAUCUUAUAUAUCUUAUCAUAUCUUUGCAUGCAUAAACUAGUCCCCAAAAGACAAAGGUGUCCAAGCACAUAAUCCAAGGCCUCUAUGAGCCCCAAAGGCCCCUAUUUCAUUUGUAUCUUAGUAACUGAAUCUUUGUUAUCAUCAUAUUUCAUGCAUAAGCGCCCAAAAGGCAAAAGUGCCUAAAUAGACGGCCCAAAGCCUCCCUGUGUGUUCAGACGGGCCCCAAAGUCCUCUCAUCUCAUCUGUAUAAUUGUAAUUGGAGGGGAAGGGCAUUGUUCAACGAGUUUGAGAACAAACUUAUAUAUAUACACACAUAAACAUUUUAAUCAUACUUUAAACUCUUAUUUCCUUUUCAUUACAUACUUUAAAUUUGAUUUUCUUUUCUUUAUAUUACUCUCAUGUAUAUACUCAAAAUCGAUAAUAAAACCAAUAAUCAUACUUUUUAAUAAUAAAUAUCAAUACUUAAAUAAAACCUAUUUCUAGAAAAUCAUUAGAUCGGAGCAUUAAACACUUAUUUCCCAAACCUGCUUUACUAUACUUUAAAAUCAUAAUAAAAUAUGAAAAAUAGGUUUUGCUUAUUUCACUCACCGUGACGAUACUCAAACUCGGCUAUCAUUAAUGUCUGCAGGAUGGGUCUCACUCACUAUUCCUCCUAAAUCAAGGAUACGACAUAAUUACUUUCCAUAAAUGUGAAAUACAACUAACUGUAUGUAAUAUACUCGAAACGAACAUCUAUCCACAAUAUGCUACUCCUAUGUCUGUAACGUUACCAAAAAUACCCCCAAAAUCAUAAAUUGUCAAACAACCCUCAAAAUCAUAAAUUACCAAACUAUCCUCUAUAAAAUAUUAUUAAAAUAUCCACAAAGUCAGAAAUUAAAAAAUUACCAUCAAAAUAUAAAUUUAUCAAAAUGCCUUUGUUGGUCAAUGGUGAUCGGGAGUCAAGUGAUGGUGGUUGGAAUGGUCAAGAUAAAUGCUUUGGACCACGCUGAAUUUAAUGGUGGCAAAUUGACCAUUUCUGGUGACAUGGGUGAUUAAAAAUUGUAGAGGGUGUCGUGAGGGAGAAAACUAAGCAGUAGUGUGCCACAAGUUCGACGAAAUCCCAUCGAAUCGAGGUGGUAGUACCAAAGCUCUUCACAUUCUUGAUUGGUGGUCUUUUAGCAGUUAUUUAGUGACCAUGAUGGUUGGGGAAUGACUAGCAUUGGUUAAGGAUUCGAUCGAUACCUUCUGUUGUCGAUAGAGUGGCCGAAAAUAGUAGUUAGCGGCGGGUGGGGUUUCAAGUCUAUCAGUUAGGUUGAUAGCUCUUCCUCUCUUUGUUUUUCUCUUCCCCUCGAUUCCGUGUCAUAACAAGUUUAAACUAGUCCAAACUCGAACCAUUUAACAAGCGUGUCAAAUUUAACAACCCACACAUUUAUUCAUGUUGAGUAAUUGAGUCGUGUCAAAUCUGCCAAUAACAAUUAUAAUAAUGACUUUUAAAACUUCAAGUCAAAGAGGAGGAUAAAAUAAUGCAUUUGAUUAAACAUAAAAUGCAUAUGUUACAACUAAUCACUAUUCAAAAUAUUAAGAGUGGAGUAGCAAAUGUCAAUUUAUUUGGUUGCAGUCAAAUUUAUCCUAUGAUAAAUAGUGAUUAUUAAAUAAUAUAUAGAUCUAUUAUAUAGUCAAUUAAUAAUAUAUAUUAAUGAAAAUUUAAAAAUAAAUUAUUUAAAAAAGUCAAACUAGGUAAUGGACUUAAAUGUGAAAAUUUAAAAUAAUUUGGAGUUAUGUGUUAAAAUAUUGAAACUUUGUCAUUUUUUAAUGUGCAAGCAAAUAAUAGGGACUAUAGACUUAAUAAACUAUUAAAUCCAUCUAAGCCACUAAGCUACGUUUAUGUUAAAUCUAAUGGUUAGUAAUAGCUAAUAAGAAAAGGACAAAAAUUGGGGUAUGAUGUCACAGGGACACCAUAGUCGGACCCAUUAUUAAUGUUUAGUACAAGUAUUUUCUGAAAUAACAACUACAUAAUUAUUAUCUUAUGUAUCUAAUGAGAUUAUUAAUUUAGUAUAUUAGCCCAAGUUAGGAACGUAAGAUUUUGUUAUUUAAUCAAGUAUAUUAAUUUAUAAAACAUUCAUUUAUUGAGAUUUUAUUGUAUAUUACAUUUGCACACUUUCUUUUUAAUGUGAAGUAAAAACUAAUGUUACACAUGAACUUAUUGCUGACAACAUUAGUACAUAAUUGCUGUCAUAAGAAAAUUUAUCAAUCCAGGAAUUUUGGAUUUUAUAAAGUCUUUACAAGUGAAAAGAGUAGUUUAUAACAUUGUAAAUGUGACCUCGACCUGGAAGCGAACUCGGCUGUCAUAAAUUGAUCAAAGCCACACUUAACUUCUACUACUACUUGCAUUGUUACCACCGUCUUCAGCCUUCUGCUUUGCCCAUUCAAAAAAAAAAAAAAAUUAUAUAACUUUUGUCAGCCAACAAUUAUAAUAAACUAAAAACAUGUCCAAAGAUUCAAAAAAAAAUUUUUCCCUUUUUUUGGUUUUAGCUCCUCUGACAUAUCAAAUCCUAUUGCCGUGAAAAGUUUCCCUUGCAGCGCAUAAUUUUGCCACAGCAUCUCUCAUCUCCAUUCGCUCAGUUGGAGACUCCAUUGAGCAGGAAACCCCAAUUCCAAUUACAGCAGACAAGCAUUGCUCAGUCCUGACUCUUAUCUCUCCAUCAGUAUUUCUUGCAAUUUCCUCAGUUAGAAGUGAAGGCUCAACAAUAUUCACCACUUCUUCUGGCAAAGCCCUUUUGGCAAAUUCAUGGAGAGUUAAGCCAUCAUUGAACAUACUGUCCGUGGGCCGCUUUCCUGUGAACAUUUCUAGCAAAAGAAUUCCGAAGCUGUACACAUCACCUCGCAUGGAGACUUCGCCACCCGUACCGUACUCUGAAAAAAACAUGUUAGAUAUAUUACUCAGUUAGUUGCCACAUAUACGAGUUCUAACAAACAGCAGAUUAAUUCAAAAAAUGUAAAAUUACAAUAUCAAAAUAUCUAUCUAAAGAGGAAUAUAUAUAAUUACCUGGAGCUACAUAACCGACUGUUCCUUUUAUCCCAAUUGAGCUUGAUUGAGAUUGAGGAGCAGUCACCCACAUGGGCAACCAUGUCAUGAUCAAAAAGAAUAUUGCUGGGCUUUAGAUCACCAUGAAUUAUUGGUGGUUGACUGUGGUGGUGGAGAUACUCGAUUGCAGAAGCUACAUCAAUGGCUAUGUCCAGUCUUUGAAUGAGACUUACAUUGCACGCUUCUAGGUGAUCAUUCCUCUGAUGCAACCACUCCUCUAGACUUCCGUUUUCCAUGUAUUCGUAAACGAGAGCCUUGAAAUCAGCUCCUUUAGAAUCAAUGCUUGAGCAAAUAGUGAUGAUUUUAAUGAGAUUCCGGUGGCGAAUAUUUCUCAAAGCUUCACAUUCUGCUACAAAACUCCUGAAACCCCCUUUCUGAUUAAGAUUGAUCACCUUCACAGCAACUACCAUUCCAUUUUCACUAAAAAUUCCCUUGUAAACAAUGCCAAAGCUUCCUUGACCAAUCAUGUUUGAUGUUGAAAAUUCAUUAGUUGCCUUCCUUAGCGCCGCGUACGAGACAAAUGGGAACUUUUGUUCUAUUAGCAACGAAUUAGAAUCUUUGUGUGCUGAUCUCCUUCUUCGAGCAUAAACAACAAGAAAGCAUGCUGAUAAGAUUAAACAUGACAUAAUGACUGGAAAUAUCACUUUGACUAGGAAAGUAACUUUUGAUUUUCUUGAUCCUUUCAAAGGACAUGAUGGUAAAUGCAAUUCAUCCAACCCUCCACAAAGAUUCUCAUUCCCAACCAGUGAAAUGCUUGUCUUAUUGUGAAAAACUCCUUUUGCUGGUACCUGGCCCUCAAAAUGAUUGUAAGAAAGAUCCAAAUAUUGCAAGAAUGGUAGAUUCUCAAGAUAUUCUGGAAUCUUGCCGGACAAAUUGUUACGGGAUAGAUCUAACACUUUCAAGCUUUUCAAGGAAAUCAGAGAAAGAGGAAUCCUUCCUCCAAAGGAAUUGCCUUGCAUAUAAAGAUAUUCUAAGCUUGUACAAGCACUUAGAGUCGCAGGAAUCUCACCAAAAAAAUGGUUCAUGGAAAUAUCUAAUCGAGCGAGAUUCUUCAAGUUUCCCACCCGAAAAGGAAGAUAGCCACUGAGAAGGUUAUUAGACAAAUCUAGUUGAAAUGAAAGGGUCCUUAUUUCAAGAAUUUGUUGUGGCAAAGUUCCAUUAAGCUUAUUGUGAGAGACAAUCAAUUCCAUCAAAUUCUGACAACUUCCGAGGGAUGAGGGGAUAUUUCCUUGCAAGUUGUUGAAGUCCAGUGCAAGCUUUGUUAGUAGUGUUAGAUUACCUAGAGAGGAGGGUAUGUUCCCUUCUAAAGAGUUUCCAUACAGAUAUAGUAAUUGUAAGUUUUAAGACUACCGAUAACAUGAGGAAUAGUGCCAAUUAAUUGGUUUAAAUGUAAAGAAAAUAAAUUUAGAUUGACAAGAUUUCCUAUCCCAAGAGGUAUGGUUCCAGAUAAUUUAUUCUCCCCCAUGUCGAUUAUGGUCAUUGUUUUUGAGAGAUUGGCUAUAAAAUGCGGCAGGUUUCCUCCAAAUUGAUUCUUACGUAACUCAAGCCAUUCCAAUUUGCUACAGUUUGUCAGGGAGAAUACAAAAUCAAGGUCAUUGCUAGCCUCAGCUCCUAAAUUAUUAGCCUCAAAACUUAGCCAAGCUAGAUCCGAAAGACCGUUAAAAUCUAUGCUCACUUUUCCUGUGAAAUGAUUUUGUCCAAGGUUAAGCUCUAUGAGAUUUGAAGCAUUGGACAAUGAAUGUGGGAUAGGUCCUGUCAGAUUGUUUUGAGCUACAAUAAGAGAUUUCAGGUUUGGAAGAUUGAAACCUAUAUUAAGGGGAAGAAUACCUUCGAGUCUGUUUGACGGUAGAAAAAUCAUCUCAAGCGAUGAGAUGUUGUAAAUUGAAACAGGAACCAUACCGGAGAAAUUAUUUUCUUCUACGUUAAGAAACUUUAAGCUUCUUAAUUGACCAAGACUUUCAGGAAUUCUCCCGUGCAGUGUAUUCUCUCCAACAUCAAAUGCCUGCAGAGCAGAAAGAUUCCCAAUGGAAGCAGGGAGCUGUCCUCUCAAAUGAUUGACAGCAAUGGACAGUUUCUCAAGCUUCGACCAGCUGCUGUAACCGAUAUCAGCUGGAAUUUCUCCCACGAGGUUGUUUUUAUGGGAUAAAAAGUUGAUGAGGUUGGAGCAACGGGACAAAUUUGUUGGUAUUUUCCCUGAAAAAGAAUUAUUUGCCACGACUAGAGUUUCAAGUCUGGAAAGACGACCAACCUCAUCCGGAAUUUCGCCAUCGAAAUUGUUGUCUCCCAGGUGGAUUAACUUGAGGAAGCUAAGAUUGCCAACAUAAGGAGACAAGGUACCUCCUAGACUUUGGUUCCUCAGAUACAACUCGGUUACCCUUUGAUGCCGACGACCACAAGUCACUCCUGUCCACUGGCAUAAGUUUACAGAAGUGUCCCACGAACUUGUUACUUCUAGUGGAUCAUGGAACUGUGACUUUAUAGCAAGUAAUGCUAGACGAUCUGUCUCGUUUGUGUGGACAGAAAAGCUGUGUGAACUAAGCAACAAACUGAAGCACCAUAUAAGAGUUGCAAGGCUGGUAGUGGUAGUAAAAAUGGAGCUAAACAUGUUUAGCGGCUGCAGGGUAUAAGAUAAUAAGACUAAUGAAAAGCGUGGCGUGAUCGUUGAAGUUCAUGUGAAGGGUUUUUAAAGUCGAAAAAUGAGUGUACGGUAAAAUCUCUUUAUAGUUAUAAUAUGAAGAGUAAAUUAUUUUUAUGAGAAGGUUAUAAUUUAAUUAAGGUUUAGUUAAAAAAACUUAUUAUUUUGGUAUAGUUAACCUUAGUGCAAGUGACAUAGAGAUAAAGUAUGCUUUAUAUUAAUAGUCAACUGCUAGAACACGUCAAAUUGAAUAUAUAAACAUUGACAAAAGAGAUAGACAUAAUUUCAAAAAGCUAUCAUAAAUUUUUUACAAUAUAAAGGUAGUUAUUAUUAUUUUAUGGAGGCAAGUUCAUGAAGAGGAAUUUAAAAAAAUUUAGACUGUUACAAUAUAAAAUUUAGGGCUUGUUUGGGAUUGUUUUUGGGAGACUCAAAAGAUAUUUUGAAAAGUUAAAAAUUAAUUUUAAUAUUUGAUAUAUUUUUUAAGAAUUAGUUUUGAAAAAAUUACUCUAUCGUACAAUAGAUUUUAAAAAGUAAAGAAUAGUUUUUUAAAAGAUGAUUUUGAAAAUCAUUCUUAUAUUGAAUACAAGUUUAUAUAUAUUCUCAUUUAUAUUAUAAAAAUUCAAAAUUAUCCUUUUUAAUUAAGAAGUAGAAUCAUUAAAUUUUAAAAGAUAUUAUUACUACCACUUAUAUUGAGAUAACUAAAUUAAAAUUAAAAUUAAUAAUAUAAAACAUUUAUUUUAGCUAUCAAUUAUUAUAUGUUAUAAAAAAAUUUUAUACACAUAUUUAUAAAUGUUUAAAUAAAUUUUAACUAACAUUAUAUCUAAUUGAGUCAUUUACAUGAUUACAACAAUUUAACGUCAAGAUUUAUCAAACUAAUUGUUUUUAAAAAUCACAAUACUUUUAAAAAUUUAUUUUACUAAAUGUUUAACUGAUUUCGUCGUAGCUGAUUAUUUCUAUAUUACAAUCAAUAAUAAUUAUUUUAAAAAUUAUAGUAUUACCAAACUAACCCAUAUUCUUAUUUAUAACCGAUCAAAUUGUUACCGAGAUUUUUAAAAUUAUGUGAAAAUGACUUUUAUGGAAUAUCAUUGUAAAAGAAUUUUAUCAAUACAUAUAUUUUUUUCAACUGCGGCUGCGGGAUUAGGCAAGGCUAAUGAAAGCUUUUGUUAAAAAUGUGUGGGUGGUCGUUAAAAGUCACGGGCACUCCAGUUCCUUGAUUAGAUUGAUUCUCGUCGUUGUUCUGAGUGCAAGUUGCCUUAGCACUUUCGUGAGUGAAUGAGAUUUUUCCUUUGUUGCUUUGGCAAGAGGUCGCUUUGGUGUGAUGUCAACUUGUGAAAUAGUCAAGGGUCUUUGGCUCUUUGCUACCUUUACAUCGCAUGCAAAGAUUUGACAAGUGAGCAAUUAGAAUUUCUCUACCUUUACGAUAGAGAAAAGCGAAAACAGUUCCCGUCCGGUCACACAACUGGCUUCAAGAGUUCCUCGCUGGUUGCAAAAAUUAAUUUCUUUUUAAUCUUUGUAAUUUGUUACAUAAAUAAAAAACAAUUUUUGAAAUAAAAAUGAUAAAUAUAGUUGAACCUCAAUGAAUUGAUUACCAGGAUUAAAUAAUAGUUUUUAUUGGUCUCAAAUUGGGUCAACAUAUUAAAUUAAUAAUUUGAUAAAUUUAUUAAUAAUAAAAAUAAAUAUUUUAUAUUUACUAAAAUAUUAAGACUGAUCUACUAUAUAAAUUAAUAAUUUAUUAACUUGAAACUAAGGUACUGUUCAUUUUUUAACUUAAUGAAUUAAUUGAUUAAUUUUAAUUAAACCAUUGAAUCUUUUCAUUUUUUUCAACCUAAUGAAAUUUUAAUGUAAAUUGUGCAAAUUCUUGUAGUAUUAAGGGAAAAAGAUAUCUACACCCAAAGGUUUAGAGAAAAAGUCAAGUAAAUCCUUAAGUUUUCAAUAAGGAAUAUCAAAACUCCCUUUAAUUGUAAUAUCUUUUGUAAAUAGUAAUUAAAAAUUUUACUUCAAAAUUUUUUAAUAAACACAAAUAUAAUUUAAACAGUUUAAUUUGUCAAGUAGACUAAUAAUAUUAGGAUAUUUUUAAUAUAUAAUAUAAUUUUUAAAGUGUAAAUUAGUGUAUUUAUUUUAAUAAUAUAUGUUAUUUAUUAUAAAAUUUUAAUUAAAUGUUUCGGUUAAAUUGAUUUUAUAGUUAAUAAAAUAUAUCUCAUGUAUUCAUAAUAUCUAAAUUAUUUUAUAUAAUAUUCAAAAUAAUGUAAAUUUUUAAAAAAUUUGUUAUAAAAUUUAGUUUAAUAUAAUAUAAGAUUGUAAAGUAUUAAAAUAUUUUUUAAAUAUUAAAAUUACCUUAAAAUGUUUAUAUUAUUAUAUUUAUUUUAAUAUUAUAUUUCUAUUUAAUAUAAAACAUUAGAGUUAAUUUUUUUUGAAUUAAUAGAACCAAAAGUUAUUAUAGUCAAAAGAGAAUUUUAAUAUCUUUUAUUAAGAACUUGAAAUUUAUAUGAUUAUUUUUCUAAAUUUUGAAGGUAUAAAUAUCAUUUCUCAUAUUAUUAAUGUCGCUUUAAAAUAGAGUACCCAAUAUUUCUAGUUCACCAAUUAUUGAAAAACAUUUUGACUCAUUACAGCCUGUUAUUAGUUUUGGUCAUAUUAUUUUCCAUCACUCGGUUAUUGAUUUUCAAAUCUACCGAUUAGUAACUAUUCUUAGGCCAUAAAUAAUAUUGAGGUACUAUAACUUUUAAGUUAUAGUUAUUAUAAAAAAAGUAUAAUAAUGAAAUAAUAAUUUAUAAUUUAUAAUAAAUAUAAUUUUUAAAUAAUAAUUUUAAUAAAAAUACAAUAAAAUUAUUAAAUUUUUUCAUGUAAGUAUAAAAUUAAAUUAAUUUAAUUUUUAAACUAUAAUAAUUAGUAUAUUUUAUAGAUGUCCAAUCUCAAUUUUAAUCACAGCCUUAAUAAUAUAAGUUAGCCAUGGCCAAAAAAUCAAAUAUCAAUUGUCAAACCUGCUGUGUACGCUAUGUUGCCGUGUACGCUAUGUUUAAGUCUAGCUGUGUGGAAUUUGUUUGUCCAUGUAUUUUAUAGACUUCAUUGAUCCAAUUCCAAUCUUUUUUCCUGUGGAAAACCCUCUUUUUCCGCAAAUCAAUUAAAUCAAUCAUGGAAUUAAAUACUAUACGGGAUAUUGGUGUAAAUAUUUGAAGAUGAAGCCACGUUUGGAAGACAUGUUCGCAUGUUCAAUAAAUGCAAAAACAGCCAGUUCUGUGCAUGGCUUUAAUGCAUGCAUCGAGAGUAGUAACUUCCACGUGAUGGCAAGUUGACGAUUGGCAAUUGGUGCUCCUUUUGUCAAGAUUUGCUUGAGAUAGCGGCUGUUUCACUAGAUUUUUUACCGUAAAGUUUGAUUUCUCAAUCCAUCCUGAUACUAUAAAUAGAGCUUAAUAUAUUCUCGAGAGUAAAUCAUCCCGUUUGCGAGGGAUAAAAGUUUAUUUAGUCCCUAUAUUUUAAGAUUAGUGUCUAUUUAGUUUUUAUAUUUUUAAAAAUAUUUUGAAACAUCUCUACUGUUAAAGUAUUGAUACCCCUAUUGUUACUUUUUAUUUUUUAUUUACUUUUACAAUAUUAUCUUUUUAUAAUAAUGUUUUUGUUUAGACAUUAAUUAAAAAAUAAUUAAAUUAUCAAUUUAAUUCUAAAAAAUAAAAAUAAAAAAUUACAUUAAUUUUUAAUUGUCAAAAAUUAAAUUAUCAAAAAAGUCAAAAAUUAUAUACAAACUACCAAGCGUGCAAAUAGUACUUGCAAAAAAAUUAAUAAAUUUUUUAUUUUUAUUUUUUAGGAUUAAAUUGAUAAUUUAAUUAUUUUUUUUAUUAAUAUCCAAAUAAAAAAAUUAUUAUAAAAAGAUAAUAUUGUAAAAGUAAGCCAAAAGAAAUAAAAAAUAACGGCAGAGAUAUUAAUACUUUAACGGUAUGAAUGUUUCGAGGUAUUUUUAAAAAUACAAGAAUUAAAUAAAUACUAAUUAUAAAAUAUAGAGACUAAAUGAACUUUUACCCGUUUGCGAGAGUUGCGAGCAUUUAAAUAUUGAUGGGCAAACAGAUCAGCUGUCAACAACUCAUUCCUAUAAUCCCAUGUGAGUAAUUCACAUUGAGUACUGCACGUGACGCCUGUUUCUCUACUUUUCAUGUUAACAUUAUUUUCAGUAGCAGCCGGUUAUGUAGGCAACAUUUCAAAAUUAAUUAAAAAAUAAAAAUUAGUUCAGCUGACUAAAUUUGAGAGAAUGAAUUUACUGUUGGUUAAAAAUUAUUUUGCAGCAAAAUUUUUGAAUCGUAACUCUUUUACAAUAUAUAGAAUUAUCAUAAUUUAUAAAUUACAUCUUUGCUUUUUUUGUGAUAGUAAUUCAGAUUCUCAAGUUACGAUUUAAACUGAAAAAAUAAAACUAUGAGUAAGAAUUGUUUUAUGAGAAUUAAAAUAAUUGAUAAAUAACUGAGAGGGAUAAUUUUGAAAGAUUUAAAUUCUAAUAUGAUAACAAUUUUAAUUUUUCACCCUCUGGUAAGGAAUCGAAAAUCACAAUUUAUUAGAUUAGCACAUAAAAUAAUUGAGUAUUCAGAAUAAUUUUUGAAGUACAAAUAAUUGGACCCUAAUAUUUUUAAUAUAUGAAAAUCUUACUAAUAUGUUGAUGAGAAUUAAAUUAAUAAUUAAGGGAGACAUUAAGACAUUUAGAAUAGUUGAGAUGAGACCGGAUUUUACGUUAUCCGAAAUUGAUCCUAAUUUUGAUCACAAAUGUAUUAAAAAGACGAGUUUCGGUCCAUAAUUAUGUGCCAUUUGAGUAAUUAAAAUGGGAAUGUGAUUGUCGAAUUCCAAACUUUCCCGAACCAUUGCCAUCUUUACCCAAAACACUAAAAAUAUCUAAAGAAAAGUCUGCACCUAUUCCAUUUUUUUUUAUCAAAUAGGAAAGAGCCCUCACGUGGCGUGAACUGGUAUCCUAAAUAAUUUUAAGAGUAUCAGCCCAUGAUUGGGUUUGUGACAAAUAAAUUACAUAUUUGAGGUACAUAGUUAUUGGUGUCCUAGUUUAGGUGGCACCUACCAUUUAUUGCACAUAUAAGGUAUUAAUUGACUUAAUUAAUAUACAAAGUUUAAAAUCUAAUUAAUUAGCGACACAAAUGCCAAGUACAGUAUAUGUAAAUCAUAUUUGUCGAUUAUCACAAAACGAGCUCUUGAAAAUAAGUAAGAAAGCUUAAUUUGUUGAAAUGAACUCAAACUCGUCAAUCGAUUUGUCGUCUAAAGGUUGGAAAAAUGAGUGAUAUGUCAUUUCAAGCUGAUCAUGGAUCCAGAACCGACGACUUGGUGCUGUUGUUCAAGGUCGUUAAACUCUCACGUGAAUAACAUACGCCUGUCUUAAGUCUAAAACGGCACGCCUUGUCGUCGUUUUAGGAAGGGUUUAAGUUUCACGUGAAAGGCUCUUGAUCAAGCAGUUAAGUUUGUCGGUUUUGGAGGGAAUCAUCUGGAUCUGUAACACCAACAGCAGCUGAUAUAUAUGUUGGUUCUGGUUUCAUCUAGAUCGAUUGAAGAGAGAGUGAUAAGGAAGCAUUAGAGAGAGUGAAACUUUUCUGGGUGUUCUCUGUAUUGUGUUUGUCACCUUUGUAACCAUUGAAGCUUAAUAAAAUUACUCCCUGAGUUGUUUUCUCCAGUGCACGUAGGCACUGUUAAAGGUGCUGAACCACUUAAGUCUUUGUGUGUUCUUGAUUCUUUGUGUUGAUUUUUCUUUGAUCUGGUGAUUGUUACGACUUGCUUAGACUUGGUUCUUAAAUCUUAGAGUCUUAAUUAGAUCUUGGGGUGAGAUAAAUCUGGUGUAAAGAGGGUUUGUUUCACAACAAUUGGUAUCAGAGCUUUAAUUCUGAUUCCAAGGUUCAAGAAUGGCUUCAAAGGUGGAUCUUGAGAAGUUUACAGGGCAAAAUGACUUUAAUAUGUGGAAGAUCAAGAUGGAGGCUUUGUUGAUCACUCAGGGUCUGGGAGAUGCCAUAGAGCUAGUCUCUAAACUUGAAGGAAAUGAAGCUUCAUCAUCCAAGACUCCAGAACAAGCAGUAGAGAUAGACAAGAAUGCUAGAAGCACAAUUAUUAUGAGUAUGGGUGACUCUGUAAUCAGAAAAGUGGCAAAAGAAAAGAUUGUUGCUGGUUUAUGGGCCAAGUUGGAGAAUUUGUAUUUGACAAAGUCUUUAGCUAAUAGGCUUUACAUCAAGAAGAAGAUGUUCUCACUAAAGAUGAUUGAAGGAGCAUUACUUGAUGAGCAUAUAGAUGAGUUCAAUAAGGUUUGUGAUGAAUUGGAAACCAUUGAUGAAAACUGAGUGAUGAGAGCAAGGCUCUGCUGUUAAUUAGUUCUUUACCAGAGUCAUACGAGCACUUUGUGGAUGCCUUGUUAUAUGGGAGACAAACACUCUCUCUGGAAGAGGUUAAAUCUACUCUUGGCACCAAGAAGUUGAAAGACAAGCAAGAUAAUCCAGAAAGUGAAUCAAGUGAGGGGUUGAUGGUUAGAGGCAGAUCUGAAAAAAAGGGAAAACAAGGGAAAUAAACAAGGCAGAUCAAAGUCCAAAUAGAAGCAUUUGAAGUGUUUUCAUUGCCAUAAAGAAUGGCAUUUAAAAAGAGAUUGCCCUGAAAGAAAGAACAAAAAUAAAGAAACCAAGGAAAAGACAAGAAAUGCAGCCAUAACCACAAAAGUUCCAAGCUUUGAAACAACUGGAGUGCUCAUUGCCUCAAAUGAAAAAUUUCAAGGUCACUGGGUUCUUGACUCAGGUUGUACCUUCCAUGUGUCCAAAUAGAAGCUAUAUUACUACAUAUCAGUUGUGUGAUGGGGUAUGAUUUUAAUGGGUAAUAACUAAAUGUGUAAAGUGGUUGGUAUUGGGAUUGUUAGCCUUAAAAAGUUUGAUGGUGUGGUGAAGGAAUUAACACAUGUUAGGUUUGUUCCUGACUUGAAAAGAAACUUGAUCUCAAUUGGCAUGCUAGAUCCAAUAGGUUGUGUCAUUAGGGCUAAAAAAUAAGUGUUGAGGAUAAUUAAAGGCUCAAUGGUGAUUAUGAAAUGUAUAAAAGAAAAUAGCUUGUAUGUGUUGGAUGGACAUACUGCUGUUGGAGAGGCAAGUGUAACUGAUAGUGGUGGGAACAAAUUAGUGUUGUGGCAUUUUAGGCUGGGGCAUAUGAGUGAGAGAGGCUUAAAAGAACUACAAUGGAACAUUGAGGAUAGAUAAUGGCUUGAAGGUGAAAACAUUGAGGACAGAUAAUGGCUUGGAGUACUGUAAUAAGUUGUUUGAAGGAGUACUGUGAGAAGAAAGGGAUUUAGAGGCACAAAACUAUCACCUAUACUCCUCAACCAAAUGGCCUUGCUAAGAGGAUGAACAGAACCUUGGUGGAGAAAGUAAGGUGCAUGUUGAUCUACUCUAAACUUCCAAAAACUCUAUGGGUAGAAACUUUAAACAUUGUAUGCUAUCUAGUCAAUAGGAGCCCAUCAACUGCCAUAAGAUGUAAAAAACCAAUGGAACUGUGGUUAGGAAGAAUAGCUGACUAUUCAAAACUCAAAAUCUUUGGCUGCAUAGCAUAUGCUCAUGUAAAGUAAGGUAAGCUGGAACCAAGAGCAUUAAAGUGUAGGUUUCUAGGGUAUCCAGAAGGUGUCAAAGGCUAUAGAUUGUUGUGUGUUGAUUCCAAGCCACCUCAGUGUCUAAUAAAUAGAGAUGUAACUUUCCAUGAAGAUGAGAUCUUGAAUCAAUCAAGGAGUCUUGUCAACGGCUCUGAAUUAGGUGAUGAGUCUAAUAAAGUGAAGUUUCAAGUGGAGCCUCAUACCUUGAAAAAGCUUGAUCUAGAAAUUAAGAGUGCUAAAAAAGAACUUGAAGCUGGUGUUGAGCAUGAAUCAGUAGAAAGUGAAGAGGACACCUAUCAAUUGGUAAGAGACAGAAAAAGAAAGAUUAUUAGACCACCUAAGAGAUAUGCAAUGGCUGAUUUAAUUGCAUAUGAUUUGACUGUUACUCAAAAGUUGAAUGUUGAUGAACUAGGACUUAUCAAGAAGCUAUCACAAGCAAAAGCAAGAUGGAAUGGAGGAAGGCAAUGGAUGAGGAGAUGGCAUCUCUAAUGAAGAAUAAAACUUGGGAAAUGAUUAUAAAACCAUAAAAGAGGAAGAUAGUAAGCUAUAAAUAAAUCUUCAAGAUAAAAAAAAAAGGGAUAUCUGGUGCUGAGCCUAGAAUAUGUAAAGCUAAACUGGUGGCAAGGGGUUUCACACAAAAGGAAGGUAUUGACUUCACUGAAGUUUUAUCCCCAGUGGUGAGACAUGCUUCCAUCAAAAUUAUUCUUGCACUUGUUGUUGUUCAGGACAUGUAUCUUGAGCAAAUGGAUGUCAAAACAACUUUUUUGCAUGGUAAGUUACAAGAAUAGAUUAUAAUGCAGCAGCCAAAGCGUAUGUGGUUUUUGGUAAAGAAGAUCAUGUUUGUUAUUUAAGAAGUCUCUAUAUGGUUUGAAGCAAUCACCUAGACAAUGGUAUUUGAGGUUUGACAACUUCAUGAUAACACAUGCCUUUAAUAAAUGCAGUUAUAAUUGUUGUGUGUAUUUCAAGAAGAUAAGUGGAGGAAGGAUGAUAUAUCUCUUAGUGCAUGCAGAUGAUAUGCUGAUUGCAUGUCAUGACAAGAAAGAAAAUGAUCAUCUGAAGAAACUCUUAAGCAGGGAAUUUGAAAUGAAGGAACUUGGGGAACCUAAGAGGAUUUUAGGGAUGGAUAUUAUCAGGGAUAGGAGCAAGAAGGUUUUGUUUUUAACUCAACAGAGCUACAUUAAAAGGGUUCUAGUGAGGUUUGGAAUAAAUGAUGCGAAGCAAGUGCAGACACCAUUGGCAAACCAUUUCAAGUUGUCUGCUGCACAAUGCCCCCAAACUGAUGCAGAACAAUAGAAAAUGGCUUGUAUACCCUACUCAAGUGUUGUGGGUAGCCUCAUGUACGCCAUGGUACUCACCAGGCCUAAUAUCUCACAUGCUGUGAGUAUGGUAAGUAGGUUUAUGGCAAAUCUAGGCUAGGAACAUUGGAAAGUUGUUCAGUGGAUUAUGAGAUACCUCAAAGGGACUUUGGAGGUUACUUUGAUUUAUGGUGGAAAGGAUAGCAAUGGACACACAUUGAUUGGUUAUGUAGAUGUUGACUUUGCUGGUGACCUUGAUAAAAAGAAGUCACAAACAGGGUAUAUGUUUACUCUGGGGGGAUGCACAGUUAGCUGGAAAGCAACAUUACAGAACAUAGUGGCUUUGUCCACUACAGAGGCAGAGUAUACUGCAGCAGCUGAAGCCUUUAAAGAAGCCAUUUUGCUGAAAGGCAUGAUAACUGAGCUAGGAGCUGAGCAAGGGACUAUAACAGUAUACAGUGAUAGCAAGAGUGCCAUACAUCUUAGUAAAAAUCAAACUCAUCACGAGAAGACAAAACAUAUAGAUGUUAAGUUACACUUUGUGAGACUUGAAGUGUCAAGGGGGGCUGUUAAGUUGCUGAAAAUUCAUACUGAAGAAAAUCUAGCUGACAUGUUAACCAAGGUUGUUCCCACUACCAAGUUCAUCCUUUGCAUGUAUUUAGCAGGAAUCUGCAGGUUUUAAGAAGCUGCAGAUGAGGAGAAAACAAACAAAGAAGAGGGAGCUAUGAGUGUUGGGUUCAAGGUGGAGAUUGUUAAAAUAAACUCCAAUGAACUCAAACUCGUCAAUUGAUUUGUCGUUUAAAGGUUGGAAAAACGAGUGACAUGUCAUUUCAAGCUUAUCAUGGAUCCAGAACCGACAACUUGGUGCUAUCGUCCAAGGUCAUUAAACUCUCACGUGAGUAACAGAUGCAUGUCUUAAGUCUAAACGGCACGCCUUGUCGUCGUUUUCGGAAGGGCUUAAGUUUCACGUGAAAGGCUCUUGAUCAAGCAGUUAAGUUUGUUGGUUUUGGAGGGAAUCAUCUGGAUCUGUAAUGCCAGCAGCAGCUGAUAUAUAUGCUGGUUCUGGUUUCAUCUAGAUCGAUUGAAGAGAGAGUGAUAAGGAAGCAUUAGAGAGAGUGAAACUUUUCUGAGUGUUCCAUGUAUUGUGUUUGUCACCUCUGUAACCAUUGAAGCUUAAUAAAAUUACUCCAUGAGUUGUGUUCUCCAAUGGAUGUAGGCAUUGUUAAAAGUGCUGAACCACUUAAGUCUUUGUGUUCUUGAUUCUUUGUGUUGCUUUUUCUUUGAUCUGGCGAUUGUUACGACUUGCUUAGAGUUGGUUCUUAAAUCUUAGAGUCUUAAUUAGAUCUUGGGGUGAAAUAAAUCUAGUGUAAAGAGGGUUUGUUUCACAACAUAAUUAAUAACUUAAAAUUAAAGGAAUUAGAUUGAGAAUAGUCUUUUUUUUAGGAUGGAGGCUCCUAAAUCUUCAAGAAUCAUUAUGUGCUUAUUAAAAUUUCAAAAUCAUUUGGAUUAUGACAUAGCAAAAAUUUGAUAGUACACAUGUUGGAAUACACCAAUUCAUAGAUGCAUUUGAUUAUUGUUUUCAUAAAUUUUAACUAGGAAGGAUGACAUGAUAAAAUUUGAUUUUAUUGUAUGGUUGAUUUCAUAUUUCAUGUGCUCAUUUCUUAAUAUAAUCAAAUUUGAUCUAGCAUAUUUUGCAACUGUAUAAAUAUCAAUUAUGAUCAAUCAAAAUGAUUUCAACACCUUUCAACCAGACAUAUUUAUAAUACAAUAUUGUCAAACUUACACCAGAAAUUUAGUUUAUUACAUAUUAUUAUCCAAUGAGCACACAAAAAUGAAUUUGUACAAAUUUAGUUUUGGAAUGCUGUAGCUCUUAAAAUAAUUGUUGUUAGUUGUGCUAUAGAAAUAAUUUACUGUGAAAAGAAUCAGUUAAUUGUUGGGUAAAUUUUAUUUUCAGAAAUACUGUGAGUUUUGAAAACAGUUACGGAAAUUUGGUAAAUUUUACUGUUAAAUUGCUGAAAGAAAACAAAUGAUUAAAAUGUAUAUAAUGUAGAAUAAAAUUUACUUAUACAUAUAAAAAUAUGUACAUAUAAUAUUUUUAAUUAUAUAUUAUAAUAAUUUUUACUAAAAAUAAAAUUUAUAAUAUAUUGAUUUUUUUUUAUAUUUUUACCUUAAAAUAAUUGUUAAUUAAAUUUGUAAUAUAGUGAAACAAGUUUAAUAAUAAUUCGACCAACAAAUUGAUAUUAAUAAAUUUAUAUUGAUGAAUUACAAUAAAAAUUUAUUAAAAUAUUAUUUUUUUCAAUUUCAAUAAGGAUAAUUUUGGAUUUACAUAAUAAUUUUGAAGAUAUUUAUAAAAUUAUAUUAAAAGAUAAAAUUAAUUCUCAAAAUCAGAAUCUAAAAAAUACUCCAUCCCUACUUUUCAAAAUCAACUAUAGAAGAAGUUGAUUUUGACAAAAAUAAUUUAAAUUUUUUUACUAAAUACUAAAAUUAACUUUUAAUUUUUUAAAAUUAAUUUUAAACCACAAAUUCAGACGACCCUUAAACCAAUUUUGCAAAAGCAGCCGUUACAUGUAUCACCAACUUUUUAACAGUCAGCUGCUUUUGUGACCGUUAUGCGACGGCUAGACUGCUGUCACUUAUGUUACUAUCACGUGACGGUUAAGAGCCAAUUGGCAUACUAUUUUUUUAAAGUUUUAAAUUUGUUUCUAAAUAGAAAACUAUUCGCUGGUGUCAAUAUUUUGAAAACCAAAGUCCCAAAUUCUCUCUUGUGCGUGCCGGGCCAGCAUCCUAAACCUUACUGGUUGCCGGAGAAUGGCGUAAAACGGCGGUGAUCUUCUUCUUCAUCUUAUUCUCUCUCAUCGUUUCAGGUAAGCUUGUGAUAAUGAGUUUCUUGUCUUUCUUAGCUUGUAAUUAUAGAUUUUGAUUUUUUAAUUCGUAUUGUAGCCGUUAAUGUAAAUUUUUGUCCCGCUGGCAAAUUUUUUUGUUCCUACAAGUUGAAGCCCUUCUGUUCUUGUUCCAUUGGUGACUUUGCUCACUCAAAUUAAUUUCGUUCGGCGGAAUUUACAAAGUUCAAAUGGAUUCAUUUGGAUUACUAUUGAAUUUAGCUUUCAUUUCUACAUUCAUUCUAAUGUUUUACAAUUAUGUAUUUAGAUUUACUUUGAUUUUAUGUUUAAAGCUUCUACAUUGAAUAGCUGAGCUUGGGUCUUAGUUUCAUUUUCUAAUUAACUUGUUUUGGUUUAUCUUAUAUGCUCACCAAGGGCUUGUUAUAUUGUCAGAUAAGUUAUAUAACAUUGCUGAUUCUAUAUUAAUAACGUCAUGUUUUAUUUUCAGAAAUUAUAAUAUAAAAGUUUUUACAAUGGCAAGCAUCUACAAACUGAAUUGAUUUGUAGAAUAAGAGCUUCGAGUAGUGUUAUGAUCUUGAAUAAAUGAAAGUUCAUAUUGUGUAAGAGCAUGUAGAUGUAAAGCAUCAUUACCAUUUCUGCAAAGUGCUUUCAUUCUGUUCAGAUGCUUCUCUUGAACUUUGAAAUGUGCCUCGUUGAAGUCCUAGCUAUAACUACUAGCUUUGAUUAAUUAAGUUCCUAUACUAGCUGAAACAGAUUUAUUUAAUUAAUUAAUUGUGUAUGUACUAAUUAUAUUGAAAGUAUUUGAAAACUUUUUUAUCAUGAAUGACUUCUAAAUGACUUAAAAACCUAAAGGAUAUGUGAAAUAAUGCUCAUUUCACUUGAACGAGCCUAUUAAUACUUGUAUGUCUAUGAUUGUUAAUAUUGGCUUAAGCGUUUCAGUUAAAUGGUUUACAUAACAAGGAAAAUAAUUUAAUGGAAAACUUUCGAGUUCUAACAGAAAUAUAAUUGACUAUGCAGAUAUAGUUAUUUUAUGGUAAUACAAAUCAUGUUGCCUUAAUCUCAAUGUCCUAUGACCUAUUUUAUUUUAUAGAGUCAUUCAUUUUUGCCAUGGCUUUUUGUGUUUAUAAGUAUGGAAAUAGUGGGAUUUGGUGUAUCUUAGCAUCUUUGGAAAAUUCUCUUUAAAUGUGGCAAACAAAAAUAUACAUAUAAUCAAGUUUGUUAAUCAACUAUCAUAACUGGCUAGCUAGUUCUUGCCUGCCUUGCUGCCAUUACCCAGGCCAUUACAUUGCAUAGCAUAAGGAAUAGUGAUUAGGUGAUUAUUAGUGACUCGUUGAGCUUAUUAUUGACCAAACAAACAUAUUCCCCUUUACCCACAACUUAGUUUGAUUAGUUAUUAGACCAUAAAGAGCGUUAAUCUGUUCAUUGGCUUUGUUAUUUUUAUUAGGUUUUUCUGUCAACAAAACUGUUGAUUUCUUAUAAAAAUAUUCAUUGAUUUUUAAACACCUAAUCAUUGGCUAUAAUGAAGCUAAUUGAAACUGAGGCUUUGGAUCAAUUUCUUCUAGCAAGAUACAAAUGAGCAGAACCUAUAUCCUCUAAGUAAAUUUUUCUAAUAUCCUUGAUUUGGUAGUAUCUGGCGGCCUGAAAUCCUCUAGAUUUUUUUAACACUGUCAAUGUUCUUUUUACUCUUAAAAGGGAAAAAAAAGGUUAUAUCUUUCAUACCCUAAUAGUAAGUUGGCCUUGACUUAACAUGCCUUCCUGAGGAUUUCCAAGAUUCACAAGCAGCCCCCCCCCAAAAAAAAAAAACAAAUAUGAUUUUGCAAGAUUCACAACCAGGCUAUAUUUAAUUUAUUGAUUGUGUGCACGUACUAGUUAUAUGUUGAAAGAAUAGGAAAAAGUAUUUUAACAUGAAUGACUUAAAACUUAUUGCUCAGUAAACAAAAUCUGCAUCAGUGCUAGAAAAUGUAUUUAUUGUUUGUAUUUUUUAUGGAUUUGCUUAAGAAAUGAUACGCGAAAUAAUGCUACAUUGUAUUAGGAAUAAAUUGAAGAGAUUUAUGUGUUAUUUAAAUUUCAGAUUGAAUUUUAAACUUUCAAUACAUGCAUUGAAAGCUUAGAUUGUUUAAGAAAUUAUUAAUAGACACAUGUUUUAUUAGUGUCAUCUAUGGAUGAUAGUGAGGAUCAUAUGUCUAUUAAUAAUUCUUGAAUUGUCUAGGCUUGAACUGUUUGGGAAUGCAUAGUUUUCUAUGGUAGCUAGUAGCUGAAGUUUUUUUCCCACGUAAAAAUGGGUUUUUCGCUGGCUGCUUCUCAUCUUCUGUGGGUGCAUACUAGAUAACACAUAAACACUCAUAUAUCUAUGUCGUGUGCUUGGAGAACUAUAGGGAGAUGCUGCCGAAAUUUCUAUAAACGUAGAAAUCCCAUUGGACCACUUACCUUUUGUAAAUAUGAAGGGAGUGUUGGACAUAUUGAUGGGAGUGAAGGAGCUGAGUUGGAUGGAUGUAAUCGGUUAUGGUUUUGCUGAGUUAACUUGGCUUUGAGCUUGUAAUUUUGUUUAUAAAUGGAGUACUAUCUCCAAUGUUGGUUUAUAAAUAUGUUUCAGCUGGCUGACCUAAUUUUUUGUUUCUAGGUAACAGGCUUUAUAUCUGUAAUUGAUAGCCAACUGAAGUUCUCAACUGUGGGUGAGAAUAUUUCUUUACAGAAGGUAUUGGAAACUGUUUUUUACGUUAAUUAUUGUUGUAUAUAUACUUUAAUUUUCACAUCUUUUUCUCUGAUUCUUGUCGCUUUGCUUGCUUUCAUAUGUAUAACUAAAAUGAUUUAUCUAACUAAUUUUUGUAGUGCAUUAAACGGAGAUGGUAAUGGAGAAGAGUUGGGUUGGUUUGGCAAAUUGAUAUCCAAGUUAUAUACUGAUGGGGUUGAAAAAUUUAUAGAUUUUGCAUUUGAGAAUGUUGUUGGUGAGGCAAGAAUUUAUUAUCCUUGUAAGAACUGUCGAAUCUUUCGUUUUAAGGGAAGUUGCAAGAGACCAUAUCAUUAUAAAUGGUUUUUGGUUAAAGUAUUAAAACUGGAUAUUGCAUGGUGAGCCAUCUUCAUCUUUGGAAUCUAACCAAGAAACAGGUUAGUCAUGACUCGGGUGCUGAUGAUGAUAUGGUUGGAAUGAUACAUGAUACAUCACGUAAUCAAAUAUUCAAUUCACACACAGCAUUGUUAUGGACUAUCAGUGACUUUCUAGCACAUGCCAACUUGUCUGAGUGGAGUAUUAAAGGUAAAUAAGCAUUCUUGUUUGCCAACAAAACACUAGAUCUAAUUGGUUGAUACAUAGUAGAAAAUUUUGUCACGUCGGUAACGUCGAUUUUUACCGACGAAUUAUAGGUUUCGAAAAUAUAGUGCCUUUUGAUAAAUCUAGAGAGUGGGGACAAGCACCUUCUCGGAUGUCUGGAGCUGAAGUGAAAAAGCAGUUGAAUAAUAUCCUUACUGAGUUUAAGAUUGAAGACUUGAAAAGUGGAGAAUGAAAAAAAUGAGAGAAAUGACAAGAUUACUUGGAAGAAGAAAAUCAUAUUUUAUGAACUACCGUGUUGGGAGUUCAAUUUGAUUCAUCAUAAAAUGUGAGACAUGAGGGAGAGACAAAAGCUCAGGCUUGUCUGCAACCAUGUGGGCCCUCAUAAGCAAUUCGUGUACACAACUUGGUUCACCAAGCCCAACAACUUGAAGCAGGCAAAAUCCGGGAACGAUCCUUCUCCUUCGCAACCCUAGCUGCCUUAACCUUGUAUUUCUGAUAUUUAGUUAAAGAGUAAGAAGAUUGCUCCUCUGUCAAUUACCUUCGAGAGAGACUUUCUUUUUCAUUCACCGAUGCUUGCUUGUGAAAGCAAGGGUUUUAGUUACGCUUUCAACGCUGUCAAUGUAGUGAAGUUAAGCAUUCGUAGAAUAGUGAAGUUAAGCAUUCGUAGAAUAGUGAAGUAAAGCAUUCGUAGAAUAAUGAAGAUGGAAGCCCCACAGCAUGAAAACUUUUAAACAGUAACACAGCUCUUAUUCCAGAGGCUGCACGCGAGUGACCUGAAUCUUCUUCAGAACUUUCAAAUUUUAUCAAGCGAAGCUUUCAAAAUUUCUCAACAAAUUGAUUAUUUGGUGUGGUUGCCACAUUUUGAGUAACCGCUAUUUGUUCUCAAGUACAAAAUCCUUGCCUUCCUAAGUUAGGAAAUAUAAAUGUGAAGCAAACCAAAUGAAAUAAAUGGGUAAACAGAACAAGCAGGGCAAAAAUUAAAAAUGAUGGCAAUUAACAAAUUAAUAGCAAUGUUACAUUUGACUCUUUAGCCCUUUGUUCCUUCUCUUAGCAUUCUUCAAAGGUUUUGAAAAUAGGACGUGAAGCAAACAAAAUAAAAUAAAUUUAGACAACACAUGCCCUGUAUUCAGCAUCAUAUAUAUCUCGCAUAUCUAAUAUAAUAAAUUUCACAUCUAAAAUACUAGAAUUUCAAACAGAAUAUCUAAUAAUAGUAAAAAAAUGACGACAACAACAAAAAUAGAAAAUUACAAGACUGCUGAUAAAAUUUCAUUUGCAUGCAUGUCUGACAAAAUUUCCGUGGUUUAAUGUGCUUUCAUGAACGCAAGUCCUAACGUUUCUGUGAUCACAAAAUAAAACUGAAGAUAAAACAGAACAACUACCAAACCUUUCAAGCUUGACGAAGCCAUGAGAAUUGAUAGCUCAGGCACUGAUACCAAGUUAAAGUUUCUAAUCUGUUUGGUAAGUAAGAAAAUGUGAGAAAAUGAAAGAAAGAACAGAGAUCAUCUAAGAGCUGGAUUUGAUAAGUAAAUAUGAAUCAUCCAUUCAUUAGUUGAUUGCAAAUGUAUUUAUACGAGGUUCCUGAACAUUUCAGAUUCUAUAUGCUCGAGCUAAGCACCUGAGAGUUGAGCAGUGUGCACUAACAAACUGCUAACAAAAUAACUAACUUAUGCCAGCUCAGCUAACACGUCAGUAACUCUUAACUAUCUUGCUUAACAAACUGAAACAAUAACUAACCAUUUUAACUAUCUUAACAAUCCCAAUAAUUUUUCCAUUUGUGUAUUUUUUUGAAUCAUAAUCAAAUGCGUAAAUGUUGCAACUAUUUUUUUUAGAUAUUUUCACUUUGGGCUGUCAGCCCGAGGAAGUACGGGGGUCUGAGUUAUUCAACUGAAAAUGUCGGCCAAGUUCUUGUGUUAGUUUUAGUAUAUUGUGUAAAAAUGAUACACUAACUUGAAUUUAUAUGCUUUUAUGACUAUUUGAUAAUCAAAUGGGUAAAUGACACGAAGAACUUUGAGUUUAAAAAUCUGGCCCUGAUGCCUGGUAGCCCUCCAACCUAUGAAGCACUAGAUGUUUUAAUGAGAAAACGACAAGACCAUUUAUCAAAUUUCUUGUGGAUAUAACUACAUACACAAAGACGAGACCAACCUCCUCAAAUGAGAAUUAGAGUGAUUCAAAUCUCAAAAUACAAUAGAAAUUCAUGACAUAUAUAUAAUAAAAGACCUCUCAUUGAGUCAUAUAUAUUGAGAAUAAAUUUUUUUUAAUACAUACAAAGAGCUUAGCUACAAUGAAAUGUCUUUGGACUUGCAAUGAUCAAACAAAGGAAACAGACAGGUUGCAACUCACACUAUCACAAAUGUAGCGACACGAUGCAGUGAAUCACAAGAAGAUCACGAAGAUGGAAACGGGAACCCCUCAGAAUGUAAACUUUGAAUAGAGGAAAAAAGAAAAACGACCUUAUUUCAAAUUGCGCACAGAAGAAGAGUGACUUAAAUCGUCAUCAGUAUCCAGACAUUCUGCAAUCAUAGAGUAGAGAAAUUUUAACAGGAACAGUGGAGAAAAUAUUAUGUAUAUGCUAGACCAAAUUAGUCCCUUUUUUGGUUUGUGAAAACUUGAUUUUUUAUGAAAUAUUUUCAAACAAUAUUUCCACAAUACACUUGUUGAUAGCCAACAUUUGAUGGUUUAAGGAUUUUUUAUGGGAACAAUGCACUGAUUACGUUUUUUUUUUUUAAUUUUUUUAAUGCGAUGAAUGAUAUUCAGCUGUUCUUUAAUUAUGUGUUCAUAGGGAAGAACAUUUUAUAAGUACUUUCCUUGCCUUCUAACUUUCCAAGGAAAUAUAGGUGUGAAGAAAAGCAAACCCAAUGAACAAACAGAACACAAACUAAAAUAAAAGAACAGCAAUGAUGAGAAUAAAUAAUUGGCAAAGAAAGAAUGGAAAAAGUAUGCACGUUUUCAAGGAAUUAUAAAAUACGAAGGCUUUUAAUGAAAUUUUAUCAUAAAAACGUACGCAAGGAGUUAUAAAAAUUUUAGAAGACGAAGGGAGCUCCCAAAAAAAAAAAAAAAGAAGAAAAAGACUCAAAUUAAACUAGACUAAAAAGACAUUCAAUUAUGCAAAAUCUGUCCAUAAAAGUCUGAAAGGAUCAUUAAAAUUGCAUUGCAAAUUUAACAGUAAACAGAGGGACCCAUUCUAAAUAAUUCAGAUGAAAUUGCGAAACAAGCCAUGGGAUUAAAUAAAUGAAAUAAAAAUUAAUUACCAGUUGAGACUUUCUUCUAAAAAUUCGCAACUCCAAGUCAUAAGAAGCCUAUGAAAUUAGUCGUACUGCGUAGAGUAUAUCGACGACCCCGCCAACAGCUGAAAAUAAAAUUCUUAUUCAUCAAUUUAAACUUUUACUUUAUAACAAACAUUUUAUUUAAAAAGAAAAAGCAAAUUUUGUAAAAAUUUAUCAUGGGAGAUAGAGAGUAAUAUGUAUAUCCGUACCUUCUCAGCAUGUAAUUGUUGUAUGGUUGUGUUUAGAUCAUUAUUAGCCCAACGCCGUUGAUUCAAUGUCUCUCCAUACUGGACGUUUACUCUCGGAGGCGUGAUUGAUUCUCCUGUAGUGAAAAUCUUCAUCUUGGGACAACCAGUCACUCCCAGAUAUUCCAAAGAUGGGAAUCUGAAGGUGUAAUUGGCAUAGCAGAAACUUGUGAGGCUAUCUAAAUCACGCAGAGCCAACGUCUUCAAUUUGCGGAAAACAAUCUCUUCUUUUUCAACUCCAUCUUUGUCAUUUGUUACCACCUCUGUCAUUGCUCUGCAUCCAUAUACUUGCACUUUGACGAGUUGCACUAGAGUUUUUGCUGUGGAAAAUGUUACCAUGUGUAACAAUUUCUUGCAACCGAAAGCUACAAGUUUUGUUAGGUUCCGAAAAGAUACCGAUGAUGAUGGCAAUAGAAUUAACAGACGUUGACAAUGAUAUACUCCUAGAAUUUCAAGAUACUGAAAAAUGGGGUCAAGUUUGGAGUCUUGUUUCCACAGCUGCUUCAGAUGAUAGUGCCGGUGCAGCUCUAAUGUUUUUAUCAUUGCCAACUUCCCCACAUGUUUCUCUAAGCUUCCUUCCUCCGAAAAUACCUCUUUGUUGAAUGCAAAAAAAGACAGUAUGAGUUUUUCAAGAUUGUGAAAUCUCUCAAGUACGUUCCAGAUUGGAAAACAAGCUGAGUUAUCUGAACCAAUCUCUAGUUCUCUAAGACUGCCAAAAAGGUGUUGUGGGAAAUCGGCCCGCAAAAUCAUCUCCACAUCUUUUCCACUUAGUGAUAGUUCCUUCAAGUUGGGUACGAUCUGAUCAUCAUCAAUCAUAAUAACUAAUGAGGUCAAUUGAUGUUCUUUCAAAUGAUUUUGAGUAAUCCAAUCACAAGCAGUGACUUUAUAGUAUUUAUUUUAUAUUAAUUUUACCCCUAAAAAAAAUGAAUUAGUGAUAAAAUUCAUUAUAUGAUUUUUUUUAUAUGUUAGUUUUAGAGGUAAUAAAGAAAUUAGGGAAAAAAACGAAAUUAUUUUAUUGCAUGAUAGUAAAUUACUAAUUUAUUUUGUAAGUUUUUCUGUAUGGAAAGACUAAGGAUUCUUUUAUAAAUGCUAUACCUAAAAAAGAUUAUUGUAUAACAAAAGUUUUCAAUUUAUUGAGCAUUAAUUUAUCGAUACUUUGUCAUAUUUUUCAAAGUUAAAAAUAAGCUAUAGAUAAAAAAUCUAGAAAAUGGCUUCAUACCUUUUCCAAUGGCAAUAGGGGCUGUUGUGCAGGAAUACCAAGUUGAAAAUCUGCAGCGAAUAUCUUUAAUUUGUCACAACCAUGCACUAAAAGAAUUUCUAGUGCGGGCCAUUCCGAAGUAUGCAUUCCAGGGUACAAACAUCUAAGUUUUGGUAGAUCUUGGAGUUUCAGAGUGGUGAGCUGUGGAAAGACAAAAUAAGGGAUCACUUGAUCUGCUCUGUUUUCAGAAAUGAUCUCCUGUAAAUCCUCACAGAAGCGUAUAUCUAGGUGUUGGAGCUGCUUAAGGCUUUCGAUCAUAGACGCUGAAAAUAUGUAUUUUAAUUUAUGACAACGCUGCACAGUCAAUCGUGUUAAAUUUUGAAAGCGAGGAAACAUGACCGGAAGAUGAUUGUAGUGCCAAAUCUUGU